AACUUUCUCUUAUUCGAAUAUCUCUUCGACCCACUUUAAGGAAGCCAGAACCUGCUAGCUAGACUAGACUACUUUCAACGGUAGGGAGAAUACAAAGGAGAGACUAGGGGUGGUUGAAGCUUAAAUAAUAGAUAUGACAGAGCAUACUGUUUGGUGAGUUUGAGGAGAACACUAGCUGCGAUGACAGAAACAGUUGACCACGGUGUGUUAAAAUAAUUUUGCCUCAAAUUUGCCAUCCAUUUGUGCCUGCGAGUUCUGCAGUCGUUGUUCAGCUCAUCACAUAGAGUAGCAUAACAGUAGUUGCUAACAAUGACCCCACUGUCAAGGUUAUUGAGCAAAGUAGAUACCCCACUGUUCUCACCUAUCCAAUUUUGAACAAUUCCAUGCUCAACAACAACCAGCUCCACAUCCUUUGAUGAACUUACCAAACGCUUCAUGAGGAAAACAUAAUUAGUUAGGUAAUUCAUGUUCUUGCAGUGACAUUGUUCGAAAGCCAGGAGAUUUCUGAAUGUCAGCUCUGUCGAAUCCGAUACUCUUCAACUUCAGAAUUUUGAGAACCCCACUAGAGAAUUUUAUGUCAAACAGACUUUCGCUUUUUCCCACCUUAAACUUGACUCCAGCCUGAUGUAGCUCUGCCAUGUUUGGUAUUGUGGGAGAUUUAAGUUUCCCUCUAGUUUUUGGUUCCAUUGGUUGACACAAAAUUCUCAUAAAAUCAACAAACUGGUUUACCUCUAUUCCUGGAACAAAAUUUUUCUCCCAAUCGUCUUCUGUUCCUUCCCUAUAGAUUCAGAUUGCAUCUUUGAACGAAAAGUAAGAAACAAAUAUUACUGAAUAUUUCCUACUAGUAGGAGGGAAAAGUUUAUCAGGGUCAAAAAGAUCUUUCAGAAUGAAGAAUGGCAGUUGAUUUUCAAGCAUUCACAAGUCAGGCGAUAUAUCGCGUUUCAUCCGUGGUUUCUCAAAUAUGUAGUCAUUUUCAUGAUUAAAUCCUAAAAAACACUUCCUCAGUAAGAACUCAAUGAUGAAGGCUGAAUCCACUGGAAUGAUUCUUACAAAUUCAUCACUGUCAAACUCAAUGAAAUCUGCAUAAUAACUGCGCCAUCUUGCUUCUUGAUCCUUUAUUUUGUUUAUAUAAUUAUUCAAGCUUACUUGGGUUCGAUGUAGAAAAUACGCUAGAUACCUCUUUUUGUGCUCUUCCAUGGCCUUCAAGUGUUCUUUGCCAUGGUGAAGUGGGCCUAUAGAGACUACUCGAGGUGUGUAGGCGUUUUCAUUUCCUCGCCGUAGUCACUCAGGAACUCUGUAGAUACAAUGCAAUGGGGGCAGGGGAGACAAGUUGGCCAACUCUUGGCUCAUCGAAGUUUCCAAAGGAUUGUGCUGUUUUUCUAUGUCAUAAUUUGGAGCUUCAUUUUUCCCCCUCAUCAUCAUGUACUAGCACCAGAAUCAACAAAUAUUACAUUAAUUGAUGACUGCAAGCAGGAAAGGGAACUGAAAUCAAAAUCUUGUAUUAGUUAUUGCAUACCAACACCUUAAACACUGACUUCGACAAAAAAAAAAAACACAGACCUUAAAAACUCACAUGAAGUACUUAACUCUACUUUUGUAUAGAUAUUUCCACAUUCCAAUCUUAUUUCCAAUAAAAACAGGCUGAGACAAAUCAAACUUUUGUCAACCUAUCUAUCUAUAAUUAAACACUUCUCUCUCGAUUAAUAGAGUUCUAAGUUCAACAAUUUAAAAAAUAUUUGCUUAAAUAAAAAUGAUCGAUGCGUAAAUAUAGCAAUGGGGAAGGAAAUUCUAACGGUAGAGACUGAUAAAAAAAUGCUAGGCUUACCAUAUUUUUCAUACCACAUUAUGUACCACCUCUCUAAUAGAGGUGGGCCCCAUUGUAUUGGUGGGCUCCACCUCUAUUAGAGAUGUGGUACACAAUAUGGUAUGAAAAAUGUGGUAAGCCUAGCAUUACUCUUGUUGAUAUAUAUGCAAUCAAUAUCAUUGUUGCCAACUGUGGGAACUGAAUUUUCGCAAACCCUAGGUCAAAUAUUUCCUUCCAUUUGAGGAUUAUUUGAUUUGGGGAUUCUUGCCAAUUAGGGAUUUGAUUCUCAUUAAAUCCAUAAUUGAUUUAAAUCUCAUCAGAAAAAUAAUUCCUUUCACAACAAAGAUUAUUUUUCUCCAAACCCUAACCCUACGAGGCUCUAUAAAUACAUGGCUACACACAAGGGUUGAGGUACGUCUAAAUUUCUAUCUGAAACUCUGCAGAAAUUCCUAUCAUAAAUCCCUAGCCGCCAUACUUUUUCUCUCUCUCACACACGGCUCUGGCCACCCGGUUCACACCAUACAUACAACUCCAUACCCUUUUCGUUAGCUAUUGUUUUCCUACAAACACUUGAACUAACUUAGGCAUCGGAGAGCCUUUGGCCAACACCCCCAAGGUGUGGUCUUCUUAUUCCGAUUUAUUUUUCAAGGAGAAAGGGACGAUGAAGAAGAAGAUGAAAUCUUAGACGAAUAUUCCCGUGGGACGAAAAUCGCUCCCACACCAACAAUAUGUAUCGACAUAUUAUUGAUACAUUUAUGCCAACAUCGAUGUCGAUGUGCAUAUCGAGAGUUUGUUCUCUAAUUUUUUGUAUAUUAUUCGGCAAUAUUUUGGCAAAUCACAACUCAUAAGUUUAGCCACUAUAUAAUAUUUUAAUAUAAUUUAAUUAAAUUUUUAUUCAAUAAUUUGCAAAAAAUAUGUGUAUAAUACGUGAAUUUUGUGUGUAUUAUUGAAAAUUUUGUAAAAAACAAGUGUAUUAAACAUGAAAUAUAUGUAUGUCUGUGUACAAUACGAGUAUUAAAUCUCAAAAUCCUAAAUUCUUUAUACGGAUAAUAACUAUGGAAAAGUAAAAACUCAAAAGGAGACAAUAGAGACUCGAGUAAUGGCCUAAUAGUAAUGGAUAGUGCUUUGUACUCUUAUCGAUAAACAAAAAUCGAGGAAAACAAUUUUUUCUUAAAAAAAGAUAUGGCUAUACUCUUUAUAAAAAAAAACCCUAGUCAGGCCGCAUGGCUAUACUCUUUUAUUUAAAAAAAUCCUGCGUAUAACCUAUUCAUUUUUUCAAAAAAGGAGGAUCGGAAUAGCGCUUAGCGUCCCCAUAGCGAUACAGCGCCCAAGUAUAGCCGAGCGGCUACACCAUUUUUUGAACUGAAAAAACAAAGUAUAGCUGGCGGCUAUACUCUUUAGUAUCUUACUUUCAAAAGGAAUAUCGCCGCAUGGCGAUACUAUUUAUUAAAAAUAAGACUAAAAAAAAAAAGAAAAAGACCCCAGCAGCUUUAGACUAUAAAAUAUAAACCUUAAAAUGAUAUGACAAAAUUGUCUAUUUAAAGAGUAUAGCCGGGUGGCUAUACUCGCUAAAUAUAUUCGAAAUGAACUAAACUUGCAAUCACAGAGGACGGAGGUUGCAGUCGAAGUUUCGCUUCUCUAUCAACUCAAGCUUCGAUUUCUUUUCUUCGGUUUCGGCUGCUUCAUCCUCCGGGUUCGGCCCCGAAAAAAGACCCAACCCGCCUAGAAGGCCCGCCCAGCCGCCUAGCGCCCGCCUAGCCGCCUAGCCGCCUUGCCGCCUAGCCGCCUUGCCGCCUAGCCGCCUAGCGCCCGCCUAGCCGCCUAGCCGCCUAGCCGCCAGCCUAGGCCCAUUUUUUAGAGUCUAAAGCACAAGAUGCCGAGAAUAGACUGGAAACGGUUGCCUCUCAGGCUCAAUAGGUCAUGCACUGAUGUACUCAAUCCAUCUUUGGUCUGAUGUACUCAAUCCAUCUUUGGUCUAUGGCUAUGAGUGUGUGAUGUUGUUAGUGUGUUGUUCAUUUUGCCAUUGGCUUCUUUCUCUUUGCUUUCAGAUGGCUGACAUGGUUACAGAACAAUGGAUUCAAAUUCAGCGGCUUGAGGAGGCUCUUCAUAUUACACAAGUAAGUUUUUUCUGCUUGAAACUGGCUUCAGGGUCUUUAUUUGCUAAAUUCAUAAGUUUUGCUGAUUCACUAAUAUUUGCUAGUUUCUCCUUGAUUGGACUGCUUUUCAUUCUUUGGAUAUUGCAUUUCUGUUAUAGAUUUUGACAUUUGAUCAUGCCCUCUUGUUUGCUGAGAGAAAAAAAGAAGAAGAAGAAAGAUUUGUCUCCUCCUCCUGUUGCAUAGAUAGGAUGAAUUUCUCAUAAGGGAUCCCCUUUCACUGUAGCUUGGAGUAGAAUUCGUUUUGACACAAUAUCAAUUAUCAAUGUAAACACGUUUACUGAUGCAUUAUCGACAAUAUCGAUGGACGUCAUAUCAAAUUUAGAUGCGUAAUUGAAUGGAAAUAAACAUCACUCUCUCCAGUGUGAAAUGGACAAAAUUCUCUUCAAUCAAAAGUGGGCUUACUUCAAAUUUAGUUCAAGAAUGAUGGUGUCUUGCCUGACAAUUGACAAGUAGGAGCGUUCCUCUAGUAGAAAAAUCUAAAUCAUUUGUGGUCAUCCACUCACUUGGUUAGUCUUCCAGAAUCAAGUACGAAAUCAAGUCAAAGGAAGCUGCAAUUUUCUGAAUUGUAUACUUGUUUUAAUUCUUCCUAUCUUUUUCUCUCUUUCAGUUUUUUUGUCUCCCUCAAGUUAAUACUUAAGUGAGUUGCCAAAUGGGGAAAAAGAGAGUAGAAGAGAUGAACCCCACAUUUGACUUUAAUAGACAAAAGCCCAAGAGAAGUACCAAUAAGAGCAUCUCCAAUUAGGAGGUGCUAUCCUAUAAUUUGACACACAUUUCUUUUUUUUUUCUCUUUCAAUUCUAACAUGAUGUCAUCUAUAUCGCAAUAGGCCAUUGUAGUUAAAUUUUCAAAUAACCAAGUUGCUCUCUAUUUUCCAAAGAAGACUAGAAAACAAUUUACCAUCUAUCUGGUGCUGCUUCUUCCAAACAUUAGAAAAAACAGAGCUACACCCACCCAGGAGGAGCCUAGGAGAUGACACAAUACUGCCUACUAUGAUUCUUACUUUCUUCACAUUCAAUGAGACUAUAAAAUAUAACCCAAGUGGUCUAACCCCACGGGGGCGGAAAUUGGGUUUAGCAGGUUUAGCAGGUUUAGCAGUGAUUGUUGUAUAGUCUUAAAAUAAGUAGUUUAGUGAGUGCAAACUUCGACUUAAAAAAAAUCUCAUGUAUAGCUGCGCGACUAUACUAUUUACAUAUAAAUAUAUAAAAAACCACCUUCCUAGUCACGUGUCACAAAUAGUAUAGCCGCGUGGUUGUACGGCCAUACUGUUUUCAAUAAAAAAAAAAAAUCAUAGUAUAGCUGCACGGUAAUUCUCAUUAAGUAUAUUAUAUUUAAAAGGUAGCCGCACGGCUAUACUAAUUAUUUAAAAAAAAAGGACCCCAGUAAAGCCGCGCGGCGAUACUCCUUUUAUAUAUAGUAUGAUAUAAAUAUUAUAAUAUAUUAUCUAAUAUUUGGAAUAUUUACUCUAAAAUAAACUACUUUUUGUCUACAAAUUGACCAUUAAACUUCUUAAUCACUCUUAUACUUUCAAUUAAAUCUACUAGGCUAGGUUACGAUAUUUGCACUAAAAACUCUAUUUUUUUUUUCUUCUCUUUCUCUUCCUCUUUUGUUUAACUUAAGCUUAAGUUUUGUAAUUUUUUUCCCUCCCUUUUUACAUAUAUGAGUAGGGUAUUUUAAUAUUGGGAUUUAUGAACUUUUUUUGUAUUUCUUCUCUAUGUUGGAAUAUAAAUUAGAGAUAUUUAGUCAUAUACCCAUUAUUAGCACUAAUAUUAUAAAUAAACCCUACAUCAUUUAAUUCCUAUAAACAAACUCAAAAAAAAUUCAAAAAAUAAUAGCUGGCCCUAUUAAAUUUAAUUUUGACUAUUAAAUUACUUUGAUGCCCUAUUGAGUAUUUUAGGCUUUUUUGGGGUUGAGUUUGUUUUAAGAAAUCAAUGGCAAUUUUGUAAUUUAAAAGAAGUUAAAAGCCUUUUUGUUAUGUUGUAAAUGAGUUUCGGCUGUGUUUCUAAAGUCCAUUUCAUAUAGGUUUUGUUUACACCAUAAUCAAUCGAGUAUAUCCAGCCUCAAAGCGACUAGCACCAAGGGCAGACACGCCUUCUCCCCUAUCGAAGGAAGACAUUCUUCCGAGGUGCCAAGCACCUGCCGAAGCUCCCGACUGCUGAAUGUCCUAAUUGCCAAACCUAAUCUCCAAGACACAUGUCACCAACACAGCGACUUGCACAAAGUCCCACAUCAAAACUUUGUGUAAACCUCCCACUUUCACCUCCCUAUAAAUAGGGAACAAUACCAAAGUAAAAAGGGUAACUUCUCUCUCACUUUUACUGUUACUCUGCCAAAGUUACUACUCUUAGCUGACUUAAGCACCGGAGAGCCUUCGGCCGGCACCACACCGGUCUCCAAAGCUUAACGACUGCUUCUCCUGUUUUGUCUUCUCUAGGUCCUUUUCUCGCGGAAGAUCCACACCUUCUCCCUUGCUGAAGACAAUUUACUUCUCUCUAAGUUGACCUCCCAAAAAGAGCAUCAACAGUUUGGUGCCAUCUGUGGGAACAUGACAGGACCCGCCUCGAAUUUUCUGAAACCUGAGACGAAUCCUGUGGAAAUUCCCGACAUCACCCCGAUGUCGAGCCCACUUCUAAAACUAUAUCAUUUUUCCCAAAAAGGAACAAGGGUACGAGACUUUCUACCGAAAUUUCGACAGAGUUUCCCAUGUAAAUUGAACAUUGCCCAAAAUUUCAAUCUACAUAAAACACAAUUUAUAUCCGCAACUAGCAGCAAGAACAGCUCGAGAGGUUCAGAAUCCAUACCUGGAUCGUCGGAAAUGGUGGCUGGACGACGACGAACAAAGCCGGUGAAGUUUCUGUCAAAACAGGAGCAAUUCCGAGCUUUUUUCGACGGAAUCGGGCGGUUCCAGGGGCAGGGCUGGUUGGAUAAGGAAGAGGGAGCGACGACGGUUCGAUCGAGUCCGACCUCAUGGCCGGUGGUGGCGACGGUGGCUCUUGGAAGCCACGGCUGGGAAGAAAAAAAAAACGAAGAGGGAGGGGCUGCUCGCCGGGGAAGGGGGGGGGGGGAGGGGAGAGAGAGAGAGAGAGAAAAAAAUCUGAUUUUUAUCAAAACCUUUUUCUCCAAAAUUACGGUUAUGCCACUGAGGGUAUUUUGAUCGUAUCUCUCUCGUUACAACUCCGAUUCGAGCCCACCACAUGUCUACGAACUCAUCUCGCCGUGCUCUAUGCAACGGUAUAGCCGAAAUUCCCAAAUUUCUUCCCAGUCAAAAAGUCAACUUAAAUCCUAAUAAAAUAUUUUAGGGGUAAAAUGAUAUUUUCUCUCAAUAAAUUAAUAUUUACUAAUUUAUUUAGGACCGGGUCGUUACAGAACACGACACUUGAAUCCCAUUUCUCUCUACCAGCCCAGCUGGCUCCUUCUCCCAUCAGGCCUCGUCGCCUCUUUUUGACCCCACAUUCUGCUAUGUCGACCGAGGAUAGCCACGAUACUUCACACCAUACCCCCCGUGAGGGUACCAUGAUGUAGGGCCCAGUCACUAAAACUAUAGCCUCCUUUCCCAAAAAGGAAUAAGGGCAUGAGAAUUUCUACCGAAAAUUCGGCAGAGUCUCUCAUGUAAAUUGAACAUUUCCCAAAUUUCUUAACAUGUUAAAACACAUUUAAUAUCACCAACUAGCAGCAUGCACGAGAUAAUUUCAUGCAAUUCACACAAUCGGCCUUCGACCUUCAAAUAAAUCAAAACAGAAUAACUAGCAAUGCAAAUAAGGCAGCUUUCCAAAUUUUCAACCUGCGGAAAAGCAAUAAUACUUCCCACAAAACUUCAGCUUGCAACAACUACCAUCUAUGGAUUAUCAACAACAGUUGUAGGGGCUCAGGCCCAUUAUGCAAUAUAAUCAACCUAAUAUCAGCCAUUUAUUUCGAAAUGGAUCUCAGACAUAUCAUAACCACAUAUUCUAUUUAAUAAAGUCCAAUCAAGUGAUAAUCGAGAAAUAAGCAAGCAUUUAAUAUCGCUCAAGUUUGGAUCGAGCUUCAGGCGUUCCAACAUAAUAAAAACUGAACCUAGUCGUAGUAAUAAUUAGGAUUCAAAUCCUGCAACCACCUCAAAAUUCAUUCACAUAUUCAGAACCGGUUAAACCUUUUAUAUAUAUAGUUAUUUCGCGACUGCAUCUGGGUGGGACCUCAGGCUACCUACGUACCCUUACUGAGUCAUCAAGCCACAUGUAGUUCUUUCUACAAGAAUUCCGAUUUCAAUAACAUACAAUCCAUUACAGCAAUACAAAAUAGUAAAUUCUAGAAUUAUUCAUUUCCCUUUUUCCUUAAAUUACAACACACAAGACAUUAUUCUUUUAAGCAUCAAUCUUUCCCCGAUGUAGUAAAAUAAUCCAUUUUUCCUCUCUUUGUUCUCUUCCCAUACGCCGGAAAUUCCAAAGCCACGUAUGGGAAGUGUCUCACACGCCGAAAAUUCGAACGCUACAUGUGAGACCUAAUUAAUAAUCACAUAAUCUUCCCAUACGCCAGAAAUUCCAACGCCACGUAUGGGAAGUGUCUCACACAUCGGAUAUUCUAACGCUACGUGUGAGACCUAAUAUUCCCAUACGCCGAAAAUUCUAACGCCACGUAUGGGAAGUGUCUCACAUGCUGGAAAUUCCAACGCCACGUGUGAGACCUAAUAAUCACAUAAUCUUCCCAUACGCCGGAAAUUCCAACGCCACGUAUGGGAAGUGUCUCACAUGCUGGAAAUUCUAACGCCACAUGUGAGACCUAAUAAUCACAUAAUCUUCCCACACCCCGGAAAUUCCAAUGCCACGUAUGGGAAGUGUCUCACAUGCUGAAAAUUCCAACGUCACGUUUGGGAAGUAUGUACUUUUACAUAAUGUAAUCAUAUAAUUUCGCACAUUAAACCAUAAUAUUAAAUUCCCAAUUCCCCAAAUUUAAACCAAGACUUAAUCACAAAUGACUUGCCCUUUUAUGAAACUCACCACCAAAUUAUUCAAGCCUUCAAAUCUCCAAUCGACACCAAGUUCUCAAUUAAAUACUUCUAAUAUCACAACUUACUAAUUCCUCAAUCCUUAAUCCAAAAAUAUAUGUAUAUAUAUCUCAAUUUCAUGCAUAUUCUUUCAAUCAUUGAAAAUAAUGUAUAUUUAAAAUAAAUGUCCACUCACUUCCUAAUAAUCAUAACCAAGCCCACGACUCACUUCCACAACUCACCAUAUCAAUUAACCCACACUCAUAUAUUCCGUAAUUUAAAUUAUUAUAAUAACAUCCAAGAGUUUUUAUACGAUAAUAUAAAACACUCUCAAAAACCCGAGAUAGUCAACAUAACUCAAAUAAGGGUCGAGACUCGGUAAUAAGGUCGUUCUAGUACUCCUCGAAGGGUGAAACUACCUCGGAAGACUCACGAUCAACCAAGGUUCAAACUACCCAAACUUGGUUAAACGGGCCCAUGGGCCCACGACCUCCAAAUUCUGAUCUAAAAGUUCCUAUGGGUUUGACAAGGUUUAGGAUACACGUCUUGCAAGUUUGGUCCAUAUCCAACUGUCGGAUCGCUCGCAAUCGCAUGAUCGGAAGGUUAUUGUAAAACACAAACUUCAAGUUAUUAAAUCAGAACAUCCGGGGCUCCGAUCCACGAUCCGUGAAUUCCUACACAAUCCUAGGAGUGCCUAGAUCAACAUAUAUUAAAUUCGAGAAGAUCCAACGGUUCGAACCUAUCGAAUUCGGAUAACGUACAAUAUGCGAAAUCCGUUCAAGACUCAAACGGUAACCGAAUUAACAUCCGAGCACAUCUACGAGCUCGUGAGGACUAAGAGAUCACAUCUGGACACAAUGCCCUUUUUCUACGGUGCCCACGCGCCGCCACACGCGCUAGCAGCGCGUGGGUGUCCAAAGCAAUAACACUUCACCGGGAAAUCUCAAAAUCGCUACUCAAGACUCCUACCCUAGGUGUAACACCCUAUUUGGAGUCACUUUUGUUUUGGGCCUACCUCAAAAAGUGUCUGGAAGUAGCCAGAAUCACGAUCCCAAAAUCGGCCGAAAUCCAAUUCGAAAAUCAAGCUACCUAGGCUCAAAAUUGAUGCAAUCCUACCCAACCAUCAGCUAGAGCUUGGAAAAUAGGUGAGAAACCAGACCUCACUUGCCGGAAAUGAUGGCCGGAAAUGGCCGAAAUGACGCCGUGAAAUUCGAAAGAAAAUCGGGUGGUUUUUGGCAGAUUCCGACGAGCACAGUGAAUGGUGACGGCUGAGACUGGUCGGGAAAGGACAGGGGAAGAGUGGCGGUUUGAACAGGACCGGUCUCGAGGCCGGUCGUUGACAGUGGUGGUGGCGGUGGCUUGGAGAAGUCAUCGGUUGUGCAGAAAAAUCGAAGGGGAGGGGGAACAGCUCGCGGGGAGAGAGAGAGAGAGAGAGAGAAACAAAAAUCAGAUUUUUAUCAAACCAAUUUUGAGGAAAUUACUGUCAUGCCAUUGAACUUGUUUUGAUUGUAACUUCUUCGUUACAACUCUGAUUCAAGUCCACUAUAUGUUCAUAGACUCAUCUUGGUACGAUCUAUCUAAAAAUACCAGUCGUUUUCCCAAAAUCUUUCCGGAUAAAAAGUGACCAAAAUACCCCUACCUAAGGGUAAAUUCUUAAUUUCACAUUUAAUUAAAUUAAAUAAUUUAAAUAGGGAAUUCAAUUGGAGUCGGGGUGUUACAGGAGGAGGAUUUCUCAACUUGCAGGAGUAGUGUUUGUUAUGCUACCUCAAAUGUGUCCUUUGACAAGCCUAUGUAUGUGGCAUUUAAUUUACCAUAAAAAUUCGCUACUCGAAUAGGUAAGACAAAUAGCUAAAGAAACUGUUAUUUUAUUAUUUAUCUUUGUCUAGGUGGCAUAGUAAACCCUUCAUUUACCAUUGUUACCUACAUAGCUUAUAUUGAUGUUCUGGGGUGAAUUUACAAGAAUGUUAUGUAAUUCUCUGACCUUCUUGCAUCGGCUUUGUUGGAAGACAAGCAGAUUUUGAGGAAAUUACACUAAACCCUAAAUUGUCCAUUGUGUACAGUGUAAUUAAUUUAUACAUCUUCACAAUUUUUCAUUAUAGAAUGGUAGUCAAAGACUGCUUCUAGUAUUGGAUAAGUUUAAGCUGGCAGUGGCUUGCUUGUGUUGAGGAAUUGGACUGCUUCUCUAAGCUUCUUGUGUCGGCUGAGUUUGAACAAGUUUGGGUGUGCUGAGUGUUUCCAUGGGUGUUUUACUGAUCAUGGUUAUUAGAUUUGUGAUAGUAGAUUAGUUUGGGUUCAAUCCCAACAGAAUCUGUCUCAACUCAAGCCUAGAUAUAGUUGAUUCUUAAGUUUCAAGAAUUCUAUAGUGAGGGUCUUAUAUAUGGCUCUUAGGUGAGAUCCUAUUUUUUAACCUUUGGAUCAAAUUGGUUAGCCGUAAGAUUAAAUUGGUUAGCCUGAUCUAACAGUUAAAAGAUAGGAUCUCACCUAAGGACCAUAUAUAAAUGGGCUAAAUUUUGAUGUUAUAUCUUUUCUUCCGCAAUAAUCGUAUCCAUUUGUUGUCAUAAUAAAUCAACUAGCUAGUAUGAAAGUAGUAUUUCUUUGCUUCAUCACUCACAAUACUAUCUUUUUAUUGAUCGAAUCACAAUACAAUACUUGGUACAUAUCGCCCUACAAGCACACAGAGAAGAUUAACUAACAGACAAGGAGUCAUACUUUUCAACAUAAAAUACAAACUUAAUCUCUUUUUUUUUUCUUUCACUACGUUGGUGAUGGAAAAAGGACAGGCAGAAUACAGAGAGAGAUCCAGUUGCUGUUACUGAUGCUUAAGCAAUAUAUAAAAUGGAGCACACUGCUUGGAUGAAAGUGAGUAUAAGGAAAGAAACAGCUGCAAGGAAAGAGAUAAUUGCCCAAGGUGUGUUGAAAUAAUUUUGUCUCAAAGUUGCCUUCCAUUCGUUCCAGCUAGUUCUGUAGUAUUUGUUCAGGUCUUCACAAACACUAGCAAAAUGAAAGUUAUUGACGUUUAUUUGAACCCCUUUUCCAAGCUUAUUAAUCAAAGUAGAAACCUCCCUGUUGUCACCUAGAAAAGUUUCAACGAUAUCAUACUUAACAAGCAAUUCCACAUCCUUUGGGGUGUUCACAAAAGAAUCCAUGAGACUGAUAUAAUCACUUAUAUGCUUCUCCUUGUAGUGGCAUUGUUCAAAUGCGAUGAGAUUUCUAAUUAAUACCUCUGUAGAAUCGCUUAUUUCCAGUCUUGGAAUUUCAAGAGUCCUGUCAUCAAAUUGAAUAUCAAAUAAGUUUUUCGUCAAUCCCACCUUCAACUUGACCCCUGCUGAUGUAGAACAGAUGGCAGAUUUUAUCGCGGUUGAGUUAGAAAAAGGACGUAGCGGGAAUUUGUAGAUUUGUUGUCCGAACUCUGAUUAGGACGCAAAAUACCAUUUCGGAAAGGGAACGACGCCACGAGUCAAACUCAUAGCUUUGCUGUGAUGUACGAUAGAUUUUGGCAUUCUUUGGCCUUCCAAAAUUGCAUUCAAAGUUUCGUAGUUAAUUCUCCGAAUAAAUUUUGUUUUUCAAUUUCGGAGUUACGUAGUUAAGUCUCCGAAUUAAUUCUGUUUUUCAGUUUUAAUGUAAUAACUCCCCUAGCAGUUCAAGGGUUGAGAGUUGCGUAUUUAGACAGGUUUAUCUGAAGUUUCUGAUCAUCUCAGAUUUUAAUAGAAUUAUCCCAAAAGAAUUCCUCUUAAUUUCUGGUGGAAUCUAGAUUUCUUGUUACUCAAGGUUUCGCUUGAAACCUUUGUUGCUUGUGCUGCGUCACCUGCCCUGUGUAGCUCUGUGAUGCUGGGUGUGUUUAUAGUUGUUUGUACCAUAACUGACCGAGCAACUAGCUAGGCUAGAUCAUUCGAGUGCCAUGCUUUGAGAGGUCAUCACCUUAGCCAAAGAAGCAUCACCACAAAUCACAACUCUAAGCAAAGCAAGAGGAGUCCCACAUCGGAAAACUACAAGAGAUGAAGACUCCUCCUCACCUAUAAAAGAAGACUGCUCUUUCCUUAGAAGAGGAUCCGGGUCUUGGAUCUAGACUCUUAGGCCUUGGACUCUCUCUUCUAGAUCACUAGACUGGGCUUCUCACUUGUUAUCUUUAUAUUUGGGUCUAAUCCCCUUGUACAAAUGUAAACAAACAUUAUCAUAAUGAGAACACCCUUCUCCGUGGACGUAGCCCAUCAUUCGGGUGAACCACUUUGAGCAUCAACAAUAGUUUUGAGUUUCCUUGCAGCAAUUGGUUUCGAUGGUAGACAUGAAAUUCUUAUCAAAUCAACAAAAUGUUCCGCUUCAGGAAAACGUGUUGUCUGCCAAUCGACGUUUUCUGUUCCUUCCCUAUAGAAUGUAGUACUGAACACAAAGAAAGACUACUUAUUGAAGGCUUAUUAGUAGAAGCAAAAUAUUUAUCUGCGACAAAAAGGUGCUUCAGAAUGAAGAGUGGCAACUGAUUUUCAAGCAUCCGCAAGUCAACCAAUACUGAUACACAUCCAUGGCCUAUAAAAUAUGUAGUCAUCCUCAUCUCCAAUUUUUUCCUCACUGCACUUCAACAAAAACUCAAUAACGAAGACGGCAUCCACUAGAAUGAUUUUUAGAAAGUCUUCACUGCUAUACUCAAUCGGUUCUGCAUAACAACUUCUUAGUCUUGCUUCUUGGUCCCGUAGUUUCUUCUUAAGAAACUCCAAUGUUAUCGUGGUUCUACGUAGAAAACUUCGUAGAUACCUCUUUUUGUGAUAUUCCAUACCAUUUAAGUGUUCCUUUCCAUGGUGAAGUGGGCCUAUAGAGACUACCUGAGGUGUGUAGGCUUCAUCAUCGUUUCCCUGACGUAGUCGCUUAGGAACUCUGUAGAUACACCGCAAAGGGCACAAGGAGAAGCUAUCCAAUUCCUGCAUCAAAUCGUAUGGCAUACUUUCCUCCUGAUCAUCAUGCACAGCGAUUCAAAUAUUUCAUUAUGAACGUUGGAAUUAGAGCUUCAAAGCAAACUUUUGAAAAGAAUAAAAAAACAAAUGACAAAUCAAAGUAGAUGGUUAGAAAAUCUAGUCACUUAAAGCGACUGUCUAUGGACACUCUCCCUUUGUAGCCCACGUGUCCUUAAGUAUUCUGGAGAAACAUUAAAAAAAAUAAUUACGUUACGGCAUCACAUUGUUCACCAACUUUAGUGAUACCAACUUACGUGGCAGAUGACAUAGCAUCUUUUCUUAAUUAUUUAAUCCAAUUUUUUUUUUAACAUUUAUAAAUUUUUUUAAAAAUAAAUCUGAUGUGCCCUCCCUUCAUCCUAAGAUCUGCCAUGGCCUCUGUGCUUCCACAAAUAUGUCAUGGUUUCCGUCUAAUCAAAGGAAAAAAAAAAACAUAUCCAAAAUUUUUCACACUUAACAUAUAUACUUAUCGUUUGUUUGCAUCUAUAUAUAACCAGUUUAGAUUUUAUCAAUGUUGCAAACAAAAAAAGUUGAGAUAUUUAUAGGCCCUCCUUGAAACAACUAGUACUAGGAAGCUAUAUGGGGUUUUCUACGUUAUGUGGAGCUUCAUUGCUGCAUCCUUCCACUUCCAUUAUGUGUUGUUCUGAUUGUAAGUGAUGAGGGUAUUAUUGGCACGAUAAUAAACAAAUGUUUCAAUCAUUACAUACAUUUCAAGAUGGUUCCUUCAAAAAUUUAGAAAACAUGCAUCACAAAAUGCGAAAUCGUACAAUAGAUAGGUUGAGAAGAUCCACACAUUGCAAAUUGCAAUUAUACAUUCCUAUCCUCCUAUAAAUAGGUCAAUCUCUCUCUCUCUCUCUCUCAAAAUCGACAAAUUUUCAUGUCAAUAAGAUAAGAGAUCUCAUUGCAAGUGACUUGUAGAUGAAGUGGUAAAGAACAAAAAGUCAUAUUCUUCCAAUCAAAACGAAGAAAAAAAAGUACGUAAAACAUCAUAUAAGAAAAUGGAUAUGUGGAGAUGGGUUUAUAUAUACAACACAGAAGAAAGAUUGUGUAUUGAAAAACAAAGCAAAAAAGGAAGUGAACUCACACCUUCUAUGUAUUUAAAAACAAGAAGCAAGUUGUGUUUUUGCCUUUUGGCGGCUCAACACACAGAUUACUUUCUCCUGAGCGGAUAGAUGUAGUAAUAAAUUCUCUUAAUACAAUCAAAGCACAAUGAUGUACUAUAUAUAACAAGUUAUGAUUCCACCCUUAUCCUUCCGUGACCAUUAACAUAUGGUGCAUACAAGUCUAUGGCAGAACUUCGACUUGGAAUAUUGGCUCUCCAAAGACCUGUAGAAGACAAAGAUCUUGACCUAAGAUAAAGACCCAAGUAGACCUUCCUUCUAUAGUCAUGCACAUUCUAAGGAAAGAUAACCACAUUCAUGCAUGUAAGAAAGUUGAUUUCUUCCAAUUUUUUUAUUGUAUGGUCGCGAUUGAUGCCUGUAGAUACACGGUAGAAAGUUUGUGCCCACUUCAUAGUUGUUUCAUGUUUUUUUGUUUUGAAAGCAACUAGAGAGUCCCCACGCAACUCUUGAGGAACUUCUAAGAGGACCCAAAACAAGGUGAUUCUUACUUUCCCAUGACUGUAUCAGCCUUAUCAGAGACGACUCUGUCGAUAUUAUCCUUUUAAGUUAUUUAGCUCUUGUGCUUCCAAUCAAAACAUUGCGAAACAAAGACCAAAUUUCCAUUAAGAUUGAAAGAAGUAACCUUUUUUGAUUCAAUCCUUGUACAAUUUGUCUGAGGGAGAUUUGAACACAGUAGCUCAUAUUGGUUAUAAAAAAAAUUUCUUAGACAGGAUCCUGCAUUUGCACAUAUGUGAGAAGCCGGUCGACUAACCUUCUCACAUUCUAUUCUAUACAUGCGGGAUCCUUUGUAUAGCUAUGGGUAUCGAAUAUACACCUCAAGCAAAGACAAACAAAUAAACCAAGCACAGCACAAUAACAGUAUUCAAUGUAGGAAGAGCUCAUGGGGGUUCUUGCUAGCGAGGAAAGCCUUGCGUCUCUCUAGGGUUUUCUUCUUCCACGUCCAGCUGCCGUCUUAAUGGGUUUCCAUCUACCACUCAUCUUUGGUCUUCUCAGUGUAAGCUUUUUUUUUUUUUUUUUAGUACAAGAGGGGAGGGGGAUUUCUCAAUGUAAGCUUUGCAAUUUGAUAAUUAAUAUUUCCAAUAUCUCAUUGUUAGUAAAAUACGGAAGGGGAAAAGUAUGAAUAAAAUACGUACGUGUUUUAUUCGACAAAAUUUUGACAAGAUACAACUGAAAAGUUUGGCUACUAUAUAAUAUUUUUAAUAUAUAUUAUUUUUAUUCAAUAAUAUGUGAAUAAUAGGUGUAUAAUAUAUGAAUUUUGUAUGUAUCAUUCAAAAUCUUGUUAAAUUUUUUUUUUUUAAAUGUGAAAAAUAUGUACGCACAUAUAUAAAACGUGUAUUGUACAUUUAGUUUUUUAAAAACUUGUAUUUUACUGAAUCUUUAAAUCGUAUAUGGAAAAUGGAAGAAUUAUUAAAAAAUACAUACAUAUACGUGUAUAAUACGAGUAUUAAACAGAAAAAUGUGCUAAGUACUUAUCUUUUAAUUUAAUAAUUCAUUUCAUUUUGUGAUCUCAUACGUAGUAAUGAGAGUUCAAAUUAAUGUUGCAGCUGACGAUGGUGGCUCUGGCAAGCCAUGCUGCUCUCCCAGUACCUCAACUUUACUGGAACUCUUUCCUGCCAAACACACAAAUGCCAAGAGCCAUCAGUCAACUUCUAUAGCCUGGUUUCUAUUAAGGGACUUUUCGAGAGCUUAUCAUCUACCUAAAUUUUACUCAUGUGACGUAAUUUUAAAAGUGAUUUGAUCCUUCGGCGAAGUAAAAAAGAAGGGCACUCGAAUAGGCAUGCCAUUUGGUAUUACCCACCUAAUUUCUUUUUAAAUUUUAGUAACUGAUUUUUAAGAUUAGAAAAUGGGAAAAUUUCAAAACCGAAAAACUUGUUUCACUAAUCAUGUGGCCUUCCAAGUGCUCAAGGUUAAGCCAGGAACCGUUCCUAUCUGCCAUUUCCUUCCCAACUAUGAUCAUGUUGUCUGGGUUCCAACCCACAAAUCUACAUCAGUACCUGAACUAAUCAGUUCUGCGUGAAUGUUCAUUCAUGGCAACAUUGGGCUAAGUAUUUGAAUUUGUAUGCAUAUAUUGGAUAAGUUUGAGAUGGCAGUGGCUUGGGUGUGGAGAGGAAUUGCAUGGGUGUCGGCUGAGCUUGAACAAGUUUGGGUGUGCUGAGUGUUUCCAUGGGUGUGUUUCUGAACAUGGUUAUUCGAUUUGUGAUAGUUUGAUUAGUUUGGGCUCAAUUUCUACAGAACUUGUCUCAAGCCUAGAUAGUUGAUUCUUAAGUUUAUCAGGAUAAAAAAAUAAAAAAAUCUUAAGUUAAGCCCAAGGCGCCGAACUUGGACUUCUCACCAAACUUGUGAAUAAAUUGAAAUAUUUAAUAGAAGCCCAAGAUUUCUAAAGCACAUAAUAUCUACAAAAAUCUACAAAAUGUUAUACUUUACAAAUUUCCUAUGUGUACCAAUUUCUACUAAAAUUAAUUUCUCUGUGGUGCUGAGAUUCAUCAUAAUUUUAGUAGAAAUUGGAAGUUUUCAUCAUUUUUGCUUUAAGUCUCUCCUCCACUCACUAAUAAAGAUUACUCAAGUGAGUUUACAAAACAUUUUUUUUCUACUCUAUCCUGAAGACUACACUUCUUCUCAAAAGUUUAGAUCACUUCACAUCUUGUAUAUGUGAAAACUAAUGCAAAAAGUUGAAACUUUAUCAUAAAACCUCGACAAAAAUUAGCUUUGCUUAAAACGUUAAAUUUGGAUUCGUUGAUUUUAAUGUCAAUUUGACACUUCAUAGAAAUUUUUACAUACAUGUGUUAGUGUUUGAUCACUUCACUUGUUACUUACUAUAUUUAUUCCAUGCUGCAAGACUCCAAGCAACCAUGAGAAUUCAUCAAAGGCAAGAAUCCCCUCUGGAACCCUUCAAUUUCAUGCUUUGUUCUUCCAUCUUCCUCCUUUCUCUCUCUCAAAACCCACAUCCAGAGAGAGCAAGCAUCAUCUCUCAUCUCUGGAACCCUUCGAUUUCAAGCAUUGUUCUUCCAGUGCUUCCCAUUUUCUCUUCUGUCAAAUCACCUAGGAGCUUGACGAAGCUUUCAUCAAGUUGCUGGAAAUAUGCUAAAGCCACCCAUGCUGCCAUCUUCUUCCUCUCUUUCCAUAAACACACAUCCAAAGAGCAAGCUUCAUCUCUCAUCCUCUAAACCUUUGCAAUUUCAAGCCUCAUUCCUCUAUCUUCUCCCAUUUUCAGCGGUAGUGAGAACGAUUUCUGCUUGUGCAUGGGAAGGAUUGUGACUCAGAUGAGGAGGAGAUGGUUUGGAGUGGGGUGAGGCAGUUGGACAGAGCUCUUGGACUUUUCAAGUUUGUAUGGGAAAGAGCAGGGAUGAAAGAAGCUUUACAACUGCAAGGGCAUAUAUGGUGCGUAGGGGCUGAAGGCAGAACACUUACAUAUAGAGGAAACACAUUUUUUGUCCAUGGGAUUCAUUUUUGACAAACACUUGUCUUAGAAUAUGAGUUCAAAUUUCAAAACCUUUUUUUUUCUUUCUGAAAUCAGGAUCAGUGUGGAGAACUAGCAAGGAUUGGAGAAACAGAUUUUUGGGCGUCACUUGACCACAGAUUGUUGAUUGCUCAAAAGUGUAGAAUUGGCCAUCUUAAAUGUCAAAAUGAUUUAUCAAUUGGGGUUUUUUUAGAAACGUAUUUAUGUUUGUCAAUAGAGACAGAAGACAGAGAACAUAAACCUUUCUCAGCAAAUUGAAAUUCUCAGUGCAUGCUCUGUUCUUCCAUGGCUUUCAAACCUUCUCUGCCCUUGUAAUGUUCCAAUCGAGGGUAAUAACAUUGCUAGUUUUCUAUGACAUCCUAUUUCUAAUGCAUGUCUACUCUUGUAAUGUUCCAGUCUAGGGUAAUAACACUGCUAAUUUCAUAUGACAUCCUAUUUCUAAUGCAUGUCUACCCCUGUAAUGUCCUAGUUUAGGGUAAUAACACUGCUAGUUUACUAUCAUGUUGAUUAAUUCUUGUCAUGUUGCUAUUUCUAAUACAUGUCCAACAAAGAAAAGAUGAAGAAAGAACAAACCAGACCAACUCAAAAUAAGUUGAGCCCAAAUAGUUAAUACUAUUAUGUCAUAGAAGUACGUUGUUAAUACUCUGUAAUAGAAGUACAUUGUUAAUACACUGUCAUAGAAUUACAUUGUUAAACAAAAAUAAGAUCCAUAACUGAAAUAGUAAUAAAAGAUAAAUCGAUCAUCAAAAAUACAUUUCAAAAAUCAACUAAAAUCCGAAGAGAAACACAUAAUUGAAGCAAAACAUCAAAAAUCUAAAGUCCAAACCAAACAACGACGACGACGACAAUGAUGAUGACAAUGACAAGAACGACGUGGUGAAGAGGAGUAGAGCUCGAAGAUGAGGAGUAGAGCUAAGAGCAUUUGAUCAGGGUUCGUUCGAGGUCUCGAACAAUCAAAAAAAAAAAAUCAAUAGAAGCAAGAUUUUAGAACAAGAAUCGAAGGUGAAAUAUUGAAAAUUGUAGAUUAAAGAUGAAGAAUAUAGUUGGACCUGAGACUGAGCUUCAAUGGAAGCUCCUCUUGCUCCAACACCAGAGAAAGCACCAACAAGAAAGGAGAAAAUAAAUAUGAUUUGGAUUUUUGGCAGAUCUGGUUUUUUGGCAGAUUUGUUUUUUUGGCAGAUCUGAUUUUUUUUUCUCUCAAAUUCAUAAUGCAAGGGCAAUAUAGGUAUUUAACACACACAAAUAAACUAAAAAACAGCUAUUAAAUUGAAAAUUUUGACAGCUGUCAAUUUUGGGAUUUUUUUUGGGUGUGUUUAUAGUUUUUAAAUAGUAUAGGGUUUCUUUAUAAGACUAUGUCUAAGAUUGGGUAUAUAAUUAAAUUUAUAUUAUUAAAAAAAAAGGACCCUAGUAAAGCCGUGCGACGAUACUCCUUUUAUAUAUUAUAUGAUAUAAAUAUUAUAAUAUAUUAUCUAAUACUUGGAAUAUUUACUCUAAAAUAAACAAUAUAUUAGGUUCUUUUUAUCUACAAAUUGACCAUUAAACUUCUUAAUCACUCUUAUACUUCAAUUAAAUCUACUAGGUUACAAUAUUUGCACUAAAAACUCCUAAUUGUUUUUUCUUCUCUUUCUCUUGCUCUUUUGUUUAACUUAAGCUGAAGUUUUUUAAUUUUUUUCCCUCCAUUUUUACAUGUAUGAGUAGGGUACUUUAAUAUUGGGAUUUAUGAACUUUUUUGUAUUUCUUCUCUAUGCUGGAAUAUAAAUUAGAGAUAUUUAGUCAUAUACCCAUUCUUAGCACUAAUAUUAUAAAUAAAUCCUAUAUCAUUCAAUUCCUAUAAACAAACCCAAAAAAAAUCCAAAAAAUAAUAGUUGGCCCUAUUGAAUUUAAUUUUGAUUAUUAAAUUACUUUGAUACCCUAUUGAGUGUUUUGAGAUUUUUUUAUGAGAUUUUGGAGUUGAGUUUGUUUUAAGAAAUCAAUGGCAAUUUUGUAAUUUAAAAAAAGUUAAAAGGCUUUUUGUUAUGUUGUAAAUAGGUUUCGAGUGUGUUUCUAAAGUCCAUUUCAUAUAGGUUUUUUUAUAUAUAAUAAUUUGAGCUCCUAUAUUGGGUAUAAUAGUGAAUCUCCAUUUAUUAACUUUUGAGUCUUUAAUAGUGUAGAUGAUGAGAUUAAUAUUCAACCAUUUUAUAAUAUGAAAUUAAGGACAAUCAUGAUUGUAAUGAAUGGAUUAUUAAUCAAUAUGAAAUGAUAUUAUGAAGUAGGCUAAAUCGAGUAGUUAGUAUCGUAUUAACUUAUUAACCGAUUAGCGCUUGAGCCCCCUAAUUCAAAUUAUUUUAUAAAAUUUUGUGAAGGGCCCCUUCUAAUGCAAAUUCCUGGCUGCGCCACUGCCUAUAGCAACUUGGUAAUGUGUGUGAAACACCCCCUCCUUUUGUCGUUUAGACUAUCGGUUCGCUUGUAUUAAUAAAAUAAAAAAUAAAAUAAAAGAUAAAAUUAUAAAUAAAACAAAACACAUAUUAAAGCCUAACUGUUAAUAAUGGAUCCAACAUAAGAUCCAGCCCAAGCCCAUGAAUAAAGCCCCCGAAAACGGUUGGACCCAAUUUUAAACACGUUAAUGCGUUAUAGGUUUUUUCCCGGCAAACCGUUGGUCUCUCCACCUUCAGCUUUACACGAGCGGCAUAGUCUCUUUCGUCAUUUUCUGUACCCAAUAGAAGUGUAGGCAAGCUUUUGAUCUUGGCUCUCCUGUGCUUGCAUCUUACCUGUUUUAUUGCCGAGUAAGCCGUCUCAAAUGGUUGGUCGUUCAGUUCAUAUUUGAAAGCAACAAAUUGCACGCCAUGUGUUCGAUGUAUUGUCUUACCGAAUUCAAUGCCCUUUUACUAUUGCAGUUUUAACUUCGGAGCGUCAACUUGAAGGGUUAUUUGAGGUUUUUUUUUUCCGAGGUCACAAUGGCCUGUAGACAUGUAGACAGGUUAAUACAUGGUGCAAGGCAUCUAAUGGCUAAGCGAAAGGGAGCUGUCCAUUUGAAUGGGAUGCUACAUCAUUGCUCAGAGGAGUCUCAUGGAGAGCCUAUGCCCCGAGAAUGGUAUCAAAAGGAAUUCCCCAAGUUAACAAAACUAUCCCAAUUGUUAAAAAAUGUCGAUUUGGUUGAUGGAAGGCUUGUUAACAUCAGUGAUGGUUCAAUUAUCAUGGAUGACCGUAUUGAACACAGAAUGCUUACUUUCAAGUCACUUGCCAGGGAAUUUAUUGGUUCUCCAUUAGUUCAGCAAACGUUAAAGAAUGAUGUCGUGGCGUUGUCAGGUGGUAGAAUCUGUAAUCAAUUUGUGUGUUUCAGUAAACCAAAUGAAAGAGAGCCCAUGGUUGUAAAAACACUCUCCGUAGUAAGUGGCUUUCUGAACAUCACUGCUCAACAAAGACAGUCAGUACGUGUUACAUUAUCUCCACAGAUUACACAGCACCGCAUAUGGACUGGGACGCUUGAGGAGGUACUGAAUGGAUUGAAAUCUGAGUUGGAAUAUUUAGAUCAUCGGUGCCCAAGCAAAGGGACGAAGAUGGGACAGCAGAUAGUUGCUAGCUGUCUGAAGUUCUUGGCUGACACAUCCACAUCCAUUUCAUAUGAACAUGAUUGCUCUUCAUGGACGCGCCUAUCGCCUGCAAAAGUUACAGACUCUUCUGGUUUGCAAAAAUGGGAAGAUGUUCUCGAGAUGUUCAACGACCUCAUUGAUUGUUUGAAAAAUGAAAGGGAGUUACUUCUUUACGUAGCGAAGCUUAAGGUCUUGAAAGAGGGGCUGUCUCAGAUCAAGGAUGUGUUGACUGAUAGAAAUAUAGGACACAAGGAAGUUCGGCAUCAAGAAAGCCUAGUGCAGAAGAAGCUGACAAAGACAUUGGGUCAUUCGUCCAAGUGCCUGUUCACACUUAUGUUAUAUUACCUCUUUGGGCAUGUUAGAGAUAUUGAAGUGGACGUACGUGGCGGCAUUUAUAGCAGCGGUAGUGAGAACGAUUUCUGCUUGUGCAUGGGAAGGAUUGUGACUUCAGAUGAGGAGGAGAUGGUUUGGAGCGGGGUGAGGCAGUUGGACAGGGCUCUUGGACUUUUCAAGUUUGUAUGGGAAACAGCAGGGAUGAAAGGAGCUUUACAACUGCAAGGGCAUAUAUGGUGCGUAGGGGCUGAAGGCAGAACACUUACAUAUAGAGGAAACACAUUUUUCGUCCAUGGGAUUCAUGUUUGACGAACACUUGUCUUAGAAUAUGAGUUCAACUGCAAGGGCAUAUAUGGUGCACGGGUUUUCUAUUUUAUUUGCAGCUUCAUCAAUUCCUUCCAUUUUCCUCCUGAUCAUCAUGCGCGGUGAUUCAAAUAUUUCAUAAUGAACAUUGAAAUGAGAUGCUACAAGCAAACUUAUGAAAAGAAACAGAAUAUACCAAAAAGACAAAUCAAUGUAGAUGGUUUAGAAAAUCUAAACAUUGCAAUUAUACUCCUUUGCCCAACUUCUAGGAGCAAACGUACACAAAGACCUUAUUGCUUCCAACUUUUCCAACAGAAUUUCGUAUGAAUUGCUCCAAGUGAAAUCCGUAUGAAAAAUCGGUAGUUGGAUUUUCAUCCUUUAAUAAGAUUAUUUAACUACUAACAAAAAAAAUCUUAUUACUUGAGCAAGUAAAAUACCAUUCCAGGUUUCUCCUAGUUCUAUAUGCGCUUAUAAUUGGUAUACUCUAUAAAUACCAUAAUCUGAAUUUCUCUGUUUUGAUUACUUUAAUUUAUUACUUAUGUUUUAAUUAUUGUUUACUUAGUGAAUUAUUAGUAUUUAAGAGAAGGCCCUCCAUCGAUUAGGCACCACGUGUCUAUAAUAAGUAAAGCCGUCCGGCUAUACUUAAAAAAAAAAAAUCGUAGUAUAGCCGACCGGCUAUACUAUUUAAUACAAAGGUAUAGCCGCGCGGCUAUACUAUUUAAUAAAAUAAAAAACAAAAGAAAAAGAAAAAUGACCCUCCUAUUUGCAUUAGUUUGCACUUUAUAGAUAUUAAUUUGCUAGUUUCAAGAUAUCCAAAGUAGAUAUUAGACUUUCACUAUAUAAUAUUUCAAUAUAUUUUUUUUUAUAACAUGUGUUGUUCUUAUUCAAUAAUAUGUUGAGAAUUAUUUGUAUAAUACGUGAAUUUUGUGUGUCUUACUGAAUUUUUCUAAAUACGUGUAUUAAACGUUACAAAUACAUACACAUAUGUACAACACGACUAUUGUACGUUUGCUUUAUAAAAAAAAAAGUGAGAUGUGUAUAGAAACAAAUGUAUUAUCAAAAAAUAUAUAUGUGUAUAUAUAUGUAAAAGCCUAUAGCCUCUCACCUAUACUAUUUAUUAAAGACAAUUUAAAAAUUACAACAACAAAAAAACCAGUACAACCACAACGCUAUACUAUUUUUUUAAAAAAUAGAAAAAAUAUCAAGUACUGCACAGCGCAAAGGCCCAGUGUAAAAUAGUAUAGCCAUACGACUAUACGUUUUUAAGAAGAAUUUAAAAAACUGAGUAUAGCCCACUGGCUAUACUAAUUUUUAAUAUAAAAAAAGGACCAUCCAUUAGGCGCCACGUGUCAACAGAAGUUUAUUUUUUAAAAAAAAAUUAAAAAACACGGAGUAUAGCCGGGCGGCUGUACUAUUUUUUAUUUUAAAAAGAAGACAGUCCAUCGAUUAGGGGCCACGUGUCAAUAAUAAGUACGGCCGCUCGGCUCUACUAUUUUUUGACUAAUUUUUUUUAGAAAAAUCGUACUAUAGCCGCCCGGCUAUACUAUUUAAAUACAUUAUAUUUAAAAGGUAUAGCCGCACGGCUAUGUGUUGGAUAUUUUGAAACUAGCAAAUUAAUAUCAAUAGCCGGUCGUAACCUAUGCUGUCCACGUCACUCAUGUUUUACCAGCGUUAAAGUAUCCACAAUGAGCUCCCUAAACCAUCUCUUUAGACAAAUUUUAGGGAGGAAUUGGAAAAGUAUAACUCCAACCAUGCUCCCAAUCCACCAACUAAAAUAGGGAGACCUCUUGGAGCUCCUAAAUCUGAGGAGAAGGAAAGGACUCUUAGUGACUCCCUAUAAUUUAAUGUUGCUUUGUUUUAUGCAUAUUUUAAACUUUUUAUUAAAUCAAAUUAUUUUUUUAUAUUAUUUUGUAUACAGAUGGACCAAUUAUAUUAAAUAAAAAAUAAUUAAAGUAUUUAUGACUCUCUAAACUAGGGAGUAUGAUUAGAGUUCAAAUUUUAUAAAAAGCUCUUAAAAUAGCUUUUAUGUGUUUUUAGCUAAAUUUUAACUAAAAAAUAGGGAGCAUGAUUGUAGAUCAUCUUAUAUACCUUAAUUUGAAGAUUCUUUAUUUGGGUUUCUUUCGAGACAAAAACCAUAUCCACAAUUAGCAGACAUCUUUGGCUGUUCUUCACAAUUGAGGGACAAUGAAGAAGACAUAAGGGAGAGGCUGCCAAAUACUUAUCACCUUAGCCACCACCAACACCACAAGACCAAUAUGUGUAGGCCAGGAGGCUCUCCAAUUUUAACAUAUAUAUUAUAAAAUAAAGAUUAUUGCUCCAUCCUCCAUGCACUUGCAUGCCCUCUUACAAAGUGUGAAGUAGAUUUUGUAUGCUUAAAGUCAUUGACUAGAGCUGAAACAUGGUUAGCUGGAUUUAUAAGAUCUUUUGUUUUCUGGGAAUUUUCAGAAUCAAGGAAAAUCAAGUAAAAUUAAUAAAGCAUAAUGGAAAGGGAAAAGAUCUAGAGGAUGCAUUGUAGGAUUGCUCAUGCCAAUAAUUGUACCCUCUAAAUAUAUAGGGACAUAUAUUUUUUUUGUUUUCAUGACACGUCGUCCUAAAAUUUUGGCUCCUAGCGGGCUCUCCACCCCUUCUCGAUUGAAAACCCAUUGUGUUAAUCUUCAAUCCUGAACGAUGCAUCUAAAACUCAAGUGUCCCAGGCCAAUUAUUGCUCUCAUACCACUUGUUGCAAUGCACAUCCACCCAUUCUUAGGGAAAGAUACCCAUCGAUAUUAUCUCAAAUUUAACCACUUUAGUCCAUUAUGAUUAACUAUGUAUUUUAUGGACGAAUCCAGUUGUGAGGUUUUAUACCCAAUUAGAUCGACCAAUACAGAGGUCACAGGUGGACUAAAAAGCUCCAUCGGUAGGGGAGUGUUUGACACCCUUUACUGCCGAGCGCAACACAAGACCCCUUACAGGAACUUGCCUGCUAGGACACAUGGAGCCACCACAACUAAUAUCAACAGUCCCACAUCGAAGUUUAACAUAACAUGCACACUCCCAAGACUUAUAAAGUGGGCACAAGUCCCAAAAAUAGGGGAACUUGGACUUUCGGCAAUUCAGCCAUUACUCUGUCCAGAUUACUAUACACUUCGUACUUAUUUUUACUUGAGCAUUGGAGAGCCUUCGGCUGGUACCACACCGGUGCCCAAGGGCUUACCGAGCAUUCUCUAUCUUGCAAAUUGAUAGCUCUACCAAAGCCCAGAAAGAGCUGAAGGUCAAUACAUCACUAAGUUGAGCCCAAAAGUGCUAAACCGCAUCAAAAAUAUAUAUAGAUUGAAAAAAUAAAAUAAAAAUCAAUCUAUUAUCAUAGGGUUAAUCUUUUUAUUAGUCCCCUAACUUUGACCAAAUUUGCAUUUGAGUACCUCAAUUUCCAAAAUGGUACCCACAGUCCCGCAACUUAAGUUUCGUUUGGAUUACUAGUCCCAUCGUUACUUUUGUCAAUUUUUUCGUUACAUUUAGGGGUAGAAGGGUCUUUGCAUGUUGGUUUUGAGGGACAAAAAAGACUUUUACUCUUUUAGAAUCUCUGAUACGAGUAUAAUGGACCAGAGUACGAACCAAAGAAGAACGAAAAAGCAGAAGAAGGGUGAAAAGACGAAGCUUUCAUACGAAAAGGUUUCUGCAGAAGCUUUCAGACAAAAGCAAAAAAGUUGAAGAGUUUGAGUUGAUUUUGUUUGGGUCAUUGUGUAUUUAGGUCGUCUGGGUCGAUACAUGUUGGUUAUCUCAUUGUGGAGUCAAUAGGUGUUGUCGACAACUUUGAUAGAGUUUGAAUUCAAGACUUCUGGAGACCUCCCUCCCCUCCAUAUACAGUAUGCGAUGCUAAUGGAAGUACUAGAAAUGCUUUUUUUAUAUGUUAAUUGAUUUUUGUUGUUUUGGAAUUCUGUCUGUGUCUGCUCGAAUUGUGCAGCAAUUAAGGGUUUUAUUUUUGUCUCUCUUUUGGGCAAAUAAAAAACUGUUUUCUUUUGUCUUUAUGUCAACAUUGAACGCAUACCUUUUGUUUUGUUCAAACAUUGAGUGCAUACUUGGUCCUACUAUCCUUGGUUGAAUUUAAGGGUUUGUGGUCCUAUUGGUUUGAUAUAUGUGAAUUGAUUGCACAGUUGCACACACUAGUACAUUUGGUGGUCCUACUGGUAGAGAUUUGUGGUCCUACUGGUAGGGUUUAGUUUGAUUUGUCUUUAUUCAGGUGAGUAGAGAUUUUAGAAAUUGGUGUUGAAUUUACUGAAUUGAGAUUAUUGCUUCAUUUGCAGAUAAGGGUGAGUUCUGCAGUUUCAAAAUUCACCAUGGGGGUGUUGUAUAAGAUGAGGUGUAUAAGGGGGGGGGGGGGGGGGGGGCAUUUGCUUAUUUGGACAACGUGUGGAUAAUUAUCUAUCACUCUUGGAUUUAAGGAAAAUAGGUAUAGCGUUAGGAUAUGAAGUGGACCUUACUAAGAAGGAGAUAGGUUUGCAAAUAUAUUGUAAGAUGUAUGACAGUAAUGGUGAAGCUAUUGUAAAGUUCAUUGACAAUGACAAUGUUACAUGUGAGAUGGUUGGCUGCAUAACAAGUAACAAAGUGUUAGUGUUAUACUAUAUUGACAAAAAAACAAGUGAAAAGACAUGGACUCAAAAAUCUGUGGAAUGGCCUAGUUUGCAGAGUGAAGAAUACAACUAUGCGAGAUUUAAUGAAGACCACAUGAAGGAGGUUAAUGAGCCUUUAGAUACUGAUGAGCAUGUUGUUUCGCUUGGAGAUUGUGAAGCUGCAGUUGAUGAAGAAGAAGAAGAAGGGUCAGAGUUUGUGGAUAGUGAUUAUGAGUUUAGUGAAGAUGAGGAGGCAAACAAAGGUUGUAAUGUAGACAUCAAUAUGCCUUGUGAUGAAGAAGUGAAUGUUGAGACUGAAACACAAGGGCCAGGAGAGAUUUCUGAUGAUGGGGCAGAUUCUGAUACUUUAUAUUCUGAUGGGAACACCUCAGAUGAUGAGAAUACUAGUCGACAUGUGACAAAAAAGCAGAGGAUUAGCCUACCAAAGUUCAAGCAAUAUAGGAGAGCUACUGACCUUAAAAAUCUAGAGUUUUAUUUGGGGAUGCAAUUUGUAAAUCGGGAGCACUUGAAAGAAGCAAUAAAGGAGUAUGCCAUUGUAAACGGAAAGCUGCUGAAAUUUGAUAAAAAUGACAAGAGGAGGGUGAAGGUCAUGUGUCGUGGAUCUAGAAAUUGUGCAUUUGUUCUUUAUGCAUCUAGGAUUGAUAAAGAGGAAUCCACUUUUGUAGUAAAGGCUAUACAUGCUGAACAUACAUGUGGCAGAGUAGACAGGUUGAGAUAUGCUAAUUCAACAUGGAUUUCAAAAAGAUUUUGUGAUAAGAUGAGAAGAAAUCCUAAUUGGAAUGUGGGGCAACUUUAAGGUAAGGUGAGGGAACACUAUGCAAUGAAUGUUACACAGAACCAAGUGUAUAGGGCAAAAAAAUUGGCUAAGAAGGUCAUUCAAGGUUUGUACAAGGAACAAUAAGAGAGAUUAAGGGAUUUUGCAGAGCAAAUUAAGAAGACCAACCCUGGAAGUACUGUGGUAAUUAAAACUGAACUAGCAGGUGAUGAUGCAUUGUUUGAAUGGAUUUAUAUUUGUUUAGCUGGUUUUAAAAAGGGUUUCGUAGAAGGCUGUAGGCCUGUCGUAGGGGUUGAUGGGUGCCACUUAAAAGGACCCUGCUCAGGGCAGAUCUUAACUGCAGUUGGUGUUGAUGGGAACAACGGUAUGUUCCCAUUGGCCUAUGCUGUAGUUGAAAUAGAAAGCAAAAGUAGUUGGAUAUGGUUUCUAGAACUCUUAAUUGCAGACUUGGGGAUCCAAAAUGGUUUGGCAUGGGUGUUUAUAAGUGAUAAACAGAAUGGGCUAAUUCCUGCUAUGCAAACAGUUUUACCAAAUACUGAACACAGAAUGUGCGUGAGACAUUUGUAUAACAACUUCAGAGGCCAGCACACAGGACUUGCUCUUAAACAUUUGCUAUGUGCUGCUGCAAAGGCAACCACAUUGCCUUGGUGGGAACCAGAGAUGGAUAAUCUGAAAAAGGAGGAUGCAGAUGCUUGGAGGUGGUUAAUUGAGAAGCCUGCGAAACAUUGGUCAAGAUCUCAUUUUGCAACACACUAUAAGUGUGAUUUGUUGUUAAAUAACCUAUGUGAAAGCUUCAAUGCAACCAUUAUUAAUGCAAGGGAUAAGCCAAUCCUAACAUGCCUUGAGAGAAUAAAGAUGUAUAUUAUGAUUAGGAUGGCUAAUAGAAGGGCUUCUUGUCAACAUUGGAGGUAUACUGUUGGUCCUAGAAUCUUCAACAUAAUAGAGAAAAAUAAGUUGGCAUCAAGUCAAUGCAUACCAAGGUUGGCUGGGGAGAAGAAAUAUCAAAUAAGUCAUAUGUAUGAGGGAGAAUUUGCUGUAGAUCUAAGAGCAAAGACUUGCUCUUGCAGAAGAUGGGACUUAUGUGGGAUUCCUUGCCCACAUGCAAUUUCUGCUAUUUUCCAAAGAAGUGAAGACAUAGAGGAUUAUGUGGAUAAAUUGUACAAGAAAGAGGCUUACUUAAAAACAUAUGGUCCUAUCAUUAGACAUGUUCCUUUCAUUGACCAAUGGCCAAGGAGUUGUUUACUUGUAAUUAAGCCUCCCAACUUCAGAAUCCAACCUGGAAGGCCAAGGAAGGUGAGGACACAAGAACCAGGGAAGGUGGAAAUACCAGCUCCAGUACCUUCAAAUCCAAAACCACCGAACUGGAAACCACAACCUGCAAGGCUCCAGCUCUCCAAGGGCAAGCCGAAGCUCUAGCUCCCCAAGCUUAGGCUCCAGCUCCUCAAGCCUAAACUCCAGCUCCCCAAGCCCAAGCUCCAACUCCCCAAGCCCAAACUCAUGCUCUCCAAGCCAGGCCCAACUAGUAAGUGAUAUUGAACCAAGUCUGAUUUGUCAUUCAAUAACCUCAAUGUUUAUAACUGAAACUGAAACUUUGCUUAUAGGUGGCAGCAACCAGGGAUUGUAGAGGUAGAGGGAGAAUGAGAGGCUUAGGAAGAUCAUCAUCUCAACCUUAAGCCCAAGCUCAAGUCCAAGUCCACGCCCAAGUCCAAGCCCAAGGCCAAACUGAAGUCUUUUCUGCAAAUAUCCAAGCAAGGGCAGUAAUUGGACCAAAUCAAAUGGUCUAACAUGUAAGUGAUAUUUGAAGAUGGUUUGAUAUUCACAUGUUCUUAUGUCAUUUGUAUAACAUCAAUCACAUAUGUGAACAUUUGCUUGUAGGUGACAGCAACUAGGGGUGUACAAGUAGAGGGAGCAUGAAAGGCUUAGGAAGAUCAUCAUCUCAACCUCAACCUCAUGCAUUACCUCCAAAUAUCCAAGAAAGUGCACUAAUUGGACCAAAUCAAAUGGCCCAACUUGUAAGUCAUAGUUGAAUAUGGUUUCAUACUCACAUUUUCUUAUGUCAUUUGAAUAACCUCAAUCACUUCUGUCAAUGUUUGCUUAUAGGUUGCAUCAACUAGAGGUGGUAGAGGGAGAGGGAGAAUGAGAGGCUUUGGAAGAUCAUCAUCUCAACCAGUAAGCAAAGGCUCUAUCACUAGAACAACCAAUGGUGCAUCAUCUUCACAGCCACCAAGAUGAAUAGUGUUUUGUAACGGUUUUGGGGAUACCUUUUGGGACUUAAACUAUGUUGUGACUGCUAUUUUAGGGAUACCUUUUGAUAUUUGAACAUGGCUAUUUUGAUAAUUAAGUGUCUUUUGUACUCUGUUUGAGUAACAAGUUAUCAUUUUGGAACAUGUGGUGGAUCUGGGCAUGUAUUAAACAUGUCAUAUGAUUGCACUUUCCCAAAAAAGGCUCUAUCUGUGAACAUUUGAAUUUGUAAUGAAUGUAAGUUUCACUCUUCUGCUUAUGUGAAAGGUUGCUCUACUAUUUCAUGUGCAUUUGUAUGCCUUAAUUUGAACAAGUCUUGUAUGCAGAUUGAGGUCAAUGAAUCUGGAAUUACAACAUUGCAAAUAACCAAAGUUUUCAAAAUCCAUAAGCCUUUUGCAUAACUAAUAACAUUACAAGAUUGCAUAACUAAUUUCGGGAAUUACAUUAGCUCCAAAAUGGGUUUCACUGCCCUUACUCCCAUACAUUUUCCAGACAUGUUUGACACCAUGAUCAUCACCAUCACAAUGGCCACAAAUAAAACACAAGCACCCAUACUCAUCCUACAUUCUCUUUGUCGAUGCCUCAUCAUAUUGUCUUCCAGCAAAAGUCUAAGCCUUCUGUUGUCUCUGAUUGCAUAAUCCAACUCCUUAUUUUUUUCAAUUAUGCCCUCCAUUUCCAAGUUUCAAGCUUCUAAGGAUUGAAGUGUGUUGACCACAACAUUUUUUCUCUCUUCUGUCUCCCUCAUUUCAGUCUCCAUCAUUCUUAUUCUUCUAAGCAGACCAGGCACCACAUUCUUCCCUCUUGUACAUGUCUCCUUGUCCAACCACCUAAAAUAAUGCUCUCCAACUCUGUUUUUCUACUUCAUUAUUAUCAAAUUCUUCAUCACAACAAAAUCUGAACAUAAUACCAAUUUUGUGCAUAAACCCAAAAAUCUAAAAUUGUUUACCUGGUUGUUGUCACAAGCCUCAAAGCGUCUUCCUGGAUUCAUGUCCGUCCAUGAAGUCCUUAAUUUGAUCAAACUCCCACAAUGACAAUACUUCACUGAUUUGGGGCUUUGGUUAGAUUCCAUUGAUGAUGUUUGAGACAUAUCACUUGCCAUCCUUUGAACUAAUUUGCUCUCCAAGCUUCCAAACUUGACGAUUCCAACUUUUACUCAGCCAAUAUGCGAGCUGCAGAAGCGGAUUGCAACUUUUAGUUCUUUAGGUUUUCAACGGCAGACUGUCGAAGGUCUAUUUCAGAGGGAAGGCAAGUUGUAGAAGGGGGAUAAUAAACCAACCUGAAAAGACCCAUCUAUCCCUAAAUGUAACGAAAAAAUUGACAGAAGCAACGGCGGGACUAGUAAUCCAAACAAAACUUAAGUUGUGGAACCGUGGGUACAAUUUUGGAAAUUGAGGUACACAAAUGCAAAUUCGGUCAAAGUUGGGGGACUAAUAAAACGAUUAACCCAUUAUGAUAUAUAUUAUAUAAAAUAAAUAUUGGGUAAAUUACUCAAAUGGUCCUCAAACUUAUACUCGAUUUACAUUUUGGUCCCUCAAUUAUUAUUUGUUCAAAUGGUCCAUCAACUCUAUAUUAUUCUCUCCAUUGGUCCUACCGUUAUAUUUUGUCAAUAUUUCUGUUAAAUGUGAGGGCAAAUUGGUCAUUAUAUAACUAAAAUUAGGGUAAAUCUAACAGAAAAUUAGACGGUAGGAAUUCGGGGCGGUUCAUGUCAAAAAGCUAAUCAGAGGGGCGAAAUUGACAAAUAAAUUUAAUACAAUGGCUAAAUUGGUUGAAAGAUUAAUUCAAGAUGUAGAUUUCAACAAGUGUGAUAAUUCAUGGGGGUAUUCGGUAAUUUACUCCUUUUUUCCCCCUUGAUCUUCCGUAUUCAAGUAAUGGAAAUGUGUUCCACAUUUUCCAUUUAGUUGAUUAUAGAAAAGGAAGAGCAAACAUGAGUUAAGCCCAAGGCACUGAACUUAGGGUCAGUUUGGCAUUGCUGUGCUGUGAAAAUAAUCGUUGUCAGAUUUGCUAUGAGAGAAAAUAGUUUGGCGUUUGGUAAAAUUUUUGUUAAAAGUAUUAUUAGUAUUUAUUUUACACAUAAUCAGAAAAUAAUUGCCGCAUAAUCAUUAAAUUCAGCGCCUCUUCGAAACUGAUUCUUGCAUAAUCAGAAAAUGAAAGCACAUCAUUAGCUGCUUUCCUUUAUAACUUUCUCUCACAGCAAUUUUUAACAAUAGGUGAUUUUCUCACAGUUUACCAAAUGGGUUGGGCUUCUCAAAAUUAAAAAAAAAACACUUAUCACCCCAAAUAAACAAUGCCAAACGGGCACUUAGACUUCUCACCAAGUGAGGAAGAAAAAUAUGACAAAUUGAUAUAUUUAAUACAAGCUCAAACUGUGCACAAAUUAAUAUAUGCAAUGGAAGCCCAAGAUUAUUUCUGAAGCACAUAAUUUCUGCAAAAUCUACAAAGUGGUGGGAGGCAGACCAACAAAAAAAAGUAGCGAAGGCUUAUAACUCUGGUAAAACAAGAGUGACAACUGAAGAUUUUUGGGUUUCUUUAAUUGGUUAAGUUUAUAUACCUUCAUUUGAAGAUUCUUUAUUUGGGUUGCUUUCAAGAUGAAAACCAUAUCCACAACCACAACCACAACUGGCAGACAAUCUUUGGCUGUUCAUCACAAUUGGGCGACAAUGAAGAAGACAGAAAUUGGAGUAAUGUAUGUUACCAGCAAUCCACGAGAAACUGACGUCUGCAAGCUUUCGUAAUAUAAGGAGGAUGGGGAGGUUGUGCAAUACUUAUCACCUUAGCCACCACCUACACCACAAGACCAAUAUGUUGUAGGCCAGGAGGCUUUCCAAUUUUAAUAUAUAUAAAAGUAACGUAAAAAAGAAAUUAAUGUAGGGUAAAGUAGAAUAGAAAAGAGAAUAAACAAAAUUAAUAAAAAAAAAUUUUAAAAAGUAAAAGGGAGUGUAAAUGGAGAAAAGAGGAAUGGGGAAAUCAGCUCCCUAUAUAUAUAUAUAUAUACAUGGAUUGAAAAAUUAAAAUUAAAAUAAAUCUAUUAUCUUAUAUAUUAUAAAAUAAAGAUUAUUGCUCCAAGGAAAUGAGAUCUUUUGUUUUCUGGGAAUUUUCUGAACCAAGAAAUAUCAAGUAAAAUUAAUAAAGCAUAAAUUGGAAAGGGAAAAGAUCCAGAGGAUGCAUUGUAAGAUUGCUGAUGCCAAUAAUUGUACUCUCUAAUUAUACAUGGACGGGCAUUCAAAUCGGCAAAUCGGAAAUUCGAGCCGAACCACAAAAAAAAAAACCGAGUUGACCAAAAAGUCAAAAACCAAUCAAAAACCAAACCGAAUCGGUUUGGACUGGUUUUGGAUCCAGUUCUAUGUCUUCAAAAACUGAACCAGGCGGAACCGAACCAAUCAAAUUUAAAAAUAUAUAAUUUCAAUAUUUAUUUAUAUUCAAUGCUAUAUUUUUAAUCUCAUAACUAAUAUUUAUACAAGUUCAAUUUCAAAACAUCUAUCUUUUCUAGCUUUAAUAUUUAUUUUUAUAUGAAAUUAAAUAAUUUAUUAAUUUUCAAGUCAAAAAAAUAAAAUUUUAGUUGAAAUUUGUAUUAAAAAAUUAAUUUUAAUAAUCCAGUUCAAAACCAAAUCGGACCGGAACCUAAUCGAAACUGGUUCAACCUGAACCAGACAGUUUUUGAAUUUUUUUUGUUAAAACUGAACCGAACCAAACUGGAUAAAUAGUAUCGGACUUUGUUCUAAUUUGAGACAAAAACCGGUCCAAACCGGACCGUGCCCACCCUACAUGGACAUAUUUUUUUUGUUUUCAAGUCUUAGAUGACAUGUCGACCUAAAAUUAUCGUUCCUAGCGGCUCUCCACCCCCACUCAACCUAUUGUGUAUUAUUAUUUUCAAUAUUAUCUCAAAUUUAACUACUUAUGUCCAUUAUGAUUAGUCAUCUAUUUUAUGGACCAUCCAGCUGUGAGGUUUUAUCUCAAAAACCUUCAGUAACUUUUUCCCGCUUGCAACAAUUGUAUUUGAUUCAGAAUUAUGUCCUAUAUUGGUGGGUGGAGUGUUACUUCUGGGUACCCCUCAUCAUUCGUCUAUAAAAUGGUGAAGCCAGUUGCUACUGUUACCAUAAGAUCCAGCUCCGACUUUCUUUAAUUUCUUGCUUCAUAUCCACUAGCUACAUCUGUUGCCGAGUUAAUUUCAGUCCUAAUGGGGUUUCAUCUCCCACUCAUCUUUGCUAUUCUCAUUGUAAGCUCUGCAAUUUGAUUAACUUUUCCAUUCUCUCUCAUUGUACUUUAUAUAAUCCUCUCCGAAAGUGUCGUCCACUAAUUAAUUACACUUUGUGAUUUUAUUUUAAUUAGAGUUCAAAUUAAUGUUGCAGCUAGCAGCGGUGGCACUGGCAAUCCAUGCUGCGCAACCAGCACCUCAACUUUACUGGAACUCCGUCCUGCCAAACACACAGAUGCCAAGAUCUAUCAGUGAACUUCUGCAUCCUGGUUUGUGUUAAGCCAUUUAGAAUCUUAGAUAUUUUUUCUACCUGCCAUUUUACUGAAAUGUGUUCCGACCACAUAUUUAUCGGUUAACUACUGUUUUCCAAUUUAUUAUUAACCUCGACAAAAGUUAUUACAUGAGUAAUUAUAGUAUGGUACUAGAGUACGUACGGCUAAAAGACUUACGGAAAUGUGUUCCGACCACAUAAAAGACUUACGGAAGGCUGGUGAGUUCUCCAAGUUUUCUAAACGCAGUGCCUGUUGGAAGAACCUGUAAGAGAGUUCAAUUAUUGAAGGCUCCCCAGUCUGAGCACCUGUGAGAUUGUAAAGAUCCUCGAGAAUGAAAAAUGGCAGCUGAUUUUCGAGCAUAAGCAUGUCAGGCAAUAUAUUUUGUUGCACCCAUGGUUUUUUAAAUAUCCAAGCAUUAUCAUCCGGCAAUUUUUCUUCCUGAAAUUUUUCUUCGGAUUUAUUCCUCAACAAUAGCUCAAUGACAAAGGCGGCAUCAACUAGAAAGAUAUUCACAAAAGCGGCAAUGUUAAACUUCUUAGUGUCUUCAUAAUAAUGACGGAGUUCAACUUCUCUCUCCUUUAGGUACCUGAGUUUGUGAUCUUCCAUGGCUUCUAAGUUUUUGCUGCCAUGGUGAAGUGGGCCUAUUGAGACUACUUGUGGUGUGUAGGCCUUUUGUUUUACGUUCCGUAGUCGCUCAGGCACCCUGUAGAUAUUGCAGGCAGGGGACAGGGCACGCAAGUUUGUCAACUGAUUUUCCAUGGAAGUUGCUUGGUUUUCUAUGUCAAAAGAAGCUUCAUUGCUGCUUUCUUCCACUUUCUUCCUCCGCAUUAUGUGUUGUUCUGAUUGUAAGUGACGAGGAUGGUGAUGAUUCUAGACACCAUAAUCAACAAAUGUUUCAAUCAUAAUUGACAUUUCAAGAUGCUUCCGACAAAAAAUUAGAAAACAUUCAUCACAAAAUGCGAACUCAUACAAUAGAUGGGUUGAGAAGAUCCACACAUUGCAAUCAUACAAUCCAAUUGCACAGGGAUUACUCCCUAUUCUCCUCUCUCUCUAAAAAAGAUUUUCAUAUCGAUAACAUCUUAUUACAAGGGAUUUGUAUAUCAAGUGGUGAUGAACAGAAAUUCAUAUUCUUUCAAUCAAAAUAUACAAAUUUCGAAAAAGUUUGUUUGUUUUAUUUUUGGAGGAAAAAAAUCUGAGCAUAUAUAGAUGCAUAUUAUACGUAGACCUAAGGUGAAAACAUACCAGAUUUUUACUCCAUUUUUCAUGAGGUUUAAGUUCUUGAUGUAUAUAUUUAUCUCAAGUGUAACAUCCCACAUUGAUCAACGGAGAGGGGGUGAUGUGCCUUAUAUGUACAUGCCAGCCUCCAUCUAGCACGAGGCUUUUUGGGAGCUCAUUGGCUUCGGAGUCAUAGGAACUUCGAAGUUAAGCGAGUUGGAGCUAGAGCAAUCCCAGGAUGGGUAACUCAUUGGGAAGUUGCUUGUAAGUUCCCAGAAAUAAAACCGUGAGGGCAGAUAGGGGGCCCAAAGCGACCAAUAUCGUGCUACGGCGGAACCGAUUCUGGGAUGUGACAAUUUGGUAUCAGAGCCACUCUGCCGUGUGGUGCGAGUGUGCCGACGAGGAUGUCGAACCCUUGAAGGGGGUGGAUUGUAAUAUCCCACAUUGACCAACGAAGAAUGGGUGAUGUGCCUUAUAUGUACAUGCCUGCCUACAUCUAGCACGAGGCCUUUUGACAGCUCACUGGCUUCAGAGUCAUAGGAACUCCGAAGUUAAGUGAGUUGGUGCUAGAGCAAUCCUAGGAUGGAUGACGUGACAUCAAGAAUUUAUAUCCUCCCUUUUAGAUCUCAUGUUCCAGUCAAAACAUAUAGAAACAAACGAAACAUAAGAAACUAAAAUCUUGUUUAUACCCAUCCUCCCACCCACCCACGGCCAUCCACCCCUACUGAAAGGACCCGCCCCCAAUUUUCUCAAAACCCGAGACGAACCCUUUGGAAUUCCUGACAUCACCCCGAUGCCAGGCCCACUUACUAAAAACUGAGACUUCCUGCCGAAAUUUCGGCAGAGUCUCCCCUAUAAAUUGGACAUUUCCCAAAAUUUCAACCUGCAUAAAAACGCAUUUAAUAUUCCCAACUGGCAGCAUGCACAAUAUAAUUUCAUGCAAUUCACACAAAUGGCCUUCGGCCUUUCAAUAAUUCCUAUCCAACUACCAAACCAUUCAAAUACAAAUUAUGACUAAUAUUUAGUCUGCGGCUGCACCUAAUAACCUUAGGCUGCCUACGUACCCUCCUUGAGGGAUCAAGCCACACGUAGUUCUUCCCUAAAACCCAAUUCCACACUUGGGCGAUACCUUAUUUCAUUUCUCUGGAUUUCAUAUAAUCUCCCCAUACGCCGGUACAACCAACGCCACGUAUGGGGCCUGUCAACACGCCGGAUAACCUACGCCACGUGCGACCAUGCCAUACUAUCAUAAUAUCUCCCCAUACGCCGGUACAACCAACGCCACGUAUGGGGCCUAUCCCAACGCCGGAUAACCUACGCCACGCGGGACCUCAAUAUUCAUAUCACAAAUCUCCCCAUACGCCGGUACAACCAACGCCACGUAUGGGGUCUGUCGACACGCCGGAUAACCUACGCCACGUGCGACCUCAACACAAUAUCACAAUAUCUCCCCAUACGCCGGUACAACCAACGCCACAUAUGGGGUCUGUCUCAACGCCGGAUAACCUACGCCACGUGAGACCUGAACAUCAUAUUACAAAUCUCCUCAUACGCCGGUACCACCAACGCCACGUAUGGGGCCUGUCCCAACGCCGGAUAACCUACGCCACGUGGGACCUAACUUUUACUUGGUGGUGCUUGUAGUGAAUCCAAAAUCCGGGGAGGUACCUAAAGUAGUGCGUAUAGCACUCCAAACUGACACUCUAGACUCUGUUGUACCCUUGUACAACCAUAUAUAAUUAUAGUUAUAUAAAUUAAUUCUAAUAUUGUGUAACCCUCCACAAUAAUCUAGCUCCCGAUAAUCCCCCCCUUAGAAAGGUGAGAUUACUCCGGGAGACUCACGGUCAACCAAGGGUCAAACUACUCUAACCCUGGUCAACCGGACCUGCAGAACCCACGACCUCCAAUUUCUGAUCCGAAAGUCUCUAUGGGUUCUACUAGGUAUAGGACACUUGUCCUGCAAGUUUGGUUCAGAUCGGACGGUCGGAUUUCUCACGAUCGCACGAUCUGACGGUUAAUAUAAAAUAUAAACUUUAAAAUUAUUAUUCGGAACAUCCGGGGCUCCGAUUCACGAUCUGUAAAUUCCUACAUGAUCCUAGAAAUACCUUGAUUAACAUAUAUUAAAUUUGGGACCAUCCAACGGUCCCAACCUAUCGAACCCGGAUAACAUACACUAUGCGAUUAUCUGUUCGAUAGUCAAACGACGUCCGAAUUGAGAUCCGCGAAAUCCUACGCACUCGUGACAACCUAAGGAUCUCAUCGGAACACAUCGCUACUUUUUAUACAGUGCCCACGCGCCGCCGCACGCUCCGGCAGCGCGUGGGUGCCCAAAGCGAUAACGCUUCGCCGGAAAAUCUCAACAUCUCGGCUCCAAACUCCUACCCUAGGUAUAACACCCUAUUUGGAGCCACUUUUGUUCUUGGACCUACCCCAAAAAUUGGCCGGAAAUGGCCGAUCACGGCGGCCGAAGUUCGGCCGAUUUUCAAUUCGAAAAUCGAGUUGUCUACGCUAAGAAUCGAUCUAAUCCUACCCAACAGGCAGCUAGAGCAUGAAAAAUAGGUGAGAAACCAUACCUUGCUCGUCGGAUUUGGUGGCCGGAGGAGGGAGAUCGAGCUCCUUGAAUUUUGGGUUAAAAUCGGUCGGAUUUUUGCAUUUUCCGGCGAGCACAGGUGGUUCCGGUGGCUGAGAUCGGUCGGGAUGGAAAGAGGAGGAUGGCACGGUUCUUUUGGGACCGGUGCCACCCCGAGUGGUGGCCGGAUGCGGCGACGGCGGCCCAAAAAACCGCCGCUGUGAACAGUAACAGGGGGGGCUGUUCUGCGCGCAGGGGAGAGAGAGAGAGAGAGAGAGAGAGAGAGAGAGAGAAAAUCUGAUUUUAUAAAAAAUCCCAUUUCAAAAUAUUUACGAUUGUGCCACUGGACUUCUUUUGACCAUAUCUCUCUCGUUACAACUCCGAUUCGAGCCCACUACGUGUCUGUGAACUCGUCUCAGUACGACCUAUCCAAAAAUAUAAGUCACGGUCCCAAACUCUCUCUGGUUAAAAAUAUGACUAAAAUACCCUUAAAUAAUUAAAUAAUUAAAUGAGGGUAAAAUUUGGGAAAAUUUGGGGUCGGGGUGUUACACCUACCCUCUAUCUCCAUUAAAUCUACAAGUAGCUCAUCAAUUUAUCCACUAUCCCAAGUUCAAUAUACAACCCAACAACCAUCUUACCCAUCUUCUCAUUGAUCUUCCACCCAGCAUCCAACACUAUCUUCAUAAACUCUUUACCCUUUAAAAUAAAUAUGGCAAUAAACUAAAAAUUCUGAUUUAACGCAUGUUUUGCUCAUAAGAGAACUAAAACCUAAAAAUUCUAUACUCUUACACAAAAAAUAAAAAAUAAAAACUAAAAUUGAAAUGGUUAUCAAACAAACCCUUAUAUUACAAAAAACACUGUAAGGGAGGUAAAUAGUACGUUUACAGAGUUUAAGUGUAAUAAAGGAAUAAAAACAUGCCCAGAGGAUUGAUAAGUGAUAUCAAUUCUUGAAUAUACAGAACGUAAAAUAAAGCAACACGUAAAAAAUUAUUUUAUAUGGUAAAACUCCAUCUCUGGGGAAAAUCCAUGGGACUUCUUAGUCCAAAACAAAUCCAUUAUAGAACGAUGAUUAUAAGAAGUACUCACACACUUAUCCUAAACACAUUCUAGAUAAUGUUUAUUGACCUCUUCGUAACUCAACUUCUGUCUCGGGAUGAUCUUUCGACACUCUUUAUGUUGAAUGCAAUAUUGGUCACGGUUUCUUCAAGCUCGUCAGAGUUCUUCCAACUCUCCUAAUAUUGAAUUCGAUACUAGUCACGAUUGAUUCAAGCUCAUCGUAGAAAAACCGUCACAAUGGUCUUGGUGCCCUCAACCGUAUGAGUCAUUGAACAUGCAAAUGAAUACAAUAUGAAUGAUAAAAGUGUUUGAUAAAUCACCGAGUUAUGGAACACUUGAUGAUUUAUCUCAAAUAAAAACUCAGCUUUCCAAAAUUUAUGAAUUGAAAAUAUGAUCGUUAAUGCUCUCUAAACAAAGAAGACAAAGGUCUUAUUUUAGACUUUUUCUUUACAAGAAAGAAAAUAAGUUGGAAACCAAAUCUCCAAUUUCCAAGGCAAAAUCACAAAAGUAUCUUUUCUAGAGAUUGGUCACAUGUAGUCCAACCAAUAGGAAAUGAGAUAUUUAAGAAAGGAAGAUUUUGAUCAAUAUCAAUAUCAAAUGAAUUCUUAUACGCCUAGUCAACUAUUAAGGGUAUCUUGACUCCUUGAUAUUUUGAUAUGAUUGAAACAUGAUUUCCAAGUUAGAAAAUUAAGGGGAUGUUAAAACAUGAAAGUAAUAGGAGAAACAAAUUUAUUUGGACCAAAAUUGCCUAAAAAGAAAACACUCCUAAAUAAACUUCAAUUCACUUUAGUAAAACAUGAUUGAAUCGUUCGUUAAAACAAUUCCCUAAUAUACAUGCAUGAUAAUGACAUCACUUACUCCUGAAUCAAAUUGUCACGCCCCGGACCCGGGGGUUGAUGGAAAUUCCGCGCCCGGUGCGUAAGAAAAUAAAAAGUAAAAUAAAAUAAAAAGAAAGCCGAAACAAGGUGCUAAAUGAAAACUAUGAGAGAAUAUUUGUUUGUGGGAAUUUUCUGUGUAUUCUUCUCCUUGUAGGAGGUCAUAUUUAUAAUACAACGAAACCUGAAUGGGCAAGUAAAUAAUAAAUUCCUAAAUCUAUUUGCAGUAGGAAAUCAGGAAUUAAAGUAAAUCAAUUACAAUUAUAAUAGGAAUUCUUGGUGUGUAAGGAAAGUAAAUCAAUAUCCACAAGUCAAGCCAACACUCCCCCUCACGUUGGUGCAUAGAUGUCGCCAAUGCCCAACUGAUCUAGUGAAUUGUGGAAUGCUUUACUGGAAAUCGCCUUUGUCAAAAUAUCCGUCAAUUGAUCCACGGAUUUCACAAAAGGAAACUGAAACACUUUAGCCUCAAGCUUUUGUUUGAUGAAGUGUCGAUCCACCUCAACAUGUUUUGUACGGUCAUGCUGAACCGGAUUCUGUGCAAUGGCUAUAGCAGCCUUGUUGUCACAAAAGAGAUUCAUUGUGGAUGUAGGUUUAUACCCAAGUUCAGUAAGCAACUUUCUUAACCAAAGAAGUUCACAAAUCCCUUUAGUCAUGCCUCUGACCUCGGCUUCUGCACUGGAUAAAGCUACUACAUUCUGUUUCUUGCUUCUCCAUGUCACCAAAUUACCUCCCACGAAUGUGAAGUAACCCGAUGUGGAUUUUCUAUUUGUUACAUUACCUGCCUAAUCUGCAUCUGAAUAACCAUCAAUAUUUAGAUGACCAUGCUUUGAGAACAUAAGUCCUUUUCCAGGUGCAGACUUCAAAUAUCUAAGUAUCCGAAGAACUGCAUUCAUAUGGUCUUCACUUGGAGAGUGCAUAAAUUGACUGACAAUGCUCACUGCAUAAGCAAUGUCUGGUCGAGUAUGUGACAAAUAGAUCAAUCUUCCCACUAAUCUUUGGUAUCUUUCUUUGUUAGUUGGAACUUGAUCCGGAUAUUCUCCAAGAUGAUGAUUCUGAACAAUAGGAGUGUCCGCAGGUUUACAAUCUAGCAUUCCUGUGUCUGUCAACAAGUCUAAGACAUAUUUCCUUUGAGAGAGAAAUAUGCCUUGCUGCGAUCGAGCCACCUCAAUUCCCAAGAAAUACUUGAGUCCACCUAGAUCCUUCAUCUCAAACUCCGUAGCCAGAUAGCCUUGUAGCUGUGAUAUUUUCUGUUUAUCAUUCCCAGUAAUAAUCAUAUCAUCAACAUAGAUUAUUAAUGUUGUUACCUUCCCUUUUCGAUGUUUCAAGAACAGAGUAUGAUCUGAGUUGCACUGUUUGAAACCAUUGUUCUUCAUUGCCAUGGUGAACCGUCCAAACCAUGCACAUGGUGACUGUUUCAAUCCAUACAAUGCUUUUCAUAACCUUCAAACUGUUCCAGUCUGAGUAGUAUUAUAUCCAGGAGGAAUGUCCAUGUACACCUCCUCCGUGAGUUCGCCAUGUAGAAAAGCAUUCUUUACAUCAAACUGGUGUAGUGGCCAAUCCAAAUUAGUUGCAAGGGACAAUAAGACUCUGGGUGUUUAACUUUGCAACUGGAGCAAAGGUUUCUUCAUAGUCUAUACCAUAGGUCUGUGUGUACCCUUUUGCCACAAGUCUUGCCUUGUAUCGCUCGAUAGAUCCAUCUGCAUUGUGUUUUAUAGUAAACACUCAUCUACAUCCGAUAGUCUUUUUUCCUCGGGGUAUAGUCUCCAAUGUCCAAGUCUGAUUUUUCUCAUUGGGCUUUCAUCUCCUCUUUUAUAGCUUGGACCCACUUAGGAUCUUUCAAUGCUUCAGAGACCUUGGUUGGAAUAUGGAUAGCAAACAACUGAUACACAAAAGCCUUGAGUAGUUCAGACAGCUUCUCAGUGGAUACAUGAUUUGCAAUUGGAUACUUGGAUGUCUUGCCAAUAUCAGGUGAAUAACGGUUUGGUGGCUUCCCACGAUUUUGCCUGAAAGGUAAUUGAUAUCCAAUAGUUUUAUCAUCUAAAUGCAAAGUCUAGUAGGAGUAGUUACCUCAAGGAUAUUCUCAGGAGAUUGGUCUGUUGGUACUGUUGAGUUAGAGCGGGGGUCUUCAUCUUGUUGUUCUGUAUUGUCUGUAGGUGUGAGACUCGGAUCAGAAAUAUCUUCACAUGGAUCAGGUGGGUCAGGCAAUUGAUCGCUAUGAAUGGGCGAUUGGUCACUUUUCGACAGAGAGUAAUCUCGUGCUCCAGACUCAGAAUGAUCAAUCAUUUCUAUACAAAGGAGAAUUUCUUUAUUUUCCAAGUCGCUCCAAUUAUGCUCUUCACUUCGUAUCUCCCCCUGAAGUGUAGAAUUGGAUGAUGGGUCAUGGAAGAACAGCUUAGAUUCCAGAAAGGUCACAUCCAAAGUGACAUAGGUUCGUUGGGUAGGAUGGUGAUAACAGCGGUAGCCUUUCUGAUGAGUGGCAUAACCCACAAAAAUACAACAAAGCGCACAUGGAUCAAGUUUGCUACGUUGAUUUUUGUGGAGAUGAACGAAAGCCACACAUCCAAAGAUUCGAGGUGUGAGUACCAAAACAGAAGGCAGAGGUCUGUGUUGUGCCAGCACCUGUAAGGGAGUUUUAAAGGUCAGUACACUAGAAGGCAUGCGGUUGAUCAGAUGAACUGCGGUGACAAUAGCAUCAUCCCAAUGAUGGCGAGGACCAUGAGCGUCAAUCAGAAGCGGGCGGUUUCAAGAAGAUGUCGAUUCUUUCGUUCAGCAACACCAUUUUGUUGUGGUGUCUGAGGACAAGUCGUCUCAUGGAUAAUUCCAUGUUGUUGGAACUAAUUCUGAAAGUCAUGAUUGACAAAUUCUCCACCAUUGUCUGAGCGAAGAAUCUGAAUUUGAGCAUUAAACUGAGUUUUCAUCUGUUUGUGGAAGGACUGAAAAUAGGAAAACACUUCGUUUUUAUUUUUCAGCAAAUAAAGCCAUGUCAUCCGUAUACAAUCAUCGAUGAAUGUGACAAACCAUCGAACACCAGAAGGAGCAGUGACAGGAGAAGGUCCCCAGACAUCAGAGUGAAUUAACGUAAAUGGAGUAGUACACUUGUUCGUACUCAACGGGUAAGGCACACGGUGACUCUUGGCCAAAAUACAAGUAUCACAUGUGAAGUCAGAGUCCUUGAAACCUGAGAAUAAAUCUGGUAUAAGAUGCUUCAUAUAACUAAAAGACGGAUGUCCCAAUCGACGGUGCCACAACCAGAUUUGCUUUUGUUUGCUAUCAAAGGGAUGUGUCACGCUGUUAGCCAUGCGAGACUGAAGUCAUCGACAUAAUAUAGCCCCCCUCUCUUAGUACCACGACCAAGAAUCUCCUUAGUGUGAAUAUCCUGAAACAAAUAAAAACUCGGGUAAAUGAGUACACAACAAUUCAAUUGUUCAGUAAGCUGACUAACUGACAACAAUUUAGUGGAUAAAGAUGGAACAAGUAAAGUAUUAGACAGUGUGAGAGAGGAUGAGAGUGCAACAGUGCCAGCCCCUGUCACAGGAUAAGUAACACCAUUGGCAUUUGCAAUACAGGGUCGUCGAGGUUGUGUAGUAUUCAGAAAAUCAUCAGGAUCAAACGUCAUAUGAUCAGUUGCACCGGAAUCAAUUAUCCAGCUCCUCGAAUCAAUCUUAUCGGAAGUAUGAAAUCCAUAACCAGUACCAUUACUGGUCAAAUUGCAUUGUCCUUGAUCUGUAAGAGUAGCCCACCAAUUGGGGUAGCCAUGCGAUUUAAAACAAGUCUCAAAAGUGUGUCUCGGAUCACCACAAUAUGCACAAGCUGGUCCAUGUGUCGGGGUCGUUAGUCUAGAAGUCAUAAUCUGUGCAGCGGAAGAUGCAUAGGAUACAGGUUGAGUAGGAAUUGGGAUUGGAAUCUGAGCCUGAGUCGGGGACGGAGUCGGAGUCGAAAUCGAGAUCAGGGUCUGAAUCAGAGACAAAUUCGGGGUUGGGGUCGUCAUCGGAGUGGGGUCGGGGUCAUCUUCGGAGUCGGGGUCGGGGUCGUCAUCGUCAUAGUCGGGGUCGGGGUCAGGGUCGUCAAAAGAGGAUCUUGAUUCUGAAUCGGAUUCGGGGUCAAAGUCUGCAUCUGUAGGAGCGGAGCCAUCUGGGCACUCAACUCAACGAUGGUGGGUGGAGAAUGAGAGAAGGAGUCGGUGGUGCUACCUCCAUGAGGGUUGAAAAAAUCAUCAACCCCCAUAGCAGCGGUGGGGGUUUGAAACUAGAGUCAGCAAUUCCAAGAUUACCGCUCUGAUACCAUACUAAAAUAUGAAAACUAUGAGAGAAUAUUUGUUUGUGGGAAUUUUCUGUGUAUUCUUCUCCUUGUAGGAGGUCAUAUUUAUAAUACAACGAAACCUGAAUGGGCAAGUAAAUAAUAAAUUCCUAAAUCUAUUUGCAGUAGGAAAUCAGGAAUUAAAGUAAAUCAAUUACAAUUAUAAUAGGAAUUCUUAGUGUGUAAGGAAAGUAAGUCAAUAUCCACAAGUCACGCCAACACAAGGGUUUAAAAUAAACCUCUCUUAUAAAAUAGCUCCAAAAUCUUACAACUUUACAAGAAAUAAAUAAAGCUUUAUCAUUCUUAUCUAAUUAAGCCUCAACUUGUUUAGUCCUUGUCUUGCCCACUAAUUCGUCUGAAAAAUUAAAGGGACAUGCAUGAGACCUUACCACAGUAGAUUGAUAUAACUAAAAUUAUCAUAAACAUAGAAAUAUAUAAGUAUUAUUAUAAUAGGAUUCAUAAUAAUUAAUAUAAAAGUAUAACAACAAUAUUUACGUAUACGUACCAAGAUAAUUACACAUAUAAAUAUAACCAAUAUAUAUUUAUAUAUAUUUUAAAAUACGGGUCUUCACACAAAUGCCUUUCGCUGGUCAAGCCACAAGUCUGUGUUUUGGGGAUUGCUGAGCUGCAUCAAUCCUGCCAAUGUCAAUUCUGCCCCUAGGCUCUCUCAAAGCACGUUUACAACCUAUGCUAACAUAUACUAGAGUUUGUGCUAGUAUCUAGAAAAUGCCAACACUAAUUUCGUAACACGUAGAAAUUGUUAGAGAUUGGAAGUUUUUAUCAUUUUUUCUUCCAAUCUCUCCACCACUCACUAAUAUAGAUUACUCAUGUGAUGAGGUUAUAAAACCUAUUUCUCUACUCUCUCAUUUGUUAUUUACUUUUUUUUUCCUUGGAAAUAUGUUCCGCCAACGUGAGAAAGAAAAAUAUGCACAAAUUGAUAUAUUUAAUAGAAGCCCAAGAUUUCGGAAGCACAUAAUUUCUACAAAAAUCUACAAAGUGUUCUACUUUACAAACUUCAUAUGUCUACCAAUUUCUACUAAAAUUAAUUUCUCUGUAGUGCUCAGAUUCAUCAUAUGUGUAUCCUUAAUUCUAGUGAAAAUUGGAAGUUUCCAUCAUUUUUAUUUUCUGAGAAUUUUCUGAACCAAGGAAAGGGAAAAUAUCUAGAGGAUGCAUUGUAGGAUUGCUCAUGCCAAUAAUUGUACCCUCUAAAUAUAUAAAGGGACAUUUUUUUUUUUUUUUCAUGACAUGUGGUCCUAAAAUUAUUGUUCCCAGCAGGCUCUCCACCCUUCUCAAAUUUAAGUGGUCCAUUAUGAUUAAUCAUGUAUUUUAUGGACCAUCCAGCUGUGAGGUUUUAUCUCAAAAACCUGCGGUACCUUUCUCCCACAUGCCACAUGCAAAUGAAUUUAAGUGAGAGAGGCAGUGGGAAGUAAUUAAGCUCUAUAUUGGUGGGUGGAGUGUUACUUCUGGGUACCCCUCAUCAUUCGUCUAUAAAAUGGUGAAGCCAGUUGCUACUGUUACCAUAAGAUCCAGCUCCGACUUUCUUUAAUUUCUUGCUUCAUAUCCACUAGCUACAUCUGUUGCCAAGUUAAUUUCAGUCCUAAUGGGGUUUCAUCUCCCACUCAUCUUUGCUCUUCUCAGUGUAAGCUCUGCAAUUUGAUUAACAUUUCCAUUAUCUCUCAUUGUACUCUAUAUAAACGAAAGUUUUGCGUUCCUAUAAUCCUCUCUGAUUUUAUUUACCACAUAAGUGUCGUCCACUAAUUAAUUACACUUUGUGAUUUUAUUUUAAUUAGAGUUCAAAUUAAUGUUGCAGCUAGCAGCGGUGGCACUGGCAAUCCAUGCUGCGCAACCAGCACCUCAACUUUACUGGAACUCCGUCCUGCCAAACACACAGAUGCCAAGAUCUAUCAGUGAACUUCUGCAUCCUGGUUUGUGUUAAGCCAUUUAGAAUCUUAGAUAUUUUUUCUACCUGCCAUUUUACUGAAAUGUGUUCCAACCACAUAUUUAUCGGUUAAGUACUGUUUUCCAAUUUAUUAUUAACCUCGGCAAAAGUUAUUACAUGAGUAAUUAUAGUGUGGUACUAGAGUACGUACGGCUACAUAUUCACAAAUGUGUCACUCACUCUUCAAUCGGCUGACCACUUAUUUUCCAUUAUGGCGUGGAUAUAUAAUUUGCAGACUCCAAAAAUGAAGAAAAGAGCACAAAUGACGUUGGCAAACCUGAAACUUUCCCAUUGGGCAAUAAACGUUACUACAGUCAAAAAAGGUAUGGAAGAGGCAAUAAAAGUUACCGCAGUCAAAAAAGGUAUGGAAGAGGCAAUAAAAGUUACUCCGUUCAAAAAAACUAUGGAAGAGGUGCUUCUCCAUCUGACAAUCAACUACUCCAUUAUAAAGACUUGGCUAUUUUCUUCUUGGAGAAGGACAUGAGCCCUGGCACAACAAUGAAGUUCCAAUUCCCUAGAAAUUCAAACACGGCUACUUUCUUGCCGCGAGAAAGCGCUCAAUCGAUCCCCUUCUCCUCUAACAAACUACCAGAAAUUUUCAACCAUUUUUCAGUGAAGCCAACAUCUGAGGAAGCCAAAACAAUUAAGCAAACAAUCGAAGAGUGUGAAGCUCCAGGCCUUAAGGGAGAGGAAAUAUAUUGCGCCACAUCUUUAGAAUCAAUGGUUGAUUUUAGCACUUCGAAGCUUGGAACAAGAAACGUUGAAGCAAUCUCGACGGAGGUAUUGGAAAAAGGAGGCACCAUGUCCAUCCAAAACUAUACAACAAUGCCGGGACUGAAGAAGUUGGCAGGUGACAAAGUCGUUGUGUGUCAUAAGCAGAACUAUCCCUAUGCUGUGUUUUUCUGCCAUGCAAUAAAACAUACAGCAGCUUAUGCUCUCUCCCUGAAAGGCGAUGAUGGGGAGAAGGUUAAAGCAGUAACCAUCUGCCAUCUAGACACAUCAGAAUGGGACCCAGAGCAUAUGUCCUUCCAAAUCGUCAACGUUAAGCCCGGAACCAUUCCCAUCUGCCAUUUCAUUUCCACUGAUGCUAUUGCCUGGGUUCCGAACCACAAAUCUGCAUGAUCAUCACUUAGCACUGUACGUAUAAUUAUCUCCUUACUUAUUUCUGCCUCUUCAUCAUGUGGUGUAAGAUAUAUGAUGAGAUGAAGUUUUUGGGAUUAGUGGUUGGGUUGCCUGAAAAACACAGAUUACAGAAACUGCUUGAAAUUAACCCGAUCAUGUUUUCUCUUGUAACUAUAUAGACUUCAACUUGUACUCAUAAUAAAGCAUGCUAUAUUUAUGAAGAGAUAUUAAUCUAUAUAUAUUUUUUAUAUAUGCUUUGGCUUUGUGGUUCUACCCAAUGUUUGAGUGUUGAAUUGUUACGUUGGAAUAGGCUGCUAAUGCAUGUAGUUAGAGAAGCCUUCAUUUAUAUCAAAGUCCUCAAACUAUCAAGAACUAAUGUAUCCAGAAACAUAUACCAAGACGCAAAACAACAUAUUUUCCAUGCUCUGUCUGUAACACCAAAGCAAACUUCCUUGAUCACAAAAGGAUCAAAUUCCAGUACUAAUCUAAUCCAUCAUGUAAAGCAUACAAGUGCCUCCCUAAAUACUAUACUCUUUUUGUUAUUUCCUACUAUACUAUUUAAGUUUGCAUACUCAUAUAGCAUAUGCAAACACAAUUAGAAAUUCUACAAGAUACAAACAACCCCCUCAACUUUGACCAGUGUGUCAAUUUAGUUCUUGAAAUUUAGAUUACAAAGCAAAAUCAAAUCAUACCAUGAAACACAAGCGACUUAAACCUCCAGGCAAAUAGAUAUUAUGAACAUAUAUAGCAAUUUAUAGAACAAUACAUUAAUCCAGAAGAAAUAUUAUGAAAUGAAAAGAAUAAAAAGUAGAAAAACACAAGGAAAGGAAUUUGCACCUGCUCACUUGCAGAUUGCUUUCUCCGGCCGUAGAUGUAACAGAAAUUUUCUCUUAAUAAUACCACAAUGAUCGGGUAAUUGUAAGAACAAGUUGAUUUAAAAUUCCUUGACCCAAAAAAAAAAAAAGUUGAUUUAAAAUUCAGGUCAACCCAUAGAUUUCUCCCCUUUUUCUUCUUCAUCUCGUGGGGCUUGUCUUCUUCUUGAGGAUUGUAUAGGCCAAGGAAAUGCUUUGAGUUAGUUUUUACGCUUUUGCGUUUUGGGCCUUGGAAGUUGGGACCCAAACCAACUUCACAAAAAGAAAACGCUCAGACUAUAAUGAAUGGAAAGUUAUAAGGGGUAAGUUAUAAGGGGUUCACUUUAUAGCCAUCAGAUCAAUCCAAGGGCUGGGGAGAAUUGAGAUAAAGUUUUAAAAUCGGGUAGGUGAGGAACCCAAACCCGAAUUGAAUAUCCAGCACGUCCGAAAAAGAAGAAGAAGAGGCAAGCACGUCCGAAAAAGAAGAAGAAGAGGCAAGUUCGAAGUUUGAACAGAAAAAACUCAUCUCUUUAAAACCCAUAGCUCUGAGAAACGGUUGAAGGCAACGGUUAACGACGGUUAAAGGCAACGGUUGAAGCCACUCCGUUCUCCAGACCCUGAAAAAGUAUUUAUUUUGAGUAGAAGGGGCAAAGGUGUGGAUUCCGAAACAGUGAAGGGGCGAAGCAGUGGAAGGGGGAGGAGAGAAGCCGUAUUCGUUGGAAGUGGUAGGUUCCAUUUGUGGAGCAAAGCAACACAAAGACCCCGCACAGACACCUUGCGAUUGUUCAAUAACCAGCAUUUGGUGAGUAAUUUAUGGAAUUUGAGUUUAGGGUUAGAGUAAUGGUUUUCCCCAAUUUGUACCAUCAAUUUUGUUGGAUUUGGCAUCUCUUCUUUGUGCUUCAGUUGCAUGUUAAUUUUUGCUUGGGUAUAUGUUAAAAAAAGAAUGAAAAUCAAGUCAAUAACAAGUGAAUAACAUGUCAAUAAUGAUAUGAAUAAGAUAAUGGUGUUGAAUUGGAGGAGGCCCUCAAAACAUUCCACAUUUGAAGCAGUGCAUAGUGCAGAUUAUCUCUCUGGCGCUAGAAUAUAUAUAUAUUUUGAAAUAAAUAUGAUUUCCUUUGUUACUAAAUUUGCCUGAGAAACAUGAGAACAGAUAAUAAUAAACUCAUGAAUAGAAGUGCAAAGCAUUUGAUGAGUAAUUUAUGGAAUUUGAGUUUAGGGUUAGAGUAACGGUUUUUCCCAAUUUGUACCAUCAAUGUUGUUGGAUUUGGCAUCUCUUCUUUGUGCUUCAAUUGCAUGUUAAUUUUUACUUGGGUAUAUGUUAAAAAACAAAUAAAAAUCAAGUCAAUCACAUGUCAAUAACAUCUCAAUAACAUGUUAGUAAUGAUAUGAAUAAGAUAUAAUGGUGUUGAAUUGGAGGAGGCCCUCAAAACCUUCCACAUUUGAAGCAGUGCAGAGUACCUCUCUGGCACUAGAAUUUAUAUAUUUUUUUAAAUAAAUAUUAUUUCAUUUGUUACUAAAUUUGCCUAUGAGAAAUGAGAACAGAUAAUAAUAAACUCAUGAAUAAAAGUGCAAAGCAUUUGAAAUAAAGGUUGAUCUAUGACAAUUGUGGCUGACAGAAGAAAAAGCUAGAAAGAAAGAAGGAUGUGGCAAUUGCUUAGCAAGCAGAUAGCAGAGUAGAUGCUUUGCUUUGCUUCCUUCCACUAUAUUAUUUAUUUAUUUAUUUUGUGUUGUGUAUGAGAUGACAAUAAUUGUCAUGUGUGUGAAGUGCAGAACUUGCCUAGAUUGCACUCACACUCACUCAUGCAUCAACCAUUGAUUCGAAUUUGGAUCCAUGAAUAAAACACAUGAAAUUGUUUGUAAUUCACAUAAUCAUUGCAUUAACAGGUAUUUGCACAAAAUUUUUCAUAUUGCUUUGAUGAUGUUAAAGCCUGUGAUCAGUAAUCCCUAUGCUUAUGUACUUUGUAAAAUUUGUAAUGUGCCUGGUUGACUAGUUGUGUAAAUACCAAUGUGAUUGUGCAAAUACGUGGUAGUAUAUGUGUUCAUGUUAUUUCAUCUUGUAUUUCAGGAAAUGGGAUCCAAUGUGGAGCUGGUAUGGCCAGAGUCAGAGGCAUAUUCGUCACGGGUGAACAACUGCUCACAUGCAAAUUCAUCUCUAGCUGCAAUUCGAGCGAAGUUGAGUGCGGAACAAUUAGAACAAUUCAAGACAUCAUGCUUUGGCCAUCUUCUGAAUAUAGAUAAGAUUCAGUUUAGCGGGCAGAUUGUGCAUGGGGUUGUGUUGCGUAGAGUAGCGGGGCAGGGUGUGAAAGACUUGGAUGGACUGAGUUUCUUAAUAGGGUGUGACGUUGCUCAGUUCACUCGUCAAGAUUUCUGUUUGAUCACAGGGCUUCGUUUUGGGGAAGUGCCUGAAGUUUCCAGUGGAGAGAGUGAUGAAAUUAGACUUCAGAAAAGAUAUUUUAUAGACGAAUGAAUUACAUGCAAUGCUUUAGAAUAAACAUUUUUGAGGUGCACAGAGGAAGAUGACAUCUACAAGCUAGCUCUUGUUUACUUUGCUGAGUUAGUGGUUUUGGGAAGGGACAAACAUUUGAACAUCAAUCUAAAUUACCUGACCCUUGUAGAGGACUUAGAUGCGUUCAACAGGUAUCCGUGGGGUUCGGUGUCCUUUGACAAAACCAAAGACAGUCUAUUUUCUGCACCAACAAAGUAUGUGAAAAGCUUUGAAAAUGAAGAGGGAAGAGGGAAGGGGAAAAGUAAGGUAACAGGAACAAGCCGGAGAAAUGAAAAGGGCAAGAAGGAUAAGCAUGGUGAAGUGCAAAGGGGUGGUUGGAGUUUUAAAGGUUUCACGUAUGCUUUCCAGGUACAUGGUAAUAAUGUUCAUGUCAGUUAUGUCUUGUUUUUCUUUAAAACUUAAAUAAUGACUUUUGUCCUGUGAAUUGUGUAGAUUUGGGUAUAUGAAUUAAUUGCUAGAAUGGCAGACCUGAAUUACUGCAAGGUUGUUGAUCCGACAGCUGUCCCGCGUAUUUUGCGAUGGAGAACUACUACGUCUGUUCCUGAGAUGAGAAAGUUGAACAAUUAUUUUUUCCAGAGCAAAGAGGUUUGGUUUGCAGCCCUUAGAACUAUUUAUAAGAUUUAAUGAAAUUAUGAAGUAGAAUGAUUGAAUAUGACUCUUGUCUGUAUUCUGAAACAGUCAGUUCAGUUGCGGGCGCUAUGUCCGAGUGAAGAGGAAAUGAGACAACCAUAUUGGAGUUGGCCACAGGAUCGCCCUGCUGUUGUCUCGGCAGAGUCAAUUCCUUCUUCAUGUGCUGACCUUGAUGAGUUGAACAAGGUGGUAAGCUUGUUGAGGUCCGAGUUGUUUCAAGUAAAGUUGGAAAAAGACGUCCUUGAGUUAAAGGUCAUACGGAUGGAAAAACUUUUGGACCACUGUUUAGGUCCUCAAUUUGAGCAGGAAGUAAGGAGGGACCUAGCUUUACUGAAAGAGAGGACGAAUCUUUGUGUCAUCUCACAUCUAUUUAAGGGAAGUGAGGAAAUGGAUGACAUUCAAUGGGAUGAAGGGCCAAGUAACAGAAAUGAGGGAGAGGAAAAGGAAGAUGAAGGGAUUGAAGGGGGUGAAGGGCCAAGUAAUAGAAUUGAGGGAGAGGAAAAGGAAGAGGAGGGGAUUGAAGGGGGUGAAGUGCAAGGAAAACCAAGUGAGGUAGAGGAAGCUCAAAGGAAAAGAAGUGAAGGAGAGCAAGUGAAAAUAAAAAGCAGUAAGGGAGAGAAAACGCAAAGAAAGAGCAGUGAGGGAGAGGAAGUGAAAAGAAAAAGCAGUAAGGGAGAGGAACUGCAAAGGAAAAGCAGUGAGGGAGAUGAUCCGCAAAGAAAAAGAAGGGAGGGCAAGGAAGUGAAAAGACAAAGAAGUGAGGAAAAGGAAGUGUAAAGAAACCAAUGUGAGAAAGAAGAUAAUGAAGUUAUGUUGCUUGGCGAUGACAUUGGCGAGAGCACAGAGGGGACAAAGGUUGAGUUUAGUCUCGGGGACAUUGAUUUGGAUCAACCUACAGCUGUGCUAUCUCAGUUGAAUGUUUGGUUGAAUGAUAAAGGUAAAGCUGUGGAACAAGGGGUCCAAUUACGGAAGAGGAAGAUGAUCAUUCCUAUGUGGAAGAUCAUUGAAGGUAGUGAAUUGGUUUCAAAAACUUUGGCAGAGACAACCGGACUUCAGAUGUUAGACCCAACGAAGGCGAUUCUGUAUGAUGAUCUGGUGAAAUUGCUGAAACUUUGUUGGGAAUGGCGCCAUAACCCAAAGUAAGUCCCUUGUUUUUUGAGAUAAAAGGCAUGAGUGUAUAUAUUUUUUAAUUGUUGUGUUCUAAAACUUUUUUAUAUUCAUAGUUUGGUGAUGCAAUUUGGCAACAUGGAAGCUGAGAUUGAAUUCUUCGCUUCCCUCAUCAAAGCUGAUGGUUGGCUGAAAGGAGAUGUAAGUUUAAUUGAUUAUGCAUUUGUUUUAAUGUACAUAGAUUAUGAGAUUGACAAGAAAAACAUGUUGCAGCACAUUGAUUUGGGGUUGUAUCUCAUCCGGAAGCGACAACAAGAGUUGGAGGAAGUAGAAAUAUCGGACUGGACAAUGACCGAUGUAUUUUUUAUGGUAUGUCAUGGGCCUUGACCAAGUGCUGUUAAUAAUUACAAAUUAUCCAUACUUGUUUUGUGGAGGUGUUUAACCAUUGAUUGUUUUCUAUUUCACAGAAUCACAUUCGUACUUGCUUUGCGGAUAAUAAAAGAAAAAAAGAGCAGGUUUGGUGGAAAAUUAGAAACAGUUUACUGAACGUUGUAAAUGGCAAGGUUCCGGCGUGUGAGAUGGAUUGGCAGAACAUAUAUAAGGUGUAUGCCCCUUGUAUGUUGACGAAGUACAAGCAUUGGGUGGCUGUAAUGAUUGAUCUAGUUUUGUGUGAAAUCCAAGUGUACGAUUCAAAGGUUUCACUUAUUCCAGAUGAGAUCUUAAAGGAAGAACUCGCCCCGCUUUCAAUUACGAUUCCAAAUCUUCUCAACACCAUCGACUUUUAUGAAGAAGGUGUUUACGUAAACAAUUGCAGCCGAGAUUGGUGGUGUCCGUGGCCAAUAGAGCGUGUGGAUGUUCCACAACAGUCUAAUCAGUAAGCACAACUUUUUAUUUAAUUUUAUUACUUUAAAUUGUCAAUUACGUUAGAAUGUCAUUAGUUGAAUUGAUCGAGUUCUUGUUUUGCUUCAGAGGCGAUUGUGGCAUGUUCGUGUUGAAGUACAUUGAGCUUUUGGGCGCUGAGAUUCCGUUAGCUACUUGCACCUCGGAGAACAUGCCCUUUUUUCGGUUGAAAUUGGCUGCAAAGAUAACACGGGGAGAUGCUUACAUGCCAUGAUAUUGGUUGAACUUGGUUUAGGUACAUGAUGAUUAAAUAGGUUUUGGGAAUGUCCAAUUUCAAACUCAUGUAAAUACACAAUAGAGACCUACGGGUCCUUUUCGAAUUCUACCUCUGCUCCUCUAUUCUUCUUCGUCUUUCUCAAUCUUAGUGUAUUUUUGUACAUAAUUUGAGGUUUAAGUUAUUGGACGAUAACAAUUAGAACCAAAAUAGUGGCAAAUAUUAUAGCGGAUGCAUGCUUUCAUUUUGAUUAGUGUGAUACUACGCUACAUUUAUUCUCAUAUUGUGCUAAAUGUAUAUGGAGUUGGAUGCAGAGCAUAGACAGAAAAAUGAAGAAACUGAAAUGGAGAUGCUGAGGCUUGGUGAGGAGAAAAGUAAAUGGAUCUGUAAAUCUAUUGCACGUAGGCAAUCUAAAUGGAUAGGCAGAUGAGUUUUUGAAGUUAGACACUUGUCAUUCCCAUACAUAGAAUGUGCCUAUGGAGUGUAAAGUAUUUUUGGAUUUAAUGAAACAAACUUCUGUGUAAUAUUAGCCUAACUCCUUCACGACAUUUACAUAACCUUAACCAACUGCAUUGAAUUGGGAUUUAAAGACUGCAUAUGUGAAUUGGGAUUUGAAGAUGGCUUUUUAAGUGUAUUACAUCAUUGCAAAGUGAUAUGUCAUCGUUUAUGCAAGCCACCAUUAAUCGCAAUAGGUUGCAUCUUAAUAAGGUAAUUCUGUAAGGGGAAUAAGCGGCUAUGGCCUCGCCUCUAAUGUUUUAUUCAACCAUGCCCUCUUUAUAGAAACACAUGAAAAAAUGUCCCCAGGUGCAAUGCUAUAAAAACUUCCAGUUGGUUCUGUACCGCCCCUCGGGUUUGAAUCCCUCUCUCCUUUAUAAUCGGUUAAUAAAUUCAUUGAUUUUCUUUUUUUUAUUGGUUUUGGGCAGCUCAGUAGCAUAAAAGUAAUGUAUAUUGGUGCGUCUAUAUUGCAUGUCUGUUGCGUCUAUAUUGCUUCUCUAUUGUGUGUAUAUCUUACAUUUAUUGUAUGUGUAUUGAUUGUUUAUUGCUUACGAAGGAAAUAAACAACAAUACACAGGCAACAGACAAACAAUAUAUACACAACAGACAAACAAUAUACACACAAUAGAUACGCAAUAUACAUACAAUAGACAUGCAAUAUACACACAAUAGACAUGCAAUAUACAUCCGUCCCCAAUUACACAAACCAUAAGGAAGUCGUAUUGAAUAGGAAAUUAAACUUAACAGUUGUUCUUCCUACUAAAAGAAAGAAUAAGGUCCGUUUUCCCCCUUAAAUCUUACUUGAGUGGUACUUGUGCCCCCAAUAAACAUCCAAUAUUGGAGCAAUAACAUUCGAUAUACAUGCAGCAAACAAUCAAUAAACCUUUAAUAAACAUUCAAUAUCGGUUCAAUAACAUGCGAAAUACAUGCAGUUAAUAAUCAAUAAACCUUCAAUAAACAUGUAAACAAUCAAUAAACUUUCAAUAAACAUUCAAUAUCGGAGCAAUAACAUGCGAAAUACAUACAGUAAACAAUCAAUAAACCUUCAAUAAACAUUCAAUAUCAUGCGAUUUAUAUGCAGUAAACAAUCAAUAAACUUUAAGUAUACGCAAAUAAACAAUCUAUAUACACUAAAUAAUUAUGCAAUUUUCAAAAAAAAAAAUGUAUUGUCUUGUUAUUGCAUCGUAUUGGCCCUGUAUUGUGAUUUUAUCGUCUUCGUAUGAUUUUAUUUUUUUAAAGUAAGUCUUGGAAAGUUUUUGCUGGGUUUCAAACAAAUAAAUGCUUUUGUUUAAAUUCAAUGCCAAUCCACUUAUUUCAAGAACAAAAAUUACAAAAUGGGUUUGAAAACUCAUUGGUGGUGCGUGCAACAUGUCUUUUUGGGGAGAAAUUUCACAAUCCUUGAAACCGUGCACUUAAUUGAUCAUUAAAAGAACAAAUAAUAUGACAAUUGAUACAACUAAUAAAACUAAUACCAAGUCCUUAAUGGACUUCAGCAUAUUCAGCACUGUAGCAUCAUACGUGUCAUCUUGAUGUUCUGCUUCAGCGGAGGUUACAUCAACCCAUUCGAAUCCAUUGCAACUGGUGGAUCCCUAAUUGCAGGCAUCAUAUAUGCAAAAUAAUUCUGUCAGAGUUAGACAUAGGUUUUUUUUCCCCCACACACAUAUUCUUGAAAUGAAAACUUACAUAGGAGGUUAGACACUUCCAAAAUGGCUUCCCUCGAUUUUUAUCUGAUUUUGAAACCCGAACCACCAUUGUAGCUCCACAAUACUGACACCUUUUUGUUUGAGCAGGAGAUGAAGACGAAGACAUGUUGAAUCUUCUCACUUGUACCUCUUCUCACUCAGAUCUUCUCACUGAAACCUCUUCGGACUCAUACCUUCUCACUCAUAGUUCUCAGUCAUACCCCUUCACUCAUAACCCUAAAUUUCUCACUCAGCUCUCUCUCAUCUCUGCCCAAAUCAAAUUAUAUCCUUCUUUGCUGUGUGUGGGUGGGUUGGUCACGAUCUGGACACCUGUACCGUCAGAAUUGUGACAUCUUUUACCCCGAAAAGCAAUAUAAUAUUUCACUACCAAAUAUUAAUCUGAAAAUUGAGGGGACACUGCUUGAAAUAUAUUAUUUUAUUUAUAUUUCAUUAAGACAACUAGUUGGAUAAGAAUCCAUCAUCAUUGGUUUCAUUUUAAUAACAUUACUAGUGGUAGUUUGGUGUGGGAAAAUGAAAAAGUAUAUGAUGGGACCUUCUGUGACUAGUCAGUAAUCCAUCACAUUUGUAUCAAUGAAUUUGAUGGUGGGAAAAUCCUAAAAAUGGCUAUGCAAAUAGGUUAUUAAUUGAAUUUUUGACUGUCUGACUCUCUAUGCAAUUUUAUGACGUUUUCCCUUCUUUUGUCUCGAGUUUUAGGGUGUCGGGUUCAGUUUCUUUAAAAACGGUCAACUUGGAAAAACCCCAAGUGGAAACACCUUUUAAAAACACUAUAAACAGAGGCUAAAACAAAACCAAAACCCCAUAUAUUCUCAUUUCUGCCCUCUUCCACUCCUCAAAUCGUUCCAUUCCAAAAACAUUUCAAUGAAUUCGAAACAUUUCACUACACUCGGAGGAAAGAGAAGGAAGCAUCUCCAUUUGGAUAUGCCCCAAGCCUUCAUCCCGGAGUUAGCUUGGUUUAAAGUGAUGUUAUACGUGGCAACCCAAUCAUCGGAAGAUCUCUUCCGUAUGGCAUCUGUGUGCCCAUUGUUCCAUACUUUGGCAAACACUCCACAAGUGUGGAACACCAUUUCAGUGGCAAAGUACCCAAACCAUCCUAGCUGGUACCGUGCCAAUCCUGCGGUCCAGCAUUUCUUGCAACAAUGCAGGGCUUGCGAUAACCCUAAGUCGAUAUUUAGAGAAGCAUUCGAAGUGUUUUUUAAGCAGGGUAACGUGGAAGCAUUGUAUGGGAUGCGCAUUACAGCCACGGCAGGCCAUAUAGAAGCGGCAUAUCUAGUUGGACUACUUGACAUGUCCGGAAUUGGUCAGUCAAAAGAGGAUGCAUUAGAAUUCUUGUGUUCUUUGAAUCAAUGUAACAACAUUGAUAUGAAAGGAACCAGGGAUGCUUUGAGACAAAGAUUAAGCCGACCAACAGUUGCAAGACAUAUCCUAGAUAUGUUUGACUAUGGGAAGAUUAAGUUCAAUCACUGCAGCCCUUGUAACAACAAUGAAUGGUGUUUUGUUAUUCAAGGCUGGCCUACUGAAGAAAAGAUAAAUCCUGCCUUCUGGACUUGUUGCAAUCGAUGCAAAUGGCACCGUGAGAGUAUUUUUUGGUUCAAGGUGAUGCGUGUGUAUGUUGUGCGAGGGAAUCCAUACCCUUAUAAUUAGUUGUAGUAUGUUUUUACGGUUUUUAUGCAUUGUGGACUUGCUUCUCUUCAGUUCUAGGUUCGCUGGCUACGUUGUACAAAUGUUGUUUAAAUGUGGGGUUUUAAUCUAUUUUGUCUGGUAUUUGUGCUGUCAUAAACCGUUUUAUAUAUAAAUGUAUAAUAUAUAUUAUAUAGCGGAAUUAUUACUGACAUCAUAGACGGCUACGAAUGACAUUUUACUGACACAGAUAUUUUGCACAACUGCAAUCUUAAUAUUUGGUAAACGAAAAGGCAUGCAUGGAGUAAAUAGGUGUCUUUUCACCAGUGCUUGGGAAUGACAUUUUCCCACUGAGCAUAUCCCAAAUGAUUUGGUUACAAGUUUCUUAAGCAAAACUUGAAUAGUGAAUGACGUUGAAUAAUUUUUUCCUAAUGUUGUAGAAUAGAUGACUUGUAUAUUUCCAUUUUAUUUUUCAAAACAUCCCUUAAACCUAAAAAAUAAAAAAAUUAACAAAUUGAAGAAGAGAGAAACCGAUUAGCACCAGAAAUGGCCUAUUCGCACGGAAAAUAAAAAUUAAAAAAAAAAGUUGGAGUAAAUAUAAUUAACAAAUGGACAGGCUAAAAAGUAAUAUAAUAAUAAUAAAAAUAAUUUAGGAUAAUAAUAAAAUACUAAUGUAACAUAACCAUGAAACAGGGAAUUCAGUAGGAAGAUGAAAUCUCAAUAAGUUCGUAGCAAUUUUCGAAACAUUAUUGGGAUUUUUGUGUAUUUAGUUAUGAAUUUUCCAAGAAAAAGUAAUAAAAUAAUAAUUUAGGGUAAAAUGCAAGGAUGUGGCCAUGUUGACUGACGUACACUUGUGCAAGUGAUGAAAGUUGACGGGCUGAGAUCGUGCCAGGUGUCCUCUUGCAAUUAUUUUGGCUUUUUUAGUGCAAAAAUCUUUGAAAAAAGGUAAUAAAUAGUAGGUCUUGUGACGUUAUAAAACUAGGGGAACCUAUAAAUCAUCCGUCUCGCAAUGAAAAAAUCCAAAUUAUUUUAGAUAACUCACUUUCCUCUUAACCCUAAGUAUUUAUGUUUGUUAACUUUAACUUCAAUAACCUACUUGAACAAUCAUCUCCCGUUAAUGUUCGGAAUUAUUUUUUUAAAAUGUGUAACCAUGUAUCGGGGAAUUCAACAAGGGAGAUUGAGUGUCAAUGAGUUCGUAGCAAUUUUCGGAUCAUUUUUCUAAUUUUUGUGUAUUUAGUUAUGAAUUUUCUAAGAAAAAGUAAUAAAAUAAUAAUUUAGGGUAAAAGGCAAGGAUGUGGCCAUGUUGACUGACGUACACUAGUGCAAGUGGUGAAAGGUGAUGGGCUGAGAUCGCGCCAGGUGUCCUCUUGCAAUUAUUUUGACUUUUUUAGUGCAAAAAUCUUUGAAAAAAGGUAAUAAAUAGUAGGAAAAUCCUAAAAAUGCCCCGAAAAUUACUCGGACCUCCUUGUGAUGUUAUAAAACUAGAGGAACCUAUAAAUCAUCCGUUUCGCAAUGAAAAAAUCCAAAUUAUUUUUACAUAACUCACUUUCCUCUUAACCCUAAGUAUAUAUUUUUGUUCACUUUAACAAUUAUAUUUCCUUAAUAUUCGUUAUAUAAUUUGUAAUAAUACAAGAAUUAGUUUCCUUUCAUAUAUAAGGAUGUAAAAUAAUUUGUUUUGUUAUAAUAAUGUACAUAUAUAAUAAUUGCACAUGCUUUGAAGCCAUCAUUGCAACUACGCCUAGAGCUUUGAACACGUCAGAGGUAUUCAAUAAGUUGUCCAUAUGACGCCGCAUUGGGAAUCAGUAAUAUAUUUUCUAUCAUGUCCAAUCACAUAAAAUAAUGCCAUACUUUUUCUGAAAAACCUCACACAAGUCAAGCAAUUUUAAAAUAUUAGUGAAUAUUUGUCCUAGUCUAUAUGAGUGAUUAUAUAUUCAGUCUGCAUUUUUUCACAGUAUAUGUUAACUUUCAGAGGGAUUCCACAAACAUAUAAUAUAAAGAAAGAAAGAAAUAGUAGGAGAUGAACCAGUACAAAAAACAAUAUAUAAAUGGUACAUAAUAAUUCCAUAACCUUGUCACAAACGCACUCACAAAUGCUUUUCCAUAAACCUUGUCCUAACAUAUAAUAAAUAAAGGCAACAUUGCAUAUGAUGCAACCAUGUCCAAAUCUGAUACGUGAUCACAAAAAAAUGGACAUGGCAGCAACAUAUGACUGAAGUAGAUGAGCUCUUUGCAUCUUGUGUUAUCGUAAUUAAAGACAUCAAAAGAUUAAGGUUGAAAUCUUCCAUAGUAGUAAGCAUCAAAAUAGGUUUGAAGCAGAGUUUAACGAAAAUUCCAAUUCCACUUAUUGGCCUCUGCUCAAACACGAGAACCAAAAUGGUUACUUCCCUUGCUGAGUAUAUUUGUUAACGUCGGAAACAGUAACAGAUGACCAAUCAAACCCGGGUACGACGAGUUUUGCAUAGGAUCGGAAGUAGUCGAAUCCAGCUUGCAUCACACGCUUCUUUGACUCCACUGCAUUAGAUGAGUUCUUGUAUUUUUGAACAGCUACACUCCGAAGUCGUUUGUGUCUACGCUUCAUGCACUGCAAAUUCGCCCUAUCCAGAUUGGCCUGCCUUUUGUCAUCUUCAAUUUGGCCUUCAACAAAUUCCAAACGUGCCCUUGGCCUUUGGAUUUCAUCACCAAGUUGAAGAUGCCUCUCCUUCCAAAAAGCAAGAACUCUUUCAGAUUCAAAACUUCCAACAAAAUGGUCAUUCUGUCUAGGAAUGUGACAUUGCUUGUCUAGUGACUCACUUGCGUUUCGAAGGCAGUCUUUGUUUGGAGGGGUGUUUAUUAUGCUCACAUCAAACUUGGUUAGUAAAUCCAUUUUAUGGGGGGAGUGAGUUUCUAUGGAGGAGAGAGUUUUAGUAGAUGGAGACAGAUUCGGUGAAGGAGUGAGUUUUGUGUGGAGGGAGAAUUUCUAUGAAAGGAGUGAUAGUAAUAGCAAUAAAAGGGUUCCCGCCAAAAAAUAUUUGGUUGACAAUGUAUAAAUUAAUUUUUGGUCUGAUACAAUCUAAGUUUAAUCCUAACUAGUUUGGUUGAGUUCACUAACUAGAUGUCACUUCCAUUGAGUUUCUUUCAACCACUAUCAGUGGUGUAAGGAGAGUGUGAGGUUGACAUGCUUGAAAAGCAAAACCUGACACCUCUUUUUUUAAAAAUUGAAAGAAAGUACAUAUGUUGACUACACACAACCUUUGGUAUGUUGGUCUAUAAACCUAUGUUCCCUUUCUCAAAUGAAAUUGCAUAUGCAAUCCUCAUCCUCCCAAAACAAAUAGGAUUAUUCAAGCAUGUCAACCUCUUCAGGCGCCAACAACACAAUCGAAGAUGACAAAUUGGAGUCGCAGGUUCUAUUUCCACAUUGUACUCACCGACCCCUUCCUUUUUCAACAUCAUUUGGGAGUGAGGGGGACUCCGAUGAUCCAUUAGAGGCAAUACAUGCAGUCAGUAGCAAGCUGGAUUAUAAUUCCAAACUGAUCAAUUCAUGGCACGAGAAAUGUGUUGAAGACGAGGCCAUUUUGGCUGAUCUUAACAUUAGAGUGAACAAAGGGUUCUCCCAAAAGAACAAGUACUUGAAGCUGAGUCAUAAAAGGAAGCUGAAAGCUGAGGAGUUGGAUACAGUAAUAAAUGAUGAAAUUAAAGGUUGUUUGAUGAACCAUAUGCGAUGCAAAGAGCAUCAUAGUGAACUGGAGUUGGCAUUCAACGAAGGAUUUUUAAAAUUUCAAGCAUUUGCGGCAACUACUCAUACAAGUUAUAAUUGGGACUAUGUGUCCCCUGAUGCUGUGAGAGAGAUACUAGACGAUGAUGGUGACAUGAAUGAGCAUAAGCACGUCAAAGCUGCUCGGAAGAAGCCGACCGAUACGACUAAGUGAUUGCGGCUACCGUUGUUCAGUUGGUUGAGGGUGAUCAUGGUAUUGCACAAAUUAGAAGUAUAUUCCCUUAAUGUCAUUAUCUAAUUUAAAAUAACACAAAUAUCAGUUUCAUUUGCUUCAUAUAUAAUUAUUGGGACUAUGUAUUGCAAGUCAUCAUGUGUUCCUUCUGUCUAACAUUAUAUUUUGCAAAUAUCGAAAUAUUAUUCAAUAAGCAGUCAAUAUCACAGCAAGUUGGGAAUCAGUAAACCCCCAUUAUCAUGUACAUUCACAUUAAAGAGCUGGUGUACUUUUUCUCAAAAAACUGACACGUGAGUCAUAAGUAACAUAACAUGUGCUAUACAUUGUUUAGUGAAUGGUUUAUGAUUUAUUUAUAUAUAAUAAAAUUCCAAAUAUUGCUGAAUAUUUAUUUCGUCUAUAUCACUGGGGACAUGAGUGAACAUACGCAUGUGAGACCUGCUAAGAAGAAGCUGACCAAUACGACCGAGGGAUUGUGGCUACCAUUGUUCCGUUGGUUGGGGAGAUCGUGGUAUUGCUAAGAGGGAGCACAUAAUAUGUUUUGCAAUCAAAUUUUCUUUUGUGUGUGGAAUUUUCUUUUAUGUGUGGAAUUAUGAGUAGUUCAAAUGUUAGUGUACCCUUUAAUAUUCUCCAACAGUUCAAAAUGUGAUUAGCUGAAUGUACUUUUUUACACGCUGCUUUCUAAUCACUCUGUUCCAACAAAAGGCUUUAAGUAUCCUUCAGUUACAAAUGUUUACAAAAUCGUGCCCCUAAUAACCAGUCGAGCUUAGAUCUUAAUAACCAGUAAAACACUAGAACAUAACAUUCGGAAAAAGUGAGUACUGUUGGAAAUCAUUACUGGUAAUGGAAACAACAGCUGGCUGCUGGAAAUGCUGCAUUAGCAUGUGAUAUAAUCAAUGAAUCUCUGUUAAAACAUAAUUCACCAUAAACUACCCAUUUUACAUGGUAAAAGUCAUUGCUUCUUCACAUAACUCAAAAUUUGAUACUUUAUCAAAUGUCUAUGAAAAUUUCUAAAUAGGGAGAAGACGUAAAAUUAACAUGUGUCCAAAUUUCAUGCAAGAAUGAAACCAAGCAAAUUUUCAUUUCAAUUACCAGUGGACAUAGUAAGAGCUCAUGGGUGGACAUGAACAAAAUAAUAAUAAUAAUAAAAACUGAAUCUAGAAAACUUCACCUGAUCAUUAGUCUUCAUAACAACCGGAUUUCGUCUAAUAGAAACAUAAAUCAUUCAGUUGGUCCGUGCAUCCUGUCAAAUUCGUCGAAUAAUGGGUCACUACGAUCUAUUGGAGUUGAUUCGUCAUUGUUCGAUGGUGAUGUCCUGCAUAAACAUCAAACAAAAGCACAUAAAAAAUUUACCUAUUCAAAUUUUAGGUGUUAUUAUAAAUAGUGUUAGCAUCUUACGGUGUGUUCAAAUUUCUUGAGCAUUGUCUUCUAUCAUGGCCAAUGUGUCCACACUCCCGACAGUGUCUAAUCCUUCGCUUCAUUGCCUUUUCCUUUGCUCCCGUUACUCGUUUCGACCUUCCUUUGCACCUCACUCUCUUAGGGUCUUUCAUAUAUUGUGUUUGAGAGCUGGACUCUCCAACUUCGUUAUUACUUGGUCCAUCCUUCAACAACUUCAACUUCACCUACAAACUUUUUAGAGUCUCUGACAGUAGCUCACAUCCUUCUUCACUCAUUAAUGCAUCCUCAACCACAUCUGAAGCAAGUCGAGACAUUGUACUCCGCUUUAUUAAAAGACCAGGAUUUGCAGAGUCUUUAAUUUCGUUGCCAUUUGCAUCUGACACCAAUCCAGAUUUCGCAGUUUUCUUCCACCUCUUCAAAAUAUAUUUAUCGGGCAUAUAUUCAAUCUGGUCCCUUCUGAACAAUGCUAAGAUGUGCUUGCAAAUAAUUCCAACAAAUUCAAAUCUUUUGCAGCUACACGAUGCGUGGUCAGAAUCUUUGACAUAUACAACUUCUGCCACUCUUGUUUCCCAAUUUUUCCUUUCGCUCACGUUAAAGACAACUUUAGAAGCAUCCUCUGUUUUGAGCUCUAGGAAACAUGCUGUACUUUGUAUUAGUUCUUGCUCAAACUUUUGAAACAUUGUCCUUGUGUACAAGGUAGCCAUUUGUUUGUUUAUUGGCAUCGGUAGAAUACAUUGAGCCACUUCAAAUGCAUCUAUGUGAUCAGCAACUAACUCUUUUUGACGUUGAUGAGAAAGUGCCCUCUCAAAUCGUAUUAUGAAAUCCAUCAACGAAUUUCUCUUUGAUAUGUAUUGCUUGAAAAAACCAUGAGAACCUUCCGCUAUUUGGCUGCUUGAUAUUCCAGCGGCAAAAAAUUGUCGUGCGUAGGCUGGAACCCAAGAUUCCCUUAAAUCAAACAUUGAACUUAGCCAUGGAUGGUCAGUCAAACCAGCCUUUGUAACCACAAUAUUCCAUUUUGCAUCAAACUCAUCCUUAUUGUCAGUAUCCCAUAUGACUUUCUGAAAUUCACUCCAAUACUCCUUAUAAGCAGAAUGUGGUAACUUAACAGAGAACUUUGAUGUGAUGUGCCAUAUGCAAAGUCGAUGAAAUGUAGUCGGGAAGGCUAUUGAAAUCACUCUGGUCAUUGCCGCAUCUUGAUCUGUAAUGAUCAUUUUAGGUUCGCCACCUGGCAUGGGUUUCUUAAACUCCUCAAACAUCCAAAUAAACGACUCAGUCGUUUCCUUGCUAAAAAAUGCACAUGCUAAGACAAUUGUCUGACCAUGGUUAUUAACUCCCAACAUUGGUGCAAAUGUCAAGUCGUAUCGAUUCGUGUUGAAUGUGGUAUCGAAUACAACAACAUCUCCAUAAAACCCGUACGCCCGUCUAGAAGUUGCAUCUGCCCAAAAAAAUCGACUAAACUUGUCAUGGCCAUCUCCCUCAAUCUUGAAAUAAAAAGCCUCAUUUUUUUCUGUUCAGCCAUAAAAUACUCGGUCACUAGUUCAACAUCGUGGUUCCUCAGCUUCCCAUUCACACUACAUUCAAGAUUGUAGAUAUCUUUUUUGAUAAAUCUGAUUUUAUCCAUUCCUCCGGAUUGCACCUCGAAAAUACUUACCUUCUGAUGAAUGAGAAUAUUAACUGAACCCAACUGUUUUGUGAGUACUUUUGUAGAAUCUGAAAUACGACGGUGUGAUCUUAAUAAAUGCAUUCUUUCUGAGGGUGUCAUCUUAUGAUUGUGUCCCUCUGCAAAAAGAGAGAUGGUAUACUUCUUGCUCCCAUUUGCCUUCACAACUACAAUCUUAGCUUUGCAAUUGCAUCUACUUAUUCCCCGUUGUCUUUUUCUCUCUCAAGUUUCAUCUCUCAUGUAUGCACCUUGUUUGCAACAUACAAAUUCUUUCCUCAAAAUCUCUUUCUUAUUUUUCCCCCAAAAGCUGGAAUGAAGUCGAAUACCAAAGCCAGCCAAGAAUGCAUAUCUAUUAUAGAAAUUGUAAACGAGGUCAAGCGAGUCGAACUUCAUCCCAACUGCUGGUGUUUCCUCAUUUCUUACUUCAGGAAUAUAAACCCUCCCAUUAGCUGUUACACAGUCAUCACUCUCUGAGCCCCCAGACAUUUUAUCUACAUAUAUUAUUGAUCCACUUCUAUAUUACUGCAUAGCAAAUAUUAAUUCAUUAAUCAGUCAUUACUGCAUCACAACAUAUCAAUGCAUUCCACUUACACAAAACAUUGCCCAAAUUGACACAAAACACACAUAGCCUAACUUGUUGGAUUCCGAUUACACAAAACGCAAGCAAAAUUUAAUAAUAGUUACGUCAUCUCUUGUGAAAUAAUCUGGAAAAAAUAACAUUAGAACCAACAUGUUCAACUAAGAACACAAAUGUAAUUCAAACCACCAAUUACAGAACUUCACCCAAUAUCCUCUCCAAAUGCUUACUCCUAAUGUCAUUAAGCCUAAAUUUAGGAUCUUUUACCUACAUUUCAUAAUUUUCCACCCCCACCAAAAACAAUCAACUAAGUAUAUUGAAUAUUCAUAAAGAAAGGACACAUUAUUGACUCCACCAAUGACGCAUUAUUGAUGCCACAAAUGACGAAUUUCCCACCCUCACAAAAAAUAAACCAAAGCCAAUAAAAUCAAUCCAGCAAGUGAACUUACCUCUCAAAAUCAAUCGGGAGCUCCGAAGUCAGUCAGCUUGAGAGAAUGUGGUGGACAUUAGAGAAGACUCUUUGGUAUUUGAGACUCCAUCUCUACCAAAAUUGAGGAACAACUGCUGCUGCGGCAUCUAGCUACAAAAAGAGAUAUGCUACUUUACUUUCAUCUGGAAUCUUGUCUGCUGAAUGAAAAAGAGAAGGGGUUUUCACUUGAGCCAUAAAAUCAAAACAGGGCAACAGCUAGGUAAGAGCCAUUAAUCGCAAUACCGAGGAUACCAUAGAUCGCAGGCCUCCCAAGAAGCUGAUGACAAUGGAGUGACUAUAGGGUUUGGGAGCUUUGGAUCCUUCUAAUUGUGGGUUUUCUUUACAUUCAAAAAGAGAGGAUUAUGUUCUUGAGUUUUUCACAAAGAGGGAAAGAGGGAAAGAUGAGACUGAAGUUGGGUUUCUAACGGGUUAGAUUUCAACCCGAUUCUACAUGCACCCUUUUUAAAAACUCACCGUUGGAUGAAAUCCAACGGCUCUUACAUACCCCUCAAAAACACCCCUUAUAACUUUCCACUCACUAUAGAAGCUCCCAAAAGAAAACAGAUUUGCCAAAAAUCAAAUUUUAAGUCUCUCCUACGAUCGAAAUUUGGAUUUGAUGAACUAAAGUGGUUUUACUUUCUCCAUCAGUGUUUGAUGACUUAAUUUGUUAUUUACUUUUUUUAAAAAAACUUUAUCUUAUAUAUAUUAGUUUUCUUUUUUCCUUCAUAUUCACCACCUUUAUGUUGCUUAAGUAUUUCAGUCUUAACGGGUUUCCAUCUACCACUCAUCUUUGCUCUUCUCAGUGUAAGCCUUUUUUUUAAGCAUAAGAUUAGAGGGGAGGGGGGGGAGGGGGAUUUCUUAAUGUAAGCUUUGCAGUUUCAUAAUUAAUAUUUCCAAUAUCUCACUGUUAGUAAAAUACAAAACAUGAAAAGUAUGAAUAAAAUACGCACAUGUUACUAAUUUAUUGAGAUAAAAUACCAUUUUGCCCCUAGAAUAUUUUAUUAGGUUUAAAGUUGACUUUUUGACCAGGAAGGAAUUUGGGUAUUUCGACUAUAUCGUUGCAUAGAGCACGACGAGGUGAUUCCAUAGACACGUGGUAGGCUCGAAUCGGAGUUGUAAUGAGAGACAUACGAUCAAAAUACCUUCAGUGGCAUAAUCGUAAUUUUGGCUUAAAGGGUUUGAUAAAAUAUGAUUUUUCUUUCUUUCUCUCUCUCUCUCUCCCCGCCCAGUCUCUCUCUCGUGACGGCAGUGAUAGCCGGCCACAUUUUGGCCAGCCGUGCUCUCGUCCGGCCACCAAAGCUGAUGGGGCCGGUACCAAAAUGAUCAGGCCACCAUCCUUUUCCAACCUCAGCCAGGCCCCGCCGCCAGCAGUCGUGGUUUUGCCGGAAAAUGGAGAAGAAGCGGCCGGUUUUGUUCGAACUUCUCCGACUUCGUUCUCCCUCCUCUGGCCACCGAUUCCGAUGAAUGAGGUAUGGUUUCUCACCUACUUUUCAUGCUCUAGCUGCCUGUUGGGUAGGAUUCGAUCAAUCCCUAGUGUAGGUGGCUUGAUUUUCGAAUUGGGUUUCAGCCGAUUUUGGGAUCUCGAUUCCAGCCCCUUUCGAUCAGUUUUUAGGGUAGGUCCCAGAACAAAAGUGGUUCCAAAUAGGGUGUUAUACCUAGGUAGGAACCUUGAGCCGUGAUUUUGAGAAUUUUCUACGAUGCCUAAUCGCUUUGGACACCCACGCGCUACCGGCACGUGGGCACUGUAGAAAAAGGGCAUUGUGUCCCGAUGCGAUCCCCUUGUUGUCUUGAGUGCAUAGGUGUGCUCGGAUUUCAAUUGAAUACCGUUUGAGUCUCGAACGAAUAUCACAUAUUGUGCGUUAUCCGGAGUCGAUAGGUUUGAACCGUUGGAUAGUCUUAGAUUUAUAAUAUGUUAAUCUAGAUAUUCUUAGGAUCAAAAAGGAUUUGACGGAUCGUAAAAUGGAGUCCCGGAUACUCCGAAAAUGCCAACCCUAGGGCUAGGUUCCUAGUAACCGUCCGAUCGUGCAAUCAUGAGCAAUCCGACAGUCCGAUCCGGACCAAACUUGCAGGACGUGUAUCCUAAACCUUGUAGAACCCAUAGGAACUUUCAGAUUAGAAUUUGGAGGUCGUGGGCCCCUUGGGCCCGUUUGACUAAGUUUGGGUAGUUUGACCAUUGGCUGAUCGUGAGUCUUCAAAGGUAGUUUUACCUUCCUAGGAGGAUUAUAAAGACCCUAGUGACAGGUCUUGAGCGUUGUUGAGCUAUGUUGACUAGGUUUAGACUUUUAGAGUGUUUAUUAUUAUCGUAGGAAACUCUUGGAUAUUAUUUUAAUAAUUGAAAUUAUGAAAUUUAUGUUUAUGUGCAUGAUCGUUGGUCUAAAAAUAGCAUUAUUUUCCUGAUAAAAUUACGUUGCAGUAUACUAUAGAAUGGUAUCACUAAAUGGGGAUUACCUCUAUUAUUAGUUUAGAUAAUUAUGAGUAUGUCAGUUUGAAGUGCUAUACGCACUACCCUAAGUACCACCCUGUGAUUGUUAGGUCCCAUGUGGUGUAGGUUAUCCAGUGUAAGGACAGACCCCAUACGUGGCUUCAGAUGUUCUGAAGUAUUGGGGAGAUUAUGUGAUGGUUUUGUCACACGUGGCGUAGGUUAUCCGGCGUGUUGACAGACCAUAUACAUGGAGUUGGAUGUUCCGGCAUAUGGAGAGAUUUUGUGAUUGUUAGGUCCCACGUGGCGUAGGUUAUUCGGCGCGAGGACAAACCCUAUAUGUGGCUUUAGAAGUUCCGGCGUAUGAGGGAGAUUAUGUGAUGGUUAGGUCACACGUGGCGUAGGUUAUCCGGCGUGUUGACAAACCUCAUACGUGGUGUUGGAUGUUCCAGCGUAUGAGGAGAUUUUGUGAUUGUUAGGUCCCACGUGGCGUGGGUUAUCCGGCGUAAGGACAGACCCCAUACGUGGCUUUGGAUGUUCCGGCGUAUGGGGGAGAUCAUGUGAUGGUUAGGUCACACAUGGUGUAGGUUAUCCGGCGUGCUGACAGACCCCAUACGUGGCGUUGGAUGUAACGACCCGGUCCUAAAUAAAUUAGUAAAUAUUAAUUUAUUCAAAGAAAAUACCAUUUUGCCCAUAGAAUAUCUUAUUAGGUUUAAAGUUGAUUUUGUGAUCGGAAAGGAAUUUCAGAAUUUCGACUAUACCGUUGCGUAGAGCACGACGAGAUGAGUCCGUAGACACAUAGUGGGCUCGAAUCGGAGUUGUAACAAGAGAGAUACGAUCAAAAUACCCUCAGUGGCAUAACCGUAAUUUUGGCGAAAAGGGUUGAUAAAAUCAUAUUUCUCUCUCUCGGCCGGAAAUCCCAGUUGACAAAAUCCCGGCCGGAAACCUUGAAUUUCAGCCACAGCUUCGACUGGUUUGAACAGGGUUUUUCCCGGCUUUGCCCCAUCGCCUCCGCCGCCCAAUUCUGGUGAAACAGGUAUGGUUCCUCACCUAUUUUCCGAGAUCUAGCUGCUGUUGUGUAGGAAUUGGACAAUUUUCGUGUUUAGGAACUCGAUUUAGAAUUUUGGUUUUGCCCGAAUUUUCAAAGUGAAAUUUCGGCCACUUCUGCUAGUUUUUGGGGUAUGUCCAAGAACAAAAGUGGUUCCAAAUAGGGUGUUAUACCUAGAGUAGGAACCUUGAGCCAUGAUUUUGAGAAUUUUCGGCGAUGCGUAAUCGCUUUGGAAGCGCGUGGGCACUGUUGAAAAGGGGCAUUGUGUCCCGAUGAGAUUCCCCUGUUGUCUUUAGCGCGUAGGUGUGCUCGGAUUUCAAUUUGGAUACCGUUUGUGUCUUGAACGGAUAUCACAUAGUGUGCGUUAUCCGGGUUCGAUAGGUUUGAACCGUUGGAUAGUUUUGAAUUUGAUAUAUGUUAAUCUAGGCAUUUCUAAGAUCGUGUAGGAAUUCACGGAUCUUGAAUCGGAGCCCUGGAUGUUCCGAUUUAAUAACUUAAAGUUUAUGUUUAUAAUAACCGUCAGAUCGUGCAAUUGUGAGCGAUCCGACCGCCCGAUCCAGACCAAACUUGUUGGACGUAUAUCCUAAACCUUGUGGAACCUAUAGAAAUUUUCGGAUUAGAAUUUGGAGGUCGUGUGCCCCAUGGGCCCGUUUUACCAAGUAUGGGUAGUUUGACCCUUAGUUGACCAUGAGUCUUCCGAGGUAGUUUUACCUUCCUAGGAGGAUUAUAAUGACCCUAGUGACAGGUCUUAACCGUUGUUGAGCUAUGUUGACUAGGUUGAGACUUCUAGAGUGUUUAUUAUUAUUGUAGGAAAUUCUUAGAUAUUAUUUUAAUAAUUGAAAUUAUGAAAUUUAUGUUUAUGUGCAUGAUCGUUGGUCUAAAAAUAAUAUUAUUUUCCUGAUUAAAUUACGUUACAGUCUACUAUAGACUGGUAUCACUGAAGUGGGAAUACCUCUAUUAUUAGUUUAGAUAAUUGAGAGUAUGUCAGUUUGAAAUGCUAUACGCACUACCCUAAGUACCACCCUAUGAUUGUCAGGUCACCCGUAGCGUAGGAUUUUCUGGCGAGAUGACAUACCCCAAUUGUGGCGUUGGAAUUUCCGGCGUAUGGAGAGAUUAUAUGAUUGUCAGGUUACGCGUGGCGUAAGAGUUUUCGGCAUUAUGACAGACCUCAUACGUUGCGUUGGAAUUUCCGGCGUAUAAGGAGAUUAUUUGAUUGUCAAGUCACCCGUGGCGUAGGAUUUUUCGGCGGGAUGACAGACCUCAUACGUGGUGUUGGAAUUUUUGGCGUAUGGGGAGAUGAUAUGAUUGUUACGUCACAUGUGGCGUAAGUUAUUCGACGUGCUGACAGACCCCAUAGGUGGCGUUGAAAUUUCCGGCAUAUGGGGAGAUGAUAUGAUUGUUAGGUCACACGUGGCGUAAGUUAUCCGGCGUGCUGACAGACCCCAUACGUGGCGUUGGAAUUUCCGGCGUAUGAGGAGAUUAUGUGAUUGACAGGGAGAUGAAUAAAGGUAUUGUAUGUGUUUGGAAUGGGGAUUUAGUAGGAAGAACUACGUGUGGCUUGAUCCCUCAGUGAGGGUAUGUAGGUAGCCUAAGGUUAUUAGGUGCAGCCGCGGACAUAGAUGUGAUUGUGUUAGGAGGUUAAAACCUCGUAUGUUGGAAUUGGAAAAGUUAGAUGAUGUAUGUUGUAUUUAGUAUUCAUAAUUCAUAUUUGAGUUUAUUAUUUGCCUUGCUGAAAGCAAUAUGUGACUCAAGAGCUUUGUGGGUAGUUUGGGAUAUUAAAUGUGUUUUAUGCAGGUUGAAAAAUUUGGGGAAUGAUCAAUUUACAGGGGAGACUUUGCCGAAAUUUCGACAGAAAGUCCCGGUCUUUAGUAAGUGGGCCCGGCAUCGGGGUGAUGUCGAGAAUUCCAUAGGAUUCGUAUCGGGUUUCGGGAAAUCUGGGGCUAGUCUUGUCAUUGGAUGUUCCGGCGUAUGGGGAGAUUUUGUGAUUGUUAGGUCCCACGUGACGUAGGUUAUACGACGUGAGGACAGACCCCAUACGUGGCUUUGGAUGUUCCGGUGUUUGGGGAGAUUAUGUGAUUACUAGUGAGAUGAAUAAAGGAUUGUUUAUAUUGGGAAAAAUGUGUUUGUAGAAAGAAUUACGUGUGGCUUGAUCCCUCAGUAAGGGUACGUAGGCAGCCUAGGGUAGUGGUUAGGUGCAGCCGCUGACUAAACGUUAUAAUGUUGUUUUUAGGUUUGAUUAUAUGGUAUUAUGGGCCGAGGCCCCUGGGACUAUUGGUUAUAAUUCAUAGAUGGUAGUUGAUGCAUGCUAGAAAUUUGUAGGAAGUUAUUUCAUGUGGAUUGCAGUGGUACUCGUAAAAUUUAUUUGAGUUCCUGAAUUGCAUUGUUAGUAUAUUAAUUGACUUAAGAGUACUGCUAGUAGUUCUGCCUUGAUUUAUUUGAAGGUUGGAGGCCUUGUCUGUAAACUGUGUGCAAUUACAUUGUGUGUGCUGGCAGUUGGCUUUUUAAAUUGUGAAUUUUGUGCAUGUUGAAAUUUGGGAAAUGUUCAAUUUACAAGGGAGACUCUGUCAAAAUUUCGAUAGAAAGUCUUGUGCCCUUAUUCCUUUUUCGGAAAAAGGAUAUAUAGCUUUAGAAGUGGGCCCGACAUCGGGAUGAUGUCGGGAAUUUCGACAGAAUUCGUCUUAGGUUUCGGAAAAUUCGGGGCGGGUCCGAAAAAGUUGCUUCAGUUUUGGCAAGUAUCGGAAAAGACCAAAAUUUUCCGACUUUAUUAUUACUAGAAACAAAGUCGAAGUAUUCACCAAUCAUGUGGCCUUCCAAGUGCUCAAGGUUAAGCCAGGAACCGUUCCUAUCUGCCGUUUCCUUCCCAACUAUGAUCAUGUUGUCUAGGUUCCAACCCACAAAUCUACAUUGGGCUAUGUAUUUGAAUUUGUACUAAAGCGUGAUCUAUAGUAUGCAUUUAUUAGAUAAGUUUGAGAUGGCAGUGGCUUGGGUGUCCGCCGAGCUUGAACAAGUUUGGGUGUGCUGAGUGUUUCCAUGGGUGCGUUGAUGAUCAUGGUUAUUAGAUUUGUGAUAGUUUGGGCUCAAUUUCAACAGAACUUAUCUCAAGCCUAGUUAGUUGAUUCAUAAGUUUAUCAGGAAAAAAAAAUGAAAAAUGAAAAAUGAAAAAUGAAAAAAUCUUAAGUUAAGCCCAAGGACUUCUCACCAAAGUGUGCAUAAAUUGAAAUAUUUAAUAGAAGCCCAAGAUUUCUGAAGCACAUAAUAUCUACUAAAUUCUACAAAGUGUUAUACUUUACAAACUUCCUAUGUGUACCAAUUUUUACUAAAAUUAAUUUCUCUGCGGUGUUGAGAUUCAUCAUAAUUUUAGUAGAAAUUGGAAGUUUUCAUCAUUUUUGCUUUAAGUCUCUCCUCCACUCACUAAUAAAGAUUACUCAAGUGAGUUUACAAAACAUUUUUUUCUACUCUCUCCUGAAAACUACACUUCUUCUCAAAAGAUUAGAUCACUUCACAUCUUGCAUAUGUGAAAACUAAUGUAAAAAGUUGAAACUUUAUCAUAAAACCUCGACAAAAAUUAGCUCUACUUAAAACGUUAAAUUUGGAUUCGUUGAUUUAAAUGGCAAUUUGACACUUCAUAGAAAUUUUUACAUACAUGUGUUAGUGUUUGAUCACUUCACUUGUUACUUACUAUAUUUAUUCCAUGAUUCUCCCUCAAGUUAGGUAAAUAUUAUUAUCAAACAUUUCAAUUCAUUUGUGAUCUUUCUUGUCCAUCUUUUAAUGUACCCUGAAAUCCAUUAGCCACAUAUGAUGACCAAAAUCCAUACGUUCCUAUUUUUAAUGUAUGUUUACUCCCUAUAAUGUUCCAGUCUAGGGUAAUAACACUGCUAGUUUCAUAUGACAUCCUAUUUCUAAUGUGUAUCUACCCUUGUAAUGUUCCAGUUUAGGGUAAUAACACUGCUAGUUUACUAUCAUGUUGAUUAAUGCUUGUCAUGUUGCUAUUUCUAAUACAUGUCCAACAAAGAAAAGAUGAAGAAAGAACAAACCAGACCAACUCAAAAUAAGUUGAGUCCAAAUAGUUAAUACUAUUAUGUCGUAGAAGUACGUUGUUAAUACUCUGUAAUAGAAGUACAUGGUUAAUACUCUGUCAUAGAAUUACAUUGUUAAACAAAAAUAAGAUCCAUAACUGAAAUAGUAAUAAAAGAUAAGUCGAUCAUCAAAUCUUAAAAUACAUUUCGAAAAUCAACUAAAAUCCGAAGAGAAACACAUAAUUGAAGCAAAAGAUCAAAAAUCUCAAGUCCAAACCAAACAACGACGACGACGACAAUGAUGACGACAAUGACGUGGCGAAGAGGAGUAGAGCUCGAAGAUGAGGAGUAGAGCUAAGAGCAUUUGAUCAAGGUUCGUUUGAGGUCUCGAACAAUCCGAAAAAAAAAAAUCAAUAGAAGCAAGAUUUUAAAACAAGAAUCGAAUGUGAAAUAUUGAAAAUUGUAGAUUAAAGAUGAAGAAUAUAGUUGGACCUGAGACUGAGCUCCAAUGGAAGCUCCUCUUGCUCCAACACCAGAGAAAGCACCAACAAGAAAAGAGAAAAUAAAUAUGAUUUGGAUUUUUGGCAGAUUUGAAUUUUUGGCAGAUCUGGUUUUUUUGGCAAAUUUGAAUUUUUGGCAGAUCUGUGCAGAUUUGUUUUUUUGGCAGAUCUGAUUUUUCUCUCUCAAAUCCAUAUUGCAAGGGCAAUAUAGGUAUUUAACACACACAAAUAAACUAAAAAACAGCUAUUAAAUUGAAAAAUUUGACAGCUAUCAAUUUUGGGUGUGUUUGUAGUUUUUAAAUAGUAUAGGGUUUCUUUAUUAGACUAUGUCUACGAUUGGGUAUAUAAUUAAAUUUCUAUUAUUAAAAAAAAAGGACCCUAGUAAAGCCAUGGGACGAUACUCCUUUUAUAUAUAUUAUAUGAUAUAAAUAUUAUAAUAUAUUAUCUAAUAUUUGGAAUAUUUACUCUAAAAUAAACAAUAUAUUAGGUUCUUUUUGUCUACAAAUUGACCAUUAAACUUCUUAAUCACUCUUAUACUUUUAAUUAAAUCUACUAGGCUAGGUUACGAUAUUUGCACUAAAAACUCCUAAUUGUUUUUUCUUCUCUUUCUCUUGCUCUUUUUUUAACUUAAGCUGAAGUUUUGUAAUUUUUUUUCCCUCCCUUUUUACAUGUAUGAGUAGGGUACUUUAAUAUUGGGAUUUAUGAACUUUUUUUGUAUUUCUUCUCUAUGUUGGAAUAUAAAUUAGAGAUAUUUAGUCAUAUACCCAUUCUUAGCACUAAUAUUAUAAAUAAACCUUACAUCAUUCAAUUCCUAUAAACAAACCCAAAAAAUAAUAGCUGGCCCUAUUGAAUUUAAUUUUGACUAUUAAAUUACUUUGAUGCCCUAUUGAGUGUUUUGGGCUUUUUUUUAUGAGAUUUUGGAGUUGAGUUUGUUUUAAGAAAUCAAUGGCAAUUUUGUAAUUUAAAAAAAAUUAAAAGGCUUUUUGUUAUGUUGUAAAUAGGUUUCGAGUGUGUUUCUAAAGUCCAUUUCAUAUAGGUUUUUUAUAUAUAAUAAUUUGAACUCCUAUAUUGGGUAUAAUAGUGAAUCUCCAUUUAUUAACUUUUGAGUCUUUAAUAGUGUAGAUGAUGAGAUUAAUAUUCAACCAUUUUAUAAUAUGAAAUUAAGGACAAUCAUGAUUGUAAUGAAUGGAUUAUUAAUCAAUAUGAAAUGAUAUUAUGAAGUAGGCUAAAUGGAGUAGUUAGUAUCGUAUUAACUUAUUAACCGGUUAGCGCUUGAGCCCUCUAAUUCAAAUUAUUUUAUAAAAUUUUGUGAAGGGCCCCUUCUAAUGCAAAUUCCUGGCUGCGCCACUGCCUAUAGCAACUUGGUAAUGUGUGUGAAACAUCCCCUCCUUUUGUCGUUUAAACUAUCGGUUCGCUUGUAUUAAUAAAACAAAAAAUAAAAUAAAAGAUAAAAUUAUAAAUAAAACAAAACACAUAUUAAAGCCUAACUGUUAAUAAUGGAUCCAACAUAAGAUCCAGCCCAAGCCCAUGAAUAAAGCCCCCGAAAACGGUUGGUCCCUCAAUUAAAUUAUUCGUUCAAAUGGUCCAUCAACUCUAUAUUAUUCGCUCCAUUGGUCCUACCGUUAUAUUUUGUCAAUAUUUCUGUUAAAUAUGAGGGCAAAUUGGUCAUUAUUUAUCCUAAAAUUAGGUUAAAUCUAACAUAAAAUUAGACGGUAGGAAUUCGGGGCAGGUCAUGUCAAAAAGCUAAUUAGAGGGGCGAAAUUGACAAAUAAAUUUAAUACAAUAGCUAAAUUGGUUGAAAGAUUAAUUCAAGAUGUAGAUUUCAACAAGUGUGAUAAUUCAUGGGGUAUUCGGUAAUUUACUCCUUUUUUUCCCCUUGAUCUUCUAUAUUCAAGUAAUGGAAAUGUGUUCCACAUUUUCCAUUUAGUUGAUUAUAGAAAAGGAAGAGCAAACAUGAGUUAAGCCCAAGGCACCGAACUUAGGGUCAGUUUGGCAUUGUUAUGCUGUGAAAAUAAUCGUUGUCAGAUUUGCUGUGAGAGAAAAUAGUUUGGCGUUUGGUAAAAUUUUUGUUAAAAGUAUUAUUAGUAUUUAUUUUACGCAUAAUCAGAAAAUGAUUGCUGCAUAAUCAUUAAAUCCAGCGCCUUUUCGAAACUGAUUUUUGCAUAAUCAGAAAAUGAAAGCACAUCAUUAGCUGCUUUCCUUUAUAGCUUUCUCUCACAUCAAUUUUUAACAAUAAGUGAUUUUCUCACAGUUUACCAAAUGGAUUGGGCUUCUCAAAAUUUUAAAAAAAUCACUUAUCACCCCAAAUAAGUAAUGCCAAACGGGCACUUAGACUUCUCACCAACGUGAGGAAGAAAAAUAUGACAAAUUGAUAUAUUUAAUACAAGCUCAAACUGUGCACAAAUUAAUAUAUGCAACGGAAGCCCAAGAUUAUUUCUGAAGCACAUAAUUUCCGCAAAAUCUACAAAGUGGUGGGAGGCAGACCAACAAAAAAAAGUAGCGAAGGCUUAUAACUCUGGUAAAACAAGAGUGACUUGGACAGAAUAAUGUUAUGUCGUACUGAAGAUUUUUGGGUUUCUUUAAUUGGUUAAGUUUAUAUACCUUCAUUUGAAGAUUCUUUAUUUGGGUUGCUUUCAAGAUGAAAACCAUAUCCACAACCACAACCACAACUGGCAGACAAUCUUUGGCUGUUCAUCACAAUUGGGCGACAAUGAAGAAGACAGAAAUUGGAGUAAUGUAUGUUACCAGCAAUCCACGAGAAACUGACAUCUGCAAGCUUUCGUAAUAUAAGGAGGAUGGGGAGGCCGUGCAAUACUUAUCACCUUAGCCACCACCUACACCACAAGACCAAUAUGUUGUAGGCCAGGAGGCUUUCCAAUUUUAAUAUAUAUAUAUAUAUAUAUAUAAAAGUAAAGUGACAAAGAAAUUAAUGUAGGGUAAAGGUAGAAUAGAAAAGAGAAUGAACAAAAUUAAUAAAAAAAAGUUUUAAAAAGUAAAAGGGAGUGUAGAUGGAGAAAAGAGGAAUGGGGAAAUUAGCUCCCUAUAUAUAUAUAGAUUGAAAAAUUAAAAUUAAAAUCAAUCUAUUAUCUUAUAUAUUAUAAAAUAAAGAUUAUUGCUCCAAGGAAAUGAGAUCUUUUGUUUUCUGGGAAUUUUCUGAACCAAGAAGAAUCAAGUAAAAUUAAUAAAGCAUAAAUUGGAAAGGGAAAAGAUCCAGAGGAUGCAUUGUAAGAUUGCUGAUGCCAAUAAUUGUACCCUCUAAUUUUAUACAUGGACGGGCAUUCAAAUCGGCAAAUCAGAAAUCCAAGCCAAAUCGCACAGGAAAAAAUCGAGUUGACCAAAUAGUCAACAACCAAUCAAAAACCAUACCGGACCAGUUUGGACCGGUUUUGGAUCCAAUUCUAUGUCUUCAAAAACUGAACCAAGCGGAACCGAACCAGUCAAAUUAAAAAAUAUAUAAUUUCAAUAUAUAUUUAUAUUCAAUGCUAUAUUUUUAGUCUCAUAACUAAUAUUUAUGCAAGUUCAAUUUCAAAACAUCUCUCUUUUCUGGCUUUAAUAUUUAUUUUUAUAUAAAAUUAAAUAAUUUAUUAAUUUUCAAGUCAAAAAAAUAAAAUUUUAGUUGAAAUUUGUAUUAAAAAAUUAUUUGAAAAAAAUUAAUUUUAAUAAUCCAGUUCAAAACCAAAUCGGACCGGAACCUAAUCAAAAUCGGUUCAACCUGAACCGGACAGUUUUUGAAUUUUUUUUGUUAAAACCGAACCAAACCAAACCGGACAAAUAGUAUCGGAUUCGGUUCUAAUUUGAGACAAAAACCAGUCCAAACCGGACCGUGCCCACCCUAUUUUUUUUGUUUUCAAGUCUUAGAUGACAUGUCGACCUAAAAUUAUUGUUCCUAGCGGGCUCUCCACCCCCACUCAACCUAUUGUGUAUUAUUAUUUUCAAUAUUAUCUUAAAUUUAACUACUUAUGUCCAUUAUGAUUAGUCAUGUAUUUUAUGGACCAUCCAGCUGUGAGGCUUUAUCUCAAAAACAUUCAGUACCUUUUUCCCGCUUGCAACAAUUGUAUUUGAUUCAGAAUUAUGUCCUAUAUUGGUGGGUGGAGUGUUACUUCUGGGUACCCCUCAUCAUUCGUCUAUAAAAUGGUGAAGCCAGUUGCUACUGUUACCAUAAGAGCCAUCUCCGACUUUCUUUAAUUUCUUGCUUCAUAUCCACUAGCUACAUCUGUUGCCAAGUUAAUUUCAGUCCUAAUGGGGUUUCAUCUCCCACUCAUCUUUGCUCUUCUCAGUGUAAGCUCUGCAAUUUGAUUAACAUUUCCAUUAUCUCUCAUUGUACUCUAUAUAAACGAAAGUUUUGCAUUCCUAUAAUCCUCUCUGAUUUUAUUUACCACAUAAGUGUCGUCCACUAAUUAAUUACACUUUGUGAUUUGAUUUUAAUUAGAGUUCGAAUUAAUGUUGCAGCUAGCAGCGGUGGCACUGGCAAACCAUGCUGCUCAACCAGCAGCUCAACUUUACUGGAACUCCGUCCUGCCGAACACACAGAUGCCAAGAACUAUCAGUGAACUUCUGCAUCUUGGUUUGUGUUAAUCACUUUAGAAUCUUAGAUAUUUUUUCUACCUGCCAUUUUACUAAAAUUUGUUUGACCACAUAUUUAUCGGUUAACUACUGUUUUCCAAUUUAUUAUUAACCUCUACAUGAGUAAUUAUAGUAUGGUACUAGAGUACGUACGGCAACAUAUUCACAAAUGUCUCACUGAAUCUUCAAUCGGCUGAUCACUUAUUUUCCAUUAUGACGUUGAUAUAUAAUUUGCCGACUCCACAAAUGAAGAAAAGAGCACAAAUAUCAUGAAUGCUGUUGGGAAUGGAAAGCCAACUGACCACAAGGGAAAACCUGAAAUAAACGCAUUGUUUAGCGGAUACACAAUUCAAGUACAGUAUGCAGGAGUUCCUAAUUCUGACAAUCAACUCCAGUAUUAUAAAAACAUAACUAUUUUCUUCUUGGGGAAGGACAUGCGCCUUGGCGCAACAAUGAACUUCCAAUUCCCUAGAAAUUCAAACACGGCUACUUUCCUGCCACGCGAAAGUGCUCAAUCAAUCCCCUUCUCCUCUAACAAACUAUCAGAAAUUUUCAAACAUUUUUCAGUGAAGCCAACAUCUGUGGAAGCCAAAACAAUUAAGAAAACAAUCGAAGAGUGUGAAGCUCCAGGCAUUAAGGGAGGGGAAAGAUAUUGCGCCACAUCUUUAGAAUCAAUGGUUGAUUUUAGCACUUCCAAGCUUAGAACAAGAAACGUUCAAGCAAUCUCGACUGAGGUAUUGGAAAAAGGAACUGCCAUGUCCAUGCACAAGUAUACAACAAUGCCGGGACUGAAGAAGUUGGCAGGUGACAAAGUCGUUGUGUGUCAUAAGGAGAACUAUCCCUAUGCUGUGUUUUUCUGCCAUGCAAUAAAACAAACAGCAGCUUAUGUUCUCUCCCUGAAAGGCGAUGAUGGGGUGAAGGUUAAAGCAGUAACCAUCUGCCAUCUAGACACAUCAGAAUGGAACCCAAAGCAUUUGGCCUUCCAAAUCCUCAAAGUUAAGCCCGGAACCAUUCCCAUCUGCCAUUUCCUUUCCACAGAUGCUAUUGCAUGAACAUCACUUAGCACUGUACGUAUAAUAAGCUUGCACCCCUGUAUAAUUAUCUCCCUACUCUACUUAUUUCUGCCUCUUCUGUUGAGAUUUCAAUCAGAACUUGCACACACAAUGCAUCAGCUCACACAAAACCAGAUGAAUUUAAGAAAACAGAAAAAUGCAGAGAAAGAAUGGAUUGGCUACUCAGUAAUGCUCAAAGGUUCGUUGCUAUGCACAAAACAUGGCAGUGCACAAUACUCUCAUUUCUAACGGAACCAUUCCUUUUUACAAUGCUGAGAAUGUGAUCUCAGCCUUACAAUUGAUCCAGCAAUGUAAGCUGGACACUUGUCUUAAAUCUGAGUCAUAUAAGUUUCAUCCAACCAAAAUAUUACAUCUGUGAAAUAAAACUUAAACCAGCAGGAAUUUAUAAUUCGACAUUCCCUUCUAAAUUGUUGACUGGUUUAACACCAAGUAGACCUCUUAAGUAAUUGAAUCGAUCCUUAGACAAAGCUUUAGUGAAUAUGUCAGCUGCUUGCUCUUCGGACUUGCAGUAUCUUAGAUCCACCACACCUUCUUGCAAAGCAUCUCGAAUGAAAUGGUAUAUGCGGUUAAUGUGUUUGGUCUUUUGAUGGAAAACUGGAUUCCUUGUCAUUGCAAUGGCAGAGGUGUUAUCUACCAUUAAUGGAGUUGCCUCUGUUUGCUAUUCUCCAAAGUCUUCAAGCACAAACUUCAACCAUAUAGCUUGAGUAGUAGCUUCACUUACACUAACAUAUUCAACUUCAGUUGUGGAGAGAGCAACACUGGGUUGCUUGACAGAUGCCCAAGAUGACACGCCACUUCCAAAUGAGAAAGCAUAUCUAGAAGUGCUCUUCAUGUCAUCUUGACUCCCACUCCAGUCACUGUCACAGUAUCCAAUUAAUACAACUUCUUUUCCCUUCUGGUAUUCAAUACCAUAAUCAAUUGUGCCUUUGAUAUACCUCAACACCCUCUUAGUUGUUCCAUAGUGUUUCUUUUAGGACAAUGCAUGAAUCUAGCUAAUAAGCUAGCUGCAAACAUUAUGCCAGGCCUUGUAGCUGUUAAGUACAACAAACUUCCCACAAUCUGCCUAUAUUCAUUCUCAUCUGCUGGAUCACUUCCAUCUGCUUUGCAUAAUUUCUCACUUGCCACCAGAGGAGUGCUAACAGGUUUACAUUGUUUUAAGCCAAACUUGCUUAACAGAGUCAAAGCAUAUUUCUUUUGACUUAUGAAAAUACUCUUUUCAGUUUGAAUCACAGCCAUACCAAGAAAAUGAUACAAAAGACCUAAGUUAGUCAUUUCAUACCUUCUCAUCAUCUUAGACUAAAAAUCUGCAAUCAAUUCUUCACUGCUUCCUGUAUACACUAUAUCAUCAACAUAUAUCGAUACAAUGAGUGUUCUAGAGUUUUCCUUGGUCUUGCAAUACAGAGUUGCUUCACUAGAGCUCCUUGUAUAACCGCAGUCAAUAAGAUACGAGUUUAUUUCCUCAUCCCAUGCUCUUGGCGCCUGUUUUAGACCAUACAGAGCUUUCUUUAGUUUGUACACUUUGUCUUUAGAGUUCUUAAUCACAAAACCAUCUGGCUGGUCCACAUAUACUUCUUCCUUAAGCACACCAUUCAGAAAAGCAGACUUGACAUCCAAUUGAUACAACUUCCACCCCUUUUGAGCUGCCAAUGCAAUAAAAGUUCUAAUGGUGUCUAAUCGGACUCUGCACCCCUCUCGAUUGAAAACCUAUUGUGUAAAUCUUCAAUCCUAAACGAUGCACCUAAAACACAUGUUGCAAUACACAUCCACCCAUUCUCAGGCCAAUUAUUGCUCAUAGUGGGCUCCCGACCCCCUCUCAAAUUUAAGUGGUCCAUUAUUCUUAACCACAUAUUUUAUGGACCAUCCAGCUGUGAGGUUUUGUCUCAAAAACCUUCGGUACAUUUCUCCCACAUGCCACAAUUGUAUAUUCACAAUUACGUCUGAUACAUCACAUCAUGCCACUUGCCUCAAAUGAAUUUAAGUGAGUGAGGCAGUUGGAAGUAAUUAAGCUCUAUAUUGGUGGGUGGAGUGUUACUUCUGGGUACCCCUCAUCAUUUGUCUAUAAAAUGGUGAAGUCAGUUGCUACUGUUACCAUAAGAGCCAGCUCCGACUUUCUUUAAUUUCUUGCUUCAUAUCCACUAGCUACAUCUGUUGCCAAGUUAAUUUCAGUCCUAAUGGGGUUUCAUCCCCCACUCAUCUUUGCUAUUCUCAGUGUAAGCUCUGCAAUUUGAUUAACUUUUCCAUGCUCUCUCAUUGUACUCUAUAUAAACGAAAGUUUUGUGGUCCUAUAAUUCUCUCUCGAUUUUAUUUAGUACGUACUUAAGUGUUGUCCACUAAUUAAUUACACUUUGUGAGAUUUGAUUUUAAUUAGAGUUCGAAUUAAUGUUGCAGCUAGCAGCGGUUGCACAGGCAAACAAUGCUGCUCAACCAGCACCUCAACUUUACUGGAACUCCGUCCUGCCAAACACACAGAUGCCAAGAUCUAUCAGUGAACUUCUGCAUCCUGGUUUGUGUUGAGCUCUUUAGAAUCUUAGAUAUCUCUUCUACCUGCCAUUUUACUUAAAUAUGUUCGACCACAUAUUUAUCAGUUAACUACUGUCAUUACAUGAGUGACACAUAUUCACAAAUCGGCUGAUCACUUAUUUUCCAUUAUGACGUUGAUAUAUAAUUUGCAGACUCCACAAAUGAAGAAAAGAGCACAAAUGACGUUGGCAAACCUGAAACUUUCCCAUUGGGCAAUCAAAAUUACUCCAGUCAAAAAAAUUAUGGAACAGGCAAUAAACGUUACUGCAGUCAAAAAAGGUAUGGAAGAGGCAAGAAACGUUACUGCGAUCAAAAAAAGUAUGGAAGAGGUGCUUCUCCAUCUGACAAUCAACUACUCCAUUAUAAAGACUUAGCUAUUUUCUUCUUGGAGAAGGACAUGCGCCCUGGCACAACAAUGAAGUUCCAAUUCUCUAGAAAUUCAAACACGGCUACUUUCUUGCCACGAGAAAGCGCUCAAUCGAUCCCCUUCUCCUCUAACAAACUACCAGAAAUUUUCAACCAUUUUUCAGUGAAGCCAACAUCUGAGGAAGCCAAAACAAUUAAGCAAACAAUCGAAGAGUGUGAAGCUCCCGGCCUUAAGGGAGAGGAAAUAUAUUGCGCCACAUCUUUAGAAUCAAUGGUUGAUUUUAGCACUUCGAAGCUUGGAACAAGAAACGUUGAAGCAAUCUCGACGGAGGUAUUGGAAAAAGGAGCCACCAUGUCCAUGCACAACUAUACAACAAUGCCGGGACUGAAGAAGUUGGCCAGUGACAAAGUCGUUGUGUGUCAUAAGCAGAACUAUCCCUAUGCUGUGUUUUUCUGCCAUGCAAUAAAACAUACAGCAGCUUAUGUUCUCUUCCUGAAAGGCGAUGAUGGGGAGAAGGUUAAAGCAGUAACCAUCUGUCAUCUAGACACAUCAGAAUGGAACCCAGAGCAUAUGUCCUUCCAAAUCGUCAACGUUAAGCCCGGAACCAUUCCCAUCUGCCAUUUCAUUUCCACUGAUGCUAUUGCCUGGGUUCCGAACCACAAAUCUGCAUGAUCAUCACUUAGCACUGUACGUAUAAUUAUCUCCUUACUUAUUUCUGCCUCUUCAUCAUGUGGUGUAAGAUAUAUGAUGAGAUGAAGUUUUUGGGAUUAGUGGUUGGGUUGCCUGAAAAACACAGAUUACAGAAACUGCUUGAAAUUAACCCGAUCAUGUUUUCUCUUGUAACUAUAUAGACUUCAACUUGUACUCAUAAUAAAGCAUGCUAUAUUUAUGAAGAGAUAUUAAUCUAUAUAUAUUUUUUAUAUAUGCUUUGGCUUUGUGGUUCUACCCAAUGUUUGAGUGUUGAAUUGUUACGUUGGAAUAGGCUGCUAAUGCAUGUAGUUAGAGAAGCCUUCAUUUAUAUCAAAGUCCUCAAACUAUCAAGAACUAAUGUAUCCAGAAACAUAUACCAAGACGCAAAACAACAUAUUUUCCAUGCUCUGUCUGUAACACCAAAGCAAACUUCCUUGAUCACAAAAGGAUCAAAUUCCAGUACUAAUCUAAUCCAUCAUGUAAAGCAUACAAGUGCCUCCCUAAAUACUAUACUCUUUUUGUUAUUUCCUACUAUACUAUUUAAGAUUUAAAAUUCAGGUCAACCCAUAGAUUUCUCGCCUUUUUCUUCUUCAUCUCGUCGGGCUUGUCUUCUUCUUGAGGAUUGUAUAGGCCAAGGAAAUGCUUUGAGUUAGUUUUUGCGCUUUUGCGUUUUGGGCCUUGGAAGUUGGGACCCAAACCAACUUCACAAAAAGAAAACGCUCAGACUAUAAUGAGUGGAAAGUUAUAAGGGGUAAGUUAUAAGGAGUUCACUUUAUAGCCAUCAGAUCAAUCUAAGGGCUGGGGAGAAUUGAGAUAAAGUUUUAAAAUCGGGUAGGUGAGGAACCCAAACCCGAAUUGAAUAUCCAGCACGUCCGAAAAAGAAGAAGAAGAGGCAAGCACGUCCGAAAAAGAAGAAGAAGAGGCAAGGUCGAAGUUUGAACAGAAAAAACUCAUCUCUUUAAAACCCAUAGCUCUGAGAAACGGUUGAAGGCAACGGUUAACGACGGUUGUUGAAGCCACUCCGUUCUCCAGACCCUGAAAAAGUAUUUAUUUUGAGUAGAAGGGGCAAAUGUGUGGAUUCCGAAACAGUGAAGGGGCGAAGCAGUGGAAGGGGAAGGAGAGAAGCCGUAUUCGUUGGAAGUGGUAGGUUCCAUUUGUGGAGCAAAGCAACACAAAGACCCCGCACAGACACCUUGCGAUUGUUCAAUAACCAGCAUUUGGUGAGUAAUUUAUGGAAUUUGAGUUUAGGGUUAGAGUAAUGGUUUUCCCCAAUUUGUACCAUCAAUUUUGUUGGAUUUGGCAUCUCUUCUUUGUGCUUCAGUUGCAUGUUAAUUUUUGCUUGGGUAUAUGUUAAAAAAAGAAUGAAAAUCAAGUCAAUAACAAGUGAAUAACAUGUCAAUAAUGAUAUGAAUAAGAUAAUGGUGUUGAAUUGGAGGAGGCCCUCAAAACAUUCCACAUUUGAAGCAGUGCAUAGUGCAGAUUAUCUCUCUGGCGCUAGAAUAUAUAUAUAUUUUGAAAUAAAUAUGAUUUCCUUUGUUACUAAAUUUGCCUGAGAAACAUGAGAACAGAUAAUAAUAAACUCAUGAAUAGAAGUGCAAAGCAUUUGAUGAGUAAUUUAUGGAAUUUGAGUUUAGGCCCAGGAAAUUCCUUGACCCCAAAAAAAAAAAAAAAGUUGAUUUAAAAUUCAGGUCAACCCAUAGAUUUCUCGCCUUUUUCUUCUUCAUCUCGUCGGGCUUGUCUUCUUCUUGAGGAUUGUAUAGGCCCAGGAAAUGCUUUGAGUUAAUUUUUGCAUUUUUGCGUUUUGGGCCUUGGAAGUUGGGACCCAACCCAACUUCACAAAAAGAAAACAGAUUUGCCAAAAAUCAAAUUUCAAGUCUCUCCUCCGAUCGAAAUUUGGAUUUGAUGAACUAAAGUGGUUUUACUUUCUCCAUCAGUGUUUGAUAACUUAAUUUGUUAUUUACUUUUUUUUUAAAAAACUUUGGCUUAUAUAUAUUAGUUUUCUUUUUUCCUUCAUAUUCACCACCUUUAUGUUGCAUAAGUAUUUCAGUCUUAAUGGGUUUCCAUCUACCACUCAUCUUUGCUCUUCUCAGUGUAAGCCUUUUUUUUUUUUUAAAGCACAAGAUUAGAGGGGAGGGGGAUUUCUCAAUGUAAGCUUUGCAGUUUCAUAAUUAAUAUUUCCAAUAUCUCACUGUUAGUAAAAUACAGAAAAAGUACUAAUAACAUAUGCACAUGUUACUAAUUUAUUGAGAUAAAACACCAUUUUGCCCCUAGAAUAUUUUAUUAGGUUUAAAGUUGACUUUUUGACCAGGAAGGAAUUUGGGUAUUUAGACUAUAUCGUUGCGUAGAGCAUGGCGAGAUGAGUCCGUAGACACAUGAUUGGCUCGAAUCAGAGUUAUAAUGAGAGAGAUACGAUCAAAAUACCCUCAGUGGUAUAACCGUAAUUUUGGCUUAAAGGGUUUGAUAAAAUAUAAUUUUUCUUUCUUUCUUUCUCUCUCUCUCUCUCUCUCUCUCUCUCUCCUCUCUCUCACGACGGCAGUGAUAGCCGGCCACUUUUUGGCCAGCCAUGCUCUCGUCCGGCCACUAAAGUUGACGGGGCCGGUACCAAAAUGACCGGGCCACCAUCCUUUUCCAACCCCAGCCAGGCCCCACUGCCAGCAGUCGUGAUUUUGCUGAAAAAUGGAGAAGAAGCGGCCGAUUUCGUUCGAACUUCUCCGACUUCGUUCUCUCUCCUCCGGCCACCGAUUUCGAUGAAUGAGGUAUGGUUUCUCACCUACUUUUUAUGCUCUAGCUGCCUGUUGGGUAGGAUUCGAUCAAUUCCUUGCGUAGGUAGCUUGAUUUUCGAAUUGGAUUUCGGCCGGUUUUGGGAUCUCGAUUCCGGCCACUUCCGGUCAGUUUUUGGGGUACAUCCCAAAACAAAAGUGGUUCUAAAUAGGGUGUUAUACCUAGGGUAGGAACCUUGAACCGUAAUUUUGAGAAUUUUCGGUGAUGCCUAAUCGCUUUGGACACCUACGCUAUGCCUGCGUGUGGGCACUAUAGAAAAAGGGCAUUGUGUCCCGAUGCAAUCCCCUUGUUGUCUUGAGCGCGUAGGUGUGCUCGGAUUUCAAUUUGGAUACCGUUUGAAUCUCGAACGAAUAUCGCAUAUUGUGCGUUAUUCGGGGUCGAUAGGUUUGAACUGUUGGAUAGUCUUAGAUUUAUAAUAUGUUAAUCUAGACAUUCUUAGGAUCGAAUGGGAUUAAACGGAUCGUAAAACGGAGUCCCGGAUACUCCAAAAAUGCCAACCCUAGGGCUAGGUUCCUAGUAACCGUCCGAUCGUGCGAUCGUGAGCGAUCCGACCGUUUGAUCCGAACCAAACUUGCAGGACGUGUAUCCUAAACCUUGUAGAACCCAUAGGAACUUUCGGAUUAGAAUUUGGAGGUCGUGGGCCCCUUGGGCCGUUUGACUAAGUUUGGGUAGUUUGACCCUUGGCUGAUCGUGAGUCUUCAGAGGUCUUGAGCGUUGUUGAGCUAUGUUGACUAGGUUUAGACUUUUAGAGUGUUUAUUAUUAUCAUAGGAAACUAUUAGAUAUUAUUUUAAUAAUUGAAAUUAUCAAAUUUAUGUUUAUGUGCAUGAUUGUUGGUCUAAAAAUAACAUUGUUUUCUUGAUAAAAUUACGUUGCAGUCUACUAUAGACUGGUAUCACUAAAUGGAGAUUACCUCUAUUAUUAGUUUAGAUAAUUAAGAGUAUGUCAGUUUGAAGUGCUAUAUGCACUACCCUAAGUACCACCCUGUGAUUGUUAGGUCCCAUGUGGUGUAGAUUAUACAGCGUCAGGACAGACCCCAUACGUGGCUUUGGAUGUUCUGGCGCAUGGGGGAGAUUAUGUAAUGGUUAGGUCAUACGUGGCGUAGGUUAUUCAGCGUGUUGACAGACCCUAUACGUGGCGUUGGAUGUUCCAGUAUGGAAAGAUUUUGUGAUUGUUAGGUCCCACGUGGCGUAGAUUAUCCGGCGUGAGGACAAACCCCAUUCGUGGCUUUGGAUGUUCCUGCGUAUGGGGGAGAUUAUGUGAUGGUUAGGUCACACGUGGCGUAGGUUAUUCGGCGUGUUGGCUAACCCCAUAAGUGCCGUUGGAUGUAACGACCGGUCCUAAAUAAAUUAGUGAAUAUUAAUUUAUUCAGAGAAAAUACCAUUUUGCCCAUAGAGUAUUUUAUUAGGUUCAAAGUUGACUUUUUGAUCAGAAAGGAAUUUGAGAAUUUCGAUUAUACCGUUGCAUAGAGCACGGCGAGAUGAGUCCGUAGACACGUGGUAUGCUCGAAUCGAAGUUGUAACGAGAGAGAUACGAUCAAAAUACCCUCAGUGGCAUAACCGUAAUUUUGGCAAAAAGGGUCGAUAAAAUCAUAUAUAUAUAUUUUCUCUCUCUCUCUCUCUCUCUCUCUCUCUCUCUCUGCGAUAUUGUCCCUCUCUCUCUUUGAUUCACUGCCAUCUGCCCACGGCAGGACUUGAGACUGGUCACGUUUGAACCGGCUCGAUGUCCCGAUCACGUCGCACCCAAAAUGCAAAUGGAAACCUUGAAUUCCAGCCACGGCUUCGACUGGUUUGAACUGGGUUUUUCCCGGCGUUGCGCCACCGCCUCCGCCGCCCAAUUCCGGUGAAACAGGUAUAAUUCCUCACCUAUUUUUCGAGAUCCAGCUGUUGUUGUGUAGGAAUUAGACGAUUUUCAUGUUUAGGAACUCGAUUUAGAAUUUAGGUUUUGGUCGAAUUUUCAAAGUGAAAUUUCGGCCACUUCCGCUGGUUUUUCGGGGUAUGUCUAAGAACAAAAGUGGUUCCAAAUAGGGUGUUAUACCUAGGGUAGGAACCUUGAGCUGUGAUUUUGAGAAUUUCCGGCGAUGCGUAUUCGCUUUGGACACCCACGCGCCGACAGCGCGUGGGCACUGUAGAAAAGGGGCAUUGUGUCUCAAUGCGAUCUGCUUGUUGUCUUGAGCUCGUAGGUAUGCUCGAAUUUCAAUUUGGAUACUGUUUGAGUCUCGAACGGAUAUCGCAUAGUGUACGUUAUCCGGGUUUGAUAGGUUUGAACCAUUGGAUAGUUUUGAAUUUGAUAUAUGUUAAUCUAGGCAUUUCUAGGAUCAUGUAGGAAUUCAGGGAUCAUGAAUCAGAGCCCCGGAUGUUCCGAUUUAAUAACUUAAAGUUUAUGUUUAUAAUAACUAUCAGAUCGUGCGAUCGUGAGCGAUCCGACUGUCUGAUCUGGACCAAACUUGCAGCACGUAUAUCCUAAACCUUGUGGAACAUAAAAAAAUUUCGGAUUAGAAUUUGGAGGUCGUGGGCCCCGUGGGCCCAUUUAACCAAUUAUGGGUAGUUUGAUCCUUGGUUGACCGUGAGUCUUCCGAGAUAGUUUUACCUUCCUAGGAGGAUUAUAAUGACCCUAGUGAUAGGUCUUGACCGUUGUUCAGCUAUGUUGACUAGGUUGAGACUUCUAGAGUGUUUAUUAUAUUAUUGUAGGAAACUCUUAGAUAUUAUUUUAAUAAUUGAAAUUAUGAAAUUUAUGUUUAUGUGCAUGAUCGUUGGUCUAAAAAUAAUAUUAUUUUCCUGAUAAAAUUACGUUGCAGUCUACUAUAGACUAGUAUCACUAAAGUGGGAAUACCUCUAUUAUUAGUUGAGAUAAUUGGGAGUAUGUCAGUUUGAAAUGUUAUACCCUAAGUACUACUCUAUGAUUGUCAGGUCACCCGUGGCGUAGGAUUUUCCGGUGAGAUGACAGACCCCAUACGUGGCGUUGGAAUUUCCAACGUAUGGAGAGAUUAUAUGAUUGUUAGGUUUCACGUGGCGUAGGAUUUUUCAGCGGGAUGACAAACCCCAUACGUGGCAUUGGAAGUUUCAGCGUAUGGGGAGAUGAUAUGAUUGUUAAGUCACACGUGGCGUAGGUUAUUUGGAGUGCUGACAGACCCCAUACGUGGCGUUGAAAUUUCUGGCGUAUGGAGAGAUGAUAUGAUUGUUAGGUCACUUUGGAUGUUCUAGCGUAUUGGGAGAUUAUGUGAUUACCAGUGAGAUGAAUAAAGGAUUGUUAUGUUAUAUUGGGAAAAACAUGUUUGUAGAAAGAAUUACGUGUGGCUUGAUCCCUCAGUAAGGGUACGUAGGCAGCCUAGGGUAGUGCCUUGGUGCAGUCGCUGACUAAACAUUAUAAUGUUGUUUUUAGGUUUGAUUAUAUGGUAUUAUGGGGCAAGGCCCCUAGGACUAUUGGUGAUAAUUCAUAGAUGGUAGUGGAUGCAUGCUAGAAAUUUGUAGGAAGUUAUUUCAUGUGGAUUGCAGUGGUACUCGUAAAAUUUAUUUGAGUUCCUUAAUUGCAUUGUUAAUAUAUUAAUUUACUUAAGAGUACUGCUAGUAGUUCUGCCUUGAUUUAUUUGAAGGCUGGAGGCCUUGUCUGGAAACUGUGUGCAAUUAGAUUGUGUGUGCUGGCAGUUGACUUUUUAAAUUGUGAAUUUUGUGCAGGUUGAAAUUUGGGAAAUGUUCAAUUUACAGGGGAGACUCUGCUGAAAUUUCGGUAGAAAGUCUUGUGCCCUUAUUCCUUUUUGGGGAAAAGGAUAUAGUUUUAGAAGUGGCGAUGUCGGGAAUUUCCACAGGAUUCGUCUCGGGUUUCGGGAAAUUCGGGGCGGGUCUGAAAAAGUUGUUUCAGUUUUGGCAAGUAUCGGAAAAGACCAAAAUUUUCCGACUUUAUUAUUACUAGAAACAAGGUCGAAGUAUUUACCAAUCAUGUGGCCUUCCAAGUGCUCUAGGUUAAGCCAGGAACCGUUCCUAUCUGCCGUUUCCUUCCCAACUAUGAUCAUGUUGUCUGGGUUCCAACCCACAAAUCUACAUUGGGCUACGUAUUUGAAUUUGUACUAAAGCGUGAUCUAUAGUAUGCAUAUAUUGGAUAAGUUUGAGAUCAGUGGCUUGGGUGUCCGCUGAGCUUGAACAAGUUUGGGUGUGCUGAGUGUUUCCAUGGGUGUGUUGAUGAUCAUGGUUAUUAGAUUUGUGAUAGUUUGGGCUCAAUUUCAACAGAACUCAUCUCAAGCCUAGAUAGUUGAUUCUUAAGUUUAUCAGGAAAAAAAAUUAAAAAUUAAAAAAUCUAAAGUUAAGCCCAAGGCGCCGAACUUGGACUUCUCACCAAACUGUGCAUAAAUUGAAAUAUUUAAUAGAAGCCCAAGAUUUUUGAAGCACAUAAUAUCUACAAAAAUCUACAAAGUGUAAUACUUUACAAACUUCUUAUGUGUACCAAUUUCUGCUCAAAUUAAUUUCUCUGUGGUGCUGAGAUUCAUCAUAAUUUUAGUAGAAAUUGGAAGUUUUCAUCAUUUUUGCUUUAAGUCUCUCCUCCACUCACUAAUAAAGAUUACUCAAGUGAGUUUACAAAACAUUUUUUUUCUACUCUCUCCUGAAGACUACACAUCUUCUCAAAAGAUUAGAUCACUUCACAUCUUGUAUAUGUGAAAACUAAUGCAAAAAGUUGAAACUUUAUCAUAAAACCUCGACAAAAAUUAGCUCUACUUAGAACAUUAAAUUUGGAUUCGUUGAUUUAAAUGGCAAUUUGACACUUCAUAGAAAUUUUUACAUACAUGUGUUAGUGUUUGAUCACUUCACUUAUUACUUACUAUAUUUAUUCCAUGAUUCUCCCUCAAGUUAUGUAAAUAUUAUUAUCAAACAUUUCAAUUCAUUUGUGAUAUUUCUUGUCCAUCUUUCAAUGUACCCUGAAAUCCAUUAGCCACAUAUGAUGACCAAAAUCCACACUCUGUUGUUUGCAAACGUUCAAUAUACGACUUGCAUCCACAGUCCUGACCCAAAUGAAAUGCGGAAACUGUCAAGCUAACUGUAGGGAGGACUAUAUUUGAUUUUACCUUAAAGACUGAUCCGAAACCACCUUCUCCAAGUUUAUUGUUGUUUGAAUAGUUUUUGGUUGCACAAACAACAGCGGCCAAGUCAAAUAAUGGCAAUUCCAGAUCUUCCUUUUGGCCGGGCUUCAGUUCUCCUGUGAAGUACGUAGUGAAGUAAAUAAUGUAGCAUGGAACCUUAGCUUAGAAACCAGAGAGGCAACAGCAAAAAUUUUCUAUAGAACUGAACCUACCUAUCUUAGAAAAUGAAGGGGCAGAAGAGUAGAAAAUCAAAUAGCUUACCAUAUUUUUGUUGCUGGUUCUUCCUCACAUAUAAUAGCAGGGUAAGGCCCAGGGUCAGCAGUCCAGUAGACAACACAGUACUGGUUACUAUGAUCUUUGUAUUGUGUCCUUGAUCUAGGAAUGAAGUAUUUGAAAGCAGAAGAUUGAGGAGUCAGAAAUUCAUAAAGAAAAAAUCUCUACUUUUUAUCAUCCAACGAACAAUUAAUGCUAGUUUCUGAGACAGUUCUAAAGAAAUAUUUUUCUAACAAUGUCAAAAGUUUUCUGGCUCUAUCUUGUUUCUAAUCAUGUCACUGUUGGAAGAUUUCUUUCUUCUUUUUUCCUUGGUGGCUUUUAUUUUUCUUUCAAACUUUGUUUUAAACAGCAAGAUGAUUCCAUACCUAGUUCUGACGAAGCCAUUCUUAUGUAAAUAUCUUGCCCAUUUAUAUUGGAAUAUCUUAUAUCAACCAGAUCGCUGAACCACAGCAAGGACCCCCUUCCUCCAUCUCGGAUAUCCAAAUUUGAAAAAGCGGCGCAGGAGCAGUUGUUCAUGCACAUCAUCUCACAUUCCUUGAGGUUCAUAAUUGUGUUAUACUAGGAUUGUUCUGUACUUUAUUUCACCCCAGUGUACUUCUUAAAGAUGUCUCCACUGCAAUUCAGUUGGCUCUUUCUCACAGAUCUAUAUGACCAAUCCACCAAGUCCCAGUCUUGUUGAAAGUCGGUAUAAAUCCUUUCAAGCAGCUACGUACUGGGGACUUGUCAAUACAACAUGCACCAUUCGGACCACAUAUUCCAUAUUUGUCGCAGAUAUCAGUCGUUGCUCUUAGAUAAACAACCCAACCUUGGUUUCCAUCACUCCCGAUGUAGCUCAGCCCAAAUCCAUCUUGAGUUAACGCCAGCCUGAAAAGAGUUGAGCUGUUGAGAAGCUUAUAACCAUAAUAUACUUCAUCAUCAUUAUCCAACACAAAAUCAUAUGUUGGAUUUAAAUUAUGCAUCCCACUAAAUUGGAUUCCAUUCCAUGGUGCAGUCCGAUAUUUUAUAACAGAACCCUCCCUCAGAAUUAAUUCAUGGUACCCAUAAGGACCAAGUUGAUAUGGGUAAUGUCCUUGAGAAGGAUCCUGGGGGCUUUUCCAGGGUGUAAGAUGCCAAUUAAAACCUGUGAUUUUGUUCCUAACAAGCUUCAUACCUGGUAUUAAUGUAUCUCCUGGGUAAUCAAAACUCUGCCAUAAAAUAUUAUCAGAGUCAUUACGACCAUUGCCAUCUAUCACAACAAGAUUUCCGGAAUCCAAAAUCUGUGCCACUGGAUUCUAUGAAGAACUUGAUGUGUUGGAAGACCUGUAGUGUUCUUUGUUGAAUAUUUGGAUUGCAAAGGGAGCAAGAAAUGUACUGAGAGAGAAAGAGAGAGAGAGAGAGAGAGAGAGAGAGAGAGAGAGAGCAGUGAGCCUUAGAUUGUUCUAACAGUUUUCUUACUCUGCAUGAACAUAGCAGCAGAGCUUAUAUUCCUUCAUGACUGUUACAUGUUCUCUCUUACAUCAGUAGAUUCAAAUCUAACGGUUUGUAAUAGUAAGCCAAUGUGAGUAUGACACAUGGCAAUACACAGCUGUCCUAACAGCUGGGAAUUCAAAACAGACUCUAGCAUUGCACCUGGCAUAUAAGCACAAGGCACUCAGCUAACACAAAGAUUAAAAACAGAUUGAAUAUAAACUGACAUAGAACUUACUAACUAAUCUGAAAUUAGCUAGACAGUUUACAUUUUAACACUCCCUUCUAAAGUGCUAGCUGAUUUCACUCCAAGCAUUCUCCUCAAAUAGUCAAACCUGUCUUUGGGAAGAGCUUUGGUGAAGAUAUCAGCAAUCUGCUCUUCUCCUUUGCAGUAGAGCAGUUCAAUCACUUCUUCUUGUAUUGCAUCUCUAAUAAAAUGAAACUUCCUUUUAAUAUGCUUGCUCCGUUGAUGAAAAACAGGAUUUUUAGCCAUUGCUAUGGCUGAAGUGUUGUCACAAAACACAGUUGUUGCAGUGGUCUGUUCUUCCCCAAAAUCUUCAAGAACAAACCUGAGCCAAAUGGCUUGUGAUGUAGCUUCUGCUGCACUCACAUACUCUGCCUCUGCAGUAGAGAGAGCCACACUGUGUUGUUUGACUGAUGCCCAUGAAAAAGCACCACUUCCAAAUGAAAAUGCAUAUCCAGAAGUGCUUUUCAUAUCUUCCUCAGAUCCACUCCAGUCACUGUCACAGUAACCAACUAAGAGUGCAGAUUUUCCUGUCACAUACUCAAUUCCAUAGUCAAUUGUGCCUUGUAUGUACCUUAGAACCCUUUUAGCUGCCCCAUAGUGCAUCUUAGAAGGGUUAUGCAUGAAUCUUGCAAGCAGGCAGGCAGAGAACAUGAUAUCUGGCCUGGUUGCAGUAAGGUACAGCAGGCUGCCUACAAUUUUUCUGAACAAACUUUCAUCUGCAGCAUCACUUCCAUCCUCUCUUUUCAAUUUAUCAGUAGCCACUAAUGGAGUGCUUACUGACUUGCAGUCUUUGAGUCCAAACUUAUCCAAGAGAGUGAGAGCAUACUUCUUUUGAUGAAUGAAGAUGCUCCCUUCAGUUUGUGUUACUCCCAUACCAAGAAAAUGGUGGAGUAAACCCAAAUCAGACAUCUCAUACUUGCACAUCAUUUCAGCUUUGAAUUCUUUCAUCAUUUCAUCUCUACUUCCUGUGUACACUACGUCAUCUACAUAGAUUGACACUAUUAGUGUUCCCACCUUCCUUUGUUCUCACAUAGAGAGUGGCUUCACUUGGACUUCUGUGAAAACCACACUGAUUCGAGUAGGUGUCAAUUUCACUAUACCAGGCCCUUGGAGCCUGCUUCAACCCAUAGAGGGCUUUUCUUAACCUAUACACCUUAUCCUCAUCAUCUUUAACCACAAAACCAUCCGGUUGAUCAAUAUAAACUUCUUCUUCAAGGACACCAUUUAGGAAGGCUGACUUGACAUCCAAUUGCCAUAGUUUCCAGCCUUUCUGAGCAGCAAGAGCUAUGAGAGUUCUAAUGGUGUCUAACCUUGCUACAGGAGCAAAGGUUUCAUUGAAAUCAAUCCCUGGUUUUUGUGUGUAUCCCUUGGCAACAAGUCUUGCUUUAUGUUUUUGAAUGGAGCCAUCAAGAUUAAGCUUAAUUUUGAAUAUCCACUUCACUCCCACAAUUGGUUUACUACUUGGCCUGUCAACCAAUUCCCAACUGGAGUUUUUCUCUAUCAUAAGUAUCUCCUCAGUCAUAGCCUUCCCCCAAGCUUCAUCUUUGACUGCUUCUUCAAAAUUUUCAGGUUCAAUGAUGCUCAUCUUGCAUUGAGCAUACACUUCACUCAAACUCUUCCAUUUCUUUGGGGUGUUAUCAUAAGUUUCUAAUGGAGCAGAGUCUUGAGUAGCAUGCACAUCAUUACUUGUUUGUGUUUCCAUAGGAGACUGUACAAUCUGUUGCUGUAACAGAUUUGGUUAUGAAUCCAAAUCUGAUACAAUUGAACUUACUCCAUCACCCCAAGACAUAGGGAUUUGCAAUGCCUCAUUGGUUUCCCAAUUCCACAUUGCUUCUUCAUCAAAAAUAACACUCCUAGACAGCUCAAUCUUUUGAGUUCUCAAGUUGAGCACUCUAUACCCCUUUUCACAUACACCAUAUCUUACAAAUACUCCCUUCUCACCUGUGUCUUCCAGCUUGUGCCUUUUCUGUGUGGGGAUGUGAAUAUAGCAUAGAGAACCAAAUAUUCUCAAAUGCUUGACACCUGGUUUUCUUCCACCGAACUUUUCAAAUGGAGUGGAAUUGUCCAGUGCACUUGUAGGACAUCUGUUCUGCAAAUAUACAGCUGUAUUGACAGCUUCUGCCCAAAACUUCAAAGGGAUUUUCUUCUCAUACAUCAUGGCUCUUGCCAUUUCCAUCACAGUACGAUUCUUUCUCUCUGUAACUCCAUUCUGUUGUGGAGAGUAGCCUACUGNNNNNNNNNNNNNNNNNNNNNNNNNNNNNNNNNNNNNNNNNNNNNNNNNNNNNNNNNNNNNNNNNNNNNNNNNNNNNNNNNNNNNNNNNNNNNNNNNNNNNNNNNNNNNNNNNNNNNNNNNNNNNNNNNNNNNNNNNNNNNNNNNNNNNNNNNNNNNNNNNNNNNNNNNNNNNNNNNNNNNNNNNNNGGUGUGGUCAUCAAUGAAGGUGAGGAAAUAUCUGUUCCCUCCAAGAGUGAUGGUCUGCAUUGGACCACAAAUGUCUGAGUGAAUCAGUUCUAGAGGUUGAGUGGCUCUCCAAGCUCCUUCCUUAUCAAAAGAGCUUCUGUGAUUCUUGCUUUCAGCACAACCUGAGCAGACCUUCUCAUGUUCUUGUAAAUUAGGCAUUCCCUGAACCAUAUCUCUCUCUUGUAACAACUUCAAACUAAUAUAGUUUAGGUGCCCAAAUCUUCUGUGCCACAGCCAGGAUGUUUCUCCAACUGUUGCUCUGUUUGCCAUAGGAGGAUUAACAUAGUCAAGAUUUAAAGGAAAACAUUUGUUUCCCUUCAUUGGCACUCUUGCAAUGCAAUCUUCCAACUGCCUAUCUCCAUAGAUAUCAACUGCAUUAUCACCAAAUACAAGCCAAUGCCCAUGUUCUAUCAUUUGACCUACACUUAGCAAAUUUUCAUCUAAACUUGGUACAAUCAUGAUUUCUUUGAUAUAUCUAGUCACACCCUUCAUUUCUAUAGCCAAAGUCCCUUUGCCUAUUAACUGCACUAGAUCACCAGUCCCCAUUUUGACUUUACUCUUCAUACUUUUAUCAACAUUUACAAGUAAUGACUCAUGGGAAGUCAUGUGAUUGCUGCAUGCACUAUCAACAUACCACAUAUUCACAUUCUUUCCAAUUGUUGCAGCAUGACAUGCAUAGAACAUAAUGGCAGGUUCAGUUACCUGAUUUGCAAUGUUAGCAAGUUUCCCUGCCUUGUUUGCUUGGUCACAGUCCUUAACAAAAUGACCAAAUCGAUUGCAGCCAUGACACUUUGGUUUUCCUUUAAACCAACACUCACCAUAGUGUAACUUCUCACAAUGUUUGCAUUUUCCAGAUUUGUCUCCUUGACUUGGUUUUCCCCCUUGAUUGGCACUGUUUUGGGGUUUAGAAUCCCAUUUCUUAUCCUUGGACUUCCAAUUCUUCUUUGAUUUAUUAGAGCCAGAACUAGAACUUGAUUGAGAUCCUUUUGAGUUUAUGCUCAUGCUGCUGAAAGCUUUCUCAGUGGUGCUUUCUGCAUGUCUGUCAAGGCGCUGAGCAAAACCUCUUAAUGCUGCAAUUACCUCCUGCACUUCAAUGGUUUCAAUGUCUCUAGUUUGCUCAAUCACAUAGCAGACUGGAUCAAAUUCCUUGGUUAAGCUUAUUAGCAGUUUUUGAACUAUCCUCCCUUUGGUCAGAUCUUCCCCAUAUCCCUUCAUCUGAUUUACAAGCUCAAGUAACCGAGUGAUGUAUCCAGACAAGAUCUCAUCAUCCUUCAUCCUGGUGUACUCAAAAUCUCGACGCAGACCCUGCAACAUGAUGGAUCUGACUUGCUUAUCACCAUGAAACUCCUGAUGCAAGAUAUCCCAAACACCUUUUGAGGUUUCUUCAUUUGAGAUUCUGGGAAAGAUGUCAUCUGAAACAGCACCUUGGAUAAUACCAAGAGCCUUAGCAUCUUUCAUCAACAAGGACACCAUCUCUGAAUCUGAUGACCCUUCUUUAUCAGCUUUUGAAUCUGGAACUUGAAGGCCUUUCUCAACCAAAUUCCAGAUUCCAUGAGAUUUGAAAAUUGUUCUCAUUCGAAUCUUCCAAAACUCAUAGUUCUCCCCAUUGAAUAUUGGAGCUCUAAGAUCACUCCCUCCUGACCCAGCCAUCUGAGACCAGACUCAAUGAGUUGAGAGUAGGAAAUUUCCCGUUGGAUUUCCAGACUCAGCUCCCACAGCUUCAACGCCCUCUAUCCAGAUCCAACCUGCGCACCUGAUACCAUGUUGAAUAUUUGGAUUGCAAAGGGAGCAAGAAAUGUACUGAGAGAGAGAGAGAGAGAGAGAGAGAGAGAGAGAGAGCAGUGAGCCUUAGAUUGUUCUAACAGUUUUCUUACUCUGCAUGAACAUAGCAGCAGAGCUUAUAUUCCUUCAUGACUGUUACAUGUUCUCUCUUACAUCAGUAGAUUCAAAUCUAACGGUUUGUAAUAGUAAGCCAAUGUGAGUAUGACACAUGGCAAUACACAGCUGUCCUAACAGCUGGGAAUUCAAAACAGACUCUAGCAUUGCACCUGGCAUAUAAGCACAAGGCACUCAGCUAACACAAAGAUUAAAAACAGAUUGAAUAUAAACUGACAUAGAACUUACUAACUAAUCUGAAAUUAGCUAGACAGUUCACAUUUUAACAUUCUUAUGGUCGGCAGGGACAAGAAUUCCAGGGCUGCUCAACUUGAAUACACCUGAUGAACCAGUGAGGGGUGUGUUUCUUUUAGUCUGCACUAUAUAUGCAGGGUCUGACUCUAAUUAGAAGAUAAUUGUAUUAAUUUGGUAAAGCUUUGUCUGUAACUGUCUCGCACCUUAAAAAAAUUUCACAAUUAGCAGCAUUGGCAAUACUUGAUUAGAAAGCAGAAACCCUACAGUAUAUAGUUAAGUUGAGUAGCUGGGAAGACAAUUAGUAAGCUUUCAAUACUAAAGUUGAAUAUUGGGGAGACAAAUUACUAGAGCUUCAAGUUCAGAUAAAUAGGAUGAAUUUCUCUUAAGGGAUCCCCUUUCACUGUAGCUUGGAGUAGAAUUCAUUUUGACACAAUAUCAAUUAUCAAUGUAAACACGUUACUGAUGCACUAUUGACAAUAUCGAUGCACGUCAUAUCAUAUUUGUGGGAGUAAAUUUCCUCACGAGAAUAUUUGGUUCAAAAGAUUCCCCUUUUUUUUUUUUUUGCCGCCUCUUUCUCCUUGCAAAAUAGAACAAAUAAGAGGACCACACCCGGGGGGUGUUGGCCAAAGGCCCUCCGAUGCUAAAUUAGUUCAAGUAUUUGUAAGAAAAAUACUAGCUAACUAGGGUACAGAGGUGUAUUUAAGGUGUAAACCGGGCAGCCGAAGUCUUAUGUAAAAGAGAGAGAGAAAGGAGGUGGCUAGCGUUUGAGAGGAAUUUUCUGCAGAGUUUUUAGUAGAGAUUUCAGACGUACCUCAACCAUUGUGUGUGGCCAUCUUUUUAUAGUGGUCUUGGAGGCUAGGGUUUCAGAGGAAUAAUUCCGUAGAUGGAAAGGAAUUAUUCCUCCCCUAUUUGGAAUUGAUUUGAUUAAUUAGGGAUUUGAUUUAUUAGGGUAAAUCAAAUCCCUAAUUGUGGUAGGUAUCAAAUCAAAUCCUUUUUUAAUUAGGUAACUCCUCAUUUAAUUGGGAAUUGUGGUAGGAAUCAAAUCAAUUCUCAACCUAAUUAGGUAACGUUCAAUUUAAUUGGGUAAUUCCCAAUUAAAUUGAGUAACUCCCAAUUAGGUUGAUUAAUUCCCAAUUAGAUCAAAUAAUCCCCUAAUUGAAGGAAUUAUUUGACCUAGGGUCUGAUUUAAUUCGAUUCCCACAAAUGCCCCCCAGCUUCUGCAUGGUGCAUGGUGGCACGUAGGAGAUGUAAAUUAUCUGUUGGGCUGUCCAGCUGUAACUGGGCUUCCUUCGUGGACCUGGGCUCCCGAGUAGAGGAGGUGUUUGACUUGCCAAUUUUAUGAACACCCAAUUGGAAAGGGUUUGAGAUUCCUUGUAGGUCAAGGAAUUUUGCUCCUUAUAAAUGUAGGGCUCCUCCAAAUUAUUCUCGACAUCAGAAAUCUACUCCUCCAAAUUUGUUAGUGAGAGAGAGAAGACUUUGGAGAAUUUUUCAGCGUGCUUGAGACUUCAUCUUUGCAGCCCAUCCAAGGUAAUUUGAUAGGAAGAAUUUUAUUUUGAGUUGCUAUGACUUUUGGCAGCAAGCUGUGAGACUAAGGGCAUGUCUUGAGGUGCGCGCUAGGGCUUUAGGCAUGGCAAGAGACUCGGAAAGGCUAGCAGGUUCGUUUCCACCUACGCUGGGCUCAAGGAGAAGGCAACAGGGCUUCAGGCCUUGUGGAUGAAGUGGGCUUUCGCUGGGAGCAAGAGGCCUGGAGCUGAGGCAAGGAGACAAUGGGCCUGGUACGAGGUGUGGGCUGAGCAUGCCAGCUUUGGAGCAAGGGGGCCAGGACGACUGCUGGGCAGGAGGUGCGCUGGGCUGCAUGCGCGAGCUGCGCCGAGUGCUGGCUGGAGGAGCGAGCUGGGCUGCGCGCUAGGCCAUUCAUGCUGGGCUACUUCCGUUUUUUUUUUGUUUUUUUUUAAAUUUUAUUUGCUGUUGCUGCUUUUUUUUUUGUUUUUUUGUUUUUUUUUUGUUUGGUAUUCUAACUCGUAAUUUUUUUUUUCUUCUUACAGCUACUUGUUGAUCAACCAUGUCUUCCGGAGAUGGUAGCAAGGCUCCAAGCUCUUAGGUCCUUUUGUAUUUAUGGGGAGGCUCCAUAGUGCAUGGCAAGAAGUUUGUGGUCAACUUGCAUCGCGUCACGACUUAUGCUCAGUUCCAGAAGUGGCGGGCCACUUAUGCGUCUGCCAUUCCAGAUGACGUGCUGGUCAAGCUAUUGAAAUCUCAAACUGAUAACGAGCCUUUGGUGGACGUGAGUGAUCAUGAUGCUAGGAUCAUUACCUUCCGUCCUUUUUACUUCUCUUUAGGCUUCAAAUUCCCGUUGUCAAAGCUCUUCAAGAAGGUGUUCUGUGCCAUGGGGUGUGCUCCGAGCCACUGUACUCAUGUGCUUCAAGAAUUUGAGUCGUUUCUUCAUGUUGGAGCUGACGAUGCGAGAGUUCUUUUAUUUUUUUCGAAGUGAGGCACUUUGAGCGGUACGCCCAAGUUCGUAUCUACAAGGCCAAGCUGUUCCACGGUCUCAGUCAAGGAGAUCACGCUUGACAUGAAGAUGUGUUGGAGGUCAGCAGACGGUGGGAGGGUGACGUCGGUGACGGCCCACCUGUUCCCAUCACCUAUUGUGAUGGUAUGUCUCUUUACGAUUUUUGAUAUGCUCCUUUUAUUUGAAUUUCUUGAAGUGUGGCAGACUAACUUCUAUCUUCUGCUCGUAGUGAGUGACAUUAGCAAGCAAUUGGAGCUCCGACCAGACAUGGCUAAGGUCCGUCGUGCUUUGAACAUCCCUCUAAGGUUUCACGAGUGGCGCUGGCUGUUGAGUGAGUACCGGGAGGAAGACGGUGGUUUUCUCCUUGCCGAGGAUGUCGAAAGGUGGAAGCAGAACGAUCCUGACCCUGAUGAUCUGCUUGGCAGACAGGAAGAAUGUUCUGCUUAAUCGCUCUUAAAGAGAAAGGCUGCUGCCAAAUCUUUGAGAUGUGAAGCUACUUCUUCGCAUGCAAAGGAUGGGUCUCCAUCGAGGAAGAAACCAAGGCUCCCUUCUGCUGAGAAGACUCAAGUGGGGUCUGCUCCCUCAUCAUCUGCCAGGGUUAAGCAUCUCGUGGGUGCAGAUAGCAAGAAGGUUGGUGGUAUGCAUGGUACUCGGGGUGUUCUGCCCAAGCUUCCUGCUGACACGCUCGAAAACCAUGAUAUACUUCGUGAAGUGGCUCGUGCCCAACCUAGUUCUGCCAAGCGUCAAAGAGAUGUAGACAUUCCUCCUAGAAGUUCGAGUUGUCUGCAUCGGUCAAAAGAUGGAGACCGAAGCGGGAGGUCUGCUUAUGAUCCAGCAUUAUUGACUCAUUUGGAGAUGAGGUUGGCGAAGGCUAAGAAGGUGAAAGAGUCAUCUGCCCGGGUUAAGGGUUCUUCCUCGGCGUUGGUAGUUGGUCCCAAGAUGAACAAGUCUAGCUCUGUAGGGGAUGCAUGCGUAUCUGAUCUGCUCAAGAUGAACUUCCUAUCAAACCCGUCCUCUUGUGUUGAGUUGGUUGAUCACAUCCCUCAAGCGGGCGAUCUAGGCACUUUCUCGUGCCUUUCCUUAGAAAAAUGAAGGAAAAUGACAUUCCAUCUGAUUCAAAAAGGACUGGUUUUUGCUACUGAGACUAUUUGGAACUCAUCUGCUAUUGCCCCUCUUCUGUCCAACUCAGCGAGUUGGAGAAGAAGAAUGCUGAUUGGCUAGACAGCUUUCCGCCGAGCAGGCCCGUUACGAGAAGAAGAUGUCUGAUUUGAGGGCGAUGAUAUCUGAGCUGAAAAGCUCCCUUACCGAGAAGGAUUUCGAGCUCAACUCUUCUGCUGCUGAUUUGGCUAGUCGAAAAGAUACCUUCUUUCGUCUUGAGCAUAAGAAUGCUGACAUCUUCCUUAGCUAUAACAAACUCCUGGCUAGAUUUCAUGCCUACCAUAAGUCUGCUAAAGAAUCCAAGACAGAUGGAGCUGCUGAAGGCGUAGCCGGUCAGGUGGAUGCCGAAGAGGCUGCAGCUUAAAAGUCUUCUGCUGGCGUCUCAGAGUAGAUGAAGACUCUUUUUUGUUUCUUUUCAGCUUUUGUAGUUUGCUUUAUUGUUUAGAAUAACUGGUCUUAUUUGACCAUCUUCUUUUUGUUGAACUUGGCUGGUUGGUCUGUUUGUUAGGGAAAUUUCAGUUACAUUUUCCAACUUCAAUUUGCAUAUUUGACUUGUGAACUGCUUAAGUAACCAGCCUGUGUUUUGAUUGCACAUCCCCCUUUAGAGAUUUGUGAGUACCAGGGUCCCCCUUGGAGGACUCCGGCCAUGCACAGUAUAUCUCGUAGGAUGGUUCCCCUUAGGAAGUUGGCGAGUACCAGGGUCCUCUUUGAGAGACUCCGGGUGUGUUCUGCACAUCCCGUAUGAUGCCUUAAUCGUCGCCUUGCUUCUCCCGUAGGACGCUGCUUAUAGGCAACUAUAUGACUAUCCUGCCUUUCUUAGGAAACGGAUAGGAACCUGGAUAUUUCCCGCAUGAAGCAUGGAGACCUCCUUUUAAGAAAUUUUUGGUGCACCAUGCUUCUCCCUUAGGACGCUUUUUUCGCAGGCUGGGUCUCCAAAUGGACGCUUUUAGUCGUUGCCCUGCGUCUCCCUUAGGACGCUCCUUAUGGGCAACUGUGUGACUAUCCUGCCUCCCUUAGGAAAUGGAUAAGACUUGAAUAUUUCCCGCAGUAAGCAUGGCGACCCCCUUUUAAGAAACUCCUGGCGUACCCUGCAUCUCCCUUAGGAUGCUUUUUAAGAGGGCUGCUUCUCCAAACGGACGCUUUUAGUCGUUGCCUAUGUCUCCCCUAGGAUGCUCCUUAUGGGCAACUGUGUGACUAUCCUGCCUCCCUUAGGAAACAGAUAGGAAACUAGAUAUCUCCCUUAGGAAAUUCCUAGCGCACCUUGCGUCUCCCGAAGGACGCUUUUUUAGCUGGCUACGUCCCGAAACGGACACUUUUAGUCGUCGCCCUGCGUCUCCCUUAGAAUGCGCCUUAUAGGCAACUGUGUGACUAUCCUGCCUCCCUUAGGAAACGGAUAGGAACCUGGAUAUCUCUCUUAGGAAAUUCCUGGGGCACCUUGCGUCUCCCGAAGGACGCUGCUUAUGGGAAAAUAUUGUGUUUCGUGGGCAGAUGAGACAUUUUGGAAUGAGAAACUGAACUUAUAUUGAUAUUCAUAAGAUUACAGUCCUUUAUUUGAAAAUGGAAAUAACUUGGUUCAAAAACUUAGAACUUCUAGCAGCUACGAGGAAGCACUAUGGAUAAUACUUUCGGAGAUGGUGAGCAUUCCAUUGUCGUGGUAUUUCCUUCCUAUCCAUGGUGUCCAGUGUGUUGCUUCCUCUGCCCCGGACCUGCUGAUCACAUAAACGCCCUCCCAGUUAGGAUUCACUUUUUUUGACCCGUGUCUUGGUGCAGUAAUGAAAGCCUUAGCACGAGGUCGCCUGGUUGAAACUGUUUGACCUUAGCUCUUUUGUCGUAGUAAGACUUCAACUGCUAGUGAUAGGAGGCGACCCGAAUAAUGGUCUUCUCACGCCUGCCCUCAAGUAAGUUGAGGUUGAGCCUCAUCUGCUCGGAGUUCUGAUCAACACUGCCUACCUUAAGACUUAUAGAGAGGACAGUGAUGUGAGGUGGUAUGAUCACUUCUGUUCCAUAGGCGAGAGAGAAUGGGGUUUCACCAGUCGAUCUUCGCUUGGUGGUGUGAUAAACCCAUGGUACUCUGGGGAGUUCAUCCACUCAUUUCCCUUCAGCGCCUUCCAGCCUUUUCUUUAAGCAGUCCAAUAUGACUUUGUUGGAUGCCUUGGCUUGUCCAUUUCCUUGUGGAUACCUCGGGGUGGACAAGUGUUGUUUGAUCUUGUAUUUCACAAAAAAAGCGGUGAUCUGCUUGCCAAUGAACUGUGAGCCAUUGUCGGUAACCAACGACUGUGGGCAGCCAAACCGGCAUAUGAUGUUUCUCCAGAUGAAUCACUCCACAUCGGCUUCUUUAGUAAAUGAUAGAGCUUCGGCCUCGAUUCAUUUAGUAAAGUAGUCGGUGGGGACGAUCAUCAUUUCUUUCUUGGCGGGCGCUAGUGGCAAGGGAUCCACUAGGUCGAUGGCCCAUUGCAUGAACAGCCAUGGACUGUUUUGCGGAUGAUAGACUUCGGCAGGCAAGUUAGGGAUCGGCUUGUAUUGCUGACAGCGUCACAUUUCUUGGCACAUUCAGCACAGUCGUGACGUAUGGUAGGCCAGAAGUAGCCUAUGUUUAGAACUUUCUGGGCGAGUGACCUGCCCCAGAAUGGUUGCCAUACUCGUCGUCGUGAAUUUUACAGAUAAUCUCAAGUGUUUGAUGGUACUUUAUGCAGGUGAGAUGAAGGCCGGAGUAUGAUCUGUGGAUGAGCUUGUUGCCGUGCAUGUAGUAUCUCUCGGCCUUUUGCUGGACUUUUCUAGCUUCGGACUUGUCCGUUGGCAGGUUUCCAUUCGUGAAAUAGUCGAUGAUGAGGUCUUGCUAGCUGGGGUCCUCGUCAAUCUGCAUGGUAUUAAUCGGCUCUAUUUCUUCAAUGCUUGGUCGGUCAAGGUGUUCGACCUAGAUGGAGUGUUUGAACUGGGUAUCCAGCGUUGAACCUUGGCUUGCCAGUGCGUCUGCAUGCGCGUUCUUUGCCCGGGACACUUGUUGGAUAGUGAAGGUAGGAAAUGCCUUCAACAGCUCUUGGACUCUAUCAAGGUAUAAGAUCAUCCUUGGGUGCUUUGCCAUAUAUUCACCUGAGGCUUGAUUCGUGAUCAACUGUGAGUUUGAGUAGAUGGCUAGCUUUUUGAUUGCGAGCUCCUUUGCCAAGCGUAAGUCGGCGAGUAAUGCCUCGUAUUCUACCUCGUUGUUCGAGACCGAGAAGCCAAGCGUAAUAGCUUGCUCUAACAGGGUUCUAUCCAGGGUGGUGAUAACGACCCCUGCUCCAGCUCCUUUUUGGUUCGACGCUCCGUCUACACGCAACUGCCACAUGUCUCUGGGAUGGCUUGGUUCUGCGGAGGUCCUGUCUGCUUUUGAACUUCCCUCCUUUUGGUUGACUAACUUCUCUUUUUUGGCUGAUGGGGUGAAUUCUGCGACGAAGUAUGCUAAAGCCUGGGCUUUUAUUGCAGUUUUUGGCCCGUAGAGGAGGUCAUAUUGGCUUAGCUCUAUAGCCCACUUCAUGAGUCGCUGAGAAGCAUCAGGGCUGUGGAGGAUUGAUCUCAAAAGAAAGUCAGUCAUGACUAUGACUCGAUGAGCUUAGUAGUAGGGUCGCAGCUUUCUCGCAGAAACUACAAGAGCCAAAAUAAGUUUCUCCAAUUUCGGGUAACGAGUCUCUGCAUCGAGGAGAGCUUUUGACGUGUAGAAUACCGGAUAUUGGGCCCCUAUCUCUUCUCGGAUGAGAGCUGAACUGACAGCUGAGUUGGACUUACCUCACUAGGGACUGGAUUUGAGAGCAUGGAAGGUGAGGUGAGGUAAGUCUUCAGAUUAUGGAAAGCUACUUUGCAGUCCUCAUCCCAUUUCUCUCUUUGUCCUUUCUUCAAAGCUUUGAAGAGUGGUCUGCACUUGUCGGUUGAUCUCGAGAGGAAUCGGUUGAGAACCGCUGCUUUGUCCGUCAGACUUUAUAUCUCUUUCACCGUGGAAGGCGACUUCAUCUCUAGAAUGGCUUUGAUUUGACGUGGAUGUGCCUCGACACCUCGUUGCGUGGCUAGGUAUCCCAAGAAUCGGCCGGAGGAUACACCAAACAGGCAUUUACUUGGAUUCAACUUCAUGCGAUACUGGCGGAGCAAGCUGAAUGAUUGGGUAAGACUUCCGAUGUGAUCUGCACGUUUUGGGGCUUUGACCAGCAUGUCAUCCACGUAGACCUUCAUAGUUUUGCCGAUCUGCUUAUUGAAGAUUUUAUUCCCGAGCCUUUGAUAGGUUGCUUUGGCGUUCUUCAGCCCAAAGGGCAUGACCUUAUAGCAGCAGGUCCCUCUCUCGAUGAUGAAAAAAGUUUUUGCCUUGUCAUCCUCGUGCAUCAGGAUUUGUUUAUAGCUGGACUAGGCGUCCAUGAAGCUAAGCAGUUGAUUGCCAGAAGUGGAAUCCACGAGUUGGUCGAUUCUCGGCAAUGAGAAGUUGUCUUUAGGGCAUGCUUUGUUGAGGUCUGUGUAAUCGACACAAACUCUCCAUUUGCCAUUUUCUUGUUUUGCCACCAAAACAACGUUGGCAAGCCACUCUGAGUAGGAGGCCUCUUCGAUGAAGCCGACAGCUAGGAGUUUGUCAAUCUCGGCCUCGAUGAUAGCAAGUCGCUGGGGUGCGAAGUUGCGUCUCUUCUGCGCCACUGGCUUGCAGGCAGGGUUGAAGUGGAGUCAGUGACAGAUGAUGUUCUUGUCGAUGCCAGACUUGUCUGACGGCAACCAUGCGAACAUGUCUCUGUUGCUCUGGAGGAAGGUGGUAAGCUCCACAUUCUCUUCUGGCCUUAGGCGCGAACCGAUCCACUCUUUCCUAUCUGGUUGGUCAGGAUCCAAGGGUAUUAACUCGACGUCCUCCUUGGGUUUCCAUCCUUCUUCAGGAAAGACCUAUGGACGGAUUUCCUCGACUUGGUCCUGACGCUUUAAUUGCUAUAAGAUAGCAAGAUCCAGUUGCUCAACCUCCUCCAGAUCUGCCUGGCUCACAGGGAGAAACUGCGCUUGUUUACCUUUCUUUAGCCCUUGGGCGGAGCAUUUCCUCGCCAUUGCCUAAUCGUUGUUGAUUUGGCCGACACCGCCCCCAAGGAUUGGGUACCGAAUUUUCUAAUGUGUGGCGGAGGUGAUUGCAUUAAUUUUGCCAAUCGAUGGUCUGCCCAGAAUGCCGUUGUAGGGUAAGACCUUAUUAAUGACCAUGAAGGUUAUGAGCUGAUUAUAAGUGGGGAGUAGACGUCGAGGUCUAUCAUGCCCACGGUAACCGUUGUUGCACCAUUAAAAUCGCUCAGCAACCUAGCUAAUUUGUAAAUCUUUGUCUCCAAUCCCAUCUGUUGAAUGACCUCCAGUUGCAGGAUAUUGGCUGCGCUGCCCUCGUCUGUGUGGAUUCAGUCUACCAUGACCUGAGCAAUUUGAAUGCUGAUGACAAGGGCUUCGUUAUGUGGCAUGUAGAGGCCGAUCAGAUCUUUCUUUUGGAAGCCGAUUACAGGAUCGUCUUCUGCUGGUGGAAGGUCGGUCGAGAUUUGGGAGAUCACAGUGGUCUGUUUGAUCUUCCUCUUUUUUUCCUUUCUGGUCAGCCCAGACUCCUCGGAGUCAGCUAGGAUUGUGUUAAUUCUUAUGACCUUCUGAGGCGGCUCCUUGGCGAUGUCACGAUCUUCUAUCCGCUGGAUGACCUUCUUUGCAAUGAAUUCUGUGCAGUGACCUUCUCUCACGAGUUCUUCAAGAUGUGCUUUCCAAGCGAAGCAGUUGUUCAUAGUGUGUCCGUGCAUUUCAUGGACGGCACAGUAUUUGCUAGUAUUCCUUUUGUCCGGAUCUUCUUUCAAGGGUGGUGGUCUUCUUACCCAAGGUUGUUCUUCACUUGGGCUAAGAUUUGAUGUAUGGAGAUGGUGAACUUGGUGUAGUUCUCUCCUGCCGUAGCAUCCCCUUAUGGGUGCGACCUGCGCUUGUCCUUGUCCCUGUUGCUAAAUCCGUCGCUUCUUUGGCCUGCCCCCUUAGUCGGCUGAUCUUCCUGCUUAGUAGAGUUCUUUGCGGCGAUUCGAUCGUCAUCCCAAAGCGCAUAGCUUUCCGCGGUCUCGUAGACCUCUGCCAAAGUUUGGCUGGGAGUGAUGGUCAGCUCGUGGUACAAGUCGUGCUCAGUCGAAAGGUCUUUCUUGAAAGCAGAGGACGCAAUUUGGUCAUCACAUCCUACAAUGUUGGCCUUUUCUACUUUGAAUCUCUUGAUGUAAUCUCUAAAGGAUUCGUCGAACUUCUUGCGCAGGUUAUACAGGUGGUCAGGGUUCUUCUUGAUUGUUCGGUAAGAGGUGUAUUCUUUGGUGAAUAAGUAAGUCAGCUCCUUGAAGCUGCUGAUCGACCUGGAUGGCAGAGUAUGGAACGAGUCUUGGGCUUCCUCACAAGGUCAUUGCAAACACCUUGCACAUCAGCGCGUCGUCAACCUUGUGGAGGAUCAUGACACUUUUGAAGUGUUUUAGAUGGCUCUCAGGAUCGGAAUCCCCCUUGAAGUGUGUGAAUGUGGGCGUUGAGAAUCGCUUCAGGAGAGCAGCCUGCUCGAUUUUGGCAGUGAAAGGUGUAGAGUAUGCCUGGUCUACCUCAUUUCGUACAUCUUCGAAAUUUCCACCGGUCUUCAAGUCUCGAAGUUGGUCAUUCACAAGCUUCUCUACGUCUUCCGCACACAUUGCUUGUCGGCCACAUUGGCGACCUUCACGAAUUGUUCGAUGCUGACUGACUUCCUCGUUGAUUUCCGAGGAUCGACCUUCUUGUCUGCAUUGCCUAGGUGGAGUGUUGGUGGAUUGCGCCUACGAAAGAUUCUCUGUGGCUUGUCAAUGAGAAUCGGUUCUUCGAGAGUGAGUAACGAAGUGCCUUUCCUCAUGGUCCUUAUUGUGAGGGUUAUCCAGCUGACCUCCCUGGGGCCUAGCCUUUCCUGAAUGCUUCUCUGCGAGUAGACAGUUGAAUGCUUUUCUUCACGAUCCUCGUUGUGAUGGUUGUUUGGCUGACCUCCUUAGGGUCUUAGCCUUUGAUGUACAUUUCCCUGCCUGCCCAAGUAGGUGCGGACGUCGAGUCGUGGGCCCAGCCUUUCGUGCACGUCGUUCCUUAAACUCAAUCUGCUCUGAGUGUGGCUUGCAGAUGCUUGCGACAUGUCGGCAGGUCGAUCACGUUGUUGUCCCUCGACUUGUCUGCCCACUCUUGCUUGACCUGCUUGGUACUCGUUGAGCUGUCUACCGGCCCGUUCAUCCUUCCUUCUUUCCUCGCCUGGUUGUCCAAGGCCAAGGUUUUGAGCAAAGCUUAUUUGGUUGAGGAGCUGCCUCAUUAGAUUGUUUUGGUCGUCCAUUCUUUAAGCUAGCUGGUCAACUCUCAGAUUAAGGUCUGCUUGAUUUCAUGGAUCAGGAGGAGAGAAGUGUGUGGAGCUCAACUGCACAUAGGCUAGGGUUUCAUUAGAGGUGUAUGCGGGAGCGUGUGUCGAGCGUGGAGGCAAUAGAGGGAAUGCUUGGAGUUGCUCCAAGACCGGCCCUAGGUCGGCGGUGGUAACGAGUCCACCUUGAUGGGAAGUUCCACCAUGUUUGGCGGCAGUGACCGAUGCAGUGGUGAGAGGUGGUGGUGCCACCAUGUCGAUCGCGGGAUCGUUGGUGGAGUGGCUUUGGGCCGUCGCAAAUCUAGCCAUCAUGGCGGCUUUGCCUCUCGUGUUCAUGCUUCCAACCAUGGUUGUUUGGAAGGCUUAGGUGGAUUGGAAAAUUAGAGGAACGGAUUCCUUGAGCACGCAUUGAGUAUAACUCGUGCUCUCAAUGAAAGCACCAAUUUGUGGGAGCAAAUUUCCCCACGAGAAUAUUCGGUUCGAAAGAUUCCCCUUUCUUAUUCGCCGCCUCUUUCUCCUCGCAAAAUAGAACAAAUAAGAGGACCACACCCGAGGGGUGUUGGCCAAAGGCCCUCCGAUGCCUAAAUUAGUUCAAGUAUUUGUAAGAAAAACACUAGCUAACUAGGGUAUGGAGAUGUGUUUAAGGUGUAAACCGGGCGGCCGGAACCUUAUGUAAAAGAGAGAGAGAAAUGAGGUGGCUAGGGUUUGAGAGGAAUUUUCUGCAGAGUUUUUAGUAGAGAUUUCAGACGUACCUCAACCAUUGUGUGUGGCCAUCUUUUUAUAGUGGUCUUGGAGGCUAGAGUUUCAGAGAAAUAAUUUCGUAGAUGGAAAGGAAUUAUUCCUCCCCUAUUUAGAAUUGAUUUGAUUAAUUACGGAUUUGAUUUAUUAGGGUAAAUCAAAUCCCUAAUUGUGGUAAGUAUCAAAUCAAAUCCUUUUUUAAUUAGGUAACUGCUCAUUUAAUUGACAAUUGUGGUAGGAAUCAAAUCAAUUCUCAACCUAAUUGGUAACGUUCAAUUUAAUUGGGUAAUUCCCAAUUAAAUUGAGUAACUCCCAAUUAGGUUGAUUAAUUCACACUUAGAUCAAAUAAUCCCCAAAUGGAAAGAAUUAUUUGACCUAAGGUAUGAUUUAAUUCGAUUCCCACAAUAUUUAGAUGCAUAAUUGAAUGCGAAUAAACAUCACUCUCUCCAGUGUGAAAUGGCGAAAAUUCUCUUCAAUCAAAAGUGGGCUUACUUCAAAUUUAGUUGAAGAAUGAUGGUGUGUCUUGCCUGACAAUUGACAAUUAGGUUUAGGAGCGUUCCUCUAGUAGAAAAAUCUAAAUCAUUUGUGGUCAUCCACUCACUUGGUUAGUCUUCCAGAAUCAAAUACCAAAUCAACCCAAAGGAAGCUGCAAUUUUCUGAAUUGUAUACUUGUUUUAAUUCUUCCUAUCUUUUUCUCUCUUUCAUUUUUUUUGUCUCCCUCAAGUUAAUACUUAAGUGAGUUGCCAAAUGGGGGUAAAAAAGAGAGUAGAAGAGAUGAACCCCACAUUUGACUUUAAUAGACAAAUGCCCAAGAGAAGUACCAGUAAGAGCAUCUCCAAUUGGGAGGUGCUAUCCUAUAAUUUGACACACAUUUCUUUUUUCUUUUUUUUCAAUUCUAACAACAUGUCAUCUAUAUCGCAAUAGGCCGUUGUAGUUAAAUUUUCAAAUAACCAAGUUGCUCUCUAUUUUCCAAAGAAGACUAGAAAACAACUUACCAUCUAUCUGGUGCUGCUUCUUCCAAACAUUAGAAAAAACAGAGCUACACCCAGGAGGAGCCCAGGAGAUGACACAAUACUGCCUACUAUGAUUCUUACUUUCUUCACAUUCAAUGAGACUAUAAAAUAUAACCCAAGUGGUCUAACCCCCCAGGGCGGAAAUUGGGUUUAGCAAGUUUAGCACUGAUUGUUGUAUAGUCUUAAACAGUCCUGAUCUCUUGGACCCCUGUAGUCCAAGAGAUUUAUGGUCACCCACCGUUGGAUGUAAAUUCAACGGUUGACUUGAAUCGGGUAAUAAUAAUUUAUGUCAUAUUGCAUUUAUAUAUAUCAUUUUGAACCAUUGGAUUAAUAUCCAACGGUGGGUGACCACAAUCUCUUGGACUCCUGUGGUCCAAGAGAUCGGGACUGUAGUCUUAAAAUAAGUAGUUUAGCGAGUGCAAACUUCGACUUAAAAAAACUCUCAUGUAUAGCCGCGCGGCUAUACUAUUUACAUAUAAAUAUAUAAAAAAGCACCCCCUAGUCACGUGUCACAAAUAGUAUAGUCGAAAACAGUAGAGCCGCGCGGCUAUACUGUUUUUAAAAUAAAAAAAACCAUAUUCGAUUCUCCUUAUAUUUAAAAGGGGUAUAGCCGCAUGGCGAUACUAAUUUUUUUUUUUCAAAAAAAGGGACCCCAGUACUCCUUUUAUAUAUUAUAAUAUAUUGUCUAAUAUUUGGAAUAUUUACUCUAAAAUAAACAAUAUAUUAGGUUCUUUUUGUCUACAAAUUGACCAUUAAACUUCUUAAUCACUCUUAUACUUUCAAUUAAAUCUACUAGGCUAGGUUAUGAUAUUUUCACUAAAAAACUCCUCCUUUUUUUCUUCUCUUUCUCUUCCUGUUUUGUUUAACUUAAGCUUAAGUUUUGUAAUUUUUUUUCCCGCCCUUUUUACAUGUUUGAGUAGGGUACUUUAAUAUUGGGAUUUAUGAACUUUUUUUGUAUUUCUUCUUUAUAUUGGAAUAUAAAUUAUUAACUUUUGAGUCUUUAAUAGUGUAGAUGAUGAGAUUAUUAUUCAACCAUUUUAUAAUAUGAAAUGAAGGACAAUCAUGAUUGUGAUGAAUGGAUUAUUAAUCAAUAUGAAAUGAUAUUAUGAAGUGGGCUAAAUCGAGUAGUUAGUAUCGUAUUGUUGAGACCCAAAAAAUCCAAGGCUAGGCCCAAAUAUAUUAUGAAGUGGGCUAAAUCGAGUAGUUAGUAUCGUAUUGUUGAGACCCAAAAAAUUCAAGGCUAGGCCCAAAUAUAUUUCCGGUCCAAUGCGAUACCUUACCGAGAAGAAACCUUAUUUGGGCACGCGAAAGUUCGUCAUAUGCUCUUGCACACAUGCCAUGCCAAGCAAAUAAGCAACAUGCCACGCUACAAGCUUAAGUGGGCCCAAGCCACGUGAAUGCCUAGGGCCUGCUGAGUGGGUUGUGGUAUGGAUGGUUAUGAGUAUUCACGAGGCCCAUUGAUGGUCUAAGGAGUGGAAGUUUUGGGCUACUUGGGAGCACCAAAACUCAAGCCCAUUCAUUGAGCCCAAACAUAUGGGUAAGCAUGAGAUAAAACCUAGUAGCCCAUCACCUUAAGAAAUCCUAAUAGCCCAUAACAUGUGAGAAAAUCCCACAUCAACCAAAGCUUCCAGCAGUCUGACGAAAUCAAAGGGAACUCACAAGCCGUUGGAAACAAAACAACCCAACACUGUAACACCCCGACCCCAAAUUUCCCCAAAUUUAACCCUUAUUUAAUUAUUUAAGGGUAUUUUAGUCAUAUUUUUAACCGGAGAGAGUUUGGGGCAAUGACUAGUAUUUUUGGAUAGGUCGUACUGAGACGAGUUUAUGGACACGCAGUGAGCUCGAAUCGGAGUUGUAACGAGAGAGAUAUGGUCAAAAGAAGCCCAGUGGCACAAUCGUAAAUAUUUUGAAAUGAGAUUUUUUAUAAAAAUCUGGUUUUCUCUCUCUCUCUCUCUCUCUCUCUCUCUCUCUCUCUCUCUCUCUCUCUCUCGCUAGCGACCUCUCUCUCUCUCCCCCGUCGGUCUCUCCCCUCUUUCUCCUCGUAACUCCGGCCACCGGCCCCGGCUGUGGACGGGGCCGGUACCAAAAUGACCGAGGCGUCGUCCUCUUCCUACCCCAGCCACCUCCCACCGCCAGCCGUCGCGGAUUCGCCGGAAUCUGGAGAUGAAGCGGCCUACGUCGUCCAAAUUUCAAAGCUGCCGAUCUCCCUCCUCCGGCCACCAAUUCCGUCGACCCAGGUAUGGAUUUUGAACUUCUCGAGCUGCUCUAGCUGAUGGUUGGGUAGGAUUAGAUCGAUUCUUAGCUUAGACAACUCGAUUUUCAAAUUGAAAAUCGGCCGAACUUCGGCUGCCGUGAUCGGCCAUUUCCGGCCACUUUUUGGGGUAGGUCCAAGAACAAAAGUGGCUCCAAAUAGGGUGUUAUACCUAGGGUAGGAGUUUGGAGCCGUGGUUUUGAGAUUUUCCGGCGAAGCGUUAUCGCUUUGGGCACCCACGCGCUGCCGGUGCGUGCGGCGGCGCGUGGGCACUGUAGAAAAAGUAGCACUGUGUUCCGAUGAGAUCCUUAGGUUGUCACGAGUGCGUAGGAUUUUGCGGAUCUCAAUUCGGACGUCGUUUGACUAUCGAACGGAUAUUCGCAUAUUGCGCGUUAUUCGGGUUCGAUAGGUUGGGACCGUUGGAUGGACCCAAAUUUAAUAUAUGUUAAUCUAAUUAAUUCUAGGAUCGUGUAGGAAUUCACGGAUUGUGAAUCGGAGCCCCGGAUGUUCCGAAUAAUAAUUUUAAAGUUUGUAUUUUAUAUUAAUUGUCAGAUCGUGCGAUCGUGAGCAAUCUGACCGUUCGAUCUGAACCAAACUUGCAGGACAAGUGUCCUAUACCUUGUAGAACCCAUAGGGACCUUCGGAUCGGAAAUUGGAGGUCGUGGGUUCCGCAAGUCGGUUUGACCAGGGUUAGAGAAGUUUGACCCUUGGUUGACCGUGAGUCUCCCGGAGUAAUCUCACCUUUCUAGGGGAGAUUAUCGGGUACUAGAUGAUUGUGGACACAAUAUUAGAAUUAAUUUAUAUAAUUAUAAUUAUAUAUGGUUGUACAAGGGUACAACAGAGUCUAGAAUGUCAGUUUGGAGUGCUAUACGCACUACUUUAGGUACCUCCCCGGAUGUUGGGAUUUACUACAAGUACCACCAAGUGAAAUUGAGGUCCCGCGUGGCGUAGGUUAUCCAGCGUUGGGAUAGGUCUCAUACGUGGGGUUGGUUGUACCGGCGUAUGGGGAGAUUUGUGAUAUUAUGUUCAGGUCUCACGUGGCGUAGGUUAUCCGGCGUUGAGACAGGCCCCAUACGUGGUGUUGGUUGUACCAGCGUAUGGGGAGCUAUGUGAUAUUGUGUUGAGGUCGCACGUGGCGUAGGUUAUCGGGCGUGUCGACAGACCCCAUACGUGGCGUUGGUUGUACCGGCGUAUGGGGAGAUUUGUGAUAUGAAAUUGAGGUCCCACGUGGCGUAGGUUAUCCGGCGUUGGGACAGGCCCCAUACGUGGCGUUGGUUGUACCGGCGUAUGGGGAAAUAUGUGAUAUGAUGGCAUGGUCGCACGUGGCAUAGGUUAUUCGGCUUGUUGACAGGCCCCAUACGUGGCGUUGGUUGUACCGGCGUAUGGGGAGAUUAUUUGAAAUGCAGAGAAACGAAAUAUGGUAUCGCCCAAAUGUGGAAUUGGGUUUUAGGGAAGAACUACGUGUGGCUUGAUCCCUCAAGGAGGGUACGUAGGCAGCCUAAGGUUAAUAGGUGCAGCCGCAGACUAAAUGUUAGUCAUAAUUGAUAUUUGAAUUGUUUGGUAGUUGGUUAAGAAUUAUUGGAAGGCCGAAGGCCAUUUGUGUGAAUUGCAUGAAAUUAUAUUGUGCAUGCUGCCAGUUGGGAAUAUUAAAUGCGUUUUUAUGCAGGUAUAAAUUUUAGGAAAUGUCCAAUUUAUAGGGGAGACUCUGCCGAAUUUUCGGCAGGAAGUCUCAGUUUUUAGUAUCUGGGCCUGGCAUCGGGAGGAUGUCGGGAAUUCCAAAGGGUCGUCUCGAGUUCUGAAAAAUUCGGUGCGGGUCCUUUCAAACACCUUAUAAAAUAUCCAACGCCGUGCAUCUCUGUUAAAACCAGAUCACAGCCAAACCACCAAAACCAUGCAAACCCAUAUGCUGAUCACCAUUUUUACUAGCACCCUUACCCAUUCUUUCCUCUUCAAGCUUUGGUGAGAAAACAAGAAACAAAAGUGGGCGGAUCUUCACCCACAUGGAGAAAUCCAGCUGCCUGAGGGCCCUGGAACUCCAAAAAACUUCUUACCUACAUGCUCAGGCUAGGGAAGUUUCACCAAAUAAGCAAGAAUGGAAGAAAGUGAAGGAAAAGGGGAAAGGGUGGCUUGACGAAAUUAAGGUUUUCAGCACUUAUAAAAGGAAACACUUUCUAUCCAGCAAAAACAACUCACCCUGGUUGCUGCAAGCCUCCUAGCAACCAUGAGAAUUCAUUGAAGGCAAGCAUCCCCUUUGGAACCCUUCAAUUUCAUGCUUUGUUCUUCCAUCUUCCUCCUUUCUCUCUCUCUCAAAACCCACAUCCAGAGAGAGCAAGCAUCAUCUCUCAUCUUUGGAACCCUUCGAUUUGAAGCCUUGUUCUUCCAUUGCUUCCCAUUUUCUCUUCUGUCAAAUCACCUAGGAGCUUGACGAAACUUUCGUCAAGCUGCUGGAAAUAUGGUAAAGCCACCCAUGCUUCCAUCUUCUUCCUCUCUUUCCAUAAACACACAUCCAAAGAGCAAGCUUCAUCUCUCAUCCUCUAAACCUCUGCAAUUUCAAGCCUCAUUCCUCUAUCUUCUCCCAUUUUCAGCGGUAGUGAGAAUGAUUUCUGCGUGUGCAUGGGAAGGAUUGUAACUCAGAUGAGGAGGAGAUGGUUUGGAGUGGGGUGAGGCAGUUGGAUAGAGCUCUUGGCCUUUUCAAGUUUGGAUGGGAAAGAGCAGGGAUGAAAGAAGCUUUACAACUGCAAGGGCAUAUAUGGUGCGUAGGGGCUGAAGGCAGAACACUUACAUAUAGAGGAAACACAUUUUUUGUCCAUGGGAUUCAUGUUUGACAAACACUUGUCUUAGACUAUGAGUUCAAAUUUCAAAACCUUUUUUUUUUCUUUCUGAAAUCAGGACCAGUGUGGAGAACUAGCAAGGAUUGGAGAAACAGAUUUUUGGGCGUCACUUGACCACAGAUUGUUGAUUGCUCAAAUGUGUAGAAUUGGCCAUCUUAAAUGUCAAAAUGAUUUAUCAAUUGGGGUUUUUUUAGAAACGUUUAUGUUUGUCAAUAGAGACAGAAGUCAGAGAACAUAAACCUUUCUCAGCAAAUUGAAAUUCUCAGUGCAUGCUCUGUUCUUCCAUGGCUUUCAAACCUUCUCUGCCACGGUGAAAUGGAUCGAUAGAGAUAGUUUAGGCCGUUCCAUUUGUUUGAUGAAGCAUUCGUUCUAGGGAUUCUGUAUAUUCAUAACAAAAUCACUAGAAUGAUUCUUAGAAAUUCAUCACUGCUAAAGGCAAUGGGUUCAGCAUAAUAACUUCUUAGUCUUGCUUCUUGGUCCUUUAUUUUCUUUGCAUAAUACUCCAAGUUUACCUGGGUUCUACAGAGAAAAUCUCGUAGAUACCUCUUUUUGUGGUCUUCCAUGGCAUUUAAGUGCUGCUUUCCAUGGUGAAGUGGGCCUAUAGAGACUACCUGAGGUGUGUAGGCUUUGUCAUUUCCACGCCGUAAUCGCUCAGGAACUCUGUAGAUACACCUUCAAGGGGGACAAGGGAGACAAACUAUCCAAUUCCUUGCGCCUUACAAAUAGAUCGCAUGGGUUUUCUAUUUCAUCUGCAGCUUCAUCAAUUCCUUCCAUUUUUCUCCUGAUCAUCAUGCGCGGUGAUUCAAAUAUUUCAUAAUGAACAUUGAAAUGAGAUGCUACAAGCAAACUUAUGAAAAGAAACAGAAAUACCAAAAAGACAAAUCAAUGUAGAUGGUUUAGAAAAUCUAAACAUUGCAAUUAUACUCCUUUGCCCAACUUCUAGGAGCAAACGUACACAAAGACCUUAUUGCUUCCAACUUUUCCAACAGAAUUUCAUAUGAAUUGCUCCAAGUGAAAUCCGUAUGAAAAAUCGGUAGUUGGAUUUUCAUCCUGCUUUAAUAUGAUUAUUUAACUUCUAACAAAAAAACUCUUAUUACUUGAGCAAGUAAAAUACUAUUCCAGGUUUCUCCUAGUUCUAUAUGCGCUUAUAAUUGGUAUACUCUAUAAAUACCAUAAUCUGAAUUUCUCUGUUUUGAUUACUUUAAUUUAUUACUUAUGUUUUAAUUAUUGUUUACUUAGUGAAUUAUUAGUAUUUAAGAGAAGGCCUUCCAUCGAUUAGGCACCACGUGUCUAUAAUAAGUAAAGCCGUCCGGCUAUACUUAAAAAAAAAAAAAAUUGUAGUAUAGCCGACCGGUAUAGCCGCGCGGCUAUACUAUUUAAUACAUUAUAUUUAAACGGUAUAGCCGCGCGGCUAUACUAUUUAAUAAAAUAAAAAACAAAAGAAAAAGAAAAAUUACCCUCCUAUUUCAUUAGUUUGUACUUUAUAGAUACUAGCCCCUUGACACAUGCUCACGCAUGUGCCAAUUGGUUUUCUUUUUCUUUUUUAUUUUUAUUUUUAGAAUUAAGAAAAAAUAACAGGAUAGUUAUGUUCCAUAAAAGUAGGACCUAUUAUCUUAUUUUGUUUUUAAUUUUAAUUUUUUUAAUAUUAAAAAAAUAUGAAUUUACGAUAUUAUCCUCAUUUAAUUAAUAAUUUCAAUUCUUAAUGUUUGAAUUAACAAAGGGCAUUUUCUGGUAUUUUGAAUGUUUCACCAUUCUCUGCCUUUUGCUUUAUAUAUAUAGAUUAAUUUGCCAGUUUCAAGAUAUCCAAAGUACAUAUUAGACUUUCACUAUAUAAAUUUCAAUAUAUAUUUUUUAUAACAUGUGUUGUUCUUAUUCAAUAAUAUGUGAGAAUUAUUUGUAUAAUACGUGAAUUUUGUGUGUCUUACUGAAUUUUUUUAAAUACGUGUAUUAAACGUUACAAAUACGUACAUAUAUGUACAACACGACUAUUGUAAGUUUGCUAUAUAAAAAAAAGUGAGAUGUAUCUAGAACACGAAUGUAUUAUCGAAAAAUAUAUAUGUAUGUAUAUAUAUAUAUAUAUAUGUAAAAGCCUAUAGCCUCUCACCUAUACUAUUUAUUAAAGACAAUUUAAAAAUUACAACAACAAAAAAACCAGUACAGCCACAAAGCUAUACUAUUUUAAAAAAAAAAAAUAGAAAAAAUAUCAAGUACUACACAGGGCAAAGGCCCAGUGUAAAAUAGUAUAGCCGUACGGCUAUACGUUUUUAAGAAGAAUUUAAAAAACUAAGUAUAGCUCACCGACUAUACUAUUUUUUAAUAUAAAAAAACAACCCCAUCCAUUAGGCGCCACGUGUCAACAGAAGUUUAUUUUUAAAAAAAAAAAUUAAAAGACAAGGAGUAUAGCCGGGUGGUUGUACUAUUUUUUUAUUUUAAAAAGAAGACAGUCCAUCGAUUAGGCGCCACGUGUCCAUAAUAAGUACAGCCGCUCGGCUAUAUGUUGGAUAUUUUGAAACUAGCAAAUUAAUAUCAAUAGCCGGUCGUAACCUAUGCUGUCCACGUCACUCAUGUUUUACCAGAGUUAAAGCAUCCACAAUGAGCUCCCCAAACCAUCUCUUUAGACAAAUUUUAGGGAGAAAUUGGAAAAGUACAACUCCAACCAUGCUCCCUAUCCACCAACUAAAAUAGGGAGACCUCUAGGAGCUCCUAAAUCUGAGGAGAGGGAAAGGACUCUUAGUGACUCCCUAUAAUUUAAUGUUGCUUUGUUUUAUGCAUAUUUUAAACUUUUAAUUAAAUCAAAUUAUUAUUUUAUAUUAUUUUGUAUACAGAUGGACCAAUUAUAUUAAAUUAAAAAAUAAUUAAAGUAUUUGUGACUCUCUAAACUAAGGAGUAUGAUUAGAGUUCAAAUUUUAUAAAAAGCUCUUAAAAUAGCUUUUGUGUGUUUUUAGCUAAAUUUUAACUAAAAAAUUUGAAGAUUCUUUAUUUGGGUUUCUUUCAAGACGAAAACCAUAUCCACAACAGACAUCUUUGGCUGUUCAUCACAAUUGAGAGACAAUGAAGAAGACAUAAGGGAGAGGCUGCCAAAUACUUAUCACCUUAGCCACCACCAACACCACAAGACCAAUAUGUGUAGGCCAGGAGGCUUUCCAAUUUUAAUAUAUAUAUAUAUAUAUAUUAAAAAAUAAAAUAAAAAUCAAUCUAUUAUCAUAUAUAUUAUAAAAUAAAGAUUAUUGCUCCAUCCUCCAUGCACUUGCGUGCCCUCUUACAAAGUAUGAAGUAGAUUUUGUUAGCUGGAUUUAUAAGAUCUUUUGUUUUUUGGAAAUUUUCUGAAAUAAGGAAAAUCAAGUAAAAUUAAUAAAGCAUAAAUUGGAAAGGGAAAAUAUCUAGAGGAUGCAUUGUAGGAUUGCUCAAGCCAAUAAUUGUACCCUCUAAAUAUAUAGGGACAUAUUUUUUUUGUUUUCAUGACAUGUCGUCCUAAAAUUAUUGUUCUUAGCGGGCUCUCCACCCCCUCUCGAUUGAAAACCUAUUGUGUAAAUCUUCAAUCCUGAAUUAGAAAAGUACAACUCCAACCAUGCUCCCUAUCCAUCUCCUAAAAUAGGGAUACCUCUAGGAGCUCCUAAAUCUGAGGCGAGAGAAAGGACUCUUAGUGUCUCUUUAUAAUUUAAUGUUGCUUUGUUUUAUGCAUAUUUAAACUUUUAAUUAAAUCAAAUUAUUUUUUUAUAUUAUUUUGUAUACAAAUGGACCAAUUAUAUUGAAUUAAAAAUAAAUUAAAGUAUUUAUGACUCUCUAAACUAGGGAGUAUGAUUGGAGUUCAAAUUUUAUAAAGAGCUCCUAAAAUAGCUUGUGUGUGUAGGGGUCUUUUUCUUCUGGCAACUACAGAUGGGUUGGGCUACCGUAAGGAGCAAACUGAAGAAAAUAUCCCCUGUGUCUGAGUUCAAAGAUUCGGCCCCAAAAUAUUUCGAAAAGGCAGUAAAGCCUUAGGAAACACCUUAGUUACCUUCACCAACGAAAAUGACGGCUGCUUACAGGUAGAUUCUUAGUGCUUACAGAUGAAUUCUUAGCUUAGCAUGAGGAGAUCGUGGCAUGGAAGCAAAGUUAGCAUGAGUUUAGCACUAAAGAGAAAAUUAUGUGUUCUUGGGAGGAAGAAGGGGUGUCCAGGUAAAUGGGAAAAGGUUUUGCAAGUAGAUUUGGCUAAGAGAGAAGGGAGAGAGAGAAGAGGGUGGCUAGAGUGCUUCUUCCGGCAGCUUGACAGUGACUCUGUCAAAUGUUAGAGCAAUCUGCCAUAAGAGGGAAAAUGGGGAAGAAGGAUGAACAGUGCACAAAAUUGCUAGGUUUUUGCAAGUAAGAGAGGAAGCUUGCUCUCUGGAUGUGGAUGAUCCGUUGGGUAGAAGAGGCCCCAUUUUAUAGCCGCUGGAAACUAUCAUUUCUCAAGAAACCCUAAUAGUUUCUACCCAAUUUGGUCAAGCUUUUCCCUUCCUUUCUCAUCUCCUCCCUUGACUUUUCCUAUCUUGGUGAAAUUUCCUCUGUCUAUUUGCACAAAAUCAGGAGCUCAAGGCCUCCCUUUCCCGCAACUGUUCAAUGGGAGACUCCAUUCUUAGCUAUUUUUCUUCUUCUUUCCUUCCUCCUUCCCUGACCAAAUCUGAUGAAGGAAAGCAAAUAGGUGCACACAUUGGUUUGAAGGGUGCUUCUCCUUCUAGCAGCUUACAUGCCAAUAUCCCUUGGGUCCUUGCAUGUUUUUUGCUUUGAAACUUGUUUCUUCCUUCCCGUCAACUCACGUGGUCUUCCAUGCUUCUUCAUGGCUUUAUCUUUCAGCCAAAAGAUGGAGUUUUUACUGCUUGCUACUUUUAAUUGUAUGGGUCUUCUAGGAUAGGAAGUCAACCUACCAAACAAAUGGGCCACCUUUAUCAAAUAUUGGGCUGUUGGGGUUAGUUUUAGUGGGCCAUUUUGACUGGGCUUUUUGGUUGGGUUAUUUAAGUUAUUUUCCCUUUUGUGCUCACCCAUGUAUUUAGGCCUAAGAAAUGGGCUUGGGCUCCGAGUCUCCCAAGCAACCCGGAACCUCCAUUUCUUGGCCCAUUAAUGGGCCUCAUGACAACCUAUUACCAUCCAUACCACAACCCACUCAAGCAAGCCCCGGGCAUUUGAAUGGCUUUGGCCCACUUUAGGCUUGUAGUGUGAUUGGGUGUGGCAUAACGAUUUCUCGCUUGGCAUGGCAUGUUGCUUGGCAUGUUUUUUCAUUACGAUGCUUGAUGGAUUUGUAGAGCUACCUAUUUUUAUGAUCUUAAUCUUGAUUCCUAGCAUGACAAAUUUAUUUAUUUGGCAUGGCAUGCGGAGCGUGACUUGUGCGUGGCGAGUUUUGUAUGCUCCAACUUGGGCCUUUCCUAAAUAAUGUAUCAUUUUGGGUUAUGAAUUCUUUCGGGCCCAACCGUGAAUUUUUUGGGUUUCAACAGUGUGUUUUUAGCUAAAUUUUAACUAAAAAAUAGGGAGCAUGAUUGUAGAUCAUCUUAUAUACCUUAAUUUGAAGAUUCUUUAUUUGGGUUUCUUUCAAGAUGAAAACCAUAUCCACAACUGGCAGACAUCUUUGGCUGUUCAUCACAAUUGAGAGACAAUGAAGAAGACAUAAGGGAGAGGCCGCCAAAUACUUAUCACCUCAGCCACCACCAACACCACAAGACCAAUAUGUGUAGGCCAGGGGGCUUUCCAAUUUUAAUAUAUAUAUAUGGAGUGAAAAAAAUAAAAUAAAGAUUAUUGCUCAUCCUCCAUGCACUUGCAUGCCCUCUUACAAAGUGUGAAGAAGAUUUUGUGUGCUUCAAGUCAUUGACUAGAGCUGAAACAUGGUUAGCUGGAUUUAUAAGAUCUUUUGUUUUCUGGGAAUUUUCAGAACCAAGGAAAAUCAAGUAAAAUUAAUAAAGCAAAAUGGAAAGGGAAAAGAUCUAGAGGAUGCAUUGUAGGAUUGCUCAUGCCAAUAAUUGUACCCUCUAAAUAUAUAGGGACAUAUUUUUUUUGUUUUCAUGACAUGUUGUCCUAAAAUAUUUGUUCCUAGCGGGCUCUCCACCCCCUCUCGAUUGAAAACCUAUUGUGUAAAUCUUCAAUCCUGAACGAUGCUCCUAAAACUCAAGUGUCCCAGGCCAAUUAUUGCUCUCAUACCACUUGUUGCAAUACACAUCCACUCAUUCUCAGGGAAAGAAACCCAUCGAUAUUAUCUCAAAUUUAACCACUUUAGUCUAUUAUGAUUAACUAUGUAUUUUAUGGAUCAAUGCAGUUGUGAGGUUUUAUACCCAAUUAGAUCGACCAAUACAGAGAUCACAUGUGGACUGAAAAGCGCCAUCGGUAGGGGAGUGUUUGGCACCCUUUACUGCCGAGUGCAACACAAGACCCCUUACCAGGAACUUAUCUACUAGGACACGUGAAGCCACCACAAGUAAUAUCAACAGUCCCACAUCGAAGUUUAACAUAACAUGUACACUCCCCAGGACUGAUAAAAGUGGGCACAAGUCCCAAAAAUGGGGGAACUUGGACUUUCAGCAAUUCAUCCAUUAUUAUGUCCAAAUUACUAUACACUCCGUACUUAUUCUUACUUAAGCAUUGGAGAGCCUUCGGCCGGUACCACACCAGUGCCUAAGGGCUUACCGAGCGUUCUCUAUCUUGCAUAUUGAUCGCUCUACUGAAGCCCAUAAAGAGUUAAAGGUCAAGACAUCACUAAGUUGAGCCCAAAAGUGCUGAACCACAUCAAAAAUAUGUAUAGAUUGAAAAAAUAAAAUAAAAAUCAAUCUAUUAUCAUAUAUAUUAUAAAAUAAAUAUUGGAUAAAUUACUCAAAUGGUCCUCAAACUUAUACUCGAUUUACAUUUUGGUCUCUCAAUUAAAUUAUUUGUUCAAAUGGUCCAUCAACUCUAUAUUAUUUCUGCAAAAUCUACAAAGUGGUGGGAGGCAGACCAACAAAAAAAAUUAGCGAAGGCUUAUAACUCUGGUAAAACAAGAGUUACUUGGAUAGAAUAAUGUUACGUCGUACUGAAGAUUUUUGGGUUUCUUUAAUUGGUUAAGUGAAGAUUCUUUAUUUGGGUUUCUUUCAAGAUGAAAGCCAUAUCCACAACCACAACCACAACUGGCAGACAAUCUUUGGCUGUUCAUCACAAUUGGGCGACAAUGAAGAAGACAGAAAUUGGAGUACUGUAUGUUAUCACCCACACCACAAGACCAAUAUAAGGAGGAUGGGGAGGCUGCGGAAUACUUAUCACCUUAGCCACCACCUACACCACAAGACCAAUAUGUUGUAGGCCAGGAGGCUUUCCAAUUUUAAAUUAGAUAAAUCGGAAACUGUUUCGAUAUCCAAUUGUAUUCUAUAAAAUCAAUGAACACGGUGCUUCAAGAAAGUAAUAAAAUUUCAAUAAUUCAAUUGAGUGGUCAAAUUCAAGUGAUUUUUUGUAGUGAUGAUCUUUGAAUGAGUAUCUAUAAAAGAGACGGUUUGGAUUAGUGAAAUACAAUAUGGAGUGGGCCCUACCAGCAAUCCACGACAAAAUGUCUGCAAGCUUUCGUAAUAUAAGGAGGAUGGGGAGGCUGCGCAAUACUUAUCACCUUAGCCACCACCUACACCACAAGACCAAUAUGUUGUAGGCCAGGAGGCUUUCCAAUUUUAAUAUAUAUAUAUAUAUAUAUAUAUAUAUAUAUAUAGGGAUGUGAUUUCUCUACUCCCCUUUUCUCUACUUAUACUCCCUUUUGCUUUUAAAUACUUUUUAAUCAAUUUUUUUUCCGCUUUCCUAUUAAUAUUCUACCAUUUCCCUACAUUAAUUUCUUUUUACUUCACUUUUAUAUUAGUUCUUUUUCUUUAUACUUAAUUUUUCAACUUGCACUCCAUUUUCAUUAUUUUUUUCCUAAUCGAGUAAGAAAUUAAGUUUUUUUUCCCCAUUUAAUACUGAAAAUGGAGUGUAAGUUAGAAAAUUAGGUAUAAAGAAAAAGAAAUAAUAUAAAAGUAAAGUAAAAAAGAAAUUAAUGUAGGGUAAAGGUAGAAUAGAAAAGAGAAUGAACAAAAUUGAUAAAUAAAUAAAAAAGGUUUAAAAAGCAAAAAGGAGUGUAAAUGGAGAAAAGGGGAAUGAGGAAAUCAGCUCCAUAUAUAUAUAGAUUGAAAAAAUUAAAAUUAAAAUCAAUCUAUUAUCAUAUAUAUUAUAAAAUAAAGAUUAUUGCUCCAAGGAAAUGACAUCUUUUGUUUUCUGGGAAUUUUCUGAACCAAGGAAAAUCAAAUAAAAUUAAUAAAGCAUAAAUUGGAAAGGGAAAAGAUCUAAAGGAUGCAUUGUAGGAUUGCUGAUGCCAAUAAUUGUACCCUCAAAUUAUACAUGGACAUAGGGGUGGGCAUUCAAAUAGGCAAACUAGAAAUCCGAGCUGAACCGCACCUAGGAAAACCGGAAAAAAAACCGAGUUGACCAAAAAGUCAACAACUGGUCAAAAAUCGAACCGGACCGAUUUGGACUGGUUUUGGAUUCAGUUUAUAUGCAAUGCUACAUUUUUAGUCUCAUAACUAAUAUUUAUCCAAGUUCAAUUUCAAAACAUCUUUCUUUUUUAGCUUUAAUAUUUAUUUUUAUAUGAAAUUAAAUAAUUUAUUAAUUUUCAAGUAAAUAAAAUAAAAUUUCAGUUGAAAUUUAUAUUAAAAAAAUAAUUUUAAUAAUCCAGUUCAAAACCAAACCGGACCAUCCAGCUGUGAGGUACAUUUCUCCCACAUGCCACAAUUGUAUAUUCACAAUUACGUCUGAUACAUCACAUCAUGCCACUUGCCUCAAAUGAAUUUAAGUGAGUGUGGCAGUGGAAAGUAAUUAAGCUCUAUAUUGGUGGGUGGACUGUUACUUCUGGGUUCCCCUCAUCAUUCGUCUAUAAAAUGGUGAAGGCAGUUGCUAUUGUUACCAUAAGAGCCAGCUCCGACUUCCUUUAAUUUCUUGCUUCAUAUCCACUAGCUACAUCUGUUACCAAGUUAAUUUCAGUCCUAAUGGGGUUUCAUCUCCCACUCAUCUUUGCUCUUCUCAGUGUAAGCUCUGCAAUUUGAUUAACUUUUCCAUUCUCUCUCAUUGUACUCUAUAUAAACGAAAGUUUUGUGUUCCUAUAAUUCUCUCCGAUUUUAUUUAGUACGUACUUAAGUGUCGUCCACUAAUUAAUUACACUUUGUGAUUUGAUUUUAAUUUGAGUUCGAAUUAAUGUUGCAGCUAGCAGCAGUGGCACUGGCAAACCAUGCUGCUCAACCAGCACCUCAACUUUACUGGAACUCCGUCCUGCCAAACACACAGAUGCCAAGAUCUAUCAGUGAACUUCUGCAUCCUGGUUUGUGUUGAGCUCUUUAGAAUCUUAGAUAUCUCUUCUACCUGCCAUUUUACUAAAAUAUGUUCCACCACAUAUUUAUCAGUUAACCACUGUUAUUACAUGAGUGACACAUAUUCACAAAUCGGCUGAUCACUUAUUUUCCAUUAUGACGUUGAUAUAUAAUUUGCAGACUCCACAAAUGAAGAAAAGAGCACAAAUGACGUUGGCAAACCUGAAACUUUCCCAUUGGGCAAUAAACAUUACUCCAGUCAAAAACAUUAUGGAAGAGGCAAACCUGAAACUUUCCCAUUGGGCAAUAAACAUUACUCCAGUCAAAGACAUUAUGGAAGAGGCAAACCUGAAACUUUCCCAUUGGGCAAUAAACAUUACUCCAGUCAAAGACAUUAUGGAAGAGGCAAACCUGAAACUUUCCCAUUGGGCAAUAAACAUUACUCCAGUCAAAAACAUUAUGGAAGAGGCAAACCUGAAACUUUCCCAUUGGGCAAUCAGCAUUACUCCAGUCAAAAAAAGUAUGGAAGAGGUGCUUCUCCAUCCGACAAUCAACCACCAAUUCCAUAGAAAUUCAAACACGGCUACUUUCUUGCCACGAGAAAGCGCUCAAUCGAUCCCCUUCUCCUCUAACAAACUACCAGAAAUUUUCAACCAUUUUUCAGUGAAGCCAACAUCUGAGGAAGCCAAAACAAUUAAGCAAACAAUCGAAGAGUGUGAAGCUCCAGACCUUAAGGGAGAGGAAAUAUAUUGCGCCACAUCUUUAGAAUCAAUGGUUGAUUUUAGCACUUCGAAGCUUGGAACAAGAAACGUUGAAGCAAUCUCGACGGAGGUAUUGGAAAAAGGAGCCACCAUGUCCAUCCAAAACUAUACAACAAUGCCGGGACUGAAGAAGUUGGCAGGUGACAAAGUCGUUGUGUGUCAUAAGCAGAACUAUCCCUAUGCUGUGUUUUUCUGCCAUGCAAUAAAACAUACAGCAGCUUAUGCUCUCUCCCUGAAAGGCGAUGAUGGGGAGAAGGUUAAAGCAGUAACCAUCUGCCAUCUAGACACAUCAGAAUGGGACCCAGAGCAUAUGUCCUUCAAAAUCGUCAACGUUAAGCCCGGAACCAUUCCCAUCUGCCAUUUCAUUUCCACUGAUGCUAUUGCCUGGGUUCCGAACCACAAAUCUGCAUGAUCAUCACUUAGCACUAGUACUGUGCGUAUAAUAUGCCUGUAUAAUUAUCUCCCUACUUAUUUCUGCCUGUUCAUCAUGUGGUGUAAGAUAUAUGUUGAGAUGAAGUUUUUGGGAUUAGUGGUCGAAAUUAACCCGAUCAUGUUUUCUCUUGUAACUAUAUAGACUUCAACUUGUACUCAUAAUAAAGCAUGCUAUAUUUAUGAAGAGAUAUUAAUCUUCAGGCAAAUAGAUAUUAUGAAAACAUAUAUAGCAAUUUAUCCAGAAGAAAUAUUAUGAAAUGAAAAGAAUAAAAAGUAAAAAAACAGAAGGAAAGGAAUUCGCACCUGCUAUGUAUGAAAGGACCAAGAUUGUUUUCCCUUUGGUUAAUGACUAGAAAAGCUCACUUGCAGAUUGCUUUCUCUGACCGUAGAUGCAACAGAAAUUUUCUCUUAAUAAUAGCACAAUGAUCGGGUAAUUGUAAGAACAAGUUGAUUUAAAAUUCCUUGACCCAAAAAAAAAAAAAAAAUCAUUUCAAAUUCAGGUCAACCCAUAGAUUUCUUGCCUUUUUCUUCUUCAUCACGUUGGGCUUGUCUUCUUCUUGAGGAUUGUAUAGGCCCAGGAAAUGCUUUGAGGUAGUUUUUGGCCUUGGAAGUUGGGACCCAACCCAACUUCACAAAAAGAAAACAGAUUUGCCAAAAAUCAAAUUUCAAGUCUCUCCUCAGAUCACUAAUACAGAUCAAAUUUUGGAUUUGAUGAACUAAAGUGGUUUUACUUUCUCUGUCAGUGUUUGAUGACUUAAUUUGUUAUUUACUUCUUUUUUUUUUUUUACUUGAUCUUUGUAGGGGUUUUUUUCUUCCGGUAACUUAAACGGGCUGGGCUGCCGUAAAGGGUAGAUUGAUGAAAUUGUCUCCUUUGUCUGAGUUCGAAAAUCAAGCCCCAAAAGCGCUUCGAAAGGGCAGUAGAGCCUUAGGAAGCGUUCUAGUCAUCUUCACCAACUAAAACAACAGCAACUUACAGAUGAUUUCUUAAGGCUUACAGAUAAAUUUUCUAGCUUGGCAUGAGAGGCUUGUGACAUGGAAGCAAAAUCAGCAUGAGUUUAGCACCAAAGAGGAAAAUAUGGCUUCCUAGGGAGAAAUGGGAGUGUUUAAGGUGAGGAAGAAGAGGUUUGCAGGCUGAUUUGGCUGAGGAGAGAGAAAGAAAGAACAAUGUUCUUCCAGUAGCUUGACAAAGCUUCUGACAGAUGUGAAAGUCGUCUGCCAUAAGAGGAAAAUGAAGAAGAAUGGUGAAUAGUGCAUGAAAUUGCUGGGUUUUUGCAGGUAAGAGAGAAAGCUUGCUCUCUGAAUUUGAGUUGGUUUUUGGUUGGGUAGAAGAGGCCCCCUUUUAUAGCUGCGGGAAACCAUCUUUUUUCAAGAAACCCUAAUGGUUUCUAUCCAUUUUGGCCAAGCUUUUCCCUUCAUUUCUCUUCUCCUCCCUUGACUUUUCCUAUCUUGGUGAAAUUUCCUCUGCCUAUUUGCACAAAAUUAGAGAUUUUGAGGAGCUCAAGACCCCUUUCCCGCAGCUGCCUCAGUGGAGAAUCCCCAUUUUCAGUCAUCUUUCUUCCUUCUUUUCUCCCAUCUUCCAAGGUUAGGUCUGAUGAGGGAAAGAAAUGGGUAUGCACACUGGUUUGAAGGGUAUUUUUGCUUGAAACUUGUUCUCUCCCAUGUGCUGGAGCUUCCCAGCAACUUACACACAUGGAUAUUUUGGCUUUCAUCGUGGCUUUUGUUUUCAGCUAGGUGCUGGAGAUUUCGCAGAUAUUUUCAUGAGUUGCUUGGGCCUUCUAGGACAAUAGGUUGGUUUAUCAAGUGAAUGGGCUAACUUCAUCAAUUGUUGGGCUAUUUUGGUUGAGUUAAUGGACUAUUUUGGUUGAAGUAAUGGGCUAUUUUGGUUGAAUUAAUGGGCUAUUUUUCUCUCUUUGUGCUCACCCACAUAUUUGGGCCUAAGAAAUGGGCUUGAGUUCCGGGGCUCCCAAGCAACCCCGGGACUUCCAUUUCUCGGCCCAUCAAUGGGCCUCAUAUCAACUUAUUACCAUCCAUAUCACAACCCACUCAAGCAAGCCCUGGGCAUCUUGCGUGGCUUGGGCCCACUUAAGCUUGUAGCGUGACGUGUUGCUUAUUUGCUUGGCAUGGCAUGUGUGCAAGCGCAUAUGACGAACUUUAGCGUGCCCAAAUUGGGUUUAUUCUCGGUAAGGUAUCGCAUUGGGCCGAGAAUUUAAUUGGGCAGAACUGUGGAUUUUUGGGCCUCAACAAUCUUAUAUAUAUUGGUUUUCUUUUUUUCCUUAAUAUUCACCACCUUUCUGUUGCAUAAGUAUUUCAGUCUUAACGGGUUUCCAUCUACCACUCAUCUUUGCUCUUUUAAGUGUAAGCUUUUUUUUUUUUUUUUUAAGCACAAGAUUAGAGGGGAGGGGGAUUUCUCAAUGUAAGCUUUGCAGUUUCAUAAUUAAUAUUUCCAAUAUCUCACUGUUAGUAAAAUAUGGAACAGGAAAAGUAUGAAUAAAAUACACACAUGUUUUAUUUAGCAAAAUUUUGACAAGAUACAACUGAAAAGUUUGGCCACUAUAUAAUAUUUUGAUAUAAUUUCUACACUUCUUCUCAAAAGAUUAGAUCACUUCACAUCUUGUGUAUGUGAAAACUAAUGUAAAAAGUUGAAACUUUAUCGUAAAACCUCGACAAAAAUGAGCUCUACUAGAAAAUGUUCAAUUUGGAUUCGUUGAUUUAAAUGGCAAUUUGACACUUGAUAGAAAUUUUUACAUACAUGUGUUAGUGUUUGAUCACUUCACAUGUUACUUACUAUAUUUAUUCCACUCAAGUUAGGUAAAUAUUAUUAUCAAACAUUUCAAUUAAUUUGUGAUUUUUUUAUUAUUUAAUCAAUUAUGAAUUAAUGGAUUCUUCUUGUUGUUUUGAAGACCAAUAAAAAAAAAAGGGUAAGGAUGGCUUAUAACUCUGAUAAAACAACAGUGACGUGGACAGCAGAUGUUACACCGUACUGAAGAUUUUUGAAGAUUCUUUAUUUGGGUUUCUUUCAAGAUGAAAACCAUAUUAUCCACAACCACAAUGAAGAAGACAGAAAAUGGAGUAAUUCAGAUGUUACCAGCCAUCCACGACAAACUGAAGUCUGCAAAGCAUUCGUAAUCUAAAGGGAGACUUUGGAAAAGCCCAAAGGAGAGAGAAAAUUUUUAAAAGAAGCAAAAAUGGACAAAAUUGCCCUUAUUUAUUUUUUGAUUUCCUAAGAAAUCCUUUACAUUUGCAUGUCUUUGGUUUGAAAGUUGAGAGGUUAUUCUGUCUUUUUUCAAAAAGCUUUGGCUUUUUCCAAAAGUGAAAGUUUUUUUAUGGGUAAAACCUAAAUUUACUUAAUCCCUAAAAAGGAUGGGGAGGCUGCGCAAUACUUAGCCACGUGUAGGCCAGGAGGCUUUCCAAUUUUAAUAUAUAUAUAAAUUGAAAAAAUAAAAUAAAAAUCAAUCUAUUAUCCUAUAUAAAAUAAAGAUUAUUGCUUCCAUGGGCAGUGCUAUGCACAGGACAGUGCCUGCCCAGCACAAAUUUUUUUUAAAUAAAAAAAAAAAAUCUACAUAUGUUAUAAGCUCAUCCAAAAAAAUAAAAUAAAAUAAAAGUAAAUUCUACAUAUAUGUUGCCCAUCUAGGUGGUUCCAUAUCUUCUCUCUCCUUCUCUUUUGGCUAUUAGACUUCUUGUUUCUCUCUCUCUCUUUGCUACCUCACAUCAGCAAGUUUCUCCCUCUCUUUUUUUGGGGUCAAAUUCUUCCUCUAUUGACAAAAUCUUCUAUUAUCUUGGGUGGGCAACUUGGCAACAACAUCUUCUCUUCUCCUUUUGUCAACAACAAGUAUUAUUCUCAUUCUCUCAUUUGCUAUAUAUCUUUAAUUAUAGUUUUAAUUUAAAAUUGAGUAUUCUAGGGUUUAAUUAGGGAUGAAUUAUAAUUUUAGAAUUUUGUUGAAAUUAAUUAAGGCUUCGAUUAGGGGUGAAUUAUUCUACUGCUUUGGUUUGGAAUUUUGUUAAAAUUGAGUAUUAUAGGGUUUAAUUAUGGAUGAAUUAUAAUUUUUGAUUUUGGUAUUAUUGAGAUGUUAUUAUGAGAAUUUGUUUCAUUUUUUUAUUGGUAUAUUUGAUUAAAAUUCUUUCUACAUAUUAUUCAUAGGCUAUCUUUUAUUAUGUCGGAUCACAAUCGGAAUCCCAAGAGAACAAAGAAUUUGAAUAGUGUUGUUUUGUAUUGCAUUGCAUUUACUUUUGGUUUUAGUUUUGCUUUUAGUGUAAAUUACUCAAAUGGUCCUCAAAUUUGUACCCGAUUUACAUUUUGGUCCAUAAACUAAAUUAUUCAUUCAAAUGGUGCACCAACUCUUUAUUAAUCAGUGCUUUGGUCCUACCGUUAUGUUUUCUAUUAAAUUUAGUCAUGUGAGCAGCACAUGCUACAUUUGUAGGGGUAAAUAAGACUUUUGACCACUUUAUCACCUAUGUAUCACCACUUUAUAACCUAUUUGGAGAACAUAGGUCAGUUAUGGACGGUUUUACAAUUAUAUUUGACGGCAACAUUAACAUAAUGUAACAGUGGGAUCAAUGGAGCGAUUAAUAUAGAGUUGAUGGACCGUUUGAACGAAUAAUUUAAUUGAGGGACCAAAACGUAAAUUGAGUAUAAGUUUGAGGACCAUUUGAGUAAUGUACCCUUCGCUUUUAUAUUUGUUGAACUUUUAUUUAUGGAUAGAUAUGCAUUUGAGGGUAAGACCCAUUAUGUUCCCCCUGACUUGGUGUAUCUUUUUAUGUUUAUUAAUGAAAUUCACUCGAACUGUUGAGUUUAGUAUGUAAGUUUUGCCUAACCGGCUUUUGAAUCCUAGAACCGCCACUGUUGCUCCAUCCUCCAUGCACUUGCAUGUGCUCUUACAAAGUGUGAAGUAGAUUUUGUGUGCUCCAAGUCAUUGACUAGAGCUGAAACAUGGUUAGCUAGAUUUAUAAGGACCCAUCUCUCUAUUUCCUAGACAUAUACCCAUCUCUCUAUAAAUCUAUAUGUAAAACUCAAUUUCAAACUUAAAUGACCAGUAAGAUAUAAGAGGUCAUAGUAUUCCUAUGUUUUUACAUCGUUGCCACCAGACUUCUUAUUUUAUUUAUAAUUUAUUUCAAGCAUUUCAUUAACUGCCAUAAUUGUAAUUAAUACUCCAUAUUAAUAGCAUAUCAAUCACCCCAUUUCUUUUGAUUGCCAUUCCCUCUAACAUAUCGCCCCUUAAAAUUGAAAACCAAAAAAAAAAAAAAUGUAAAUUACAUAUCCAAUAAUGUACCUAUGAAAAAUAUAAAUAUAAAUAUAUACGUAUAAAAAUAUAGGUUUAUUAUUUACCAAAUAAAAAAUAUAAAAAAACUAGGUCAGUUGCUUUGUAAUUGAAAUUUCUAUACAUUUUCCACAAAUUAAAAAUAGGUACACAAUAAUUUAUAGAAAAUAUAGGUGCAUUAUUUAUCCAUAGGUAAAAAUACCUAUAAAUGCACAUAGGUAAAUUAUUUACCCAUAUAUUAUUUUUUUGCUAAGGAUUUACCUUAGUUUUUAGUAGAUUAAUUUACCUACCUAGAGGCAUAGGUAGCUUAAAAAAAUUGUAGCACCUUAGUUGGUUGCAUACUAAUUUACCUACCUAGAGGCAUAGGUUGCUAAGAAAAAAUGUAGGUAAAUUCAUGUACCUAAACACAUAGGGGUCAAAUAGAGAAUAACAUGUUAUUUCCCUUCGAACAAAUUAAUUUCAAACCAUAACAAUAAUUGAAUUCGGAAAUUGGUAUAAAUAAAAGGAAAUAAAUAAGCUAUCAAUUUGAAAAUUAAAAUAAGAAAUGAUCAAGUAGUCAUAUUUGAAAAAAAAGAAAAGAAUAUAUUCUUGGUUUUUAUAGGAACAACGUGUAUAUUCAAACCAAAUGGCAGUAACUACACCAAGCUUUAAUUACUUUUUUUUAAGGCCAAAAGUCACUUUUGGUCUCUGUAGUUUGACACUUCUAUUACUUUUGACGCUGUAGUUUCAAUUCCGUCAAUUUUGCCAUUGUAGUUUCAUAUUUGUAGCAAUUCAAGGACAUGUUAAUAUUAAUGUCAAUUUGUUUAAUGAUGCAAGGGGUAAUUUCGUCAUCCCAAAAUCCUUGAGCAUAAAAGCUUGUCUGAAAUUCUCCCCAUUUCAUAUUAGGGCUCGAAAUUCAACCACUAAUCCCAAUUUUUGAAGAACCCUAUACCCAAAUGACCAAUUUCAAGCCCUAAUAACAAAUUAGGGAAGUUUUAGAUGAGCUUUUAUGCUCAAGGAUUUUGAGUUGAAGAAAUUGCCCCUUGCACUGUCAAAGAAAUUGAUAGGAAUACUGACUUGUCCUUGAAUUGCUACAAAUACAAAAAUACAGGGUCAAAAUUAACAGAAUUUAAACUAUAUGGUCAAAAGUGGUUAAAGUGCCAAACUACAAGGACCAAAAGUGACUUUUAGCCUUUUUGUUUAAAUAAGGAAAAAACUUACCUAUUAAAUCCUUGGAAUCUAUACAAAAUUGAAACACAGUUAAUCAGCAUUGAAUUGCAGCUAAUUUCUUAAACAAGGGUAUUAUAGGAAUUUAAAAAGUAUAACAUUUAAUCCAUUGAGCUUGAUUAGGAAUCUUGAUGAGUUGGAUCCUAGUUAUAUAGUUUCUCUUAUAAAAAUCGGGUUUUAUUUAUAGACAAAUAAAACAAUGGGUUGUAGGUAAGAAAAUAUUAAUUUGAAGGGAAAGUGUCACAUCCUGGGAUCGGCUCCGCCGUAGCACGAUAUUGUCCGCUUUGGGCCCCCCUCUCUGCCCGCACGGUUUUGUUUCUGGGAGCUCACGAGCAACUUCCCAGUGGGUCACCCAUCCUGGGAUUGCUCUGGCCCCCAACUCGCUUAACUUCGGAAUUCCUAUGACUCCGAAGCCAGUGAGCUCCCAAAAGGCCUCGUGCUAGAUGGAUGCGGGUGUGUACAUAUAAGACACAUCACCCCCUCUCCGUUGGUUGAUGUGGGAUCUUACAGAAAGAGUCAAAUUUACUAAAUUAAUAAAGCAUAAAUUGGAAAGGGAAAAGAUCUAGAGGAUGCAUUGUAGGAUUGCUCAUGCCAAUAAUUGCACCCUCUCGAUAUUGAAAAACCUAUUGUGUAUUAUUAUCUUCAAUCAUGAAUGAUGCACCUAAAACCCAAGUGUCCCAAGCCAACCAUUGCGCUCAUACCACUUGUUGCAGUACACAUUCACCCGUUUUUAAAGAAAGAAAUUCUACCAAUCGAUAUUGUCUCAAAUUUAAUCACAUAGGUCUAUUAUGGUUAACCAUAUGUACUUUUAUCGGCCAUAUAGAGGUACCUUUUUCCAACGUGCAACAAUUGUAUUUGAUUCACAAUUAUGUCUGAUAUACAUCACAUCAUGCCACUUGCCUCAAAUGAAUUUAAUUGAGUGAGGCAAUGGGAAGUAAUUAAGCUCUAUAUUGGUGGGUGGAGUGUUACUUCUGGAACCCUCAUCAUUCGUCCAUACAAGGGAACAAUUCCCUUCCUUCUAUAAAAUGGUGAAGCCAGUUGCUAUUGUUUGUUAGAGUUUUAGGAUCUGAGUGUUAGAUUUUGUGAGAAGAGAGAAGAGAAUUUAGUGAAAACUUCCAAUACUGCUCUGCUAUACGUGUAGCAGAGAGAACAUUCUGUUUUGUUAUAUAUUUUCAGUACAACAACACACACUUGGUGUGAGAAGAAAAAUGACUGUUAUGCACAGUACCAGCUGGAUGCUUUCCAUCAAAGUAAUCUCAGCCAUUCACUAUCUAACCAAUCAAGCUAUGACACCUGGACUAAGUAUAAAGAAAUACAACUAAGCAGAAAACAAGACUCUUAAUCCUGAAAUCAACUUAAGCACUUAUAAUUCAACACUCCCCUUUAAGUCUUGAGGUGAUUUCACUCCAAGCAUGCCUCUGAGAUAAUUGAAUCUGUCUUUGGCCAGAGGUUUGGUAAAAAUGUCAGCCAAUUGUUCAUUUGUAGGACAAUAUUCCAGAUUGAUUACCCCUUCUUGCAAUGCAUCCUUGAUGAAGUGAUACCUCCUGUCAAUAUGCUUUGUCUUCUGGUGGAAUACAGGGUUUUUAGUGAUUGCAAUUGCUGAGAUAUUAUCACAAUGCAAUGGAGUAGCUUCAGUUUGAAGCUCUCUAAAGUCUUCUAGCACAAAACGGAGCCAAAUAGCUUGAGUAGUAGCCUCAGCUGCACUGAUGUACUCAGCUUCUGCAGUAGACAGUGCAACACAGUUCUGUUUCACUGAGGCCCAAGAAAAUACUCCACUUCCAAAACUAAACGCAUACCCUGAUGUGCUCUUGCAAUCACCAACUGAUCCUCCCCAAUCACUGUCACAGUAACCAACUAGAAUUGAUCUUUUGCCUUUCACAUAUUCAAGACCAUAGUCCAGAGUUCCUUUGAUGUAUCUCAAAACCCUUUUAGCUGUUCCAUAGUGUCUAUUUGUAGGACAGUGCAUGAAUCUAGCUAGCAAGCUUGAGGCAUACAUGAUGUCUGGUCUUGUAGCAGUUAAGUACAGCAAGCUACCAACAAUGCUUCUGUAUUGUUCUUCAUUUGCAGCUCAACUCCCAUCAUCCUUAGCUAGUUUCUCAGUGGCAACAAGGGGUGUUGUCACAGGUUUGCACUCAGUCAAACCAAACUUGCUCAACAAGGUGCUAGCAUAUUUCUUUUGAUGUAGAAAUAUACUAGACUCAGUCUGAAUAACUCCCAUGCCAAGAAAGUGAUGAAGUAAGCCCAAAUCAGUCAUCUCAUACUUAGCCAUCAUGUCUUCUUUGAAUUCAGCCAACAAUGCUUGACUGCUCCCUGUAUACACAAUAUCGUCUACAUAGAUAGACACAAUUAGAAUCUCCUUAUCUCCCCUUACUUUGGUAUAUAAGGUUGUUUCACUUAAGCUUUUCACAAAACCACAUUGAGUGAAGUAGCUGUCUAUCUCUCCAUACCAAGCCCUUGGGGCUUGCUUCAGACCAUAAAGGGCUUUAUGCAAACGAUAAACCUUGUCUUCUUUACCUUUAAUUACAAAACCUUCAGGCUGACUGACAUAAACUUCCUCUUGCAGCACACCAUUAAGGAAAGCAGACUUCACAUCAAGCUGGAACAAUUUCCAAUCCUUUUGAGCAGCUAGAGCAAUAAGUGUUCUAAUGGUGUCCAAUCUGGCUAUAGGUGCAUAAGUCUCAUUAUAAUCCAGUCCAGGCUUCUGAGCAUACCCCUUAGCCACUAAUCUUGCUUUAUUCUUUUGCACUGAGCCAUCCAAAUUCAGCUUUGUCUUGUACACCCACUUAACUCCAAUCACUGGUUUUUCAGUUAGUCUAUCUACCAAUUCCCAUGUUUCAUUCUUUUCAAUCAUCUGCAGUUCAUCUUCCAUAGCCUUAAGCCAAGAUUCAUCCUGAGCAACAUCAGCAUAUUUUUCUGGUUCCAUGAUACACAAGUUACACUGAGCUAGAACAUCAUCUAGCCUUCUCCAUUUUAGAGGGGUGUGAUCAUAAGCUUGAGUUCUCCUUUCUUCACUGCUUAUAUCACCUGGAGUUGAUGAAAUGCUCUCUUGCAUAUCCAAAGUUUGAGGUGUACCAGUAGAAUUCUCAUUAGAACUGUCAGAUUUCAAGUCCAAAUCAACUUGGUUUUCAAUUGAGUAUGUUGUCAUAACUGAACCAUUUUUGUUUGUCCAAUGCCAAGCAUUUUCUUCAUCAAAUGUCACAUCCCUUGAUAGUAAAAGCUUGUUAGAAACAGGAUCAAAAACUCUAUAUCCUUUUUCACAAGUUGCAUAUCCCACAAACACUCCCUUUGUACUCUUAGGAUCCCGCUUGUGUCUCAAUUCAGUUGGCACAUGAACAUAACACAGAGAACCAAACACUUUCAGAUGUGCAAUUCCAGGCUUCCUUCCACUAUAUGCUUCGAAUGGAGUAAUGUUGUUGAGAGCUUUGGUAGGACAUCUGUUCAGCAAAUAGAUAGCUGUAUGCACAGCUUCUGCCCAUAGGAAAUAAGGCAUUCCCUUCUCAUGUAACAUUGAUUUUGCCAUCUCAAUGACAGUUCUAUUCUUCCUCUCAACUACUCCAUUCUGCUGAGGAGUAUAGGCCAUUGUAAGCUGCCUUUGAAUGCCAUUAGCUUCACAAAACUCCAAAAAAUCAGUAGACAUAAACUCUCCACCCCUGUCACUUCUUAUGCACUGAACCUUGUGUCCAGUUUGUAAUUCAGUCAUGGACUUGAACUUCUUGAAACAAAAGAAGGCUUUUGACUUGUUUCUCAAGAAGUAUACCCAAAUCAUUCUUGUGAAAUCAUCUAUAAUCAGCAUGAAAUAUCUGUUCCUUGCAACAGACUCAUUUCUCAUGGGACCACAGAGAUCCACAUGUAUUAGCACUAGUACUUUGCUUGCUCUUUGAGCUUGAUCUUUUGGAAAAACAUUUCUGUGCUGUUUUCCAAAUUGGCACCCGUCACACACACCACUUUGUUCUUCCAAUUUUGGUAAACCAUGUACCAUUUCUUUAUCACUUAGCUGCUUCAAUCCUCCAAAAUGCAGAUGACCAAAUCUCUUGUGCCAAAUCCAUGUGGAUUGAAGAAAACUAGUCUUCAUUAGUAACUGUUUUUCAGCUAGAAAAGAGACAGGAUAGCAUCUGUUACUCUUCAUUUGCACCUUUAUGAUGAGAUAAUCCAUGGAUGGGCUAUCAAAUACCCUGCACAUCCCUUCUCCAAACACUAGACAGUACCCAUGUUCAUCCAUCUGCCCAACACUUAGCAGAUUUUCUUUCAAUCCUGGCAGAUACAUUACUUCUCUGAUGUAUUUCCUGCCCUUUGCUGUAUCAAUACUCAGUGAGCCAAUACCAGCUACACUCACUAAUGCACCAGUUGGCAUUUGUACUCUCCCAGCUACAUUAGUUCUCACAUCAACCAGCAAAUCUAAAUUUCCUGUCAUAUGAUUGCUGCAGCCACUGUCAAUGUACCAUUCAUUGGUUUUGAUCUCAGUGGUUGAGCAAUUGGCAUAAAACAGGUUUCCUGUAACCUCCAUUUGAUUUACACAAUUAGCCUUCUGCACAUUUUUGCUCACUGUACAGUCUCUAGCAAGAUGUCCAACUCUGUCACAGUUAUAGCAUUUUGGUUUUCCCUUAUACCUGCACUCACCAAAAUGAUGCUUUGAACACACCUUGCAUUGAGGCUUUGUGUUUUCCUGAUUUGAGAACUGUGUUGAAGUGUGGUUCUGUGCAGAAUAAUUAUUCUGCUGUGUCUUGUCUUUUGCCUCCCAUGACUUCCCUUUAGAGUUCCAGCUUCUCUGUGACUUAGAUGAACCAGACUGAGAAGCAUUUUUGUUCUGACCCUUUGAAUUCACAGUGAAUGAGGCAAAUGCCUUCUCAGCUGUAUCAACACUAUGCAUUUCAAGCCUUUGCUCCCGACUCUUCAAAAUGGCAGUUACUUCCUGCAAAUCCACAGUUUCUAGUGUCUUUGUGUUUUCAAUCACAAUGCAUAUAGGGUCAUACUUCUUACUUAGACUAAUUAACACCUUCUGAACCUACCUCUCAUUUGACAGAACUUCACCAAAUGUUUUCAUUUGGUUAAUCAAUUCAGUUAGUCUAGUAAGAUAUUCAGAUAAGGUUUCACUAUCACGCAUCCUACUGUAUUCAAACUCACGUCUAAGGUUUUGAAGCUUUACCGAUCUAACAUGCUCUCCACCAUGAUAUUCUGAGUACAGCAGAUUCCAAGCCAUCUUUGCAGAGUCAGCAUUGGCAAUUCUGGGAAAAAUCUGAUCAGAAACAGCAUUUUGAAUGAUACCCAAGGCCUUCGCAUCCUUCAUGAGAAUCGCAGCUGUUUUCUCAUCAACUUCUUCUUCUGAACCAUCCUCAGAUUCCUGCUUCGUCUUUGAAUCUGGGAUUAAAAACCCCUUCUCUACCAAACCCCAUAAACCAUAUGAUCUGAAUAUGGUUACCAUCUUAAUCCUCCAAAAUUCAUAGUUCUCACCUGAGAAAAUGGGGAUUCUAGCCUCUGAACUUCCAGAUCCAGCCAUUACGAAUUUCAGAUUCGCCUGGAAACAAGAUGUUUUCAGAUUUGACCCUUGAUCGAGCUCAAUCAGCUUCGUGAGCUUAGAAUGAGCUCACCUCGAUCGAUUUUCUUCACAGAACAACGCCCAGCUUCAGAUAAUCAAACUUGGCUCUGAGGCCAUGUUAGAGUUUUAGGAUCUGAGUGUUAGAUAUUGUGAGAAGAGAGAAGAGAAUUUAGUGAAAAUUUCCAAUACUGCUCUGCUAUACGUGUAGCAGAGAGAACAUUCUCUUUUGCUAUAUAUUUUCAGUACAACAACACACACUUGGUGUGAGAAGAAAAAUGACUGUUAUGCACAGUACCAGCUGGAUGCUUUCCAUCAAAGUAAUCUCAGCCAUUCACUAUCUAACCAAUCAAGCUAUGACACCUGGACUAAGUAUAAAGAAAUACAACUAAGCAGAAAACAAGACUCUUAAUCCUGAAAUCAACUUAAGCACUUAUAAUUCAACAUUGUUACCAUAAGAGCCAGCUCCGACUUUCUUUAAUUUCAGUCCUAACGGGGUUUCAUCUUCCACUCAUCUUUGCUCUUCUCAGUGUAAGCUCUGCAAUUUGAUUAACUUUCCCAUUAUCUCUCACUGUACUCUAUAUAAAGGAAUAAGUGUCGUCCACUAAUUAAUUACACUUUGUGAGAUUUGAUUUUAAUUAGAGUUCGAAUUGAUGUUGCAGCUAGCAGCGGUGGCACUGGCAAACCAUGCUGCUCAACCAGCACCUCAACUUUACUGGAACUCCGUCCUGCCAAACACACAAAUGCCAAGAGCUAUCAGUGAACUUCUGCAUCCUGGUUUGUGUUGAAUAAAUAUAGUAUGUUACUGGAGUACGUAUGGCAACAUAUUCACAAAUGUGUCACGUAUUUUCCAAUAUGACGUUGAUAUAUAAUUGCAGACUCCACAAACGAAGAAAAGAGCACAAAUGUCAUGAAUGCUGUUGGGAAUGGAAAGCCAAUUGACCACAAGGGCAACCUGAAAAUACUGUACUACCACAGCUUGCACGACGCCCAUUUUCUUACAAGAGUGAUGAUCGUCCCACUGACAAUCAACUCCAUUAUAAAAACGUAGCUAUUUUCUUCUUGGAGAAGGACAUGCGCCCUGGCACAACAAUGAGCUUCCAAUUCCCUAGAAAUUCAAACACGGCUACUUUCCUGCCACCAGAAAGAGCUCAAUCGAUCCCCUUCUCCUCUAACAAACUACCAGAAAUUUUCAACCAUUUUUCAGUGAAGCCAACAUCUGUGGAAGCCAAAACAAUUAAGCAAACAAUCGAAGAGUGUGAGGCUCCAGGCAUUAAGGGAGAGGAAAUAUAUUGCGCCACAUCUUUAGAAUCAAUGGUUGAUUUUAGCACUUCGAAUUUUCGAACAAGAAACGUUCAAGCAAUCUCGACAGAGGUAUUGGAAAAAGGUGCCACCAUGUCCAUGCACAAGCAUACAACAAUGCCGGGACUGAAGAAGUUGGCAGGUGACAAAGUCGUUGUGUGUCAUAAGCAGAACUAUCCCUAUGCUGUGUUUUACUGCCAUGUAAUAAAACCAACAGCAGCUUAUGUUCUCUCCCUGAAAGGCGAUGAUGGGGUGAAGAUUAAAGCAGUAGCCAUCUGCCAUCUAGACACAUCAGAAUGGAACCCAAAGCAUUUGGCCUUCCAAAUCCUCAAAGUUAAGCCCGGAACAAUUCCCAUCUGCCAUUUCCUUCCCACUGAUCAUAGUGUCUGGGUUCCGAACCACAAAUCUGCAUGAUCAUCACUUAGCACUGUACGUAUAAUAAGCUUGCACCCCUGUAUAAUUAUCUCCCUACUCUACUUAUUUCUGCCUCUUCAUGUGGUGUAAGAUAUAUGAUGAGAUGAAGUUUUUGGGAUUAGUGGUCGGGUUGCCUUAAAAACACAGAUUACAGAAACUGCUUGAACUUAACCCGAUCAUGUUUUCUCUUGUACUCGUAAAGCAUGCUGUUGUGGUUCUACUUAAUUUCGUUCUCCCCAAUGUUUGAGUGUUUAAUUGUUACGUUGGAUAAUGCUUGUAGUUAGAGAAGCCUUCAUUUAUAUCAAAGUCCUCAACUUGUAAAGAUAUCAAUGGUCCUAGUGCUGCCACGUGUAAGAAGAUUGAAGAAUAAAGCUGUUGAGAUAUUGUUAGACCUGUUAUGCAGUUUAGGAAAACUGUUAGUAUUGAUAAGAGAAGGUUAGAGAUGUUAGAGAGGUUAGAAAACACGUGAACAAGGCUUUAACUCAGCUGAUAUAAAGUCUGUAGUUGUGCUCAGUUGAACUUAAUGAGAAAUACAACAAGUCUCUUCUCUAUCUCUGAAAUUCUCUCUGCUCUCUCUGCUUUACUUCUUUUGUCUCUGCUCUACAUUUUUUUUCAAUCUUCCUAUCUUAACAAAACUAUCAAGAAUUAAUGCAUCCAGAAACAUAUAUACCAAGACGCAAAACAACAUAUUUUUCAUGCUCUGUCUGUAACACCAAAGCAAACUUCCUUUAUCACAAAAGGAUCAAAUUCCAGUACUAAUCUAAUCCAUCAUGUAAAGCAUACAAUCUACAAGUGCCUCCCUUAAUUUGUCCAUUGGAUAUAUAUGUCACUUUUUGGUAAUUUGGUAUAGCAGCACCACGUAGUCUUGAAAUAGUAGUGCGGCUAUACCAAAUAUACCAUUUGCCCCUGCAUUUAACAGAAAAGUAAACAAAAUUGACGGUAGAACUAUUUGUCCUAACGAAACUGCAGUUGAAAGACCAUGAGAACGAUUUUGAAAAUUGAGGGACUCAAAUGAAAAUUGGGUCUAAGUUCAAGAACCAAUAAAACGAUUAACCCAUAGAUUUUGGAUCCAGUACCACAUCCCAAAGAGAAAACCACAAGUUUGCAAGCAAGUUUGUCCAUAAUAACACUACGUACAGUAUGGGCAGUGCGCUAGACUCAUCUCACUUUCUCAACCUAUCCUAUAGUUGUCUAAAAGAGUUUCUAAUUUAAUGUACUGAGAUUUACGAAAGAAAUAUCAGAGAAACAAUUUUCAGGCAAUAAAAAAAUGUCUUGGCAAGAAAAUGUACAAUUUGUUACAUAACUUAUUAAAUAUGAACAGUUGAAAGAAAAAAGAAUCUGGAUGAGGGAUUUGCAAAUUCCUAUGGCCCAAUUACCUUUUUUUCUUUGUUGUUUUUUUUUUUUUUUUUUUGGUUCUUUUGAUCCAGUAGCAUAUUCCAAAGAAUGAAAACCACAGGCAUGCAAUGCAAGCUCUUUUCCCACGUUUUCCUCUGUUUUUCUCCUAUCAUGGAAGUGAUUAAAACACACCUCUAAGCUUGUUUUGCGUUUGGUAGCCGAGUGUAAAAGCUCAAUGCAAGAUAGUUUGAGGUAGAAUUUUCUCCUAUUUUAUUAGGACAAUGAUAAUUAAAAAAAAGUGUGAUUCAUUGAAUAUUUGCGGGGUUUUGUUCAGACCUGACAAAGUUCUAAGUCAACACAUCAAAUUCCUUUUUCCAACAUGCAACAAUUGUAUUUGAUUCCCAAUUUUUUCUGAUAUACAUCACAUCAUGCCACUUGCAUCAAAUGAAUUUAAUUGAGUGAGGCAAUGGGAAGUAAUUAAGCUCUGUAUUCGUGGGUGGAGUGUUACUUCUGGAACCCUAAUAAUUCGUCCCUACAGGACUCUAGAACUCUCAAACUUCUUACAAGGACUACUUAACUCUAUAGCUUAAUGCAUAUAGCAUAUAUAUGCAAACACAAUUAGAAAUUCUACAACAGAAGCAAGAUCAAUCUCACUAUGCCUUCUAAACAAACAAACAAAUAAAACAAGCAUAUUAAUUGCUUUAAUCACUCUACUAACAUCAACACAGCACACUUAGUUUACUAACAGAUGAUAUAGAAAGGAAAAAAAAGGACCAAUAGGGAGAAAAUGGUGAACUAAGGAGAGACUAAUACUUCUGGUCCUUAGAAGGCAUAACAGAAAUAAUAGAGCACACUGCUUGAAUGCAAGUCAGUAUUAGGAGCAAAACAGCUGCAAUGAAAGAAAUAGUUGCCCAAGGUGUAUUGAAAUAAUGUUGCCUCAAAUUUGCCUUCCAUUUGUUCCAAGGCUUUCUGCAGUAGCUAUUAAGGCGCUCAGAAAGAAUAGCAAAGUAGAAGCUUUCACGAUACACUGCAAUUCCUUUUCCGAGGUUGUUAAUCAGAGUGCACACCUCAUUGUAGUCACCAAGCAUAUUUUUGACAAUCCCAUCCUUCAGAAGGAACUCCACAUCCUUUUCGGUGUUCACAAACUCAUCCAUGAGUGAAACAUAAUCACUUAUGUAAUUCUUACGGCAAUGGCACUAUUCAAAGGCAAUGAGGUUACGGAGUGUGAGCUCUGUGUAAUCGUGUAUUUUUAGUUUUGGAAUUUCUAGAAUCCCAUCGUUGAAUUGUGUUAACGCAGCUUUCCUUUCCUAGCCUACACGGAAGUCAACUUCACAAUCUCCUCCUAGCAAUUAGUCUUUCCUGCUGUAAAUCAGAUUUCCUACUGUAAAUCGGAUUGUAUUCAUGUCUAUAUUAUUUCCUACUUUAAGUAGAUAUCUUGUACUAGUAUAAAUAGGGACUUUGUGUAAUCUGUUAAAUACAAGGAAAUAUAUACUCUGCAUGGUAUCAGCCUAACCUAGGGUUCUCUCUCUCUCCCUUAUUCGAUCCUCUUCUCCUUUAGGUCCACCUCAUGGCUUUGUCUGAAUCCACCAUCUCCCUCCCAAGCCCCAACUCUUCUAUUUUAUCAAGCUUAUUGACUCCAACUAUCUUCUUUGGCUCCGCCAACUCAAACCCUUUUUAGUCGGCCAUGACCUCUGGAAAUUUAUCGAUGGCAUUCAUAAACAACCUUCUGCCCACACCUCCACCUCUACCACCGCAACACCCACAACCACCACCACUCUUACCCAAAUCAAUCAUGCCCAUGCUCAGUGGUACCAACAAGACCAACUCAUUGUUAGCUACAUCACCAAUACACUCUCUGAGUCCAUUCUCUUUCUCACUGUUGGUUGCACCUCUGCCCGGGAUCUCUGGGAGUGUCUCCAACGCCACUUCUCUCAAUCCAGUAUGGCCAGUGAAUCUACUCUUCGUUUUAAACUCAUGGAUUUGCAAAAAGGCUCUGAACCCACUUAUGCUUACAUUCGUCAUGCUAAGUCCUUUGCCGAUUCACUGGCUGCCAUCAAUGAACCUGUCUCCCCAAAAGAACUUGUCACUACUGUGCUUUGGGGUUUAAGACCCUAUUGCAACAUCCUCGUCACAGCAAUUCUCAAUUUCCCUCUGCUUCCUAACUUUGCUAAUCUUCGUGCUCGUUUGUUAGCAUUUGACGCACAGACUCCUUGAAUCUCUCCUGAUCAAAACACAGCGCAAAUGGCCACCCAAUCCUCUCCUCACACCACCGGUCAUACUUCCUUCCCUUCUCACCGUGGUGGUGGCUCUUCCAACAACAGGCGUGGUGGCCUCGGUGGCUGGCGCAAUAGCGGCCGGGGUGGCUGGCGCAGCUUCUCAUCUUCCUGGAGCAACCCGUGGAAUGGCUUCCAGCAGCUCCAAUGACCUAAUCAACCAUGGCCUCCUUUUGCUCCAAGUUCUGGAUCUCAAAGCAACUGGCCUUCCUUUCAGCCUCCUUGGGCCUAAUCUGCCGCUUCUAUCAAACACUUUGCCCGGCCCAACUCAGCUCCUGGUGUCUUGGGACCCGCUUGGUGCACUACCUGCAAUACCAAUCACAUACUACUACAAUAUGUCCUCAUCGCUACAAUGGCCCAGAAUCCUUUCUUUGCUAGGGCUCAAUUCAUGUAGCCACCUGACUCUACUUGGUACCCUGACACAAGUACCACUCAUCAUAUGAUUGGUAGUCCUUCUAAUCUCCAAAAUCAAUCCUUCUAAUCUCCAAAAUCAACAGCCAUAUCAGGUUCAUAAUUCUGUAUUUCUUGGUAAUGGAGAUUCUCUCCCUAUCUCUCAUACUAGCUCUCUCUUUUGUCUUCCAUCUCUUCGUACUAAUCUUCUUUUUGUUGCCCAUUUUACUUGUGAUAAUUUAGUUUUCUUUGUCUUUACUCUUGACUUUUAUCAAAUCUAUGACUUAUGUACUGGUUCGUUACUCUUUCAGGGCCCUUCUAAAGAUGGUCUUUACCCACUUUCCAUCUCCUCUCACUCAUCCAUAGUCCCCCAUGCCCUUACCACCGUGCACUCUCCUGCUUGGCAUCAUUGCCUUGGCCAUCCAUUCCAUCGUGUGCUCUCUCAUUUAGCGCCAUCUCUAGGCUUUAAAGUUUCUCAUGCUUUCUGUAAGGAUUGUGCACUUAGCAAAUCCACCAAACUGUCAUUUCUUAGUAAUAAAACCUUUGCCCCAUCUCCCUUUUAUUUAAUUCACUCUGAUGUAUGGAUGUCCUCGGUCAUUUCUGUCACUGGUUAUCGCUAUUAUGUCUUGUUUACAGAUGACUUUUCUCGUUACUCCUGGAUCUAUCAUAUGCACCGUAAAAAUGAGGUCUUUUCUCACUUUCAAACCUUUCUUGCUAUGGUUAAAAAUCAAUUUCACACCACUGUACAAAUUCUUUAAAGUGACAAUGGCACUGAAUAUGUUAAUAAUGCUUUCUCUGAUCUUUGCAGUCAACUAGGCAUCCACCAACGUUUCACAUGUCCCCACACUCCCCAACAAAAUGGCCUAGCUGAACAUAAACACAGACACAUUGCCACCAUGAUCUGUCCCCGGUCAUUUAUUCAACCAUCUUGACCUUUUGCUUGAUCAUUUUCCACAAGCAACCGUCCACGUACCCCAAUAAUUUAAAAGGGCUGAUGAUCUUUAAUUUGGUGAAAGCUUCUAUCUACCUACCGUGCUAUAUAUGAGCUAUGCAAUCGUGACCGUGUUACAUGACGUCCCAAUGUCGUAGGGAUAAAAAAAUAAUAGUCAUGGUUUUCUUAUUAAUGUCAAUACAUUCAUAGCAAAGAGCUUGUAGCUCUAGUGGUUAAGAGCAAUUACCCAUGCACUUGAGAUAUUUUGUGUUUAAAUCCCCUCUUCCCCAAUAUUUCUUGUAUAAAAAUAAAAAUAACAAUAAUAAUGACAUUAAUGUUGUAUUCUAUAAAGUGUUGGACAUGUUUUAUACCCCUUUCUUGCAAAUUACAGUUUGCCACGUGUACAAAAAUAAUAGAUAAGUGUUGGACAUCAAGAGCACUUACAUAUAGGUUUAAUAGGUAAGUUUUGAAUAUUUCUGUAUUUAGCUUUAAAUAUUGAAAAUCAACCUAUUAGCAUAUUAAAGAUUUGUCCAUAUUCGACGUACAUUCUCUUAUUUUUCUCUCAUUGAAGUAAAUACAAAACUAAGCACAUAGUGGGAAAGUGCGUCACGAUUAGGGGUGGGUUUAGUCUAGGUUGGUUCAUUUUUGGGCUCAAUUUGAACACCGAACUGUAAGCUUCGGUUUGGCUAUUUUGGAAACCGAAACCAAACCAUAAUUGAUGAAAACCGACCACUUCGAUUACCUUCUGGUCUUCCAACCAGAAGAAAACUCAAAACUUUAACCAUACCAAGUGCAACAGAAUUACACCAGGCUGGAUUCAAGUUUAUGAUGGUUAAAGAUAAAAACUUAUUUGACAUACAAUUUGAGAAUGGAAUCCUCAAAAUUCCACACCUGCGAAUACGGGGUUUAACAGAAAUUUUCUUCCGCAAUCUUAUUGCCUAUGAGCAGUGUGAGCUUCAUGAUCAUUACAUCAACGACUAUGUCUUCAUCAUGGACCGCCUGGUCGACAGUGCCAGGGAUGUGGAAUUGCUUGUGAAGAGUGGAAUUCUUGAAUCUAUGCUACCGGACAGCGAGGCAGCAGGGGAAUUUAUUAAUUCUCUUGACUUGGGGCCUAUUUUAGGCAAGCUUGAAACAAGACUAUUUCAGUUCACCAUGGGCUGGCCUGUCUAUUAUUGUAGCCGCUAUACUAGUUGUGCUCACAUUUAUUCAAACAGUGUGCUCCGUAAUGGCGCUGUAGGUUCUUCAUUUCCUCAAUUUCAUGUUUAGUGGUUGCAGAUUUGUUGCUCAUGUACGUGUUUAUCUAAAGUUAAAUAAGAGUGAUUGACUGGAUUGACUGUUAGUCUGUUAGUUUGUUUUUCUGGGGUUUUUCCCCCCUGUUCGUCAAAAAAAAAAAUAAAAGAGUGAUGGCUUGUGCCUAUGAAAAUUACUUAGGAGUAUGCUCCACAGAGCCAAAAUAAAUAAACUAGGGAAGUGGAGGUUCUUCUGUUUGUAUAUAAAUGAGCAAUUCAAACUCUCAGUGCCAAGGGAGUUACCCUUGAUACAUUUGUUAAAAAUUAUAUAUUUGGUCUUACAUCAAACAAAUAAUUUGAAGGGCUUUUUUGACAACUGCUGACAGCGUUUGGCAGAAAAGUUUAGAAGCGCUUCUACGCUUCUAGAUCAUAAAAGUGCUUUACCAAAAAGCACUUAGAUUUCUUAUGAAAAUUUCAACAUUUUUAUAAUAAAAGCGCUUGCUAGAAGCACUUAUAAGCAGAAGUGCUUCAUAGAGAAGCAGUCCCAAACGAGCUUGAUUUUCAAAUGUGCUGCUUAAGAAGAAAUUUAAUACGUUUUGAAAACAAAAAAAAAUACGAAAUUUAAUACGUUUGUUUUACAAAUUGUAUUAAUUGUUAUCAAUAAUACUUGUGCACACCCACAACAUACUUCUUUCUUUCUUUAUUUUCCUUCAGUACAGUUCUGCCUUUCUUUAAUUAUUUUUAACGAAUGCAAAGAGUUUGUCACAAAAUCAAGGAUUGAAAAAAAAAGAGAGUAAAUUAUGUGCUAGAGAAACUUUCCUGCAGAAAUUGAAGAACAACUCUAGUUUCUCUCUUUCGCCUUGUACUCCCGCACUGAGGUUAGUAUUGUUAUAAUGUGCAGAUUAUACGGUCACUCUUGUAUAAUGGCGAGAAGGCUCUAAUUAUAUUUUUGAACCUCUUUGACAGGACCCGCCCCGAAUUUCCCGAAACCCAAGACGAAUUCUGUGGAAAUUCCCUACAUCACCCCGAUGUUGGGCCCACUUCUAAAACUAUAUCAUUUUUCCUAAAAAGGAAUAAGGGCACGAGACUUUCUACCGAAAUUUCGGCAGAGUCUCUCCUGUAAAUUGAACAUUUCCCAAAAUUUCAACCUGCAUAAAACACAUUUUAUAUUACCCAACUGGCAGCAUGCACAAAAUAAUAACAUGCAAUUCACAUAAACGGCCUCUGGCCCUCCGGUAAUUCAGAGCAAUGCAAACUAGCAACUCUAAACCUAAUAAAACAACAUAAGUAACAUUUAGCCAGCGGCUGCACCCAGGCACUACCCUAGGCUACCUACGUACCCUUACUAAGGGAUCAAGCCACACGUAGUUCUUUCAUACAAAAUUUCCAAAUCCAUCAACAUGCAAUCAAUUACAGAAUCCCAAACAAAAUCUUUCUCAAACAUCAUUAGUUCCCAACUCAGUAUAAUAAUCCUUAAUUCAUCUCUGUAAUAAUCACAAUAUCUCCCCAUACGCCGGAACUACCAACACCACGUAUGGAGCCUGCCUGUACGCCAGAUAACCAACGACACGUGGGACCUCAUCAUCAUAUCACAUAAUCUCCCCAUACGCCGAAACUACCAACACCACGUAUGGGGUCUGUCAACACGCCGGAUAACCUACGACGUGUGACCUCAACAUCAAAUCACAAUAUCUCCCCAUACACCGGAACUACCUACGCCACGUAUGGGGUCUGUCCACAUGCCGGAUAACCUACGACACGUGGGACCUCAUCAUCAUAUCACAUAAUAUAUUAACGAUCAAGAAAUAUCACUACGGUCAUUUAAUCCUCCUGGGAAGGUAAAACUAUCUCAGGAGACUCACGGUCAACCAAGGGUCAAACUACCUCAUACUUGGACAAACGAGCCCACGGAGCCCACAACCUCCGUUUUACUAUCCAAGAGUUCCUAUAGGUUCUACAAGGUUUAGGAUACACGGCUUGCAAGUUUGGUCAAGAUCAGACGGUCGGAUCGCUCACGAUAGGACGGUUACUGCAAACCUAGCCCUAGGGUUGGCAUUUUCGGAGUAUCCGAAACUCCGUUUUACGAUCUGUCGAAUCAUAGACGAUCCUAAGGAUUUGCAGACUAACUAUAAUAAAUUCAAGACCAUCCAACGGUCUAAACCUAUCGAACCCGGAUAACGCGCAAUAGGCAAUAUCCAAAUUGAAAUCCGAGCACACCUACGCACUCGUGAGGACUAGGAGAUUACAUCGGGACAUAGUGCCCUUUUUCUACAGUGCCCAUGAGCCGCCGCACGCACCAGCAACGCGUGGGUGCCCAAAGCGAUUAUGCAUCGCCAAAAAAUCUCAAAACCACGGCUCAAGACUCCUACCCUAGGUAUAACACCCUAUUUGGAACCACUUUUGUUCUUGGACCUACCCCAAAAACUGAUCAGAAGUGGCCGGAAUGGCUGAAAUGUAAUUCAAAAAUCAAGCUACCAACGCUCAAAAUCGAUGCAAUCCUACCCAACCAUCAACUAGAUUAUGAAGAAUGGAUAAAUUUCCAUACCUUGAUCGCCAACAAUGGCGGCCGGAGGAGAGAGAUCUGAUCCGGCGAAGUUCGAGUGAAAACGGCCAAAAAUCAUCUUUUUCAGGCGGCUGGAGGGCGACCGAUGUCAGGGAAGGGCAGGGUCGUGACGCUAAGGCUGAGCCUGUCCUUUUGGCACCGGUCCCUUCCGCAGCCGUGUCCGGUGGCUGGAGUUUCGAAGAGAGAGAGAGAGAGAGAGAGAGAGAGAGAGAGAGAAAUCUGAUUUUUAUCAAACCUUUUUGCCAAAAUUACGGUUAUGCCACUGAGGGUAUUUUGAUAGUAUCUCUCUCGUUACAACUUCGAUUCGAGCCCACCACGUGUGUACGGACUCAUCUAACUGUGUUGUACGCAACGGUAUAGUCGAAAUUCCCAAAUUAUUUCCUUGUCAAAAAGUCAACUUUAAACAUUAUAAAAUAUUUUAGGGAAAAAAUGGUAUUUUCUCUCAAUAAAUUAGUAACUAAUUUAUUUAGGACUGGGUCAUUAUACUCUUUUUCGCUUCAAUGGAUGGGAAAAAAUUUUAUGUAAUAUCCCACAUCGACCAACGAAGAGGGGGCGAUGUGUCUUAUAUGUACAUGCCCGCCUCCAUCUAGCAUAAGGCCUUUUGGAAGCUCACUGGCUUCAGAGUCAUGGGAACUCCGAAGUUAAGCGAGUUGGGGGCUAGAGCAAUCCCAGGAUGAGUAACCCACUGGGAAGUUGCUCGUGAGCUUCGAGAAACAAAACCGUGAGGGCAGAGAGAGGGGCCCAAAGCGGACAAUAAGGCCUCGUGCUAGAUGGAGGCGGGCAUGUACAUAUAAGGCACAUCACUCUCUCUCCGUUGGUCGAUGUGGAAUGUUAGAAUGGAAUUGUUACCUUUGGUGUGGAGGUGUUCUAUCAUUUGAGCAAGAAAUUCCCACAUAUUCUUCAACUAUUUUUCAAGCAUGCAUAUUCCUCCCUAUCAAUCUUUGGUUUCUUCCUUUACUGUGCAUAGUAAGGAUCCAGUCAGGGACGGACCGUCGCUAUGACUAUCCUGGGCUAUAGCCCAGGCAAAUUAUUUUUUUUUCUAGUCUAAAAUAGCAAUCCCACCGCUUGCUGUAGUACUUGUUCAGUUCGUCACAAACAUGAGCAUAAUAGAAGUUAUCAACAUCUAUAUAGGAACCCCAAUGAAAAGGCUGUUAACUAAUAAUGAAGUUAACCCGUCAAUUUUUCCGCAUAUCAGAUAUCUCUCAGAAUAUGCGAUUCCAUAUUCAAUAAGCCACUCCACAUGCCCUGAGGUUUUCAUCAAACCACCCAUUAAGGAAACAUACUGACUCAUGUAAUUAUCAUUACUCAUCGGGUAAUGCAAUUGUUCAAAGGCAAGGACAUUUCUCAUUAUUUAUGUAGCGAACCCCAAUGGAAAUGGUGGGAUCUUCAGAACCCCAUCGGUGCUACUGAAUUGUAUGUCAAAUAUGUUUUCACCUUGUCACGCCUCAAACUUGACUCCAGCGUGCUGUAAUUCUGUCAAGCUGGGUAUGGAUGAUGGGAGUUUGAUGCAGGAGCAUAGGGGUGGAUCAAGAUAGAUAUUUACUAUUUAAUUAGUUAUUUCAUGAUAUAUUGUUAUUUUCUUAUUUAGGUAGUUUUAUGAUAUCUUUUAUUAUUUAUGUGUGAUUUUAUAAUUAAUUAGUAUACUUUUGGACCAAGUAGCCUUGGUGCUCAAGUCUUGUAAAGCCUAUAAAUAAGGCUAAUGUAAUAGUUGUAGAAUAGAUGUCGAUGAUUAAUAAAAUCGUUUAUUUGUGGCAUGGAUUUGCUACGAUAUAUGUGAGUUUGCACUAGCCCUAGAUUUCAGUGCUCGUGUAUGUGGUUGGUGACCUGUGUCCGGAUCCCGAUCCCCAUCAAUUGGUAUCAGAGCUAUGGCUCAAGAUCUGCUAUAUCGGGGAGGUUUUUGGAUGGAGGGUCGUUUUAACAACUACAACGACAUGGAGGAAAUUAGGAGGAUGCUACGGCAACUUAUGGAACACAUUGCUCGCAUUGAAGCUCGAACCCAGAUAGGUAAGAGUUCUGACGGGGAGGGAUGUGUGAACCCUUAUCUGAACCGAGUAGCUCGCAUCGACACUCUAAGCCGUGAGAGUCUCGACGGGGAGUACGAGGGAGAUAGCCCUUUUCAUUAUUGUGCUCCGCUGUGUGAGUCAAGUGAAGAGGGGCACGGUUAUUCUCAUUGUGUCUUUGAAGGUAUAAAUGAAUUUAGUAAUUUUGGUGCAUCUUGUUAUUCAUCAAAGUUAUUAAAUUUGGAUUUACCUCCAUUAUUUGAUCCUUGCAAUUGUGAAAAUUGCAAUAAAAAUUGUUUGGGUGUUCAAAGCAAUUUUGAUAAGCAAUUUAUUGACCAGAACAGUGAAGAGAUGAGAAUUGAGAAAACUUUCGAAGAUAUUAUUGAUUUUAUGGGCAUUAAUAUUUUCACUUGGAAGGUUGCCAAAAAUCUGGUUGAUUUUGUCAAUCGGUUGAAGAUUCUAGAGAGAAACAUUUGCAUUGCUAGAGGGAGUAAGAAGUCAAGAAUAACGAAAUAUUCCAAAUAUCUUUUUAUUUGGAAAGGAAGGUUUCAAUUGGAUGCUAAAAGAUCCAAAAUUAAUAUGCAGCAAUUGAAGAUUCUACUCGGAUUUUCCUUAAUCAAAGGCUUGAAUUCGAGGACGAAUUCUUUCCAACUAUGGGAGUCUGAUGCAGGAGCAUAGGGGUGGAUCAAGAUAGAUAUUUACUAUUUAAUUUGUUAUUUCAUGAUAUAUUGUUAUUUUCUUAUUUAGGUAGUUUUAUGAUAUCUUUUAUUAUUUAUGUGUGAUUUUAUAAUUAAUUAGUUUACUUUUGGACCAAGUAGCCUUGGUGCUCAAGUCUUGUAAAGCCUAUAAAUAAGGCUAAUGUAAUAGUUGUAGAAUAGAUGUCGAUGAUUAAUAAAAUCGUUUAUUUGUGGCAUGGAUUUGCUACAAUAUAUGUGAGUUUGCACUAACCCUUGAUUUCGGUGCUCGUGUAUGUGGUUGGUGACCUGUGUCCGGAUCCCGAUCCCCAUCAGAGUUCCCCUCCAGCUUUUGAUUCCAACGGUUGAUAGAGUUUAAAUAUUUUCCUGAAAAGAUCAAUAAUAUGUGCCACUGAUCUAAAAGUCUCCAAAUUGUCUUCCAAUUUGUCAACAGGCAAUAGAUGUUCGAAGAAACUGAAAGAAAUACAAAUUAUUGAAAGCCCCUCAGUAAUGCUGUUAUUGUCAGCAUUAGCAGGGAGUGUAAUUUUCUGUGGGUCGAAAAGAUCCUCGAGAAUGAAGAAUGGCAACUGAUUUUCAAGCAACCACGUAUCUGUCCAUGCAUCUUGCAACAUACCUGGUUUGUCAAAUAUGCGGUCAUUUUCGUCCCAAAAUUUGAAGUAGUCCUUCAAUAAGGGCUCAAUAACGAAGGCGGCGCCCACUAGAAUGAUUGUUACAAAUUCAUCACUGCUAAACUUGAUGGGUUCUCCAUAACAACGUCUCAAUCUUGCUUCGUGGUCCUUUAUUUUCUUAAUAUAAUCCUCCAAACUCACAUUGGUCCGACCUAUAAAAUCUUGCAGGUAUCUCUGUUUGUUCUCUUCCAAUACGACAUUCAAGCCUUCCUUUCCAUGGUGAAGUGGACCUAUAGAGACCGACUGCCUGAGGUGUGCAGAGCUUUUCAUUCACACAUACGUAGAUAAAAUGUCUGGGGGCUCAGAGAGUGAUGAAUGUGCAACAGCUAAUGGGAGGGUUUAUAUUCCUGAAGUAAGAAAUGAGGAAACACCAGCAGUUGGGAUGAAGUUUGACUCGCUUGACCUCGUUUACAAUUUCUAUAAUAGAUAUGCAUUCUUGGCUGGCUUUGGUAUUCGACUUCAUUCUAGCUUUUGGGGGAAAAAUAAGAAAGAGAUUUUGAGGAAAGAAUUUGUAUGUUGCAAACAAGGUGCAUACAAGAAGGAUGAAACUCGGGAGAGAAAAAGACAACGGGGAAUAAGUAGAUGCAAUUGCAAAGCAAAGAUUGUGGUUGUGAAGACAAAUGGGAGCAAGAAGUAUACCAUUUCUCUUUUUGCAGAGGGACACAAUCAUAAGAUGACACCCUCAGAAAGAAUGCAUUUAUUGAGAUCACACCGUCAUAUUUCAGAUUCUACAAAAGUACUCACAAAACAGUUGGGUUCAGUUAAUAUUCCCAUUCAUCAGAAGGUAAGUAUAUUCGAGGUGCAAUCCGGAGGAAUGGAUAAAAUCGGUUUUAUCAAAAAAGAUAUCUACAAUCUUGAAUGUAGUGUGAAUGGGAAGCUGAGGAACCACGAUGUUGAACUAGUGACCGAGUAUUUUAUGGCUGAACAGAAAAAAAAUGAGGCUUUUUAUUUCAAGAUUGAGGGAGAUGGGCAUGACAGGUUUAGUCGAUGUUUUUGGGCAGAUGCAACUUCUAGACGGGCGUAUGGGUUUUAUGGAGAUGUUGUUGUAUUCGAUACCACAUUCAACACGAAUCGAUACGACUUGACAUUUGCACCAAUGUUGGGAGUUAAUAACCAUGGUCAGACAAUUGUCUUAGCAUGCGCAUUUUUGAGCAAGGAAACGACUGAGUCGUUUGUUUGGAUGUUUGAGGAGUUUAAGAAAGCCAUGCCAGGUGGGGAACCUAAAACGAUCAUUACAGAUCAAGAUGCGGCAAUGGCCAUAGCGAUUUCAAUAGCCUUCCCGAGUACAUUUCAUCGACUUUGCAUAUGGCACAUCACAUCAAAGUUCUCUGUUAAGUUACCACGUGACGCUUAUAAGGAGUAUUGGCCUGAAUUUCAGAAAGCCAUAUGGGAUACUGACAAUAAGGAUGAGUUUGAUGCAAAAUGGAAUAUUGUGGUUAUAAAGGCUGGUUUGACUGACCAUCCAUGGCUAAGUUCAAUGUUUGAUUUAAGGGAAUCUUGGGUUCCAGCCUACGCACGACAAUUUUUUGCCGCUGGAAUGUCAAGCAGCCAAAGAGCGGAAGGUUCUCAUGGUUUUUUCAAGCAAUACAUAUCAAGGAGAAAUUCGUUGAUGGAUUUCAUAAUACGAUUUGAGAGGGCAUUUUCUCAUCAACGUGAAAAAGAGUUAGUUGCUGAUCACGUAGAUGCAUUUGAAGUGGCUCAAUGUCUUCUACCGAUGCCAAUGAACAAACAAAUGGCUACCUUGUACACAAGGACAAUGUUUCAAAAGUUUGAGCAAGAACUAAUACAAAGUACAGCAUGUUUCCUAGAGCUCAAAACAGAGGAUGCAUGUAAAGUUGUGUUCAACGUGAGCGAAAGGAAAAAUUGGGAAACAAGAGUGGCAGAAGUCGUAUAUGUCAAAGAUUCUGACCACGCAUCGUGUAGCUGCAAAAGAUUUGAAUUUGUUGGAAUUAUUUGCAAGCACAUCCUAGCAUUGUUCAGAAGGGACCAGAUUGAAUAUAUGCCCGAUAAAUAUAUUUUGAAGAGGUGGAAGAAAACUGCGAAAUGUGGAUUGGUGUCAGAUGCAAAUGGCAACGAAAUUAAAGACUGUGCAGAUCCUGGCCUUCUAAUAAAGCGGAGUACAAUGUCUCGACUUGCUUCAAAUGUGGUUGAGGAUGCAUUAAUGAGUGAAGAAGGAUGUGAGCUACUGUCAGAGACUCUAAAAAGUUUGCAGGUGAAGUUGAAGUUGCUGAAGGAUGGACCAAGUAAUAACGAAGUUGGAGGGUCCAGCUCUCAAACACAAUAUAUGAAAGACCCUAAGAGAGUGAGGUGCAAAGGAAGGUCGAAAGGAAUAACGGGAGCAAAGGAAAAGGCAAUGAAGCGAGGGAUUAGACACUGUCGGGAGUGUGGACACAUUGGUCAUGAUAGAAGACAAUGCCCAGCCUUGAACACACCGUAAGAUGCUACCACUAUUUGUAAUAAUAUCUAAAAUAUGAAAAGGUAAAAUUUUUAUGUGCUUGUGUUUGAUGUUUAUGCAGGACAUCACCGUCGAACAAUGACAAAUCAACUCCAAUACAUCGUAGUGACCCAUUAUUCGACGAUUUUGACAAGAUGCACAGACCAACUGAAUGAUUGAUAUUUGUAUUAGACGAAAUGUGGUUGUUAUGAAGAUUAAUGAUCAAGUGAAGUUUUAUAGAUUCAGUUUUUGAAUGUUAUUGUGUUUUUGUUCAUGUCCACCGAUGAGCUCUUACUAUGUCCACUGGUAAUUGAAAUGAAAAUUUUCUUGGUUUCAUUCUUCCAAGACAUUUGGAGACAUGUUAAUUUUACGUCUUCUCCCUAUUUAUAAAUUUUCAUAGACAUUUGAUCAAGUUUGAAAUUUGUAGUUAUGUGAAGAAGCAAUGACUCUUACCAUGUAAAAUGGGCAGUUUAGGGUGAAAUUUGUUUUAACAGAGAUUCAUUUUUCAAUUCCUCAGGGUAAUGCAGCAAUUACAGCAGCCAGCUGUUGUUUCCAUUACCAGUAAUCAUUUCCAGCAGCAGCCACUUUUUCCGACUGGUUAUUAGGGGCACGAUUUUGUACACUUUUGUAAGUGAAGGAUACUCGAAGCACUUUGUUGGAACAGAGCAAAUAGAAACCAGCGGGUAAAAAAAAAACAUAACAUUGCAGCUAAUUACAUUUCGAUACAUAGGUGAAAAAUAUUAAAGGGUACACUAACUUACAUAAAUACUCAUAAUUCCACACACAAAAGAACAUUUGAUUGCAAAACAUAUUAUGUGCUUCCUCAUAGCAAUACCACGAUCUCCCCAACCAACUGAACAACGGUAGCCACAAUCACUGGGUCGUACUCGUCAGCUUCUUCUUAGCAGGUCUCACAUGCUUAUGGCCACUCAUAUCCCUAGUGAUAUACACGAAAUAAAUCUUCAGCAAUAUUUGGAAUUUUAUUAUAUAUAAAUAAACCAUAAACCAUUCAGUAAACAAUGUAUAGCACAUGUUAUGUAACUUAUGACUCACGUGUCAGUUUUUUUUUUAACACAUUAGUACUCCAGCUCUUUAAUGUAAAUGGACAUGAUAAGGAGCAUUUACUGAUUCCCGGCUUUCUAUGAUAUUGACUGCUUCUUGAAUAAUAUUUCCAUAUUUGCAAAAUAUAAUGUUAGACAUUAUAACACAUGAUGACUUGCAAUACAUAGUCCCAAUAAUUAUAUAUCAAGCAAAUGAAACUGAUAUUUGUGUUAUUUUAAGUUAGAUAAUGACAUUAAGGGAGUAUAUGUGCAAUACCACGGUCACCCUCAACCAACUGAACAGCGGUAGCCGCAAUCACUUAGUCGUAUCGGUCGGCUUCUUCCGAGCAGCUUUGACGUGCUUAUGCUCAUUCAUGUCACCCCCAUCGUCUAGUAUCUCUCUCACAGCAUCAGGGGACACAUAGUUCCAAUCAUAACUUGUAUGAGUAGUUGCCGCAAAUGCUCGGAAUUUGUCGAAUCCUUCGUUGAAUGCCAACUCCAGUUCAGUAUGGUGCUCUUCGCAUCGCAUAUGGUUCAUCAAACAACCUUUGAUUUCAUCAUUCAUUACUGUAUCCAACUCCUCAGCUUUCAGCUUCCUGCUAUGACUCAGCUUCAAGUACUUGUUCUUUUGGGAUAACGCUUUGUUCACCCUAAUGUUAAGAUCAGCCAAAAUUGCCUCGUCUUCAACACAUUUCUCGUGCCAUGAAUUGAUCAGUCUGGAAUUAUAAUCCAGCUUGCCACUGACUGCAUGUAUUGCCUGUAAUGGAUCAUCGGAGUCCCCCUCACUCCCAAAUGAUGUUGAAAAAGGAAGGGGUCGGCGAGUACAAUGUGGAAAUAGAACCUGCCACUCCAAUUUGUCAUCUUCGAUUGUGUUGUUGGCGCCUGAAGAGGUUGACAUGCUUGAAUAAUCCUCUUUGUUUUGGGAGGAUGAGGAUUGCAUAUGCAAUUUCGUUUGAGAAAGGGAACAUAGGUUUAUAGACCAACAUACCAAAGCUUGUGUGUAGUCAACAUAUGUACUUUUUGGCGGGAAUUUUUUAAAAAUAGGUGUUAGGUUUUGCUUUUCAAGCAUGUCAACCUCACACUCUCCUGACACCACUGCUAGUGGUUGAAACAAAGUCAAUGGAAGUGACAUCUACUUAGUUAACUCAACCAAACUAGUUAGGAUUAAACUUAGAUUGUAUCAGACCAAAAAAUAAUUUCUACUUUGUCAACCAAAUAUUUUUUGGCGGGAACCCUUUUCUUGGUAUUACUAUCACCCCUUUCAUAUAAAAUCUCCUUCCACACAAAACUCACUCCUCCACCGAAUCUGUCUCCAUCUACCGAUACUCUCUCAAGCAAACAAACUCAUUCCCCCCAAAGAAUGAGCAUAAGCACAACCAAGUUUGAUGUGAGCAUAAUAAACACCCCUCCAAACAAAGACCGGCUUCGACACGCAAGUGAGUCACCGGACAAGCAAUGUCACAUUGCUAGACAGAAUGACCAUUUUGUUGGAAGUUUUGAGUCUGAAAGAGUUGUUGCUUUUUGGAAGGAGAGGCAUCUUCAACUUGGUGAUGAAAUCCAAAGGGCAAGGGCACGUUUGGAAUUUGUGGAAGGCCAAAUUGAAGAUGACAAAAGGCAGGCCAAUCUGGAUAGGGCGAAGUUGUAGCGCAUGAAGCGUAGACACAAACGACUUCGGAGUGUAGCUGUUCAAAAAUACAAGAACUCAUCUAAUGUAGUGGAGUCAAAGAAGCGUGUGAUGCAAGCUGGAUUCGACUACUUCCGAUCCUAUGCAAAACUCGUCGUACCCGGGUUUGAUUGGUCAUCUAUUACCGUUUCCGACGUCACCAAAUAUACUCAGCAAGGGAAGUAACCAUUUUGGUUCUCGUGUUUUAGCAGAGGCAAAUAAGUGGAAUUGGAAUUUUGGUUACACUCUGCUUCAAAGCUAUUUUGAUGCUAACUACUAUGGAAGAUUUAAACCUUAAUAUUUUGAUGUCUUUAAUUACGAAAACAGAAGAUGCAAAGAGCUCAUCUACUUCAGCCAUAUGUUGCUGCCAUGUCCAUUUGUUUUUGAUCACUUAUCAGAUUUGGACAUGGUUGCAUCAUAUGCAAUGUUGCCUUUAUUUAUUAUAUGUUAGGACAAGGUUUAUGGAAAAGCUUUUGUGAGUGCGUUUGUGACAAGGUUAUGGAAUUAUUAUGUACACUUUAUAUAUUGUUUUUUGUACUGGUUCAUUUCCUACUAUUUCUUGCUUUCUUUAUAUUUUAUGUUUGUGGAAUCCCUCUCAAAGUUAACAUAUACUGUGAAAAAAAUAUUAUGCAACUGAUUAUAUAAUCACUCAUAUAGACUAGGACAAAUAUUCACUAAGGGUUUUAAACUUGCUUCACUUGUGUGAUGUUAUUGACAAAAAGUAUGGCAUUAUUUAUGUGAUUUGACAUGAUUGAAAAUAUAUUACUGAUUCCCAAUGCGGCGUCAUAUGGACAACGUAUUGAAUACCUGUGACGUGUUAAUAACUCAAGGUGCAGUUGCAUGUGGACAACUUCUUGAAUACCUCUGACGUGUUGAAAACUCUAGGUGCAGUUGCAUGUGGACAACUUAUUGAAUACGAACUGACGUCUUCAAAGCUCUAGGCGUAGUUGCAAUGAUGGCUUCAAAGCAUGUGCAAUUAUUUUUUAUGUACAUUAUUAUAACAAAACAUAUUAUUGUAUAUAGUGAAACUAAAUAUUGUAUUAUUAGAAAUUAUAUUUCGAAUAUUAUCCGAAAUAUACGUGUUAACGUGAAUUUGGGUUAAGAGGAAAGUGAGUUAUGUACAAAUAAUUUUCAUUUUCUCAUUUUCCGGGCAUUUUUUGGAUUUUCGUAGAAUUUAUUACCUAUGUCCACAGAUUGUUGCACUAAAAAAGCCAAAAUAAUAGCAAGAGGACACCUGGAGCGAUCUCAGCCCGUCACUGAUGACUACUUGCACAAGUGUACGUCAGUCAACAUGGCCACACCCUCCCAUUUUACCCUAAAUUAUUAUUUUAUUACUUUUCCUUACAAAAAUCAGAACUAAUUACACACAAAAUAAAAAAAUUAUCCGAAAAUUGCUACGAACUCAUUGACACUCCAUCUCCGUUGCUGAAUUCUCCGAUUCAUUGUUACGUAUUUGUAAAAUUAAUUCCCAACAUUAACGGGAGAUGCUUGUUGAAGUAGGUUAUUCAAGUUGAAGUUAACAAACAUCAAUACUUAGGGUUAAGAGGAAAGUGAGUUAUGUAACACAAUUUGGAUUAUUUCAUUGCGAGACGAAUGAUUUAUAGGUUCUCCUAGUUUUAUGACGUCACAAGUAGGCCGGAGUAAUUUUUGGGGCAUUUUUACGAUUUUCCUACUAUUUUUUACCUAGUUUCAAAGAUUUUUGAACAAAAGAAUCCAAAAUGUAAAAGAAGAUGACACCUGGCGCGAUCUCAGCCCGUCACUUUUCACUACUUGCACAAGUGUACGUCAGUCAACAUGGCCACAUCCUCUCAUUUUACCCUAAAUUAUUAUUUUAUUACGUUUUGUCUUGGAAAAUUCAUAACUAAAUACACAAAAAUUCAAAAUUAUUUCUGAAAAUUGCUACGAACUCAUUGACACUCCAUCUCCGUUGCUGAAUUCUCCGAUUCAUUGUUACGCAUUUUUAAAAUUAAUUCCCAACAUUAACGGGAGAUGCUUGUUGAAGUAGGUUAUUCAAGUUGAAGUUAACAAACAUCAAUACUUAGGGUUAAGAGGAAAGUGAGUUAUGUAACACAAUUUGGAUUAUUUCAUUGUGAGACGAAUGAUUUAUAGGUUCUCCUAGUUUUAUGACGUCACAAGUAGGCCGGAGUAAUUUUUGGGCCAUUUUUACGAUUUUCCUACUAUUUAUUACCUAGUUUCAAAGAUUUUUGAACAAAAGAAUCCAAAAUUAACAAGAAUAUGACACCUGGCGCGAUCUCAGCCAGUCACUUUUGACUACUUGCACAAGUGUACGUUACCGAACAUGGCCACAUCCUCCCAUUUUACCCUAAAUUAUUAUUUUAUUACCUUUUUUCUUGGAAAAUUCAUAACUAAAUACACAAAAAUUAGAAAAACGAUCCGAAAAUUUCUACGAACUUAUUGCGAUUUCAUCUUCCUACUGCAUUCCCUGUUUAAUGGUUAUGCUACAUUAGUAUUUUAUUAUUAUUUAUCCACAAUUAUUAUAAUUAUUAUGAUAUUACUUUUUAGGCUGUCCAUUUGUUAAUUAUACCACAUCCAACUUGUUGAAAACAAUUUUAUUUUCCGUGCGAAUAGGCCAUUUGUAGUGCUUAUCGGUUUCUCUGUUCUUCAAUUUGUUAAUUUUUUUAUUUUUUAGGUUGAAGGGAUGUUUUGAAACAUAAUAUGGAAAUAUACAAGUCAUCCAUUGUACUCCUUCCACACAAAAAAAUAGUCUACGUCAUUCACUGUUCAACACCCUAGGUUAAGACACGUGUAACCAAAUCCGUUCGGAUAUGCUAAGUGGGAAAAUGUCAUUCCCAAGCACUGGUGAAAAGACACUUAUUUACUCCAUGCAUGACUUUUGGUUUACCAAAUAUGAAGAUUGGGGUCGGUGAGCAAAAUAUCUGUGUCAGUAAAAUGUCAUUCCUAGCCAUCUAUGAUGUAAGUAAUAAUUCCGCUAUAUAAUAAAUAUUAUACAUUUAUAUAUAAAACGGUUUAUGACAAAAUACCAACAUUUGAACAACAUUUAAACUGAGAUAGGUAUAACGUAGCCAGCCAACCUAGAAGUGAAGAGAAGCAAGUCCACAAUGCAUCAAAACUGUAAAUUCGUACUAAAACUAAUGCAAAAAUACGUGAUUCCCUCGCACAACUUACUCACGCAGGAUUUUGCACCAAAAAAUACUCUCACGGUGCCAUUUGCAUCGGUUGCAGCAAGUCCAAAACGCAGGAUUUAUCUUGUCUUCACUAGGCCACCCUGGAAUAACAAAAUACCAUUCAUUGUUGUUACAAGCGCUGCACCGAUUGAACUUAAUCUUCCCAUAGUCAAACAUAUCUACGAUAUGUCUUGCAACAAAUGCUCCGCGACAUCUUCCUGUUAAAGCAUCCCUGGUUCCUUUCAUAUCAAUGUUGUUACGUUGAUUCAAAGAACACAAGAAUUGUAAUGCAUCCUCUUUUGACUGACCAAUUCCGGACAUACCAAGUAGUCCAACUACAUAUGCCGCUUCCAUAUGGCCUGCCGUGGCUGCAAUGCGCAUCCCAUACAACGCUUCCACCUUACCGUCUGUGAAAAAACCUUCGAAUGCUUCUCUAAAUAUGGACUCAGGGUUAUCGCAAGCCCUGCAUUGUUGCAAGAAAUGCUGGACUGCAGGUUUGGCACGGUAGCAGAUAGGAUGGUGUGGGUACUUUGCCAUUGAAAUGGUGUUCCACACUUGUGGACUGUUUGCCAAAAUGUUGAACAAUCGGCACACACAUGCCAUACGGAAGAGAUCUUCCGAUGAUUCGGUUGCCACGUAUAACAUCACUUGAAACCAAGCGGACUCCGGGAUAAAGGCUUCGGGCAUAUCGAAAUGGAGAUGCUUCCUUCUCUUUCCUCCGACUGUAGUGAAGUGUUUCGAAUUCAUUGAAAAGUUUUUGGAAUGGAACGAUUUGAGGAGUGGCAGAGGGGAUAAAUGAUAAUAUUUGGGGUACACGUUCUACUUCCGAGCCUCUGUUUAUAGUGUUUUGAAAAGGUGUUUCCAGUUGGGGUUUUUCCAAGUUGACCCUUUUGAAAGAAACUGAAUCCAAGUGAAUUAAAACUUAAGACAAAAGAAGGGAAAACGUCAUAACGGUGCAUACAGAGUCAGACAGUUAAAAAGUUAAUUAAAUGGCUAUUUGCAUAGCCAUUUUUGGGUUUAUCCCACUAUCAAAUUCAUUGAUACAAAUGUGAUGGAUUACUGACUAGUGACAGAAGGUCCCAUCAUAUACUUUUUCAUUUUCGCACACCCAACUAUCCCUAGUAAUGUUAUUAAAAUGGAACCAAUAAUGACGGAUUCUUAUCCAACUAGUUGCCUUAAUGAAAUAUAAAUAAAUUAAUAAAAUUGAAGCAGUGUCCCGUCAUUAGUCAGAAAAUAUAUUUGGUAGUGAAGUAGUUUCUAUUGCUUUUCGGGCUAAAAGAUGUCACAAUGCUGACGGUACAGGUGUCGACAUCGUGACCAACCCACCAAAUGAUCCCAAAAAAAAGUAAUAUAACUCGAUUUGGGCAGAGAUGAGAGAGAGCUGAGUGACAAGUUUAGGGUUAUGAGUGAAGGGGUAUGAAUGACAACUAUGAGUGAGAAGGUAUGAGUCCGAAGAGGUUUCAGUGAGAAGAUUUGAGUGAGAAGAGGUACAACUGAGAAGAUUCAACAUGUCUUCGUCUUCAUCUCCUGCUCAAACAAAGAGGUGUCAGUAUUGUGGAGCUACAAUGGUGCUUCGGGUUUCAAAAUCUGAAAAAAAAUCGAGGGAAGCCAUUCUGGAAGUGUCUAACCUCCUAUGUAAGUUUUAAUUUAAAGAAUAUGUAUGUGGGUGAAAAAAAACCUAUGUCUAACUCUGACAGAAUUAUAUUCCAUAUAUGAUGCCUGCAAUUAGGGAGCCACCAGUUGCAAUGGAUUCGAAUGGGUUGAUGUAACCUCCGCUGAAGCAGAACAUCAAGAUGACACGUAUGAUGUUAGAGUGCUGAACAUGCUGAAGUCCAUUAAGGACUUGGUAUUAGUUUUAUUAGUUGUAUUAAUUGUCAUUUUAUUUGUUCUUUUAAUGAUCAUUUAACUGCACGGUUUAAAAGAUUGUGAAAGUUCUCUCGCACAAGACAUAUUGCACGCACCACCAAUGAGACCCUAAACCCAUUUUGUAAUAUUUGGUAACUGCAUGUAUUUCGCAUGUUAUUGAAUGUUUAUUGAAGGUUUAUUGAUAGUUUGCUGCAUGUAUAUGGAAUAUCAUUGCCCCAAAAUUGGAUGUUUAUUGGGGCCACAAGUAUCACUCAAGUAAGAAUGAAGGGGAGAAACGGACCUUAUUCUUUCUUAUAGUAGGAAGAACAACUGUUAAGUUUAAUAUCCUAUUCAAUACGACUUCCCUAUGGUUGGUGUACUUGGGGACUGAAGUAUAUUGCAUCAUUAUUGUGGGCAAGGGCAUGUCUAUUGUGUGUGUUAAGGGAGUAUUGUGUGGGCAAGGGCAUGUCUACUGUGUGUAUAUUGCAUGUCUACUGUGUGUAUAUUGCAUAUCUAUUCUCUGUAUAUGGCAGGCCAAGUUUGUGUAUAUUGUUUGUCUGUUGUGUGUGUAUUGCUUGUCGGUGCGUUUGUGAAUUGUGGUUCAUUUUGUGUAUAUUGUCUUUGUUUCUACUUUUAUGCUACUGAGCUGCGGAAAACCUCGCAUGUUUAGACACCUAUUAUGAUGCAACACAUUGCGAUUAAUGGUGGCUUGCAUCAACAAUGACAUAUCACUUUGCAAUGAUGUAAUACACUUAAAAAGCCGUCUUCAAAUCCCAAUUCACAUAUGCAGUCUUAAAAUUCUAAUUCAAUGCAGUUUGGUUAACAAACAUGUAAAUGUCAUGAAGGAGUUAGCGGUAGAAUUCGAUAAGGACCCGUACGUCUCUAUUGUGUAUUUACAUUAGUUUGAGAAUGGACAUUCCCAAAACCUUCUCAUGUACCAUUUGUCAUCUUCAACCAAUAUCAUGGGAAGUAAGCAUCUCCCCUUGUUAUCUCCGCAGCCAAUUUCAACCGAAAAAAAGGCAUGUUGUGCGAGGUGCAAGUAGCUAACGGAAGCUUAGCGCUGAAAAGCUCAAUGUACUUUAACACAAACAUGCCACAAUCGCCUCUGAAGCAAAACAAGAACUCGAUCAAUUCAACUAAUGACAUUCUAAUGUAAUUGACAAUUGAAAGUAAUAAAAUUAAAUUGCAAGUUGUGCUUACUCAUUAGACUGUUGUGGAACAUCCACACGCUCUAUUGGCCACGGACACCACCAAUCUCGGCUGCAAUUGUUUGCAUAAACACCUUCUUCAUAAAAGUCGAUGGUGUUGAGAAGAUUUGGAAGCGUAAUUGAUAGCGGGCCGAGUUCUUCCUUUACGAUGUCAUCUGGAAUUAGUGAAACCUUUGAAUCGUACACUUUGAUUCACACAAUACCAGAUCAAACANNNNNNNNNNNNNNNNNNNNNNNNNNNNNNNNNNNNNNNNNNNNNNNNNNNNNNNNNNNNNNNNNNNNNNNNNNNNNNNNNNNNNNNNNNNNNNNNNNNNNNNNNNNNNNNNNNNNNNNNNNNNNNNNNNNNNNNNNNNNNNNNNNNNNNNNNNNNNNNNNNNNNNNNNNNNNNNNNNNNNNNNNNNNNNNNNNNNNNNNNNNNNNNNNNNNNNNNNNNNNNNNNNNNNNNNNNNNNNNNNNNNNNNNNNNNNNNNNNNNNNNNNNNNNNNNNNNNNNNNNNNNNNNNNNNNNNNNNNNNNNNNNNNNNNNNNNNNNNNNNNNNNNNNNNNNNNNNNNNNNNNNNNNNNNNNNNNNNNNNNNNNNNNNNNNNNNNNNNNNNNNNNNNNNNNNNNNNNNNNNNNNNNNNNNNNNNNNNNNNNNNNNNNNNNNNNNNNNNNNNNNNNNNNNNNNNNNNNNNNNNNNNNNNNNNNNNNNNNNNNNNNNNNNNNNNNNNNNNNNNNNNNNNNNNNNNNNNNNNNNNNNNNNNNNNNNNNNNNNNNNNNNNNNNNNNNNNNNNNNNNNNNNNNNNNNNNNNNNNNNNNNNNNNNNNNNNNNNNNNNNNNNNNNNNNNNNNNNNNNNNNNNNNNNNNNNNNNNNNNNNNNNNNNNNNNNNNNNNNNNNNNNNNNNNNNNNNNNNNNNNNNNNNNNNNNNNNNNNNNNNNNNNNNNNNNNNNNNNNNNNNNNNNNNNNNNNNNNNNNNNNNNNNNNNNNNNNNNNNNNNNNNNNNNNNNNNNNNNNNNNNNNNNNNNNNNNNNNNNNNNNNNNNNNNNNNNNNNNNNNNNNNNNNNNNNNNNNNNNNNNNNNNNNNNNNNNNNNNNNNNNNNNNNNNNNNNNNNNNNNNNNNNNNNNNNNNNNNNNNNNNNNNNNNNNNNNNNNNNNNNNNNNNNNNNNNNNNNNNNNNNNNNNNNNNNNNNNNNNNNNNNNNNNNNNNNNNNNNNNNNNNNNNNNNNNNNNNNNNNNNNNNNNNNNNNNNNNNNNNNNNNNNNNNNNNNNNNNNNNNNNNNNNNNNNNNNNNNNNNNNNNNNNNNNNNNNNNNNNNNNNNNNNNNNNNNNNNNNNNNNNNNNNNNNNNNNNNNNNNNNNNNNNNNNNNNNNNNNNNNNNNNNNNNNNNNNNNNNNNNNNNNNNNNNNNNNNNNNNNNNNNNNNNNNNNNNNNNUUUUCCUCUCCCUCAUCUCUAUUAUUUGGCCCUUCACCCCCUUCAAUCCCUUCAUCUUCUUUUUCCUCUCCCUCAUUUCUGUUACUUGGCCCUUCAUCCCAUUGAAUGUCAUCCAUUUCCCCAUAUCCCUUAAAUAGAUGUGAGACGACACAACGAUUCGUCCUCUGUUUCAGUAAAGCUAGGUCCCUCCUUACUUCCUGCUCAAACUGAGGACCUAAACAUUGGUCCAAUAGUUUUUCCAUCCGUAUGACCUUUAAGUGAAGGACGUCUUUUUCCCGCUUUUCUUGAAACAACUCGGACCUCAACAAGCUUACCACCUUGUUCAACUCAUCAAGAUCACCACAUGAAGAAGGAAUUGACUCUGCCGAGACAACAGCAGGGCGAUCCUGUGGCCAACUCCAAUAUGGCUGUCUCAUUUCCUCUUCACUUAGACAUAGCGCCCGCAACUGAACUGACUGUUUCAGAAUACAGACAAGAGUCAUAUUAAAUCAUUCUACUUCAUAAUUUCAUUCAAUCUUAUCAAUAGUUCUAAGGGCUGCAAACCAAACCUCUUUGCUCUGGAAAAAAUAAUUGUUCAACUUUCUCAUCUCUGGAACAGACGUAGUAGUUCUCCAUCGCAAAAUACGCGGGACAGCGGUCGGAUCAACAACCUUGCAGUAAUUCAGGUCCGCCAUUCUAGGAAUUAAUUCAUAUACCCAAAUCUACACAAUUCACAGGACAAAAGUCAUUAUUUAUGUUUUAAAGAAAAACAAAACAUAACUGACAUGAACAUUAUUACCAUGUACCUGGAAAGCAUACGUGAAACCUUUAAAACUCCAGCCACUCCUUUGCGCUUCACUAUGCUUAUCCUUCUUGCCCUUCUCAUUUCUCCGGCUUGUUCCCGUUACCUUACUUUUCCCCUUCCCUCUUCCCUCUUCAUUUUCCAAGCUUUUCACAUACUUUGUUGGUGCAGAAAAUAGACUGUCUUGGGUUUUGUCAAAGGACACCGAACCCCACGGAUACCUGUUGAACGCAUCCAAGUCCUCUACAAGGGUCAGGUAAUUUAGAUUGAUGUUCAAAUGUUUGUCCCUUCCCAAAACCACUAACUCAGCAAAGUAAACAAGAGGUAGCUUGAAGAUGUCAUCUUCCUCUGUGCACCUCACAAAUGCUUCUUCUAAAGCAUUGCAUGUAAUUCCUUCGUCUAUAAAAUAUCUUUUCUGAAGUCUGAUUUCAUUACUCUCUCCACUGGAAACUUCAGGCACUUCCCCAAAACGAAGCCCUGUGAUCAAACAGAAAUCCUGACGAGUGAACUGAGCAACGUCACACCCUAAUAAGAAACUCAGUCCAUCCAAGUCUUUCACACCCUGCCCCGCUACUCUACGCAACACAACCCCAUGCACAAUCUGUCCGCUAAACUGAAUCUUAUCUAUAUUCAGAAGAUGGCCAAAGCAUGAUGUCUUGAAUUGUUCUAAUUGUUCCGCACUCAACUUCGCUCGAAUUGCAGCUAGAGAUGAAUUUGCAUGUGAGCAGUUGUUCACCCGUGAUGAAUAUACCUCUGCCUCUGGCCAUACCAGCUCCACGUUGGAUCCCAUUUCCUCAAAUACAAUGUGAAAUAACGUGAACAUAUAUACUACCACGUAUUUGCACAAUCACAACUAGUCAACCAGGCACAUUACAACUUUUACAAAGUACAUGAGCAUAUGGAUUACUCAUCACAGGCUUUAACAUCAUCAAAGCAAUAUGACAAUUUUUGUGCAAAUACCUGUUAAUGCAAUGAUUAUGUGAAUUACAAACAAUUUCACGUGUUUUAUUUAUGGAUCCAUACUCGUGUGAGUGCAAUGUAGGCAAGUUCUGCACUUCACACACAUGACAAUUAUUGUCAUCUCAUACACAACCCAAAAUAAAUAAAUAAGAAAUAUAGUGGAAGGAAGCAAAGCAAAGCAUGUACUCUGCUAUCUGCUUGCUAAGCAAUUGCCACAUCCUUCUUUCUUUCUACCUUUUUCUUCAGUCACCCACAAUCGUCAUAGAUCAACCUUCAUUUCAAAUGCUUUGCACUUUUAUUCAUGAGUUUAUUAUUAUCUGUUCUCAUUUCUCAUAGGCAAAUUUAGUAACAAAUGAAAUAAUAUUUAUUUCACAAAAUAUAUAAAUUCUAGUGCCAGAGAGGUACUCUUCACUCUGCACUGCUUCAAAUGUGGAAGGUUUUGAGAUGUUAUUGACAUGUGAUUGACUUUAUUUUCAUUCGUUUUUUAACAUAUACCCAAGCAAAAAUUAACAUGCAAUUGAAGCACAAAUAAGAGAUGCCAAAUCCAACAACAUUGAUGGUACAAAUUGGGGAAAACCAUUACUCUAACCCUAAACUCAAAUUCCUUACAUUACUCAUCAAAUGCUUUGCAGUUCUAUUCAUGAGUUUAUUAUUAUCUGUUCAAAUGUUUCUCAGGCAAAUUUAGUAACAAAGGAAAUCAUAUUUACUUCAUAAAAUAUAUAUAUAUAUAUAUAUAUUCUAGCGCCUCUUCUUAAUCUGCACUAUGCACUGCUUCAAAUGUGGAAGGUUUUGAGGGCCUCCUCCAAUUCAACACCAUUAUCUUAUUCAUAUCAUUAUUGACAUGUUAUUCACUUGUUAUUGACUUCAUUUUCAUUCUUUUUUUAACAUAUACCUAAGCAAAAAUUAACAUGCAACUGAAGCACAACGAAGAGAUGCCAAAUCCAACAAAAUUUAUGGUACAAAUUGGGGAAAACCAUUACUCUAACCCUAAACUCAAAUUCCAUAAAUUACUCACCAAAUGCUGGUUAUUGCAAGGUGUCUGUGUGGGGUCUUUCUGUUUCUUUGCUCCACAAAUGGAACCUACCACUUCCAACGAAUACAGCUUUUCCCCUUCCCCUUCCACUGCUUCGCCUCUUCACUGAUUUGGAAUCCACACCUUUGCCCCUUCUACUCCAAAUAAAUACUUUCUCGGGGUCUGGAGAACGGAGUGGCGAAUCGUUGCCUUCAACUGUCGUUAGCCGUUGCCUUCAUUGGGUAUCUCAGACCUCUGUGUUUUAGAGAGAUGAGUUCUUUCUGUUCAAACUUCGAACUUGCCUCUUCUUCUUCUUUUUCGGACGUGUUUCCCUCUUCUUCUUCUUUUUGGACGUGCUGGAUAUUCAAUUCGGGUUUGGGUUCCUUACCUACCCAAUUGUGAAACUUUAACUCAAUUCUCCCCAGCCCUUGGAUUAAUCUGAUGGCUAUAAAGUGAACCCCUUAUAACUUACCCCUUAUAACUUUCCACUCAUUAUAGUCUUGGCCAGGUAUGGCGGCCAUGCUAGUAAGUGUUGGGUCUUUGACCCAACUUAAGCUAAAUGGGUCAUAAGAUGACCGAUCAUCUUAUCUCAUAAGGAUAUAUAAGUCAUGUUAUGAUUUAGGAUUUUAUAGGGUUUCCUUUGUAAGAGGUAAGAGAGAAACAAGCUCUCUCUCUCUCUACACAAGGAGGUCAGCCAUAGCAAGGGAAAGGCUCCUAGCACUCUCCUCUCUCUUAUUAUAUCAUCCUUCCAAGGACAGCUUUGGUAUGGUAAAGUUGGAGGUUGCACACUUUGUGCACUUUGGUAAGAACUCAUCCAAGGGAGCCAAGAUUAAAUUGGUUAGCUGUUGGAUUAAAUUGGUUAGCACGAUUCAACGGUUAAUAGAUAAAACUUCACAUAAAAGUCAUAUAUAAGGCCCUCACUAUAGAAUGACUCGUUAGUUUAGUCUCUUGUUACAUAUCAAAUGUUAGAGAUAUUUUUUAAUAAGGAUCUGCCAUACCACAUAGUUGGAUAAGACAUUAUACACGGCUUUUGUAAGAGCAUCUCCAGCGCUCCAAACUAGCCCAAGCAGCAGGGGGGCCUAAGUCUAGGAAGCAGCUCCAGCUCGCAAGAUUCAACCCAGGCAAGGUGUGGAACCCACGAGGAGAUCUAGCCCGUCACCUUGCCUUUGGGUUUCAGUCAAGCUGAUGUCAACGAAAGAAUUUCAAAUUUUUUUUACCGUUACAAUGUACGCGCCAACGAUAAAUUUUCUUUGGAUUUCUUGCAUUGAUCCACAGCUACCAAAAACCAACAGCUACAAGCCACGUGGCUUCUCCAGGAGCCUCCGAUCCAAAAAUCAUGUCAAAUCUAACGGCAGUCCAUUUUUUGGCUAAAAAUAUCAAAAAAUUAUGGAAACAUGUUCUAUAAAUUCCUACAAAUAUUAUUCACUUCCCACACCAAAUCUUCAUACAAAUUCAUAUCCUUUCAAUAUUUUUCACUUUCCAUACAAGAUUUUCUACUACUAAGUUUCGUUUGUGUAAAAAUACAAAUGACCUCUUCUAUCGAAGCCGGAGGCGCGUGUACAACCGUGGAAGAUAUUUUGUUGCGUGAGUGUUGGGUCAAAGUUGGUCAUUCCCUGAUCACGGGCAAUGAGAUGAAGUCCUCUCGUAGGAGUUUCUGACAUCGCAACGAAAGUAAGAUGUGAUAUGAAAAUGUAAGGAAUUUGAUGAGAGGAAUGGGAUUUGAGGAGUUUGAUGUAGGAAUUGAUGUAGGAAUUGAAUUUGGGAGGUAUGUAUAUAAGAUUUGAGGGUAUGUGUUUAGGGAUUUUGAUAAGAGGAUUUGAGGAAUUUAGAUUUGAAGGAUUUGGAUUUGGGGAAUUUAAAUAUGAGGAAUUUGAUUAGGGUUUGGGUUUGAAUAUGUGAAAUUUGAUAUGAGAGUUUAGAGACAACAGAUGAUCGAUUGCUCUGAUACCAUGCUAAAAUAUGAUAUGGUUUGAAUACUUUAGGUUGAGUUUUAUUCUUUUCCAUAAAAAGGUAUAUAUAGGAGUUUACAUGAGUGCUUUACAAAGAAAUAGAUACAAUAAUCAAUUAGGAUAAUAUCUCCUAAUUAUACAAUAAUUUGUCAACUAUAUAGAAUAGGAAAGUAAAUUCCUUAAUUAAUCAAGAAAAUAAAUCUCAUUGAUUAAUUAGGAGACUAACGUCAACAUUUAUAAGCCAUAAAAGAGCAGAAAAAGAGGUACUUAGGAGAUUUUAUACGUCGGACUAAGGUAAGCUUAAAGGACUAUAUCAAAAAAAUAAGGGACCAAGAAGCAAGACAGAGAAGUUGUUAUGCAAACCCAUUAAGUUUAGCAGUGAUGAAUUUGUAAAAAUCAUUCUAGUGGAUUCUGCCUUCACUAUUGAGUUCUUAUUGAGGUUCUAUCUGAAAGGAUCUGGACAUGAAGGAGACCGCUUAUUAAACAAACCGUGGAUGUUUACAGCCUGACAUGUGGUUGCUUGAAAAUCAGCUCCCAUUCUUUAUUCUUGAGGAUCUUUAUCACACAUACAUAAUAACCGACUCUUUUAGGAAUUAUUACAGUACUCAUGAUCAUGAGAGGCUUUCAAUAAUUAAUAUUUCUAAGAAUUUCUUCACAGCCGGAAUAUUGAAUUUGGAGGGGAAGGGAGACAAAUGGAACAGAAUAUCAUCUUCUUCUAGUGUUGGAAAUUUUAUAUUAUUUAAUAAUAUUUAAUUUCUAUUGUGAAUGAAAAAUAAGUUUCUUUAAGAAACGUGUGUCUUAGGCCAGUUUUUCUAACUGGUCGGCUUCCUUAGAUUUGUGCCUAUUGCUUUUCAAAGUAUAAUGAUGCAAUGGUUGUAUCUCGUUCAGGCAAAUGGAAGGUAUAUAGCAAUUUAUAGAACAAUACAGUAAUCCAGAAGAAAUAUUAUGAAAUGAAAAGAAUAAAAAGUAAAAAAAGAGAAAGAAAGGAAUUCCCACCUGCAAUGUAUAUGUAUGAAAGGAAGGACCAAGUUUGUUUUAAAAUGGUAAGAACAAGUUGAUUUUAAAUUGGGUUCAGAUCAACUCAUAGAUUUCUUGCCUUUUCUGUUCUCCUUCCUUGGACAUGAACUGUUUAAUCUUGGACUCUUCCCCAUCAUGUUGGGCCUGUCUUCUUCUUGAGGAUUGUAUAGGCCUAGGAAAUGCUUCGGGGUAGUUUUUGUGUUUUGGGCAUUGGGACCCAACUUCACAAAAAGAAAACAAAUUUGACCAAAACACAAAUUUGAAGGACAUUGAAAUUGUACCCGUAGGAUAGAUUAAAACACUAUAAGGGAGGUAAAUAGUACGUUUACAGAGUUUAAGUGUAAUAAAGGAAUAAAAACAUGCCCAGAGAAUUGAUAAGUGAUAUCAAUUCUUGAAUAUACGUGAAAAUUAUUUUAUGUGGUUAAACCCCACCUCUGGGGAAAAUCCACGGAACUUCUUAGUCCAACUUCUAUCACUUAUCCUAGACACAUUCUAGAUAAUGUUUGCCAACCUCUUCGUAACUCAACUUCUGUCACGAGAUGAUCUUUCAACACUUUAUGUCGAACGCAAUACUGGUCACGAUUUCUUCAAGCUCGCCGGAGUUCUUCCAAUUCUCCUUAUAUUGAAUCUGAUACUAGUCACGAUCGAUUCAAGCUCAUCGGAGAAAAAUCGCCACAACAAUCUUGGUGCCCUCAACCGUAUGAGUCACUGAACAUGCAAAUGAAUACAAUAUGAAUGAUAAAAGUGUUUGAUAAAUCACCAAGUUAUGGAACACUUGAUGAUUUAUCUCAAAUAAAAAUUCAGCUUUCCAAAGUUUAUGAAUUGAAAAUAUGACCGUUAAAGCUCUCUAAACAAAGAAGACGAAGGUCUUAUUUUAUAGACUUUUACUUUACAAGAAAGAAAACACGUUGAAAACCAAAUCUCCAAUUUCCAAGGCUUGACAGAAAAUCACAAAAUUAUCUUUCCUAUUCUAGAGAUUGGUCACAUGAAGUCCAACCAAUAGGAAAUGAGAUAUUUAAGAAAGGAAGAUUUUGAUCAAUAUCAAUAUCAAAUGAAUUCUUAUACGCCUAGUCAAUUGUUAUGGGUAUCUUGACUCCUUGAUAUUGUGAUAUGAUUGAAACAUGAUUUCCACGUUAGAAAAUUAAGGGGAUGUUAAAACAUGAAGGUAAUAGGAGAAUCAAAUUGAUUUGGGCCAAAAUUGCCUAAAAAGAAAACACUCCUUAAUAAACUUCAAUUUACUUUUAAAAAUAGUAAAACGUGAUUGAAUCGUUCUUUAAAACAAUUCCCUAAUAUACAUGCAUGAUAGUGAUAUCACUUACCUUUGAAUCAGAUGGCUUUCACGGGUCAAGCCACAAGUUUUUGUCUUGGGGAUUGCUGAGCUUCAUCAAUCCUGCCAAUGUCAAUUUUGCCCCUAAGCUCUCUCAAAGCACGUUUACAACCUAUGCUAACAUAUAUUAGAGUUUAUGUUAGUAUCAAGAAAAUGCCAACACUAAUUUCGUAACACGUAGAAAUUGUUAGAGAUUGAAGUUUUUAUCAUUUUUUCUUCCAGACUCUCCACCACUCACUAAUAUAGUUUACUCAUGUGAUGAGUUUACAAAACCUAUUUCUCUACUCUCACAAAGACUAUACUUAGGGGGGUGUAUUCAAUUAGGAUUCUAAAGCGUUUAAAAAGAUUUUGUUUAAGUGCCAGCUUUCAUAGAACUUGAUGGAACUUUAUAAUUCGUAUAGAACUUGAUAGACUUUCAGAAGACUUCUGUAUAAUUUUUUAAUAAAACUUUCUUAAGCUUUCAUAGAACUUGAUAGGCUUUCAUUCCAAACUUAUGUAGAUGGUAUAUUUCAUUUUAUCCCCAUCCUUGACAUUUAAAGAAAGAAACUUGAAUUUUUUCAAUCAAAUUUGUUUUUGUUACCAAAGCAGCAAAAACAAAAAGUACUUGUUUGCGAUGGAAGAACAUAUGCACAGUUCAAAAUGAAAAGAAUAAGAAGCAAAGUACCUAUUUGACCAAUGAAUGCUGUGUCAACUAGAGAAGCAAUUGGAUCGGCUGUCAAAGCCAAUGCUGCAGGCAAUGCAUCGAUGGUCCAAAUUGCAAUAAAAAAAUAUUUUGAAUAAUGGCUCUUGCAGACAAAGACCACAUAAAUUCUGAACUGGUCUAGCUUGAAUAAUAAGGUUAGAUUAGCCAAUUGAUGAGAUUAAAAGCAAAGCAAGUUGAUGAAUUUAUCAUCAACUAUUUAAUAACCACAGUCCUGAUCUCUUGGACCCCUGUAGUCCAAGAGAUUUAUGGUCACCCACCGUUGGAUGUAAAUUCAACGGUUGACUUGAAUCGGGUAAUAAUCAUUUAUGUCAUAUUGCAUUUAUAUAUAUCAUUUUGAACCAUUGGAUUAAUAUCCAACGGUGGGUGACCACAAUCUCUUGGACUCCUGUGGUCCAAGAGAUCGGGACUGUUAAUAACCAAUAGAGUAUUUAAACAUAAACAACAAUGUUUGAUCAACAAAACAAAUAGUCCAAAUAUCAUCCAAAAAACAAUAACAAAAAAUCAAUCAUUCCAAACAAACUAGUCAUUCUCAAAAACUCUCAAAAAACCCACUCAUUCCAAAUUGUAGGAUAUCCAAUUUGAGCACUCCUCAGGAGACAUUUUCAAAAAUGCAUCCUUUUUUGUGUUACUAUGCAACAAAGAGAGUGCUUUAUAACGAGCAUGUUCAUCCAAAUUUGGGGUCUCCUUAAUGGCAUCCCAUAUAUAACUCCGCUGCUCUCUCUCUUUUUCCCUUUUUGCCAAUAGGUUAUGGACCUCCCGGAAGUCGAUGACAAUUGAAUCAAUGCUAAGGCUAAUUCUUCCCAUAGCUUGCUGGGUGGUCACAUUUGAGAUAGCAUUCCCUUCCAAAUAUGUUCUAGUUCGUUUCCUCUAGUAACAAGCAUAAAUCCUAGUAACAAGCAUAAACCCUAACCCCAACCUAUAACCUAAUAACAAGAAGAAAACCCAACGAGGUAUUGAUCAAAGAAAAAUUAGGGAGCAUACCUUCACAGAUGGAGGAAGGAAGCUGUUCGUCUUCGCAGAGAGAAAAUCUAGGGAAAGAGAAAAACGUCUUAUGAAAUACUUGGGGGGGAGGUUGGAUUUAUUUUGGUCUUUUUUAUUUAUAACUCUCCCCUUAAAACCUACGUAAAUUUAUCACUUAAUGAAAUCCUUCCAAAUAUAUGACCUUUCGAAUACACCUAGAUUUGAUUCAACUUUUUUAUAAUCAUAAUUGAAUACACCCAUAUUUGAAUGGACUUUUUAAAAGUUCAUAUAGGUCCGAAAUGAAUAUACUCAAACUUGUAAAACCUCUUUUAAAGUUUGUAUAAAUCCAAAUUGAAUACACCUGGAUUUUUAAAAUCUUUUUAAACACUUUAUAAUCCUAAUUGAAUACACCCCCCUUAUUCUCAAAAGACUAUAUUACUUUACCUCUAUCUCUGUGAAAUGUAAAAAGUUGAAACUUUAAUGUCAAACCUCAACAAAAGAUGAACUUUCAUCAGUUACGUUGAAUUUGGAUUUGUUGAACUUAAGUGGUUUUAUUUUCUUUGUCAGUGUUUGAUGACUUAAUUUGGUAUUUAUUUCUUCUUUUUUUUCCUUGGAAAUGUGUUCCACCAACGUGAGGAAGAAAAAUAUGCACAAAUUAAUAUAUUUAAUAGAAGCCCAAGAUUUCGGAUGCAUAUAAUUUCUACAAAAAUCUACAAAGUUUUUUACUUUACAAACUUCUUAUGUCUACCAAUUUCUACUAAAAUUAAUUUCUCUGUGGUGCUCAAAUUCAUCAUAUGUGUGUCGUUAAUUUUAUUGAAAAUUGGAAGUUCCCAUCAUUUUUGUUUUUUGGGAAUUUUCUGAACCAAGGAAAAUCAAGUAAAAUUAAUAAAGCCUAAAUUGGAAAGGGAAAAUAUCUAGAGGAUGCAUUGUAGGAUUGCUCAUGCCAAUAAUUGUACCCUCUAAAUAUAUAGAGACAUAUUUUUUUUGUUUUCAUGACAUGUGGUCCUAAAAUUAUUGUGUAAAUCUUCAAUCCUGAACGAUGCACCUAAAACUCAUCCACCCAUUCUCAGGCCAAUUAUUGCACCUAGUGGGCUCUCGACCCCCUCUCAAAUUUAACCACAUAUUUUAUGGACCAUCCAGCUGUGAGGUACAUUCCCCCCACAUGCCACAAUUGUAUAUUCACAAUUACGUCUGAUACAUCACAUCAUGCCACUUGCCUCAAAUGAAUUUAAGUGAGUGAGGCAGUUGGAAGUAAUUAAGCUCUAUAUUGGUGGGUGGAGUGUUACUUCUCGGUUCCCCUCAUCAUUCGUCUAUAAAAUGGUGAAGGCAGUUGCUAUUGUUACCAUAAGAGCCAGCUCCGACUUCCUUUAAUUUCUUGCUUCAUAUCCACUAGCUACAUCUGUUACCAAGUUAAUUUCAGUUCUAAUGGGGUUUCAUCUCCCACUCAUCUUUGCUCUUCUCAGUGUAAGCUCUGCAAUUUGAUUAACUUUUCCAUUCUCUCUCAUUGUACUCUAUAUAAACGAAAGUUUUGUGUUCCUAUUGUUCUCUCCGAUUUUAUUUAGUACGUACUUAAGUGUCGUCCACUAAUUAAUUAUACUUUGUGAUUUGAUUUUAAUUUGAGUUUGAAUUAAUGUUGCAGCUAGCAGCAGUGGCACUGGCAAACCAUGCUGCUCAACCAGCACCUCAACUUUACUGGAGCUCCGUCCUGCCAAACACACAGAUGCCAAGAUCUAUCAGUGAACUUCUGCAUCCUGGUUUGUGUUGAGCUCUUUAGAAUCUUAGAUAUCUCUUCUACCUGCCAUUUUACUAAAAUAUGUUCCACCACAUAUUUAUCAGUUAACCAUUGUCAUUACAUGAGUGACACAUAUUCACAAAUCGGCUGAUCACUUAUUUUCCAUUAUGACUUGAUAUAUAAUUUGCAGACUCCACAAAUGAAGAAAAGAGCACAAAUGACGUUGGCAAACCUGAAACUUUCCCAUUGGGCAAUCAACAUUACUCCAGUCAAAAACAUUAUGGAGGCAUACCUGAAACUUCCCCAUUGGGCAAUAAACAUUACUCCAGUCAAAAACAUUAUGGAAGAGGCAAACCUGAAACUUUCCCAUUGGGCAAUCAGCAUUACUCCAGUCAAAGACAUUAUGGAAGAGGCAAACCUGAAACUUUCCCAUUGGGCAAUAAACAUUACUCCAGUCAAAAACAUUAUGGAAGAGGCAAACCUGAAACUUUCCCAUUGGGCAAUCAGCAUUACUCCAGUCAAAAAAAGUAUGGAAGAGGUGCUUCUCCAUCCGACAAUCAACAACUCCAUUAUAAAGACUUAGCUAUUUUCUUCUUGGAGAAGGACAUGCGCCCUGGCACAACAAUGAAGUUCCAAUUCCCUAUAAAUUCAAACACGGCUACUUUCUUGCCACGAGAAAGCGCUCAAUCGAUCCCCUUCUCCUCUAACAAACUGCCAGAAAUUUUCAACCAUUUUUCAGUGAAGCCAACAUCUGAGGAAGCCAAAACAAUUAAGCAAACAAUCGAAGAGUGUGAAGCUCCAGACCUUAAGGGAGAGGAAAUAUAUUGCGCCACAUCUUUAGAAUCAAUGGUUGAUUUUAGCACUUCGAAGCUUGGAACAAGAAACGUUGAAGCAAUCUCGACGGAGGUAUUGGAAAAAGGAGCCACCAUGUCCAUCCAAAACUAUACAACAAUGCCGGGACUGAAGAAGUUGGCAGGUGACAAAGUCGUUGUGUGUCAUAAGCAGAACUAUCCCUAUGCUGUGUUUUUCUGCCAUGCAAUAAAACAUACAGCAGCUUAUGCUCUCUCCCUGAAAGGCGAUGAUGGGGAGAAGGUUAAAGCAGUAACCAUCUGCCAUCUAGACACAUCAGAAUGGGACCCAGAGCAUAUGUCCUUCCAAAUCGUCAACGUUAAGCCCGGAACCAUUCCCAUCUGCCAUUUCAUUUCCACUGAUGCUAUUGCCUGGGUUCCGAACCACAAAUCUGCAUGAUCAUCACUUAGCACUAGUACUGUGCGUAUAAUAUGCCUGUAUAAUUAUCUCCCUACUUAUUUCUGCCUCUUCAUCAUGUGGUGUAAGAUAUAUGUUGAGAUGAAGUUUUUGGGAUUUGUGGUCGAAAUUAACCCGAUCAUGUUUUCUCUUGCAACCAUAUAGACUUCAACUUGUACUCAUAAUAAAGCAUGCUAUAUUUAUGAAGAGAUAUUAAUCUUCAGGCAAAUAGAUAUUAUGAAAACAUAUAUAGCAAUUUAUCCAGAAGAAACAUUAUGAAAUGAAAAGAAUAAAAAGUAGAAAAACAGAAGGAAAGGAAUUCGCACGUGCUAUGCUAUGUAUGAAAGGACCAAGAUUGUUUUCCCUUUGGUUAAUGACUAGAAAAGCUCACUUGCAGAGUGCUUUCUCCGACCAUAGAUGGAAGAGAAAUUUUCUCUUAAUAAUAGCACAAUGAUCGGGUAAUUGUAAGAACAAGUUGAUUUAAAAUUCCUUGACCCAAAAAAAAAAAAAAAGUUCUUUUCAAAUUCAGGUCAACCCAUAGAUUUCUUGCCUUCGUCUUCUUCAUCACGUUGGGCUUGUCUUCUUUUUGCGUUUUGGGCCUUGGAAGUUGGGACCCAACCCAACUUCACAAAAAGAAAACAGAUUUGCCAAAAAUCAAAUUUCAAGUCUCUCCUCCGAUCACUAAUACAGAUCAAAUUUUGGAUUUGAUGAACUAAAGUGGUUUUACUUUCUCUGUCAGUGUUUGAUGACUUAAUUUGUUAUUUACUUUUUUUUUUUUACUUGAUCUUUGUAGGGGCUUUUUUUUUUCCGGCAGCUUAAACGGGCUGGGCUGCCGUAAAGGGUAGAUUGAUGAAAUUGUCCCCUUUGUCUGAAUUCGAAAAUCAAGCCCCAAAAGCGCUUCGAAAGGGCAGUAGAGCCUUAGGAAGCGUUCUGGUUACCUUCACUAAUUAAAACAACAGCAACUUACAGAUGAUUUCUUGAGGCUUACAGAUAAAUUUUCUAGCUUGGCAUGACAUGGAAGCAAAAUCAGCAUGAGUUUAGCACCAAAGAGGAAAAUAUGGCUUCCUAGGGAGAAAUGAGAGUGUUUAAGGUGAGGAAGAAGAGGUUUGCAGGCUGAUUUGGCUGAGAAAAGAGAAAGAAAGAACAAUGUUCUUCCGGCAGCUUGACAAAGCUUCUGACAGAUGUGAAAGUCGUCCGCCAGAAGAGGAAAAUGGAGAAGAAGGAUGAAUAGUGCACGAAAUUGGUGGGUUCUUGCAGGUAAGAGAGAAAGCUUGCUCUCUGAAUCUGAGUUGGUUUUGGUUGGGUAGAAGAAGCCCCCUUUUAUAGCUGCGGGAAACCAUCUUUUUCCAAGAAACCCUAAUGGUUUCUAUCCUUUUUGGCCAAGCUUUUCCCUUCCUUUCUCUUCUCCUCCCUUGACUUUUCCUAUCUUGGUGAAAUUUCCUCUGCCUAUUUGCACAAAAUUAGAGAUUUUGAGGAGCUCAAGGCCCCUUUCCCGCAGCUGCCUUAGUGGAGAAUCCCCAUUUUCAGUCAUCUUUCUUCCUUCUUUUCUCCCAUCUUCCAAGGCUAGGUUUGAUGAGAGAAAGAAAUGGAUAUGCACACUGGUUUGAAGGGUGUUUUUCCUUGAAACUUGUUCUCUCCCAUGUGCUGGAGCUUCCCAGCAGCUUACACACAUAGAUAUUUUGGCUUUCAUCGUGGCUUUUGUUUUCAGCUAGGUGCUGGAGAUUUUGCAUAUAUUUUCUUGAGUUGCUUGGGCCUUCUAGGACAAUACGUUGGUUUAUCAAGUGAAUGGGCUAACUUCAUCAAUUGUUGGGCAAUUUUGGUUGAGUUAAUGGACUAUUUUGGUUCAAGUAAUGGACUAUUUUGGUUGAAAUAAUAGGCUAUUUUUCUCUCUUUGUGCUCACCCACAUAUUUGGGCCUAAAAAAUGGGCUUGAGUUUCGGGGCUCCCAAGCAACCCCGGGACUUCCAUUUCUCGGCCCAUCAAUGAGCCUCAUGUCAACUUAUUACCAUCCAUACCACAACCCACUCAAGCAAGCCUCAGGCAUCUUGCGUGGCUUGGGCCCACGUAAGCUCGUAGUGGCAAUGUUGCUUAUUUGCUUGACGUGGCAUGUGUGCAAGUGCAUAUGACGAACUUUCGCGUGCCCAAAUUGAGUUUCUUCUCGGUAGGGUAUCGCAUUGGGCCGAGAAUUUAAUUGGGUAGAACCGUGGAUUUUUUGGGCCUCAACAAUCUUAUAUAUAUUAGUUUUCUUUUUUUCCUUAAUAUUCACCACCUUUCUGUUGCAUAAGUAUUCCAGUCUUAGCGGGUUUCCAUCUACCACUCAUCUUUGCUCUUUUAAGUGCAAGCUUUUUUAUUUUUAUUUUUUUAUGCACAAGAUUAGAGGGGAGGGAGAUUUCUCAAUGUAAGCUUUGCAGUUUCAUAAUUAAUAUUUCCAAUAUCUCACUGUUAGUAAAAUAUGGAACGGGAAAAGUACGAAUAAAAUACACACAUGUUUUAUUUAGCAAAAUUUUGACAAGAUACAACUGAAAAGUUUGGCCACUAUAUAAUAUUUUGAUUUAAUUUUUUUUAUUUUUUUAAUAUAUAUUAUUUUUAUUCAAUAAUAUGUGAAAAAUAGGUGUACAAUAUAUGAAAUUUGUAUGUAUUAUUGAAAAAUUCGUAAAAAAAAAACAUGUUAUUAAAUGUGAAAAAUAUGUACGUAUAUGUAUAAAACAUGUAUUGUACAUUACUUUUUAACAAACUUGUAUUUUACCUAGUCUUUAAACCGUAUAUGGAAAACGGAAGUAUUAUUGAAAAAUACAUAUGUACGUAUAUGUAUAAAACAUGUAUUGUACAUUACUUUUUAACAAACUUGUAUUUUACCUAGUCUUUAAACCGUAUAUGGAAAACGGAAGUAUUAUUAAAAAAUACAUAUGUACGUGUAUAAUAUGAGUAUUAAACAAAAAAAUGUGCUAAGUACUUAUCUUUUAAUUUAAUAAUUCAUUUCAUUUUGUGAUCUCAUACGUAGUAAUGAGAGUUCAAAUUAAUGUUGCAGCUGACAAUGGUGGCUCUGGCAAGCCAUGCUUGAUGCAGGAGUAUAGGGGUGGAUCAAGAUAGAUAUUUACCAUGUAAUUAGUUAUUUCAUGAUAUAUUGUUAUUUUCUUAUUUAGGUAGUUUUAUGAUAUCUUUUAUUAUUUAUGUGGGAUUUUAUAAUUAAUUAGUUUACUUUUGGACCAAGUAGCCUUGGUGCUCAAGUCUUGUAAAGCUUAUAAAUAAGGCUAAUGUAAUAGUUGUAGGAAAAGAGAUGUCGAUGAUUAAUAAAAUCGUUUAUUUGUGGCAUGGAUUUGCUACGAUAUAUGUGAGUUUGCACUAGCCCUAGAUUUCGGUGCUCGUGUAUGUGGUUGGUGACCUGUGUCCGGAUCCCGAUCCCCAUCAAUGCUGUUCUCCCAGUACCUCAACUUUACUGGAACUCUUUCCUGCCAAACACAAAUGCCAAGAGCUAUCAGUCAACUUCUGCAUCCUGGUUUCUAUUAAGGGACUUUUCGUGAGCUUAUCAUCUACCCAAAUUUUACUCAUCCGACGUAAUUUUAAAAGUGAUUUGAUCCUUUGGCAAAGUAAUCUUGAACUACAAAAAAGGAGGGCACUCGAAUAGGCAUGCCAUUUGGUAUUACCCACCUCUAAUUUCUUUUAAAAUUUUAGUAAUUGAUUUUUAAGAUUAGAAAAUGGGAAAGUUCAAAACCGAAAAAGUUGUUUCAGUUUUGGCAAGUAUCGGAAAAGACUAAAAUUUUCCGACUUUAUUAUUACUAGAAACAAAGUCGAAGUAUUCACCAAUCAUGUGGCCUUCCAAGUGCUCAAGGUUAAGCCAGGAACCGUUCCUAUCAGCCAUUUCCUUCCCAAGUAUGAUCAUGUUGUCUGGGUUCCAACCCACAAAUCUACAUCAGUACCUGAACUAAUCAGUUCUACAUGAAUAUUCAUUCAUGGCAACCUUGGGCUAAGUAUUUGAAUUUAUGCUCAUAAAGCUUUAAUGCUUUUGAGGGCCAAUCGUUGUCUACAUAUGGUAUUGUAGCAUCUUUAGAUGGAAGAGGUCAGGGGUUCAAUUCUUGUUUUCCACUUCUUUAUUUGUUGGUUUAUCGAGUGUAGAGUGGAGUUGCACCUAUAUGUUCGUCUCUCACCCCAUCAUUUACCAUUGAUAUAUAUUUAAUAGAAGCCUAAGAUUUCGGAAGCACAUAAUUUCUACUUUACAAACUUCCUGUGUCUACCAAUUUCUACUAAAAUUAAUUUAUCUGCGGUGCUGAGAUUCAUCAUAAUUUUAAUAGAAAUUGGAAGUUUUCAUCAUUUUUGCUUUAAGUCUCUACUCCACUCACUAAUAAAGAUUACUCAUGUGAGUUUACAAAACAUUUUUUUUUUCUACUCUCUCCUGAAGACUACACUUCUUCUCAAAAAAUUAGAUCACUUCACAUCUUGUGUAUGUGAAAACUAAUGUAAAAAGUUGAAACUUUAUCGUAAAACCUCGACAAAAAUGAGCUCUACUACAAAAUGUUAAAUUUGGAUUCGUUGAUUUAAAUGGCAAUUUGACACUUGAUAGAAAUUUUUACAUACAUGUGUUAGUGUUUGAUCACUUCACAUGUCACUUACUAUAUUUAUUCCACUCAAGUUAGGUAAAUAUUAUUAUCAAACAUUUCAAUUAAUUUGUGAUUUUUUUAUUAUUUAAUCAAUUAUGAAUUAAUGGAUUCUUCUUGUUGUUUUGAAGACCAACAAAAAAAAAAAAAAGGGUAGUGAUGGCUUAUAAUUCUGGUAAAACAACAGUGACGUGGACAACAGAUGUUACGCUGUACUAAAGAUUUUUGAAGAUUCUUUAUUUGAGUUUCUUUCAAGAUAAAAACCAUAUUAUCCACAACCACAAGCACAUCCGGCAGACAAUCUUUGGCUAUUCAUCACAAUUGGGAGACAAUGAAGAAGACAGAAAAUGGAGUAAUUCAGAUGUUACCAGCCAUCCACGACAAACUGAAGUCUGCAAAGCAUUCGUAAUCUAAAAAGGAUGGGGAGGCUGCGCAAUACUUAGCCACGUGUAGGCCAGGAGGCUUUCCAAUUUUAAUAUAUAUAUAGAUUGAAAAAAUAAAAUAAAAAUCAAUCUAUUAUCAUAUAUAUUAUAAAAUAAAGAUUAUUGCUCCCAUGGGCGGUGCUAUGCACAGGACAGUGCCUGCCUAGUCCAAAUUUUUUUUAAAUAAAAAUAAAAAUCUACAUAUGUUAUAAGCUCAUCCAAAAAAAAAAAAAAAAAUAAAAGUGUUGUAAAUUAUAAGGUGGAGCCCACAUGUUGGAAGGCUUUGCCUACAAAAGGGUUCACACCCUCCCUUUGUAAUUAGACAUUGAGAAUACUAAGGAAGACAGAAAUGAAUAGAGAGAAAACAUUCCCUUCUCUCCAUCUCAAUUCCCUCUCCAAUUCCUCUAGAUUUAUAACACGUUAUCAGCAGCACGAAUCGCUUUCAAACAAUACCAGCUGAAUUUUAUGAUGAAACCCAGAUCUCUCAUCCAUCUCUGCUGCUCCACUACUUCAAAAUAAAUCCCACAGAAAAAGAAAAAGCCUCAAUGCUCUCUCUCUCUCUCUGUCUCGCUUGGGAGACUUGGACAAUUCCUCAUCCCCGUUACUGACAAUUUCAACAGCUUCAGGGGAAGCUAGUUUAUCUUCCUCUGCUCACGAAACCAUGACUCUUUCAGAGCCAAACAACAACACAAUAGACAACGCAUGGAGACCAGACUGGAGCUCGUCGGCUAAGGCACCGACGAUCCGACCCUACCCGUAUGGACCUUCCGGAUGUGGUUCCUGGGUCUUGUCUCAUGUGCCCUCCUCUCAUUUCUCAACCAAUUCUACAAGCAGCAGAGCUUCAAAUCAAACAGAUCAUGGCAUCGCUUUCACACCUCCCCAUCUUCCUCUUCCUCCUGUUCACCGCUUUCUAUUCUACAGCUUCGCAGUCCUUCAUCGGCGCAUCCAAAGGCGACAUACCGGCGCUCGCCUCAGAUCCGAACGCGGCGGCUCAGUGGGUGAACUCGAAUGUCCUCGCCUUCUACUCGGCCAGCAACAUCGACCUCAUCAACGUCGGCAACGAGGUCCUUUUUCUCCAACGACCAGGGCCUCAUCUCGCAGCUCCUCCCCGCCAUGCGAAAUGUCCAAUCUGCCCUCUCCGCCGCGUCCCUCGGCGGCAAGGUCCGUGUCUCCACGGUCCACUGCCUCGCCGGAUCGGGAUCCUUCCUUCAAGUGUUUCUCUGUCUUCGACUUGAAAAAGAAGGUCAUGGCAGGCCUAUGUAAAAAUUGCGAAAAGGAAGGCAAUCUUCAACCUUUUCUCCUGUCUCUCUCUUGAUCAAUUCAUGGAAGGCACAUUUGGGUCUUCCGGGGGCUCAUCAAAUGAGUCAGCAAUGUCAAAGGUGGAGGUGGUGGAGCAAGACUACGUGGGGAUGUCAUAUGAGGCAACCUCAUACCCAGCUGAGGCAGAGCUUGUGCUGGGCCUGGGCCUUGGCCUGAGCCUUCGUGGUGGUGGUGCAGGGAAGCAGCCAAAGCCAUGUGCAUGGGGUGAGCGUGGUAGAAUCUUGACUGCUAAAGUUAGGUGCUGAGUUACACUGUGUUCUCUGCUACUGACCCUAAGAGGAGUGCUAGAAACUUCCAUGUUCCGCCAUCAUUUCGCUUUCACUGUUACAAGGCACUGGAGUAUGUUUAAUUGAAAAGUGAGAUACACAGCAAGUUGAUCAGCCUAGUGGAAAGCAAAGGAUUAUUGCCAGGGAUAUGAACACCCACCGAAAUAAAGGGAUAAGUACUCUUUUUCCCUUCGACCAGUUUUUUUUUGUCCCACUGGGUUUUUACUGGCAAGGUUUUUCACGAAACAUAUUCCGUAUCAUUUGUGGUCUCUAAGAGGGAGUGUUGUAAAUUAUAAGGUGGAGCCCACAUGUUGGAAGGCUUUGCCUACAAAAGGGUUCACACCCUCCCUUUGUAAUUAGACAUUGAGAAUACUAAGGAAGACAGAAAUGAAUAGAGAGAAAACAUUCCCUUCUCUCCAUCUCAAUUCCCUCUCCAAUUCCUCUAGAUUUAUAACAAAAAGUAAAUUCUACACAUAUGUUGCCCAUCCAGGUGGUCCCAUAUCUUCUCUUUCCUUUUCUUUUGGCUAUUAGACUUCUUGUUUCUCUCUCUCUCUUUGCUACCCCACAUCAGCAAGUUUCUCCCUCUCUUUUUUUGGGAUCAAAUUCUUCUUCUAUUGACAAAAUCUUCUAUUAUAUUGGGUGGGCAACUUGGCAACAACAUCUUCUCCUCUCCUUUUGUCAACAGCAAGUAUUAUUCUCAUUCUCUCAUUUGCUAUAUAUCUUUAAUUAUAGUUUUAAUUUAAAAUUGAGUAUUCUAGGGUUUAAUUAGGGAUGAAUUAUAAUUUUGGGAUUUUGUUGAAAUUAAUUAGGGCUUCGAUUAGGGGUGAAUUAUUCUACUGCUUUGAUUUGGAAUUUUGUUAAAAUUGAGUAUUAUAGGUUUAAUUAUGGAUGAAUUACAAUUUUUGGUUUUGGUAUUGUUGAGAUGUUAUUAUGAGAAUUUGUUUGAUUUUUUGUUGGUAUAUUUGAUUAAAAUUCUUUCUACAUAUUAUUCAUAGGCUAUCUUUUAUUAUGUCGGAUCACAAUCGGAAUCCCAAGAAAACAAAAAAUUUGAAUAGUGUUGUUUUGUAUUGCAUUGCAUUUACUUUUGGUUUUAGUUUUGCUUUUAGUGUAAAUUACUCAAAUGGUCCUCAAAUUUGUACCCAAUUUACAUUUUGGUCCAUAAACUAAAUUAUUCAUUCAAAUGGUCCACCAACUCUUUAUUAAUCGGUGCUUUGGUCCUAUCGUUAUGUUUUCUAUUAAAUUUAGUCAUGUGAGCAGCACAUGCUACAUUUGUAUGGGUAAAUAAGACUUUUGACCAGUGGCGGAUCCACGUUGGGACAAGAGGGGUCGGACGACCCCUUGGAAGGCUGGAAAUUUGGCAAGGGAGUCCAUGAAAGCCCCCUUGGACAGCUGCUGGAAGCCCCCUUGUAUGCACACAAUGUGCUCGACGAAAUGCCCCAACGAAAUGUCCUGCGCAGCUGUGCUGCGCCUUGCGCGUAAUUUUUUUUUAAAACCAGCCUUGCCAAACGACGUCGUUUGGUCAAGGCUCAGUCAAAUUUUUUUUUAAUUAACCUGGCCUCAAAACGACGUCGUUUUGGGCCAGGUUUAAAAAAAAAAAAACAGAACAGUACACACGCACAGCAGCUCUGCACAGAUUCAUUUUCUCCAAACCUUUCAUUCCCAAUUCCACAGCCCCUCUUCCCAUCCUCUCAAACCCUAACCUCCCAACCUCCCAACCUUGGACAACCUCCAUCAACUCUUCACCGGUGGCCCAAUGCCGAUCACCACCACCUUCUACCGCCGUCCGCCGCCCAUUUUUUAAACUACAAGUAAGUAAGCAUGGAAAAUCUGAUAUUAAUAAUUAUAGUGAUAAUAUAUAUUGUUGAUAUUGAUAUUUUUUUUUUAUGUAAUGAAAUUUAUGGAUAUGAAUCAUAUUGAUUGAUUGAGUUUAUGCUUGAAAUUUAUGGAUAUGAAUCAUAUUGAUAUUUUUUUUUAUGUAAUUAAAUUUAUGGAUAUGAAUCAUAGUGAUAAUCAUAUUAAUGUAGAUUGAUUGAGUUUAUGCUUGAUUGAUAAUAUGAAUUGAUUGGGUAUAUUAAAUAUUGAUUGCUAUUUGAUAUGAUAAUUUGGUAUAUUGAAUAUUGAUUGAUAUGGGUUUAGGGAGUAUAUUGAAUAUUGAGAGUGGGUUAUUGAAAUUUUCAUAUUCAUAUGAUAAUUAGGAUAAAAAUUAAUGAUUGAUUGAAUUAAUUGAUUUGUAGAUUUAUGGAACGAUUCUUUAAAAGAAAAUUAUCUACGGAUAGUUCUUCUCUGUCUAAUCCGGGUAGUUCAAAUGCAAGACCAAUUGAAGUAGAUGAGAUCUUAGCUAAUCUUCAAGCAGACCCUGGACUAAGAACUCGAAUGGCGGAUUAUAGUCCUAAUAUUAGGGAUGAGAUCCGAAGAGCAUAUCUACAAAAGGGACCUUGUCAACCUAGAAGUUAUAAAUUCCCACAAACUAAUCAAUCAGGAAUUAAUAGACGCUUCAUUGCUCAUUGGUUUGAUGAUCAUGAUUGGUUGGAAUAUAGUAUUGCUAAAGAUGCUACGUUUUGUCUUCAUUGUUAUCUCUUCAAAUCUAAUUUUGAUCAAGUGGGUGGUGAUGCAUUCACUGGGGUAGGCUUCAAUAAUUGGAAGAAGGCGAAAGAAAGAUUUAACCUUCAUAUUGGACCGGUUGGUAGUGUUCACAACCAAGCUAGAGAAGUUGCUUACAAUUUGAUGCAUCAAACUACACACAUUGAAACAAUUGUGCUCAAGCAAACAAGCCAAGCUCGCACGGCUUAUCGCACUUGCUUGAAUGCAUCACUUAAGUGCACUAGGUAUUUGUUGCGGCAAGGGCUUUCUUUUCGUGGUCAUGAUGAAAGUGCACAAUCAAGUAAUAAAGGGAAUUAUUUAGAGCUCUUGCAAUUUCUUGCGGAUCAUGAUGAAAAAGUUAAGGCCGUUGUAUUGGAAAAUGCUCCGGGAAAUUUAAAGUUAAUAGCUCCUUCAAUUCAAAAAGAUCUUGUCAAUUCUUGUGCCAAAGAAACCAUUGAUCUUAUCUUGAGUGAUGUAAAAGAUAGAUAUUUUUCAAUAAUGGUGGAUGAAGCACGUGAUGUUUCAAUAAAGGAGCAAAUGGCAAUGGUGUUGCGUUAUGUGAAUGACAAAGGACAAAUAAUUGAAAGGUUUGUGGGGGUUCAACAUGUAACCGACACUACUUCAAGUGCACUAAAGGAAACAAUUGAUGAAUUCUUUUCUUCCGCGAAUUUGAGCUUUUCCAAGCUACGAGGACAAGGUUAUGAUGGAGCUAGCAAUAUGAGAGGUGAGUUCAAUGGCCUUAAGAGAAAGAUUUUGAGAGAACAACCUUGUGCAUUUUAUGUUCAUUGCUUUGCUCAUCAACUUCAACUAGCUCUUGUUGCGGUAGCAAAGAAAAACAUUGAUGUCAACUCUUUUUUCACAACGGCUAAUAGUUUGGUUAAUGUGGUUGGAGCAUCUUGUAAGCGUCGCGAUGCACUUAGAGCACAAUACCAAGAAGAGCUUGUGAGAGCUUUUGAAGAUGAUUGUCUUAUAACGGGGCGGGGCUUAAAUCAAGAAAGGACUCUCAAACGUGCCGGCAAUACACGAUGGAACUCACAUUAUGGUACGUUGAUUAGUAUCAUUUCUAUGUUCCCAUCUGUGGUGAAUGUGCUUCAAAUGAUUGUUGAUGAUAAUCUUAAUGAUAGUUCGGGUGAAGCCUAUAAGUUAAGGAGAGAAAUACAAUCUUUUGAGUUUGUGUUUCACUUAUUUGUAAUGAAAGCUAUAUUGGGAAUAACAAACACUUUGUCUCUAGCAUUGCAAAAGAAAGAUCAAGACAUUGUGAGUACAAUGAAUUUAGUGAAAACAUGCAAGGAAAACCUGCAGUUGAUGAGGGAUAAUGAGUUUGAAGAAUUGGUUGGGCAAGCAUCCUCGUUUUGUUACAAAUAUGAUAUUAUAGUUCCUACCAUGGAUGAGGAAUAUGUAAUUCCAGGGAGAUCAUGGCGUAAUGCUCCAAUGAAGACAAAUUAUCAUCGUUAUCGUGUGGAGAUCUUUAUUCAUGUAAUUGAUGGGCAACUUGCGGAAUUAAAUGAUCGCUUCAACGAGGUAAGUACUGAGUUACUUACUUGUUUGGCAUGCUUGAGUCCAAAAAAUAACUUUGUGACUUUUGACAAACGAAAGCUAGUUCGUCUUGCUCAAUUUUAUCCUUAUGAUUUUUCGGAUAGAGACUUAUUGAUGCUUGAAGAUCAACUUGGUGUUUAUGUUCAUCAUAUGCGUUCGAGUAGUGAUUUUUCUCAAUUGGAAGGGAUUAGUAGUCUUGCGGAAAAAAUGGUGGAGAAAGGAAUGCAUGAAAUAUUUCCUUUUGUAUUUGCUUCUUACAUUGGCUUUGGUUUUACCGGUUGCAACUGCAUCAGUGGAGAGGGCAUUUUCCGCUAUGAAUAUUAUUAAAAAUCCACUUCGCAACAGAAUGGGAGAUCAAUGGUUGAAUGAUAGCUUGCUUGUUUACAUUGAGAGAGAUGUUUUUGCUUGUAUUGAUAACGAAAUUAUAAUGCAAUGUUUUCAGAAUAUGAAAACUCGUCGUGGACAAUUGUAACUUGUAUUAUUGGUUUUGUUAUGAAUUAUGAAUGAAAGUACUAUCUUUCUAUCUUUUUAGCAUUAUUUUCUUUGUAGAAAAAUUUCAGAACUUUUACACUAAGCCCCCUUGGCUACAUAAUCCUGGAUCCGCCACUGCUUUUGACCACUUUAUCACCUAUGUAUCACCACUUUAUAACCUAUUUGGGGAACAUAGGUCAGUUAUGGACGGUUUUACCCUUACAUUUGACGGCAACAUUAACAUAAUGUAACAGUGGGAUCAAUGGAGUGAUUAAUAUAAAGUUGAUGGACCAUUUGAAUGAAUAAUUUAAUUGAGAGACCAAAAUGUAAAUCAAGUAUAAGUUUGAGGACCAUUUGAGUAAUUUACCCUUCGCUUUUAUAUUUGUUGAACUUUUAUUUAUGAUAGAUAUGCAUUUAAGGGUAAGACCCAUUAUGUUCCCCUGGCUAGGUGUAUCUUUUUAUGUUUAUUAAUGAAAUUCACUCGAACUGUUGAGUUUAGUAUGUAAGUUUUGCCUAACUGGCUUUUGAAUCCUAGAACCGCCACUGUUGCUCCAUCCUCCAUGCACUUGCAUGUGCUCUUACAAAGUGUGAAGUAGAUUUUGUGUGCUCCAAGUCAUUGACUAGAGCUGAAACAUGGUUAGCUAGAUUUAUAAGGACCCAUCUCUUUAUUUCCUAGACAUAUACCCAUCUCUCUAUAAAUCUAUAUGUAAAACCUAAUUUCAAACUUAAAUGACCAGUAGGAUAUAAAAGGUCAUAGUAUUCCUAUGUUUUUAUAUCGUUGCCACCAGACUUCUUAUUUUAUUUAUAAUUUAUUUCAAGCAUUUCAUUAACUGCCAUAAUUGUAAUUAAUACUCCAUAUUAAUAGCAUAUCAAUCACCCCAUUUCUUUUGGUUGCCAUUCCCUCUAACAUAUCGCCCCUUAAAUUUGAAAACCAAAAAAAAAAAAUGUAAAUUACAUAUCCAAUAAUGUACCUAUGAAAAAUAUAAAUAUAAAUAUAUACAUAUAAAAAUAUAGGUAUAUUAUUUACCAAAUAGAAAAUAUAAAAACCUAGGUCAGUUGCUUUGUAAUUGAAAUUUCUGUACAUUUUCCACAAAUUAAAAAUAGGUACAUAAUAAUUUAUAGAAAAUAUAUGUACAUUAUUUAUCCAUAGGUAAAAAUACCGAUAAAUGCACAUAGGUGAAUUAUUUACCAAUAUAUUAUUUUUUUGCUAAGGAUUUACCUUAGUUUUUAGUAGAUUAAUUUACCUACCUAGAGGCAUAGGUAGCUUAAAAAAAAUGUACCACCUUAGUUGGUUGCAUACUAAUUUACCUACCUAGAGGCAUAGGUUGCUAAGAAAAAAUGUAGGUAAAUUCAUGUACCUAAACACAUAGGGGUCAAAUAGAGAAUAACAUGUUAUUUCCCUUUGAACAAAUUAAUUUCAAACCAUAACAAUUAUUGAAUUUGGAAAUUGGUAUAAAUAAAAGGAAAUAAAUAAACUAUCAAUUUGAAAAUUAAAAUAAGAAAUGAUCAAGUAGUCAUAUUUGAAAAAAAAGGAAAGAAUAUAUUCUUGGUUUUUAUAGGAACAACGAGUAUAUUCAAACCAAACGGCGAUAACUACACCAAGCUUUAAUUACUUUUUUUUAAGGCCAAAAGUCACUUUUGGUCCCUGUAGUUCGGCAUUUCUACCACUUUUGAUGUUGUAGUUUCAAUUCCGUCAAUUUUGCCAUUGUAGUUUCGUAUUUGUAGCAAUUCAAGGACCUGUUAAUAUUAAUGUCAAUUUGUUUAAUGAUGCAAGAGGUAAUUUCGUCAUCCCAAAAUCCUUGAGCAUAAAAGAUUGUCUGAAAUUCUCCCCAUUUCAUAUUAGGGCUCGAAAUUCAACCACUAAUCCUAAUUUUUGAAGAACCCUAGACCCAAAUGACCAAUUUCAAGCCCUAAUAUGAAAUUACGGAAGUUUUAGAUGAGCUUUUAUGCUCAAGGAUUUUGAGUUGAAGAAACUGCCCCUUGCACUGUCAAAUAAAUUGACAGGAAUACUGACUUGUCCUUGAAUUGCUACAAAUACAAAACUACAGUGUCAAAAUUAACAGAAUUUAAACUAUAGGGUCAAAAGUAGUUGAAGUGUCAAACUAUAAGGACCAAAAGUGACUUUUAGCCUUUUUGUUUCAAUAAGGAAAAAACUGACCUAUUAAAUCCUUGGAAUCUAUACAAAAUUGAAACACAAUUAAUCAACAUUGAAUUGCAGCUAAUUUCUUAAACAAGGGUAUUAUAGGAAUUUAAAAAGUAUAACAUUUAAUCCAUUGAAUUUGAUUAGGAAACUUGAUGAAUUGAAUCCUAGUUAUAUAGUUUUUCUUAUAAAAAUCAGGUUUUAUUUAUAGACAAAUAAAACAAUGGGUUGUAGGUAAGAAAAUAUUAAUUUGAAGGGAAAGAGUCAAAUUUACUAAAUUAAUAAAGCAUAAAUUGGAAAGGGAAAAGAUCUAGAGGAUGCAUUGUAGGAUUGCUCAUGCCAAUAAUUGCACCCUCUCGAUAUUGAAAAACCUAUUGUUUAUUAUUAUCUUCAAUCCUGAAUGAUGCACCUAAAACCCAAGUGUCUCAGGCCAACCAUUGCGCUCAUACCACUUGUUGCAGUACACAUUCACCUGUUUUUAAAGAAAGAAAUUCUACCAAUCGAUAUUUUCUCAAAUUUAAUCACAUAGAUCUAUUAUGGUUAACCAUAUGUACUUUUAUCUGCCAUCCAGAGGUACCUUUUUCCAACGUGCAACAAUUGUAUUUGAUUCACAAUUAUGUCUGAUAUACAUCACAUCAUGCCACUUGCCUCAAAUGAAUUUAAUUGAGUGAGGCAAUGGGAAGUAAUUAAGCUCUAUAUUGGUGGGUGGAGUGUUACUUCUGGAACCCUCAUCAUUCGUCCAUACAGGGGAACAAUUCCCUUCCUUCUAUAAAAUGGGAGCAAUUCUCUCACUGUACUCUAUAUAAAGGAAUAAGUGUCGUCCACUAAUUAAUUACACUUUGUGAGAUUUGAUUUUAAUUAGAGUUCGAAUUAAUGUUGCAGCUAGCAGCGGUGGCACUGGCAAACCAUGCUGCUCAACCAGCACCUCCACUUUACUGGAAUUCCAUCCUGCCAAACACACAAAUGCCAAGAGCUAUCAGUGAACUUCUGCAUCCUGAUUUGUGUUGAAUAGAUAUAGUAUGUUACUGGAGUACGUAUGGCAACAUAUUCACAAAUGUGUCACGUAUUUUCCAUUAUGACGUUGAUAUAUAAUUGCAGACUCCACAAACGAAGAAAAGAGCACAAAUGUCAUGAAUGCUGUUGGGAAUGGAAAGCCAAUUGACCACAAGGGCAAACCUGAAAAUACUGUACUACCACAGCUUGCACGACGCCCAUUUUCUUACAAGAGUGAUGAUCGUCCCACUGACAAUCAACUCCAUUAUAAAAACGUAGCUAUUUUCUUCUUGGAGAAGGACAUGCGCCCUGGCACAACAAUGAGCUUCCAAUUCCCUAGAAAUUCAAACACGGCUACUUUCCUGCCACGAGAAAGAGCUCAAUCGAUCCCCUUCUCCUCUAACAAACUACCAGAAAUUUUCAACCAUUUUUCAGUGAAGCCAACAUCUGUGGAAGCCAAAACAAUUAAGCAAACAAUCGAAGAGUGUGAGGCUCCAGGCAUUAAGGGAGAGGAAAUAUAUUGCGCCACAUCUUUAGAAUCAAUGGUUGAUUUUAGCACUUCGAAGCUUCGAACAAGAAACGUUCAAGCAAUCUCGACGGAGGUAUUGGAAAAAGGUGCCACCAUGUCCAUGCACAAGCACACAACAAUGCCGGGACUGAAGAAGUUGGCAGGUGUCAAAGUCGUUUUGUGUCAUAAGCAGAACUAUCCCUAUGCUGUGUUUUACUGCCAUGUAAUAAAACCAACAGCAGCUUAUGUUCUCUCCCUGAAAGGCGAUGAUGGGGUGAAAGUUAAAGCAGUAGCCAUCUGCCAUCUAGACACAUCAGAAUGGAACCCAAAGCAUUUGGCCUUCCAAAUCCUCAAAGUUAAGCCCGGAACAAUUCCCAUCUGCCAUUUCCUUCCCACUGAUCAUAUUGUCUGGGUUCCGAACCACAAAUCUGCAUGAUCAUCACUUAGCACUGUACGUAUAAUAACCUUUACCCCUGUAUAAUUAUCUCCCUACUCUACUUAUUUCUGCCUCUUCAUGUGGUGUAAGAUAUAUGAUGAGAUGAAGUUUUUGGGAUUAGUGGUCGGGUUGCCUUAAAAACACAGAUUACAGAAACUGCUUGAACUUAACCCGAUCAUGUUUUCUCUUGUACUCGUAAAGCAUGCUGUUGUGGUUCUACUUAAUUUCGUCCUCCCCAAUGUUUGAGUGUUUAAUUGUUACGUUGGAAUAGGCUGCUAAUGCAUGUAGUUAGAGAAGCUUUCAUUUAUAUCAAAGUCCUCAAACUAUCAAGAAUUAAUGCAUCCAGAAACAUAUAUACCAAGACGCAAAACAACAUAUUUUCCAUGCUGUGUCGGUAACACCAAAGCAAACUUCCUUUAUCACAAAAGGACCAAAUUCCAAUACUAAUCUAAUCCAUCAUGUAAAGCAUACAAUCUACAACUGCCUCCCUAAAUUUGUCCAUUGGAUAUAUAUGUCACUUUUUGGUAAUUUGGUAUAGCAGCACCACGUAGUAUGCAUUUAACAGAAAAGUAAACAAAAUUGACAGUAGAACUAUUUGUCCUAACGAAACUGAAGUUGAAAGACCAUGAGAACGAUUUUGAAAAUUAAGGGACUCAAAUGAAAAUUGGGUCUAAGUUCAGGGACCAAUAAAACGAUUAACCCAUAGAUUUUGGAUCCAGUACCACAUCCCAAAGAGAAAACCACAAGUUUGCAAGCAAGUUUGUCCAUACUAACACUACGUACAGUAUGGGCAAUGUGCUAGACUCAUCUCACUUUCUCAACCUAUCCUAUACUUGUCUAAAAGAGUUUCUAAUUUAAUGUACUGAGAUUUACGAAAGAAAUAUCAGAGAAACAAUUUUCAGGCAAUAAAAAAAUGUCUUGGCAAGAAAAUGCACAAUUUGUUACAUAACUUAUUAAAUAUGAACAGUUGAAAGAAAAAAGAAUUUGGAUGAGGGAUUUGCAAAUUCCUAUGGCCCAAUUACCUUUUUUUCUUUGUUUUUUUUUGGUUCUUUUGAUCCAGUAGCAUAUUCCAAAGAAUGAAAACCACAGGCAUGCAAUGCAAGCUCUUUUCCCAUGUUUUCCUCUGUUUUUCUCCUAUCAUGGAAGUGAUUAAAACACACCUCUAAGCUUGUUUUGCGUUUGGUAGCCGAGUGUAAAAGCUCAAUGCAAGAUAGUUUGAGGUAGAAUUUUCUCCUGUUUUAUUAGGACAAUGAUGAGCUAUAUGUGACAACAAAUUGCUUUAAUAAUGAAAAUUAAAAAAGUGUGAUUCAUUGAAUAUUUGCGGGGUUUUGUUCAGAGCUGACAAAGUUCUAAGUCAACACAUCAAAUUCCUUUUUCCAACAAUCGUAUUUGAUUCACAAUUUUGUCUGAUAUACAUCACAUCAUGACACUUGCAUCAAAUGAAUUUAAUUGAGUGAGGCAAUGGGAAGUAAUUAAGCUCUAUAUUGGUGGGUGGAGUGUUACUUCUGGAAUCCUAAUCAUUCGUCCCUACAGGACUCUAGAACUCUCACACUUCUUACAAGGACUACUUAACUCUAUAGCUUAUUGCAUAUAGCAUAUAUAUGCAAACCCAAUUAGAAAUUCUACAACAGAAGCAAGAUCAAUCUCACUAUGCCUUCUAAACAAACAAACAAAUAAAACAAGCAUAUUAAUUGCUUUAAUCACUCUACUAACAUCAACACAGCACACUUAGUUUACUAACAGAUGAUAUAGAAAGGAAAAAAAAGGACCAAUAGGGAGAAAAUGGUGAACUAAGGAGAGACUAAUACUUCUGGUCCUUAGAAGGCAUAACAGAAAUAAUAGAGCACACUGCUUGAAUGCAAGUCAGUAUUAGGAGCAAAACAGCUGCAAUGAAAGAAAUAGUUGCCCAAGGUGUAUUGAAAUAAUGUUGCCUCAAAUUUGCCUUCCAUUUGUUCCAAGGCUUUCUGCAGUAGCUAUUAAGGCGCUCAGAAAGAGUAGCAAAGUAGAAGCUUUCACGAUACACUGCAAUUCCUUUUCCGAGGUUGUUAAUCAGAGUGCACACCUCAUUGUAGUCACCAAGCAUAUUUUUGACAAUCCCAUACUUCAGAAGGAACUCCACAUCCUUUUCGGUGUUCACAAACUCAUCCAUGAGUGAAACAUAAUCACUUAUGUAAUUCUUACGGCAAUGGCACUAUUCAAAGGCAAUGAGGUUAUGGAGUGUGAGCUCUGUGUAAUCGUUUAUUUUUAGUUUUGGAAUUUCUAGAAUCCCAUCGUUGAAUCGUGUUAACGCAGCUUUCCUUUCCUAGCCUACGCGGAAGUCAACUUCACAAUCUCCUCCUAGCAAUUAGCCUUUCCUACUGUAAAUCGGAUUGUAUUCAUGUCUAUAUUAUUUCCUACCUUAAAUAGAUAUCCUGUACUAGUAUACAUAGGGACUUUGUGUAAUCUGUUAAAUACAAGGAAAUAUAUACUCUACAUGGUAUCAACCUAACCUAGGGUUCUCUCUCUCCCCCUUAUUCGAUCCUCUUCUCCUUUAGGUCCACCUCAUGGCUUCGUUUGAAUCCACCAUCUCCCUCCCAAGCCCUAACUCUUCUCAUUUUAUCAAGCUUACUAACUCCAACUAUCUUCUUUGGCUCCGCCAACUCAAACCCUUUUAGUUGGCCAUGACCUCUGGAAAUUUAUCGAUGGCAUUCAUAAACAACCUUCUGCCCACACCUCCACCUCUACCACCACAACACCCACAACCACCACCACUCUUACCGAAAUCAAUCCUACCUAUGCUCAGUGGUACCAACAAGACCAACUCAUUGUUAGCUACAUCACCAGUACACUCUCUGAGUCCAUUUUCUCUCUCACUGUCGGUUGCAUCUCUGCCCGGGAUCUCUGGGAGUGUCUCCAAUGCCACUUCUCUUAAUCCAAUAUGGCCAGUGAAUCUGCUCUUCGUUUUCAACUCAUGGAUUUGCAAAAAGGCUCUCAACCCAUUGAUGCUUACCUUCGUCAUGCUAAGUCUCUUGCCGAUUCACUAGCUGCCAUCAAUUAACCUGUCUCCCCAAAAGAACUUGUCACUGCUGUGCUUCGGGGUUUAGGACCCGAUCACAAAAUGCUCAUCACAGCAAUUCUCAAUUUCUCUCCGCUUCCAGACUUUGCUGAUCUUCGUGCUCGUUUGUUAGCUUUUGAUGCACAGACUCCUCGAAUCUUUCCUGAUCAAAACACAACGCUAAUGGCCACCCAAUCUUCUCCUUACACCACCGGUCAUACUUCCUUCCCUUCUCACCGUGGUUGUGGCUCUUCCAGCAAUAGGCGCGGUGGCUGGUGCAGUAUUGGCCGUGGUGGCUGGCACAACUUCUCAUCUUCCUAGAGCAACCCGUGGAAUGGCUUCCAGCAGCCCUAAUGACCUAAUCAACUGUGGCCUCCUUUUGCUCUAAGUUUUGGAUCUCAAAGCAACUGGCCUUCCUUUCAACCUCUUUGGGCCCAAUCUGCCGCUUCUAGCAAACACUCUGCCCGACCCAACUCAGCUCCUGGUGUCUUGGGACCCGCUUGGUGCACCACAUGCAAUACCAAUCGACAUACUACUACAACAUGUCCUUAUUGCUACAAUGGCCCAGAAUUCUUCCUUUGCUGGGGCUCAAUUCAUGCAGCCACCUAACUCUACAUGGUACCCUGACACAAGUGCCACUCAUCAUAUGACUGGUAGUUCUUCUAAUCUCCAAAGGAAAUUAAAUGAAGGAGUCCUACGAAGGCUCAAGGCUCGAAAGCACACGAUCCGGCUCUGCUGCGGAGCUCACUCAACUACUGGCUGAGGGGGCGCAAAACAGAAAAUUGUGAGUGGACAAAAAUAAAAAUUCAGUUCAGUGUAAACCAACGUAAUAUAACCCCACCGUUUAGAAAACCAUGCAAGAAAUCCAAAUGCAUCUCAAAACCAUCAUAAUCAUCAAAUCAAAAUCAAAUACUGGAUGCCAAGUCCGAAAUCCAUAAAGAAAGCUUUACAAACCCACCAUCCAAAUCUUACAAUCCCACAACUAAACUCUCGAAAGCGUACCCAUUGGCAGUACCAGCAAGGAAGUAUCCUCACCGAGAAACAAGAACAAAAGAAUAGCUAUAUAUAUAAUUAUAUAAUAUAACCACACCUAGUUGUACCGGGAAAACAAUCCAACCGGGGGAUUGUUUGACUAGUCACCAUGGCAGAGUCAAAGUAAACAAAUUCCUCAAUUCACCAUGUGACUAGGGAACGAGCUGUCCAACUGGGGGACCAACUCUCAGCCAGCAUGUACCGUCGAUAGCCUCAAAACCCGUACGUCUGUGACCAGUCCUACGCGUGCAGACUACCCAAUCAAGGGUUUACAGCAACAUCCCAUCAAGGAUGCCCUAGGUUCCCACAAUUCCAAGUAUCUCAAGUUUGCGUAUCCAAGUUCCAAAUCCGGGGAGGUACAUAGGGUAGUGCUUAUAGCACUCCAAAUUGACAUUCUAUACUCAUCACUUUCCACAAUCUCAUCUCAACAACCUAAGUACCCCACACAUAGCCAAACAUAUAUAGAAAUUCUCAAAAUCCAUAUAUACAUACUCAAGAUACUCAAAUAUGUCAAAAUCCAAAAUAUAUUUCCAAUGCAUCAUAAAAAUAUCACUUUUAACAAUUGAAUAAAUAAUAUAUAUCCAAUAUACCAAUUAAAACAUCAUGCAUAAUAUUUCCCAUCAUAAAAUCAUGCAUAAGAUUUGAAAACAAAGUCCACUCACAAGUAGUCCCACACUGCUUGACCUUGAGAGGGUCCCGCCUACUGCGUAUGCGUGGUUGGAGUACCUAUUUCAGAAUACGUAUACGAGAUUAAUAAGAAGCGUUUCGAACGAGAACUUUGAAUUAAAUAUCCUAAUUUCCCAGGUUUCUAGUAAGUGUACUAGGAACGAGACGUUCUAAGGUUCCACUACCCAAUUCGAACCAUGGAAGAGCUUCGGGAGACACUCGGUCAACCGGCGGUCAAAUUCCCAAAUCGGGUCAACUGGCCCACGGGACCCACGACCUCCGUUUUUAAAAUCCGUAAGUUCCUAAAGGUUUCACAAUGUCUAAGAUACUACUAUCACAAGUUUGGUCCGAAACGGACUGUUAGAUCGCUUACGAUCGCACGAUCAGACGGUUAUUGUAAAACGUAAACUUUAAGUUAUUGAAUCAGAACAUCCGGGGCUCCGAUUCACGAUCCGCGAAUUCCUACACGAUCCUAGGAAGGUCUAGAGUAACAUAUAUUGGAAUGGAGUCGAUCCAAAGGUCCGAACAUAUCGAACCUAGACCGGAUAACUCCUAAUAUGUGAGAUUCGUUCGGGGUUCGAACAUCAACCAAAUUGGAAUCCUAAGGUACCUACGUGCUCGUGACAUUAAGGGGAUCAAUUGGGACAAAAAUGCCCCUCUGCUACAGUGCCCACGUGCCACCACACGCGGCGGUAGAGAGUGGGUGUCCAAAGCGAUUUCUCUUCGCCGGAAAAUCUCCAAAUUACAAGCCACUCUCCUGGCUACAGGUUCUACUCAACGAGUGGAACACUUUAUUCAACUACAGCCAAGUCCAAUUCGGACGGCAAGUGGCCGGAAACUCACGGUUUAACCCGGAACUUCAUGGCUUGGAUUGGGCGACCAUCGUCACCAUUGUCGUGGCACAACCUAGGAAAUAGCUAAAAGGAGAGGAGGGCUACCUAUUCCAAGCGAUGGCGCAGCUCGCGGUAGCCGAAAAUGUAGCCGAUGACGUUGGCAGUUUUGGCCGGUUUUUCACGUCGUUGCCAUCGCCGUUUGUCGAGUUUUCGAUUGGAGAAAAGGGGUGGGGUGAGUAGAGGAGGAAGAGAGGAAGCUUUUGCAAGAAAUGACACUUGUCAGGGAGGGGGGGGUUGGGGGAAGAGAGAGAGAGAGAGAGAGAGAGAGAGAGAAAAAAAAAAAAUUUCAGAUUUUCAUCCAAACCCUUUUCGAAAUAUUUACAAGUUUGCCACUAAACUACUUUUGGUUGCCAAAUCUUCGUUAUAACUCCGAUUCAAGCCUACCACGUGUCUACGGAUUCGUCUCAAUACAACCUACCCAAAAAUACCAGUCACUGCCCCAAACUCUUUUUGGGUAAGAAAAUGACCAAAAUACCCCUACCCCAAGGGUAAAUUCAUAAUUUCACUUCAAUAAUUUAAUAAAGAAUUAAAUUUGGAGUCGGGGUGUUACAUUAACUACCUGUUUAGUAGGUGUGGGGUUUUAUACAAAAAGCAUCGAUGUUAUUGGGAGUGGAACCACUUAUUAUAAGUUGUGAUUUAUUUAGUCAAGUUUCCUAUGUGGGAUUUUCUAUUCUUCAACAAGCCCCCUCAUGUGGGACCACCACAUAGUGGGCCACAUGUAAAGCUAAGUCCACAUCGGAGUCAAUCAUUCAAGCCCAAUACCUAAACACCACGUAUUGUGUGAGGGGUAGGGGUAAACAUUCAAGCCCAACAUGUGAACCACCAAAUAUUAAGUAAGGGUAAAGGCUCAAUUCAGGCCCAAUCAAUGAACCCAUUAUGAUAUCAUGUUAAAUUUCAGAUAGACGGGACUGUGGCCCACCACUAGCAACAUUGAUAUUGUCCCCAACUUAACUACAUGUUUAGUAGGUGUGGAGUUCUAUACAUAAGGUCUCGAUGUUUUUAGGAGUGGAACCACUUAUUAUAAGUUAUAAUUUAUUUAGUCAAGUUUCCAGUCAACCUGACUUUGAUACCAUGUUAAGAUUUUAAAGGGACGAACUCUUGGCACUAUUAGUAACAUCGACAUUGUCCCCAACUUAACCACCUGUUUAGCAAGUGUGGGGUUUUAUCCUAAAGGCCUCGAUCUUAUUAAGAGUUGAGUCAUUUAUUAUAUGGAACUUUCUAUUUUGUUAACUCUGUGUAUUCUUCAUCAAUGUGAACACCCCUAAACCAAUCAUACCUGAUACGAAUUGAAACACAAGUUUGUUUUUUGCCUUUGGUAGAUGAGUAGCUAGAAAAGCUCAAUGCACUUGCUCUUCUGCUACAUUUCAAUAUAAGAACAAGGUUUGGAAGUCAGGUCAACUCCUCAUAGCUUCCUUGCCUUUGCUUUGACAUGUCUAUGCACUUCUUGGGGAAGUUUGAAUAAUCCAUUGCAGGCCCCAUGACAACUAAGGAACCAACAUUUUGUAGAAGGUUUUGUCUAUACCUUUUGACUAUAAGUAAAAUCUUUUGUAUCUGCUCUUAUGUUUCGGUGAAGUUUCUAUGUGUCCUUUGUGCCGAGUUUCUAUGCGUCCUUUGUUGAACCAAAAAAUGAGGUUGUUUCUUACUAGAUUCAAAUACUUAAAAGAAAAAAAGAAAUUGUUGUUUCUUAAUGGAUUUUAUGAUGAACAAUAUCAAACUCUCCUCUUAUACGUCUGUUGGUAAAUUUUAACAACAAUAUUAAAACCUUGCAAGUGCACAAAUCAAAUGAUAGUAUAGUAAGCAAGCAAGGGUCGAUCCCACGGAGAUUGUGAUCUAAAGAGAUGUUUAUCAAUGUCACGCAAUGAAAAUCAAAACAAAGGACUUCCAAACACACGCCAACACCAAGGGGGGUUUUGAUUUGUUUUUGUGAAUCAAACAAAAUAAGGAAAAGGAAACAAAAGAGAAUUUAAAUUAGAGUUUAAGAGAAAUUGGUUUAAAAUCAAUCAAGAUCAAUAGCUAGGACUUACUAUCCACCUCCAAACAAUCAAUCAAUCCAUAAACAACAAUAGAUAAUCAAUUUCUAGUAAGCACACUACUACAAAAAAGCAAAAAGACGACGGUAAAUCACCGUCGUGUAUUCGGUUUUUCAAUGGUCGUGGAAUCCACCGUCAUCUUUUCCCUCAUAAACCACGACGCUAAAUCACCGUCGUUGUUACAAUAUACAACGUCAUCAACAAAUACAAAACGACGUCUUUGUACUGCAAAAAGAUCUAAAAAAGCAAUCGAUGAUGAGAAAAGACGACCAACUCUCUAAACAAACCGUCGUUAAAAAGAAAAAAUAUGACACAUAUUAACAGAACAUGGCCGCAAGAUAGACAUACAACGACGAAAAUUAAAAUAAGACGCCGUUAAAUAUCAUUUUCACGACAAUAAAAAAUAUGUCGUCUUUAAAUACAUUAGAAGACGACGUUAUUGAUACCUACUACGUCGCCUAUAUAAAAAUAACCGUCGUAAAAUAAAUUUUCCACUUCGAUUUUUCUAUAAAAGAUGACGUGGAAAUAGUUGUCAGUGUCAUUAUUUACGACGUAUGUAUUUAUAGAGUAGACGUUGAACAACGAAACAACGUCGGUUACAAAUAUAUGAGAGUCGUAUUACAAAAUUUAUACGUCCUAUUUUCAGAAACAAACAACGACGAUAAAUAUUAGACGUUGUUAAAUAAAACAACGUCGAAAACAAAUAAAAACAGACGUGUUUAGUCUGCUAAAGUUCUAAAAAAUAGUCGAGGAUGAGAAUAGACGACCAACUCAAACAAAUCACCGUCGUUAAAAAGGAAAAAUAUGACACAUAUUAAAAGAACAAGGCCGCAAGAUAGACAUACAACGACGACAACUAAAACACUACGCCGUCAAAUAUAAUUUUCACGACAAGAAAAAAUAUGACGUCUUUAAAUACAUGAGAAGACGACGUUAUUGAAAUAUACUACGUUUCUUAUUUACAAACAACCGUCGUGAAAUAAAUUUUCCACUUCGAUUUUUCUAAAAAAGAUGAUGUGGAAAUAGUUGUCAGUGUCAUUAUUUACGACGUAUGUAUUUAUAUAGUUGACGUUGAAAUGCGAAACAACGUCGGUGGCAUUUAUAUAGUCGACGUUGUAUUUAUAUGUAUUCAUUACUCACGACGCACUUAUUAAUAUAGACGACGUUGAACUUCUAAACAACGUCGGUUCCAAAUAAAUGAGAGCCGUAUUACAGAAAAUAUAGAUGGCGUUGAUUAUGAUGAGAGCCGUAUUACAAAUAACGUCGUUUAAUUGAUAUUAGACGGCGGUUAUAAUGAAUUACCGUCGGAAUUCAUUUCGUUCCUCUUCGUUUAUAAAAGAACUUGCGACGUGGAAAAUGUAUGAUGACGUCGUAUUUUUUAACGUUCAGAUUAUAUAUCUCGUUUUUUAGACGUCGGUAUUAUGGGAUUGGAGUCGUGUUAUUUUGAAUUACAUGGCGGUUCUUAAUCCUUCCCCGACGUGAUAUCCUGAAUAAUUGCUUCAUAAUAGCGUCGUGGUUCUUCAUUGUUACGUUGCUUUAAGACGUCGGUAAAUAUGCUGAAUAACUGGUUCACAAUAACGUCGUGUUUUAUUUGAACGUAGAAAGUGAAGAAAUCACAUUACAAUAUAUUACAAAAUUAAUGUCAUACACUGCCAAUUACAUAAGCAUCAUUCAAUCCAUAUAUCUUCACACCCAUCUCGAAUAUUUUGACCGCCUAACUCACCCACCAGUUCAUCAAAUGUGUCAACAUUUGGCAUCCCUCUAGUAAAUGGCUCACACUCAAUUAUCACAUCACCUAAGACUUCAUCACCAAUAACAUUAUUAUAUUCUCUAUUAGGCAUUGAUAACACUACCGACCAACCACGAUGCAUCGGGUCGUCAACAAAAAAUAUUUGUUUGACUUGAGAAGCCAAAACAAAUUGGUCAUUCCUAUGUCCAAUUUUACUCAAAUCUACAAGGGUAAAUCCAAGUUCGUCGACUACAAGACCAGAACUAUCUAUCCAAUCACACCUAAAGACUGGGAUUGUAAACUUUUGGUAGUCAAGGUCCCAAAUUUCUUGAAUGACACCAUAGAAACCCAUAUUUGAGAGAAUUGAGUUUUUAUCCUUGGCACUAGCAACUUGCAUGGUAUGUGCAAGUAAAUAAACUCCACUAUUUUGAGUUGUCCGCACAUCAUCUUGUGCCUUGAUAUUGAAUUUAAUACCUUUAAUAAGAUAGCUCCUAUAUAAUGGCACAGCCAUGUUUGGACCAGCUGCUAGCCACCUUAAAUUUUCUGAUACGCCAUGAUUGUCUUCCUCAAGUUCACUUUGAACCUGCAAAUUAAUCAUAUAUCUUAAUGCAAUCUAACAUAGAAAUAAGAAGAAAAUUAAAAGAGAAAUAUGUUAUUCAACAACAUAUACCUUGAAGCGUAGCCAUUGAAUGAAAGUGUUAUUGUGCUUAUCCUGCAGCCACUUUGUGAUUUAAGGUAUGACAAUCAUGUGAUUUAAGGCCAAGAAGUCUUGAAUCUUGUAAAGAUACAAGAUUUUUAAUAUUUGAAGAAUAACCUUCAGGGACCUUCAUACCAUAGAAAGAAUUGCAAACCUCUCUCUUCUCUGCUCUUGACAAAUUCCAAGGCCCAGGAGGCAAACGAGUACGUCUUUCUCCAUACUCGGGUUGCAAAUCAGUUUUGACCCCCAUGUUCAAUAAAUCUAAUCGAGCAGCAAUCCCAUCUUUAUUUUUUCCAGGGAUCUCCAGCAAUGUACCAAUGAUACUAUCGCAAACAUUCUUCUCAAUGUGCAUAACAUCUAGGGCAUGCCUCACAGGAAGGUAUUUCCAAUACUCGAGAUCAAAGAAUAUUGAUUUCUUCUUCCAACAAACUCUGUCACCAUUUUCAACCAUGUGCAGCACUUCUUCUCCGGUUAAUGGCUCGGGAGGUAUGCCAUAUUCAGGUUUCCCAUUAAAAGCUGCACGUUGCCUCCUAUAUGGAUGAUUGAUUGGUAACCAUUUUCUAUGCCCAAUGUAACAAAUUUUGUGGCCAUUUUCAACCUGUGACUAGGUGUAUCAUCGCCGCAUAUUGGACAAGCUUUAUAUCCUUUAACAACACAACCAGAUAAGUUUCCAUAGGCGGGGAAAUCAUUAAUUGUCCACAUUAAUGCAGCUCUGAGUGUAAAGUAUUCUCCAUUAUGUGCAUCAUACACUCCUCUAAUCCCAUCCCACAAAGAUUUUAAAUCAUCAAUCAAAGGCUCCAAGUAGACGUCUAUAUCAUUUUCGGGUUGUUUAGGACCGGAAAUCAAUAAGGUUAACAUCAUGAACUUUCGUUUCAUGCACAGCCAUGGAGGGAGAUUAUAUGUAACUAAGAUAACCGGCCAACAACUAUAUCUGCUACUUAGAGAACUGUGGGGAUUGAAUCCAUCAGAUGAAAGAGCCAAUCUCAAGUUUCUCGGCUCAUUACCAAACUCAGGCCAUUUAUCAUCAAGAAGUUUCCAAGACGGGGAAUCCGCCGGAUGAGACAUCUGACCGUCAAUUGAUUUUCUAGCAGCAUGCCAAGUCAAACUCUUAGCUGUCUCAUGUGAUUGAAACAUCCUUUUAAACCUUGGAAUUGGAGGAAAAUACCACACCACCUUCGCUGGCACAUCCUCUUUCAAGAUUGAAUCUUUGCCUUCCUUCCACCUUGAGAUACCACAAGUAGGACAAUUAGUUGAAUCCUCAUACUCCUUCCUAUACAAGAUGCAAUCAUUGGGGCAUGCGUGCAUUUUCUCAUAACUCAGCCCCAAUGCACACAAAGUCUUUUUUGCCUCAUACAUAGAGGUUGGUAUUGUAUUUCCUUCUGGAAGCAAAUCGCCUUGAAGUAUCAAUAAUUCUGUAAAACAGACAUCACUCAUCCCAUGUUUUGCCUUCAAAUUAUACAACUUCACUAAUGCCGAUAACUUCGUGUACUUUCUACAACCAGGGUACACUGGUUGAUCUCCAUCCCCAAUCACAUUGGCAAACUCAUACGGAUCGGAACCAAAAUCACCAAAAUCAUUAUCAUCCAUAUCAAUUUCUUCAGACACAAAACUGUACCUACUAUGGCCAUCAUCUUCUUCAACAUUUCUACUAGCAUUAGUAGUUGCUUCCCAAGGUUCUCCGUGAAAUGUCCAAUUCUUAUAGCUUUGGUCAAUUCCAUUAAAGUAUAAGUGAUCCCUUAUAAUUCCAACCCCAAACAACUUCAAAUUAACACAUUUAACACAUGGACAACGGAUAUGUGUUGUAGUUAGAAGAUUUUCUACAGCAAAGUUCAAAAAUGCUUCCACCCCAAACUCAUAUGCCUUCGAUCUUCUAUCCGAGUGCAUCCAUGACUUAUUCAUCUCCGACACUAUAACCUAUUAUCUAUAAUAAAGUGAAAAUACAGGCAAUGACCAUCACUAUAGCAGAUUAUACAAAGAUCUAAUAGCAAGUAAUACAUAACAGAGACGACGGGUUUUAAACAAAAACAGACGUAUUUGGCAUAUAUAGACGACGGAUUUUCAACAGACGUCGUCUAAUAUAAGUAAUACAAACGACGGUUUAUGAAAAAACCGUCGUGUAUAAGUAAUACAACGACGGUUUUUUCAUAAACCGUCGUGUAAUCGUCGUCGUAUGCCUAAAAAGGCGUCGUGUCUCAGUUUAUUUUCAAGAACCCAAAACCCAUUAAGAACACAACAUAUAUAUGAAACCAAGCAAGAAACCAACAUAUACAUGAAGCCAAGCAUGAAAACAAUAAAUCCAUUCCCAAUUCAACAUAACAUAGGGUGAUUAAAAGAUCCGACAAAAUUAAAACCAUUCCCAAUUCAACAUAACAGAUAAUGUAAUCCAUGAACCCAUUAAACAGAAAAUCCAUGAACCUAUACCUAUAAGCACAUUAUUAACAGAUCGCAAAGCAUAUACCUAAAACCCUUUAACAAAACAACCUAAUAUCAUUCAAUGAAUUUACAAAGGGAAGAUAGGGUUUGUACUUACAGGUUGGACGAGCUCACAGAUUCGACGAAGCCUGGAGAGUGCAACUUUUAAUUAGAGCAGAAGUGAGAGAGCGAAUGUUAUGUUGCGCGAAAUCUGAAAAUUUUAGGGUUCAGGGUUAGAAGUAUAAGAAUAAGAGCCAAAUAUAAAAAAAUUUAGGGCGCGCGAAAAUUUUUAGAGCGCGCGCUCUUUAAAACGUCGAAAGAAAAACCAUGGCGAAAGUUCUACAAGAACCGACGUAAAUGUAAUAUUCCACGACGAAAACACUUAACGUAACGCCGUUUAUUUUGACGUUCAUUUUUCGGAUUAAUUUUAAAUUUAUUUUGAAUAUUUUGAUAUAAAGACGACUGAAAAACCACGUCGAAGUUAAGAAAUUGAAAACGUUGUAAAUUAUAAUAGACGACUUACAUAUUAAAAUGACGUCGUUUAAAGUGGAAACCAUGUCGGAUAUUUUACUGCACGACGUAACAUAUGUAUUCCACGACUCAACCACCGUCGUUAACAAUUAAUACCCUAAACCCUUAAAACUAAAUUAUAUAAUUUUAAAAAUUAAGUUUAUAAAAGGGUUUAUGGUUUUACAGCCUAAUAUAUACCCUAUACUACCCAAAAAUUAUACUUUAAAAAUAAACCCCAAUAAAUAACAACCCUAAUCUCUAAACCCUAGACUCUAAACCCUAAACCAUAAAACUAGAAGUGAUUUUAUGACUCAUCAAAACAAUUUUGUUUUGGAUGGUCAUUUUAAAUUUUUUUUAUUCAAAAUGAAUUUUUUCAAGGUUUAGGGGGAAGAAAAUAUAUCAAUGACUUCAUAGGAGUUGACUUUUCAUUUUUCUGAUUUAUUUUAAAUUUAUUUUGAAUAUUUUGAUAUAAAAAUAAUAAAAUAUUCUUAUCACAAUAACAAACCACGUCGGUGUUAAUAAAUUUUAGACGUUGUAAAUUGUAAUAGACGACUAAGUUGUUAAAAUGACGUCGUUUAAAUGAGAAACCAUGGCGGAUAUUUAACUAUCCGACAUAAAAUAUAUAUUCCACGACUUAACCGCUGUCGUUACAAAGUACUACCCUGAACCCUUAAGAAAUUGAAGACGUUGUAAACCAUAAACGACUCAAUUGUUCAAAGAACGUCGUCUAAAUAUCCUUUUACGUCGGAUUUGGUUAAAACGAAACAACAAAAAACGACGGCUUUUGACUUUAUUACGUCGUUGGAAAAGUAUUACACGUCGGUUACGCAAUUUGUAUGUUUGUUUUUUUUUUUAAUUUAAGAAAACCUCAACAAAUUUUUACAUUAUAUAUUAUAGACAAAAUUUGUACAUUAUACAUAAAUAUCAAGUGUUCAAUAAUUCCCCUAUUCCAGGUGAAGGCAAACAAACUCUGACCAUUCAUUCCGGACUUCAUCAAUUGCUUCUUGGGGGUAUGGCGCUUCCUGUUUUCCCUUGGCAUACUGCAUAAACAAUGACUAUUAGGGUUUAUAAAUAAAAAGAAAUUCAAUCACAGACGACGAUAUUUUUCAUAACCGACGUACUAUAUCUAUUCAACGACGGUAAUUUUACAUGACCGUCGUUGAUAAUACAAAAAACGACGUAAAAUGUAUGAAGGUAAUUUCUUCUUACCUUCUUCUCAAACCCCAAGGAAGGAUCCAUGAUGAUGUCCCUCAUGAAGCGCAUCACAUAAUACCCGCAUUCGACAUUGCUGGGUUGCUUUGGUGUCCCUGACAGAGUUUUCCAAAUGGCUGCCUUACGGCCUGGUCUGGCUAUGUGAGAAUUAUAAAUUUUUAUAGCACUGUUCACAAUGUUUUUGGCCUCUUCAUCGACCACACGAUUUCCUGGCAGAGGAUCCAGAAAAUAGACGGUUUCUCUCUUUGCUCUUACAAUCAGCAAGAUCCAAUGACGGCUGCACAAAAUUAAUAUAAAAACGACGGUUAUUUACAAUAACGACGUAUUAUAAUGUUUCACACGACGAAAUAAAGUAGCAAUCGACGACAUUUUACAUUUAUCACGACGAUAAAUAACUACCGACGUGGUUAGUAGUUUCAAACGACUCAAUAAAAUAAAACACCGACGUGGUUAGUUUAUACGCUGUAAUUUAUUGAAAAUCAUAAAAACAAAAUCCUGUUAAGGAGACUAACCCUGGAUUGUAAGGCAUCAGGAAAAUCUGUUCACCGUCAGUCUUUUGAAGUCGAGCUGCUAGUAAGCGUGAUCUGUCAGCUAUUGUGCCAGAGUUGGCACUAACUGUAGCAAGGUCGAUAAAGCCAACCAUAUUGCACAUAUUUGCUCGUUUCAAAACAUCGUGCAAGUGCCUAAAUAUAUAAAAUAAUAUAAACAAGUCAGCACAAAAAAACACACGACGGUUAUGUAUAACAAAACGACGUAUUAUAAAAUUUCACACGACGUACUGAAAUAGACAACGACGUUAUAAUAUAUUUAUCACGACGGUAAAUACUAACGACGUGGUUAGUUAGUUAAGACGACGUAAUAAAUAAACCAACGACGUAUUAUUUUAGAAUGACAAACCUCAUAUAUACAAAAAAACACGACGGUUAUGUAUAACAAAACGACGUAUUAUAAAAUUUCACACGACAUACUGAAAUAGACAACGACGUUAUGAUAUACUAACGACGUGGUUAGUUGGUUAAGACGACGCAAUAAAUACACCAACGACGUAUUAUUUUAGAAUGACAAACCUCAUAUAUACAGCAAUGACAGUGGCUCCUAUUUCUUCCAUGCCUGCAAAUUGUGUAAUAUCUUCAGGCAGGAGGAAGGUAUCGCGCUCUAGACCAAACACCUCCUUAUCAAUUGUAAAGUGCAGGGUCUUAUCCUGAGGCACGAGUGUCGUUUCCACAUAACGACAAAGGGAGUUUAAAGAAGAUGGCGCCUCCAUAUUUGAAUAAUCAACAACUUUAAUAACCUGUUUAAAGAAAUAUAAAAAAUGACGUGGUAAUUCAAUAAAAACGACGGUUUAAGGAAUAAAACGUCGUCUGAAAAGAAUUUAAACGUCGUCUGAAGAAACCGUCGUGGUGAAUAAUUUAUUACGUCUUAAAAAAAAUUCCGCCGUCUAAGUUGUAAACAAACGACGGUUUAAAGAAAAAUAUCGACGUCUGGAAUUUUGAAAAACAAAUAAAAAAGGCAAAGUUAUGUGAACAUACCUGGUCGUCAUCUUCUUUCUCCUUUUCAUCAUGUUUUUCUUCUGUCUUCCCUUCAUCUAUUACGUCGAGAAUGACUAACUCCGUCGUCUAAAAACCACAAAGUUUUAAAAUAACGACGUUUAAUGGCGUGUAAAACAAGUAAACUAAAUACGACGUGGUAUUGAAAUACAAACGACGGUUUAUGUUUAAAAUCGUGGUGGUAUGUAUUUCAAACGACGGUUUUAUUAAUAAUAACGACAUCUAAUGGUUUUUAAAAAAACAGAGAAUUCAAAGUUCAGAUAUGUUACCUUUUCUUCCUGAUGUUUCCCAUUUUUGGCAGUAUCAUCCUCAAAAUGCUGGGAUCUCACAUCACCUCCAGAGCAGCUUGCUUUGUCAGACAUUGGAUUUUUGGGACUUUGGCUAAUUCUGGGUUUAAGCAUGCUUGGAUCAAAAUUGGGAAUUAAUUGGGAAAGCUGACUCAGGAAAUGCUCCCUCUCAGCCUCUACCAAUUGUUUCGUUCUAGCCUCCAUCCUUAAAGCCUCUUCCCUUGCCUUAGCUUCCAUCUUUUUAGUCUCUUCUUGAAGGAGAACUCUUAAACUGUCCUUCAAACGGUCGUCAAAGCUCACUCUCUGUGGUUUGGGUAAAUUGAAAUAUUGCCUUGGUGAGAUCCCAGCACCUACUCCUCUCACUCUGCCUGGAUGCUCGGGGCCCAAAGCCAUGGUCAGCACAUCAUUGCUGCCAGAAACAGUGACUUUGCCUUCCGAGACUUGUUUUUGCAAUUCAUCCUAAAACAAAGAUAUAUAAAAAAGUAAGAACAAAAACACACGACGGUUAUUUAUAUACAAACGACGUAUUAUAUAAUUUCACACGACGCAAUAACAUAUAAAUCGACGUUAUUAUAAUUUAUCACGACGGUAGUUUUUAAACCGACGUGGUUAGUUUUUAAAACGACGAAAUGAAUAAACCACCGACGUCUUAUGCUUUAUUUACAGAUAACAGAGGGAUGAUUCAAUAUUCACACCUUUAACGACCUUGUUUAAAAUAUUUCGACGUAGUAAUUCAAUACAAACGACGCGAAAAUGAACCACCGACAUCUUAUGCUAUAAUUACAGAAAACAGAGUAGUGAUUCCUGAUUUAGACCUUUAACGAUGUGGUAAUAUCAUUCACACGACGCAAAAUAUAACAUAAGACGUAAUAAGAAUUAUUCACAGUUUAAUAAAAAUUUAAAACAGAGUGAGUAGGCUUACAAUUAAUUUUGCUUUCUCUGCCACCUUUGGAUCCGGGAUGUUACCAUGUUUGUCCUGUCUAGCUCUCUUCCAUAAGGUAGAUCGAUCAAUUUCUACCCCAGGCAUGGUUUCCUCCAAUUGAUCCUCCAAACCAGCAUAUCCUUUUCGAGACAAUCGAUGAUUGUACUCAAGUUUCUCCCUAAUCUGUGCAUGUUGAGAAUGCACAGACUCAAAAUCUUUGGAUAACCUUGAAGCUACAAAGGCAUCCCAUUGUGCUUUCUCUAUGAAUUUAUAUAUUUCAGGGGGUUGGCUUAAUCUCUCCCUGUCAUUAGUGUAUGGAAGGAUAUAUUGCCUCGUUAGUGUAGACUUGAAAUCCUUCCAUUUCUUGGCAGCAGAAGCUAACACAGAGCUCUUGCCCCCUUGACCUACCACAAAAGCAAUGUCAACUGCUUCCCAAAUCUGCUCCUUUAUAUCCUUGGAGAUUUGAGCCUAUUUCAUGUCCACAAGUGGAACUCUGGAGCGUGCCAACACACCAAUGUAGGACUGCAUCUCACUAUGUGCUUGGCCAAUUCCUUUCCCCCUUUUAUUGUACUCAACAAUUGGCCUCAGUUUCUGAAGUUUUCUCUUCACAACAUGAGGCAUUGUGCUCAUACCUCGACCAGACUUUGAAUCAUCAGAGAUUGUUGUCGUGCUGGUUCGUUCUGUCUCAGCAGAUGAUGAAGCAAACUUCAUCUUCUUCGAAGGCUUCACUUGAGGAGGUACCAUUCCAAGGUCCUUACCUCCAUUUUUCUUGGAGCCAGAAUCCUUACUUUGGUCUUAGUGAGAAACCAUUUUUACAGACAAAACUGCAAGUGAAAAUAUUUCAGGAAAAGAUUAAGAACACAAACGACAGUUAUUAAUAAAAUACGACGUAUGAUAUGAUUUUAAACGACGCAAUGAAAUAAUCUCAGACGUAAUAAAUGUUUAAAACCAAGGUAAUUAAACAACGACGAAAUAAUUAACUAUAAACGACGUGAUAAUUAACUAUAAACGACGAAAUAUUUAUAUAACGUCGUGGUAUUGAUGUUCACACGACGUCAGUCGUAAUAUACCGUCGUCUAUAUAAGGAUCCAAAACCCUUCUUUCUUUCUCUGUGAAUGUUUGAUUGCAGAUUUGAUUUUUCUGAACCAUGGUUUUUGUUUUCUAAUUUGAUAAAAUACAAGGCCAAGAAAGAAAGUUUUGGAAUCUUAUAUAGACGACGGUAUUUUAAUAUGACGUCGUGGUAUUAACAUUCACACGACGUAAAACAAUAAGAUACUGUCGUCUAUAUUAGAUACCAACCCUACUUUCUUUUUCUUUAUAUUUUAUCAAAUUAGGGAAAAACAAAAACCAUUGUUCAGAGAAAUCAAACCUGCAAUUAAACAAGCAAAUAAAAAAAAGACUAUAAUUUUAAAAACAACUUUGUCAAUUUUCAGACGACGCUAGAACGACUGACGAACCGUCGUGGUCUACAUAUUUAACCACGUACAUAAGAAGCUACCGUCGUCUUAUUUAGUUGAGGUAGUUGUCUUCAAAGUUGGAAACUUUCCCUCUUUGUCUGUAUAUUUUAUUGAACUUGGAAAGAAGUAAAAUGAUUUUGGCCAGAAAAAAGGUAAAAAGAUUUUUCAAACAAAAAACGUAUGAGCAUGCAAAACAACAACCAAAAUAGUGAAAAUGAAAGCUUACCUUUUGCGUGCAAUGAAAGCAAGAGGAAGAUUAUGUUUAAGUUCAGAGACGACGAAGAAGAAGAGAGGAAGACGAUGAGAUACUCUGACAGUGCUCUGACAAGGAAAAAAGUCUAAAAGUUUUCUCUGGGAGAUUGAACUUUUUAAUCGGGUUUGAAAACGGCGCAUGUGUAUGUCAGGUAGACGAAAAGUUGCUUACAUAUAAAACCAUUUCAAAAAAAUAAUACGGCGGUUACAUAUAACUACGACGUAUAAAUUACAAAAUACGACGGUACAUUUAACUUCGGACGUGGUAAAUAAAUACGACAGUAGUGUUGUAGGUACCGUCGUAGUAAACUCAAAAAUUAAAGUACAUAAGUAAUAACUCGCGUCAUGGUAGAUUAUUUAACACGUCGUUUUUAUUAAUUUACCGACGUGGAUUUCUGUAAUAUACGUCGAUAAUACCGACGUUGAUUUUACAAUUUAAACGGCGGUUUUUUUGUAAGGACCGCCGUUGGUUUUAAAAAUUUAUUCUAUAAAUUUGUCGCUUUCAUUCAUUUUCGGUUUACAUUUAAGGUUCCAAGUUCUUCCUCUCUCAGUCUCUCACGUCUCAAAGACAAUAAUUUGGAUGUCUUUCUCAAAGAGAAAUUGAGCUUACUCGCAUCAAAUAUAUGUCCACAAGAAGAAGCUUGUCAACUAGCCUUCUCACUUCCUUGAUCAAGCCUGAUAGGACACUUAGUGCUUCUGAAUACUCCUUGCUUUCCAUCAAAAGAGAUGCAAGCCUGGCCUCCACUCGCUGUCGAAGGAAAGUUCGCUUCUCAGGGAAAUCUUCUUGAUUUUCUUGGCUAAGAAGAUCCGUCAGAUUUGUGAUAGCCUCUUCCUUUAUCCGUAGAGCUUCAGAAGAAGAAGAUGGGUUUCAAGAAUGCGAUAAAGAAUAGAAAUGGCUUCAGAUGGCCUCUAAAGCAUGAGCAAUCGAAUCAGUAGUUGUUGGGAGAUAUGAUGAAGACAUUGUCAAUGCUUUGAACUAUACAAGUCCUGCAGAAAGAUAAAGGACCAAACUGUUAAAGAAACUGAAACAAUGGCGGUUUUCUGUUCUACCGUCGUCUUUUCUCGUCGUCUAUAUUAAGGUAAGAUGGCGGUAGAUUUAUAAUUACCGACGUAGAUUAUUUUGUUAAACGUCGUUAAGUGUACUACAACCGACGUGGAUUUUAUUUUUAAAUUAUAAAUAGAGUUUUUUUUCCCCUAUUCUUUCAGUUUUAGUUUUCAAUUACAAAGCGUGAUAAAUAGAUUUUUCUUUCCCGAGGAAAUUUAAAAUGAGGGAAAUUAAUGUUCUAGAAUUUGUAAACUAACACGACGCAAUAUUUGCAAAUCUGUGUCAUCUGUUAAGAUUAUGAUGUGGAACAGAGUUCCAUCUGGUAAGAUUUCGUAACCCUUGGGAUCUCAGACAAAUCUGAUUAUGUCGGCGGUUUUCUAUAUAAAUCGUCGUGGUUAUUUCAAUUCUUGUCAUUAAGUAGAUCUACCGACGUAGGAUAAGAAAAUCAAAGAAAAAAAUUGUUAACAAAAAUUCUUAUUAAGACGACGGUUAAAAUUAAAGGUACGACGUAUAAAAUGAAUAAAUACGACGUUAAAUUUUAUUGUACGAUUUAAAGAUAACGUCGUAGAACUAUAAGAGAAUGACGUCGAUAUAUUUAUAUUUUCCGUCGUUGUACAUUAAUUUAAUACGGCGAUAUUUUGUAUUUUAAAGCCGUGGAUUUGUUUGUAAUUAUACGGCGUCUUAUACGAAAACCUCGUCGUGUUAUUUUAUGAGUAAAAACGGCAGUUUUUAUUGAAAUCGUCGUCUUUACUUUCUACGUCGGUCGAUUCAUAACUUCUGCCGUUCUUUGUUGGCAUUGAUUUUACACUGCGAAAAUCUGUUUCAAAUAGACGUCGGUUGUUUAAUUAUGUACGUUGUUGUUUUUGAACAGCCAUUUGAAUCUCCAUUUUUUAGUUGUCUAAGGUUGUAUUACACGACGGUGUUUUUAGAACCGUCGUCUUUUUAAAAACCACGACGGUUUUCACUUAGACCGUCGUUGUUUUCUGGUCGUCUUUUUCACUUUUUGUAGUAGUGGCAUAUGAUGACGACACUCACAACAAGAUCAUGGCAUUUGACUCGAGUUGUAUGAUUCUCUCUUAAGUGUAUGUAAAGUGUAUGACAUUUACAUCAAUACGUGUAUUCUUAAUUGAAAUCUACUAUGGCAUUUACUCAAAUUAACAAUCAAGAAUCCAUUAAGAUCAAAGAGAAUAUGAGUGUCACAAAAACCCUAAAACAUGGCAUUUGUUAUUAGGAAUUCAAGAAUCGAUUUCUCAUAACUAGUUCUUAACCCAAUUAUUCGUUGCAAAUAAGAACACAUUCAAUAUGGCAAUUGACCUAUGUUCUACAACAAUUUAAUUCCAAUACAUGCUUCUAAGUUAGCUACUCAAAGAAACAAAAUAUCAGAAUUCACAUAACAUAUAGAAACCGAAAACAUCACGCUUGUAGAAACUAAAAAUCCAUUAACCUUGUUUAUAAAAUUGAAAUCAUGUUUAGGGCUUCAAGAUUAAGCCCUAACUAACAAGAAAUUAGUUACUCAUGGUCUUGGAUGAACUCAAAAAUAAAUACAUAAGAACUGAAAAUUAAAGAAGGAAGGAAAAGAAAGAACUCGUUCGCAGCUUUCUCCUCUUGCGCUGUUGAUCUCUUUAGGACGUGAAUCCUUUUUAUCAGCCUUGCCUCGUCUUUUAUAUCACUUAUAUCAGAGUUCUAAACCCUAAAAUUGACUGAAAAGUCGUCCAAGAAGUCUUGGUAAACAAGGAAUCCAAAUAGGAAAGUAAAAAUCACAAUUCCUAACUCCACUGGGAAAUACAGCUCAGCCCAAUGUUCACACGAUUUUGGGAUCUUCGACCUUGUAGAAAAAUCAUUAAAAAUAUAUUUUAGAAAGAUAAAUGUCUUAUCUUUCCAACCAUAUAUAGCACGUAACUUGAAAAAUUCGGAAAGGCUUCCGUUUCUUCACAUUCACGUAGCAUGUACGAAACUGUCCUGUCUGCACGUGGGCUAACUUUACUUGUAAUACUGUACCAAUUGGCUCGGUAGAAAAUUCUAGAAAAAUCAUAGAUUGAACUUCAAGAUGUUAGCUUUCAUCUCCAAUCAGGGGCGGCCUUGGGGAGGUGCAAGUGGCGCCACCGCACAGGGCCCCCGAAAAAAAAAAUAUUUAUAUUAUAUAUAUAUAUUAAUAUUAUAUGAAUCGUAUAUAUAAUAUAGCGUCUGGAUAUUUGCACAACAGCGUGUUCAGGGGAGUUGGAUGGAGCACAUCUCUCUUUGGCAAAAGGGCCCGAGUUCGAUGCUCCUUGAUGUCGUUCUACUGGCUAGCCUUUUGUGAUAUUAUUUUUGCAUUCAAACUUUACAUAAUUAUUGAACCAUUGGAUUAAUAUGCAACGAUGGGUGACCACAAUCUCUUGGACUCCUGUGGUCCAUGAGAUCGGGACUGAUAUUACAUGACUUAUUUUAUUAAAUUAUUAUCAUGUUGAUGAUUGGUUGUAUGAGAAUAUAGUUUGUAGAAAUAUUUAUCUAUUUCUUGUUGGGGUUUUCUUCCAGGUUAUAGGGUUUUGGAAUUUUUCUUUGUAAUCUAAACAUGCCACCUACUAGAAAAUACGUUUAUGGAUAUACAAAACGGCUUAGAAAAAGAAAAUUCGAGGAAUUGACUCAAUCUCAAAGAGGAGCUCUUGAUAGAUUCAUUGUUAGAGAAUCACAUGCUACAAUUGAUGAAAAUAUUUAAAUUUUUAUGAAUUUAAUUUCUGAUUUUCAUUGCAUAUUUAUUGAUGGUGAAUUUUAGUUAUAAAAAAAAAUUGUUUAUGACAUUAAGUUAUGGCAAAUUUUUAUAGUAUUUUCGUAUUAGAUUAUGCAAGGCCCCAAUUUAAGUUUCGCACAGGGCCCUCAAAAUCUCAGGGACGGCCCUGUCUCCAAUUGGUCUUGUGCUAAAAUUCCUCCGAAAAGUUGAUUUUCCCUUAAAAACCUUCUAAGAGUGCAGAAAAGCUGAAAAUCAGAAAAAUAAAGUAAUAAGCCAUUUUUAAAUCUAAUUCUCUUACAAAACCAAAGUAAAAAGAGUACAUAAAUGAGUAUAUUUAUGGACUUAUCAACGUCUUCUUCGUUGGACUUGGGGUUGUUUUCCUUAUAUGUCCCCUAUAUAUAUAUAUGGCCUUUAGUUGAGCCCACAAAUACCUUCAGUUAGUUUUUGGGUUUAGGGGCCUACAGAACCUGCACUAAACAAUAAAAGAAAAUACCUAAUUAGUUUAGUACGAAUUUAUAAUGAAGGCUUUAUUAGGUGAAGUUUUAUUUCUUAAUCGUUAGAUCAAAUUGGUUAGCAUCUGAAGUCGCCCAAAGAUUUGAGAGGGAUUCCACAAACAUAUAAUAUAAAGAAAGAAAGCAAUAGUAGGAGAUGAACCAGUACAAAAAACAAUAUAUAAAUAGUACAUAAUAAUUCCAUAACCUUGUCACAAACGCACUCACAAAUGCUUUCCAUAAACCUUGCCCUAACAUAUAACAAAUAAAGGCAACAUUGCAUAUGAUGCAACCAUGUCCAAAUCUGAUACGUGAUAAAAAAAAAAGGACAUGGCAGCAACAUAUGACUGAAGUAGAUGGGCUCUUUGCAUCUCGUGUUAUCGUAAUUAAAGACAUCAAAAUAUUAAGGUUGAAAUCUUCUAUAGUAGCAAGCAUUAAAAUAGGUUUGAAGCAGAGUUUAAAGAAAAUUCCAAUUCCACUGAUUUGCCUCUGCUCAAAGACGAGAACCAAAAUGGUUACUUCCCUUGCUGAGUAUAUUUGUUAACGUCGGAAACGGUAAUAGAUGACCAAUCAAACCCAAGUACGACGAGUUUUGCAUAGGAUCAGAAGUAGUUGAAUCCAGCUUGCAUCACACGCUUCUUUGACUCCAUUGCAUUAGAUGAGUUUUUGUAUUUUUGAACAGCUACACUCCGAAGUCGUUUGUGUCUACGCUUCAUGCGCUGCAACUUCGCCCUAUCCAGAUUGGCCUGCCUUUUGUCAUCUUCAAUUUGGCCUUCAACAAAUUCCAAACGUGCCCUUGCCCUUUGGAUUUCAUCACCAAGUUGAAGAUGCCUCUCCUUCCAAAAAGCAAGAACUCUUUCAGACUCAAAACUUCCAACAAAAUGGUCAUUCUAUCUAGGAAUGUGACAUUGCUUGUCUGGUGACUCACCUGCGUUUCAAAGGCGGUCUUUGUUUGGAGGGGUGUUUAUUAUGCUCACAUCAAACUUGGUUAGUAAAUCCAUUCUAUGGGGGGAGUGAGUUUCUGUGGAGGAGAGAGUUUCAGUAGAUGGAGACAGAUUCGGUGGAGGAGUGAGAUUUUUGUGGAGGGAGAAUUUCUAUGAAAUGGGUGAUAGUAAUACCAAUAAAAGGGUUCCCGCCAAAAAGUAUUUGGUUGACAAUGUAUAAAUUAAUUUUUGGUCUGAUACAAUCUAAGUUUAAUCCUAACUAGUUUGGUUAGUUUGGUUGAAUUCACUAACUAGAUGUCACUUCCAUUGAGUUUCUUUCAACCACUAUCAGUGGUGUAAGGAGAGUGUGAGGUUGACAUGCUUGAAAAGCAAAACCUAACACCUCUUUUUUUUAAAAUUGAAAGAAAGUACAUAUGUUGACUACACACAAGCUUUGGUAUGUUGGUCUAUAAAGCUAUGUUCCCUUUCUCAAACGAAAUUGCAUAUGCAAUCCUCGUCCUCCCAAAACAAAUAGAAUUAUUCAAGCAUGUCAACCUCUUCAGGCGCCAACAACACAAUCAAAGAUGACAAAUUGGAGUCGCAGGUUCUAUUUCCACAUUGUACUCGCCGACCCCUUCCAUUUUCAACAUCAUUUGGGAGUGAGGGGGACUCCGAUGAUCCAUUAGAGCUAAUACAUGCAGUCAAUAGCAAGCUGGAUUAUAAUUCCAGACUGAUCAAUUCAUGGCGCGAGAAAUAUGUUGAAGACGAAGCCAUUUUGGCUGAUCUUAACAUUAGAGUGAACAAAGCGUUCUCCCAAAAGAACAAGUACUUGAAGCUGAGUCAUAAAAGGAAGCUGAAAGCUGAGGAGUUAGAUACAGUAAUGAAUGAUGAAAUUAAAGGUUGUUUGAUGAAUCAUAUGCGAUGCGAAGAGCACCACAGUGAACUGGAGUUGGCAUUCAACGAAGGAUUCGAAAAAUUACGAGCAUUUGCAGCAACUACUCAUACAAGUUAUAAUUGGGACUAUGUGUCCCCUGAUGUUGUGAGAGAGAUACUAGACGAUGGUGGUGACAUGAAUGAGCAUAAGCACGUCAAAGCUGCUUGGAAGAAGCCGACCGAUACGACUAAGUGAUUGCGGCUACAGUUGUUCAGUUGGUUGAGAGUGAUCGUGGUAUUGCACAAAUUAGAAGUAUAUUCCCAUAAUGUCAUUAUCUAAUUUAAAAUAACACAAAUAUCAGUUUCAUUUGCUUCAUAUUGUAACACCCCGACCCCAAAUUUCCCCAAAAUUUACCCUCAUUUAAUUAAUUAAUUAUUUAAGGGUAUUUUAGUCAUAUUUUUAACCGGAGAGAGUUUGGGACCAUGACUUGUAUUUUUGGAUAGGUCGUACUGAGACGAGUUCAUAGACACGUAGUGGGCUCGAAUCAGAGUUGUAACGAGAGAGAUAUGGUCAAAAGAAACCCAGUGGCACAAUCGUAAAUAUUUCAAAAUGGGAUUUUUAUAAAAAUCUGGUUUUUCUCUCUCUCUCUCUCUCUCUCUCUCUCUCUCCCGCGACUUCUCUCUCUCUCCCGUCGGCUCUCUCUCUUUCUCUCCUUGUAUCUCCGGCCACCGACCACGGCUGUGGGCGGGGCCGGUACCAAACUGACCGGGACGACGUCCCCUUCCUUCCCCGACCAUUCCCCGCCGGCAACGCGGCCGUUGCUGGCCGGAAAAUGCAGAAAACCGCCGGGAGGUCGUCGAAACUUCAACGCCGUCGAUCUCCCUCCUCCGGCCACCAUUUUCGUCGACCCAGGUAUGGAUCUUGAACCUCUCGAGCUGUUCUAGCUGUUUGUUGGUUGGGUUUUGAUCGAUUCGAUCUCUAGAUCACUCGAUUUUCGAAUUGAAAAUUGGCCGAAACUUCGGCCGCCGUGAUCGGCCAUUUUCGGCCACUUUUUGUGGUAGGUCCAAGAACAAAAGUGGCUCCAAAUAGGGUGUUAUACCUAGGGUAGAAGUUUGGAGCCGAGAUGUUGAGAUUUUCCGGCGAAGCGUUAUCGCUUUGGGCACCCACGCGUGCGGCGGCGCGUGGGCACUGUAGAAAAAGUAGAUGUGUUCCGAUGAGAUCCUUAGGUUGUCACGAGUGCGUAGGAUUUGGCGGAUCUCAAUUCGGACGUCGUUUGACUAUCGAACGGAUAAUCGCAUAUUAUGCGUUAUCCGGGUUCGAUAGGUUGAGACCGUCGGAUGGUCCCAAAUUUAAUAUAUGUUGAUCUAGGUAUUUCUAGGAUCGUGUAGGAUUUCACGGAUCGUGAAUCGGAGCCCCGGAUGUUCCGAAUAAUAAUUUAAAGUUUAUAUUUUAUAUUAACCAUCAGAUUAUGCGAUCGUGAGAAAUCCGACCGUCUGAUCUGAACCAAACUGGCAGGAAAAGUGUCCUGUACCUGGUAGAACCCAUAGGGACCUUCGGAUCGGAAAUUGGAGGUCGUGGGUUCCGCAAGUCUGUUUGACCAGGGUUAGAGUAGUUUGACCCUUGGUUGACCGUGAGUCUCCCGGAGUAAUCUCACCCUUCCAGGGGGAAUUAUCGGGAGCUAGACUAUUGUGGAGGGUUACACAAUAUUAGAAUUAUUUAUAUAAUUAUAUAUGGUUGUACAAGGGUACAACAAAGUCUAGAAUGUCAGUUUGGAGUGCUAUACGCACUACUUUAGGUACCUCCUCGGAUUUUGGAUUCGCUACAAGCACCACCAAGUGAAAGUUAGGUCCCGCGUGGCGUAGGUUAUCCGGCGUUGGGACAGACCCCAUACGUGGCGUUGGUUGUACCGGCGUAUGGGGAGAUUUGCAAUAUGAUGUUCAGGUCUCACGUGGCGUAGGUUAUCCGGCGUUGAGACAGGCCCCGUACGUGGCGUUGGUUGUACCAGCGUACGGGGAGAUUAUGUGAUAUGAUGUUGAGGUCCCGCGUGGCGUAGGUUAUCCGGCGUUGGGACAGGCCCCAUACGUGGCGUUGGUUGUACCGGCGUAUGGGGAGUUAUAUGAUAUGAUAGUAUGGCAUGGUCGCACAUGGCGUAGGUUAUCCGGCGUGUUGACAGGCCCCAUACGUGGCGUUGGUUGUAUCGGCGUAUGGGGAGAAUAUGUGAAAUGCAGAGAAAGGAAAUAAGGUAUCACCGAUGUGUGGAAUUGGGUUUUAGGGAAGAACUACGUGUGGCUUGAUCCCUCAAGGAGGGUACGUAGGCAGCCUAAGGUUAUUGGGUGCAGCCGCAGACUAAAUAUUAGUCAUAUUUGGUAUUUGAAUUGUAUGGUAGUUGUUUGAGAAUUAUUGGAAGGCCAAAGGCCAUUUAUGAGAAUUUGCAUGAAAUUAUAUUGUGCAUGCUGCUAGUUGUGGAUAUUAAAUGUGUUUUUAUGCAGGUUGAAAUUUUGGGAAAUGUCCAAUUUAUAGGGGAGACUCUGCUGAAAUUUCGGCAGGAAGUCUCGGUUUUUAGUAAGUGGGCCUGGCAUCGGGGUGAUGUCAGGAAUUCCAAAGGGUUCGUCUCGGGUUUUGAGAAAAUUCGGGGCGGGUCCUUAAACAUAUAUAAUUAUUGGGACUAUGUAUUGCAAGUCAUCAUGUGUUCCUUCUGUCUAACAUUAUAUUUUGCAAAUAUCAAAAUAUUAUUCAAUAAGCAGUCAAUAUCACAGCAAGUUGGGAAUUAGUAAAGCCCCAUUAUCAUGUCCGUUCACAUUAAAGAGCUGGCGUACUUUUUCUCAAAAAACUGACACGUGAGUCAUAAGUAACAUAACAUGUGCUAUACAUUGUUUAGUGAAUGGUUUAUGGUUUAUUUAUAUAUAAUAAAAUUCCAAAUAUUGCUGAAUAUUUGUUUUUUCUAUAUCCCUGGGAACAUGAGUGACCAUAAGCAUGUAAGACCUGUUAAGAAGAAGCUGACUAAUACGACCGAGUGAUUGUGGCUACCGUUGUUUAGUUGGUUGGGGAGAUCGUGGUAUUGCUAAGAGGGAGCACAUAAUGUGCUUUGCAAUCAAAUUUUCUUUUGUGUGUGGAAUUAUGAGUAGUUCAAAUGUUAGUGUACCCUUUAAUAUUCUUCAACCGUUUGAAAUGUGAUUAGCUGCAAUGUACUUUUUUACACGCUGCUUUCUAAUCACUCUGUUCCAACAAAGUGCUUUAAGUAUCCUUCAGUUACAAAUGUUUACAAAAUCGUGCAUCUAAUAACCAGUCGAGCUCAGAUCUUAAUAACAAGUAAAACACUAGAACAUAACAUUCGGAAAAAGUGGGUGCUGCUGGAAAUCAUUACUGGUAAUGGAAGCAAGAGCUGGCUGCUGGAAAUGCUGCAUUAGCCUGUGAUAUAAUCAAUGAAUCUCUGUUAAAACAUAAUUCACCAUAAACUACCCAUUUUACAUGGUAAAAGUCAUUGCUUCUUCACAUAACUCAAAAUUUGAUACUUUAUCAAAUGUCUAUGAAAAUUUCUAAAUAGGGGAAAGACGUAAAAUUAACAUGUGUCCAAAUUUCAUGCAAGAAUGAAACCAAGCAAAUUUUUAUUUCAAUUAUCAGUGGACAUAGUAAGAACUCAUCGGUGGACAUGAACAAAAAAAUAAUAAUAUUAAAAACUGAAUCUAGAAAACUUCACCUGAUCAUUAGUCUUCAUAACAACCGAAUUUCGUCUAAUAGAAACAUAAAUCAUUCAGUUGGUCCGUGCAUCGUGUCAAAUUCAUAGAAUAAUGGGUCACUACGAUCUAUUGGAGUUGAUUCGUCAUUGUUCGACGGUGAUGUCCUGCAUAGACAUCAAACACAAGCACAGAAAAAAUUUACCUAUUCAAAUUUUAGGUGUUAUUAUAAAUAGUGUUAGCAUCUUACGGUGUGUUCAAAUUUCUUGCGCAUUGUCUUCUAUCAUGACCAAUGUGUCCACACUCCAGACAGUGUCUAAUCCCUCGCUUCAUUGCCUUUUCUUUUGCUCCCGUUACUCGUUUCGACCUUCUUUUGCACCUCACUCUCUUAGGGUCUUUCAUAUAUUGUGUUUGAGAGCUGGACCCUCCAACUUCGUUAUUACUUGGUCCAUCCUUCAACAACUUCAACUUCACCUGCAAACUUUUUAGAGUCUCUGACAGUAGCUCACAUCCUUCUUCACUCAUUAAUGCACCCUCAACCACAUCUUAAGCAAGUCGAGACAUUGUACUCCGCCUUAUUAAAAGACCAGGAUCUGCAGAGUCUUUAAUUUCGUUGCCAUUUGCAUCUGACACCAAUUCAGAUUUUGCAGUUUUCUUCCACCUCUUUAAAAUAUAUUUAUCGGGCAUAUAUUCAAUCUGGUCCCUUCUGAACAAUGCUAGGAUGUGCUUGCAAAUAAUUCCAACAAAUUCAAAUCUUUUGCACCCACACGAUGCGUGGUCAGAAUCUUUAACAUAUACGACGUCUGCCACUCUUGUUUCCCAAUUUUUCCUUUUGCUCACGCGAAAGACAACUUUAGAAGCACCCUCUGUUUUGAGCUCUAGGAAACAUGUUGUACUUUGUAUUAGUUCUUGGUCAAACUUUUGAAACAUUGUCCUUGUGUACAAGGUAGCCAUUUGUUUGUUCAUUGGCAUCGGUAGAAUACAUUGAGCCACUUCAAAUGCAUCUACGUGAUCAGCAACUAACUCUUUUUGACGUUGAUGAGAAAGUGCCCUCUCAAAUCGUAUUAUGAAAUCCAUCAACGAAUUUCUCCUUGAUAUGUAUUGCUUGAAAAAACCAUGAGAACCUUCCACUCUUUGGCUGCUUGACAUUCCAGCGGCAAAAAAUUGUUGUGCGUAGGCUGGAACCCAAGAUUCUCUUAAAUCAAACAUUGAACUUAGCCAUGGAUGGUCAGUCAAACCAGCCUUUGUAACCACAAUAUUCCAUUUUGUAACAAACUUAUCCUUAUUGUCAGUAUCCCAUACGGCUUUCUGAAAUUCACGCCAAUACUCCUUAUAAGCAGAAUGUGGUAACUUAACAGAGAACUUUGAUGUGAUGUGCAAUAUGCAAAGUCGAUGAAAUGUAGUCGGGAAGGGUAUUGAAAUCGCUCUGGUCAUUGCCGCAUCUUGAUCUGUAAUGAUCGUUUUAGGUCCGCCACUUGGCAUGGCUUUCUUAAACUCCUCAAACAUCCAAAUAAACGACUCAGUCGUUUCCUUGCUCAAAAAUGCGCAUGCUUAGACAAUUGUCUGACCAUGGUUAUUAACUCCCAACAUUGGUGCAAAUGUCAAGUCGUAUCGAUUCGUGUUGAAUGUGGUAUCGAAUACAACAACAUCUCCAUAAAACCCGUACGCCCAUCUAGAAGUUGCAUCUGCCCAAAAACAUUGACUAAACCUGUCAUGGCCAUCUCUCUCAAUCUUGAAAUAAAAAGCCUCAUUUUUUUUUUCUGUUCAGCCAUAAAAUACUCGGUCACUAGUUCAACAUCGUGGUUCCUCAACUUCCCAUUCACACUACAUUCAAAAUUGUAGAUAUCUUUUUUGAUAAAACCGAUUUUAUCCAUUCCUCCGGAUUGCACCUCGAAAAUACUUACCUUCUGAUGAAUGAGAAUAUUAACCGAACCCAACUGUUUUGUGAGUACUUUUGUAGAAUCUGAACUAUGACGGUGUGAUCUCAAUAAAUGCAUUCUUUCUGAGGGUGUCAUCUUAUGAUUGUGUCCCUCUGCAAAAAGAGAGAUGGUAUACUUCUUGCUCCCAUUUGUCUUCACAACCACAAUCUUAGCUUUGCAAUUGCAUCUACUUAUUCCCCGCUGUCUUUUUCUCUCCCGAGUUUCAUCUCUCCUGUAUUCACCUUGUUUGCAACAUACAAAUUCUUUCCUCAAAAUCUCUUUCUUAUUUCCCCCCCAAAAGCUGGAAUGAAGUCGAAUACCAAAGCCAGCCAAGAAUGCAUAUCUAUUAUAGAAAUUGUAAACGAGGUCAAGCAAGUCGAACUUCAUCCCAACUGCUGGUGUUUCCUCAUUUCUUACUUCAAGAAUGUAAACCCUCCCAUUAGCUGUUACACAGUCAUCACUCUCUGAGCCCCCAGACAUUUUAUCCACGUAUAUUAUUGAUCCACUUCUAUAUUAUUGCAUAGCAAAUAUUAAUUCAUUAAUAAAUCAUUACUGCAUCACAACAUAUCAAUGCAUUCCACUUACACAAAACAUUGCCCAAAUUGACACAAAACACGCAUAGCCUAACUUGUUGGAUUCCGAUUACACAAAACGCAAGCAAAAUUUAAUAAUAGUUACGUCAUCUCUUGUGAAAUAAUCUAGAAAAAAUAACAUUAGAACCAACAUGUUCAACUAAGAACACAAAUGCAAUUCAAACCAGCAAUCACAUAACUUCACCCAAUAUCCUCUCCAAAUGCUUACUCCUAAUGUCAUUAAGCCUAAGUUUAGGAUCUUUUACCUACAUUUCAUAAUUUUUCACCCCCACCAAAAAUAAUCAACUAAGUAUACUGAAUAUUCAUAAGGAAAUGACGCAUUAUUGAUGCCACAAAUGACGAAUUUCCUACCCUCACAAAAAACAAAUCAAACCCAAUUAAAUCAAUCCAGCAAGAGUGAACUUACCUCUCAAAAUCAAUCGGGAGCUCCGAAGUCAGUAAGCUUGAGAGAAUGUGGUGGACAUUAGAGAAGACUCUUUGGUAUUGGAGACUCCAUCUCUACCAAAAUCGAGGAACGAACUGCUGCUACGGCGUCUAGCUACAGAAAAAGAUAUGCUACUUUACUUUCAUCUGGAAUCUUGUUUGCUGAACGAAAAAGAGAAAGGGUUUUCACUUGAGCCAUAGAAUCAAAACAAGGCAACAUCUAGGUAAGAGCCAUUAAUCGUCAUAUCGAGGAUACCAUAGAUCGCAGGCCUCCCAAGGAGCUGAUGACAAUGGAGCGACUAUAGGGUUUGGGAGCUUUGGAUCCUUCUAAUUGUGGGUUUGCGUUACAUUCAAAAAAAGAGGAGUGUGUUGUUGAGUUUUUCACAUAGAGGGAAAGAGGGAAAGAUCUUCAACUGAAGUUGGGUUUCCAACGGGUCAAAUUUCAACCCGGUUCUACAUGCACCCUCUUUUAAAAACUCACCGUUGGAUUUCAUCCAACGGCUCGUACAUACCCCUCAAAAACACCCCUUAUAACUUUCCACUCACUAUAGAAGCUCUCCCCAGGAAAUGCUUCGAGGUAGAUUUUAUGUUUUGGGCCUUGGGACCCAACUUCACAAAAAGAAAACAAAUUUGACCAAAAAACAAAGUUGAAGGACAUUGAUAUUGUACCUGUAGGAUAGGUUAAAACACUAAAAGGAAGGUAAAUAGUACGUUUACAGAGUUUAAGUGUAAUAAAGGAAUAAAAACAUGCCCAGAGAAUUGAUAAGUGAUAUCAAUUCUUGAAUAUAUAGAACGUAAAAUAAAGGAAUACGUAGAAAAUUAUUUUAUGUGGUAAAACUCAAUCUAUGGGGCCACGGGACUUCUUAGUCCAAAAAAAAUCCAUUGAACGAUGAUUACAAGAAGUACUCACACACUUAUCCUAGACACAUUCUAGAUAAUUUUUACUAACAUCUUUGUAACUCAACUUCUGUCAUAGGAUGAUUUUUUGACACUCCUUAUGUUGAACGCAAUACUGGUCACGAUUUCUUCAAGCUCGCAGGAACUCUCCUUAUAUUGAAUAUGAUACUAGUCACGAUAGAUUCAAGCUCAUCGGAGAAAAACAGCCACAACGGUCUUGGUGCCCUCAAUGGUAUGAGUCACUGAACAUGCAAAUAAAUACAAUAUGAAUGAUAAAAGUGUUUGAUAAAUCACCAAGUUAUGGAACACUUGAUGAUUUAUCUCAAAUAAAAACUCAGCUUUCCAAAGUUUAUGAAUUGAAAAUAUGAUCGUUAAAGCUCUCUAAACAAAGAAGACGAAGAUCUUAUUUUAUAGAAUUUUUCUUUAUAAGAAAGAAAACACAUUGAAAACCAAAUCUCCAAGGCUUGACAGAAAAUCACAAAAGUAUCUUUCCUAUUCUAGAGAUUGGUCACAUGUAGUCCAACCAAUAGGACAUGAGAUAUUUAAGAAAUGAAGAUUUUGAUCAAUAUCAAUAUCAAAUGAAUUCUUAUACGCCUAGUCAACUAUUAAGGGUAUCUUGACUCCUUGAUAUUGUGAUAUGAUUGAAACAUGAUUUCCACGUUAGAAAAUUAAGGGGAUGUUAAAACAUGAAAGUAAUAGGAGAAUCAAAUUGAUUUCGGCCAAAAUUGCCUAAAAAGAAAACACUCCUAAAUAAACUCAAUUCACUUUUAAAAACAGUAAAACGUGAUUGAAUUGUUCUUUAAAACAAUUCCCUAAUAUACAUGCAUGAUAAUGACAUCACUUACCUCUGAAUCAAAUGCCUUUCAUAGGUCAAGCCACAAGUCUGUGUUUUGGGGAUUGCUGAGCUGCAUCAAUCCUGCCAAUGUCAAUGCUGCCCCUAUGCUCUCUCAAAGCACGUUUACAACCUAUGCUAACAUAUACCCUAAACCCUAGUAUCAAGAAAAUGCCAACACUAAUUUCGUAACACGUAGAAAUUGUUAGAGAUUGGAAGUUUUUUUUCUUCAAGUCUCUCCACCACUCACUAAUACAGAUUGCUCAUGUGAUGAGUUUACAAAACCUAUUUCUCUACUCUCACAAAGACUAUACUUCUUCUCAAAAGACUAUAUCACUUUACCUCUAUCUCUGUGAAAUGUAAAAAGUUGAAACUUUAAUGUCAAACCUCGACAAAAGAUGAACUUCCAUAAGUUACGUUGAAUUUGGAUUUGUUGAACUUAAGUGGUUUUACUUUUCUGUCAGUGUUUGAUGACUUAAUUUGGUAUUUACUUCUUCUUUUUUUCCUUGGAAAUGUGUUCCACCAACGUGAGGAAGAAAAAUAUGCACAAAUUAAUAUAUUUAAUAGAAGCCCAAGAUUUCGGAAGCACAUAAUUUCUACAAAAUUCUACAAAGUGUUCUACUUUACAAACUUCAUAUGUCUACCAAUUUUUACUAAAAUUAAUUUAUCUGCAGUGCUCAAAUUCAUCAUAUGUGUGUCCUUAAUUUUAGUGAAAAUUGGAAGUUUCCAUUAUUUUUGUUUUACGGGAAUUUUUUGAACCAAGGAAAAUCAAGUAAAAUUAAUAAAGCAUAAAUUGGAAAGGGAAAAUAUCUAGAGGAUGCAUUGUAGGAUUGCUCAUGCCAAUAAUUGUACCCUCUAAAUAUAUAGGGACAUAUUUUUUUUGCUCAUACCACUUGUUGCAGUACACAUUCACCCGUUUUCAAAGAAAGAAAUUCUACCAAUCGAUAAUGUCUCAAAUUUAAUCACAUAUUUUAUGGACCAUCCAGCUAUGAGGUUUUAUCUCAAAAACCUUCGGUACAUUUCUCCCACAUGCCACAAUUGUAUAUUCACAAUUACGUCUGAUACAUCACAUCAUGCCACUUGCCUCAAAUGAAUUUAAGUGAGUGAGGCAGUUGGAAGUAAUUAAGCUCUAUAUUGGUGGGUGGAGUGUUAGUUCUGGGUACCCCUCAUCAUUCGUCUAUAAAAUGGUGAAGCCAGUUGCUACUGUUACCAUAAGAGCCAGCUCCGACUUUCUUUAAUUUCUUGCUUCAUAUCCACUAGCUACAUCUGUUGCUCUUCUCAGUGUAAGCUCUGCAAUUUGAUUAACUUUCCCAUUAUCUCUCACUGUACUCUAUAUAAAGGAAUAAGUGUCGUCCAUUAAUUCUCUCCGAAAGUGUCGUCCUGAUUUUAAUUAGAGUUCGAAUUAAUGUUGCAGCUAGCAGCGGUUGCACUGGCAAACCAUGCUGCUCAACCGGUACCUCAACUUUACUGGAACUCCGUCCUGCCAAACACACAGAUGCCAAGAUCUAUCAGUGAACUUCUGCAUCCUGGUUUGUGUUUGAGCACUUUAGAAUCUUAGAUAUCUCUUCUACCUGCCAUUUUACUAAAAUAUGUUCAACCACAUAUUUAUCAGUUAACUACUGUCAUUACAUGAGUGACACAUAUUCACAAAUCGGCUGAUCACUUAUUUUCCAUUAUGACGUUGAUAUAUAAUGUUGGGAAUGGAAAGCCAAUUGACCACAAGGGAAAACCUGAAAAUACUGUACUACCACAGCUAGCACGAAGCCCAUUUUCUUACAAGAGUGAUGUGGGGACCAAAUCUCAUGUAUCAUAGCUUAACCCAUAUGCCACAACUAAAAGACGUGGGAUGAUCGAACAGCAUACCCACAUGGUCAUGGAUCUCUUCAGAUAAUCAAUAUUAAACAACCCAUAAACUUCUCCCUUUGAAGAACAAAUUAAAACCAAUUUCUAGAGGAAGGUUACAAAACAUUUUAGCCCGUGAAGAACAAAUCAAGACAAUAUAACCCAUUUGAUAACAAAAUCAAAAUGAGAUUUACCAAUACUAGAUGACCACGGCGCCAGUAUAAUGGUACGACGGCGGCGUUAUUGUAACGGUGGAGAAGUGGAUGGUAUGACGACGGUGUUAGUGUGACGGUGGAGGAAACGAUAUUAUGAAGGAGGCGUUGCUAUGUUCGGUGGAGGAGUCGUGUGUUUCACAGUUCAAUAUAUCCUUUUUAGUCAUUUUAUAUUAGGGUAAAUCAGUAAUUCAAUAAAUAAUUUGAUAGUAUGGUGUACUCAGUUAAUAUUAGGGUUCAUUUAACAGCACUCAAAUUAACUAGUGUAGAGUCUAUCUAUAUUAUUAAUACUAAAAAUAAAUAUAUGACUAAAUAACUCAAAAAAAAAAUAAAUCUACAAUCUUUUUUUUAAAAAAUUUUUUUUAUAGAAUUUUAUUAGAUUAAUAGGCACUACUAAAAAAUCUCCUUAUAAACUACAAAUACACGCAUAACUUAUACUAAUGUGAGCUACUGACACCACCUGCCACAUGACAGUUGUCCAAGCAUAGUGUUGUCAUUCAUUAUUCCCCACAGCAACUAACAUCCAAUAAAGGGUUGGGGCCCACCCAUACUCCACCUCUCUGUAUGUAGCUCUUUGAGAAUACAGAAGAAAUAUUUUUUAGGGAAAUAGCUUAAAAUGAUACCCAUUUCAUAAUUUUAAUUAAAAAUACCACCCCUUUCCAAUUUUUGUACAACUAUCACCUAUAAAUAUAAAAUUAUUGUCCACUUAUUGCUGAUUUUUCACAAGUUCAGAAAUUUUGGAAAGAAGAAGCUCACACAGCUCUCUCUCUCUCUCUCUCUCUCUCUCUCUCUCUCUAGCACAACUCUCUUUCUUUGGUAUCUGUCUAUCACAGCUCUCUGUGUCUCUCUUGGCUCUCUCUAUCUUGGCUCUCUCUCUCUCUAGCACAACUCUCUGUCUCUCUCUUUGCUCUCUUUCUCAUAGCGCAGCUGUUUCUCUCUCUAGCUUCGUUAUGUCUCUUUCUCCCCUAUUCGAUCUCUUGCUUUCUGUUUGGAAUCGCGAACCCCUCCCUUUAGCUAUGUCUUCUGAAUAGCUGCUUGCAACCUUGAAGCUCUAGUGGAUUGCCGACCUCGAAAAGGUAGUGUUGAUGGUUAUUUUCUUAAUAUCAGUGGGAUUAUGUGAAAUGGGUUAUAGUUUGAUUGUUUGGGUUUGUGUUAAAUUCGUUUUGGCUUUAAUUUCUUUGGGUUAGGUUUUGUUGAAUAUUCAUACUCAUUCAUCUGGGUUUGUACCAAUUGCAUUUAGAUUGGUCUGGAUAUGUGAAUCUUGAAACUUGGGAUUUUCUAUUUGAUGUAGUAGAUCUGUAUAGUGUGAUUCUGUUGUGUUCCUCUUAUUUUACAGUCGUAUUGCUGUUAUAUUGUCAUUAUAUUGCUUAUAUAUUGCUGUUAUAUUGUGGUUAUAUUGCUAUUGUAUUGUUUGGUUAUUGUGGUUAUAUUGUGUUAAUGAAAUGUUGUUUUGUCAUGGUCAGAAAUGGAGACAAUUGUUAUUCUCGUGUGCUACAAUGGAAAAUGGGUCACCUCGAAGAAGAUGUGCAAAUACGAAGGGGGUGACUCAAAAGGCUUAAUAGUUCCACGGACCAUCAAAUUUGUUGAACUGUUGGACCGUGUGCAUUAGAUUGGUAAUACAAACAGCAGGGAAGACAAGGUUUGCUUAAAAUUCUCAGUUUUGGUGGCCUCGAAUGAGUGGAAGCACAUAAAUAUUGAGGACGAUGAUGAUAUCAAUUUUUUUAUGAAGUACAAUUCCGAGGUAACACCUUCAAAACUAGCUCCCUUACUCGUGAGUAUAGAAGAUAAAGGAUUGACAAAUGAUGUAGUUCAUAGUAUGCAUAUCACGACAGAUAGUAGUCGGAUGGGUCAUUCUUCAGUUGCCAUUGUUGAAAGCAAUGAAGUAACUUGGAAUAAUACGAAUGUCACUGAUGUGGGAGGUGAAGUAGGGACAGAUUUUGUGGAUAUGAUUGAUUUUAGCGAGGUGUAGGAGAUGCAUGGUGGUGAUAAUAGUACUGAAAGAAAUGAAGUGUCAGUGUACUCUGCCCCUCCUAAUUUGGGCUGCUUCAACAUAGCUGCCCAGUUGCCAAUAAUGCGUUUAGGAGGAGAAUCUGAACCCACUCGUCAACAUUAUUGGAGUCAAAUAGGUGAACAAAAUCGGUACAAUGCAGCCGGUGUAAAUGAUGAAGAAGCAUAUUUGGACAGCGGGUUUUCACGAAGUGAUUGGAAUCCGAAAAUUACAGUUGGGCAAAUUUUCUCUAGUAAGAAAGCAUUGUUGACGGAGUUACGGUUGACGGCAUUAAGAGGCCACUUUGAAUUUAAGGUGCAAUUCUCUUGCACUAAAAGGUUGCUUGUGGUUUGUUGUCAACGUCCAUGCCCAUGGCGGGUCCGAGCAUCGAGAAUUGGAGAAUACAGCUUCAUGAUUGUGAGGUGUACAACUGUCCAUGAAUGUGAUUUGAGGUUCGUAAGUGACAAGCAUCGUCAAGCAACCGCAGCACUUGUAGCCACUUCACUUAAAAGGAAGUGACAUUAUGAGAGAUGUGAAACACAACUUUGGUUGCACCAUCCAUUAUUCGAAAGCUUGGAAAGCAAAGGAGUUAGCUCUAUUGUCCAUUAGAGGAUCAGCGGAGGAGGCAUAUUAUAUCCUUCCAGCUUAUUGCUAUGAAUUGGAGCGUAUGAAUCCCGGCACAAAAACACACAUCCAAACUGAUGAGAACAAUCACUUUGUGUAUUUAUUUAUGGCGGUUGGCGCAUGUAUUAGAGGGUUCCGUUCUUCCAUGCGCCCAGUGAUAGCCGUGGAUGCCACUCAUUUAAAAUCCAAGUACAAGGGUGUUAUGUUUGUAGCAAAUGCAUUCGAUGGUAAUUGAAAUAUAUAUCCUCUUGCUUUUGGGAUCGGGGAUUUGGAGACGGAUGCAUCAUGGCAUUGGUUUUUCACUAAACUUCAUGAAGCCAUUGGUGAGUGUCCCAAUCUUGUUAUUAUUUCUGAUCGCAAUGUUAGCAUAGAGAAUGUGUGGAACAAAAUUUUUCCAACUGCACAACGUGGCAUAUGCUUUUAUCAUAUGAAGGGGAACAUGAAACGCACUUGCUAGUUGAAAAAGCGUGAUCACAUACUUAUGCACUUUGAGCAGGCUGCGAAAUCUUAUUCCAUUGCUGAAUUUGAUUGUCAUUUUUGCAAGAUCAAGCGAAAGGAACAUGUUGCUCAAUAUCUUGAAGAGACAGGGUUACAUAAGUGGUCUAGAGCUCACAUGGAUGGACGCCGCUACAAUGUAAUGACAACAAAUAUUGCAGAGUCAAUCAACUCAGUCCUUAGGUUUGCAAGGAUGCUGCCAGUGGUUCAUUUGAUAGGGGAAAUUGUUAAUCUCCUUGUGAAAUGGUUCACCGAACGUUGUGAGUUGGUUUUGAAUUGCACAACAACAUUGUGCCCCAAUUUUGGAGAGAAGAAGUUGAGGAACAGGUUGGAGGAUGCUGCAAGGAUGAAUGUGGUUAAAGUAAAUAAUGCACAGUUUAAUGUUUUGGACGGUGAUAUGGACGGCCUCGUAGAUUUGGCGAACAGCAGUUGUAGUUGUAGAAAGUUUCAGCUUGAGCAGCUACCUUGCAAGCAUGUAGUUGCAGUUUGCCGCUUCUUGAAAGUAAAUGUAUACGCAAAGGCUUCUCGGUAUUACACUCAGAAAACCUGGAUGAUGCUUAUUCGGAUAGCAUCUACCCGGCACAACCUCACGGAAUGUGGGAUAUUCCUGAAGAUGUUCGAAGUCGAGUUGUGCUGCCUCCCAUGGCAAGGGUCAUGCCAGGCAGACGAAAGAAGAUCAGAAUUCCCUCGCAAGGAGAGGGCACCAUUAGAAGAAAGUGCUCAAGGUGCGGUUCCGCAGGCCACAAUAAAAGCACAUGUAAAAACAAUAUUCCAUUGCGCAAUGUAUCUUAGACAAUAUGAUUUGUGUUGCUUUGGUAGGUCAUGUAAACUCUACUUUUAUUUGUGGUGGGUUUCGUGUUAUGUUGAAUGGGAAUUCUUUUAAAUUUGCAUAAUUUGGGUUGCAUUGCUACAGCAUGCUGUAUUGCUGACAGAUUGCUAUUAUAUUGGACUUUUAUUGUACUGGUAUUGCUUCCAGAUUGCUAUUAUAAUUUGAGUGCGAAAUUAAAGGGACUGGAAUGUAAUUCCAAAUGGAUCCAAAUCAUUAAAGUUCUUAGAAUUCCUAUAUUACACAGUUACUGUGAUACUCCGACUAUACCUUCUUUUAUGAUUACAAAUUCGGCCAAUGCAUAGGCCAGAUGUGGGGCAAAUACAAGGUGAAAUGUCCUAUGUGUUUGACUACAUAUACUUGUUGAAGGAGCAUUACGAAUGCUAACCUCAAUAGAUUGCUCAUGUCUUGCCAAGAACACUCUUGAAUUUAUGCAAUGUGCCCAAGCCAGUCCCAAAGCUGGACUCACCCGUCUGCCUGAUGUGUCCAGGGACUCCAAGUUUCCCAACCUCACCUCAUUCACUUUAUCAUGUGGCCCAAUAAAAUCCACCACUUGGUUGGUGACAACCACCGCCAACCCAAACUUAUUUGCUAAACCCUUCAAUGUCCCAGAUAUGUUGAAAAAUAUUUCAAACCGCCAUUUCAAAUCUGCUGGUGUUGUCUGAUACUGUGAUCGGAACAAUGCAGCAAUGGAAUCAAUGACAAUGAGUUUCACAGGUAGGUGGGUGUGAUCAAUGGCAAUAAAUGCUUCUAUGUCUCCAAGGACAUGGAUGAGUUGUUGAGCAUCAUGAACACCAUGAACAUAUAUGUCUUCCAAUGGCUCCAACCUUAUUAAGUUGGGGUAUGAUGCAUGAUAAAGGUUGCCUAGUUGUUGCAAUCGACGAAAUGGGAAGCUGAAUUCUGUGAAUAUGUAGACGGUGGAGCCCUCUAGUCCGCCAUGUGAGGGUGGGAGCUGAGCUGGUACCGUAAGUUGGAGACAAAGUUGCGUCUUCCCAGAACCACUCUCCCCUACCAAUUCUGUUAUAGAGUUGCAGGGUAUCCCACCCCCCAAGCAGUCAUCUAGUAUUGGGCAUCCAAUGGAUAAUUGAGGGGUUGAAAGAGGAAGGAGCAUGAGGUUUUAGGGUGUCAUAUUUGUGUAAUUUAGGGGGGGAUGUGAUGGUGCUACAAGGCAUGCAUUAUAUAUAUAUAUAUAUGUAGAGUUCAUUUUGAAGGUCUGUAUUGUAGGCCAUAUGUCUUUUAAGGGAUGUAUAAUCCAUCCUUUUUUCAGGUUGUAAUUAAUUUUUUGUUUAUUUAUUAGUAUUUUUUUGGACCAAAUAAUUUAAAAAACAUUAUGAUGCAGUACGUACUGUAAUAGGAUCAUAUUGUAACUCUAUCAUCACUCUAUUGUACUCUUAUUGACAUAAUAUUGCCGUUAUAUGCAUGUUUAUUAUAUAGUUAUUACUGCUAUAUCGCCACUGAACUGGACACCGAUAAACUGUAUACGCACAAAUACAAAAAGAGGCUUCAUCAUUCCAUAAAAUCCUAUUUCCAAACUUACAUAAUACAACAACAGGCCACCCCAUCGUUACAUAAUACAAAAAUACGCCACCUCAUAGUUCCAUUUCCCUACUGUUGACAAAUUCGAAGUUGCAUACUCUUCAAGUGCGGUGACCGCGACGCAUGAAAUUCAUGACCCCGGCCACAGUGAUGUUGGCCUAGUUUCCUGCCGGAUCCACUAUUUUUGCAAACUUACGAAAUAGUUCGAAUCCGCUUUCCACUUCUUCUUGCUUCAACUUGGCCGUUGCUUCUGAUUCCUUGAAUACCAUAAUUGCAGUGGUAGGGGCAAUUUCAAUUUUUGCUUUCAUUGUCUUUAUAUGUAGGAGAUGCAUGCGCGCAUGAUAACGAGAGCGAAUUGUGCGGUUUUUUAUGACACCCCAUCUAGUUUGGCCCUCCACAAUUUUGAAACUAUGUCUGCAUGAAGAUUUUUCCAAAACAUGGUAUUGCCUCGACAUUGCUGCAUGCCAUGGACCAAGUCUGCAGGGAGUGAAUUGGGUGACUUGGCUUGUGUUUCAGUCUUCUCUCCUUCAGUAAUUGAAAGUGUUGGGUGUGGUGUGAGGUUAUGGUCCAUGGUCUUCGAUAUUUAUUGUAGCCUAGUGUACAACUUAAUUGGAAAAAAAGGGGACUAAAUGCGAUGGGAGUGAAAUCAGUGGGGAAGGUAGUGGCUGUAAGCAGGAGUUAAUGUGAUGGAAGUUUUCAUUUCAAACAACUGGGUUGAUUAAUAUAGGCAAGUUUUAAUGACCUGGAGUAACUCAGAGAGUUAUUGGUGGGAGGGAUUAGAGGGAGUAAUUGGCGGGAGGGAUUGGCGGGAGUCUUAGGCGGGAUAGUAUUGGGCGGGAGUUAUUACCCAGUUGACUGUAUGCCUUUUUGUAAUAUAUUUGUAUGUUGGACGUUCCAAACUUGGUAAUUUUCCCAUUAUGUAAUUCAAAUAAGGGAUUUGCCUAUUUGCCUAAUUGACCAACUCAUUCAAAUUGACCAAUAUGGUUAUUGUCUUAUUUCUCAUUUCAGCAAUCUCAAUUCGUUUCCAUUUUUCCAUUCUUCAUAUUUUCCUAUUUUCCAUGUGUCAUCCAAUUUUCCAAUUUUCCAAUUUUUCAUUAUUUUUGCCUAUUUUUUCCUAUUCCCUAUUUUCCUAUUGUGCAAUUUCCCAAGUUUCCUUUUGUUGUAUUUCUAGUUUUCCAAUUUUUCAAUGUUCCCAUUUUCCCAUUAUGUAAUUUAAAAAAAGUUGCCUGCUUUGCCUAAUUCAGAAAGUAAUUAAAAUGGUCCAAUAUGGUAAUUGUCUUAUUUUCCAUUUCCACAAUUUCAAUUCGUUUCCAAUUUUCUUAUUUUCCAUGUGUCCCUAUUUCCUAUUUCCAUUUUUCAAAUUUUAAGUUUUUGUCCAAUUAUCCAAUUAUCUUUUUUCCAAUUGGACUAUUUUCUAAGUUUCCUUUUUUUCCUAUUUCCAAUUUUCCAAUUUUUCAAUUUGCUAACUUUCCUUUUGUUCUAUUUCCAAUUUUGCUAUUUUCCAAGUUGCCUUAUUUCCUAUUUUUCAAUUAUCCAGUUAUCCAAUAUUCCAAUUUUCCAAUUAUCCAAUUUUCAAUUUUCCAAUUUGCGAAUUUGCCUAUUUUCCAAGUGUCCUUUUUUCCUAUUUCCUAUUUCAAAUUUUCCAAUUUUCAUGUUUUCAGAGUUUCCUUUUUUUUUCCUAUUUUCCAAGUUUCCUUUUGUCCAAUUUCAAAUUUUCCAAUUUUCCAAGUUGCUUUAUUUUCCAAUUACCCAAAUUUCCUAUUUUCCAAGUGUCCUUUUUUCCUUUUUCCAAUUUUCCAAUUUUCCAAGUGUCAUGUAAUCCUAUUGCCUAGUUUCCUCUUUCCAAUUUUUCCUUUUUUCCUAUUUCCAAUUUUCAAUUUUCCAAAUUUCCCAAAUUUCCAACUUUCCAUUUUUUCGUAUUUCCGAUUUGCCAAUUUUCCUUUUGUUCUAUUUCCAAUUUUCCAAGUUUCCUUAUUUCCCAUUCUCCAAGUUUUCACUUUUCCUAUUUUUCAAUUUCGCUAUUUUCCAAUUUUCUGUUCUGAAAUUCGCAAUAAAUGCUUAGUUACACAGUCCUAUUUUGGGUUGAAAUCCACAAUUUUCAAUUUCCCAUUAAGGUUUGCUUUUUUGUCGUUUGGAAGCCAAUUUUAUUGUUGUUAAUGUAAUGUUGUACUGUUGUAAAUUACAGCCAAUGAGUUAAUGAUGUAGUUUGCAAUCCCAUCAAUUGAAUGCACCAACUAAAUACCCAAUAUACUUCAUAUAAGUUCGUACAUAUAACUCAACCUUCCUAUACAGAACUGCAACAGAGGCACCUUCUUAACGGGAAAGGUAAUUAGUCUUACUAAAACGCAAAUAUUCUCCACUACAGCUAACCAAUUGUCGUUUACAACUGGAGACUGAAUCUACCUUUAUUUGUUUUGUUGCAGGCAACAGCUGUGAAUUGUCCCCGGCAAUACUUAAAGAUGUCGGAUGUACGCCCUCCAAAUGAGCAUGUCACAGUUACCCGGGGGACCAGCCGUGGCAUGUGCCAUUCCCAUCUCCACCUCGGACUCCCAAUCAUGAUCCCACUUCAUCUGGAAGUGAGGCUGAGAGCAAUGAUCCGCUUGACAAAAUCUCUGCCGUCAAGCACCACCUCCAAUAUAUGUCAAAGGCAACGGAUUGGUGGGAGAGUAAGUGCGAUAUUCAUGGCCAAGUUAUGGGAAACUUGGCCAACAAGUUGAACAAAGCAUACGCUGGAGAGGUGAAGCAAACUCUAAAAGCAAAAAGUCGGAGCAAAGAGUUAGAGUCCUUGAAGUUGAAAUUGGAAGAGAGAAAGAAAAAUGCUGUCGAAAAAUUCACACAAUCUGAAGAAUAUAACCAUGAAAUGGUUGAAUGUUUCAACAACGGCUUUGAAAUGUUCCGAGAUUAUGCUUCGGUCAUCUCACCAGACUACAAUUGGAGUGAAAUUGAUGUAGCUGGUGUUUGGCAGGUGCUGAAUAUGGGUGCUGAGGGAAUGGCUCAUCAUAGCCUCGUGCAUGCAGCAAGGAGAAAGGACAAAGACUUGGAUCUUUUGAUGGACCUGUAGUAACAGUGAGUGCUGCUUCAGUUCAACUCACCUGAGUACAUGGAUCUUUUGUUGCCUUCAUUUUCCCUUCGCAGGCUAGUAUUGUUAAGGUUCGGUGGCGAUUUCUUUUGCAUGUGUAAAAUGUUGUCUGUAAUGUGUAUGUAUUGUAUGUAGAUUGACUUAAUAUUGUAGUUCUAUUGUAUGUAUAUUGCCUUAAUAUUGCCUUUGUAUAGCAUAGAUAGUGUAUGCAUAUUGCCACCGUAUUGGAUGUAUAUUGUAAAACUAUUGGUAUCGUAUUGCCCUUAUAUUGCUCUAAUAUUGCCUCUAUAGUGCACCUAUAUUGACCUAAUAUUGCUCUUAUAUCGUAUGUCAAUGGCAUGUGCUCUAAUAAGUCUCCAGUUCGUUGAAAGUAAUCCUGAAUUCAAAUAUGAUGGACAAGACAAUUGUUAUCCAUCCUUAUAUUACCAUGAAUUGAUUUGGACCUUUCAAAUGAUAGUUGGAGUUGCACAUGGAUUCAUAUUCAAAAGGAAAGUAAUUCUCUCCCUCAAUGAAUUGUCGUUCAAAAGAAGGCAGCUAUCAAAUUUUGGGUACAAAAAGGCAACAUCCACGGUAAAUUAAUUGGGCACAAACCACAUAUUACAAAACCAGGAUGAUUUUUGGCAUGCUUCAAAAGAGAAGGGCCAAAUACAACAGAAAAGAAAAUCCAUUCAAGCUUGUACAAUAGAAUGCACAAUAACCCUUUUACAUGUCCUUCCAACACCAGUGUUUUGCCUACUUUAGAGUCGCAGGAGGAGAGCUUAUUGCCAUUGUGCAAUUCGAGGGGGCAGUCAAUUUGGAAUGGUGGCAUAAACAUGUUUACUCCACGGAUCACCUAUAUGGGACAGAGCUUCCUUCUUCCCUUGUCGUCUGUAGGUUUCAACUUCACACUUUUUAUAUACAUGUAUGAGAACUUGUGGCUAUUUAUUUAUGGCCUUCUAACACUUGUUCUGCCAUUCCAAAGUGGGUUGGAGACUUUUUGAGUUGAAUGACUGGAAAGACUUCAGAUGACAGAAACUAGAGAGUUUGAAGAAAAAGGGUUACCAAGAACAGCAGUCAUGCCCACGACAUAAACUAAACAUGCUAUAAGCUCCACAGUAAUAUUUACUUCAUCUCCAUAAUCAGAAUAUUGGGAAAAAAAUACCACGGAGAAAUACGUGAAAUGAAAAACAACUCGGCAGUUACUGUGAGAUUGUGUACAUAAAACUUGGAACAACCAAACCAAUUAAAGCUAAGCCAUCUCAUACGUAUACCUACAUCAAAUAACAGUGUAUGGUCAUCUUGUUUAGAAUAUUGCAAUCAACACUUGGUUGAGACCGACCUGCAAAAACAACUGGGUUAAGUACAGAUGAAGCCAUUUAUGAAGGGCAGUUCCAGAAUUAAGACCUACGUUAAUUUGUAACUGCCACCGAAUCAGUUCAUAGUGCCAAAUGCAUCUACCAAGCACACAGAUAUGACCAGCCAAAAGAAAAAAAAGCAAAGUAAAAAAGAUAAAAGAGGCAUGCCAUAAAUGGGAACCUCAGCAGAAAUCAUCAGAUAUGCAUACAAGCAGAUUGAGUAACAUCUCACUAAGUAGAGGUCAUGUUGGUAAUCGCAUGUUGUGUUUGCACACAGACAUUUGGUUUUUGCAAACACAACAUGCAAUUGCAUUCCAUGAUGUGUGUGUUGUGUUUGCACACAGACAUUUGGUUUUUGCAAACACAACAUGCAAUUGCAUGAUGUGUGUGUUGUGUUUGCACACAGACAUAUGGUUUUUGCAAACACAACAUGCAAUUGCAUAUUGUGUGUGUUGUGUUUGCACACAGACAUAUGGUUUUUGCAAACACAACAUGCAAUUGCAUAUUGUGUGUGUUGUGUUUGCACACAGACAUUUGGUUUUUACACACACGAUAUGUAACAUUUAGUUUUACCCUUUUAUUCUUAUUUUCUUCGUUCAAACAUGGUGGUGAGAAAAGCACCAAACCAUCCCAUCAUAUAAAGCAAAACUCAUACAAUAUUUUAGAUGCAAAAGUUAUAUAUUUUAUAUAAAUGCAUCAUCCGCAUGGCUUGAAAUUACAAAUUCACGUUCACAUAUUACUUUUCACAAGCGCACAGACUAACAAUAAUAAUAAUCAACCAAGUAGUUGCGACAUUCAUCCUAUUACGUCCAUAUUGAUAAUGUCAGAAGUUUCAUCGAUAAGCCUCAUCAAACUACAAGUUUUUUAAUUUGAAUUAUGAAUUCAGAACUAAAAGCUCAUGAUAUGCAGAAAAUGACAUACAUUGUCCACAAUCGACUUUUCGAUAUAUUUCUGCUCUAGCAAUUUAUCGUCCAAAUUCUGGACUCUCUGUGUCAGGUGCUUCUUUGUGUUCUAUCCAGCAUAAGAAUAUUUAAUAGUGUGAUUUCAAUUGUUUAUACAAAUUCUAUAAGUAAUAUUGAUGAGUGCUGUAAAUCUAUUUGAUAUUGGGAACAAACAUGGUCCCACUAACAGAAACUCAAACAAAACAGGAAUUUUUUUUUAUUUUUUUUGGCAUAGACAGCCGAAAAGAAACUUACAGCAAUAGCCUCUGUCACGCUCUCCAGACGUUUAUGCAAUUUUGAAACAGCAGCAUUCAUACUACGCUUUGUCACAUACAGAAGAUCUGAGAAUUUUAGACCCUAACCAUUUGUGAAGAGCAAAUAUUAGAUUUGCUUAAAGAAGACAACAACUCACAGAACCAAUGGAUGAAAUAAUAUGAACAUAAAUAUAUCAUUUGGAUACCUUCCACCACAUGUAACCAUAACCCAAUGCCCCCAAGGUAGCUGUUGGCAUUAUUAGUGAUGUCAAACCUAUUAAAAAAAUCAAAAAAAAAAAUAUAACCAAGUAUAAAAUGUUUCUAUUGCAUUAUGAAAUACAUACGUGUAAGGAAUUAAUCGUUUUACAACUUAACCAAAAAGUCAAGGCAGGAGCAUGCAUUCAUUGAGUGGUUAUAAGCAAGAGGAAAAAGCACAAAGCAUGCUAAGAAUUCAUUUGAACACAGAAGAGAAAGUAAGCUACCUUGGAAUUUGGCUGUCAUUCCCCUUCAGGACGGCUCUCUGUAGUGACGAGUCUAGUUGUCGGACCUCAGCUGCCAGUCGGCGCACCUAAAACAAAGUAACACAGGAAAAUUGAUAUCCAUUACAAAAAACAAAAAUUGAACACGAGAAAGCAUCCUUCGACACUAAAUUUAUAGCAGUUUUUCCAAUACCUGUGAUGCGAUCGCAUAAAAGUCACCUUCUGAUUGUUCUCCGGUUCCAUUGAACAAAGGCUGCAAACAAAACAGAAAUAGACACAAAUCCAUCAAUUUUUUGAGCAACAAGACACAAGCUCCGAAAUAAAUAAACUAUCUAACUGAUCAAAACCCUAGUUUACCAAAUGCAUUACAAAAUUAAAAACUCAUACAAAAAUAACACCAAAUACAAAUGUUCUGCGAGUUCCACUAGCAAAGCAGAGUACAAAUCAUGAAAAUGGUACCUGAAGUUCACCGAUCAAUUCAGAUAAUUGACCAUUCUUACGCAGGAUGGUGCUCGUAUACCCUGUAGAAAGAGAACAAUCACUCAGAUCAAAUGUAGCUAAAUACACAAGGAAACUAAUCCAGUAUGCAAGAUGAAAGAGGAGUGAUUGGUACCUACUCCAGCGAAGAUCAGCAAACACAGUAUGAGGUUCCAAAUUCAAAUAACAACAUAAUGCUAAGCAGAGAAGUAGAAUUGCUGCCGAAAUUAUUUAAAACGAACUAAGUCAAAACUAAAUGGAGAAAUGUUAACAAAGUUGUAUGCUUCAGUAAGUCCAGUAACAGAUUCCCAAAACCACAGAGACAAAAUGUGAACAAUGGCUACAAAAGCAUCCAUAAAGAGCAACUAUGUUUAUAUAUGGAGGUGUACAAAAUAGUUAACCUUCAAAAUCGAAACAGUGUGUGUGCCAUGUAAGGCAAUUAGCCACUGCUUCUAGACUAUACAAUAUUACACCUCACAAUAAUAACUAAACCAACUAGCUCUAGCAAAAAGGCAGGAUGACCAUAUAAAGUACCCCCAGCAAAGCAUCUACGUCUGCAUCUUCAUAUCAAGGAGUUCCUGACAUAAGUAAUGAGCAAAGUGAAUUCCCAAGUCAUAAGUCCAGAAUGAGGUGAAUUCACGGACAUUAAAACAUUUACCUCAUAAAUAUGCCUCCCCCCUUAAACCCUCAAUUGCAAGCCUCAGCCGGUAAUAUUUGAUCUUCAAAGGGUCAACUUUAUCUACCGAAAUCCCAGCACUGAGAUGCUCGAUGAAUUUGACGGUCAUGAUUCCGCAAGACGUACUGUGAGACCAAUAAGUUGGGAAAUUAGAACUGCAGUUAUGUAAGAUUUGGAUAAACUGCACUAAAUUCACAAAGCUUACCCAUCUCGUUGUUGUGGCACAUCUGCAAUGCUGCAAACUGAGAAUGGCGUAAACGUCAACAUCUUCAGCCCCUUUUGCUUAACCUUUUCAACCUCAGAAUCUUCAUAAAAGUGCAUAUCGUACAGCACUCGUGCCAGCGUAUCGCUAAUAGGGUGCAGAAGUGUAACCAGCUUCGAACAUUUGGUAAAAGCAACAUAUGAGUCAUACACAGUUGCAGUAUGUCAGACGAAAUCAAUUUCGAUUGCAACCCAGUAAGACCCUUUAAGAUUAUAUGGAAUAUAGACCUUCCGGACUUUUGUCCAAGCUUGGCCAUACCCGUGUUGCCACGUACCGCGUACAAAGUAAUGUAUAUUCUGCAGCUUGCUGGGUGGAAGGUCAACGGUGUUUGAAGCAACUGCCUUCUUCGAUCCACGUUUCUUGGCAGUCGGUUUGAACGGAUCUAGAAAUUGCUGCAUAAAUUGAAAUGAAGGCAUAUUAGAAAAUCACAACCGAAAGCAAAUGAAGCAGCGAAUGUAACAUGGUAACAUGUUUACCUGCAAGCAACAAUCUGCUGUUGUCCAGUCAGUUCCAAAUACCAACGGAUGAGAGAGUUGCCUUUUCCAGAUAAGAAAGGUUGCCAUGUCCAGGUGCUGAAAGUUGACACACAUAAUAUCAGCACAAUUUCAUACAACUGUACACUUAAAAAAGGUGAGAAAACAAUUUAAUUAUCGCAAUAAAGUAGAGCUUUGUGUAUUCUUACCCUUGAGCUAAUCCAUUCCGUUUCAUCGAUAAGUCUGUAGAAAAAAUCAGCGCCCACUGAAAAUAAUUCCAGCUGCACCUCCGCACUACAAAAGGCAAACUUGCAAUGGUUACUUUUAUAGUCAUCUCAUAAUUCUGACUUUGUUGAUGACAAAAAUACACAUGUAUAUUAAAGCAAACUCUACGUUUUCUCAUUAGUCUAUGACUACAUACUAGAAUAGGAUGAAGAUUGGAAUUCAAAGGUAAAGAAUCCUAACCUGAUAUCGUUUUUCCAGGCAGUACAAAACUCUAUUACUGCCUUCACAUCUUCAAUGGGCACGGAUUUUGAUGGAUCAAAACAUGGCGGGGUUGCAGUCGCAGCCAACACACUCAUCGUCCUCUUCUUCCUCAAAGGAUCAGUAAAUGGGCUCAACAAUGUCUGCGCCGGGCGCUUCUGUCUGCACCCUUUACCUUCCACUUCUUUUUUUUCCACACUCGAACUACCUUCUUCAUCACCAGCCAUACUAACUGUGGGUAGACUUGGAGGAUUCAUCGGACCUCCCGAUGGCAUACUCUUAGUCACUUUCCAAUCUUCUAACAGAGACAACACUUUUUGGCAGAUUUCGUCACACCCGGCCACAUCUUCCGGGGUAGGCAGCUUCUCGGAUUGUGCCUGCUCAGCUGCUUCAUGCACUUGUAAGUGAGGAACUGAAGCGGCCAUUUCUGCCUCUUCGACUACCAUGGCUGCGGAAGGUUCGGCUCCAUCACCGGGAACUUGUGUUUCCAUUACCGCCGGUUCUGUAGGCGGACUAACAUGGUCAUGUAAUGGCGACAAGUGAUUGUCGCCUCCUUCAUUCAUAUGAGGACUACUGAGGUCCUCAUGUCCUUUCCCACCUUCAUUCACCCCACCAUUUCGUUUUUUCAGCUGCUCUAUCUCCACAUUAAAAUAAUGCUCCAUUAAAGCCAGGGUGUUGCGGAAAUCCUCCACACACUUUUUAUUUUUUUCGAACUCUCUUUCAACUUUCAAUGACUCCUUCCGUACCAUGUCUUCCAACUGAUGCACUCUGUUGCGAAGCGCUCGAUUUGAUAUGGCAACUUUGGCCAAUUCAUCCUUUGUCCUUUGAAAGUCACGCUUCAAAGUGCGUAACUCUCUGGACGCGACUGUACCCUGCAUUCAGUUAUAAUGCAAGUGUUACAAUAUUUUCAAAAUAUAUUGCAACAAUACAGCAGUUAUUUUCCUAUUGUAUUAUGACGUAUAUCUUGGAAAAAAAUGUAAUGCUUGCCUUAGAAGACGACGGAAGGCUAGCAGUUUCGUCAAUGUCCUUAUCUUUUUCUUCUACAGAGGCAGAAGUGCUGGUUUUUUGUUCAGCGUCAUCGCCAAACAACUGAACAAGUUCUUCAGUGUCGUCAACACUGUCACCCCAAGUCCAAUACGGCUGCUGCUUGUCGAUUACAGAUGGCCGGAGAAGUUGCACAUCAACCUGCAAUUUACACAUACAAUAUACAUAUCAGUAAACUUAUUAUAUUAUAUUUUCAUAUGCCUAACAUUAUCAUUAAAAACUUAACUAACCUCACGGUUCUCGAAUACUUGGCUCAUUAGCUCAUAAAAACACGGCGAACUAUUGCUCCUCCAAUGUAGUAAACGAGGGAUGUAGGCAUUAUCUUCGUGCACCACCAAAUGUAGUGCAGCCAACGCUGGAAAAACCUCAUAAGCCCAAAUCUGGUUUGAGGAAUAAAACGUGAGUCACUGUAAACAAAUGAAAUUUAACUUCAACAUGAAUGGAAAUUUGCUCACCUGAAGUGCAUAGGCAAAACCUUUGAGGUGGUACUCUCUUGGUCUACCAGUUGCCGUUGUUUUUGCUUUCUUUUCAGAUUUUUUUGUUUUUGCAGCUUUUUUGGGCACUUUCACUCGCUGGUAAUCUGUACAAAGUGCCCUCAGAAGUGACACAAUUGUCUUGGCAUAACACACAGCACCCCAUGGAUACUUCCCAAACUCUUCAAGGUCUUCCACCAACUUCAAAUAUCGCAUGUCAAUCUGGACAUGUUUUUCACUGCCCAACAGCACAAACACAGCAAAGUAUACAAAUCUGAGCUUCAAUACAUCGUCCGCAUCAACGCAUUUGAGGAAGGCCUUUUCUAAUUCCAAAACAUUGACAGUUUUAUAGUUGCCAAAGUACUUCCUUUUCAAUGAGCAGUUCUCAUUAGUGGGAAUCGGAAUAAAGGGAAGGUUUCCAAACCUUAGCCCUGUCACGAUGCAAAAUUGCUGCGCCGUGAAUUGGAUCACCUUAUUGCCAACGAUGAAUUUGAUCCCGUUGAGUUGGGAAACUGUCUUUGGAUCAGCUUUCCUCAGCAGCAAGCCGUGGACAAUUGGCGAAGUCCACUUGAGGUCCUCAAUCAGUAGGAGAUGCCCAAAACAACUCUCUUCAAACCUUUGUAGCUGUUGUUCACUGAAUUUCUCCUUUAUCGUGCUGAUUGCAGUCUUCGUAUGGGAUAGGGACAAUGCUUUUCCUUGGAACUUUUCUUCCUCUGCAAUCAUCAACUUCAUUUGAGCAACCAUCUUUCCCUGCAUGCCAAUAUUAUAAAAAAAAAUUCAGUCCGUUGCAAUCUAGACAAUAACAAGCAAUAAACAAUCAGCACUUAUCUACAGCCUAUUAUAGGAUAUUAAGUGAAAACAAAAAAACAAAAAAUACAGGGCAUAAACAAAACCCCAGCUAUUUACAACUGACCUACUAAUUCAAUAGCUCAAAGCCACAUCCCAAGACACCCAGUACUCUACCACUCUUGCAUAAUAUAAUAUCUAAAGACACAUCUCAACACACCAGAUAAUCAUGACACAGCUUCAGCUAGAAUGGGAAUGUGCGGUAGCACAAGCCUAAUUGAGAACAAUUCAAGACUAACGAUAGAAAUCUAUCUGACUAGAAAGAGUUUUAAAAAAACAAGAAGACAUCGGGAAAGAAUUGAUUGACUUCAAGGUAUAAUGUAAUGGAACAUCCUAUGAAUUAGUGGCAACCAUAAUAAUGACUCCACUAUGGCCCUCCUUUCAAAUGUAAGAAAAUGAAUGAAAUUGGCACCAUCCCUUCAGUUUUUUCUUAACAAAAUAAGAGAUUUGUAUGUAUUCUCUGCUUUAUCGAUAUCAAAGAUAAAUUAAUAAAUAAACCAUCAAAACUGUAUAAAAUGUUUGUUAGACAUGUACAAUUACAAAAUUAUAAGUUCUCCUCAGAAACAAAGUUCUCUAAGUACGCAAACAAGAAAAGCAAAAGCUUAAAGAGUUAGCUUAUAGCAAAAUCAAUGUCCCCAUUUCUCUAAACCACACCUGCUGGUGGUAGGUUCCCAUCUUCACUCAUUUCCCGCUUUCUUUUAAACAGACAAUGAUCAAGCACAAAAGAGCAAACUUUUAAAUAACUCAUAUUACACCACAAAUAGUUCUAAAGAAAACUUAUUCAUAUCCAAUAUGCAACCCCUAAAGUUAGUAAACAGAGUUAUAAAAAAAUAUGUCAAAUUAACAAGCAUUAUUCUCAAACAAAAAGUAUGAUAUGGUUGGGAGUUUACAAGUUCAAAAUGAUAUACACAGGUUAAUUGUCUUAGACUUUAGAUAUCAUCUUCAACAAAGAAAAUAGAUACCGAUUAGACUUGUAAGAAGGUUAAAUGCAAUGGUCAUAAAGACCCAUAGUAAGCCACCAAAUACCAAUCAAUAACUGCUAUAAAAACCAUAAUAAAACCAUAAUAAACUAAAAAUACAACAGCACUAAAAUGCCAACACAACAUCACUACAUUAGCAAUAUAGUAGCAACAAAACCACAAUACGACAUCAAUAGCAACAGCAAAACAACAGCAGUGCAAGCAUCAGUCCACAAAGAACAAACCCAUUCACUGUUUCAAACAAGGAAUCAUCAUACUAAGAUCAUUUCAGAGAAACCCCAAAACCAAUUUCAGUGAAACCCCUAAACCAAUUUCAGAGAAACCCCUAAACCAAUUUCAGAGAAACCCCUAAACCUUCAACCAAUUUCGAACAAAUCCCUGAACCAAUUUCAUAGAAAUGCAUAAACCCUAAACCAACUUCAAAGAAACCCUAAACUGUAAGAAAAUGACGAUGAACAGUACCUGUUCAAGGUGAACGAUGGAGUUGAGCUUCGAUGAACAAAUUUCGCUCGGAGAGGAAGAGAGAAGAGAGAGUCAGAGCUGAGCGACGAGAGAUUAAGGGCUGAGCGACGAGAGAGUGAGAGCUGAUCGACGAGAGAUGAGAGAGUGAGAGCAAAGUGACGACAGAGUGAAGAGAAAUUGAGAGAAGGAGCCAAGAGAGAGAGCUGAGAGAGAACUUCAGCAAAACUGAUAGAGAACUUCAGCAAAAGUGAUAUGUGUACAAUAAGGGGACAAUAAAUAUAUAUUUAUAGGUUAUAGUUCCAAAUUUUUUUAAAAAGAGUGGUAUUUUCAGUUACAAUUAUAAAAAUGGUGGCAUUUUGAGCUAUUUCCUUAUUUUUUAUUCAACAUGGACGCAGAAACUGUUGCUAAACUGCAAACUUCUUAAAAUAUUUGUCUCACUUUCUCAACCCUAUAUUUGUCUAACUUUCUAGAUCCAUGUACUGAGAUUUAUUAGGGAAAUAUUGUAGAAACUGAUUAUUUUGAAAUAUUAAAUGUGAAAAACUGAACAAAAAUUUGAUGGGUUACAUAUUUCAACUCAUUUCAGCAGCUUAGAUUUUGAAGACCUCGGAAGAGGCCAUGCAGUGAGCCUAGCUAGUGCACUGUUGAUCACUUCAGUGUCUACCGAUCUGUAAUUUUUCCAGAUUGGUUAUAUUUUCCUUUACAUAUUCUUAUAUUAUUCCCAGCUGUAAGUGUUUUACACACUUGUCUAUUAGAAAAGGGGAGACUUAUAAAUAAAUCCAAAAUGGGUACAGUAUUUAUAAAGAAUGACAAAAUUAAAGUGUUUGGGCAAUAAUGCCCUUAUUCAUUUUGAGAUUGCCUAAGGAAUAUUUUUUCUGAUUUUCAGAAGAUGCCAAAGGACCGUUGUUUGAUGAUUGCCGUAAGGAGCUAAGAAAACUUGCUUUGAUAGUUUUGGACAGAUGCAUGCUACUGUUGCUGGGAUGAUCUCUUCACGUGAAAUGAGGAUGAUGAUGCUUCUACACUACACAAUCCAACGAAUUCACAUGUCUAUUUCAGAUACAAGUAUAAACUAACAAGGCUUUAAAAUAUGGGCUGAUGCACUGUUGUUGAUGUUGCUGACACUGUUACUGUGUUGUUGAUACUGUCACUGCGUUGCUGUUGGAAAAAGCACAAGGACUUCACAUGUUGCUUUCGUCUUUUGUGGAGGAGAGAGACCUAGGACUUGCAUGUCUUAGAUAUUUAAGAUAAGGGGCUUUCGUUCCAUUUUGAAAAUACUUUGGGUGUUUUUGAAAGGUGAUUGUUUCUUUUGGGUUUCUCACUAAAUUUCGCUUUAGAAGGGAAAAUAAUAAUAAUAAUGUCAAACAAAGUAGGGUAAAUAUUCAGAUAUGCUCAUAUUAUUAUUCUUCUCCAAUAUUGAGGUAUUUAUACAAGUACAAAGAUGUGUUAACCCUAAAUAAAAUAGGAAAUAUAUCUAAAUUAUAAUAGGCAGUAAAUCUCUAUUACAAUAGGACUAAAUAAUAAUUGGUAAGUAACCAAAAUUCUAAUGAAAUAAGGAAUCAAAAUCCUAACUAAGUAAGGACUCGCCAACACUCCCCCUCAAGUUAGGGCAAACAUAUUUCGCAUGCCUAACUUGACAAGCGAGUCAUAGAACACCAUACUUGAGAAGCACCAAUUGUAGAGAAGGUCUUUUCGUCAACCACGAGUGAAACAAGUGACAAACUAAAGCAAAGUUCGCAGCGGAAACACAAGAGCGAAUCCUAAAAAAUAGGGCACAUAGCAGAACACAAAAAUCCUGGAGCACGACAGUAGAUAAGGCAGAACACAGAAACCCUGUUAGCACGGCAAUAGGUAAGGCAGAAAAAGUCAAGAGCAAAGGCAAGGUCAACAGGCGUGACCACAACGAAAACACACCAGCAAAGACAUGAGCAACAAUAUUAGCACCAUAAUAGACAUGAGCAACAAUACUGGUACCAACAACAGCAAUACAAGGCACUGGCACCAGCAAGAGCAACAAGGCAUGGACAUAACAUGCAUAAUCAAUAGUAAUCAACAUUGUCCCCAACAAGAGUCAUAAUAGGCAUGAGCAAUAACAUUGUCCCCACUAAGAGACUUAACAGGUAUGAGUAACAGUACUGGCACCAGCAAAGGGCAUAGUAGUCAGCAGCAAUAACAAUGACAAAUACUUCUAUUAUUGCAGAGACAACUUCUCUUCACUCCCCAUCUCCCCUUGAAGAGAAGGGGUCAUCGGAACCAUAAGAAAAGUGGCACUUAAGAAACAGAAGUUGACUGACGCUCAAAUGUAGAAGAAUCAGCCAUGGCAAAUAGGUAGCUGAAUUGCAGCGGAAUAGAUGAGCAGCGGUGUCACUCCCCCUCAUAUCUGAUAAUGUAUGAGAGUCGAGAUUUGGAGAAAGCAAUAUCGAAAAAUAAAGUUGCAGAACCCAAAUAAAGUUGCAUCUAUCUCCCCAUCAAAUCCGACACUGGUAAAGGGUCGAGAUUUGAAAGAGGAGAAAUUGAAAUAAUAGUAAAGAGACUCAAACAUGCAGUCUCAUGGCAGAAACAAAUGCAAGAGGGGAAGAUGGUAGCAUACGGUUGUCCCAUGAAGAAAAAACUUCAGAAAAGGAGAAUAGUAAGGGAGGAAACCUAGCAAAUCAUGAACAGAGACAAAGACAAAGAUGCUCAAACUGAGAAGCGGAAAGGCAACUCAAGAGAGCAACCGAAGAAGACAGAGGCCCGCAGAACAGUCAAAGUUAAGGCUCGGCGAGUGGUGACGAUGCUCGCGGAGGAAAGCAACGGCUCGGUGAGCGGUGAUGAGGCUCACGGAGUAAAGAGACUUGUUAUGAAGUUUCAAAGAUAGAGAAGCUGAGACAUCAAGAAAGACCAUCUGGCAUACAAAGAUGAAAAAUAAAAAUUUUGGAACAGUAGCAAAGAAGCAUGUGAAGGCUGGUGCGGUGAAAACACAUAUGAAAGGAUGAACAAAAGAAGAUGACUAUACAAGAUGAAGACCCAUGAUGGGUUAGGAAUGAGGAGUGCCAACGACUCUCAAUUUGGCAGAGGUUAUCGCAGGUUAGGAACCUGGCUCUGAUACCAUGUCAAACAAAGUAGGGUAAAUAUUCAGUUAUGCUCAGAUAUGCUCAUAUUAUUAUUUUUCUCCAAUAUGGAGAUAAUUAUACAAGUACAAAGAUGUGUUAACCCUAAAUAAAAUAGAAAAUAUAUCUAAAUUACAAUUGGAAGUAAAUCUAUAUUACAAUAGGACUAAAUAAUAAUUGGUAAGUAACUAAAAUUCUAAUGAAAUAAGGAACCAAAAUCCUAACUAAGUUAGGACUCGCCAACAAAUAAUAGUACAACUCUUAUUAGCAACAGGUUACAAACUUCUUCUACAACACACCAACAUGAAUCUAGCCCUGAUCCACUCUUUUACAUACUUGAAAACAAAACAAAACACGAAAAACAAAAAACAAGAAACAAGAUAGGGAGAAAAUGGCUACGGAGAGACUUCCUGCUAAUCAGGGGCGGCCCUGGGGUGGUGCAAGUGGCGUCACCGCACAGGGCCCCCGAUUCUUAAGGGCCCCCAAAAAAUAAUUCUUUAUAUUAUAUAUAUAUAUAUUAAUAUUAUAUGAAUCGUAUAUAAAGUAUAGCGUCUGGAUGAUAAAGAGACUCAUUAUCAUUAUCUUAGUCAUAAGAUUCAAAAUGAAUUGAUACUUUUGUUAGCUUCUGAGCUCAAAAGUGCAAUCAUUAAAAAGAUUGAAGAAGCUAAAUAUUUUUCUGUGAUUCUUGAUUGUACUCCAGAUGCUAGAAACCAAGAACAAAUGAGUUUGAUAGUAAGAUGUGUGGAUGUCUCUACUAAUUCAAUAAAGGUUGAAGAAUUCUUUUUGGAAUUUUUGAUUGUGAAUGAUACAACAGGACAAGGACUUUUUGAAGAGUUGCAAACGGUGUUGCAAAAACUUAAGCUUGAUAUUGAUAAUGUGAGAGGACAAGGCUAUGACAAUGGAUCAAAUAUGAGUGGGAAAUAUCAAGGUGUCCAAAGAAAAUUUUUGGAUGUAAAUCCUAGAGCAUUGUACACACCUUGUGGUUGUCAUAGUCUUAAUUUAACACUUUGCGAUAUUGCAAACUCUUGUGGAAAAGCAAAAGAUUUUUUUGGAAUCAUACAACGUAUUUAUACAUUGUUUGCUAAUUCUACAAAGCGGUGGAAGAUAUUGAAAGAUAAUGUUAAACACUUAACUCUGAAAUCAUUGUCAGUUACACGUUGGGAAAGUCGUAUUGAAAGUGUGAGAGCAAUAAGAUUCCAAGCUGCAGAUUUAAGAGAAGCUUUACUUCAGUUAGCAGAAAGUGACGGUGACUCCAAAAUAACAAGUGAAGCUAAUUCUUUGGCAACAUAUGAACUUGGAAAUUUUGAGUUCUUAUUGGGCAUGGUUAUUUGGUAUGAUAUAUUAGGUGGUGUCAAUGUAGUGAGCAAAAACUUACAAUCUGAAGACAUGCUUAUUGAUGUUGCUAUUGAUAAAGUGAAAGGGUUGAUUACUUUUUUUUUGAAAAGUAUAGAGAAAAUGGGUUUACAGAAGCUAUGUGUACUGCUAAAAAAAUUGCUACUGACAUGGGAAUUGACCCGGUGUUUCCUGAGAAGCGAAAAAUUCGUAGAAAAAAACAUUUUGAUGAGAAUACUUGUGAGCUAUCCCAAUCAGUUCCUGAAUCAACUGAAGAAAAGUUUAGAAUUGAUUAUUUCUUGUAUUUAGUGGACCAAGCUAUUGGUUCUUUACGAAGAAGGUUUCGACAAUAUCAAGAGUAUGAGAAUUUUUGGGUUUUUGUUUACUUCAGAGAAGUUAAAUUCAUUGGAUGAUUGCGAUUUGAAGAAUAGUUGCAGUCAUCUGGAAAGCAUUUUGAAAAAUGACAAGUUUUCUGAUGUCGAUGGGGAGGAUUUAUUUGUUGAGUUGAAAGUUUUACAAGAGCUUUUACCAAAAGUAAAUACCACAGCUACUGCAAUAUUAAAUUUCUUGAAAAGAUUAAAUUGUUUUCCAAAUGCAUUCAUUGCAUAUAGAAUCCUAUUGACUAUUCCUGUUACUGUUGCAUCUGCGGAAAGAAGUUUUUCAAAAUUAAAAUUGUUAAAAUCAUACUUGAGAUCAACUAUGUCGCAAGAAAGAUUAAAUGGACUAGCUUUGAUUUCAAUUGAAAGUGAACUUCUUGAAAAACUUGAUUAUGAACAUUUGAUUGAUGAUUUCUCUUCUAAAAAUUCAAGAAGAUCAAUUUUCAGACAUUAGUAUUGUACUAGCUGUGUUUUUUUUUUUCUUCUAGGGUAAAAGCUCUCAUAAUAAUUUUAAUUCUUCAAAUAAGACAGCAAAUACAAUGUGAUGAAUUUUGGAUAAUCAGGUAUGUUUUUGUUGUUGCUUUUGUGUUUAAUGCAAUAUAAUCUAAUUUUUUUAAUGACAUUUGUGUGCAACUACUCUUUGAUUUGUGAUUGCCAAUUUUUUUUUCUUUCUAUUAAACACAGAUUGCUUAUUGGAGGCAGCAAGAGACCUUAUAGGGGCACAAGGAGCUUAUUUUUGUACAAAACAUUUAACUUUAUCAAAUGGAAACAUUUAAAUUUUUAUGAAUUUGAUUUCUGAUUGUCAUUGCAUAUUUAUUGAUGGUGAAUUUUAGUUAUAAAAAAAAAAUUGUUUAUGACAUUAAGUUAUGGCAAAUUUUUAUAGUAUUUUCGUAUUAGAUUAUGCGAGGUCCCAAUUUAAGUUUCGCACAGGGCCCUCAAAAUCUCAGGAACGGCCCUGCUGCUAAUACUUGAUCAAUAACAGAGAUAAUAGAGCACACUGUUUGUAUGACAAUGAGUAUCAGAAGAAUAAUAGCUGCAAAGAGAGAAAUAGCUGCCCAAGGUGUGUUGAAAUACUUUUGUCUCAAAUUUGCCUUCCGUCUGUUCGUGGUCUUCUUGCAGUACUCGUUUAGUUUGCCAGCAAGAUCACCAAAAUAGUAGUUUCCGUGGUUCGGAGCAACUUUACUGCAAAGCUUGUUAAUCAUAAUGGAAACCUUAUUGUUGUCACCUAGCGUGUUUACAACAAUUCCAUUGUCAACAAGCAACUCUACAUCCUUUGGGGUGUUUACAAAUUUAUCCAGGAUGAAAACAUAAUCGCUUAUGUAUUUAUCCACGCAAUGGCCUUGUUCAAAGGCAAUGAGAUUUCUAUGUGUAAGCUGUGUAAUCAUGUAUUUCAAUUUUUGGAAUUUCCAAGGUGUUUUUCUUGAACUGUAUAUCGAAUAAGUUCUUGCUUGAUCCCACGUUAAACUUAACUCCGGCCUGGUGUAGUUUUGUCAUGCUGGGUGUACUUUGGAGCCCUCCAUUUUUUUUUCUUUUGGCAGAUGUAAAGUUCUAAUAAAAUCAACAAAAUGUAAAGGUUUUUUAGGAUCAGGAGGCAUAAAAGACUUACGGAAGGCUGGUGAGUUCUCCAAGUUUUCUAAACGCAGUGCCUGUUGGAAGAACUUGUAAGAGAGUUCAAUUAUUGAAGGCUCCCCAGUCUGAGCACCUGUGAGAUUGUAAAGAUCCUCGAGAAUGAAAAAUGGCAGCUGAUUUACGAGCAUAAGCAUGUCAGGCAAUAUAUUUUGUAGCACCCAUGGUUUUUUAAAUAUCCAAGCAUCAUCAUCCUGCAAUUUUUCUUCCUGAAAUUUUUCUUCGGAUUUAUUCCUCAACAAUAGCUCAAUGACAAAGGCGGCAUCAACUAGAAUGAUAUUCACAAAAGUAGCAAUGUUAAACUUCUUAGGGCUAGUUUGGCGGCGUUGUGCUUUUAAAAAAAUAUGCUUCUGCUGUGCUGUGAAAAUAAUUAGCUGUGAAAAAAAGCUACUAGGCGUUUGGUAAACUGUUUUUGAAAAACUGCUGUGAGUAGUCAAAGUGUUUGGUAAAUUUUUAUCAGAAGUACUUUUAGUGUGUAUAAUGACCAAAAAGGACAUGAUGAUGAAAUUGUUUGUUAUUUUCUUCAUUCUUUUUCUACUUUAAAAAAAAAAAAAACCCAAUUUCACUACAUAAAUUUUUAUUCUUUUUUAAUUCACACCUUUUUAUCAAAAAAUUUAAUCUACAAUUAACAUACAUAUUUUACCAUAAAUUAUAAAUUACUAUUAUAACAAAAGUAAUUCUAAAUAUUGUUAUAUUAAUAUGGGCUUCGGACAUGACAAAAAUACAAAAAUUGUUCAAUUUUAAAAUGCCCCAAUAGAUCACUACAAUAUAAAAGAAGCUAAUUAGAUGCAUUCAUUAAACUUGUAGCGAUGCUAUUUCUUAAUGCAUUCAUUAGCUUCUUUUUUUGGUUUCCAAUGGUUCUCUAACAAUUUUAACUAAAAAAACAACCAUAAUGCUUUGUGAACAAUAAAUUCAAGUCCAAAUCUGCUAUUGCCCACACCAUACAUAUAUACAUAAUUGUUCCUUUCAUAAAACUUGAAGAUUCAAUAGUAAUUACACAGUUUACCAAUCUUGAUUCCAACUAUAUCCAUAAAAUUAAACUAUAAUUAGAAAUAGAGGAGCUACAUGUGAUUACUCAUAAAUGCUUCCCACUCUCAUCAUCAUCAUCAUCAUCAUCUUCCUCCUCUGUACUUUGCCUUUCACAAAUGGACAAGACCAGAUGGUAACGUACACGACAUGGUCCACAUAUAGAUAAAUUUUGGGUUCACUGGAGAACAUAAAAGAGUUUUUACACGAAUACAAAGUUAGUUAAGUAGUGAAUAAAGUAAAACUAUUCUGUACAAUUCUAGCUGAUGCAGUCCAAAAAGAAUAUAUGUCUAAUAACUUAAAUAACAAUAAAGAGAAACAAAAGCCUCAUGAAAAAUGCUAGAGUAAAAGUUACAUAACUGAAUCGAUGGACAGAGAACUCCACAGGCAGAGAAACAGCAACAAAAAUUGUCAAAACAGUAGCAAGACCAUGUUGGAGUCAAGGCCAAAGAUCAUAUUUCCUGUGUAUCUUCUUCCAUUCUGAAUUAUUCUCGUAUUCAAAUACUGUAACUCUAUUUCAAGUGCACCCCAAAAUACUUAUCUAAGGCCAGUACAUAGGACUUCAUAAAGGGUGCGAUAAAAAAUAUUGCCCCUUAAUUGAUAAACAGAACCAAGAUCCCAACAGCACACCAAAACUAUACCAACCACACCUACAUAAUAUGGACAGAAAAUCCUGUUGUUCCGAUCUCUAACCACACCAAUGACAUUCAUUAGGAAAAUACAAAAGAUGGGUACCCUGCAUUUCUAACAUUUAAGAUAAAAUUCACUGCCAGCUAAUCACAAAUUUGAAAAGAUGGCAAGAAAAUUGGCUAAGCUUUAACAAAAACCAGAGCAGUCCUUGCAUAGACCUGACUUUUUGCUCCAAGCUUUAGCAGAUCACUUACUGGUAGAGAGCAGAGAACAUGUAUGUGAAUAUCUGAAGUUGGAAGGGUAAGCCAUCACAAACACCAAGAGAUCUGAUUCUCAUCUCUUGUUACAACAACAAAUCACAAACACCAAUACAUCUGAUUCAGAAUCUCAUAAACAAUGGAGGAACAAACACAUAUUCACACACAUAUAAAUCCCUAAACAGAAAAAAUAAAAAAUAAAAAAAAAACCAUGAAAGUCAUAGGAGAAUCAAAUUGAUUUGGGCCAAAAUUGCCUAAAAAGAAAACACUCCUAAAUAAACUUCAAUUCACUUUUAAAAACAGUAAAACAUGAUUGAAUCAUUCUUUAAAACAAUUCCCUAAUAUACAUGCAUGAUAAUGACAUCAUUUACCCCUGAAUCAAAUGCCUUUCACUGGUCAAGCCACAAGUCUGUGUUUUGGGAAUUGCUGAGCUGCAUCAAUCCUGCCAAUGUAAAUUCUGCCCCUAGGCUCUCUCAAAGUGCGUUUACAACCUAUGCUAACAUAUACUAGAGUUUGUUUUAGUAUCUAGAAAAUGCCAACACUAAUUUCGUAACACGUAGAAAUUGUUACAUAUUGGAAGUUUUUAUCAUUUUUUCUUCCAGUCUCUCCACCACUCACUAAUACAGAUUACUCAUGUGAUGAGUUUACAAAACAUAUUUCUCUACUCCCACAAAGACCAUACUUUUUCUCAAAAGACUAUAUCACUUUAUCUCUAUCUUUGUGAAAUGUAAAAAGUUGAAACUUUAAUGUCAAACCUCGACAAAAGAUGAACAUCCAUCAUCAAUUACAUUGAAUUUGAAUUUGUUGAACUUAAGUAGUUUUACUUCUCUGUCAGCGUUUGAUGACUUGAUUUGUUAUUUACUUCUUCUUUUUUCCUUGGAAAUGUGUUCCAUCAACGUGAGGAAGAAAAAUAUGCACAAAUUAAUAUAUUUAAUAGAAGCAAAAAUUAAUAUUUACAAAAAUAUGCACAAAUCAAGUAAAAUUAAUAAAGCAUAAAUUGGAAAGGGAAAAUAUGUAGAGGAUGCAUUGUAGGAUUGCUCAUGCCAAUAAUUGUACCCUCUAAAUAUAUAGGGACAUAUUUUUUUUUGUUUUCAUGACAUGUGGUCCUAAAAUUAUUGUUCUUAGCGGGCUCUCCACCCCUCUCGACUGAAAACCUAUUGUGUAAAUCUUCAAUCCUGAAUGAUGCACCUAAAACUCAUGUUGCAAUACACAUCCACCCAUUCUCAGGCCAAUUAUUACUCCUAGUGGGCUCUCCACCCCCUCUCAAAUUUAAGUGGUCCAUUAUUAUUAACCGUAUAUUUUAUGGACCAGCCAGCUGUGAGGUUUUAUCUCAAAAACCUUUCUCCCACAUGCCACAAUUUAUGUCUGAUACAUCACAUCAUGCCAGUUGUCUCAAAUGAAUUUAAGUGAGUGAGGCAGUGUUACUUCUGGGUACCCCUCAUUAUUCGUCUAUAAAUUGGUGAAGCCAGUUGCUACUGUUACCAUAAGAGCCAGCUCCGACUUUCAAAAUAAAAAUUCCAACAACGGUCUUAGUGCCUUCAAUUGUAUGAGUCAUUGAACAUGCAAAUGAAUAAAAUAUGAAUGAUAAAAGUGUUUGAUAAAUCACCAAGUUAUAGAACACUUGAUGAUUUAUCUCAAAUAAAAAUUCAGCUUUCUAAAGUUUGUGAAUUGAAAAUAUAAUCGUUAAAGCUCUCUAAACAAAGAAGACGAAAGUCUUAUUUUAUAGAAUUUUUCUUUACAAGAAAGAAAACAUGUUGAAAACCAAAUCUCCAAUUUCCAAGGCUUGACAGAAAAUCAAAAAAAUAUCUUUCCUAUUCUAGAGAUUGGUCACAUGUAGUUCAACCAAUAGGAAAUGAGAUAUUUAAGAAAGCAAGAUUUUGAUCAAUACCAAUAUCAAAUGAAUUCUUAUACGCCUAGUCAACUAUUAAGGGUAUCUUGACUCCUUGAUAUUGUGAUAUGAUUGAAACAUGAUUUCCAUGUUAGAAAAUUAAGGGGAUGUUAAAACAUGAAAGUAAUAGGAGAAUCAAAUUGAUUUGGACUAAAAUUGCCUAAAAAGAAAACACUCUUAAAUAAACUUCAAUUCACUUUUAAAAACAGUAAAACAUGAUUGAAUCAUUUUUUAAAACAAUUCCCUAAUAUACAUGCAUGAUAAUGACAUCACUUACCCCUAAAUCAAAUUGUCACGCCCCGGACCUGGGGGUCAGUGGAAACCCCACGUUCGGUGCGUGAGAAAAUAAAAAGUAAAAUAAAAUAAAAAGAAUGCCGAAACAAGGGUUUAAAAUAAACUUCUCUUAUAAAAAUAACUCCAAAAUCUUACAACUUUACAAGAAAUAAAUAAAGCCCUAUCAUUCUUAUCUAAUUCAGCCUCAACUGGUUUAGUCCUUGUCUUGCCCACUAAUUCAUCUAAAAAAUGAAGAGUGUUGCUAAACGAACCCUAAAAUUAAUUGAGUACACCCUACUACCAAACGAUUUAUUGAAUUUGUCACAUCUCGGGAUCAACUCCGCCGUAGCACGAUAUUGUUCGCUUUGGGCCCUCCCUCUCUGGCUCGCAUGGUUUUGUUUCUGGGAACUCACGAGUAACUUCCCAGUGGGUCACCAAUCCUGGGAUUGCUCUAGCCCACAACUCGCUUAACUUCGGAGUUCCUACGACUCCGAAGCCUGUGAGCUCCCAAAAGGUCUCGUGCUAGAUGGAUGCGGGUGUGCACAUAUAAGGCACAUCACCCCCUCUCCGUUGGUUGAUGUGGGAUCUUAUAGAAUUACUAAUUUAUCCUAAUAUAAAAUGACCAAAGAAGAUAAAAUAAUAUUGGUAUCUAUUGCUUUGAAUCCAUGCCUUCAAACAAAUUGACUUAAUUUUUAACAAACAACACGGAGUCCAGGAGAAGUGUAUUGAUCCAAGUUGAUUUUUGUAUGCGUAAAACUUAAACAAUCAAUAACACAAAGCAGUUCAUGCUGAAAUAUUGGAAACCCACACCCAAAGAGUUCUCCGCUGCGAGGUUGAAGGCAGGAGAGAUGGGUGACAGAUUUUACUUCCACUGCGAAGUUGGAGGCUAGGAGAGUCUGUGACUGCCAUGGUUGAGGGAGAAGAUGCGUUCAAAAUGCCUAUUGAUAUUUUACAUUAUUGGCUUUUUUCAAAAGUGAAAGUUUUUUUAUGGGUAAAACCUAAAUUUACUUUUUCUAUACAAGUUAACAGUGUUUGUGUAUUGUGAAAAGGUGGAGAGACGUGUCAAAAUUUUAGACAAAGGACAGGAGGAGAUAGGGAAUUUGGGGACAGCAGAUCUCAACUCCCUUGAGACCCUAUUCUCUACGCCACCCCUCCCCCUCAACAACCCUAGUCACCAUUUCUCCUUCAACUCCAACGGCAACUCAUUAAAACCCAAUUCUCAAAUGCAACAAUCUAAUCCCAAUCCCAAUUCAGAUGUUUCUAAAAAACCCAUUGUCGUGGUGGAGAACUGCAAUUCCAGGUGGUGGUGGUGGUACCACAUGGGAGAGAGAAAAAAGAAGAAGAAGAAGCAGGAGAGAGAGAGUUUUUUAUUUUAUUAUUAUUUUACUGUAAUUUUUUAAUUUAAAUAAUUAAAAAAAUUAAAAGUUAAAGAGGAUGUACCAUGGGUAUUUUUGGUAGUUAAAUAAGGUGUACUUAGGGUCAGUUUGGCAUUGCUGUGCUGUGAAAAUAAUAGCUGUCAGAUUUGCUGUGAGAGAAAUCAGCUGUGAGAGAAAUCAGUUUGGCGUUUGAUAAAAUUUUUGUUAAAAGUGUGUUGAUAUUGAUUUUAUGCUUAAUCCGAAAAUGAUUGCUGCAUAAUCAUUAAACCCAGCGCCUCUUCGAAACUGAUUCCUAUAUAAUCAGAAAAUGAAAGCACCUCAUUAGCUGCUUUCCUUUAUAGCUUUCUCUCACAGCAAUUUUUAACAAUAAGUGAUUUUCUCACAGUUUACCAAACGGGUUGGGCUUCUCAAAAUUUUUUAAAAAUCACUUAUUACCCCAAAUAAGCAAUACCAAACGGGCACUUAGUUAAUUUUACAUUUUAAUUUAAACAUUAGGGUGUACUCAGUUAAUUUUAGGGUUCGUUCAGCAGCACUCAAAAUUAAACAAGGUGAGGGAUGAGCAAGUAGGGACAUGAGACAUUGCCACAGUAGAUUGAUAUAACUAAAUAUUAUUAUAAACAUAGAAAUAUAUAAGUAUUAUUAUAAUAGGAUUCAUAAUAAUUAAUAUAAAAGUAUAACAACAAUAUUUACAUUUAUGUACCAAGAUAAUUACACAUAUAAAUAUAACCAAUAUAUAUUUUUAUAUAUUUUAAAAUAUAAGUCUUUACGUAAAUGCCUUUCACGGGUCAAGCCACAAGUCUGUGUUUUGGGGAUUGCUGAGCUGCAUCAAUCCUGCCAAUGUCAAUUCUGCCCCUGAGCUCUCUCAAAGCACGUUUAAAACCUAUGCUAACAUAUACUAGAGUUUAUGCUGUAUCUAGAAAAUGCCAACACUAAUUUCGUAACACGUAGAAAUUGUUAGAGAUUGGAAGUUUUUAUCAUUUUUUCUUCCAGUCUCUCCACUACUUAUUAAUACAGAUUACUCAUGUGAUGAGUUUACAAAACCUAUUUCUCUACUCUCGCAAAGACUAAACUUCUUCUCAAAAGACUAGAUCACUUUACCUCUAUCUCUGUGAAAUGUAAAAAGUUGAAACUUUAAUGUCAAACCUCGACAAAGUGUUCUACUUUACAAACUUCUUGUGUCUACCAAUUUGUACUAAAAUUAAUUUCUCUACAGUGCUCAGAUUCAUCAUAUGUGUGUCCUUAAUUUUAGUGGAAAUUGGAAGUUUCCAUAAUUUUUGCUUUAAGUCACUCUUCUGAAGGAAGUUGAGGUUCCACUUCAUAAUCCAAAAUGUCAGGUUGACUUAUGGCAAACAAUGUAAAUAUGUAGGAGUACUAUGACCUUUUAUAGCAUUUUUAGUUUGAAUUUGGGUUUUAUACAUAGAUUUCAAAAUUAAUAGGUUGAUGCCUAGGAAAUAGAAAUUGUAAGGGCCUAUAUUAGAGUAGCCCUCUUAAAAAUAAUAUUAAUUAAUGAAUAUUUGUUCUUCUUGUUGUUUUGAAGUAGUGGUGGGAGGCAGACCAACAAAAAAAAAAUAUAGUGAAGGCUUAUAAGAGCAUUUACAAUCAUGCUCCCUAUUUUUUAGUUAAAAUUUAGCUAAAAAUAGAAAAAAAGUUAUUAUAGGAGCUCUUUAUAAAGCUCCUUUAUAAAAUUUGAACUCCAAUCAUACUCCCUAGUUUAGGGAGUCAAAAAUACUAUAGUUAUUUUUUAAUUCAAUUUGAUUUUGGUUAAUCUCUAUAAAUAUGAAAAAAUAGUUAGCAUUAAUUAAAAGUUUAAACUAUGCAUAAAACAAAGAAACAUUAAAUUAUAGGGAGCCACUAUGAGUCAUUACUCUCUCCUCAGAUUUAGGAGCUCCUAAAGGUCUCCCUAUUUUAUGAGGUGGAUAAGGAGCAUGGUUGGAGUUGUAUUUCUUCAAUUUCCUCCCUAAAAUUUGUCUAAGGAUGUGGUUUAGGGAGCCCAUUGUGAAUGCUCUAACUCUGGUAAAACACGAGUGACAUGGACAACAUAUGUUACGUCGUACUGAAGAUUUUUGGGUUUCUUUAAUUGGUUAAGUAGCAUCCACACAGCUUCCUAAAUCAUCUCCUUAGACAAAUUUUAGGGAGGAAUUGGAAAAGUACAACUCCAACUAUGCUCCCUAUCCACCAACUAAAAUAGGGAGACUUCUAGGAGCUCCUAAAUCUGAUGAGAGAGAAAGGACUCUUAAUGACUCCCUAUAAUUUAAUGUUGCUUUAUAUUAUUUUGUAUACAGACGGGUCAAUUAUAUUAAAUUAAAAAAUAAUUAAAGUAUUUAUGACUCUCUAAACUAGUGAGCAUAAUUGUAGAUCAUCUUAUAUACCUUAAUUUGAAGAUUCUUUAUUUGGGUUUCUUUCAAGACUUAUCACCUUAGCCACGCCACCUACACGUCUGCAAGCUUUCCUAACAAGGAAGGGGAGGCUGCGCAAUACUUAUCACCUUAGCCACACUACACCAAAUUGACGUCUGCAAGCUUUCGUAAUCUAACAAGGAAGGGGAGGCUGCGCAAUACUUAUCACCUUAGCCACACCAACACCACAAGACCAAUAUGUGUAGUCCAGGAGGCUUUCCCAUUUUAAUAUAUAUUAUCAAAUAAAAUAAAAAUCAAUCUAUUAUCAUAUAUAUUAUAAAAUAAAGAUUAUUGCUCCAUCCUCCAUGCACUUGCAUGCCUCUUACAAAGUGUGAAGUAGAUUUUGUGUGCUCCAAGUCAUUGACGAGAGCUGUAACAUGGUUAGCUGGAUUUAUAAGAUCUUUUCUUUUCUGGGAAUUUUCUGAAUCAAGAAAAAUUAAGUAAAAUUAAUAAAGCAUAAAUUAGAAAGGAAAAAUAUCUAGAGGAUGCAUUGUAGGAUUGCACAUGCCAAUAAUUGUAUCCUCUAAAUAUAUAGGGACAUAUUUUUUUGUUUUCAUGACAUGUGGCCCUAAAAUUAUUGUUCCUAGCGGGCUCUCCACCCCCUCUCGAUUGAAAACUAAUUGUGUAAAUCUUCAAUCUUGAAUGAUGCACCUAAAACUCAAGUGUCCCAGGCCAAUUAUUGCUCUCAUACCACUUGUUGUAAUAAACAUCCAUCCAUUCUAAAGGAAAGAUAACCAUCGAUAUUAUCUCAAAUUUAACCACUUAAGUUCAUUAUGAUUAACUAUGUAUCUUAUGGACCAAUCCAAUCAUGAGGUUUUAUACCCAAUUAGAUCGACUAAUACAAAGUUCACACGUGGAUUGAAAAGCGCUAUCAGUAGGGGAGUGUUCGGCACCCUUUACUGCCGAACGCAACACAAGACCCCUUGCAUGCCUUCACUAAGUUGAGCCUAUCUAUUUUUUAGCAUUAACAAUAUAUAUAGAUUGAAAAAAUAAAAUAAAAAUCAAUCUAUUAUCAUAUAAAAUAAAUAUUAUUGCUCCAUCCUCCAUACACUUGCAUGCCCUCUUACAAAGUGUGAAGUAGAUUUUUUGUGCUCCAACUCAUUGACUAGGGCUGAAACAUGGUUAGUUGGAUUUAUAAGAUCUUUUCUUUUCUGGGAAUUUUCUGAAGCACGGAAAAUCAAAUAAAAUUAAUAAAGCAGAAACUGUACCCUUUAAUUAUAUAUGGACGUAUGUUUUUUUGUUUUCAAGUCUUAGAUGACAUGGGGACCUAAAAUUAUUGCUCCUAGUGGACUCUCGACCCCUCUCAAAUUUAAGUGGUCCAUUAUUAUUAACCACAUAUUUUAUGGACCAUGCAGCUGUGAGGUUUUAUCUCAAAAACCUUCGGUACAUUUCUCCCACAUGCCACAAUUGUAUAUUCACAAUUACGGCUGUUACGUCACAUCAUGCCACUUGCCUCACAUGCAACAAGUCUGUGUUUUGGGGAUUGCCGAGCUGCAUCAAUUCUGCCAAUGUCAAUUCUGCCCCUGGACUCUCUCAAAGCACAUUUAAAACCUAUGCGAACAUAUAUUAGAGUUUAUGAUGUAUGUAUCUAGAAAAUGCCAACACUAAUUUCGUAACAUGUAAAAAUUAUUAGAGAUUGGAAGUUUUUAUCAUUUUUUCUUCCAGUCUCUCCACCACUUAUUAAUACAGAUUACUCAUGUGAUGAGUUUACAAAACCUAUUUCUCUACUCUCGCAAAGACUAAACUUCUUCUCAAAAGACUAGAUCACUUUACCUCUAUCUCUGUGAAAUGUAAAAAGUUGAAACUUUAAUGUCAAACCUCGACAAAGUGUUCUACUUUACAAACUUCUUGUGUCUACCAAUUUGUACUAAAAUUAAUUUAUCUACGGUGCUCAGCUUCAUCGUAUGUGUGUCCUUAAUUUUAGUGGAAAUUGGAAGUUUCCAUAAUUUUUGCUUUAAGUCACUCUUCUGAAGGAAGUUGAGGUUCCACUCCAUAAUCCCAAAUGUCAGGUUGACUUAUGGCAAACAAUGUAAAUAUGUAGGAGUACUAUGACCUUUUAUAGCAUUUUUAGUUUGAAUUUGGGUUUUAUACAUAGAUUUCAAAAUUAAUAGGUUGAUGCCUAGGAAAUAGAAAUUGUAAGGGCCUAUAUUAGAGUAGCCCUCUUAAAAAUAAUAUUAAUUAAUGAAUAUUUGUUCUUCUUGUUGUUUUGAAGUAGUGGUGGGAGGCAGACCAACAAAAAAAAUAUAGUGAAGGCUUAUAAGAGCAUUUACAAUCAUGCUCCCUAUUUUUUAGUUAAAAUUUAGCUAAAAAUAGAAAAAAGUUAUUAUAGGAGCUCUUUAUAAAAUUUGAAUUCCAAUCGUACUCCCUAAUUUAGGGAGUCAUAAAUAUUAUAGUUAUUUUUUAAUUCAAUUUGAUUUUGGUUAAUCUCUAUAAAUAAAUAAAAAUAUGAAAAAAUAGUUAGCAUUAAUUAAAAGUUUAAACUAUGCAUAAAACAAAGAAACAUUAAAUUAUAGGGAGCCACUAUGCCAAUAAUUGUAUCCUCUAAAUAUAUAGGGACAUAUUUUUUUUGUUUUCAUGACAUGUGGCCCUAAAAUUAUUGUUCCUAGCGGGCUCUCCAACCCCUCUCGAUUGAAAACCAAUUGUGUAAAUCUUCAAUCUUGAAUGAUGCACCUAAAACUCAAGUGUCCCAGGCCAAUUAUUGCUCUCAUACCACGUGUUGUAAUAAACAUCCAUCCAUUCUAAAGGAAAGAUAACCAUCGAUAUUAUCUCAAAUUUAACCACUUAAGUUCAUUAUGAUUAACUAUGUAUCUUAUGAACCAAUCCAAUCGUGAGGUUUUAUACCCAAUUAGAUCGACCAAUACAAAGUUCACACGUGGAUUGAAAAGCACUAUCAAUAGGGGAGUGUUCGGCACCCUUUACUGCCGAGCGCAACACAAGAUCCCUUGCAUGCCCUCACUAAGUUGAGCCCAACUAUUUUUUAGCAUUAACAAUAUAUAUAGAUUGAAAAAAUAAAAUAAAAAUCAAUCUAUUAUCAUAUAUUUUAUAAAAUACAUAUUAUUGCUCCAUCCUCCAUACACUUGCAUGCCCUCUUACAAAGUGUGAAGUAGAUUUUUUGUGCUCCAACUCAUUGACUAGGGCUGAAACAUGGUUAGUUAGAUUUAUAAGAUCUUUUGUUUUUUGGGAAUUUUCUGAAGCAAGGAAAAUCAAAUAAAAUUAAUAAAGCAGAAACUGUACCCUUUAAUUAUAUAUGGACAUAUGUUUUUUUGUUUUUUUGCUCUCGACCCCUCUCAAAUUUAAGUGGUCCAUUAUUGUUAACCACAUAUUUUAUGGACCAUCCAGCUUCGGUACAUUUCAAAAAGCUUCGGUACAUUUCUCCCACAUGACACAAUUGUAUAUUCACAAUUACUUCUGGGUACCCCUCAUCAGUCGUCUAUAAAAUGGUGAAGCCAGUUGCUACUGUUACCAUAAGAGCCAGCUCCGACUUUCUUUAAUUUCUUGCUACAUCUGUUGCUAAGUUAAUUUCAGUCCUAAUGGGGUUUCAUCUCCCACUCAUCUUUGCUAUUCUCAGUGUAAGCUCUGCAAUUUGAUUAACUUUUCCAUUCUCUCUCAUUGUACUCUAUAUAUAUAAAUGAAAGUUUUGUGUUCCUAUAAUUCUCUCCGAUUUUAUUUAGUACGUACUUAAGUGUCGUCCACUAAUUAAUUACACUUUGUGAGAUUUGAUUUUAAUUAGAGUUCGAAUUAAUGUUGCAGCUAGCAGCGGUUGCACUGGCAAACAAUGCUGCUCAACCAGCACCUCAACUUUACUGGAACUCCGUCCUGCCAAACACACAGAUGCCAAGAUCUAUCAGUGAACUUCUGCAUCCUGGUUUGUGUUCAGCUCUUUAUAAUCUUAGAUAUCUCUUCUACCUGCCAUUUUACUAAAAUAUGUUCGACCACAUAUUUAUCAGCUAACUACUGUGAUUACAAGAAUGACACUUAUUUUCCAAUAUAAUUUGCAGACUCCACAAAUGAAGAAAAGAGCAAACCUGAAAUUUUCCCAUUGCAGGGCAAUAGAGUUUACACUCAAAGCCAUUAUAAAAAACGUCCUCCUCCUCCAUCUGACGAGGGCAAACCUGAAACUUUCCCAUUGGGCAAUAGCCAUUACACUCAAACCCGUUAUAAAAAACGUCCUCCUCCUCCAUCUGACGAGGGCAAACCUGAAAAUUUCCCAUUGGGCAAUAGCCAUUACACUCAAACCCGUUAUAAAAAACGUCCUCCUCCUCCAUCCGACGAGGGCAAACCUGAAAAUUUCCCAUUGGCCAAUAGCUUUUACACUCAAACCCGUUAUAAAAAACGUCCUCCUCCUCCAUCUGACGAGGGCAAACCUGAAAAUUUCCCAUUGGCCAAUAGCUUUUACACUCAAAGCCAUUAUAAAAAACGUCCUCCUCCUCCAUCUGACGAGGGCAAACCUGAAAAUUUCCCAUUGGCACGUUCUCCUCCAUCUGACAGUCAACUAAAGCAUUACAAAGACUUAGCUAUUUUCUUCUUCGAGAAGGACAUGCGCCCGGGCACAACUAUGAAGUUCCAAUUCCCUAGAAAUUCAAACACGGCUACUUUCCUGCCACGCGAAAGUGCUCAAUCGAUCCCCUUCUCCUCUAAGAAACUACCAGAAAUUUUCAACCAUUUUUCAGUGAAGCCAACAUCUGAGGAAGCCAAAACAAUUAAGCAAACAAUCGAAGAGUGUGAAGCUCCAGGCCUUAAGGGAGAGGAAAAAUAUUGCGCCACAUCUUUAGAAUCAAUGGUUGAUUUUAGCACUUCGAAGCUUGGAACAAGAAACGUUGAAGCAAUCUCAACGGAGGUAUUGGAAGAAGGAGCCACCAAGUACAUGCACAACUAUACAACAAUGCCGGGACUGAAGAAGUUGGAAGGUGACAAAGUCGUUGUGUGUCAUAAGGAGAACUAUCCCUAUGCUGUGUUUCUCUGCCAUGCAAUAAAACAAACAGAAGCUUAUGUUCUCUCCCUGAAAGCCGAUGAUGGGAUGAAGGUGAAAGCAGUAACCAUCUGCCAUCUAGACACAUCAGAAUGGGACCCAGAGCAUUUGUCCUUCCAAAUCCUCAACGUUAAGCCCGGAACCACUCCCAUCUGCCAUUUCCUUACCACUGAUGCUAUUGCCUGGGUUCCAAAACACAAAUCUGCAUGAUCAUCACUUAGCACUGUACGUGUAAUAAGCUUGGUCGGGUUGCACCCUAGGCCUGCAUAAUUAUCUCCCUACUUAUUUCUGCCUCUUCAUCAUGCGGUGUAAGAUAUAUGAUGAGAUGAAGUUUUCUCUUGUAACUAUGUAGACUACUUCAACUUGUACUCAUAAUAAAGCACGCUGUUGGGGGGUUCUACUUAAUUUCGUUCUCUCCAAUGUUUGAGUGUUGAAUUGUUACGUUGGAAUAGGCUGCUAAUGCAUGUAGUUAGAGAAGCCUUCAUUUAUAUCAAAGUCCUCAAACUAUCAAGAAUUAAUGUAUCCAGAAACAUAUACCAAGACGCAAAACAACAUAUUUUCCAUUCUCUGUCUGUAACACCAAAGCAAACUUCCUUUAUCACAUCAUUUAAAGGAUCAAAUUCCAGUACUAAUCUAAUCCAUCAUGUAAAGCAUACAAGUGCCUACCUAAAUUUGUCCAUUGGAUAUAUAUGUCACUUUUUAUUUUUUGAUAGAGAUAUAAAUGUUGAAAAAAUUAGAGUACACAACUCUUAUAGACACUACUACGAUUUACUAUUUGCGCGACGGAAGUUUGCGCGACGAACAUUGUUUCGUCGCGCAAAAAGCACUAUUGCGACGAAAAAAAAAUACCGUAGCGCAAACAACAUAACACAAGCGCGACAAACAGUUUCGUCGCGCAAACAAUCUAUGCGCGACCAAUAUUAAUUUCGUCGCGCAAAGGUAGGGGAAAAAAACCCGGUUUUUUUUUUUUGGCGCCAUAAUCUUGCGCGACAACAACAAUCGUCGCGCAUGACAAUAUUGCGCGACAAUUCAAAGAAUUCGUCAGGUAAAGAUGGACAGAAAAUUGUCUCAUUUUUUUGGCGGUAAAAAACUUUGCGCGACGAAAUUUUUCGUCUCAAAAGACAACUUAGCGCGACGGAAAUAUGUACCGUCGCGUAAAAAAACGAGGGAUACUUAUUUUUGGCGCCAAAAUGCAGGGUGGAUAAAAAAAAUUUUGCGCGACGGAAUUACCUUCGUCGCGUAAAGUGUAAUGCCGGUGCUUUCUUGCGCGACGAAAUAAAUAAUUUGCGCGACGUAAUUUAAACCUUGCGCGACGAAAAGUAUUAUUUGCGCGACGAAAUUUUGUGCGACGAAUAAUAUGUUUCGUCGCACAAAAAAGCAGAUGUCGACAGGUAAUUGCGCGACGGAAAUGUUGUUUUGUGCGAUGGAAAAGUGGGUUUUCGCGACGGCAUUUUGCGCGACGGAUAUUGGUGUUCGUCGCGCAAAGUCCUUCUUCUUCAUAUUAGUAUCUGCCAUUGCAGAGGCAGAAUGCAGAAAUUGCAUUCUGCCUCUCUCUCACUCUCCCUGCCGCUGCUCUGCUGUGAAUUCAAUACGUUCAUUGGGUAUGUAUUUUUUGUCGUUAGUUUAAAUGUAUUAAUGUAAAUUCGUAGUAACGCUAUUAAUUUUGUUAUCGUUAGGGAUAUUUGUGAUUAGUGAUUGGUGGAGAACGAUUGAGAAGGUAUGUUAUUGUAAAAGUUUGUUUGUUAUGUUUGUAAUUUUUUUGUGAAGUUAUAUGUAUAUAAUGUUGUGAAAUUGUGCGUGACAUAGCACAAUGUGUUGUGAUGUACGAAGUUAAUUGAAAUUAACUUCGUACUUUUAUUUUUAUGUUUAGUAACACGUAGUUUCCCGUUCGAGAUUAGUUGGAUUUCGUGCAUGGAUGAGUAAUGCAUGACUGCGGUCCAAUUAAUUCUUGAAUUGUCCCAUUAUUUGGACAGUUUGGUAAUGCAUAGUGUUGUCACAUAAUCUUCGGCUACAGGAUUAGGUUUCGAUUGUGGAGAUUUCGGUGUCAUCUCGGUACGUUCUUCGAGUGGUACGUAGGUAUUUAUACCUAUGCCCACUUCAAGAACUGUGUCGAGAUGCUGCCGAAAUUAAUCCACGUCGAAAUCUAAUCUCAUGUAGCCGUAGGUUACGUGACAGGACUAUGCAUUCCCGAAUGGGAUAGGGCCCUUACCGGAGGCAUAAGGUGACAUUAUAACUUCGUAUGAAGUUGUUGUGAUUGUUGUGUCGUGAUUGUGGUUUCAUGAAUUAUGAGCAGAAGGUGGAUACAUAACCCGAAUAGAUGCGCAGACGAAUACUUGGAUGGAAUCGAGGAUUUUAUUGAGUUUGCACAUAGACACAACCCGGGUGCAAGUAGAAUCCGUUGUCCUUGUAGGAGGUGUAACAACACGUUGUGGGAGACAAUUGAAAAUGUUGGAUUUCAUUUAGUAAGGAAUGGAAUGAUUGAAACAUAUAGCAUUUGGAACCUUCACGGCGAACAUGUAGGCCAUGCUUCGUCUUCAAAUGCCCCAAGAGUGGACAAUGUUGAACCUAUUGUGGAUCCUAAUGAUCAAGUCAUGGGUAUUAUACAGGAUGCUUUUCCAUUCGCAUCGACCAACAUCAAUCAGGAAGGGGAAGAUAACGUGCCUACACCAAUAGACAGUGCGGAGUUUGAACAGUAUGAAAAACUGUUAAAAAAUGCCAACCAAGAGUUAUACCCGGGGUACGAGAGCUUUUCCGUUCUCACUUCUAUUGUGGAGCUAAUGCACGGAAAAAUAAAGUAUCGUAUGUCGAACUUGUGUUUCGAUUACUUUUUGGGGGUUUUCAAGAGAAUGCUUCCGACGGAUAAUUAUUUGCCGAAAGACCAGAAACAUGCACAGAAGGUGUUGCAUGGUCUUGGAUUGGGUUAUGAAAAAAUCCACGCUUGCAAAAACAAUUGCAUGUUAUUCUACAAAGAGCAUGAAACGUUGGAUACAUGCCCUAUAUGCAAUGAGUCGAGGUUCAAAAUGACAUCCCAGAAUAGAACGACUAAGAUACCACAAAAAGUCAUGCGUUAUCUGCCCCUUAAACCUGGGUUGCAGCGAUUGUAUAUGUCGACGCAUACUGCCACAGACAUGAGAUGGCAUAAGGAAAAACGGGUAGACGAUGAUGUGAUGCGGCAUCCUGCAGAUGGGGAGGCAUGGAAAGAGUUCGAUCGAACGUUCCCCGAGUUUGCUGCUGAUCCCCGAAAUGUAAGAUUGGGACUUGCCACUGACGGAUUCAAUCCGUAUGGGGUUCUAAACCAACACCACAGCACUUGGCCGAUUUUCGCAUUCCCAUAUAAUUUGCCGCCUUGGAAAUGCAUGAAAAAAGAAUACAUGAUGAUGACUGUUUUGAUAACUGAGGAUCCUGGCAGGUCAAUUGAUGUGUACUUAAGGCCUCUGGUUGAUGAGCUGAAAGAUUUAUGGACAAACGGUGUUCGCACGUACGAUAAAUCAACUGGGAGGAUGUUCACUUUGCGAGCAGCAAUUAUGUGGACUGUGAAUGAUUUUCCAGCAUAUGCAAUGGUUUCUGGGUGGAGCACAAAAGGUUAUAUGGCAUGUCAUGUAUGCAAGGAAGAUGUAACUUCUGGUUGGCACGCGGGAAAAGUUUGUUACCUUGGUCAUCGGAGAUGGUUGCCAUGGGACCACGAGUGGCGAGAAAAAGAUAAAGAGUUCAACGGGAACACAGAGCGUCGCCUCAGACCUGGAGAAUGGUCCGGUGAUGAGAUCUUGGAACAGCUGAACCGUUUGGAUUUUGGUCCGUUCGGAAAAACAAUUAGUCGGACCAGACCUUCUACACAUUUGAACUGGACGCACAAGCCUAUGUUUUUUGAGCUCCCAUAUUGGUCGAAACUGAAAUUGAGGCACAAUCUAGAUGUGAUGCAUGUUGAGAAAAAUGUAUUCGACACAUUGGUGGGCACGAUUCUAGAUAUCGAGGGGAAGACGAAGGACACGAUCAAAGCUCGUCUUGAUUUGGAAAGAAUGGGCAUACGAAGGGGUUUAUGGAUGAAUAGGGACAGUGAUAAAGCUAGAAGGGAUCUUGCAUUCUUUUCUAUGAAACCGAAUGACAAAAAGGAGUUUCUAAAGUUUGUAUCGUCUGUCAAAUUUCCCGAUGGGUAUGCUUCUAAUAUCGCACGUUGCGUGAAUGUCGAUGGGGGUAAAUUUACUGGACUUAAGAGCCAUGACUGCCAUGUUCCUGUGGGUAUUCGACACCUACUGCCGGAAGAUGUGGUGAAGCCAAUCAUGUUGUUAUCCAGAUUUUUUUCCCAACUGACGGCAAAAACAUUGCGAAGGACAGACAUGUUUCAGUUGCGCCAUGACAUUGUCCAAGUCCUAUGCAAGUUUGAGAUGAUAUUUCCUCCGGCUUUCUUUACAAGUAUGAUGCACGUAAUGGUUCACUUGCCAGAAGAGGCAUUGCUUGCUGGUCCUGUCAACUAUCGCUGGAUGUAUCCAAUAGAAAGGUAUAUAAUCUUUAUCAUUUGUGUAUGCAUCAUUAUCGACACUUUGCUAAUUUGUAUCAUAUCGUUUUAUUUUGGCAGGCUUCUCGGAGAGCUGAAAAAAAGUGUACGCAACAGGGCAAAGCCCGAAGGAUUAAUUAUAGAGGCUUGGGUUCAAUAUGAGUCGCUUACUUUCUGUGGAAUGUAUUUAAAAGAUGUGGAGACGGUUUUCAAUCGUCCUCAACGCAAUAAUGACGGAGGUAUGAGAAAUGAAAAACUUUUUGUUUUUGCCCAAAGCGCAUGACCAUUUGGAGAUCCUGGACGAGGAGAGUCGUUUUCUAGAAAUGACAUGGAGGUAGCGCAUUGGUUCGUACUGAACAAUUGUGAUGAGAUAAUGGCCUACUUAGAUGAGCAUGAACAGAUGAUGAAGCGAGAACAUCCAUCACAUUUGGUUGCCCGGAAACAUCGUGAAUUAUUUCCACAAUGGUUUUUGGAUUCUGUAAGUUAUAACUGUUUUGUAAUUGACAAAUAUAAAUUGUAGUAUUUAAUUUUGUCAGACUAACAUGUAAAUGAUUUUGUAUACUAUUAGGUGAAUAAAUUGAAAUCAUCGAAUUCCCCCACUUACAGUGAUGAGUUAUAUAACUUGGCGUUCGGCCCAAUUCGUGCUGAGUUGUUCUCGGGUUGUAAUGUUAACGGCGUCAAAUUUUUGGGGGCCGCACGAGAUGACAAGUUGUGUAUGCAAAACAGCGGUGUCCAUGUCCCAGGUGGAGGCGAAAGUACGGACAUUGAUUUCUAUGGCAAACUGACAACUGUCGUGCAAUUGCUUUAGAAAGAUCGAUACCAAGUCAUCAUGUUUAAGUGUCGAUGGUUCGAUACCAACCCAAAUAGGGCGGGAAGUGUUAAAAUCGACCAUGGAGUACUGUUUGUGAACAUGGCGUCCCAAAUUGUGUAUCUAGAUGACCCUAAAGCCGGGAGCGGGUGAAAAGUUGUGCAGAAGAUGGAUCAUAGGAACGUGUAUGAUAUACCAGAACUAGACCCAAGUGACAACGACGUCGACAAUGUGGCUGACCAACGUUUAGAAUCUUCAAUGGAAAAUGAUGCGGAAACACUUCGAGAUACAAAUGUUAUACAAGAACCGUUUCAAAUAGAAGGAGUGUCUUCAGUAGAAAUACCGAUUCAGUCAAUUACAAUUGACCUCGGUGAUCUUCCCCGAUACGAUGUUGCAGUGGGUCCUAGCAACGCCGAUGAUGCAGUUAUAGAGGAGGAGGAGGAAGAAGAUUGGGAGACCGAGAGUGAUGAUAGCGAUGAUAACGAAAGUUAUUAUAGUUCAGAUGAUGAAUAAUGAAUUUAUUUGUAAAGUUAUUAUGUUAGUGUAUUCAUUUUGUGUAAUACAAAUCUUUGAAUAUAUGUAGUUGUCCAUAUGUAGUUGUGUAUUCAUUCUCCAUAUUUCAUCACAAACUUCAUUGGAAUGUCAAUACUUUAGUCAAUACUUAUUACGACCCCAUGCUUGUCGAUUGGUUUUUAUUUAUUUAUUUAUUAAUGUCUUUAACUCUUCAAUUAUUAUUUUUUUCUUUUGAGAUAUAGUUAUUUCUUCAUGUUUAAACAAAAAAUAUAAGUUAUUUCUCCAAUAUUAUCUGUGUGCCACUUAUUUUUCUUCACUUUGGUUCAUGAUUAGUGGCAUCAAUCUAGUCAAACCGAUAAAAUCGGUCGAUUCAAAUCUUAAUUAUCAAUUUAGUUUGGUUUUGAUGAAGAAAUACAAAGCCUUUCCAAAAAAUACAGAGCAUAAAAAAUGAUGAAUACAAAACCUUUCCAAAAAAUACAAAGCAUACACAAUUUGAAUUAAAUGAGGAUUUAUGGCGCCAAAUCCUUGCGCAACGAUAAGGAGCCCUUCGUCGCGCAAAUAUAUAUUAGGUAACGUUAUAGUAUAAUAUAUACCCACAUAUAUAUUUAAAAUUGGCGAUCGAAGUAGUUCAUUGUAUUCAUAUGAAGUGUAGGACUGUAGCUGCAAAAAAUCAUCAACAUCGGAGUUAAAAUAACCGUUCAAUCAUCACUUUUUAUUUAGAACCGUCGAAAAGUUUUACCCCGUUACUUAAUCUCUGAAUGUUUUUUUUGUCUGAUUUUUGCUGUCUAUGAUCUCGAAGUAUAACAAAACAAGUUUGACGGCUGGAUGACUGAAGCUAGUUUCGUAGACUGCGUGUGCUAUCAAAAUCAUAUAUUCACCAAAAACUCAAAAAUUUGUUCAUACAUUUGUGAAAAUGUAACUUAAUGUUUAUGUGGUAUCCCCUAGUGUAAAAAUAUGAAAUUGAAGAUCAAAUUCAGUCAUUGUAUUCAUAUAGGGUCAACAAAUGUUGCUGUAAAAAAUGAUCAAAAUCGGAGUUAAAAUAACCGUUAAAUCAUGACUUUUCAUUUAUAACCGUCAAAAUAUUUUGUCCUGUUCCCUGAUAUCUGAAUGUUUGGUCGUUUUGAUUUUUGGCGUAUACGAUCUCCAAGUAUAAACAAAUAAGUUUGCCGGUUGGAUCAUUGAAACUAUUUUAGGGUUUAGGGUUUAGGGCUUAGGGCUUAGGGUUUAGGGUUUACAUUUUAGGGUUUAGGUUUUGCGCGACGAAUAAACAUUCCUUUCGUCGCACAAAGUGAAAGUGACAAAGAUUGCGCGACGGAUAAGUCUUCCAUUCGUCGCGUAAUCUGGGACACACAUUUCACCCCUCCAUACCCUUUGAACACUUAGUGAAAAUUUCAACCGAAUGAAAUUCUUGAACCCGCGCGACGAACAAAGCAAAUACGUCGCGUAAAGUGGACGUGAACAAGAUUGCGCGACGGAUAAAUCUGGUAUUCGUCGCGCAAUCUGGGCCACACUUUCACCCUUCCAUCCCCUUUGAACACUUAGUGAAAAUUUCAACCGAAUGAAAUUUUUGAACUCGCGCGACGAACAAAACAAAUACGUUGCGCAAAGUGGACGUGAACAAGAUUGUGCGACGGAUAAAUCUAAUUUUCGUCGCGCAAUCUGGGCCACGCUUUCACCCUUCCAUCCCCUUUGAACACUUAGUGAAAAUUUCAAGCGAAGCAAAAUCUUCAACUCGCGCGACGAAUAAAAGUAUUCGUCGCGCAAAAGGCACAGGCCUCUGAUUUUUGUUAGCAAACAUUGCGCGACGUUUACUGUCUUCGUCGCGCAAAAGGCACAGACCCUUCAGUUUCAGCCUCCCGCUAAACCCAAAAUUUUCCCAAAAUUUUGGCGGAACGACAGCGUUUUGCGCGACGAACAUAUGACUUUCCGUCGCACAAGGUUAACCUUGCUCGACGUUUACUAUCUUCGUCGCGCAAAAGCACAAACCCUUCAGUUUCAGCCUCCCGCUAAACCCUAAGUCCCAAAAUUUGGGCGGAACGACAUCGUUUUGCGCGACGAAUAUAUGAUUUUCCGUCGCGCAAGGAGAACCUUGCGCAACGUUUACUAUCUUCGUCGCGCAAAAUCACAGUUUCAGCCUCCCGCUAAACCCUAAAUCCCAAAAUUUUGGUGGAACAACAGCGUUUUGCGCGACGAACCAUGUAUUUUUCGUCGCGCAAAAGGCACAGACCCUAAUCCCCAUUCAAAAUUUGGCGUUCUGGGAGACCUUGCGCGACGGAUAUUUCAUCGCGCAAGAUUCAUUAAUACCAUUUUGCACGACGCAUUCUGUUCUUCGUCGCGCAAAGUCGAAUAAAUUUGCAGAAACGGCCCGAUGCCUCCUUCUUCCCCAUUUUCUGGUUUCUCUCCGUUUCUUCCUCUCUCUCCGCCGUCACCUUAGCCCUCUCUCUCUGCCAUCACCUCAGCCACCUCCGCUCGUUCCGUAGCCUCCCUGCCGUCACCGUCGAGCCUGCCGUCGCAAUUUCGUCAGUUUUUCCCGAUUCUUCGCCGGCCGAUUUCUCUCUCCUCCGGCCACCAUUUUCGACGCCUAAGGUAUGAUUUCUCGACUAUUUUUUGUGCUCUAGCUGAUGGUUGGUUAGGAUUUCUUGAAUUUUCGCUAUAGGAAAUAGGAAUUAAAACCCUAGGUUUUGGCCGCUUUGGGAAUUUCAAAUCCGGCCACUUCCGGCCAUUUUUCGGGGUAGGUCCGAGAACAAAAGUGGCUCCAAUUAAUGUUUUCAACCUAGGGUAGGAACCUUGGCCCUUAGUUUUUAGAAUUUUCCGACGAAUGUUAUCGCUUUGGACACCCACGCGCUGCCGGCGCGUGUGGUGGCGCGUGGGAUGUUGUGGCAGUGGGGCAUUGGGUCCCAGAGCAAUCCCCUGUUUGUCACGAGCGCGUAGGUUUGCUCGGAUUUGAAUUUGGUUAUCGUUUGAGUCUUGAUCGGAUUUCGGCUAUUGUGCGAUUUCCAGGUUUGAUAUGUUCGGACCGUUGGAUCGAACUCAAACUCACGUAGUUGUACCUUUGUGUUUCUACGAUCGUUUAGGAUUCGACCGAUCGUUGAUCGGUGUCCCGGAUACUUCGAAAUUCCAAACCCUAGGUGAAGCUAUGCUUUUAAUUAAUUAGUUUAAAUUCUUAAUGAAAUUAUAUGUGCAGAUGUCAGAUUUGAUUAGACGUGGUAGGUCGAUGAUGACUGCACCGAGUUCGGAUCCCCCUGCUCAGUCGGCAUAUGCUGCCACUGCUCCAGCUUUGAUGGAGCACGUGCUGGUUGGUCCCGGGGCGUCCCAGGCGCCUGCGUCAUCUGCGUCAUCCGUCGCGCAGCCAGCUAGUGCUAGGCGGCGGCACCGGCCCGCCGACACGACAUCGACCGACGGUACUGGUGCCUCGGGAUCACAGCCAGAUAUAACUACCAUUUUGUAUUGUUAAUUUUAUAUUGAAAUUUGACAAUGUUGUUUAUUUAACAUUAAUAUCUUUUUUCUUUGCAGCGAAGAAGAACACCUGAGGGCCGUGUCGUCAGCUGAAGACGGCGAAGGUCACCCGGGUGACCAACAGUCGUAUCAGCAUCGGAUACGACGAGCGCCAUCGGGCUGCACCGACGGCGGAGUUGCAUAGCUCCUUGGCCCACGACAUUGGCCACGUCGUGCGGACCCAUUGCCUGAUGCAAUGGAAGUCUUGGAGGGUCAUGCCUGACGAGAUCAAGGUGGAGGUUCGCGGCCAGUUGUCGGUAUGUACCUUACAUUUUCAUUAAUUUUCUUUAAAAUUGUGUAUAUUUCUAUUACUUAACGUAUCUAAUUAAUUGAUUGCAGACGAACUAUAACUUGGAGGAUCUCGACGAAGAGUCGUUGGCGUACGUCAACAGACUCUUCGCUGAGAGGUACAAGCAGUGGAAGAGCGACUUGCACCAUCAUUUUCAGGCCUUUGAUGAUCCGCAAGUCGCUCUUCAGGAGGGUUGCCCGAAGGAGCUUGAGGGGCGGGAGGAUAGUUGGGAGUGGCUCUGCGCUCAUUUUCAAGCGUCCGAAUAUGUGGUAUUUUUUUAAUAAUAUUUGUUUAAUUAUUACUUAUUUCUUAUUAAUGUUUAUUUCAUUUUUUUUAUUUCAUUAUUAUUUAAUUUGUUAUGUUUUAACUAAUACGUUUCAUUUUUUGUAUAACAGAAUAAGGCCCAAGUGAAUAAGGGUAAUAGGAAGAAGAAGACCCUUCUCCACCAUUCCGGCUCCAGGCCCUUUUCGUAUAGGAUGGAUGCCCGGCGACGGGUAAUAAUCACAUAAUUUAUAUUUCAUUUUUAAUGUCAUUUUUAUUAAUUUAUUUUUUUCAUACUAAUAUUUUUCUUCUCUUGUUCAAUUUAGGAGGGGUCCAAGUUCCCAGAGAUCGACGUCUUUGGUGACGUUUAUGUUCGACCCGGGAAUGAGUUGGCCGAGUCCCUUCAUGUAAGUAUUAUUUAAUUUUAAUUCUUAUGUUACGCAUUCAAUUUAUAUGCAUGUUUAAAUUUAUAUUUUAUGUUAUGUUCAACAGACGACGAUGGUGGAGAGGAGCCAGUUGGUUCUUCAGGAGUCCGCCUCCCAGCUUCCUCCCGAGACUCCGAUCGAGUCUGUGGCUCCUCCACAGGAUGCUGGAUUUCAGAUCUUGACGGAGACGUUGGAUCAGACUCUCGGGAGGAGGCCGGGGACAUAUUGUCGAGGGAUGGGGAAUGCCCGGCGGAGGGAACCUAGACCUCGUUCAUCGGCCCAGUCAAACAGUCAGGUGACUGCUUUGACAGCACAGGUGGCCGAGCUUCAGGGUCAGAUGUCGGUGAUUCUACAGUCCCUCGCACAGAGCGGCUUUCCAAUCCCGCAGUUUCGUGCGUCAACCUCCCAGCCCGUCCACCCCGAGUAUGCCCACCAGACCACUGCCCCGGUGGACGCCCAGACCUCCGAGCCGCAUACUGGCGACGACCCGAUUGAUUUUGCUUCAUUAUUUGAUUAGUGUAUUUAUUUUCAUCAUAAACAUUUAUUUUAUUUGUAAUACAUUUAUUUUAUUUUAUAACAAAAUUUUGUUCUAAUUUAUUUUUAUUGCAAUUUCAUUGUUUAAUCAAUAAAAAAACCAAUUUUAUUUAAAAAAAAUAAAAAUAAAUAAAAAACAAAAACAAAAAAAACAAAAAAAAAUUGUAAUAUUAUUUUUGCGCGACGGAAGACAUUUCGUCGCGCAAAACCACAUGUAACAAAAAAAAUUAAAAAAAUCAAUUUUUUAUUACUUUAAUUCUUGCGCGACGAAUACAUACGUCUCGCAAACAUUUUUUGCGCGACGAAAUGUUUCGUCGCGCAACAGCUUUUGCGCGACGACUGAAAUUUUCGUCGCCAAAUAGAUGAGCGACGAAAACUUUCUCAUCGCGCGAAUAGUUCUGCGACGAAUAUAUACGUCUCCCGGACUAGUUUUGCGCGACGAAUUAUUUUCGUCGCGCUAUUCGUUUCGUCGCGCAAAUAUACGUGCGCCGAAUACUUUAUCGUCGCGCAAAUAUUUAUGCGACGAACAGUUGUUUCGUCUCCACACCGUUGGUGCAACGAUGGUUUACCCGUCGCACAAUUAUGCGCGACGAAGUGUUGUACCUCGUCGCGCAAAGGCUUUCUUCACGAUCUUCGCGCGACGGAAGGUGCGCGACGAAUUUUUUGUCGCGCUGAAAUUAGGGCGACUAAAUAAGACUUUGCGCGACGUUUUGUUAUUCGUCGCGCAAAGAGUAAAAUGUAGUAGUGAGACUUGUUGGAGACAAAACAGGUAAACAAAUUACUUGUAUUAGACUCACAAAAUAUUACAACAAGACAACUCUCAAAGAAAAGACAAACUCUCACACUUCUCACAAGGACUACUUAACUUUAUAGCUUAUUGCAUAUAGCAUAUGCAAACACAAUUAGAACAUACCUACGUACACUAUGGGAACACUCGUGUAUAUUUCAACACAAGAAAACAUGUGCACCGUGCACGGUUCACAUGAAGUAAGAAAUGAAGAGGAAAUAAAGAAGAAGAAUACAAAAGAAAAUGGAGAUGAGAAAAAAAAAAAAACCGAAUAAUGAAAAAUGAAUUGACAAUUAUAUAUGGUUGACAUUAGAUCUAAUAUUAUAUGUAACAACUAUUGAUCUAAAAUAAACAUUAAAUCAAACAAUAAUUAAAAGAUUUGACAAUAUAAAAAUUUAUUGAGGACAAAAAAAGGCAAAAACUUAUGAAAAAUGGAAACAAUAAAUAUGAACUGAGUCAUCAACUCACCAUGGUAAGUUUGCUGACGUAUAAAAAUAGUCAAUGGACAUCGAAAAGUAAUUGGCUUACAUCAAAAAUUAAAAUCACGUGGGUUAUUCCUAAGAAACCUUAAUAUUUGCCUUCCAUUUGUUCCAGCAAAAUAAAAGUCAUUGCUACUUAUUGUAACCCCUUUUCCAAGCUUAUUAAUCAAAGUAGACACCUCACUGCUGUCACCUAGCCAAUUUUCAACAAUGUCAUACUUAACAAGCAACUCCACAUCCUUUGAGGUGUUCACAAAACGAUCCAUGAGACUAACAUAAUCACUUAUGUACGUCUCCUCGUAGUGGCAUUGUUCAAAUGCGAUGAGAUUUCUAAUUAAUACCUCUGUAUGAUCGCUUAUUUUCAAUCUUGGAAUUUCAAGAGUCCGGCCAGCAAAUCUAAUAAGGUAUUCAUUGAUCCCUCAUUCAACUUGAACCCUGCCCUGUGUAGCUCUGUGAUGCUGGGUGUGUUUAUAGUUAUGAGUUUCCCGUCAUUAGUUUUUAGGGUUAUUCGUUAUAUGAGUCCCUGAACUUAGACCCGAUUUGCAUUUUAGUCCCUCAAUUUCCAAAAUCGUUCCAGUGGUCCUUCAACUUUAGUUUCGUUAGGACAAAUGGUCCUGCCGUCAAAUGAUUAUAAAGUGGAAAAAACAAGAACAAAAAAGGAAGUGAGUUAAAUUUGCACCUGCUAUGUUCAAACGACAAAGUUCGUUUCCGUUUGGUCGAUUACAAGAGAAGCUCAAUGCAGCUUACUUGGUUCCUCUUGGUAGAUGGAAAUAUAAUUUUUCUCCUAAUAACAAAGGUUUAGUGCAAUCAAUGAUGGGCUGUAUAGAACAACUUUUUUGUUUUAUAUGUUUAUGUGAGACAAGUUUUGCCAGAUUGAAUUAAUGUCUUCUAGCUAUGUACCUUAUCUUUUUGCCGGGCCAUGAGUUGAAUGUAGAGGCAGAGCAUGGCCUUGGGUUUGUAAAAGACAAAAGACUGAACCAGACGUAAUUAUUUAGAUUUUGGAUCCAGUUCCACAUCCCAAAGAGAAAACCACAAGUUUGCAAGCAAGUUUGUCCAUAUUAACACUACGUAGAGUAUAGGCAGUGUGCUACUCAUCUCACUUUCUCAACCUACCCUAUAUUUGUCUAAAAGAGUUUCUAAUUUCGUGUACUGAUUCACUACUACAUUUUACACUUUGUGCGACGAAGAGAAUUUCGUCACGCAAAAUACAUUGGUCGCGCAAAGUUUAAAAAAAAUUUUAAAAAAAUAAAAAAUUCCCGCGUCCAAUUUUUGGUACUUGUCCAAAUUUUUUGAGUUUUGCGCGACGAAUACUAACAUCGCGCAAAUAUUUGCGCGACGAAAUAUUUUUUGUUUUAAAUUUUUUUAAUUUAAAAUAAACUAAUUUAAUAGUUUGCGCUACGAAAUAUUUUGUCGCGCAAGGUUUUUGACUUUUUGUUUUAUUAUUUCUUUAAUAUGAAUUUAUUUAUAUGAAUUUUUUGAAAUUUUUACUUUUUAAAUUUAAUUUAAUUGUAUGAUUUCUUUUUAAAAUUACUUUAAUUUAAAUUGAUAUUAAUUUUUACUUUUUAAAUUUAAUUUAAUUGUAUGAUUUUUUUUAAUUACUUUAAUUUAAAUUGACAUAUUCAAAAUAAAAUUACAUAUGAAAAAUAGUGAUUAAAUUAUCCAAUAAAUAUAUAUAUAUAUAUAAUAUUCAAAAUGUACACAUAAAUUAACAAAGCACAAUAAUAAAAUCCUAAUACAAGCGUAUUGUGGUGGUAGUGUCGGAGGAUAUGUUUUGAUAGCUUCCUAAUCCUCAACUUUAGCCGUCAAAGUCUCGAUGAUUCCCUACAAAAAAAAUAAAUAUGGUCAAAUAACCACAAACAAAAAAAAAAAAAAAAAAAAAGGCAUAAUCUCCCCUAAAAUUGUUAUACCACAAAUCCAACCCAAACUCCAAUCCCUCCCCUUUACUCAACCCCAAAACCCACACAAACUCAAAAUUAACUCCAAAAACACAUAUUAAUGAAAAAAAUUUAAAAUUUGGAGAGAAUAUACCUUUUGGCAAGAUUGAGAGUGAAUGAGAGGGAGAAGUGAGUGUGAGAGAAUUAGAGAAGAUAGUGAUAGAGAGAUGAGAGAGAUGAGAGAGUGAGUGAGAGAGAGUGAGAGAUAGUGAAGAGAGAGAUGAGAGAUUAAGUGAGAGGAGUGAGUGAGAGAAAUGGUGGGAUUUGGGGAGAGGGAAAGAGAAAGGAGAGGUAAGAGUAGAGAAAGGCAUUGAGAAAAUGGUGGAUGAGUUAUUUCGGUUUUAAAAACCGUAUCACUUUGCGUGACGAAAAAUAUUGUUGGUCGCGCAAAGGUUUGCGCGACGAAAAAUAUUGGAAUAUUGAUCGCGCAAACUUUUGAGCGACGAAACAUAUUGGUCGCGCAAAGUCUAAAAAAAUUAUUUAAAAAAAAUAAAAAUCCCCGCGUCCCAUUUUUGGUACCCGCCAAAAUUUUUAAAUUUUUGCGCGACGAAUAUAGGAAUAUUGAUCGCGCAAAGUCUAAAAAAAUUAUUUAAAAAAAUAAAAAUCCCCGCGUCCCAUUUUUGGUACCCGCCAAAAUUUUUAAAUUUUUGCGCGACGAAUAUAGGAAUAUUGGUCGCGCAAAGUCUAAAAAAAUUAUUUAAAAAAAUAAAAAUCCCCGCGUCCCAUUUUUGGUACCCGCCAAAAUUUUUCAAUUUUUGCGCGACGAAAAAUACAUAUUGGUCGCGCAAAGUCUAAAAAAAUUAUUUAAAAAAAUAAAAAUCCCCGCGUCCCAUUUUUGGUACCCGCCAAAAUUUUUAAAUUUUUGCGCGACGAAAAAUACAUACUGGUCGCGCAAAGUCUAAAAAAAUUCCCGCGUCCGAUUUUUGGUACCCGCCCAAAUUUUUGCGAGACGAAAAAUAUAUAUUGGUCGCGCAAAGUUUUGAGCGACAAAAAAUAUUGGUCGCGCAAAGUCUAAAAUUUUUUUAUUUUUUUUUUAAAAUCCAGCGUCCCAUUUUUGGUACCCGUCCAAAUUUUUAGAGUUUUGCGCGACAAACUGUUGGUUGCGCAAACUUUUGAGAGACGAAAAAUUGGUUCGUAACACAAUAUUUAUAAAAAUAAUUGUUAUGAAUAAUAAAAAUAAAAUUAUUUUAUUUUACAAUUUAAAAUAUAAAUAAGGUUAAAGCUGCUUAAGAAAUAUAUAUACUAUUCAAUUUCUUAAGUGUUAUACGUACAAAAUAAAUAAAUUUAAAGGUACUUAAUAAAUAAAUAUAUAUACACACACCAUUCAACGAUCCAACCGUCAGACUUAUUUGUAUAUACUUCAAGAUCGUAUACCCCAAAAAUCACAAAAAACAAACAUUUAGAGAUCUAGUAACGAGACAAAACUUUUCGAUGGUUAUAAAUGAAAAAUUACGAUUUAACGGUUAUUUUAACUCCGAUUUUGAUGAUUUUUUUUUACAGCUACACUCCUUGACCAUAUAUGAAUACAAUGACUGAAUUUGAUCUUCAAUUUAAAAUAUUUACACUAGUGGAUACCACAAAAUCUUAUGUUAUAUCUAACGAACGUAUAAAUAACCUCUUAAUUGUUAGUGAAUAUAUUGUUUUGAUGGCAUAUGCAUUCACCAAAACUAGUUUCAACGAUCCAACCAUCAAACUUGUUUGUUUAUACUUCGAGAUCAUAUACGCCAAAAAUCAGAAAAAAUAAACAUUCAGAGAUCAAGUAAUGGGACAAAAAUUUUCGACGGUUAUAAUGAAAAAUCACGAUUUAACGGUUAUUUUAACUCCGAUUUUGAUGAUUUUUUACAGCUACACUCCUUGACCCUAUAUGAAUACAAUGACUGAAUUUGAUCUUCAAUUUAAAAUAUUUACACUAGUGUAUACCACAAAAUCUUAUGUUAUAUUUAACGAACGUAUAAAUAAACUCUUAAUUGUUAGUGAAUAUAUUGUUUUGAUGGCAUAUGCAUUCACCAAAACUAGUUUCAACGAUCCAACCGUCAAACUUGUUUGUUUAUACUUCGAGAUCAUAUACGCCAAAAAUCGGAAAAAAUAAACAUUCAGAGAUCAAGUAAUGGGACAAAACUUUUCGACGGUUAUAAUGAAAAAUCACGAUUUAACGGUUAUUUUAACUCCGAUUUUGAUGAUUUUUUACAGCUACACUCCUUGAACCUAUAUGAAUACAAUGACUGAAUUUGAUCUUCAAUUUAAAAUAUUUACACUAGUGGAUACCACAAAAUCUUAUGUUAUAUUUAACGAACGUAUAAAUAAACUCUUAAUUGUUAGUGAAUAUAUUGUUUUGAUGGCAUAUGCAUUUACCAAAACUAGUUUCAACGAUCCAACCGUCAACCUUGUUUGUUUAUACUUCGAGAUCAUAUACGCCAAAAAUCGGAAAAAAUAAACAUUCAGAGAUCAAGUAAUGAGACAAAACUUUUCGACGGUUAUAAUGAAAAAUCACGAUUUAACGGUUAUUUUAACUCCGAUUUUGAUGAUUUUUUACAGCUACACUCCUUGACCCUAUAUGAAUACAAUGAACUAAUUCGAUCGUCAAUUUAAAAUAUAUAUUUUCUAACAAAAACCCAAUCUGAACAACAAUAAUAUAUUUUUCUAACAAAAAUCCGAUCCGAUCUAAAAUAAUAAAUUUAAAGCUACUUAAUAAAUAUAUAUACUGUUUAAUUUCUUAAGUGUUAUGCAUACAAAAUAAAAAACAAAAAUAAAUUAGUAUAGGCGACAAAAUGUUUGGAUUACGUCAUGCAAAGAUUUUAAAAUAUAUAUAUAUAUUAUUUUUAUAAGGACUUUGCGCGACGAAGUUCAUUGUUUCGUCGCGCAAAGUCACUUUGAGCGACGAUGUAUUGUUGUCGCGCAAAAGUUUGUCGCGCAAAGUUACUUUGCGCGACGAAUUUUUUUUCAUCGCUCAAAAUUUGGUCGCGCAAGACUUUGAGUGACGAUGUAUUGUCGUCGCGCAAAAGUUUGUCGCGCGAAGUGACUUUGCGCUACGAAUUGUUUUUCGUCACGCAAAAUUUGGUCGCGCAAGACUUUGAGCGACGAAGUUUUGAGUUUCGUCGCGCAAAGUGACUUUGAGCGACGAAUAGUUUUUCGUCGCGCAAAAUUUGGUCGCGCAAGGGGUUUUUUUUUACUAGUAUGAGUUUUAUAUACAAUUUAUAACAAUAUUUUCAGGCAAAAAAAUGUCUUGGCAAGAAAAUGUACAAUUUGUUACGUACUUAACUGGAACGAUUACCUUCAAAUUCCUAUGGCCAAUUACCUUCUUUUUUCUUCCUUUUUUUUUUUUUUUUUUUUUUGGUUGUUGUUGUUCUUUUGAUCAAGUUGCAUAUUCCAAAGAACGAAAACCAGUACAGGCUCUUUUCCAAUGCAAGCUCUUUUCCCAUGUUUCCCUCUGUUUUUCUCCUAUUUUUCUUAUAUGGAAGUGAUUAAAAUACACCUCUAAGCUUGUUUUGCGUUUGGUAACCGACUGUAAAAGCUCAAUGCAGAUAGUUUGAGGUAGAAUUUUCUCCAAUUUUACUAGCACAGUGAUAAGCUAUACUAUAUGUAACAACAAAUUGCUUUAAUAAUGAUAAUGAAAAAAGUGUGAUCCAUCGAAUAUUUGCGGGGUUUUGUUCCAAGUCAACACAUCAAAUUCUUUUACACCAUGAAAUUAAAAAAAAUUUAUUCAACCAUCUCGACCUUAUGCUCGAUCAUUUUGCACAAGCAACCGUCCACGUACCCCAAUAAUUUAAAAGGGCUGAUGAUCUUUAAUUUGGCGAAAGCUUCUAUCUACUUCUACCGCGCUAUAUAUGAGCUAUGCAAUUGUGACGGUGUUACAUGACGUCACAAUGUCGUAGGGAUAAAAAAAUAAUAGUCAUGGUUUCUUAUUAAUGUUAAUACAGGCAUAGCAAAAAGCUUGUAUUUCUAGUGGUUAAGAACAAUUACCCAUGCACUUGAGAUAUUAUGUGCUUAAAUCCCCUCUUCCCCAAUAUUUCUUGUAUAAAAAUAAAAAUAAAAAUAAAAAUAAUAAAGAUAUUGAUAUUGUAUUCUAUAAAGUGUUGGACAUGUUUUAUACCCCUUUACUGCAAAUUACAGUUUGACACAUGUACAAAAAUAAUAGGUAAGUGUUGGACAUCAAGAGUACUUACAUAUAGGUUUAAUAGGUAAGUUUUGAAUAUUUCUGUCUUUAGCUUUAAUUAUUGAAAAUCAACCUAUUAUCAUAUUAAAGACUUAUCCAUGUUCAACGUACAUUCUCUUAUUUUUCUCUCAUUGAAGUAAAUACAAAACUAAGCACAUAGUGGAAAAGUAGGUCACGAUUAGGGGUGGGUUUGGUCUGGGUUGGUUCAGUUUUGGGCUCAACCCGAACACCGAACCGUAGACCUCGAUUUGGCUAUUUUGGAAACCAAAACUAAACCAUAAUUAAUGAAAACCGACCACUUCAAUUACCUUCUGGUCUUCCAACCAGAAGAAAACUCAAAACUUUAACCAUACCAAGUGCAACAGAAUUACACCAGGCUGGAGUCAAGUUUAUGAUGGUUAAAGAUAAAAACUUAUUUGACAUACAAUUUGAGAAUGGAAUCCUCAAAAUUCCACACCUGCGAAUACAGGGUUAAACAGAAAUUUUCUUCCGCAAUUUUAUUGCCUAUGAGCAGUGUGAGCUCCAUGAUCAUUACAUCAACAACUAUGUCUUCGUCAUGGACCGCCUGGUCGACAGUGCCAGGGAUGUGGAAUUGCUUGUGAAGAGUGGAAUUCUUGAAUCCAUGCUACCGGACAGCGAGGCAGCAGGGGAAUUUAUUAAUUCUCUUGACUUGGGGCCUAUUUUAGGCAAGCUUGAAACAAGACUAUUUCAGUUCACCAUGGGCUGGCCUGUCUAUUAUUGUAGCCGCUAUACUAGUUGUGCUCACAUUUAUUCAAACAGUGUGCUCCGUAAUGGCGCUGUAGGUUCUUCAUUUCCUCAAUUUCAUGUUUAGUGGUUGCAGAUUUGUUGCUCAUGUACGUGUUUAUCUAAAGUUAAAUAAGAGUGAUUGACUGAUAGUCUGUUAGUUUGUUUUUCUGGGGUUUUUCCCCUGUUCGUCAAAAAAGAAAAAGAGAAAGAGUGAUUGCUUGUGCCUGUUUGGGCCUAAUUUGACACACCCAAUCCAAAAUCAAAAAGUCCAUGUCAAUUUUGGACAGCCACCAGCAUUCCCUUUGUAAUUAGGCCAAAAACUGCACACCCAACCUAGCACUGGAGCCUAGAACAAACAAGGUAAACUCAGGACCCAAGCAGUUUGAUUUUUUCAUUUAAAUUGGAAUCAAGGGCCCCAAGUCAAAAAAGCCCAAGCCCAAGGCAGAUUUUUUACCAAAAAGACCCAAGGAAGCCCAGUGCAUGCGAAUUGCUUAGCCCACAAUCCCAAAACUCAAAACUAAGUUUGGCAUGAUUAAAUAAAGAUAGAGAGAAGCCCAAAAUUGAAGAAACCCAAAACAGUUUUAUCAAAAUUGUCAGCUCUCUACCCAAGACCUAAAAAGGGUCAAAAAUACCACUAUUGGCAAAAUUGACGCACUCAGCCUUGGAUCACAAAGAAAUCCACGUGACUAUUUGACUUUGAGAAGUCAACAAUUUCAACUAGUCACAAGAGAAGUUGAUUGGAAUUAAUGUAGGCAGGUCAUUACAGAAAAGACUUCUUUGAAACUCUGUAGCCAAAAGAUCAAAAUCCCUUUCUAUAUAAUUCUGCAUCAGAGUAGGUGGUCUUUCCAAGAGAUAAGCAGACUACGUUUUCAAGAGAUAAGUAGAGAAUGAGGGAGUUGUUCAACAAGAAAAGCAAACUAACCAUCAUGAUAGGUUGUGUUCUUUCUCUCUACAAAAAACAAUAGGGAACAAAGAAGAGUUGGUUUUUCUUUCAGAAAAAGGAAGGAAAAGACCUACAUGAAAACUAAUUAUUGAUGGUUCUUCUCUGCCAGAACAGAUAACUUCUCAUUUUCUUUGACAUUUAAAAAUGAAAGGUCUCGCUUUUACAAAAUCUGCCGCCCAUUAUUUAAAGAUUAGAAAACCCACUCCAGCAUUUCCUAUAAAUAUGAGAGGAGGUGAUGUCACAUCACGGGAUUGGCUCUGCCGUAGCACGAUAUUGUCCACUUUGCGCCCCCCUCUCUACCCUCACGGUUUUAUUUUUGGGAACUCACGAGCAACUUCCCAGUGGGUCACUCAUCUUGGGAUUGCUCUAGCCCCCAGCUCGCUUAACUUCGGAGUUCCCAUGACUCCGAAGCCAAUGAGCUCCCAAAAGGCCUCGUGUUAGAUGGAGGCGGGCAUGUACAUAUAAGGCACAUCACCUCCUCUCCGUUGGUCGAUGUGGGAUGUUACAGGUGAACAUAUCAAAGGACAGCCAAAAAAUCAAUCAAAGACAAAAACUCAAAAUGAUCACUUGAUCUCAAAAGCCUUCAAAACACUGAAGCAAGCAAAGCUCAUUGAGCCACAACGAACAAGUCAGCUAGAAUUCAGAAUCUUUAGAGUCAGUUCAGUUUCAGAGAAAUAAUCAAAGAAAGCGAGAUCUCUCUCGUUACAAAUUUGGUUCAGCUUAAAGCCAAAACAAGCAGAGUUCAGGUUCUUACAAAUAUGAAAACCUCAAUAAAUUUAUGGAGAGCCCUGAUCAAGCAAAACAGGUACUACAGUGCAGUUCUAGCUUAGUAAUAAUCAAAUCCACCCACUUCUGCCCCUUCCAGAUUGAGAAGGUCCCAAUUCUGCCCAUUCAAAAAGCCUUCCAAGACUUGAAAUAGAUUAAAGCUCUGCCAAACUCAAAUGUUGGAAUCAAUUCGCAGCUGAAACAUGACAGUUGAAGGUGUUGAUAGUCCAGUCCAGCACAGACAUACCCAGUCUAGCCCAGAUCAGAAGCAUUCACCGAGGCAGAAAUUGAAGUCCAAAGCUCUUUUUGUCUUUUUAGAGUUGGUCUUCCUUUUCUGAGCUUUGUAAAAGGCAAUUCUGCCUAAAACAGUUCACUUUCUUAUCAUUUAUUCUGGCCAGAACUACCAGUUUUGUACUGUGAAAAAUUAUGAAGUCCUCACCAGUCUAAGGCAAGAAAAGAACUUACUUGGGAGAUAUUCCUCACCAAAUUCACAACCGUUUGUUUAGAAAUCAGUAACUUGGUGUAACGACCCGGUCCUAAAUAAAUUGGUAAUUAUUAAUUUAUUCAGAUAAAAGACCAUUUUGCCCAUAGAAUAUUUUAAUAGGUUUACAUGUUGACCCGGGAGGCUUCGGUGAAAUUGUUACAUCUCGGUCCGAAAAAGUGUUAAAAUAAUUAAAGUAGAGUGCUGCUAAAAGAACCCUAAAAUUAACUGAGUACACCCUAUGAUCUAAGUACACCCUAAUAUUUUAAUUAAAAUAUAAAAUUAACUAAGUACACCCUAUAAAACUAUCAAAAAUAACACUGAUACACCCUAAUACUUGUAGCAUUAUUUUAUAGUUGAUUAUUUUAAUAGUGUUUAUAAAUCUUUGACUUUUCAUAUGGAUUUAUGCUUCUACUAAAAUUGUUGCCACUUUUUUUCCAAUUCCAAGUUCUUGCAAUCACCACAUCUUUCGUUAAAAACACAAUAGGACAAGCAAUCUCUUGAUUAGGGUUGAAUAUGGUUAGUAGGGUGUACUUAUUAAUAUUAUAUUUGUUUCACAAUUCCAUAUAUCCUUUUUGGUCAUUUUAUAUUAGGGUAAACCAGUAAUUCAAUAUAUACUUUUAUAGUAGGGUGUACUCAGUUAAUUUUAGGGUUCGUUUAGCAGCACUCUUAAAGUAAGAGAGAAUAAAAUGAAAUAAACAUUAAAAUAAAAUGAUUUGAAUUAAUUAAGGUUUUUGAGAAAUUAAAAUAUUAUUUAAUAUUAUAAGGGGAAAAAGAUCAUUUUAAGUUUGGGAAGGAAUUUGGAAAUUCCAAUUGUACCGUUGUGUAGAGCAUGUCGAAACGAGUCCGUAGACACGUAGUGGACUCGAAUCGUAGUUAUAACGGAGAAAUGGCGAUCAAAAGAAGUUCAGUGGCAUAGCCAUAAAUAUUUCGAAGUUCAGUUUUUUUAAAACCCAAAUUUCUUCUCUCUGGGGAGUGGGAGAGCCAACUUCAAAUGGUGAUUUCUCCCAACUCCGACCACCACACUUCCCUCUUCCUUCAGUUUUGGCAUCAUGAUGGGUUCCAUCCCGGAAUGACACAUUUUCGACGCUAAGGACGUCACAAAUGGUAUUUGAGAUGCUUUGUAAAUUUGUAACCAUGGAAAACACAAUGAACUUUAUGUUCGGAGUUGCAAGAGAACAUUAAGGGGAAUAUGGAGAGUGGGAAAAUAGUAAUAAGUGGAGAUCUGUAUGCUUACUUACUACUGAACUUCCGUCGUGGUGGUUAGUAUGAAAAAGUGUUAGAGAUUAUAGAUUUUAUGGAGGAACAUGGUUGUACACUGAUAAGUAGUCGGUAGGAGUUGAUUUAAGUUCCAAGAGAAAUUCAUUAUGAACUGGGAUGAAUUACUGCAAGAUUCUUGCUGUUUUGAAGUUAUUGAUUUUAGGGGCAUCACCUCUGAAUGAUCAUAAUAACCAUGCGUGGGCUCUGCAUGAGGUUUCUUUGACAUUGUUUGAUUUUGUGUAUUGAUAAUUACACUUAGGGGUGUCACGUUUCUAGAAACGUGUCUAUCCAAAUUGUUGUAUCUCAAUAUCCUAUGGAAGGAAAGCUGAGAAGCUGAAAAUACUGGAUUUAUGGUGGUGAGAUAAAAAUUGUCAGGAACUUUCAAAAGUCAAAUUAUUUCACAAAGGGAAAUACUGGAGAGAAGUAUUAGAGAAUUUUCUUUGGAUAAGUUAUAUAGGAGUGGAGGAGUUGCGAGUUUAACCAAGGAGGGUUGUGACAAUUUAAAUUGAGAAGUAGUGGUGUUGGGUGAAGUAUUAUUUCAUUCGCGUGGGCUUGAAUGCCGCGAUUGACAGGAAUGGAACAUUAGGGUUCUUCUUCCUUGCUCUCUCACGCGAGCUCGCCAUAGAGAGUAUUUCUUGGCGUGGUACUGGCUUCGUCCGACCUCCGAUUACUGUGAUUUUUGAAAGGACCCGGCCCAAAUUUCUCAAAAUCCGAGGCGAAUCCUGUGAAAUUCCCGACAUCACUCCGAUGCCAGGCCCACUUACUAAAGACCGAGACUUUCUGCCGAACUUUCGGCAGAGUCUCCCCUAUAAAUUGGACAUUUUCCAAAACUACCACCUGCAUAAAACACAAUUUAUAUCCCCAACUGGCAGCAUGCACAAGAUAAUUUCAUGCAAAUCACAUAAUCGGCCUGCGGCCUUCAAAUAAUUCAAAACGAAACCACCAAGCACACUAUCAAAUUAAUUCCUACCUUAAACAAGGCAAACAAUAAAUUUAAAUAUGAAUUAUGACUACUAAAUUUCAACAUACGAGGUUUUAACCUCCUAACACAAUCACAUCUAUGUCCGCGGCUGCACCUAAUAACCUUAGGCUGCCUACGUACCUUCACUGAGGGAUCAAGCCACACGUAGUUCUUCCGUAAAACCCAAUUCCACACAUAGGCAAUACCUUUAUUCAUUUCUCUGUAUUUCACAUAAUCUCCCCAUACGCCAGUACUACCAUUGCCACGUAUGGGACUUGUCAACAAGCCGGAUAACCUACACCACGUGCGAUCUCAACAUAAUAUCACAUAAUCUCCUCAUACGCCGGUACAACCAGCGCCACGUAUGGGGCCUGUCAACACGCCGGAUAACCUACGCCACGUGCGACCUCAUCAUACUAUCACAUGAUCUCCCCAUACGCAGGUACAACCAACACCACGUAUGGGGCCUGUCUCAACGCCGGAUAACCUACGCCACGUGAGACCUGAACAUAAUAUCACAUAUCUCCUCAUACGCCGGUACAACCAAUGCCACGUAUGGGGCCUGUCAACACGCCGGAUAACCUACGCCACAUGCGACCUCAAUAUACUAUCACAAUAUCUCCCCAUACGCCGGUGCAACCAACGCCACAUAUAGGGUCUGUCUCAAAUUGGAUAACCUACGCCACGCUAGACCUCAACAUCAUAUCACAAUAUCUCCUCAUACGCCGGUACAACCAACGUCACGUAUGGGGUCUGUCCGCAUGCCGGAUAACCUACGCCAUGUGGGACCUAACUUUCACAGAGUGGUACUUGUAGUGUAACCAAAAUCUGGGGAGGUGCCUAAGGUAGUGCAUAUAGCACUUCAAACUGACAUUCUCUCACUUAUCUAAACUAAUACUAGAGGUCUUCCCAUUUUAAUGGUACCAGUCUAUAGUAGAUUGUAACGUAAUUUAAUCAUAAAAAUAAUAUUAUUUCUAGACCAACGAUUAUUCACAUAAACAUGAAUUUCAUAAUUUCACUAUUUAAAAUAAUAUCUAAAAGUUUCCUAUAAUACAAAUAAACACUCUAAAGAUCCCAACUUAGUCAACACAGCUCAACAAUGCUCAAGACCUGUCAUUAGGGUCAUUAUGAUCCUUCUAGGAAGGUAAAACUACCUCGAAAGACUCAAGGUCAACCAAGGGUCAAACCACCCACAAUUGGUCAAACGGGCCCACGGGGCCCACGACCUCCAAAUUCCAAUCCGAAGGUUCCUAUGGGAUCUACAAGGUAUAGGACACUCGUCUUGCAAGUUAAGCCUAGAUCGGAUGGUCAGAUCGCUCACGAUCGCACAAUCUGAUGGUUAAUAUAAAACAUAAACUUUAAAUUAUUUAAUCGGAACAUCCGGGGCUCCCGAUUCACGAUCUGUUCCUACACGAUCCUAGAAAUACAUAGAUUAACAUAUAUUAAAUUUGAGACCAUCCAACGGUCCUAACCUAUCGAACCCGGAUAACGCGCAAUAGGCGAUAUUCGUUCGAUAGUCAAACGACGUCCGAAUUGAGAUUUACGAAAUCCUACGCACUCGUGACAACCUAAGGAUCUCAUUGAGACAUAUUGCUAUCCCAAAACCGACCGAAAUCCAAUUCGAAAAUCGAGUUACUUACGUUAAGAAUCGACCGAAUCCUACCCAACAGGCAGCUAGAGCAUGAAAAGUAUGUGAGAAACCAUACCUCACUCGUCGAAAUCAGUGGCCAAAGGAGGGAGAUCGACGAUAGAGAAGUUCGGACGAACUGACCGCUUCUUCUCCAUUUUUCAGCGAAACCACGGUAGCUGGUGGCGGGACCUAGCUGGGGUUGGAAGAGGAUGACGCCCCGGUCAUUUUGGUAUCGGCCUCGUGGUCAUCGGUGGCCGGAUGAGAAAACAGCCGGCGAAAAUGUGACCGGCUGCCGUUGCGCACGCGAGAGAGACCACGAGAGAGAGAGAGAGAGAGAGAGAGAGAGAAAUCUGAUUGUGCCACUGAGAUUCUUUUGACCAUAUCUCUCUCGUUACAACUCCGAUUCAAGCCCACCACGUGUCUACGGACUCAUCUCGGUACGACCUAUCCAAAAAUACCAAUCACUACCCCAAAUACUUUUUGGAUCAGAAAGUGACCAAAUUACCCCUACCUCAAUGGUAACUUUGUAAUUUCACUUAAAUAAUUUAAAUAAGGGAUUAAAUUUGGAGUCGGGGUGUUACAAUUUUUGUUGCUAAAUGUUGUCAUCAUUUCUCCUCUACAUCACUCAGUGAUCAUUCACUCCCAUUUCUCUAGUUUACACGGUGAAUUUUAUUUCUAAAAUUUCUUAAAAUUCCGGCCACUGUGAGUUUGACCAGCGACUUGGGUUACUUUUGCCCAUCUUUUUGGAAAUGGAACCGAUUUGAGGAAGAUUAGGAGGAAAGAUACAUAGGCCGCUGAGGCAGAAGUAAAGCCGGAGCUUUACCAUAGACAGAAGUUGUUUUAGAAGUCCUGGAAGAUUGUGAACAGGAAUUGGAAGUUUGCAUGGGGUGAUAGGAUUUUUAGUACUUGUGCAAACAGUGUUAAAAAUCACAUAAAAUACUUGCAAGAAUACAAGGCUAUUGUAGUCUAGAUGCUCAUGCAAGGUCGUUUUCCUCAAGGACUAAUUAGCAAUUUAUGUAAAAAUAAAUUCCAAUUACUACUUAAAAUAAAAAGUCAAGAAAGAUGAUUAUAAAUUUGGUUGAUUCUAAAAAACAAAUAUUAAACAAAAACAAAUACGAUUGAAAGAAAGAGUUUUGAAUAUCAAUUUAUAAAAACACUAGGGUUUCACCAUCACCUAGCAAUCCUAUGAACUUUUACCAAUUACUUAUGAUUUGCACAUGCCACUUUGAAGGUUAGGUUUUCCUAAUGUAUAUUCUACUUAGAACCUCCAACACAGAAUGUAUAUCCAACAUGCAACCCGUCCGGACGUUCGGAUCAAAUCUGAACAUGAAAGACUCAUUAAGUUUUGUGAAAACCCUUUGAAAAACCAUGCAACCCUUAAGACGUGGUGUUCAUCUUAAGUGAAAUUACAAUUAUUAAUCAGAAGAAGCUAGCAUCAAUUUCAGGGAACCUUCCGACCAAAAUUGCAUCCAAUUACUUUUCUAAAGAUCCUAAUGGUGAUCAGGCAUUAAGACAAUUAGAUAGUUUAAAACAGUGAUUAACAAUUCAAAAUACGCAUGCACUCAUCAUAAGCAAUUAAAUAAAAAUCACAUAUUCAUGCUAAGGUUCAAGGCUUCACCCUAGCAAAAGAAAUUUAGUUACGCAUACUCAUAAUUGAAAUCCAAGAAAAUAUCAUUAAGAAGAAAAGAACGAAAACACCUGAAAGUUGUGAAAACCCAAAACCCUAGCAAUUGCUCUCCACAAUGCAAAGUUCAAAAGUGAAAAGGGAGUCCUCCAUUCCUUGUGAGAAAGAGCUUAAAUACCCCUUAAAACCUAGCUGCCAAUGUACAGCUUUUCUAUCCCCACAAGGAAACUAAUUAAAAUAAAAUAAUACUAGGAAAUAAAGUCCAAAUUGGAAUAGGAGAAUCUGCUCAAAAUCUGCCCAGCCACGUUUUGGCCCCAAAUCUCCUCCAAAUCUGGCCCAAGAUAGCUUGUUUUAAAGAUAAAAAAUGUUCUGAACACUUCUUUAGAAGGCCACGAACCCAUCCGAGGUCAUCUUGGGCUCCAAAAACGCAAUAAAAGCCCAACACGUCACUAUUCCAGCACCGCGCACUGCUCCUUUAUUUUGUUGCCAGAAAAUAACCGCUUGGAAGAAAAAUCUGAAAUUUUGAUACGAUCAAGCUAAGUGACUCAAGAACGUCCUCCAACUGGAAUUACUCCAAAAUUCCUCAAUUUGAUUAUGUUUUGCUCCAGAGAGAUUCGAAAGUCCUAUAUUGGAAAUAUAAUUCAAAGUAUCAAAAGUCUUCCAAAAUAAUAACCAAAAUAUACUAAGAAUGAGGUUAAAUAUAUAAUAUAAAAUAUGUCCAUCAAAAUACCCCCAAACUUAGCUUUUGCUUGUCCUCAAGUGAAACAAGACUCAAACAAAAAUAAAAACUUAACAGAUUAGACAUCUGGCUAACACUUAACUAGGACAAAAUUUCCACCUUCAAGUUGCAAUCCAUAGAAAAUUUUAAAAACUAGAACAUCCUUUCAAUAGAUCUAAGUAAUCCCACCACAAAGUCUAAGCUAUUUAGACUCAAUUAGAAAAGAAUUCACAAACUUCUUUCGGUGCAAAGUGAACCAUUAUGGUUAUGGAGACUUGACUAAAACCCUUAACUCUCAUCCCUUUUAUUCAUACUUCACACACUCCACACUUUUUGUUUUUUUUGUUUUUUGUUUUUUGUUUUUUUGUUUUUUUUUCUUUUUGUUUUUAUAGUAACAGUAGUGGUUGUGCAAUGUUGGUUCCCUUAAGCUUUCAAUCCAACCGUGUAGCCAGCUUUAGGUCAAUGUCUCCCAAACCACUCGGGUUUUAGGGCACUAGGUGUAGAACACCCCUAAGGACUUAUUAACUCAAGCUGAAAAGGCUACGAAACCAACUAACCACCCUGCCUCAUGCCAAAACUCUACCUUUUGUCUCGAGAAUCACUGCUGAUUAGGCAGGAUUGACCCGGUUACUAGCAAAGCUUCGGGUGAGGUAAUUAUUACUUUAUAACACAAACUAACUUUAUUUAUAUUGAACAUAAAUUAAAACACAUUUGGACAAAAAGUAAGUAUUCCAAUCUCACUCCCCAAAAACCAUGUUGGUGUGAUGUGCAAAUUUCAAAGUAUAAUUCAUGAAUUAAUGUCUAAGCAACAAUAAAUAGAAAAUACUCUACCGUGGGAUUGAUUUUCACCAUGUCCAUUUGUUCUAACGUUUAAAAUAAUCUAUGGAUAUUGACUGAAAAACGAAAAUUUGUAAACAAGACUCAAAAAAUGAAAAAUAAAAAAAAUUACGUUCCCACCCCCUAACUUAAAUCACACAUUGUCCUCAAGGUGGGGUAAAUAAUCAAAAGAAACAAGAGCAGAAACAAAACGACUAAAACUUAGAAAAUGGAAAUCAAAAAUAAAGAAAAUACUCUAAGAAAAGAAAUUAGGAAGGCAAAGGAUGAGAUCCAGAUGGAUCUGGUAAUCCUAUCCGUAGAGAUGGAAAGAUUCUAUACACGCCAUUGAGACUGGAUUUGGAGAUGAGGAUUUGACCCUACCUUGUUCGACGAAUUCCCUCAAGGGGAAUUAUAGCAAUAAAAUACAUAUGCUUCUACAAACAUUUAAUUGCACUGCUACGACGUGGAAAGAGUGCUUUGGGGUCUCAUCUCAUGUGAACCCGUUCGAGUAGAAAUCUUUCAUUAGAAUCAGAAAUGGGUCAUGGUAAAGAGAGGUAGAUGAUGAUUACAGUUCGGUAAAAAUGAUCAUUUCUGACAUUCCUCUCAAAGAACCGUGUUGGCAAUGUCGUUUAUCGAUUCUAAAGAAAGAAGAAAAAUAUCAACAAGUCAAAGAACGUGGAUUUCUUUUAAGGGGAGAGCUAGAACAAAAUCAAAUCACGAAUGGAAGAGUUUAGCUUUCAGAGGAAGAUUGAGCAUUACAGCAGCUAUUAAAGGAUAUUUUUAGUUGAAGAAUGAGAUUUUUCUUCCUCUGAUUGUUUAGCUAGAGCUUUUGGCUUGACUGCCAACGUGGUUGUGGAGGAAGAAACUUGGGAACCCGAGUAGUAGAUGCGAGCCCACUACCCAUACCCCUUUUGAGUGACAGGUAUGAAAUUUCAAGGAUGAAAUUUUUAUAAGAGGGGUAGAUUGUAACGACCCGGUCCUAAAUAAAUUGGUAAUUAUUAAUUUAUUCAUAUAAAAGACCAUUUUGCCCCCAUAAUAUUUUAAUAGGUUUACAUGUUGACUUGUUGACCGGGGAGGCUUUGGUGAAAUUGUUACAUCCCGGUCUGAAAAAGUGUUAAAAUAAUUAAAGUAAGAGAGAAUAAAUUGAAAUAAACAUUAAAAUAAAAUGAUUUGAAUUAAUUAAGGUGUUUGAGAAAUUAAAAUAUUAUUUAAAAUUAUAAGGGGCAAAAAGAUCAUUUUAAGUUUGGGAAGGAAUUUGAAAAUUUUGAUUGUACCGUUGUGUGGAGCACGUCGAAACGAGUCCGUAGACACAUAGUGGACUCGAAUCGGAGUUGUAACGAAAAAAUGGCGAUCAAAAGAAUUUCAGUGGCAUAACCGUAAAUAUUUUGAAGUUCAGUUUUUUUAAAACCCACAUUUAUUCUCUCUGGGGAGUGGGACGUGCCAACUUCAAAUGGUGAUUUCUCCCAACUCCGGCCACCAAUUCAAGUAAGACCGGCCCCGUUAGAACCACCACACUUCCCUCUUCCAGUCCCAGCCCAUCUCAGUCUCGAUCCGCCGUCGUAGUCGCCGAAAAUCGCCACGAAACAAGGUGGUUUGGAUAGUUUUUGUCGAAAUUUCGUGGAGCUCGUUCUCCCUCCUCCGGCCACCGUUUCAGGCGAGUGAGGUAUCAUUUCUCACCUAUUUUCUAUGAUAUAGCUGAUGGUUGGAUAUGAUUUGAUAAAUUUUGAGCGUUGAUAGUUCGAUUUUCGAAUCAAAGUUUGGCCGAAUUUCGGGAUGAAAUUCCGGCCACUUUCGAUCACUUUUUGGGGUAGGCCCAAGAACAAAAGUGUCUUCAAUUGAUGUCCUGAUCCCAGGGUAAGAGCAUUGGUCGAAAAUUUUGAGAUUUUCCUGCUGGUGGUAUCGCUUUGGGCACCCAUGCGCUGAUGGCGCGUGUGGCAGCGUGUGGGCACUGUAGCAGAGGGCCAUUGUGUCCCAAUGCGACCCCCUUGUUGUCACGAGUGCGUAAGGGUGCUCGGAUUCCAAUUUGGUUGAGGUUUGAACCCCGAAUGGAUUUCGUAUAUUGUACAUUAUCCGGGUUUGAUAGGUUUGAACCGUUGGAUAGUCUUGAAUUUAAUAUAUGUUAGUCUAGACAUCCCUAGGAUCAUAUAGGAUUUCGCGGAUCAUGGAUCGGAGCCCCGGAUGUUCUGAUUUAAUAAAUUAAAGUUUGUGUUUUACAAUAACCGUCCGAUCGUGCGAUCGCGAGCAAUCCGACAGUCCGAUCCGAACCAAACUUGCAGGACGGGUAUCCUAAAUCUUGUAGAACCCAUAGGAGCUUUCGGAUAAGAAUUUGGAGGUCGUGGGCCCGGUUGACCAAGAUUAGGUAGUUUGACCCCUCGGUUGACCAUGAGUCUUCCGAGGUAGUUUCACCCUUCGAGGAGUACUAGAAUGACCUUAUUACAUAGUCUCGACCUUUAAUUGAGCUAUGUUGACUAUGUUGAGAUUUUUAGAGUGUUUAUUAUUAUCGUAUGAAAACUCUUGGAUAUUACUUUUAAUAAUUGAAAUUAUGGAUUUGAUGAGCGUGGGUAAAUUGAUUUGAUGAGUGGUGAAAAGAAGUCGUGGGCUUGGCUAUGACUAUUAGGAAGUGAGGGGACAUUUAUGUUGAAUAUGCAUUAAUUUCAACAAUUGAAAGAACAUGCAUGGAAUGGGUAUAUAUAUAUAUAUAGAUAAAUUGGAUUAAAGAUUGAGAAAUUAAUAAGUUGAGAUAUUAGUAAUAUUUAAUUGAGAAAUGGAUUUUGAGGUGGAAAUUGGAAGGUUGAAUUUGGGGAAUUUUGGAAUUGAGAAUUAUGGGUUAAUACUGAAAGAUGUAGGAUUAUACUAUGUAAGUACCAUCCCCUAGUUACUAGGCUUCCCAUACGUGGAGUUGGAAUUUCUGGCGUGUGGGAAGGAUAUAUGAUUAUUAGAUCUCACAUGCCGUUGGAUUUUCCAGCGUGAGACAGACCCCAUACGUGGGGUUGGAUUUUUCGGCGUAUGGGGAGAUUAUGUGAUGGUUAGGUCACACGUAGGGUGGGAUUUUCCAACGUGUUGACAGACCCCAUAAGUGGCGUUGGAUUUUCCGGUGUAUAGGGAGAUUAUGUGAUGGUUAGGUCACACGUGGCAUAGGAUUUUCCAGCGUGUUGACAGACCCCGUACGUGGCGUUGGAUUUUCAGCGUAUGAGGAGAUUAUGUGAUGGUUAGGUCCCAUGUGGCGUAGGAUUUUCCGGCGUGUUGACAGACUCCAUACGUGACGUUGGAUUUUCCGACGUAUGGGGAGAUUAUCUGAUGGUUAGGUCACACGUGGAGUAGGAUUUUUCAGCGUGUUGACAGACCCCAUACGUGACGUUGGAUUUUCCGGCGUAUGGAGAGAUUAUGUGAUGGUUAGGUCACACGUGGCGUAGAAUUUUCUGGCGUGUUGACAGACCCCAUAUGUGGCGUUGGAUUUUCCGGCAUAUGGGGAGAUAAUGAGAUGGUUAGGUCACACGUGGCAUAGGAUUUUCUGGCUUGUUGACAGACCCCAUAUGUGGCGUUGGAUUUUCGCGCGUAUGGGAAGGAUAUGUGAUUAUUAGGUCUCACAGGUGGCGUUGGAAUUUCCGGCGUAUGAGACACUAACAGUGAGAAGAGAAUGAGAUUAUUUUUCUAUAUCAGAGAAAGGUUAGAGUAUAAAAAGAAAUAUGUUUGGUGUGUGGUAAUUUAAAUUAAAACAGGGAAAGAUAACUUACCUGUACUACUGAAACAGUUGUGUAACAUUUGGAGCAUGAUUAUGGAGUGAAAGAACUACGUGUGGCUUGAUCUCUCAGUAAGGGUACGUAGGCAACCUAGGUGCAGUCGUAGACUAAACGUUAUUUAUGUUGUUUUAUUGAGAUUGGUUCUGACCCUGUCGUUGGUCCUGAAAUUCGGUUGAAAACUAGAUGCGAGUAAAUAAUUGUUCAUACUCCCGUUUCGUUGAGGGAGGAUUGUGUAAAUGUGUUCUGGUCAAGACAGGUAUAAGAACUCGUUUAGGAUUGAUGUACGAUUUGGGCUAAGGCCUUAAACUACUUGUUGUUGUAUUAGGAGAUUAAAACCUCGCAUGUGGGAUAAUUGGGAAAGUUAGAUGAUGUAAAGUGCACUUAGGCAUUCAUAUAUAUGUUUAAAUUUAUUAUUUGUCUUGCUUAACGUAAUUGUUUGACUUAUGGGCUUUAUUGGUGAUUUGCUUCAGAUUAUUUAAAGGCCGAAGGCCGUUUAUGUGAAUUGCAUUUUGAUACAUUGUGCAUGCUACUAGUUGUGGAUAUUAAAUGUGUUUUAUGCAGGUUGAAAUUUUUGGGAUUGUUCAAAUUACAGGGGAGACUGCCAAAAUUUUGAUAGAAAGUCUCGGUCAUUAGUAAGUGGGCCCGGCAUCGAGGUGAUGUCGGAAUUUACACAAGAUUCCUCUCGGGUUUUCAGGAAUUCGGGGCGGAUCCUGUUACUUGGGGUGCAAAUUAUCCAUUUGUUCACCCGUUUUCGUGUUUUACUUCUGAGGUGGAAGGGCGAAGUUUCCCACUGGCUUGGAGACCACUUGUUGGUCGACAAGUCAGCUUUCUUUGGUGUGUGUGAGCGUGCCACUGCUAGCAAUGUAAAUUCUAGCAGACUUAUUUUUUAGAGUGGAUAACUUGCGCCUCAAGUUACUGACUUCUAAAACAAAUGAUUGUGAAUUUGGGUGAGGAAUAUCUCCCAAGUAAGUUCUUUUCUUGCCUCAAACUGGUGAGGACUUUCACAAUUUAUCUCAGUAUCAAAUGGUUGUUCUGGCCAGAAUAGAUAAUAAUAAAGUAGACUGUUUCAGGCAGAACUGCCUUUUACAAAAUUAAGAAGGGAGAAAUCAACUCUAGAAAGGAAAAAAGAUGGCUGGAAUCCCAUUUCUGCCUGGGUAGAAACUUCUGAUCCGGGCUGGACUGGGUAUGUCUAUGCUGGACGGUGCUGUCAACAACUUUAGCUUGCUCGGCUUUAGUUGUAAAUCGAUACCAAAGUUCAAUUUUGGCAGAGCUUCAAUCUACUUCAAGCCUUGGGAGACUUUUGAGUGGGCAGAACUGCAGCUUCUUCAGUUUGAAGGGACAGAAGUGGCUAUUCUCGAGGAUUUAGCAAGCUGGAACUAUGCUAUAAAAUUUGUUGAGGUUUUCAUAUUUGUGAAAACUCAAACUAUGUUUGUCUUGGCUUUUGCUGAACCAAAUUUGUAACGAGAGGGAUCUUGUUUUCAGAAGACUUAUUUUCUAAGUCUGAACUUUGGAAUUCUGAUCUAAAGCUGUUUUCUUGUUUGUUUUUUUUUGAUUGACUGAUGAAUUGAGUGUCCUUUGUUUCUUUGCCUUCUUUCGCUUUUAUAAGAGAUCCUCCUAAGGAGGUCAUUUUUAAUCCUAAACAAUGGGCGGCAAAAAGAUCUCUUAUAAUGUAAAGUAAGAAGGGUUUCUUAUCAAUCAAGGCAGAUAGGUUCUGAGCAGUCACCUCCUAAAAACAGUCCAUUCCCUGGUUUCCUGGGUGGCAGCUUUCUAAUUCAACCAACGCCACCGUCUGUGUGGGCUUUUUAUGGCAGUUUUGGCUCUUUUCUUUUGUAUUUUCUGAGUGGUUCCCUGUUUCCCGUUCUAAUUUAGAAAGCGUGAUUCGUGAAUUCCUUGGGAGAUGGUGUAUUGAUUUGGAGCAAAAUCUUGAACACAGAUGGGUUUUUGAUCUUCAAUUGGCAGUGUUUCAGAGACGUCCCUCUCACAUUUUUAAACUUUAGUUGGAAUUGCUGACUUUUCCAAAGUUGAGGCAAUCACGUGGGUGUGUCUUUGAUCCCUUGGUUUUGAAUCUAUCGAAAAUUACGGGCUGAUCUUUGAAGCCCAUUUCGAAAGUUUCCACAUCUGGGCUUUCUUUGGGCUGAGGCUUUAUUUCCAACAUUCUUGGUGUGAAGCCCAAACUGUCUGGGUCUUAUUUUCGUUUUUCUCAAGUCUCUGGGCUGGGCAGGCAAUUUUAUCAUGGGCCUGUCUUCUGGUCUUGGGCGUGCCGAAUUUGGGCCCAAACAAUGCCCCCUAAGUCUGAAUCGUUUUGGAAUGGUUUCAGACUUAAUGUUUUGCCAUUUAAUUCACGUGCCAGUUUCUUCCGUGUUUUCGCCCACGUCUGCCACGUUUGCCUGCUACGAACUAGAGUUCGUGGGAAAACGGCUAGUUAUUAUCUAGUUACUAGCUAAUAAUCAUCAGGUGCCGUCCCAUCUUCUUCUUCCCACGUUUUCGAGCCCCUCUUUAAAAGAAAUUCAAAUUCAUAGCUUCUGAAAAAAGAAACCCUAAACCUUCCAGCUCUUGUUCCUGCGAGUUCUUUCUUCGAGAUUUCCAAAGCCUUCUUUAGACCUUCCUUUCUUCUGCUUCUUCCCUUGAAUCAGAAAUGUCUUCCCCAAGGUCCCGCGCUCAGUCUUCUUCCGCUUCAGUUCCUCCCGAUUAUAUCACUGGGAGCGGGAUUGAUGCUCACGCGAUAGAAAUCAGGAGCAAGCUUCAUCCCUUUGCCCAGAAGAAUCUGGACGAGAAUGUCCUCCAUUUGUUUGAGAACACCCUGGUGUUAGGGCCUCACUGGUUUGGUCCUGUUCCAGCUGAGAUGGCAGAAUUGCUAAAAAAGGAUGCCGAGGCUCCUUUGUGUUUUGAGAGCUCUUCUGCCCUGGCUUCUUAUUCUUGGGUUAGCAAGAAUUUGAGCCGGUCCUUCCCGUCCAGCGAGGUGAGGAAUAGUCUGGUCAAAUGGGCAGACUGGAUUGAUAGACUUCUCCCGAGAUAUGGGGGUCACUGGAGGAGAGCUGGGAUUUAUGACGCCAUUUUUCUGUCCAAACAAUCGAUUAACAGAGAUGAGAAUCUGCUUGCUGCUGCUUUAUGCUUCUGGAAUUCUGCCAGCAAUACAUUUGACUUCCGCGUGGGUCCUAUGGCGCCAACCUUGCUGGAUAUGGCUCAGAUUUUUGGGUUCAGGCCCCAUGGUAGGCCUGUUGAUGCCAUUGGAGAUUAUCACAGGCGAAGGAAUCAAGAGAAAGUGGCCACCCCUUUUACUAUCCCUCCAGCCGUGAUCAACCAGAACUGCUCUUUCUCCAACUAUCUGAAGAAGUUCAGUGCUGAUAAGGACAAGGAUCAGCAACAUAUGUUGUUCCUUCUGUAUUGGCUGAAUUGGUUCGUUCUCCCCAAUCGGUCUUCUGCAGUUCUGCUAGAGUACAGACACUUGGCAGAAGCACUCCACAAUCACACUGAUGUGGGGCUCGGGCCUACAGUUCUGGCUCACCUUUUCAAGAAUCUGCAUACUUCCACCCUGGAGAACCCAUUGAACCUGUCAGCCCCUGGCGCAUUCUGGAUGAUCCAGAUCUGGCUGCAGGUUUAUUUUCCAGAACUAAGGUUCCCAGACAUAGUUCUGCCUGAAGAUCAAGUCCUGGCUCUUCCUCUGAUGUCGGCAGAAGUGCCCAAGCAUUCUAUUGAGGAGUAUUUGAUGCUCUUCAGGCAUUGUACAAAGAGGUCGGCAGCUCAGUGGCAAGUGGUGAUCAGGAGGACCUAUCCUUGGUUCCAGACCGGAUUUCGGUUGUUUGAGAAGGAGCCAGAAGAUGAAGCUGCCAGAACAGAUUUCAGGAGGAAAUUUCUGAGCAUUACUCUGCCCAGAGAUCUACCCCAUGGUGGGGGCAAACCUCCAAACUAUCAUCUGGGGGCAGAAGUCUACCAUCCCAACUUCUGCGCGAGGCAGCUUGGUUGUCCCCAACUCAUUCCGCUGAAAUCAUAUCGGAGUUGUAACCGGGCCUCUUCUUGGAGGGAUGCAGAUGAUCUGGAGGUGCACAAGGAUGCCCGGUGUGCAGUGAACAAAAUCAACAACAGCACGGAUGCCCUCUAUCCCUCGUGGGAGCUGAAUUCCUGCAGUUCUGCCGACUUUGACGCAUGGUGGAAAGCCAGAUUCCAAAGUCUGCCUGCUUCUGUCACUGCCCUCAAGGUGCUGUUUGAUGGUUGGGAAAACUGGGUCGUUUUUGCGAAUGGGGAUGCCAAGACGCAUAUGAUCCAGACCAUCAAGGAUAUUAACGCGCAAAUUAUAGAAGGUAGAUUUCUGAUUCUGUAUGGGGUUCGUUCUGUCCUGAUGAUUGAUUUCUAAUGUCUAUUCUGCCUGUAUCAGAUCCUUCUUUGACCAGCGUAGGUGGGCAGUCUGUUCAUGCUGGGGAAGUGAUUGGUAAGUCUUUUCUUUUAAUUCUAUUCUGUCUUUUCCUGCUGGAUUGGUCUCUAAUGUCUAAUGCCUUGGUGCAGUCUCUUCCGUUAUUGCUGCCGGGGACUUGGAGCUCCCUUCUGCGGAUGAAGGAGAUGAGGUCCAGACAGAACAAACACCUACCGAGGCCGCUCUUUCUGGCAGAAGAAAAAGGAAAGGACCUGCCCCUCCUUCGGAUAAUCCCACGCGGCCUGGUAUUUCAGGUAAGCUCGUGAUGUUCCAACCAUUCUCUUUAAAUUUAUUAUGUCUUGCCUUCUUUUCCCUAAUACUGCUUUUUGUUCUGUGCAGCUGGAAGUCCUUCCCCUCCUCCUACCAAGUUGAAAAAACUUAAAAAGAGGAGUGAGGAGGAGUAUGUCGCCGCGGAAGAGACGGCAGCAAUUCCCACCACUACCUCCGGGACGGAUGAAGAGCUGCGAGAGGCUUUUGAGGAGGUGGAGCAGGAAAAAGAAUUGGAAGAGCUGGAAGAAACGCCUCAGGAAAAAACGGCAGUGGCGGAAGGAGAGGUAAGUUUUAUUUCUGUGAUUCGCAUCAGUUCCCUUCUCGCCCUGUUUCUUCCGUUCUGACCCUUAUUUUGUAGGAGAAGAUCCCUGCUGAGGUGAUUGCAGAGAGCAUUGCCUUGGCGCAGAAGCAACAAGGGGGUCCAAGGGCUGAGCGGACUAGCUCAGAACUAGCCCUAUUUGAGGAUGCUGAGGCAGAGCAUUCUACUGCCGUUCCAGCGGCUGAGGAUCAGGCGGAACGGUCUGCAUCAGAGCCUGUGGAUCAGGCAGAGCUGUCUGUUGUGGUUCCGGAGGCUGAAGUGGAAACAACCGCCGCUGCCCCUGUGGUUGUGGUAACUUUCUUUCUUUAUCUGUCCACACUCUCCUGCAUUUCUGCCUUGUUCUUUAUUUUUAACUGUUGUAGCCUUUUCAGGUAGAAGUGCCUAAAGCUGUUGGCGUCCUGGCAGCGGUUACCAGUCCCCAGAAGCCUCCCAUUGUUGCUGUAAGUUUUCAUAACUUUUGGGCCUUUAUUUUCCACUUUCUGCCUGGUCUUACCUUAUGCUUUCUUCUUGCAGAUGCCAAUUCAUUCCCUUCCAGGAUCAUCUGCCACGGCUUCUUUUGCUGAUCCAGAACUCGAAGAGUUUGAAGCCAUGGAUCUGGAUGCCCAAUUGGACAGAUUGGAGAAACUCAGCUCUCCUCCAGGCAAGGCAAAAUCUAGGGCAGUGGAGGAGGCCAUGGAGAGGUUGAAAAUCUGGCAGUCUAAUGAGCUGGAGUUUGAUCAAGACAAUGAAGCCUUAAAUCAGCUGAUGAAGGACCUGGACCUGCUUCACAGACAGAACAUGGCUCCAAAACCUAUCCUUGAGAUGGGCCUAAGCUUGGCCAGAGAUGUGCUCAAUCUGCAUGAUCGCUAUGAGGAUCUCAGGCCUACUUUCAAGACUUCUGAAUUCUGCAAGGCCACUCAUGAAGCCAACCUGGCUGAUUUUGCAAAGCAGAAAGCAGAACUGGAUCAGAUGGUGGCCGGAUAUAAGGAAGCCAGGGCCACUGCGGACAAGCUGGAGAAGCCGAUGGAAGAGCUCCAAAAACAACUGGCAGAAUGCAGGGAGGUGCAGAGCAGGCUUGGGGCUGGACUGAGUUCUAAAACUAAGGCCACUUUCCUUGUGCAAAGUAUGGUUGCAGCUUCCAGGACAGCCUUGGAGAUUGCAGAGGCUUCAAUUCACCAGGGGGUGCUGCUCCAGAAAGAGCUUUCUGUCAAGAAAGCGAACCUGCAGGAGACUCUUAGAAAACUAGGAUUUUAGCUUCUUCUUUCCUUUUAUUGUUCGAAUAAUUUGCCGCAAAGGUGGCUAUUUUUAUAUAAGCUUUCAAAGCAUUUUACUGCUUUUCAUUUAUUCUUGAUGCAAUAACUGGAUACGGCUUUGAAAGUAAAAAACAGAACAACUUUAAAGCAAAAAUAAAUCUAAACAAAAUUCUUUUCAAGAAACAAAAAGGUCAAACUUGUUCCUCUUCUAUCCCGGGAUCUGUUUAUACAGCCUGCGAAUCCCACGUGGUUGGAUAGAACUUCUUUAACCAUUUACCAUUGAUUGGGGCAAAAUGAACAACUCCAUCUCGGUCCUGCAACCUGUAUGCCCCCAUUCCGAGGAUUUGGUUAAUUAUAAAAGGGCCUUCCCAUGUAGGUGACCAUUUCCCAUAUCCAGCUAUGUGUGCUCCAAGGGGCAGAAUUGCCUUCCAGACUAUCUCUCCCUCUUCAAAACUCUUGUUUUUGACUCUUUUGUUGUAGGCCCUUGAUACAGCCUGUUUUCCUGCUAAGAGUUUGUUGAGGGUGUCAAUUCUGCUUGCAUCCAAUUCUUCCAAUUCCAGCAACAUGGCUUGAGAGUAAUCCUCCCCAGUGAGACCAUGCUGGUGAGCAAUUCUAAGAGACUGGACCGCUAUCUCCAUGGGAAGAAUUGCAUCGUGGCCGUAGGUUAGAGCAUAGGGGGUCAUGCCAGUUGCUUCUCUCUUUGAAGUUCUGUAUGCCCACAAAGUUUCUGAUAACUUCUCAUGCCAUUACUUUGGAUUCUUCUCUAGCAUCUUUUUGAUGAUAUUGAUAAUCACCUUGUUACUUGAUUCCACCUGUCCAUUAGCUUGAGCAUAGUAAGGAGUAGAUUGAAGCAGUUUGAACUUGAACGUUUCUGCCAUAUCUAGCAUGUCCCUAGAUAUGAAAGAAGAACCCCUAUCGGUUGUGAUUGAUUCUGGAAUGCCAAACCUUUGUAUGAUCUGUUCUUCUAUAAAGGUGAUGAUCUCUUGAGAUGUUGUGGUUUUUACUGGCUUGGCCUCUACCCACUUGGUGAAGUAAUCUGUGGCAACGAUAAUGAAACAGUGCUGCUGGUUGCUGGCUGGAUAGAUUUUGCCAAUGAGAUCCAUUGCCCAUCCCCUGAAAGGCCAUGGUUUUACUACUGGAUUCAUGGGAACCGAAGGAGCCUGCUGGAUUGGGCCGUGCCUUUGACAGGCUUCACAUCCUUUGGAGUAGUUGAUGCAAUCCUUCAUCAUGGUUGGCCAGAAGUAGCCAUACCUUCUGAUUAACCAGCACAUCUUUCUUCCCCCUUGGUGAGCUCCACAGAUCCCCUCAUGGGUUUCUCCCAUGGCUUUCAUAUAUUCUGUCUUCCCGAGGCACCUUAAUAGUACCUCAUCCUUACUUUUUCGGACCAAAUCUUCAUUCCACAUGAGGUAGUUUGUAGCCAUGAUUCUGACUCUUUUCUUAGAGGGCAGAGUGGGAUAUCGUAAGUAAGUCAUGAUAGGCUCCCUCCAAUCAUCUUCAGUGAUCAAGGCAGAAUUGACUUCUAUCUCCAUUCCUCUCGUCAAAACAGAUGGUAGACUUUUCCUUCCUAUCUUGAUGAUCCUUUGGACGCAGUCUUCGGGCAUUUGUAUGCCUGAUGCCACCUGAGCCAGUUCAUUGGCUGCAAAGUUUUCCUCCCUUGGGAUGUUCUCCCAAGUAGCUUCUCUAAAUUCUGUUAGCAGAUUUCUAGCUGCUACUAGAUAUACAGCCAGAGAAGGAUUCAGACACUUAUAUUCUCCAGCAAUCUGUUUUAGGACAAGCAUGGAAUCUCCCAAGAUCUCCACGGACUGGACUCAUAAUUCUACCAACAUCUCGAGCCCUAUAAUCAAAGCCUCAUACUCGGCCAUGUUGUUGGUGCAUUGGAAAUCUAGCUGGAAGGAAUAGCAAUGUCUGACCCCUAAUGGUUCUUCCAGAACAAUCCCUGCUCCUGAAGCCUUGUCUGUCUUUGAUCCAUCAAAAUAUAACUUCCAAGGUGUGAGAUGAAUCGAGUAGAUUGGAUUGUUAAGGCAAACAUGAGCUCUAGUUAGCAGAUCUGCAUUUGCUAUGUCCAAAGAAUCCAUGUUUUCAAUUUCCUCUCCCGAGUGAUCUACCAAGAAGUCUGCCACAGCUUGCCCUUUGACAGCUUUCUGGGGGACAUACCUGAAGGUGAAUUCUGUCAAAGCCAAAGUCCAUUUCCCAAUUCUGCCCCUCAGCAUUGGUCUUGUUAGCAUGUAUUUGAUUAAGUCUGUUUUGGCAAUGAUGUAGAUAGUAUGUGGCAGCAUGUAGUGCCUGAGCUUUACAGCAGUGAAAUAUAAGGCCAGGCAAAGCCUUUCUAUUGCGGAAUACCUUCUUUCCACUUCUGUCAAUGUUCUGCUUAGAUAGUAGGCUGCCUGUUCUUUUCCUUCUUUGUUAUCUUGAACUAUUAGACUUCCAAUGGAUACUUCUGAUGCAGAUACAUAAAGCUUGAGGGGUCUGCCCCUUUUUGGUGGGGACAGAACUGGUGGAUUUGAGAGGUAAUGCUUUAUUUCCUGGAAAGCCUGUUGGUGCUGUUCUUCCCAUUUGAAUGUCUGUUCCUGCUUCAGUCUUAACAGGGAAGAAAAAGGUUGGAUUUUUCCUGCAGAAUUGGAUAUGAAUCUCCUUAGAAAAUUGAUUUUUCCUAAGAGACUUUGAAGUUCCUUCUUGUUCUGAGGUGGUAGAGCUUCUAUGAUGGAUGUUGCUUUAUUUCUGUCAACCUCUAUACCUCUCUGGUGGACCAAGAAUCCUAAGAAAUUCCCUGCUUGGACUCCAAAAACACAUUUUUUGGGGUUCAUUUUCAGUUUGUGCUGCCUCAUUCUUAGGAAUGCCCUUCUCAGGCUUGCUACGUGAUUUCCUUCCUCAGGGGAUUUAAUCACCACGUCAUCUAUGUAUACUUCCAAGGAAUGUCCUAUCAUAUCAUGAAAAAUAGAAUUCAUUGCCUUUGGUAGGUGGCUCCCGCAUUUCUCAAACCGAAAGGCAUUACAGUAUACUCGAAAGCACCUAUAUGUCCUGGACACAUAAAGGCUGUCUUGUGGAUGUCCUGUUCUGCCAUCAUGAUCUGGUUAUAACCUGCAUUGCCGUCCAUGAAAGAUAGCAUCUGGUUAUGAGUGGCUCCAUCCACUAGCAUGUCUGCCAUUGGCAUAGGAUAUUCGUCUUUAGGAGAUGCCUCAUUCAGAUUUCUGUACAAUAUUUGCUAACCAAUCGGAAUAGACGGCUGGCCUGAUGAAUCCUGCCUUGAGCAGCCUUUCUAUCUCUUCUUUGACCUUUAGUUCUGUGUCCAUAGACAUUCUUCUUCUGGCCUGUUUGACUGGAAGGUAGCCAUCUUUAAUUGGCAGCUUGUGCUCCACUCACUGCCUGUCCAAUCCUGGCAUUUCGUGGUAAUGCCAGGCAAAACAAUCUCUGAACUCCUGUAAAAGUGCCAUGAGUUCAGUCUUGAGUGGUUCCUUCAAAAGUGUGCUGAUGAAAGUAGGCCUUGGAUCUUCUUCUGUUCCUAAGUUUAUCUCCUGUAGAGGAUCCUCUACUUCUGGCAGGGAGUCAUCCAGUGCUGCUGGUGCAAAAUCUAAUACUUCCUCCUGUAAAAUUUCCUCCUCUUGCUCUUUUGUGCUUUCAUGGGUGAAUUCUGCCAUAUUGAUGGCUGGAUUCUGUAUGAAAAGCCUCCUUUCUCCCCAGUAUAUCAACAAUCUUUUUGUGAUGGAUCGGAUUGUUGCAGCUCGAUCCUUGUCUAGUUGAUUCGGACUAAACAUCAGAGUUCUGGAAGUUCAGCACAAAAAGGUCUAUUCCAGUCCUCUAGAGAACUGGCUAAACCUUCUUCAAUGAGUCUUUGGGCCGUGACACCAUGUGGACGGCCGUUCUGAUUGACUCCAAGGAAAGUGAAAGGACCGAGGUCAUCAUGAUAAUACCUUGUUUCAAAGCACAUGGCAGAGGGCAGGAAUGGCCGUGGAUCAGCCUCUAUAAUCUCCAUGCAGCCUUCUUCAUUCCAUAGUGCUAACUGCGGGUGGAGGGUGGAAGGAAUACAAAGGCUCUGGUGAAUCCAAUCCCUGCCAAGUAGUGCAUUGUAGGUGGUGGAAGUAGUGUCUAUAACAAAGAAUGCUAUUUUCAACUCUUUGCUUCCGAUUAUGACAUCCACAUCUAAGAUGCCAUGUAUUUUGGUGAUGCAACCAGAAGUUGGUGACGGUCAAUCGUGUUGGAAUCAGAUCUUUCUCUGUCCUGCCCAGCUUGGUCAGCAUUCUGUGGGGUAAUAGAUUAAUGGCUGCACCUCCAUUUACCAUGAUCUUGGAAAUAGGAAUACCCCCAAGAUUUGCCGUUAUAAACAAAGGUCUGAGGUGAAACAAGGUUGCUCUGUAGCUGGUUUAUUGGCUGUUCUGCCUGUCUUGGGGUUUUCUGCUUGUGGUUCUGGUGGCUCCUCUGCUUCUGCCAAUCUACAUUCAAAGCUUUCCUGAGAGAAAACAUCCCCUUCCAGAGUGCUUUCUUGUCCUUCGGCUGCCCUGAAUUUACUUGGUAGGAUGAAUACCAUGUUAAUUCCCAGAUCACCCUGUAGGAGGUCUUCUAAUUCUGCGCCAAAAGCUUCUGUUUCUGGGUCCAAUUCUACACCAAAUUCCAUUAAUUCUUCCCCGUAUUCUUCCGUCCAGUCAUCCUGUUCUGCUACUUCGAGGGGCUCUUUCUGAUCAUCUGCGGAAGGUUCAUAGUCCAAUUGCUCUUCUUCAUAUUCCUCAGUGUAGUCGUCUUCUCCUUGUAACGGGGUAGACCCAGAUUUCUCUGGUGUCUGCGUGGUGUCAGGACGGCUGCUGGACGACGAGGCCACAUGGAUAGGAGACCUGGCUGGGGGUUCUGUUUUCAGCAAUUCCCUUGACUGGCAAGCUUUCUGUUCUGUCUGGGGAAGUGUUUCAGGAUUUUUUCCUUUCCUAGCAGAACUGGGUUGUGAACGUACCUGCGUAUUAUCUUGGCUCUUAAGAUAUGUGCAGUAUUGCCUCUGGAUUCUCCUUUUCUGGGUUCUGGUUAGCUCCAGAGUCGGUCUACCGCUUCUUCCUACGGAAUACCAUCUCCCUUCUAUGAUCGUUGCCAAGGAUCUUUCGUUUCUGGGCAUCUUGACUGGUAUUUCCUUUCUGGGUUGCUCCAUCCUCCUCUCGCUGUAUUGUGUAGGCCUAAGACAGCUCUUCUGCCUUGUUUUGUCUCGGGAUGAGGUUCCAAUUCUGUCAAAGACACUAGGUGUGGGCUGAUUUUGUCUGUCUAGAACCACCUCUAGCUCUGUUUCACAUUUGCACCUACUGCAGAGCACUACCCCAGCCGAGAUGGUCGCUCUUGGUAUUUGACUGGUCUCCCUUAUGAUUCUUCUGCCUCUGCUGCAACCAGCAUCUGUGAUUGGCUCGGUUUUCCUCUGUUCUGGCCAAUUUAAGUUGACCAUAUUGACUUGUGGUUGAGGAAAAGGAUCCGUUGUGACGGAUGGUGGUUUUUCUGCCAGUUUCAACCUUCCUGCCGUUAUCCCUUCUUGUAUUACGUCCCUGAAAACAACACAACUAUUGGUAGAAUGGUUCCAAGAGUUGUGCCACCUGCAGUACUGUCUGCCCUUGAGUUCUUCCGGCUUCGGUAUUCUGUGAGGCGUCUCUAUUGCCUUCUACAGUAGCAUUUCGUGGAACAAGGCAUCAACCUUGGUUAAGUCAAAAGAGUAAACCUUGUUUUACGUUGGUUUGUUUGGAACGAAUCCUCCUGUGAAUGGUGGUGGCUUUUGGUCUUUAGGUGGCUUUGUGAGGGCUUUGCAACUAAUGGGAUGUUUUAGUUUUGCCAUUUCUGCCACUGAAACCUCUUUCUCUUCUGAUUCUUCUGCAUCUUCUUGUGAUUCCACCUCGAUCAGGUGGACUGAAGAAGAAGGGGUUUUAUAGUAUGUACCUUUGGAGGAGUUCCUCCUUUGCUGUUCCUCCCUGAGUAACUCCUCAUAUUUGGAUGCCUUAUCAGCCAGUUCUGCCAGAUCUCCGAACAAUAUCCCGUCGAACCUUUUCCUGAGAGAGAUUUUAAGGGCAACUUGGGCCAUCUGGAUGAAGUGUCUUUCUUCCAUCGGGAUUCGGCACUUCAUUUUGAGCUUUCUGAACCUGGUUAUGAAAUCUUGGGCCGGUUCAUCUUCACUUUGCUUGAGGGCAGCUAGAUCACUGAUGGUGACUUCUGGCUGAAUCCUGUAAUAGUAGUCAUGGAAGACAUUUUCCAUCUGUUCCCAGGUUUGAACAGAGUUAGCUGGCAGGCUGGUGUACCAGGUAAAAGCUUGCCCAAAAAGAGAGUUGCCGAAAAGCCUUAAUUUCAGCAGAGGGUUGCUUUCUAUAGCUAUGCAUUGGACGGAGAACCUGCCUAUAUGUUCAACUGAGGAAGAAUGGGGGUCUUCCCCAUUGAACAAAGUGAAGUUUGGCACUUUGAAACCUGGAGACAACAGUAUUUGAUCGAUAUAGGCUGGGUAUGGCUUUCUGUAAGUAGGCCUUUCCCCUAUUCUAGCCUCGGGUUCCAUGAUUUCUCUGAUCAUUCUUUGCAACGCUCCUAUGUCAUUCAAAGCAUUGACUGGGGGAAGAUUUUGUCCCUGUUCUGGCUGAACGUAAUCAAACCUGGGCUCUGCUCUGUGUGGUCUGGGUGGAACUUCCUCCCUGUGUUCUUCCUGCUCUUCGACUUCUGGAUGAUUCCUCCAGUUUGCCCCCGGUCUAUUCCUGUCAUGAUUAGCAAAAAGGUUGUUCCCUCCUCGGCCUCUCCUCCUUCUUGCAAGUGGAGGGAAUGGAUUAGGGUCCAUCCUUCUGGGUCUAUAUGGCAAUACUGCCGGUGGUUCAGGCAGAAGCGCCAAAGGUUGAUCAUGUGGGAGCACAUGAAGUGGAAUGGGCUGAGGUUCUGGCUGGUUCUGAGCCAGUGCCAGGUUAUCUGGUUGAGCUGGGGCUUCAUGUUUUUGAUUAGGAAGGGCUCCUUCCCUCGGACCAGCCUGAAUUUCUCCGUGGUCUGGCACUCCAGCCAUCUGUGCAACUAGGAAAUUUUCCUGGUAUGGCCAUAUUAGUCCUGGCGGAGGGCCAUAAGGGAGAUCCAACUGCUGGAUUACAGGAUCUGGGUUUGGGUUUCUGGCCAUGGCGGAUUCUCGGUCCUUCCGGAACUGUCUGUUUACCUGCCAUUACAUCAUGGCUGUCAUGUUAUUGAGAGUGUCCUGGCUCCUUCGUACUGUGAUCUCUUGUCGGAGUACUGACUCCUGUAUUUGAUUCAUCCUUUUGGAGCCAGUCCUGGAACGUCUACUUCCUGUACUGCCGUGGGCAGAUUGCCUAGCAUCGCUUUUUUCUGAUUCGAGGCCUUCCCUGAGAACCAUCUUGUUUUUCUCCAUAUCUGGUGUGGGUUCUGACUAGAUCUUCCGGUAUUUGUGAAUCUGUGAAUGAUUCUGUCAGAGUAUAUAUACUGAGAAGUCCCACUGGGUGUGCCAAAUUAUUCACCCGUUUUCGUGUUUUACUCCUGAGGUGGAAGGGCGAAGUUCCCCACUAGCUUGGAGACCACUUGUUGGUCGACAAGUCAGCUUUCUUUGGUGUGUGUGAGCGUGCCACUGCUAGCAAUGUAAAUUCUAGCAGACUUAUUUUUUAGAGUGGAUAACUUGCGCCUCAAGUUACUGACUUCUAAAACAAAUGAUUGUGAAUUUGGGUGAGGAAUAUCUCCCAAGUAAGUUCUUUUCUUGCCUCAGACUGGUGAGGACUUUCACAAUUUAUCUCAGUAUCAAAUGGUUGUUCUGGCCAGAAUAGAUAAUAAUAAAGUAGACUGUUUCAGGCAGAACUGCCUUUUACAAAAUUAAGAAGGGAGAAAUCAACUCUAGAAAGGCAAAAAGAUGGCUGGAAUCCCAUUUCUGCCUGGGUAGAAACUUCUGAUCCGGGCUGGACUGGGUAUGUCUAUGCUGGACGGUGCUGUCAACAACUUUAGCUUGCUCGGCUUUAGUUGUAAAUCGAUACCAAAGUUCAAUUUUGGCAGAGCUUCAAUCUACUUCAAGCCUUGGGAGACUUUUGAGUGGGCAGAACUGCAGCUUCUUCAGUUUGAAGGGACAGAAGUGGCUAUUCUCGAGGAUUUAGCAAGCUGGAACUAUGCUAUAAAAUUUGUUGAGGUUUUCAUAUUUGUGAAAACUCAAACUAUGUUUGUCUUGGCUUUUGCUGAACCAAAUUUGUAACGAGAGGGAUCUUGUUUUCAGAAGACUUAUUUUCUAAGUCUGAACUUUGGAAUUCUGAUCUAAAGCUGUUUUCUUGUUUGUUUUUUUUUUAUUGACUGAUGAAUUGAGUGUCCUUUGUUUCUUUGCCUUCUUUCGCUUUUAUAAGAGAUCCUCCUAAGGAGGUCAUUUUUAAUCCUAAACAAUGGGCGGCAAAAAGAUCUCUUAUAAUGUAAAGUAAGAAGGGUUUCUUAUCAAUCAAGGCAGAUAGGUUCUGAGCAGUCACCUCCUAAAAACAGUCCCUUCCCUGGUUUCCUGGGUGGCAGCUUUCUAAUUCAACCAACGCCACCGUCUGUGUGGGCUUUUUAUGGCGGUUUUGGCUCUUUUCUUUUGUAUUUUCUGAGUGGUUCCCUGUUUCCCGUUCUAAUUUAGAAAGCGUGAUCCGUGAAUUCCUUGGGAGAUGGUGUAUUGAUUUGGAGCAAAAUCUUGAACACAGAUGGGUUUUUGAUCUUCAAUUGGCAGUGUUUCAGAGACGUCCCUCUCACAUUUUUAAACUUUAGUUGGAAUUGCUGACUUUUCCAAAGUUGAGGCAAUCACGUGGGUGUGUCUUUGAUCCCUUGGUUUUGAAUCUUUCAAAAAUUACGGGCUGAUCUUUGAAGCCCAUUUCGAAAGUUUCCACAUCUGGGCUUUCUUUGGGCUGAGGCUUUAUUUCCAACAUUCUUGGUGUGAACUGGACUAAACAGUUAGUCGGACCAGACCGUCUACACAUAUGAACUGGACUCACAAGCCUAUGUUUUUUGAGCUCCCAUAUUGGUCGAAACUCAAAUUGAGGCACAAUCUAGAUGUGAUGCAUGUUGAGAAAAAUGUAUUUAACACAUUGGUGGGCACGAUUCUAGAUAUCGAGGGCAAGACAAAGGACACAAUCAAAGCCCGUCUUGAUUUGGAAAGAAUGGGCAUACAAAGGGGUUUAUGGAUGAACAGGGACAGUGAUAAAGCUAGAAGGGAUCUUGCAUUCUUUUCUAUGAAACCGAAUGAUAAAAAAGAGUUUCUAAAGUUUGUAUCGUCUGUAAAGUUUCCUGAUGGGUAUGCUUCUAAUAUCGCACAUUGCGUGAAUGUUGACGAGGGUAAAUUUACUGGACUGAAGAGCCAUGACUGCCAUGUGUUUAUGCAACGCCUACUUCCUGUGGGUAUUCGACAUCUAUUGCCGGAAGAUGUUGUGAAGCCAAUCAUGUUGUUGUCCAGAUUUUUUUCCCAACUGACGGCAAAAACAUUGCGAAAGACAGACAUAUUUCAGUUGCGCCAUGACAUUGUCCAAGUCCUAUGCAAGUUUGAGAUGAUAUUUCCUCCAGCUUUCUUCACAAGUAUGAUGCACGUGAUGGUUCACUUGCCAGAAGAGGCAUUGCUUGCUAGUCCUGUCAACUAUCGCUGGAUGUAUCCAAUAGAAAGGUAUAUAAUCUUUAUCGUUUGUGUAUGCAUCAUUAUCACAGACUUGCUAAUUUGUAUCAUAUCGUUUUAUUUUGACAGGCUUCUCGGAGAGCUGAAAAAAAGUGUACGCAACAGGGCGAAGCCCGAAGGAUCAAUUAUAGAGGCUUGGGUUCAAUAUGAGUCGCUUACUUUCUGUGGAAUGUAUUUAAAAGAUGUGGAGACGGCUUUCAAUCGUCCUCAACGCAAUAACGACGAAGGUAUGAGAAAGGAAAAACUUUCUGUUUUUGCCCAAAGUGCACGACCCUUUGGAGAUCCUGGACGAGGAGAGUCGUUUUCUAGAAAUGACAUGGAGGUAGCGCAUUGGUUCGUACUGAACAAUUGUGAUGAGAUAAUGGCAUACUUAGAUAAGCAUGAAGAGAUGAUGAAGCGAGAACAUCCAUCACAUUUAGUUGCCCAGAAACACCGUGAAUUGUUUCCACAAUGGUUUUUGGAUUCUGUAAGUUAUAAGUGUUUUGUAUUUGACAAAUAUAAAUUGUAGUAUUUAAUUUUGUCAGACUAACAUGUGAAUGGUUUUGUAUUAUAUUAGGUGAAUAAGUUGAAAUCAUCGAAUUCCCCCACUUACAGUGAUGAGUUAUAUAACUUGGCGUUCGGCCCAAUUCGCGCUGAAUUGUUUCGGGUUGUUAUAUUAAUGGCGUCAAAUUUUUGGGAGCCGCACGAGAUGACAAGUUGUGUAUGCAAAACAGCGGUGUCCAUGUCCCAGGUGGAGGCGAAAGUACGAACAUUGAUUUCUAUGGCAAACUCACAACUGUCAUUCAAUUGCUUUACAAAGAUCGAUACUAAGUGAUCAUGUUUAAGUGUCGAUGGUUUGAUAGCAACCCAAAUAGGCCGGGAAGUGUUAAAAUCAACCAUGGCUUACUAUCUGUGAACAUUAACAGAACUUGGUAUGAUGACGACCCUUACAUUUUGGCAAACAUGGCAACACAAAUUGUGUAUCUAGAUGACCCUAAAGCCGGGAGCAGUUGGAAAGUUGUUCAGAAGAUGGAUCAUAGGAACUUGUAUGCUAUACCAGAACUAGACCCAACUGACAAUGACGUCAACAAUGUGGCUGACCAACGUUUAGAAUCUUCAAUGGAAAAUGAUGCGGAAACACUUCGAGAUACACAUGUUAUACAAGAACCGUUUCAAAUACAAGGAGUGUCUUCAAUCGAAAUACCGAUUCAGUCAAUUACAAUUGACCUCGGGGAUCUUCCAAGAUUCGAUGUUGCAGUGAGCCCGAGCAACGAAGAUGAUGUAGUUAUAGAGGAGGAGGAGGAGGAUUGGGAGACUGAAAGUGAUGAUAGCGAAGAUAACGAAAGUUAUUAUAGUUCAGAUGAUGAAUAAUUAAAUUUUUUAUAUUUUUAUUAUGCUAGUGUACAGACUUUGUGUAAAACAAAAGUUUGAAUAUAUGUAGUUGUGAUAUCCAAACCUUAUAUAUGUGGACAACUGAAACAUUAUUAAAAUAAAUUUAGUUAUAAAACAUCGGUAAAUCAAUAUAUCCAAACCCUUUUAAUAUUCAUUUAAAAUUUUUUUUUUUGACAAAAACGUUUACAAAAUGAAAAUGAUAAAAUAUUUGUUAUAAAACAUUGAUAAAUAAAUAUAUCCAAACCAUUUUCAUACAAAGUUUGAAAAUUAUUGACAACAAACAUUUUUCAAAAAUGAAAAUCCUUGCGCGACGAAGUACACCUCGUCACGCAAAGUUUGCGCGACCCAGUAAACAGUCGUUGUGUAAAGUUAAAACAUUGCGAGACAAAUUAUCAUCCGUCACGCGAUAGAAUUUUGCGCGACGAAUAUUUACUCUCGUCGCGCAAAUGUAUAUUCUUUUAUAAUAUAUUUUAUAUACACAUAUAUAUUCGAAAUUGACGAUCGAGUUAGUUCAUUGUAUUCAUAUAGGGUCAUGGAGUGUAGCUGUAAAAAAUCAUCAAAAUCGGAGUUAAAAUAACUGUUAAAUCAUGACUUUUCAUUUAUAACCGUUCAAAAAUUUUGUCCCGAUACUUGAUCUCUGAAUGUUUUUUUUUUCCGAUUUUUGGGGCCUAAGAUCUCGAAGUAUAAACAAACACGUUUGACGGCUGGAUUAUUGAAACUACUUUCGUAGAAUGCGUAUGCCAUCAAAACUAUAUAUUCACCAACAAUGAAUAGUUUACUUAUACUUUCAUUAAAUAUAACAUAAGAUUAUGUGGUAUCACCCUAGUGUAAACAUCUUAAAUUGAAGAUCAAAUUCAGUAAUUGUAUUCAUAUAGGGUCAAGAAAAGUAGCUAUAAAAAAUCAUCAAAAUCGGAGUUAAAAUAACCGUUAAAUCAUGACUUUUCAUUUAGAUUCGUCGAAAAGUUUUGUACUGUUACUUGAUCUCUUAACGUUUUUUUUGUCAGAUUUUCGGCGUAUACGAUCUCGAAAUAUAAAAAAACAAGUUUGCCGGUUAGAUCAUUAAAACUAGUUUCGGGUUUAGGAUUUCUGCAGUUUAGGGUUUAGGGUUUGCGCGACGAAGCCAUUUCGUUGGUCGCACAAAGCCUGCAAAGAACAGUCUUGCGCUACGAAACUAGGAUUCUUUGUCACGCAAUCUCAACCAGCCCUUUCACCCUCUUCCUCCUUGGACACUUAGCCAAAAAAAGUUGCGAGUUUACAGAAAGCGGCUUUGCGCGACGCUGCCGGUAUUCGUCGCGCAAUAUGUAUGCCAAUAAAACCUAAAUCCCAAAUUUUGGCGAAUUACAACUUUGCGCGACGAAUAUGGGAAGCUUCGCGCAAAGUUUUCAAUCUUUCCCGCUAAACCCUAAGUCCCAAAAUUUUGGCGGAUUGACAACAUUGCGCCACGAAAGAAGGUACUGUGCGUCGCACAAAGUUUUCAAUCUCUCCCGCUAAACCCUAAGUCCCAAAAUUUUGGCGGAUUGACAAUAUUGCGCGACGAAAGAAGGUACUGUGCAUCGCGCAAAGUUUUCAAUCUCUCCCACUAAACCCUAAGUCCCAAAAUUUUGGCGGAUUGACAACAUUGCUCGACGAAAUAUGGUACUGUGCGUCGCGCAAAGUUUUCAAUCUCUACCCAAUAUUUUGCCGGAUUGACAACAUUGUGCGACGAAAGACGAUACUGUGUGUCGCGCAAAAACUACCCUGAUACCAAAUUUUGGGAUUAACAAUAUUGCACGACAGAAGUUAUACUUAUGUCGUCGCGCAAGUGUCAAUUAAAAUAUUUUGCGUGACGCUUUUGUUUGUUCGUUGCGCAAAAUCGAAUAAAAUUGCAGAAACGACGCGAUAGCCUCCUUCUUCCCCAGAUUUGUUUUUCUACCCUAACUCUCUCUCUCUCUCUCCGCCUUCAGCUCAGCCCCCUACCCCAGUGGAUUUUGGACGACGGCGCCACAACAGUGGUACCCCGGAGGUUUCCCGCCGUCACCGUCGAGCCAGCCGCCCUAAUUCCUCGAUUUUCACCGAAUCUGCGCCGCCGUCGUUCUCUCUCCUUCGGCGACCAAAUCCGACACCUGAGGUAUGGUUUCUGUCCUAUUUUUGAUGCUUUAACUGAUGGUUGGGUAGGAUUUGUGUAAUUGUUGCAAUAGGGCAGUGGAUUUGAAACCCUAAAUUUCGACCGAUUUUUGAAUUCCAAUUCCGGCCACUUCUGGCCAUUUUUCAGGGUAGGUCCGAGAACAAAAGUGGCUCCAAUUGAUGUUUUGAACCUAGGGUAGGAACCUUGGCCCUUAGUUUUAAGAAAUUUUCGACGAUUGGUAUCGCUUUGGACACCCACGCUCUGCCAGCGCUUGUGGUGGCGCGUGGGGUACUGUAGCAGUCUUGCAUUGGGUCCCAGUGCAAUCCCAUAUUUGUCACGAGCGCGUAGGUGUUUUCGGAUUGGAAUUUGGUUACCGUUUGAGUCUCGAACGGAUUUUGCCUAUUGUGCGAUUUCCGGGUUUGUUAUGUUCGGACCGUUGGAUCGAACUCAAACUCACGUAUGGUGUACCUUGUAUUUCUUGGAUCGUCUAGGAUUCGACGGAUCGUGGAUCGGAGUCCCGAAUACUCCGAACUCGCAAACCCUAGGUCAAGAAUCUUAAUAAAAUUGUAUGUGCUUUCAAAUAUUCGUAUGUUUUAUUAAUUUGUAUGUGUAUUAAUGAAAUUGUGUAGAUGUCAGACCUGAUUAGACGUCGUAGGGCGGUGACGACUACGCAGAGUUCUGAGCCCCCGGCUCAACUGACAUCUGCUGCCACUGCGCCAGCACUGAUGGACCACUUGGCAGUUGGUCCCGCGGGGUCCCAGGCUCCUGCUUCAUCAGCUUCAUUAGUGGCACAACCUGUUAGCGCCAGGAAGCGUCAUCGGCCUGCCAGCACCACCGACACCACAUCCACUGAUGCGUCGGGGUCACAGCCAGGUAUAGAUUUCCUUAAACUCCAGUUAUUUAUAUUUUUGUUUUUGUUUUUAUUUUUGUUUUUGUUUUUGUUUUUGUUUUUAUUUGUGUGUGUAUUUUAUAGUUAAAUUUGUUAUUUAUUUAACAUUAAUGUCAUCUUUCUUUGCAGCCAAGAAGAACACCCGAGGGCCGUGUCGGUAGUUGAAGACGGCGAAGGUCACUCGGGUGACCAACAGUCGUAUCAACAUCGGAUACGACAAGCGACAUCGGGCUGCACCGACGGCGGAGUUGCAUAGCUCCUUGGCCCACGACAUUGGUGAUGUCAUUCCGAGCCAUUGCCCGAUGAAAUGGAAGUCUUGGAAGGUGAUGCCUGACGAGACCAAGAUGGAGGUUCGCGGCCAGUUGUCAGUAUGUAGGCCUUUUAAUUCUUUUUCUUUCAAAUUUUAUAUUUCUAUUAUUUAAAUGUAUUUAAUUAAUUUAUUGCAGACGAACUACAACUUGGAGGACCUGGACGACGAGUCGUUGGCGUACAUCAACAGACUCUUCUCUGAGAGGUACAAAUAGUGGAAGAGCGACUUGCACCACUAUUUUGAGGCGUUUGAUGAUCCAGAAGUCUCUCUUCAGGAGGGUUGCCCGAAGGAGCUUGAGGGGCGGGAGGAUAGUUGGGCGUGGCUCUGCUCUCAUUUUCAGGCGCCCGCUUUUGUGGUAAUUUGUAAUAUGAAUUUCAAAUUUAUUAUAUUUUUCUUACUAAUGUUUUUUUAAUGUUUUAUAUUUAAUUUCAAUUUCAACUAAUACGUUUUAUUUUUUGUAUAACAGAAUAAAGCCAAAGUCAAUAAGGGCAAUAGGAAGAAGAAGACUCUUCUCCAUCAUUCGGGUUCCAGGCCCUUCUCCUAUAGGAUGGAUGCAUGGCGGCAGGUAAUCAUAAAAAAAAUUUUAUUUAAUUUUUAAUAUUUAAUUAUUCUUAAUUUAUUUUUUUGUACUAAUAUUUUUCUUCUCUUGUUCAAUUUAGGGGGGUCCAAAUUCCCAGAGAUCGACGUCUUUGGCGACGUUUAUGUUCGACCUGGGAAUGAGUUGGGCGAGUCCCUUCAUGUAAGUAUUAUUUAAUUUUAAUUAUUAUGUUACGCAUUCAAGUUUAAAGGUUAUUAUAUGAAUGUUUUAAUUUAUAUUUUAUGUUAUGCUAAACAGAUGACGAUGGUGGAGAGGAGCCAGUUGGUUCUUCAAGAGUCCGCCUCCCAACUUCCUUCCGAUACUCCGAUCGAGUCUGUGGAUCCUCCACAGGAUGCUGGGUUUCAGAUCUUGACGGAGACAUUGGAUCAGACUCUAGGGAGGAGACCGGGGAUAUAUUGUCGAGGGAUGGAGAAUGCCAGGCGGAGGGAAGCCAGACCCCGUUCAUUAGCGCAGUCAAGCAGUCAGGUCACUGCUUUGACAGCACAGGUGGCCACUCUUCAGAGUCAGAUGUCGGACAUUCUGCAGUCCCUCGCACAGUUCGGCAUUCCAGUCCCGCAUUUUGAUGCGCCGACCUCUGAGCCCGUCCAUCCUGAGCAUCCCCACCAGACGACGGCCCUUGUAGACCCCCAGACCUCUGAACCGCAUGUGCCAGACGACAAUGUAGAUUUUGGAACAUUAUGAUUAGUUUUUUUAUUUUCAUAAUUAUUUUUUAAAUAUUUCUCUUGCAGCAUACAUUUAUUUUAUAUAAUAAAUAUGUUCUUUACAAUUCUUUUUUUUAUUGGAAUUUCAUUUUAUUACCCAAAAAAAAAAAACCAAAUUUAUUUUUUUAUAAAAUAAAAUAAAAAGUAAUAUUAAAAUUAAAUAAUAAUUAUAUAUAUUAAUUUUGCGCGACGAAAUCUUUCUCGUCGCGCAAAUUUAUAUAUUACGAAAUAAAAAUGUUUCAUUUUUUUAAAUACAUAUAAUUUAUUCUUGCGCGACGAAUAUUUUCGUCUCUCAAAAAGGAUUUGCGCGACAACAGUUUUUCGUCGCGCAAAAUGUGUUGACACGAAUUGCACGACGAAGAUAUCUUUGUGCCGCAAAUAUCUACGACACGUAUUGCGCGAUGAAAAUGUUCGUCGCGCAAAAAACGUAUGCGCGACAACAAUGUUUCGUCGCGCAAUACGUGUAGACAUGAAUUGCGCGACGAAGAACUCUUGGUGCCGCAAAUGUGUACGAGACGUAUUGUGCGACGAAUAUUAUUCGCCGCGCAUCGUUGUGGCGACGAACCCGCUUUCGUCGCGCAUAAGUUUGUGCGACGAACUAUUGCAUCGUCUCUGAACCUUUUGUGCAACGAAGGGUAACCGUCGCACAAAUUUGCGCGACGAGUGAUACAAUCAGUCGCGCAAAGUCUUUCUUCACCAUCUUUGCACCACAGAUUACGCGCGACGAAUUUUCUGUCGUGCUUGAGUUUGUGCGACCAAAUUUAACUCUGCGCGACGAAAUUGGCUUCGUCGCGCAAAUCGUAAAAUGUAGUAGUGGAAGUUAUCAACAUCUAUAGGAACCCCAAUGAAAAGGCUGUUAACUAAUAAUGAAGUAAACCCCUCAAUGUUUCCGCGUAUCAGAUAUCUCUCAGAAUAUGCGAUUCCAUACUCAAUAAGCAACUCCACAUCCCCUGAGGUUUUCACCAAACCACCCAUUAAGGAAACAUACUGACUCAUGUGUAAUUAUCAUUACUCAUCGGGUAAUGCAAUUGUUCAAAGGCAAGGACAUUUCUCAUUAUUUCUGUAGUGAACCCCAAUGGAAAUGGUGGGAUCUUCAGAACCCCAUUGGUGCUACUGAAUUGUAUGUCAAAUAUGUUUUCACCUUGUCGCGCCUCAAACUUGACUCCAGCGUGCUGUAAUUCUGUCAAGCUGGGUAUGGAUGAUGGGAGUUCCCCUCCAGCUUUUGAUUCCAACGGUUGAUAGAGUUUAAAUAUUUUCCUGUAAAGAUCAACAAUAUGUGCCACUGAUCUAAAAGUCUCCAAAUUGUCUUCCAUUUUGUCAACAGGCAAUAGAUGUUCGAAGAAACUGAAAGAAAGACUAAUUAUUGAAAGCCCCUCAGUAAUGCAGUUAUUGUCAGCAUCAGCAGGGAGUGUAAUUUUCUGUGGGUCGAAAAGAUCCUCGAGAAUGAAGAAUGGCAACUGAUUUUCAAGCAACCACAUAUCUGUCCAUACAUCUUGCAACAUACCUGGUUUGUCAAAUAUGCGGUCAUUUUCAUCCCAAAAUUUGAAGUAGUCCUUCAAUAAGAGCUCAAUAACGAAGGCGGCAUCCACUAGAAUGAUUGUUACAAAUUCAUCACUGCUAAACUUGAUGGGUUCUCCAUAACAACGUCUCAAUCUUGCUUCGUGGUCCUUUAUUUUCUUAAUAUAAUCCUCCAAACUCACAUUGGUCCGACCUAUAAAAUCUUGCAGGUAUCUCUGUUUGUGCUCUUCCUAUACGACAUUCAAGCCUUCCUUUCCAUGGUGAAGUGGGCCUAUAGAGACCACCUGAGGUGUGCAGAGCUUUUCAUUCACACUUCGUAGUCGUUGAGGAACUCUGUAGAUACAGCACUUGGAGGAUGGGGGAGACAAGCUAUUGAACCCUUUUCUCAUCGAAUUUGCUAAUGAAAUGUAUGGGUUUUCUAUGUCAUUUUGAGCAGAUUGAUGGCUUCCUGCCAUUUUCCAGCUCCUGACUAUAUGUGGUGUUCCGAUUGUAACAGAUUACAAUAAUGAUGAGUAUGGAUAACUGAAUUACUGAUAAAACAAUCAAGAAACAUUUCGUUAUUUUCCAUUCCCAAUAACGAAAUCAAAAUGUUCAAGGAAAUAUAAUCAGGAUAUUGCAAUUAUAUAGCCAUUCAUAAGCUGCCUGGCAUGGAAUAAGAGGUGGAAACCAAAUCUACUUAUUGGCCAAAGUUCGAAUUCACUAUAUAUAGAUAUAUAUUUUGCCAAAAUCUAAAACUGACCAACCUUAGAUACAAAAACACGGUACAGCCCGGUUAAAGUAAUUCCAAGUGCGAAGAAAGAAAGGAAUUGAGCGUUUGUACCUCUACAGCUAGCCAAAUUUUCUAUUGAUUCUUUAAAUUUUAGAGAGCAAUUACUCUUAAUUUGGUAGGUGUAGGACUGUGCAACUUCAAGCUUUAAUGAAAGAAGCCAAGUUUAUUCUAAGGGGACAAGUCAGAGACAACGAAAUUUUGCUCAGCUUCAUUUUCAAAUUUGCUGCUUAAGAAGGAAAUUUAAUAUGUUUGUUUCACAAAUUGUAUUGUCAUCAAUGAAACUCGUGCACACCCAACGAAAUUUGCAUGGCUUAUUUUCAAAGGAGUACUGCUAUUUCCAUCCUCUGUCCUAUUUUUCCACUCACCUUAUCUUCAAAAUUUUAAAGACAAAAAUAAACCCCUUUGUAAAAUGCUUAAAAAGAAAUUUAAUAUGUUUGUUUCAAAAAUUGAUAUUGUCAUCAAUGGUUAAAGAAUUGCUGGUGACAACAUAUACUUCUUUUCUACUGUAUUAAUUUCUUUCUUUAUUUUUUCUUCAGUAUAGUUCUGCCUUUCUUUUACAUGUUUAUGCGCAUAUUUGACACGUUCAAGUAUACUUAUAUAACAAAUGCAAUGAGUUUGUAGUCACAAAAAUCAAGGAUUGAAAACAAAAAGUAAUAUUAUGUGCAAGAGAAACUUACCUGCAGAAACUGAAGAACUCCUCUAGUUUCUUCUCUGUCGCUAUGUACUCCCGCGUUCAAGUUAUUAUUCUUACAAUGUACAUACACUAUUAUAUAAUGGCGAGAAGGCUCUGAUUAACCUCCUUUUUGCUUCAUUGGAUGGGGCAAGAAUGGAAUUGUCACCGUGGGUGUGGAGGUGAUCUACCAUUUGAGCAAGAAAUUCCCACAUAUUCUUUAACUAUUUUUCAAGCAUGCAUAUUCCUCCCUAUCAAUCUUUGGUCUCUUCUUUUACUAUUUUUCAAGCAUGCAUACUUUGAUUUUAAAUCAUCUUUUCCGCACUAAUUUGCUUCAAUCAAGAAACAGUUAAUAUAUUUUGUAUCAUCAUUAGAGAACACUUGAAACUGCAUAAGUUAAUUUUGAAGAUGAUGGCAGAACCAAAAUGUGUAUAGCUUAUAACUAUAAUUUCUUGAUUACAACAAGAGGUUUCAAGUUUUCAACAACACAAAUAUGAAUCUCCCAAGCAAAGAUAAACAAUAAAGCAAGCAUACGGAUUGUCAAAUUGCCUUCAAUCACUCUAAAAUACUUCAUACCGUCCGACACUGGCUUCAAUUACUCUACAAUACUUCAAUUCAUAUAUUGUCCUAUUUUCACAUGUACAUCCUGCUUUUACUUAAGGGUUAAUUGUUGAUUUACCCCUUGAACUUGUACUCUACUUUCAAUUUGCACCCUCAACUUUUUUUUUUGAAAAUUAGGUGCAUGAACUAAUUUUUAUUGCCAAUUCCCCCUACCAACAUGUCAUCUAAUAGUCUGUCAAAUCAUUAAAAAAUAUAAUAUUUUUGGAAAAAAUUAAAGAAAAAAAAAUUCCUAAGGACCCACAGACCCAGAACCCACCCUCCGUUGCCCCCGCUUGCUGUUUUCUUCUCCUCCCAGUCCCCCAUGACCACCACCCUCCACUGCCACACCAAUCCCCUACCCAACAGACCCCUCACCCCUUCUUUUUUUUCACCCCCGAACCCAGCAUGAGUUAUUGGUUAAUACCAUUUUCUUAAUUGCCAAAUAAAAAAAAAAAACAGAGUUAACCCUCUGUUAAGCUAGCUGACUAGUGGGGCGAAAUGGAGGAAAAUCAAUAUGGAGACAGCGGAUCCGGUCCCGUGUAAGUGUAUCUGAUGGAAUAAAAGAAUGAUAUUAUUGGUGGUGGGUACGGUUAUGUGGAAGUAAUAAUGGGUAAGAGAAGAAACUUGUUCUCUUGUGAUAAUCAAAAGACAGAAAGUAGUGGGAAAAGACAGAAAGUAGUGGGACACUAUUUUAGAUAUGAUAAUGUUCCUUCCUUGAUUGAUGCAAAUGAAGAGAAAAGGGUGGCUUUAUAUAAUAGCCACUACCGACCUAACACAUUAAAAACACAACUAACACCAAACAUAGUUAAUUCAACUAACUUCUACCACACCAUUAAUUUAACACACAACUACUAACAAACUGCCAACUAUUUCAAAGUUACCAGCCGACUAUUAAUGAAGUCUAGAUUACUUUAACAUCCUCCCUUAAGCUAGACUUCAUUUACGCCAAUUAAUUUUCUCAUCUUGAUGAGCGGCUCUUUCUUCAACGGUUUGGUGAACAAAUCUGCCAGCUGAUCUUGGGACUUGCAAUACAGAACCUCAACUUCUUUAUCUUUGAUUAGCUCUCUGAUGAAAUGGAACUUGAUCUUGAUGUAACACCCCGACCCCAAAUUUUCCCAAAUUUUACCCUUAUUUAAUUAUUUAAUUAUUUAAGGGUAUUUUAGUCAUAUUUUUAACCGGAGAGAGUUUGGGACCGUGACUAGUAUUUUUGGAUAGGUCGAGCUGAGACGAGUUCAUAGACACGUAGUGGGCUCGAAUCGGAGUUGUAACGAGAGAGAUAUGGUCAAAAGAAGCCCAGUGGCACAAUCGUAAAUAUUUCGAAAUGGGAUUUUUUAUAAAAACUCAAAUUUUUCUCUCUCUCUCUCUCUCUCUCUCUCUCUCUCUCUCUCUCUCUCGCGACUCCUCUCUCUCUCUCCCGUCGGCCUCUCCUCUCUCUCUCUUCGUAACUCCGGCCACCGGCCGCGGCUGCGGACGGGGCCGGUGUCAAAAGAACCGGCUCGACCUCGGCAUCACGACCCAGCCCAUCCCCGCCAUCGGCCGCCGCUCCAGCCGCCGGAAAAUGGCGAUUUUCGCCCAGAUGUCGCCGGAACUUCAACGCCGUCGAUCUCCCUCCUCCGGCCACCAAUUCCGUCGACCCAGGUAUGGAUUUUGAACCUCUCGAGCUGCUCUAGCUGAUGGUUGGGUAGGAUUAGAUCGAUUCUUAGCGUAGAUCACUCGAUUUUCGAAUUGAAAAUCGGCCGAAACUUCGGCCGCCGUGAUCGGCCAUUUCCGGCCACUUUUUGGGGUAGGUCCAAGAACAAAAGUGGCUCCAAAUAGGGUGUUAUACCUAGGGUAGGAGUUUGGAGCCGUGGUUUUGAGAUUUUCCGGCGGAGCGUUAUCGCUUUGGGCACCCACGCGCUGCUGGCGCGUGCGGCGGAGCGUGGGCACUGUAUAAAAAGUAGCGAUGUAUUCCGAUGAGAUCCUUAGGUUGUCACGAGUGCGUAGGAUUUUGCGGAUCUCAAUUCGGACGUCGUUUGACUAUCGAACGAAUAAUCGCAUAGUGUGCGUUAUCCGGGUUCGAUAGGUUGGGACCGUUGGAUGGUCCCAAAUUUAAUAUAUGUUAAUCUAGGUAUUUCUAGGAUCGUGUAGGAAUUCACGGAUCGUGAAUCGGAACUCCGGAUGUUCCGAAUAAUAAUUUUAAGUUUAUAUUUUAUAUUAACCAUCAGAUCGUGCGAUCGUGAGCAAUCCGACCGUCCGAUCUGAACCAAACUUGCAGGACAAGUGUCCUACACCUGGUAGAACCCAUAGGGACUUCCGGAUCGGAAAUUGGAGGUCGUGGGUUCUGCAGGUCCGUUUGACCAGGGUUAGAGUAGUUUGACUCUUGGUUGACCGUGAGUCUCCCGGAGUAAUCUCACCCUUCCAGGGGGAAUUAUCGGGAGCUAGACUAUUGUGGAGGGUUACACAAUAUUAGAAUUAUUUAUAUAAAUUAUGUGGUUGUACAAGGGUACAACAGAGUCUAGAAUGUCAGUUUGGAGUGCUAUACGCACUACUCUAGGUACCUCCUCGGACUUUGGAAUUUCUACAAGUACCACCAAGUGAAAGUUAGGUCCCACGUGGCGUAGGUUAUCCGGCGUGUCGACAGACCCCAUACGUGGCGUUGGUUGUACCGGCGUAUGGGGAGAUUUGUGAUAUGAUAUUGAGGUCCCGCGUGGCGUAGGUUAUCCGGCGUUGGGACAGGCCCCAUACGUGGCGUUGGUUGUACCGGCGUAUGGGGAGAUAUUAUGAUAGUAUGGCAUGGUCGCACGUGGCGUAGGUUAUCCGGCGUGUCGACAGACCCCAUACGUGGCGUUGGUUGUACCGGCGUAUGGGGAGAUUUGUGAUAUGAUAUUGAGGUCCUGCGUGGCGUAGGUUAUCCUGCGUUGGGAUAGGCCCCAUACGUGGCGUUAGUUGUACCGGCGUAUGGGGAGAUAUUAUGAUAGUAUGGCAUGGUCGCACGUGGCGUAGGUUAUCCGGCGUGUUGACAGGCCCCAUACGUGGCGUUGGUUGUACCAGCGUAUGGGGAGAAUAUGUGAAAUACAGAGAAAUGAAAUAAGGUAUUGCCCAAGUGUGGAAUUGGGUUUUAGGGAAGAACUACUUAUGGCUUGAUCCCUCAAGGAGGGUACGUAGGCAGCCUAAGGUUAUUAGGUGCAGCCGCAGACUAAAUAUUAGUCAUAAAUUGUAAUUGAACUGUUUGGUAGUCGUUUGAGGAAGUAUUGAAAGGCCGAAGGCCAUUUGUGUGAAUUGCAUGAAAUUAUAUUGUGCAUGCUGCCAGUUGGGAAUAUUAAAUGCGUUUUUAUGCAGGUAUAAAUUUUGGGAAUGUCCAAUUUACAGGGGAGACUCUGCCAAAAUUUCGGCAGGAAGUCUCGGUUUUUAGUAAGUGGGCCUGGCAUCGGGGUGAUGUCAGGAAUUCCAAAGGGUUCGUCUCGGGUUUUGAGAAAAUUCGGGGCGGGUCCUUUCACUUGAUAUGCUUACUCUUGCUGUGAAACAUUGGAUUUUUGGAAAGACAAAUAGCUGAUUUGUUGUUGCAGAACAGCUUUGUAGGUCCUUCUUGAACUUGACCCAUCUCUUCUAAAAUACUUUUCAGCCACCUAGCUUGACAACCUGCUGAUGCAAGAGCAACAUACUCAGAUUCUGUAGUUGAAAGUGCCACUAUAGAUUGCUUUUUGGAGGACCAUGAAAUCGCACUUGAGCCAAUGCUAAAGACAUAACCAGAUGUGCUUUUGCAAGUAUCAACAUCUCCACCCAAGUCACUGUCACUGUAGCCAGUCAAAUUUAGAUUCUGAAUAGGAUAAUAAUGCAAACCAUAAUUGAUAGUUCCAACCACAUAUCUUAGGAUUCUCUUUCCAAGCUCCCAAUGAACAUCUUUUGGUGACUCCACUAAACGGCUGAGGAAGCUUACUGCAUAUGUAAGAUCUGGCCUUGUUGUAGUUAAAUACAAGAGGCCACCCACUAGACUUCGAAACAAAGUUUGAUUUACCAUUGUGCUUCCAUCAUUCUUACCUAUCUUAACACCAACCUCCAUUGGAGUAGCAAUUGACUUUGCAUUUUCCAACCUGAACCUUUUCAACAAUUCCUUUGCGUAUUUCUUUUGAGAAAUAUAGAUACCAUUCUCAUUUUGUUUGACUUCAAUUCCAAGAAAGAAAUGAAGCAAACCAAGGUCUGUCAUUUCAAAUCUUUGUGACAUAAUCAUCUUGAAAUUAUCACACAUUUGAGCAUUACUUCCAGUAAAUAUUAAGUCAUCCACAUAUAAGCAGACAAUCAAAAUCUCACCUUGAGAGUUCUUCUUGGUGUAAAGAGUAUGCUCAUAUGGGCAUUUGUGAAACCCAUACUCUUGGAAGAAUGCAUCAAUCCGACUGUACCAAGCUCUUGGAGCUUGUUUCAAACCAUAUAAAGCCUUCUUCAAUCUACACACUUUUGUUUCUUCAUUUCCCUGCACAUAACCUGGAGGUUGAGCAACAUACACUUCUUCUUCCAAAAAACCUUGCAAGAAUGCUGGUUUAACUUCCAUUUGAAAGACUUUCCAACAAUUUUGGGCAGCAAGAGCUAACACCAUUCGGAUGGUGUCAAAGCGUGCAACUGGAGCAAAAACUUCAUUGUAAUCAAUUCCAUAAUUUUGCUUGUAGCCUUUAGCUACCAAGCGAGCUUUGUAUUUCUCAACUUCUCCUUGAGCAUUCAGCUUGGUCUUAUACACCCAUUUUACUCCUAUAGGCUUCUUUCCUUGAGGAAGAUCAACCAGCUCCCAUGUGUCAUUUUUCUUAAUGGAAUCAAUUUCUUGAUCCAUAGCCUUCACCCAAUUUUCAUCCUUUGAAGCCUCUUCAAACAUAAUUGGGUCUGCAUCUACAAAUAGAGCAAAAUUUGUGCCACCAUUAGUGAUCAAAACAUAAUCACUAGAUGGGUACCUUGUGGAUGGUUGAUGAGCUCUUGUUGAUCUCCUUUGUCCUCUGCAAAUUUCUUCUUCCUCACUGCUAUCACUAGAAGAAGUUGAUGAUGACCCUUGUGAUGAAGAUUCCUAUGAUGAUAGAGUUGUUGGUGGAGUUAAAUCUGGAUUUUCAAGGCCAAUGUCCAACAGUAUUGGACUUUGAUUUUCAGCUUCACUCCAAUUCCAUGCUUCUUCUUCAUUGAACUUGACAUCACGACUAACAAUAAUCUUGUUAGUCAAUGGAUUAAACAACUUAUAUGCCUUGGCCUUUUCACUAUACCCAACAAGAAUGCACUUUUCUGAUUUGUCAUCCAAUUUUCUCCUUGUUUUAUCAGGAAUAUGAGAAUAAGCAAUGCUGCCAAAUAUCCUUAAGUGACUAAUACAUGGCUUGAGGCCACUCUAAGCUUCUUGAGGAGUCUUGCCUUCCACACUAUUGGACGAUGCACGGUUCAAGAGAUAUACAGCACAUGCCACUGCUUCUGCCCAAAAACGAUUAGGCAUUGCUUUUGCCUUCAACAUGCUUCUUGCCAAUUCCAUAACGGUCCUAUUUUUUCUCUCGGCCACACCAUUUUGCUGUGGGGUGUACCGAGCUGUGAACUGAUGCUUAAUCCCAUUUUCUUUUAGAAAAUUUUCGAACACAUUGGAUGAGAAUUCUCCACCUUGAUCAGACCGCAAGGUUUUCAAUGCAAAUCCACUUUGCUUCUCAGCCAAAGCUUUGAAAACUUUAAAGUAAUCAAACACCUCUGAUUUAUAUUUGAGAAAAUAGACCCAUGUCUUUCUGCUAUAAUCAUCAAUGAAUGUAAGAAAGUAGCGGUUACCUCCUGUUGAUGUUGUGUUCAUGGGCCCGCAUACAUCUGAGUGCACCAGCUCAAGAGGAUGGGAUGCUCUCCAAGAAUUUCCUGUAAGAAACGAAUUUCUCUGAUGUUUUCCCAGCACACAUGCUUCACAAACUUGUGUUUGAUGCUGUAUCGUUGGUAGGCCUCGUACCAUAUGUUGUUUCCCCAUCAAUGAUAGUGUAUUGAAACUCAAAUGCCCAUAGCGUAGAAGCCACAACCAUGAGGAAUCCUUGAUAAGUGCACUUAAGCAAGCAAAAGAUUCAUACUUUAUGUUCAGAGAAAACAUAUUGUCUCCUGACAUCUGCACCUUUGUAAUUAGAGAGUUGUACUUGUCUCUAAUUACACACUGGUCUUCCCUGAACUGAAUAUUAUGGCCUUUAUGAAGAAGUUGCCCCACACUAAGGAGAUUGUAAUUUAAAUCUGGAACAUAUAACACAUCAGAGAUUCUUUUUUGUUCUCCAGACUUGGAUAGAAAAAGAAUAUCUCCACAUCCUUUGGCCACUAGCUUUCCACCAUCACCAAUCCUUACUUCUGAGUUGUUGGUAUGCUUGAAAUUGACAAAGGCACUUUUGUUGCCUGUCAUGUGAUUACUACAUCCGCUAUCAAGAUACCAUUUUUCUGCACACACGUUUCCUUCCCUGGCAGCUGCAUAUGCAAGUAGAACCACAUUAUCAUUUUCCCUUUCAGAAGCUUUUUCAUGCACAAAGCUUGAUUCGGCUCCUCCAUUUGUUUUGUUUUUGCAUGUUGACUUGAUGUGCCCAUAUUGCUUGCAAUUGUAGCACUGAAUAUUAGAAAGAGAGGAACCUUGUUCUCUUCCUCUUCCUCUUGAAUAACCACCAUAAUCUCCUCUUCCUCUUGGAUAACCAUAAUCUCCUCUUCUUCUUGAAUAACCAUAAUCUCGUGCAGAGCCUUCAUCAUUAGUUUUUUUUAGGUCAUUUGCAUAGCCACGUCCUUGAUUAUUUCUUCCUCGUCCACGAGUAAAGCCGCCUCUUCCUCUUCUAGAACUUCCUCUGAAUGAGACUUGAGAUUGAAAAGCUUGCUCAACAGGGCCAGAGUCAAACUGCUUCAGUCGUAACUCAUGGGAUUGAAGAGAACCCAUUAAACUGUCAAGAGACAAAGUAGACAGAUCUUUGGAUUCUUCAAUUGCCACCACAAUAUAUUCAAACUUUCGGGGACAUACUUCGAAGAAUUUUUUCAGCAACUCUCUGAUCUUCAAUUUUUUCUCCAUUAAUUCUCAGUUGGUUGACUAGAGAAAUGACACGAUUGAAAUAGUCUUCAACAGAUUCUGACUCCUUCAUACGUAACAUAUCAAACUCACCUCUUAGAGUUUGCAGUCUUGCCAUCUUCACUUUAUCUUCUCCUUUAUAUGAUGCAAAGAGAGUGUCCCACGCCUGUUUUGAUGUAAUGCAUGAUGAGAUUCUUUCAAAGAUAGCUUCAUCCACUGCUUGAAAGAUAAAGAAUAAAGCUUUUUUGUCCUUCUUACGUGUCUCCUUCAGCUCUGUGAGUUGUUGUUGAGUGAGGACUGCUUGAUCAUUUGGCUCCACAAAGCCAUUUUCAACCACCUCCCACAAAUCUUGAGCAGCAUACAACACCUUCAUUUGGAUGCUCCAUUGACUAUAAUUCUUCCCUGUAAACUUUGGAAGCUGGGGCUGUAACAAGUUGUUGUUUGAAGCCAUAUGAUUCUGAGUUUCCAGCUCUGAUACCACUUUGAUGGAAUAAAAGAAUGAUAUUAUUGGUGGUGGGUACGGUUAUGUGGAAGUAAUAAUGGGUAAGAGAAGAAACUUGUUCUCUUGUGAUAAUCAAAAGACAGAAAGUAGUGGGACACUAUUUUAGAUAUGAUAAUGUUCCUUCCUUGAUUGAUGCAAAUGAAGAGAAAAGGGUGGCUUUAUAUAAUAGCCACUACCGACCUAACACAUUAAAAACACAACUAACACCAAACAUAGUUAAUUCAACUAACUUCUACCACACCAUUAAUUUAACACACAACUACUAACAAACUGCCAACUAUUUCAAAGUUACCAGCUGACUAUUAAUGAAGUCUAGAUUACUUUAACAGUAUCGAAUCUAGCUUUAAUAUGUAUUGGGUCCUCUGGACAAGAAUUCUAUCCUUUUCGUCCUAACUAAUAUGUAGGGGAAAAACAAUACAUCAAUUAUCCUUUUCGUCCUAACUAAUAUGUAGGGGAAAAACAAUACAUCAAUUAUGAAUUUUUUUUAUCUGGGUUCGAAAUUAAAUAUGAAUGGAGUUUUGGAGGCUUAAAAGUUAUAAGCUCAAGAAAGGAAGGAAACUAUAUGUACAUUUGGGUCGGAGGCAAAGGUCCAGUCAUCUACCGUCCAGGAUAUACAGUAUCAAAAAAGGCUUAAGAAUUGUAAUAAGGUGACAUACGCCCACAUACGGCCAACGCUAGCAUAUUUCGUAAGUGUAUUAUAUGUCUUCUAAGUAUAUCAUAGUUAUGUGUCAAUUUUAGAUCCAAUUGCACACCCAAAAUACAGAAACAAAAUCAUUGAGAAUACACUUUUUUUCACUUAUAUUUUGAAUAUGCAUUGCCUGUAUUUCAUGUGUAUGAUAUAGGGGCUUCACUUAUAGUUUUUGCACAAAACCUCCCUUGAUGAAGGAUGUCUUAGAUUAAUGACAUCAAUGAUUUGUUACAUUUGGAGUACCCAACAUAACAGCUCUCUGAUUAACAAUAAAGUUAUAAAAUUUCAACAGUUUCAUACCUAACAAGCAUAGAGAAACAAAUAAAACAACCACAUUGCUUCGAUCACUGUACAUGCACACAGCUCACUUUCACUAACUACAGAGGCUAUAUUUUCUACAUAUACACUAACUUUUUCUUUCUCCAGCUCUCUUACACCACCAGGCUGGUGACAAACCCAGCUCGCGUCAUGUGGAGGACCAAAAGGAAAUGACAAGGAGAAAACGGCUAAGGAGAGACUUACUCUCAACACUUAGAAGGCAGAGCAGAGAUAACAGAGCACACUGCUUGUAUAAAAGUGAGUAUGAGGAGAAAAAUAGCGGUAGCAAUUGAAAUAGUUGCCCAAGGUGUGUUGCAAUAGUUUUGUCUCAAGUUUGCCUGCCAUUUGUGCCAAGACGUUCUGCAGUACUUGUUGAGGUCUGCACAAAGAAUAGCAAAAUAGAAGUCAUUAGAGUCCACAAUGACCCCAUCUGCAAGGUUGUUGAUCAGAGUAGACCCUCCACUACUGUCACCGAGCAUAUUUUCGACGAUUCCUUGCUUAACAACCAACUCCACAUCCGUUGCGGUGUUCACAAAGCGAUCCACGAUGACAACAUAAUUGUUUAUGUAAUUCUCCAUGCAAUGGCAUUGUUCAAAGGCAAGGAGGUUUCUGAUUGUAAGCUCUGUCUCAUCACUUAUUGCUAAUUUUGGAAUUUCUAGAAUCCCAUUAGCGAAUUGUAUGUCGAAUAAGUUUUUGGGUGAUCCCACCUUAAACUUGACUCCUGCUCUGUGUAACUCUGUGAUGCUGGAUGUGUUUAAGAGUUUCAAGUCGCCCCUUAGCAGGUGGUUUCAAUGGUAGAGGUAGAUACAAAUUUCUACAAAAAUCUACAAAGUGUUCUACUUUAGAAGUACAUAAUUUCUCCAUAUUGCCAUCCGUUCCCUCUAUGUGCAUUAGAGUUUUGAAGAAAUUGUGGCAAAGGUUAAGCAUCGAAAGCCUCUCAAUAUUGUUAUUGUUAGAAGAGACUUUGAUUUUUUCGGGGUCAAAAAGUUCCUCAAGAAUGAAGAAUGGCAGCUGAUUUUCAAACAACCGCAUGUCAGGCCAUACGUCUGGCAACAGCCAUGGUUUGUUAAAUAUGCGGUCAAUUUCAUCCUGCAAUUCAUCGAAACGAUACCUCAACAAGACCUCAAUGAUGAAGGCGGCAUCCACUAGAAUGAUUCUCACAAAUUCAUCACUGCUAACCUGAAUGGUUUCUGCAUAACAACUGCGCAGUUUUGCUUCUUGGUCUUUUACUUUCUGUACAUAAUCGGCUAGGCUUACCCUGGUCCGACGUAUAUAAUCUUGUAAGUACCUCUUUUUGUGAUCUUCCAUGGCUUUUAGGCCUUCCUCGCCAUGAUGAAGUGGGCCUAUAGAGACUACCUGAGGUGUGUAGGCCUUUUCACUCACACGCCGUAGUCGUUCAGGAACUCUAUAAAUGCAACACAAGGAGGAGAGGGAAGACAAGCCAUCCAACUCCUCACUCAUUGAAGUUACUAAUGGAAUGCAAGGGUUUUCAAUAUCAUGUGGAGCUUGAUCGCUUCCUUCCAUUUUCCGCUGAUGUGUUUGUUGUUGUCAAUCAUAAUGGAUGAUAAUGAAAUGAUAGUCACUGACACAACAAUAAACAAAUUUUUCAAGAUGGCUGAGAAAAUUAAUACAAACAUUGCAAUUAUAAGACCAAACACACAAAGACUUUUGAUCCUUGUAACUCUUACAUACCACACUAGUGCCUUAAGAAUUCGAUUUGAAUGCACCAAAUUCAUUCAAAACUCUUCUGGUCAACUCUGUUUCUUGUAAUUAUUCUUGGAAGAUUCUAAUACAUUUUUGAUUGAAAAAUUCCUACUAAUCAUGUGAAUCAGUACCAAAGUUUAUUUCAAAUUAACAUACAAACCCCACUUUUUUUUUCCUACAUAUAUACUUCUUUAUUUCCCCUCAACUUAUUGGAGCUUCUAAUAAAGCAAAUUCUUUCUGUGAUGAUAUCAGAUAGUAGAUUAUGCUUCCAGUCAAAACAUAGACAAACCAAAAUCCCAUUAGAAGAGAAGAAAAUAAUAUACGACAUUCACAUAACCUUCUGCUCAAUUCCAAUUUCCAACUACAAUGAAACAUAAGACACUUAAAAGCUUCAAGAAAUUGGAUGUGCAAGCAAACAUAGCGAAAUUAUGAAAGACAGAGAAAGGUGUUGGGCAUUGAAAACAUACCUGAUACGUAUUGAAACACAAUUUUUUUUUGCCUUUGGUAGAUGGAGUAGCUAGAAAAGCUCAAUGCACUUGCUCUUCUGCUACAUUUCAAUAUAAGAACAUUGUUUGGAAGUCCGGUCAAUUCCUCAAAGCUUCCUUGCCUUUGUUUUGACAUGCCGAUGCCCGUCUUGGGGAAGUUUGAAUAAUCCAUUGCAGGCCCCAUGAUAGGAUUUUUAGUACUUGUGCAAACAGUGUUAAAAAUCACAUAAAAUACUUGCAAGAAUACAAGGCUAUUGUAGUAUAGAUGCUCAUGCAAGGUCGUUUUCCUCAAGGACUAAUUAGCAAUUUAUGUAAAAACAAAUUCCAAUUACUACUUAAAAUAAAAAGUCAAGAAAGAUGAUUAUAAAUUUGGUGGAUUCUAAAAAACAAAUAUUAAACAAAAACAAAUACGAUUGAAAGAAAGAGUUUUGAAUAUCAAUUUAUAAAAACACUAGGGUUUCACCAUCACCUAGCAAUCCUAUGAACUUUUACCAAUUACUUAUGAUUUGCACAUGCCACUUUGAAGGUUAGGUUUUCCUAAUGUAUAUUCUACUUGGAACCUCCAACACAGAACGUAUAUCCAACAUGCAACCCGUCCGGACGUUCGGAUCAAAUCUGAACAUGAAAGACUCAUUAAGUUUUGUGAAAACCCUUUGAAAAACCAUGCAACCCUUAAGACGUGGUGUUCAUCUUAAGUGAAAUUACAAUUAUUAAUCACAAGAAGCUAGCAUAAAUUUCAGGGAACCUUCCGACCAAAAUUGCAUCCAAUUACUUUUCUAAAGAUCCUAAUGGUGAUCAGGCAUUAAGACAAUUAGAUAGUUUAAAAUAGUGAUUAACAAUUCAAAAUACGCAUGCACUCAUCAUAAGCAAUUAAAUAAAAAUCACAUAUUCAUGCUAAGGUUCAAGGCUUCACCCUAGCAAAAGAAAUUUAGUUACGCAUACUCAUAAUUGAAAUCCAAGAAAAUAUCAUUAAGAAGAAAAGAACGAAAACACCUGAAAGUUGUGAAAACCCAAAACCCUAGCAAUUGCUCUCUACAAUGCAAAGUUCAAAAAUAAUUAAGAAGUCCUAAAUUCCUUGUGAGAAAGAGCUUAAAUAUCCCUUAAAACCUAGCUGCCAAUGUACAGCUUUUCUAUCCCUACAAGGAAACUAAUUAAAGUAAAAUAAUACUAGGAAAUAAAGUCCAAAUUGGAAUAGGAGAAUUUGCCCAAAAUCAGCCCAGCCACGUUUUGGCCCCAAAUCUCCUCCAAAUCUGGCCCAAGAUAGCUUUUUUUAAAGACACUACUACAAAAAGUGAAAAAGACGACCAGAAAACAACGACGGUCUAAGUGAAAACCGUCGUGGUUUUUAAAAAGACGACGGUUCUAAAAACACCGUCGUGUAAUACCACCUUAGACAACUAAAAAAUGGAGAUUCAAAUGGCUGUUCAAAAACAACGACGUACCUAAUUAAACAACCGACGUCUAUUUGAAACAGAUUUCCGCAGUGUAAAAUCAAAGCAAACAAAGAACGGCAGAAGUUAUGAAUAGACCGACGUAGAAAGUAAAGACGACGAUUUCAAUAAAAGCCGCCGUUUUUACUCAUAAAAUAACACGACGAGGUUUUCGUAUAAGACGCCGUAUAAUUACAAACAAAUCCACGGCUUUAAAAUACAAAAUAAUCUUAACAGAUGACACAGAUUUGCAAUCAGAGAGACAAUUUUUUGGAAGUUGAUCAACGUCGUUGAAAAUUUGCAAUCAGAGAGACAAUUUUCAACGACGGUUAUAUUAUACCUAACGACGUUUAAAAACAAAUCAACGUCGCUCAACAAAUAUAUUACGUCGUCUUAGUCUUACUUAAGACGACGAAAAACGACGACAGUAGUAAAAAAACAGUCGUUGUUUUUAUAUUCUUAUUUUAUUUAAAUCUGUCGUGUUAGUUAAAAACGACGGCAUAACAAAAAACCGUCGUUUUGUUUCAAACUGAAUUAAUUUAAAAUUUCUUCAGGAAAGCAAAAUCUAUUUAUAAUUUCCUCGGGUUAGUAAUAUUGUGUCGUGUUAGUUUACAAAUUCUAGAACAUUAAUUUCCCUCAUUUUAAAUUUUCUCGGGAAAGAAAAAUCUAUUUAUCACGCUUUGUAAUUGAAAACUAAAACUGAAAGAAUUCUGGAAAAAAAACUCUAUUUAUAAUUUAAAAAUAAAAUGCACGUCGGUUGUAGUACACUUAACGACGUUUAACAAAAUAAUCUACGUCGGUAAUUAUAAAUCUACCGCCAUCUUACCCUAAUAUAGACGACGAGAAAAGACGACGGUAGAACAGAAAACCGCCGUUGUUUCAGUUUCUUUAACAGUUUGGUCCUUUAUCUUUCUGCAGGACUUGUAUAGUUCAAAGCAUUGACAAUGUCUUCAUCAUAUCUCCCAGCAACUACUGAUUCGAUUGCUCAUGCUUUAGAGGCCAUCUGAAGCCAUUUCUAUUCUUUAUCGCAUUCUUGAAACCCAUCUUCUUCUUCUGAAGCUCUACGGAUAAAGGAANNNNNNNNNNNNNNNNNNNNNNNNNNNNNNNNNNNNNNNNNNNNNNNNNNNNNNNNNNNNNNNNNNNNNNNNNNNNNNNNNNNNNNNNNNNNNNNNNNNNNNNNNNNNNNNNNNNNNNNNNNNNNNNNNNNNNNNNNNNNNNNNNNNNNNNNNNNNNNNUUUUUUUUGGGGUUGGUUUUUUAUAGUAACCAGUUAUAACAGUAGUGGUUGUGCAAUGUUUGGUUCCCUUAAGCUUCGAUCCAACCGUGUAGCCAGCUUUAGGUCAAUGUCUCCCAAACCACUCGGGUUUUAGGGCACUAGGUGUAGAACACCCCUAAGGACUUAUUAACUCAAGCUGAAAAGGCUACGAAACCAACUAACCACCCUGCCUCAUGCCAAAACUCUACCUUUUGUCUCGAAAAUCACUGCUGAUUAGGCAGGACUGGCCCGGUUACUAGCAAAGCUUCGGGUGAGGCAAUUAUUACUUUAUAACACAUACUAACUUUAUUUAAAUUGAACAGAAAUUAAAACACACUUGGACAAAAAGUAAGUAUUCCAAUCUCACUCCCCAAAAACCAUAUUGGUGUGAUGUGCAAAUUUCAAAGUAUAAUUCAUGAAUUAGUGUCUAAGCAACAAUAAAUAGAAAAGACUCUACUGUGGGAUUGAUUUUCACUAUGUCCAUUUAUUCUAACGUUUAAAAUAAUCUAUGGAUAUUGACUGAAAAACGAAAAUUUUAAACAAGACUUAAAAAAAACUAAAAAUCUAAAAUUUACUUUCCCACCCCCUAACUUAAAUCACACAUUGUCCUCAAGGUGUGGUAAAUAAUCAAAAGAAACAAGAGCAGAAACAAAACGACUAAAUCCUAGAAAAUGAAAAUCAAAAAUAAAGAAAAUACUCUAAGAAAAGAAACUAGGAAGGAAAAAUAGAAGAAUAAUAAAAUAAAAUAAAAUAAGAAAGAAAAGGAGAAAAACAACAAUAGAAAAGAAAUAGGAAAGAAAAUACCCAAAAAUGAGACACCUUGGGGAUUCAAAGGCAGGACCAGGCGGAGUGUUGCGAAAAAGCGCUGACCAACUCAACCACGUCCACACUGGCAUCAAAUAGGAGCGACAGCUACAAUAUAACCUGCUGUAGCUGCUGCAUCUGUCAUUUGAAAAAUAUUGGAUUCCCUUCUCCUACCCCGAGCUCAGAGCCGAAAGGCUCUCUUCUGUCCAUUCCCAUUUUGCAGAAGAAAAAAGAAUAUUGCUGGAUAAACCAAAGCCUCCGCUGUGUCCAGAGAAUCAGAAAAGGUCUCUGAUUUCUCUCUUCUCAAGGCCAUCCAUCUCCGCCUUCACUCUUCUUCAUUCUCUCCAACACUCACGAUCCUUUCCUCUCUUUCAACCCAAUUACACCAGCGUUUUCAUCUGCGUGAGGAGGCCACAUUUGCAGCAAACACAACCAGUGAGGUUGAAUUAUCUGAUGCACCUGAAUUUUUGGAUGGUUUUGGAGUCCCUAGAUUCCUCAAAUUCAGAUCUGUCUCCAUCCAUGUCACCAGAUGCUAACUUGUUCCAAGAUGAAAACAAGCUGAAGCCGAACAAGAGUCUAUUCUCCACCAGUAAGGACCCCAGAUCUGUGCAUCCCGUAGGUAAACUUUCGAACCCCAGAACUGGUUUUUUUUUUUUUUUUUUUCCGUUUUUUUUUUGUUUUGAAAAUAAAAGAAGUAAAGAGUUUAGAAAAAUUGGGUUGCCUCCCAAUAAGCGCGCUAUUUUAAGUCUGUAGCUAGACUUUGCAGAAGCCUGGUGGUCAAAUCACUGGUUCCUUCAGAGUCAAAGACUCGGCUGCAAUGUCAAAGGGUGUCUCCACGUAGGGUUUUAGCCUAUGACCAUUCACCUUGAACGUGUUGCCUUUAUCUUCAUUAGUGAUUUGAACUGCUCCAUGAGGAAAAACUUGAGUCACUAGGUAGGGUCCAGUCCAGCGAGAUUUUAAUUUCCCUGGAAACAACUUGAGCCUUGAACUAAAUAACAGAACCUUUUGCCCUGGCUGAAAUUCCUUCCGUAAAAUUUGACUGUCAUGAAAUGCCUUAGUUCUUUCCUUGUAGAUGCGAGAACUAUCAUAAGCACCUUGACGAAUUUCCUCUAGCUCAUUUAACUGCAAUUUCCGCUUUUCCCCAGCUGAGUCAUAUGCAAAAUUUAACUCUUUAAUGGCCCAGUAAGCUUUAUGCUCCAGCUCCAUAGGUAGAUGACAGGCUUUCCCAUAAACAAGUCGGAAUGGUGACAUCCCAAUAGGAGUUUUAUAAGCUGUCCUGUAUGCCCACAAAGCAUCAUUUAGUUUGAAACUCCAAUCCUUGCGUGUAGAGCUCACUGUUUUCUCCAAAAUACGCUUUAUUUCUCUGUUUGAAACUUCAACUUGACCAGAUGUCUGUGGGUGGUAUGGUGUAGCCACGCGAUGAUUAAUCCCGUAUUUUGCCAGUAGGUUAGCAAAUGGUUUAUUAAUAAAAUGCUUCCCCCCAUCACUAAGAAUAACACGCGGUAUUCCAAAACGUGGAAAUAUAACCCCCUGGAGGAACUUCAGGACCACUGAUCCUUGAUUAGUUGGUGCUGCAAUGGCCUCGACCCAUUUUGAAACAUAUUCCACAGCCACUAAAAUAUAUUGGUGCCCAUUAGAAGAUGGGAAUGGCCCCAUGAAAUCAAUACCCCAAACAUCAAAUAGUUCAACAAUUAGGAUACUUUGUUGGGGCAUUUCAUUCCUUCUGGAUUGAUUGCCGACCCUUUGACACCGAUCACAUGCCUUGCACCAAUUCUGUGAAUCUCUAAAAAGUGUUGGCCAAAAUAACCCACUCUGUAGGAUUUUCUCUGCUGUCCUUUUCUGCGCAAAAUGUCCUCCUCAAGCAUAGUGAUGAGCAAACUUUAAAACACUUUCUUGUUCAGCCUCCGGAAUACACCUGCGAAUAAUCUGGUCUGCACAAUACUUGUAUAAGUACGGUUCAUCCCAGAAAUAGUGCUUUACAUCAGAUAAAAACUUCUUUUUCUGCUGGUAGGAAAAAUCUGGAUGCACCACACCCUUAGCCAAAUAAUUGACAAUAUCUGCAAACCAAGGUGUGUCAAUUUUGACAGCAAAUAGCUGUUCAUCUGGGAAACUUUCACUCAAUGGUAGAGAAUCUGCCUCUGUAGCUGCUGGAAUAAUUAAUCUAGAUAAAUGAUCAGCCACAACAUUCUCACUGCCCUUCUUGUCUUUAAUCUCUAAGUCAAAUUCUUGAAGUAAGAGAACCCAACGAAUCAAUCUAGGCUUUGCAUCCUUCUUAGACAACAAGUAUUUUAGUGCAGCAUGAUCUGUAUAGACAAUUAUUUUAGCCCCAACCAAAUAAGACCGAAAUUUCUCUAGUGCGAACACAACUGCCAACAAUUCCUUCUCUGUAGUUGCAUAGUUAAGCUGUGCAUCAUUUAGAGUACGACUUGCAUAAUAGAUGACAUGGGGAAGCUUAUCUUUUCGCUGCCCUAAAACUGCCCCGACAGCAUAAUCUGACGCAUCACACAUUAGUUCAAAUGGUAAAUCCCAAUUUGGUGCAGCAAUGAUGGGUGCCGAAGUUAGGAGUGCUUUCAACUUGUUGAAUGCUUCUAAACAGGCCUUAUCAAAAUUAAAUGGUGCAUCCUUAGCCAAUAAAGUGCACAAAGGUCGACUAAUCUUGGAGAAAUCCUUGAUGAACCGACGAUAAAAACCUGCGUGUCCUAAGAAGGACCUCACACCUUUUACUGAUGUAGGAGGUGGCAGCUUUGCAAUAACUUCAAUCUUUGCCUUGUCAACCUCGAUGCCUUUGCUAGAAAUUGAAUGACCCAAGACAAUUCCCUGUUCAACCAUGAAAUGCCACUUUUCCCAGUUUAGCACUAAAUUUGUCGCUUGACAUCUCUGAAGAACUAAUGAUAAAUUCUGUAAGCAUUGAUCAUAUGAAUCCCCAAAAACAGAAAAAUCAUCCAUAAAAACUUCCACAAUAUUUUCGACCAAGCCAGAAAAAAUACUCAUCAUACAACGUUGAAACGUAGCAGGUGCAUCGCAUAAUCCGAAUGGCAUCCUCCGAUAAGCGUAAGUACCAAAUGGACAAGUGAAAGUAGUCUUCUCUUGAUCCUCUGGUGCUAUUGGAAUCUGAUUAUACCCAGAAUACCCAUCAAGAAAACAGUAAAAAGCCCGCCCAACCAACCUUUCUAACAUCUGGUCAAUAAAAGGCAAUGGAAAAUGGUCUUUUCUCGUCCCUGUGUUAAGCUUCCGAUAAUCUACACACAUUCUCCAACCCGUAGUCAAUCGUGUAGGAACUAACUCAUUAUUAUCAUUUUUCACCACUGUAAUACCGGUCCGUUUAGGCACAACUUGAGUCGGGCUAACCCAUUUACUGUCAGAAAUAGGAUAAAUCAUACCUGCAUCAAGUAAUUUCAUAACCUCUGUUCUAACCACCUCUUUCAUAAUUGGGUUAAGGCGGCGUUGAGCAUCAACUGUUAGCUUUACGUCGUCUUCCAUUAAUAUUCUGUGCAUACAUAGUGCUGGGCUGAUUCCCUUGAUAUCCGCAAUUGUCCAUCCCAAUGCAUCUUGAUAUUUUCUCAAUACACGAAGCAAUUUAUCCUCCUCUGUCGGUGUUAAAUCUGCUGCAAUUAUAACUGGCAACGUCUCUGCAGCUCCUAAAUAUGCAUAUUUAAGAUGUUGUGGUAAAGGCUUCAGCUCCAAUUUUGGCGGCUGCUGUCUGGAUGGUUUAAGGGGCUGUUUGGGCUCCCCUAAACUCUCAUACACAUUCCUAAAUUUUGGCAACACUGUGGGCAGACUGUUCAAUGCGUGUAUGUACUCAUGAACACCUUCAUCUUCAAAAUCUGUCUCAAAUGCCCCCUGUAAAACAUGCAACAACUGAUCUGUUUUUGAAUUAGCAUAAAAUCUGUCCUGCACCAUACUGUCUACCAUGUCAAUACGCAUACAAUCUAGCUGUUCAGCAGGACGUUUUGUUGCCGCAAACAAAUUAAACACCACAGAUUGGUCCUGAACCCGUAAAGUCAAUGUUCCAGCUUCCACAUCAAUUAAGGUCCUAGCUGUUGCCAUAAACGGCCUCCCCAAAAUAAUAGGUGUUUGAAGGUCUUCAUCCAUGUCUAAAACCACAAAAUCUGCCGGUAGAUAAAGAUUAUCAACCUUAAUAAUUAGAUCUUCAAUAACACCUCUUGGAUAAGUGAUUGAACGGUCAGCUAGUUGAAGUAUAAUUGAUAUAGGCUUUAAAUCUCCUUGCCCCAAUCGCUGAAAAACAGAAAAAGGCAUCAAAUUAAUACUUGCACCCAAAUCAAUUAAAGCACUCUUAAAAUUAGAAUUUCCAAUAGUGCAAGAAAUAUUAAAACUCCCUGGAUCUUUUUUCUUAGGUGGUAGUUUGUGUAGCAAAACUGCAUUGCACUGUUCUGUCAAAAUAACUUUUUCCAAAUCUGAAAGCUUCUUUUUGCUGCUGCAAACUUCCUUCAAAAAUUUGGCAUAUGAUGGAAUUUUCUUGAUUGCAUCCAGUAAGGGAAUGUUGAUUUGAACCUUGGAUAAUGUCUGCAUAAAGUCCUUGAGUUGCUGAUCUUUUACUUUUGGCUUCAAACGUUCUGGAUAUGGAAUUGGGGCCUCAUAAACACGCUCAGGUACUUGUUUUGGAACAGUUUCUAGAUCUGCCAUAUUAUGUUUUUCUACAGGUUUGGCAGGUUCUGCUGCUGCAAAAUUUUCUGUAUGAUCCUCCACUGCAUGCUGCUCCUUUUCAAUGUUAUUUUCACGAUUGUCAUAGCUUUUUCCACAUCGUAAAGUCCGAACAACUUUGCAAUCUUCACGUCCAUUUGGAUUAGGAAUUGUUUGACUAGGAAAUUUGCCCUUUUAUCUGUCUGAAAUCUGUGUAGCUAGUUGUCCAAAUUGUUGCUCCAAACUUUUAAUAGAUGCUUCAACAUUUUGAAAUCUUUGAUUGUUGCCCUCGAUGAAUGAUUGAGUUGUUGCUGCCAGUUUAGCAAGUUGAUCUUCCAUAGAUGGUUUGGAGGGAACAAAAGGUUUUUGUGCAUGCUGGAAUGGUUUGGCAUUAGUCUGAUUGUCACCCCAUUUGAAAUUAGGGUGAUCCCUCCAUCCAGGAUUGUAAUGAGUUGCAUAUGCAUCAUUCCUAGGCCUUUGAUAGCUGUUCAUCAUAUUGACAUGUUGUUCAACAAGCUCUGGGUAAGAGUCUCUAUGUGGGCAGCCCAUUAUGUCAUGUGUAGCCAUACUGCAUAUAGUGCAAACUGUUGAUGUAGGUGGCUGCUGUGUAGAACUUGCUAUAUGUUGUAGAAGCAUAUCAAACUUUGCAUCAAUUUUCUUAUCCAUUUUUUCCAUUUGUGCAGACAUGUUGGGAGAACCUACUGAUAACUCAAAAAUGCCCCUUUUCUGUGAAUGUUCUGCUGCCCAUUGCUGAGAUUCUGUAGCCAUCAUAUCAAACAGUUCAAAUGCCUCUCUUGCAGAUUUAUUUGAUAAUGAUCCUCCAGCUGAUGCAUUCACAUGGCUCUUAGAUGUAGGAUUAAGCCCAUCAAAGAAAAUAUUCAUUUGUGUAUCUGAAUCAAUUUUAACAUGUGGACACUUUAUGUACAUCUUUGUAUAUCUCUCCCACGCUUCAUGAAACUCUUCAUUAGGCUUCUGUGUGAAUGUCAAAAUCUCCCUCUUGUAAUUCAAUGUCUUGGAUGCUGGAUAAUAUUUGUUCAGGAAUUUUGUGUGUAACUGCUGCCAAGUAGUAAUGCUAUUAGCUGGUAGAGUGAAUAACCAAGUUUCUGCCUUGUCCUUCAAAGUGAAAGGGAAAAGACGUAACUUAAUAGCCUCAGCAGAAAAACCCCUAAUCAAAAUAUUCUUGCAACCCACAAUAAAUUUUGCAAUAUGUAUGUUUGCAUCUUCAUUAGGCAAUCCCCGAAAAGUAGGUAGAAUUUCAAGCAUAUGGUGCCUGAUCUCGAACGAAUCACCCUCUUCUUGUUCAGGAUACACAAUGCAAUUGGGAACAUCAGUGGCACGGGCUUCCAAUGACUCCCUGAGUGGUCUACCUGCCGCAGGUAAUUCUAACGCCAUGUUACUCUCGUUUGCAAACAGAUCCUGCAGAAAAGUGCCCUGCAGUGAACAGUCCCAAGCCCAAGUAACUUCUCUCCGCUGUCUAUGCAGUGUGCGCUCUGGUUCUGGAUCAAAUUGUACAAUCUGUGUAGUUCCUGAUCUGGUCUGGACCAUGCAGUCUGCAAAAUCUGCAACAGAAACAAAAUUGUUCAAUUUCAAUUUUUUUUUUUGGACGAAAAUUAAAAAUAAAAUAAAAUGAAAUAAAUCAGAAAAAGGUUAAACAAAAAUUGUCUAAAAUAGUCCCCAGCAACGGCGCCAAUUUCUUGAUAGGAUUUUUAGUACUUGUGCAAACAGUGUUAAAAAUCACAUAAAAUACUUGCAAGAAUACAAGGCUAUUGUAGUAUAGAUGCUCAUGCAAGGUCGUUUUCCUCAAGGACUAAUUAGCAAUUUAUGUAAAAACAAAUUUCAAUUACUACUUAAAAUAAAAAGUCAAGAAAGAUGAUUAUAAAUUUGGUGGAUUCUAAAAAACAAAUAUUAAACAAAAACAAAUACGAUUGAAAGAAAGAGUUUUGAAUAUCAAUUUAUAAAACCACUAGGGUUUCACCAUCACCUAGCAAUCCUAUGAACUUUUACCAAUUACUUAUGAUUUGCACAUGCCACUUUGAAGGUUAGGUUUUCCUAUUGUAUAUUCUACUUGGAACCUCCAACACAGAACGUAUAUCCAACAUGCAACCCGUCCGGACGUUCGGAUCAAAUCUGAACAUGAAAGACUCAUUAAGUUUUGUGAAAACCCUUUGAAAAACCAUGCAACCCUUAAGACGUGGUGUUCAUCUUAAGUGAAAUUACAAUUAUUAAUCACAAGAAGCUAGCAUAAAUUUCAGGGAACCUUCCGACCAAAAUUGCAUCCAAUUACUUUUCUAAAGAUCCUAAUGGUGAUCAGGCAUUAAGACAAUUAGAUAGUUUAAAAUAGUGAUUAACAAUUCAAAAUACGCAUGCACUCAUCAUAAGCAAUUAAAUAAAAAUCACAUAUUCAUGCUAAGGUUCAAGGCUUCACCCUAGCAAAAGAAAUUUAGUUACGCAUACUCAUAAUUGAAAUCCAAGAAAAUAUCAUUAAGAAGAAAAGAACGAAAACACCUGAAAGUUGUGAAAACCCAAAACCCUAGCAAUUGCUCUCUACAAUGCAAAGUUCAAAAAUAAUUAAGAAGUCCUAAAUUCCUUGUGAGAAAGAGCUUAAAUAUCCCUUAAAACCUAGCUGCCAAUGUACAGCUUUUCUAUCCCUACAAGGAAACUAAUUAAAGUAAAAUAAUACUAGGAAAUAAAGUCCAAAUUGGAAUAGGAGAAUUUGCCCAAAAUCAGCCCAGCCACGUUUUGGCCCCAAAUCUCCUCCAAAUCUGGCCCAAGAUAGCUUUUUUUAAAGACACUACUACAAAAAGUGAAAAAGACGACCAGAAAACAACGACGGUCUAAGUGAAAACCGUCGUGGUUUUUAAAAAGACGACGGUUCUAAAAACACCGUCGUGUAAUACCACCUUAGACAACUAAAAAAUGGAGAUUCAAAUGGCUGUUCAAAAACAACGACGUACCUAAUUAAACAACCGACGUCUAUUUGAAACAGAUUUCCGCAGUGUAAAAUCAAAGCAAACAAAGAACGGCAGAAGUUAUGAAUAGACCGACGUAGAAAGUAAAGACGACGAUUUCAAUAAAAGCCGCCGUUUUUACUCAUAAAAUAACACGACGAGGUUUUCGUAUAAGACGCCGUAUAAUUACAAACAAAUCCACGGCUUUAAAAUACAAAAAUAAUCUUAACAGAUGACACAGAUUUGCAAUCAGAAGAGACAAUUUUUGAAGUUGAUCAACGUCGUUGAAAAUUGCAAUCAGAAGAGACAUUUUCAACGACGGNNNNNNNNNNNNNNNNNNNNNNNNNNNNNNNNNNNNNNNNNNNNNNNNNNNNNNNNNNNNNNNNNNNNNNNNNNNNNNNNNNNNNNNNNNNNNNNNNNNNGGAAGUUGAUCAACGUCGUUGAAAAUUUGCAAUCAGAGAGACAAUUUUCAACGACGGUUAUAUUAUACCUAACGACGUUUAAAAACAAAUCAACGUCGCUCAACAAAUAUAUUACGUCGUCUUAGUCUUACUUAAGACGACGAAAAACGACGACAGUAGUAAAAAAACAGUCGUUGUUUUUAUAUUCUUAUUUUAUUUAAAUCUGUCGUGUUAGUUAAAAACGACGGCAUAACAAAAAACCGUCGUUUUGUUUCAAACUGAAUUAAUUUAAAAUUUCUUCAGGAAAGCAAAAUCUAUUUAUAAUUUCCUCGGGUUAGUAAUAUUGUGUCGUGUUAGUUUACAAAUUCUAGAACAUUAAUUUCCCUCAUUUUAAAUUUUCUCGGGAAAGAAAAAUCUAUUUAUCACGCUUUGUAAUUGAAAACUAAAACUGAAAGAAUUCUGGAAAAAAAACUCUAUUUAUAAUUUAAAAAUAAAAUGCACGUCGGUUGUAGUACACUUAACGACGUUUAACAAAAUAAUCUACGUCGGUAAUUAUAAAUCUACCGCCAUCUUACCCUAAUAUAGACGACGAGAAAAGACGACGGUAGAACAGAAAACCGCCGUUGUUUCAGUUUCUUUAACAGUUUGGUCCUUUAUCUUUCUGCAGGACUUGUAUAGUUCAAAGCAUUGACAAUGUCUUCAUCAUAUCUCCCAGCAACUACUGAUUCGAUUGCUCAUGCUUUAGAGGCCAUCUGAAGCCAUUUCUAUUCUUUAUCGCAUUCUUGAAACCCAUCUUCUUCUUCUGAAGCUCUACGGAUAAAGGAAGAGGCUAUCACAAAUCUGACGGAUCUUCUUAGUCAAAAAAAUCAAGCAGAGGAUCAGGCACAUCUGAUCUUCAGAUUUCCCUGAGAAGCGAACUUUCCUUCGACAGCGAGUGGAGGCCAGGCUUGCAUCUCUUUUGAUGGAAAGCAAGGAGUAUUCAGAAGCACUAAGUGUCCUAUCAGGCUUGAUCAAGGAAGUGAGAAGGCUAGUUGACAAGCUUCUUCUUGUCAACUAGCCUAAAUGUAAGCUCAAUUUCUCUUUGAGAAAGACCUCCAAAUUAUUGUCUUUGAGAUGUGAGAGACAGUGUCUCUGAGAGAGGAAGAACUUGGAACCCUAAAUGUAAACCGCGAAAAUGAAUGAAAGCGACAAAUUUAUAGAAUAAAUUUUUAAAACCAACGGCGGUACUUACCAAGAAACCGCCGUUUCAAUUGUAAAAUCAACGUCGGUAUUACUGACGUAUAUUACAGAACUCCACGUCGGUACAUUAAUAAUCACGACGUCUUAAAUAAUCUACCAUGACGCGAGUUAUUACUUAUGUACUUUAAUUUUUGAGUUUACUACGACGGUACCUACAACACUACUGUCGUAUUUAUUUACCACGUCCGAAGUUAAAUUUACCGACGUAUUUUGUACUUUAUACGUCGUAGUUAUAUGUAACCGCCGUAUUAUUUUUUUGAAAUGGUUUUAUAUGUAAGCAACUUUUCGUCUACUUGACUUACACAUUAGUUGUUUUUAUAUUCUUAUUUUAUUUAAAUCUGUCAUCCAAAAAAGAAACUUUACAUAUUGCAGAAUAUUAAUUUCCUUCGUUUUAAAUUUCCUCCGGAAAAAAAACUCUAUUUAUAACGCACUGUAAUUGAAAAAUAAACUGAAAGGUCACGGGAAAAAAAAUUCUAUUCAUAAUUUAAAAAUUAAAAUCCACGUCGGUUAUAUUAAACCUAACGACGUUAAAUGAAAUGAUUCCACGUCGAACGAAAAAUAUUUCGUCGUGUUAGUUAAAAACGACGUAGUUAAAUGUAACCGCCGUAUUAUUUUUUUGAAAUGGUUUUAUAUGUAAGCAACUUUUGGACUUACACAUGCACUGUUUCCAAACCCGAUUAAAAAUUUCAAUCUCCAGAGAAACCUUUUCGUCUUUUUUCCUUGUCAGAGCAUUAUCAGAGUUUCUCAUCGUCUUCCUCUCGUCUUCUUCGUCGUCCUUGAACUUAAACAUCGAUCAUCUUCCUCUUGCUUUCAUUGCACGCAAAAGGUAAGCUUUCAUUUUCACUAUUUUGGUUACUGUUUUGCAUGCUCAUACGUUUUUUGUUUGAAAAAUCUUUUUACCUUUUUUCUGGCCAAAAUCAUUUUACUUCUUUCCAAGUUUGAUAAAAUAUACAGACAAAAAGGGAAAGUUUCCAACUUUGAAGACAACUACCUCAACUAAAUGAGACGACGGUAGACCACGACGGUUCGUCAGUUGUUCUAGCGUCGUCUGAAAAUUGACAAAGUUGUUUUUAAAAUAAUAGUCUUUUUUUAUAUGCUUGUUUAAUUGCAGGUUUGAUUUCUCUGAACAAUGGUUUUUGUUUUUCCCUUAUUUGAUAAAAUAUAAAGAAAAAGAAACUAGGGUUGGUAUCUAAUAUAGACGACAAAAUAUCUUAUUGUUUUACGUCGUGUGAAUGUUAAUACCACGACGGUGUAUUACUAUUAACGUCGUAUGAACAUAAAUACCACGACGUUAUAUAAAUAAUAGUUUACCACGACGGUGUAUUACUAUUGACGUCGUGUGAACAUAUAUACCACGACGUUAUAUAAAUAAUGGUUUUAAACAUUUAUUACGUCUGAGAUUAUUUCAUUGCGUCGUCUAAAAUCAUAUCAUACGUCGUAUUUUUUUAAUACCGUCGUUUGUGUUCUUAAUGUUUUCCUGAAAUAUUUUCACUUGCAGUUUUGUCUGUUAAAAUGGUUUCUCAACAACAAACUAAGGAUUCUGGCUCCAAGAAGCUUGGAAUGGUAGCUCCUCAAGACAAGUCUUCGAAGGAGAUGAAGUCUUCGAAGAAGAUGAAGUUUGCUUCAUCAUCUGCUGAGACAGAACCAACCAGCCAGACAACAAUCUCUGAUGAUUCAAAGACUGGUCGAGGCAUGAGCACAAUGCCUCGUGUUGUGAAGAGAAAGCUUCAGAAACUGAGGCCAAUUGUUGAGUACAAUAAAAGGGGGAAAGGUGUUGGCCAAGCACAUAUUGAGAUGCAGUCGUAUAUUGGUGUGUUGGCACGCUCCAGGAUCCCACUUGUGGACAAGAAAUGGUCCCAAAUCCCCAAGGAUAUAAAGGAGCAGAUUUGGGAAGCAGUUGACAUGGCUUUUGUCGUAGGCCAAGGGGGCAAGACCUCUGUUUUAGCUUCUGCUUCCAAGAAAUGGAAGGAUUUCAAGUCUACACUAACGAGGCAUUAUAUCCUUCCAUACACCAAUGACAGGGAGAAAUUAAGCCAACCCCCUGAAACAUAUAAAUUCAUAGAGAAAGCACAAUGGGAUGCCUUUGUAGCUUCAAGGCUAUCCAAAGAUUUUGAGUCUGUGCAUUCUCAACAUGCACAGAUUAGGGAGAAACUCGAGUACAAUCAUCGAUUGUCUCGAAAAGGAUAUGCUGGAUUGGAGGAUCAAUUGGAGGAAACCAUGCCUGGGGUAGAAAUUGAUCGAUCUACCUUAUGGAAGAGAGCUAGACAGGACAAACAUGGUAACAUCCCUGAUCCAAAGGUGGCAGAGAAAGCAAAAUUAAUUGUAAGCCUACUAUCACUCUGUUUUAAAUUUUUAUUAAACUGUGAAUUAUUCUUAUUACGUCGUAUGUUAUAUUUUUCGUCGUGUGAAUGAUAUUACCACGUCGAAAAGUUUUUAAAAACGUCGUUAAAGGUCUAAAUAGGAAUCACUACUAAUUUUCUGUAAUUAUAGCAUAAGACGUCGGUGGUUCAUUUUCGCGUCGUUUGAAUGAUAUUACCACGUCGAAACUUUUUUAAAAACGUCAUUAACGGUCUAAAUAGGAAUCACUACUCUGUUUUCUUUAAUUAUAGCAUAAGACGUCGGUUGUUUAUUCAUUUCGUCGUUUUAAAUAAAUAACCACGUCGGUAUAACUACCGUCGUGAUAAGUUAUAAUAACGUCGGUUUAUACGUUAUUGCGUCGUGUGAAAUUAUAUAAUACGUCGUUUGUACAUAAAUAACCGUCGUGUGUUUUUUUGUUUAUCUUUGUUUUAGGAUGAAUUGCAGAAACAAGUCUCGGAAGGCAAAGUCAGAGUAGAUGGCAGCAAUGAUGUGCUGACCAUGGCUUUGGGCCCCGAGCAUCCAGGCAGAGUGAGGGGAGUUGGUGCUGGUGUUUCCCCAAGGCAAUAUUUCAAUUUGCCCAAACCACAGAGGGUGAGCUUUGACGACCAUUUGAAGGACAGUUUAAGAGUUCUCCUUCAAGAAGAGACUAAAAAGAUGGAGGCUAAGGCAAGGGAAGAGGCCUUAAGAAUGGAGGCUAGGACAAAACAAUUGGUAGAGGCUGAGAGGGAGCAUUUCCUGAGUCAGCUUUCCCAAUUAAUUCCCAAUUUUGAUCCAAGCAUGCUUAAACCAAGAAUUAGCCAAAGCCCCAAAAAUCCAAUGUCUGACAAAGCUAGCUGCUCUGGAGGUGAUGUGAGAUCCCUACAUUUGGAGGAUGAUACUGCCAAAAUGGGGAAACAUCAGCCAGAUGAAGAGAAGGAAGAAGAAAAAAGAGAUGAAGAGAAGGAAGAAGAAAAGGAGAAAGAAGAUGAAGAAAAGCAUGACGACAAGGUAUGUUCACAUAACUUUGCCUUUUUUAUUUGUUUUUCAAAAUUUCAGACGUCGAUAUUUUUAUUUAAUCCGUCGUUUGUUUAAAACUUAGACGGCGGACUUUUUUUAAGACGUAAUAAAAUAUUUAAACGACGGUUUUUGCACCGUCGUUUAAAUGGUUUCAGACGACGCUUUAUUCAUAAAAUCGUCGUCUUUAUUGAAUUACCACGACAGUUUUUUCACCGUCGUUUAAAUACUUUUAAGACGACGUUUUAUUCCUUAAACCGUCGUCUUUGUUGAAUUACCACGUCAUUUUUUUUAUUUCUUUAAACAGGUUAUUGAAGUUGGUGCUUAUUCAAAUAUGGAGGCGCCAUCUUCUUUAAAAACCCUUUGUCGUUUUGUGGAAACGACACUCCUGCCUGAGGAUAAGACACUCCAAUUUACAAUUGAUAAGGAGGUGUUUGGUGGUGAGCGCGAUACCUUCCUCCUGCCUGAAGAUAUUACACAAUUUGCAGGCAUGGAAGAAAUUGGAGCUACUGUAUUGGCUGUAUAUAUGAGGUUUGUACUUCUAAAAUAAUACCUCGUUGGUUUAUAUAUUGCGUCGUCUUAACUAACUAACCACGUCGUCUUAACUAACUACCGUCGUGAUAAAUAUAUUAUAACGUCCUCAUCUAUUUCAGUACGUCGUGUGAAAUAUUAUAAUACGUCGUUUUUUUAUACAUAACCGUCGUGUUUGUUUGUGCUGACUUGUUUAUAUUAUUUUAUGUAUUUAGGUACUUACACGAUGUUUUGAAACAAGCCAAUAUGUGCAGCAUGGUUGGCUUUAUCGACCCUGCUACAGUUAGUGCCAACUCUGGCACAAUAACUGAAAGAUCACGACUGGUAGCAGCUCGACUUCAGAAGACAGACGGUGAACAGAUUUUCAUGAUGCCUUACAAUCCAGGGUUAGUCUCCUUAGGAUUUUGUUUUUAUGAUUUUCAAUAAAUGACAGCUUAUAAACUAACCACGUCGGUGUUUUAUUUUAUUUAGUCGUUUGAAACUACUAACCACGUCGGUAUUUAUUUAUCGUCGUGAUAAAUAUAUAAUGUCGUCGUUAUCUACUUUAUUUCGUCGUGUGAAAUACUAUAAUACGUCGUUUUUGUAAAUAACCGUCGUUUUUAUAUUCAUUUUGUGCAGCCGUCAUUGGAUCUUGCUGAUUGUAAGAGCAAAGAAGGAGACCGUCUAUUUUCUGGAUCCUCUGCCAGGUCAUCGUGUGGUCGACGAAGAGGCGAAAAACAUCGUGAACAGUGCUUUAAAAAUAUAUAAUACCCACAUAGCCCGAGCACGACGUAAAAAUGUAAUUUGGAAAACUCUCUCAGGCACACCAAAGCAACCCAGCAAUGUCGAAUGCGGGUACUAUGUGAUGCGCUUCAUGAGGGACAUCAUCAUGGAUCCUUCCUUGGGGUUUGAGAAUAAGGUAAGAAGAAAUUACCUUCAUACAUUUCACGUCGUUUUUUGUAUUAUCAACGACGGUCAUGUAAAAUUAACGUCGUUGAAUGGAUAUACUACGUCGGUUAUGAAAAAUAUCGUCGUCUGUGAUUGAAUUUCUUUUUAUUUAUAAACCCUAAUAGUCAUUGUUUAUGCAGUAUGCCAAGGGAAACCAGGAAGCUUCAUACCCCCAAGAAGCCAUUGAUGAAGUCCGGAAUGAAUGGGCAGAGUUUGUUUUCCAAAUUAUUAAACAGGGCAAUUAUUGAACACUUGAUAUUUAUGUAUAAUGUACAAAUUUUCUCUAUAAUAUGUAAUGUAAAAAUUUGUUGAGGUUUUCUUAAAUUAAAAAAAAAACAAACAUACAAAUUGCUUAACCGACGUGUAAUACUUUUCCAACGACCUAAUAAAGUCAAAAACCGUCGUAUUUUGUUGUUUCGUGUUUUAAACAAAUACGACGUAAAAAUAUAGUUAGACGACGUUCUUUGAACAAUUGAGUCGUUUAUGGUUUACAACAUCUUCAAUUUCUUAAGGGUUCAGGGUAUCAUCGACGACGUUUAUGUAACGACAGCGGUUAAGUCGUGGAAUAUAUAUUUUACGUCGUAUAGUUAAAUAGCCGCCAUGGUUUCUCAUUUUAACGACGUCAUUUUAACGACUUAGUAGUCUAUUACAAUUUACAACGUCUACAAUUUAUUAACACCGACGUGGUUUGUUGUUGUGGUAAGAAUAUUUUAUUAUUUUUAUAUCAAAAUAUUCAAAAUAAAUUUAAAAUAAAUCAGAAAAUUGAAAAGUCAUCUCCUAUGAAGUCAUUGAUAUAUUUUCUUCCACAUAAACCUUGAAAAAAUUCAUUUUGAAUAACAAAAAUUUAAAAUGACCAUCCAAAACAAAAUUGUUUUGAUGAGUCAUAAAAUCACUUCUAGUUUUAUGGUUUAGGGUUUAGAGUCUAGGGUUUAGAGAUUAGGGUUGUUAUUUGUUGGGGUUUAUUUUUAAAGUAUAAUUUUUGGGUAGUCUAGGGUAUAUGUUAGGCUUUAAAACCAUAAAACCUUUUAUAAACUUAAUUUUUUAAAUUGUAUAAUUUAGUUUUAUGGGUUUAGGGUAUUAAUUUUUAACGACGGUGGUUGCGUCGUGGAAUACAUAUUUUACGUCGUACAGAAAAACAUACGACAUGGUUUACGCUUUAAACGACGUCAUUUUAAUAUGUAAGUCGGUUUAUAUAAUUUACAACGUCUUUAAUUUCUUAACACCGACGUGGUUUUUCAGUCGUCGUUAUAUAAAAAAUUCAAAAUAAAUUUAAAAUUAAUCCGAAAAAUGAAGCUUCAAAAUGAACGGCCUUACGUUCUUAAUCCGAAAAAUGAAGUUUCCGUCGUGGAAUAUUAAAUUUACGUCGGUACUUGUAGAACUUUCGCCUUGGUUUUUCUUUCGACGUUUUAAAACGCGCGAGCUCUAAAAAUUUUCGCGUGACCUAAAUUUUUUUAGAUUUGGCUCUUAUUCUUAUACUUCGAACCCUGAAACCUAAAAUUUUCAGAUUUCGCUCUCUCACUUCUGCUCUAAUUAAAAGUUGCACUCUCCAGGCUUCGUCGAAUCUGUGAGCUCGUCCAACCUGUAAGUACAAACCCUAUCUUCCCCUUGUAAAUUCAUUGAAUGAUAUUAGGUUGUUUUGUUAAAGGGUUUUAUGUGUAUGCUUUGCGAUCUGUUAAUAAUGUGCUUAUAGGUAUGGGUUCAUAGAUUUUCUGUUUAAUGGGUUCAUGGAUUACAUUAUCUGUUAUGUUGAAUUGGGAAUGGAUUUAAUUUUGUCGUAUCUUUUAAUCACCCUAUGUUAUGUUGAAUUGGGAAUGGAUUUAUUGUUUUCAUGCUUGGUUUCAUGUAUAUGUUGGUUUCUUGCUUGGUUUCAUAUAUAUGUUGUGUUCUUAAUGGGUUUUGUGUUCUUGAAAAUAAACUGAGACACGACAAAUUUUAAGGCAUACGACGACGAUUACACGACGGUUUUUUUAAACUACCGUCGUUGUAUUACUUAUACAAGACGGUUUUUUCAUAAACCGUCGUUUGUAUUACUUAUAAUAGACGACGUCUGUUGAAAAUCCGUCGUCUAUAUAUGCCAAAUACGUCUGUUUUUGUUUAAAACCCGUCAUCUCUGUUGUGUAUUACUUGCGAUUAGAUCAUUGUAUAAUCUGCUAUAGUGAUGGUCAUUGCCUGUAUUUUCACUUUAUUAUAGAUAAUAGGUUAUAGUGUCGGAGAUGGAUAAGUCAUGGAUGCACUCGGAUAGAAGAUCGAAGGCAUAUGAAUUUGGGGUGGAAGCAUUUUUGAACUUUGCUUGAGAAGUACUUUCCCCCUUCAUUCUUUGAUAUCAUGGUUCAUCUAGUAGUACAUCUUGUCAGAGAAGUUCGUCUAUGUGGGCCAGUAUAUUUUAGGUGGAUGUAUCCGUUUGAAAGAUAUAUGAAAGUGCUGAAGGGGUAUGUUCAGAAUCGUACUCGUCCCGAAGGUUGCAUUGCUGAGCGGUAUAUAGCUUAAGAAGCGGUAGAGUUUUGUACUCAGCAUUUAUCUGAUGUUAGUACAGUUGGAGUGCCUUCAAGCCAAAAGAUGGGACUUUCAAAGCCAUUAUCAGGUUGCACAGUGAGCGUAGUUGAUCAGGACCUGUUGAAUCAAGCACAUCUAUAUGUCUUGGAGAAUACGGAGGAAGUCCUACCUUAUAUCGAGUACGUAUGAGCUUUAUUCUUUAAGUUUCCAUUUUAAAUUAUUUCUUAUGUUUAUCUUCUAUAUUUGGGACCGUAAUGCUUGAAUUUUUCGUGUCAUGUAGGCAACAUAUGAUCCACAUCAAGAUUGCUUAUCCAAAAUUUAGAAAGAGAACAAAGUGGCUGCAGGAUAAGCACAAUAGCACUUUCAUUCAAUGGCUACGCUUCAAGGUAUAUGUUGUUGAAUAACAUAUUUCUCUUUUAAUUUUCUUCUUAUUUAUAUGUUAGAUUGAAUUAAGAUAUGAUUAAUUUGCAGGUUCAAAGUGAACUUGAGGAAGACAAUCAUGGCGUAUCAGAAAAUUUAAGGUGGCUAGCAGCUGGUCCAAACAUGUCAGUGCCAUUAUAUAGGAGCUAUCUUAUUAAAGGUAUUAAAUUCAAUAUCAAGGCACAAGAUGAUGUGCGGACAACUCAAAAUAGUGGAGUUUAUUUACUUGCACAUACCAUGCAAGUUGCUAGUGCCAAGGAUAAAAACCCAAUUCUCUCAAACAUGGGUUUCUAUGGUGUCAUUCAAGAAAUUUGGGACCUUGACUACCAAAAGUUUACAAUCCCAGUCUUUAGGUGUGAUUGGAUAGAUAGUUCUGGUCUUGUAGUCGACGAACUUGGAUUUACCCUUGUAGAUUUGAGUAAAAUUGGACAUAGGAAUGACCAAUUUGUUUUGGCUUCUCAAGUCAAACAAAUAUUUUUUGUUGACGACCCGAUGCAUCGUGGUUGGUCGGUAGUGUUAUCAAUGCCUAAUAGAGAAUAUAAUGAUGUUAUUGGUGAUGAAGUCUUAGGUGAUGUGAUAAUUGAGUGUGAGCCAUUUACUAGAGGGAUGCCAAAUGUUGACACAUUUGAUGAACUGGUGGGUGAGUUAGGCGGUCAAAAUAUUCGAGAUGGGUGUGAAGAUAUAUGGAUUGAAUGAUGCUUAUGUAAUUGGCAGUGUAUGACAUUAAUUUUGUAAUAUAUUGUAAUGUGAUUUCUUCACUUUCUACGUUCAAAUAAAACACGACGUUAUUGUGAACCAGUUAUUCAGCAUAUUUACCGACGUCUUAAAGCAACGUAACAAUGAAGAACCACGACGCUAUUGUGAAGCAAUUAUUCAGGAUAUCACGUCGGGGAAGGAUUAAGAACCGCCAUGUAAUUCAAAAUAACACGACUCCAAUCCCAUAAUACCGACGUCUAAAAAACGAGAUAUAUAAUCUGAACGUUAAAAAAUACGACGUCAUCAUACAUUUUCCACAUCGCAAGUUCUUUUAUAAACGAAGAGGAACGAAAUGAAUUCCGACGGAAAUUCAUUAUAACCGCCGUCUAAUAACAAUUAAACGACGUUAUUUGUAAUACGGCUCUCAUCAUAAUCAACGCCGUCUAUAUGUUCUGUAAUACGGCUCUCAUUUAUUUGGAACCGACGUUGUUUAGAAGUUCAACGUCGUCUAUAUUAUUAAGUGCGUCGUGAGUAAUGAUGAUAGAUAUAAAUACAACGUCGACUAUAUAAAUGCCACUGACGUUGUUUCGCAUUUCAACGUCAACUGUAUAAAUACAUACGUCGUAAAUAAUGACACUGACAACUAUUUCCACGUCAUCUUUUUUAGAAAAAUCGAAGUGGAAAAUUUAUUUCACGACGGUUGUUUGUAAAUAAGAGACGUAGUAUAUUUCAAUAACGUCGUCUUCUCAUGUAUUUAAAGACGUCAUAUUUUUUCUUGUCGUGUAAAUUAUAUUUAACGGCGUAGUAUUUUAGUUGUCGUCGUUGUAUGUAUAUCUUGCGGCCUUGUUCUUUUAACAUGUGUCAUAUUUUUCCUUUUUAACGACGGUGAUUUGUUUGAGUUGGUCGUCUAUUCUCAUCCUCGACUAUUUUCUAGAACUUUAGCAGACUAAACACGUCUGUUUUUAUUGUUUUCCGACGUUGUUUUAUUUAACAACGUCUAAUAUUUAUCGUCGUUGUUUGUUUCUGAAAAUAUGACGUAUAAAUUUUGUAAUACGACUCUCAUAUAUUUGUAACCGACGUUGUUUCGUUUUUCAACGUCUACUCUAUAAAUACAUACGUCGUAAAUAAUGACACUGACAACUAUUUUCACGUCAUCUUUUAUCGAAAAAUCGAAGUGGAAAAUUAAUUUUACGACGGCUGUUUUUAUAUAUGCGACGUAGUAGGUAUCAAUAACGUCGUCUUCUAAUGUAUUUAAAGACGUCAAAUUUUUUAUUGUCGUGAAAAUGAUAUUUAACGGCGUCGUAUUUUUAUUUUCGUCGUUGUAUGUCUAUCUUGCGGCCUUGUUCUCUUAAUAUGUGUCAUAUUUUUCCUUUUUAACGACGGUUUUUUUAGAGAGUUGGUCGUCUAUUCUCAUCCUCGACUGCUUUUUUAGAUCUUUUUGCAGUACAAAGACGUCGUUUUGUAUUUGUUGAUGACGUUGUAUAUUUUAACAACGACGGUGAUUUUGCGUCGUGGUUUAUGAGGGAAAAGAUGACGGUGGAUUCCACGACCAUUGAAAAACCGAAUACACGACGGUGAUUUACCGUCGUCUUUUUGCUUUUUUGUAGUAGUGAGAUAAAAAUGUUCUGAACACUUCUCUAGAAGGCCACGAACCCAUCCGAGGUCAUCUUGGGCUCCAAAAACACAAUAAAAGCCCAACACGUCACUAUUCCAGCACCGCGCACUGCUCAUUUAUUUUAUUGCCAGAAAAUAACCGCUUGGAAGAAAAAUCUGAAAUUUUGAUACGAUCAAGCUAAGUGACUCAAGAACGUCCUCCAACUGGAAUUACUCCAAAAUUCCUCAAUUUGAUUAUGUUUUGCUCCAGAGAGAGUCGAAAGUCCUAUAUUGGAAAUAUAAUUCAAAGUAUCAAAAUUCUUCCAAAAUAUUAACCAAAAUAUACUAAGAAUGAGGUUAAAUAUAUAAUAUAAAAUAUGUCCAUCACCCCACAACAACUAAAGAACCAACAUUUUGUAGAAGGUUUUGUCUAUACCUUUGACUGUAAGUAAAUCUCUUGUAUCUGCUCCUGUGGUUCGGUGAAGUUUCUUUGUGUCCUUUCUGCGGAGUCUCCCAUGCUUGUUCCAUGAAAAUGUUCUAGGAGAAAAUACGGUUGUUUCUUACUAGAUUCAAAUGAUUAAGAAAAAUAAAAACGCAAGAAAAAAGGUAUUUUCUUGAUGGACUUGGUGAUGAAAAAUAUCACUCUCUUUAUAUGUCGUCUUCCUUGGACUUUGAGACCUUGGGUUUCGAUUCUUCUUGAGGAUUGCAUAGGGUUUCUAGGCCCAAGAAUACUUUGAGUUAGUUUUUGCGUUUUGGGCUUUGAGACUUUGAGACUAUAAUGAGUGGAAAGUUAUAAGGGGUAAGUUAUAAGGGGGUCACUUUAUAGCCAUCAGAUUAAUCCAAGGGCUGGGGAGAAUUGAGAUAAAGUUUCACAAUUGGGUAGGUGAGGAACCCAAACCCGAAUUGAAUAUCCAGCACGUCCAAAAAGAAGAAGAAGAGGGAAACACGUCCGAAAAAGAAGAAGAAGAGGCAAGUUCGAAGUUUGAACAGAAAGAACUCAUCUCUCUAAAACACAGAGGUCUGAGAUACCCAAUGAAGGCAACGGCUAACGACAGUUGAAGGCAACAAUUCGCCACUCCGUUCUCCAGACCCCGAAAAAGUAUUUAUUUGGAGUAGAAGGGGCAAAGGUGUGGAUUCCAAAUCAGUGAAGGGGCGAAGCAGUGGAAGGGGAAGGGGAGAAGCUGUAUUCGUUGGAAGUGUAGGUUCCAUUUGUGGAGCAAAGAAAUAGAAAGACCCCACACAGACACCUUGCAAUAACCAGCAUUUGGUGAGUAAUUUAUGGAAUUUGAGUUUAGGGUUAGAGUAAUGGUUUUCCCCAAUUUGUACCAUAAAUUUUGUUGGAUUUGGCAUCUCUUCGUUGUGCUUCAGUUGCAUGUUAAUUUUUGCUUAGGUAUAUGUUAAAAAAGGAAUGAAAAUUAAGUCAAUAACAAGUGAAUAACAUGUCAAUAAUGAUAUGAAUAAGAUAAUGGUGUUGAAUUGGAGGAGGCCCUCAAAACCUUCCACAUUUGAAGCAGUGCAUAGUGCAGAUUAAGAAGAGGCGCUAGAAUAUAUAUAUAUAUUUUAUGAAGUAAAUAUGAUUUCCUUUGUUACUAAAUUUGCCUGAGAAACAUUUGAACAGAUAAUAAUAAACUCAUGAAUAGAACUGCAAAGCAUUUGAUGAGCAAUGUAAGGAAUUUAAGUUUAGGGUUAGAGUAAUGGCAUCUCUUAUUUGUGCUUCAAUUGCAUGUUAAUUUUUGCUUGGGUAUAUGUUAAAAAAUGAAUGAAAAUAAAGUCAAUCACAUGUCAAUAACAUCUCAAUAACAUGUCAAUAACAUGUCAGUAAUGAUAUGAAUAAGAUAAUUGUGUUAAAUUGGAGGAGGCGCUCAAAACCUUCACAUUUGAAGCAGUGCAGAGUGAAGAGUACCUCUCUGGCACUAGAAUUUAUAUAUUUUGUGAAAUAAAUAUUAUUUCAUUUGUUACUAAAUUUGCCUAUGAGAAAUGAGAACAGAUAAUAAUAAACUCAUGAAUAAAAGUGCAAAGCAUUUGAAAUGAAGGUUGAUCUAUGACGAUUGUGGGUGACUGAAGAAAAAGGUAGAAAGAAAGAAGGAUGUGGCAAUUGCUUAGCAAGCAGAUAGCAGAGUACAUGCUUUGCUUUGCUUCCUUCCACUAUAUUUCUUAUUUAUUUAUUUUGGGUUGUGUAUGAGAUGACAAUAAUUGUCAUGUGUGUGAAGUGCAGAACUUGCCUACAUUGCACUCACACGAGUAUGGAUGCAUAAAUAAAACACGUGAAAUUGUUUGUAAUUCACAUAAUCAUUGCAUUAACAGGUAUUUGCACAAAAAUUGUCAUAUUGCUUUGAUGAUGUUAAAGGCUGUGAUGAGUAAUCCCUAUGCUCAUGUACUUUGUAAAAGUUGUAAUGUGCCUGGUUGACUAGUUGUGAUUGUGCAAAUACGUGGUAGUAUAUAUGUUCACGUUAUUUCACAUUGUAUUUGAGGAAAUGGGAUCCAACGUGGAGCUGGUAUGGCCAGAGGCAGAGGUAUAUUCGUCACGGGUGAACAACUGCUCACAUGCAAAUUCAUCUCUAGCUGCAAUUCGAGCGAAGUUGAGUGCGGAACAAUUAGAACAAUUCAAGACAUCAUGCUUUGGCCAUCUUCUGAAUAUAGAUAAGAUUCAGUUUAGCGGGCAGAUUGUGCAUGGGGUUGUGUUGCGUAGAGUAGCGGGGCAGGGUGUGAAAGACUUGGAUGGACUGAGUUUCUUAUUAGGGUGUGACGUUGCUCAGUUCACUCGUCAGGAUUUCUGUUUGAUCACAGGGCUUCGUUUUGGGGAAGUGCCUGAAGUUUCCAGUGGAGAGAGUGAUGAAAUCAGACUUCAGAAAAGAUAUUUUAUAGACGAAGGAAUUACAUGCAAUGCUUUAGAAGAAGCAUUUGUGAGGUGCACAGAGGAAGAUGACAUCUACAAGCAAGCUCUUGUUUACUUUGCUGAGUUAGUGGUUUUGGGAAGGGACAAACAUUUGAACAUCAAUCUAAAUUACCUGACCCUUGUAGAGGACUUGGAUGCGUUCAACAGGUAUCCGUGGGGUUCGGUGUCCUUUGACAAAACCCAAGACAGUCUAUUUUCUGCACCAACAAAGUAUGUGAAAAGCUUGGAAAAUGAAGAGGGAAGAGGGAAGGGGAAAAGUAAGGUAACGGGAACAAGCCGGAGAAAUGAGAAGGGCAAGAAGGAUAAGCAUGGUGAAGCGCAAAUGAGUGGCUGGAGUUUUAAAGGUUUCACGUAUGCUUUCCAGGUACAUGGUAAUAAUGUUCAUGUCAGUUAUGUUUUGUUUUUCUUUAAAACAUAAAUAAUGACUUUUGUCCUGUGAAUUGUGUAGAUUUGGGUAUAUGAAUUAAUUCCUAGAAUGGCGGACCUGAAUUACUGCAAGGUUGUUGAUCCGACCGUUGUCCCGCGUAUUUUGCGAUGGAGAACUACUACGUCUGUUCCAGAGAUGAGAAAGUUGAACAAUUAUUUUUUCCAGAGCAAAGAGGUUUGGUUUGCAGCCCUUGGAACUAUUGAUAAGAUUGAAUGAAAUUAUGAAGUAGAAUGAUUUGAUAUGACUCUUGUCUGUAUUCUGAAACAGUCAGUUCAGUUGCGGGCGCUAUGUCCGAGUGAAGAGGAAAUGAGACAGCCAUAUUGGAGUUGGCCACAGGAUCGCCCUGCUGUUGUCUCAGCAGAGUCAAUUCCUUCUUCAUGUGGUGAUCUUGAUGAGUUGAACAAGGUGGUAAGUUGGUUGAGGUCCGAGUUGUUUCAAGUAAAGCGGGAAAAAGACGUCCUUCACUUAAAGGUCAUACGGAUGGAAAAACUGUUGGACCAAUGUUUAGGUCCUCAGUUUGAGCAGGAAGUAAGGAGGGACCUAGCUUUACUGAAACAGAGGACGAAUCGUUGUGUCAUCUCACAUCUAUUUAAGGGAUAUGGGGAAAUGGAUGACAUUCAAUGGGAUGAAGGGCCAAGUAACAGAAAUGAGGGAGAGGAAAAGGAAGAUGAAGGGAUUGAAGGGGGUGAAGGGCCAAAUAAUAGAAAUGAGGGAGCACAUAAGGAAAAGGAGGGGAUUGACGGAGAGGAAAAGGAAGAGGAGGGGAUUGAAGGGGGUGAAGUGCAAGGAAAACCAAGUGAGGUAGAGGAAGGGCAAAGGAAAAGAAGUGAAGGAGAGCAAGUGCAAGUAAAAAGUAGCAAAGGAGAGGAAGCCCAGAGACAGAGCAGUGAGGGAGAGGAAGUGAAAAGAAAAAGCAGUAAGGGAGAGAAACUGCAAAGGAAAAAAAGGGAGGGCAAGGAAGUGAAAACACAAACAAGUGAGGAAAAGGAAGUGCAAAGAAACCAAUGUGAGAAAGAAGAUAAUGAAGUUAUGUUGCUUGGGGGUGACAUUGGCGAGAGCACGGAGGGGACACUGCUUGAGUUUACUGUCGGGGACAUUGAUUUGGAUGAACCUACAGCUGUGCUAUCUCAGUUGAACGUGUGGUUGAAUGAUAAAGGUAAAGCUCUGGCACAAGGGGUCCAAUUACGGAAAAGGAAGAGGAUCAUUCCUUUGUGGAAGAUCAUUGAAGGCAGUGAAUUGGUUCCAAAAAUUGGGGCACAGACAACCGGACUGAAGAUGUUAGACCCAAUGAAGGCGAUUUCGCAUGAUGAUCUGGUGAAAUUGCUGAAACUUUGUUGGGAAUGGCGCCAGGACCCAAAGUAAGUCCCUUGCAAUUAUAAGAUACAAGCAUGACUGUAUAUAAUUUUUUAUAUACAGUGUUCUAAAACUGUUUUAUAUUCAUAGUUUGGUGAUGCAAUUUGGCAACGUGGAAGCUGAGAUUGAAUUCUUCGCUUCCCUCGUGAAAGCUGAUGGUUGGCUGAAAGGAGAUGUAAGUGUAAUUGAUUAUGCAUUUGUUUUAAUGUACAUACAUUAUGAGAUUGACAAGAAAAACAUGUUGCAGCACAUUGAUUUGGGGUUGUAUCUCAUCCGGAAGCGACAACAACAGUUGGAGACAGAUUCGGUAGAAGUAGCGGACUGGACAACGACCGAUGUUUUUUUUAUGGUAUGUCAUCGGCCUUGACCAAGUGCCGUUAAUAAUUACACAUUUUCCAUACACACACUAGUGGAGGUGUUUAACCAUUGAUUGUUUUGUAUUUCACAGAAUCACAUUCGUACUUGCUUUGCGGAUAAUAAAAGAAAAAAACAGCAGCUUGGGUGGAAAAUCAGGAAAAGUUUACUAACCGUUGUAAAUGGGAAGGUUCCUCCGUGUGGGUUGGAUUGGCAGACCGUCUAUAAGGUGUAUACCCCAUUUAUGUUGACGAAGUACAAGCAUUGGGUGGCUGUAAUGAUUGAUCUGGUAUUGUGUGAAAUCAAAGUGUACGAUUCAAAGGUUUCACUAAUUCCAGAUGACAUCGUAAAGGAAGAACUCGGCCCGCUAUCAAUUACGCUUCCAAAUCUUCUCAACACCAUCGACUUUUAUGAAAAAGGUGUUUAUGCAAACAAUUGCAGCCAAGAUUAGUGGUGUCCGUGGCCAAUAGAGCGUGUGGAUGUUCCACAACAGUCUAAUGAGUAAGCACAACUUGCAAUUUAAUUUUAUUACUUUCAAUUGUCAAUUACGUUAGAAUGUCAUUAGUUGAAUUGAUCGAGUUCUUGUUUUGCUUCAGAGGCGAUUGUGGCAUGUUUGUGUUAAAGUACAUUGAGCUUUUCAGCGCUGAGCUUCCGUUAGCUACUUGCACCUCGCACAACAUGCCUUUUUUUCGGUUGAAAUUGGCUGCGGAGAUAACAAGGGGAGAUGCUUACUUCCCAUGAUAUUGGUUGAAGAUGACAAAUGGUACAUGAGAAGGUUUUGGGAAUGUCCAUUCUCAAACUAAUGUAAAUACACAAUAGAGAAGUACGGGUCCUUAUCGAAUUCUACCGCUAACUCCUUCAUGACAUUUACAUGUUUGUUAACCAAACUGCAUUGAAUUGGAAUUUUAAGACUGCAUAUGUGAAUUGGGAUUUGAAGAUGGCUUUUUAAGUGUAUUACAUCAUUGCAAAGUGAUAUGUCAUUGUUGAUGCAAGCCACCAUUAAUCGCAAUGUGUUGCAUCAUAAUAGGUGUCUAAACAUGCGAAAGGUUUUCCGCAGCUCAGUAGCAUAAAAGUAGAAACAAAGACAAUAUACACAAAAUGAACAACAAUUCACAAAUGCACCGACAAGCAAUACACACACAACAGACAAACAAUAUACACAAACUUGGCCUGCCAUAUACAGAGAAUAGACAUGCAAUAUACACACAGUAGACAUGCAAUAUACACACAAUAGACAUGCAAUAUACACACAAUACUCCCUUAACACACACAAUAGACAUGCCCUUGCCCACAAUAAUGAUGCAAUAUACUUCAGUCCCCAAGUACACCAACCAUAGGGAAGUCGUAUUGAAUAGGAUAUUAAACUUAACAGUUGUUCUUCCUACUAAAAGAAAGAAUAAGGUUCGUUUCCCCCCUUCAUUCUUACUUGAGUGAUACUUGUGGCCCCAAUAAACAUCCAAUUUUGGGGCAAUGAUAUUCCAUAUACAUGCAGCAAACUAUCAAUAAACCUUCAAUAAACCUUCAAUAAACAUUCAAUAUCGUUUCUAUAACAUGCGAAAUACAUGCAGUUACCAAAUAUUACAAAAUGGGUUUAGGGUCUCAUUGGUGGUGCGUGCAACAUGUCUUGUGCGGGAGAACUUUCACAAUCUUUUAAACCGUGCAGUUAAAUGAUCAUUAAAAGAACAAAUAAAAUGACAAUUGAUACAACUAAUAAAACUAAUACCAAGUCCUUAAUGGACUUCAGCAUGUUCAGCACUCUAGCAUCAUACGUGUCAUCUUGAUGUUCUGCUUCAGCGGAGGUUACAUCAACCCAUUCGAAUCCAUUGCAACUGGUGGCUCCCUAAUUGCAGGCAUCAUAUAUGGAAUAUAAUUCUGUCAGAGUUAGACAUAGGUUUUUUUUCACCCACAUACAUAUUCUUUAAAUUAAAACUUACAUAGGAGGUUAGACACUUCCAGAAUGGCUUCCCUCGAUUUUUGUCAGAUUUUGAAACCCGAAGCACCAUUGUAGCUCCACAAUACUGACACCUCUUUGUUUGAGCGGGAGAUGAAGAUGAAGACAUGUUUAAUCUUCUCAGUUGUACCUCUUCUCACUCAGAUCUUCUCACUGAAACCUCUUCGGACUCAUACCUUCUCACUCAUAGUUGUCAUUCAUACCACUUCACUCAUAACCCUAAACUUGUCACUCAGCUCUCUCUCAUCUCUGCCCAAAUCGAGUUAUAUUUCUUUUUUUUGGGAUCAUUUGGUGGGUUGGUCACGAUGUCGACACCUGUACCGUCAGCAUUGUGACAUCUUUUAGCCCGAAAAGCAAUAUAAACUACUUCACUACCAAAUAUAUUUUCUGAAUAAUGACGGGACACUGCUUCAAUUUUAUUAAUUUAUUUAUAUUUCAUUAAGGCAACUAGUUGGAUAAGAAUCCGUCAUUAUUGGUUCCAUUUUAAUAACAUUACUAGGGGUAAUUGGGUGUGGGAAAAUGAAAAAGUAUAUGAUGGGACCUUCUGUCACUAGUCAGUAAUCCAUCACAUUUGUAUCAAUGAAUUUGAUAGUGGGAUAAACCCAAAAAUGGCUAUGCAAAUAGCCAUUUAAUUAACUUUUUGACUGUCUGACUCUGUAUGCACCGUUAUGACGUUUUCCCUUCUUUUGUCUUAAGUUUUAAUUCACUGGGGUUCAGUUUCUUUCAAAAGGGUCAACUUGGAAAAACCCCAACUGGAAACACCUUUUCAAAACACUAUAAACAGAGGCUAAAACAAAACGUGUACCCCAAAUAUUAUCAUUUAUCCCCUCUGCCACUCCUCAAAUCGUUCCAUUCCAAAAACUUUUCAAUGAAUUCGAAACACUUCACUACAGUCGGAGGAAAGAGAAGGAAGCAUGUCCAUUUCGAUAUGCCCGAAGCCUUCAUCCCGGAGUCCGCUUGGUUUCAAGUCAUGUUAUACGUGGCAACCGAAUCAUCGGAAGAUCUCUUCCGUAUGGCAUCUGUGUGACGAUUGUUCCGAACUUUGGCAAACAGUUCACAAGUGUGGAACACCAUUUCAAUGGCAAAGUACCCAGACCAUCCUAUAUGGUACCGUGCCAGACCUGCGGUCCAGCAUUUCUUGCAACAAUGCAGGGCUUGCGAUAACCCUGAGUCCAUAUUUAGAGAAGCAUUCGAAGGUUUUUUCAGGCACGGUAAGGUGGAAGCGUUGUAUGGGAUGCGCAUUGCAGCCACGGCAGGCCAUAUGGAAGCGGCAUAUGUAGUUGGACUACUUGGUAUGUCCGGAAUUGGUCAGUCAAAAGAGGAUGCAUUACAAUUCUUGUGUUCUUUGAAUCAACGUAACAACAUUGAUAUGAAAGGAACCAGGGAUGCUUUGACAGGAAGAUUUCACGGAGCAUUUGUUGCAAGACAUAUCGUAGAUAUGUUUGACUAUGGGAAGAUUAAGUUCAAUCGGUGCAGCGCUUGUAACAACAAUGAAUGGUAUUUUGUUAUUCCAGGCUGGCCUAGUGAAGACAAGAUAAAUCCUGCGUUGUGGACUUGUUGCAAUCGAUGCAAAUGGCACCGUGAGAGUAUUUUUUGGUGCAAACUGAUGCGUGAGUAUGUUGUGCGAGGGAAUCACGUAUUUUUGCAUUAGUUUUAGUACGAAUUUACGGUUUUGAUGCAUUGUGGACUUGCUUCUCUUCACUUCUAGGUUGGCUGGCUACGUUAUACCUAUCUCAGUUUAAAUGUUGUUCAAAUGUUGGUAUUUUGUCAUAAACCGUUUUAUAUAUAAAUGUAUAAUAUUUAUUAUAUAGCGGAAUUAUUACUUACAUCAUAGACGGCUAGGAAUGACAUUUUACUGACACAGAUAUUUUGCUCACCGACCCCAAUCUUCAUAUUUGAUAAACGAAAAGUUAUGCAUGGAGUAAAUAGGUGUCUUUUCACCAGUGCUUGGGAAUGACAUUUUCCCACUUAGCAUAUCCGAAAGGAUUUGGUUACACGUUUCUUAACCUAGGGGGUUGAACAGUGAAUGACGUAGACUAUUUUUUGUGUGUGGAAGGAGUACAAUGGAUGACUUGUAUAUUUCCAUAUUAUGUUUCAAAACAUCCCUUCAACCUAAAAAAUAAAAAAAUUAACAAAUUGAAGAACAGAGAAACCGAUGAGCACUACAAAUGGCCUAUUCGCACGGAAAAUAAAAUUGUUUUCAACAAGUUGGACUAAAUAUAAUUAACAAAUGGACAGCCUAAAAAGUAAUAUCAUAAUAAUUAUAAUAAUUGUGGAUAAAUAAUAAUAAAAUACUAAUGUAACAUAACCAUUAAACAGGGAAUGCAGUAGGAAGAUGAAAUCGCAAUAAGUUCGUAGAAAUUUUGGGAUCGUUUUUCUAAUUUUUGUGUAUUUAGUUAUGAAUUUUCCAAGAAAAAAGGUAAUAAAAUAAUAAUUUAGGGUAAAAUGGGAGGAUGUGGCCAUGUUCGGUAACGUACACUUGUGCAAGUAGUCAAAAGUGACGGGCUGAGAUCGCGCCAGGUGUCAUAUUCUUGUUAAUUUUGGAUUCUUUUGUUAAAAAAUCUUUGAAACUAGGUAAUAAAUAGUAGGAAAAUCGUAAAAAUGGCCCAAAAAUUACUCCGGCCUCCUUUUGACGUCCUAAAACUAGGAGAACCUAUAAAUCAUUCGUCUCGCAAUGAAAUAAUCCAAAUUGUGUUACAUAACUCACUUUCCUCUUAACCCUAAGUAUUGAUGUUUGUUAACUUCAACUUGAAUAACCUACUUCAACAAGCAUCUCCCGUUAAUAUUGGGAAUUAAUUUUACAAAUGCGUAACAAUGAAUCGGAGAAUUCAGCAACGGAGAUGGAGUGUCAAUGAGUUCGUAGCAAUUUUCGGAUAAUUUUUUUAUUUUGUGUGUAAUUAGUUCUGAUUUUUGUAAGGAAAAGUAAUAAAAUAAUAAUUUAGGGUAAAAUGGGAGGGUGUGGCCAUGUUGACUGACGUACACUUGUGCAAGUAGUCAUCAGUGACGGGCUGAGAUCGCGCCAGGUGUCCUUUUGCUAUUAUUUUGGCUUUUUUAGUGCAACAAUCUGUGGACAUAGGUAAUAAAUUCUACGAAAAUCCAAAAAAUGCCCGGAAAAUGAGAAAAUGAAAAUUAUUUGUACAUAACUCACUUUCCUCUUAACCCAAAUUCACGUUAACACGUAUAUUUCGGAUAAUAUUCGAAAUAUAAUUUCUAAUAAUACAAUAUUUAGUUUCACUAUAUACAAUAAUAUGUUUUUUUUAUAAUAAUGUACAUAAAUAAUAAUUGCACAUGCUUUGAAGCCAUCAUUGCAACUACGCCUAGAGCUUUGAAGACGUCAGUUCGUAUUCAAUAAGUUGUCCACAUGCAACUGCACCUAGAGUUUUCAACACGUCAGAGGUAUUCAAUAAGUUGUCCACAUGCAACUGCACCUAGAGUUAUUAACACGUCACAGGUAUUCAAUAAGUUGUCCAUAUGACGCCGCAUUGGGAAUCAGUAAUAUAUUUUCAAUCAUGUCAAAUCACAUAAAUAAUGCCAUACUUUUUCUCAAUAACCUCACACAAGUGAAGCAAUUUUAAAACCCUUAGUGAAUAUUUAUCCUAGUCUAUAUGAGUGAUUAUAUAAUCAGUUGCAUAAUAUUUUUUUCACAGUAUAUGUUAACUUUGAGAGGGAUUCCACAAACAUAAAAUAUAAAGAAAGCAAGAAAUAGUAGGAAAUGAACCAGUACAAAAAACAAUAUAUAAAGUGUACAUAAUAAUUCCAUAACCUUGUCACAAACGCACUCACAAAAGCUUUUCCAUAAACCUUGUCCUAACAUAUAAUAAAUAAAGGCAACAUUGCAUAUGAUGCAACCAUGUCCAAAUCUGAUAAGUGAUCAAAAACAAAUGGACAUGGCAGCAACAUAUGAUUGAAGUAGAUGGGCUCUUUGCAUCUUCUGUUUUCGUAAUUAAAGACAUCAAAAUAUUAAGGUUUAAAUCUUCCAUAGUAGUUAGCAUCAAAAUAGCUUUGAAGCAGAGUGUAACGAAAAUUCCAAUUCCACUUAUUUGCCUCUGCUCAAACACGAGAACCAAAAUGGUUACUUCCCUUGCUGAGUAUAUUUGGUGACGUCGGAAACGGUAAUAGAUGACCAAUCAAACCCGGGUACGACGAGUUUUGCAUAGGAUCGGAAGUAGUCGAAUCCAGCUUGCAUCACACGCUUCUUUGACUCCACUACAUUAGAUGAGUUCUUGUAUUUUUGAACAGCUACACUCUGAAGUCGUUUGUGUCUACGCUUCAUGCGCUGCAACUUCGCCCUAUCCAGAUUGGCCUGCCUUUUGUCAUCUUCAAUUUGGCCUUCCACAAAUUCCAAACGUGCCCUUGCCCUUUGGAUUUCAUCACCAAGUUGAAGAUGCCUCUCCUUCCAAAAAGCAACAACUCUUUCAGACUCAAAACUUCCAACAAAAUGGUCAUUCUGUCUAGCAAUGUGACAUUGCUUGUCUGGUGACUCACUUGCGUGUCGAAGCCGGUCUUUGUUUGGAGGGGUGUUUAUUAUACUCACAUCAAACUUGGUUGUGCUUAUGCUCAUUCUUUGGGGGGAAUGAGUUUGUUUGCUUGAGAGAGUAUCGGUAGAUGGAGACAGAUUCGGUGGAGGAGUGAGUUUUGUGUGGAAGGAGAUUUUAUAUGAAAGGGGUGAUAGUAAUACCAAGAAAAGGGUUCCCGCCAAAAAAUAUUUGGUUGACAAAGUAGAAAUUAUUUUUUUAGUCUGAUACAAUCUAAGUUUAAUCCUAACUAGUUUGGUUGAGUUAACUAAGUAGAUGUCACUUCCAUUGACUUUCUUUCAACAACUAUCAGUGGUGUAAGGAGAGUGUGAGGUUGACAUGCUUGAAAAGCAAAAGCUGACACCUAUUUUUAAAAAAUUCCCGCCAAAAAGUACAUAUGUUGACUACACACAAGCUUUGGUAUGUUGGUCUAUAAACCUAUGUUCCCUUUCUCAAACGAAAUUGCAUAUGCAAUCCUCAUCCUCCCAAAACAAAGAGGAUUAUUCAAGCAUGUCAACCUCUUCAGGCGCCAACAACACAAUCGAACAUGACAAAUUGGAGUCACAGGUUCUAUUUCCACAUUGUACUCGCCGACCCCUUCCUUUUUCAACAUCAUUUGGGAGUGAGGGGGACUCCGAUGAUCCAUUAGAGGCAAUACAUGCAGUCAGUGGCAAGCUGGAUUAUAAUUCCAGACUGAUCAAUUCAUGGCACGAGAAAUGUGUUGAAGACGAGGCAAUUUUGGCUGAUCUUAACAUUAGGGUGAGCAAAGCGUUAUCCCAAAAGAACAAGUACUUGAAGCUGAGUCAUAGCAGGAAGCUGAAAGCUGAGGAGUUGGAUACAGUAAUGAAUGAUGAAAUGAAAGGUUGUUUGAUGAACCAUAUGCGAUGCGAACAGCACCAUACUGAACUGGAGUUGGCAUUCAACGAAGGAUUCGACAAAUUCCGAGCAUUUGCGGCAACUACUCAUACAAGUUAUGAUUGGAACUAUGUGUCCCCUGAUGCUGUGAGAGAGAUACUAGACGAUGGGGGUGACAUGAAUGAGCAUAAGCACGUCAAAGCUGCUCGGAAGAAGCCGACCGAUACGACUAAGUGAUUGCGGCUACCGCUGUUCAGUUAGUUGAGGGUGACCGUGGUAUUGCACAUAUACUCCCUUAAUGUCAUUAUCUAACUUAAAAUAACACAAAUAUCAGUUUCAUUUGCUUGAUAUAUAAUUAUUGGGACUAUGUAUUGCAAGUCAUCAUGUGUUAUAAUGUCUAACAUUAUAUUUUGCAAAUAUGGAAAUAUUAUUCAAGAAGCAGUCAAUAUCACAGAAAGCCGGGAAUCAGUAAAUGCUCCUUAUCAUGUCCAUUUACAUUAAAGAGCUGGAGUACUAAUGUGUUCAAAAAAAACUGACACGUGAGUCAUAAGUAACAUAACAUGUGCUAUACAUUGUUUACUGAAUGGUUUAUGGUUUAUUUGUAUAUAAUAAAAUUUCAAAUAUUGCUGAAGAUUUAUUUCGUGUAUAUCACUAGGGAUAUGAGUGGCCAUAAGCAUGUGAGACCUGCUAAGAAGAAGCUGACGAGUACGACCCAGUGAUUGGCUACCGUUGUUCAGUUGGUUGGGGAGAUCGUGGUAUUGCUAUGAGGAAGCACACAAUAUGUUUUGCAAUCAAAUGUUCUUUUGUGUGUGGAAUUAUGAGUAUUUAUGUAAGUUAGUGUACCCUUUAAUAUUUUUCACCUAAGUAUCGAAAUGCAGUUUUUGAAUGUUAUGUUUUUUUUUACCCGCUGCUUUCUAUUUGCUCUGUUCCAACAAAGUGCUUCAAGUAUCCUUCACUUACAAAAGUGUACAAAAUCGUGCCCCUAAUAACCAGUCGGAAAAAGUGGCUACUGCUGGAAAUGAUUACUGGUAAUGGAAACAACAGCUGGCUGCUGUAAUUGCUGCAUUACCGUGAGGAUUUGAAAAAUGAAUCUCUGUUAAAACAAAUUUCACCCUAAACUGCCCAUUUUACAUGGUAAAAGUCAUUGCUUCUUCAAAUCUUUUGCAGCUACACGAUGCGUGGUCAGAAUCUUUGACAUAUACGACUUCUGCCACUCUUGUUUCCCAAUUUUUUCUUUCGCUCACGUUGAACACAACUUUACAAGCAUCCUCUGUUUUGAGCUCUAGGAAACAUGCUGUACUUUGUAUUAGUUCUUGCUCAAACUUUUGAAACAUUGUCCUUGUGUACAAGGUAGCCAUUUGUUUGUUCAUUGGCAUCGGUAGAAGACAUUGAGCCACUUCAAAUGCAUCUGCGUGAUCAGCAACUAACUCUUUUUCACGUUGAUGAGAAAGUGCCCUCUCAAAUCGUAUUAUGAAAUCCAUCAACGAAUUUCUCCUUGAUAUGUAUUGCUUGAAAAAACCAUGAGAACCUUCCGCUCUUUGGCUGCUUGACAUUCCAGCGGCAAAAAAUUGUCGUGCGUAGGCUGGAACCCAAGAUUCCCUUAAAUCAAACAUUGAACUUAGCCAUGGAUGGUCAGUCAAACCAGCCUUUGUAACCACAAUAUUCCAUUUUGCAUCAAACUCAUCCUUAUUGUCAGUAUCCCAUAUGGCUUUCUGAAAUUCAGGCCAAUACUCCUUAUAAGCGUCACGUGGUAACUUAACAGAGAACUUUGAUGUGAUGUGCUAUAUGCAAAGUCGAUGAAAUGUACUCGGGAAGGCUAUUGAAAUCGCUAUGGCCAUUGCCGCAUCUUGAUCUGUAAUGAUCGUUUUAGGUUCCCCACCUGGCAUGGCUUUCUUAAACUCCUCAAACAUCCAAACAAACGACUCAGUCGUUUCCUUGCUCAAAAAUGUGCAUGCUAACACAAUUGUCUGACCAUGGUUAUUAACUCCCAACAUUGGUGCAAAUGUCAAGUCGUAUCGAUUCGUGUUGAAUGUGGUAUCAAAUACAACAACAUCUCCAUAAAACCCAUACGCCCGUCUAGAAGUUGCAUCUGCCCAAAAACAUCGACUAAACCUAUCAUGCCCAUCUCCCUCAAUCUUGAAAUAAAAAGCCUCAUUUUUUUUCUGUUCAGCCAUAAAAUACUCGGUCACUAGUUCAACAUCGUGGUUCCUCAGCUUCCCAAUCACACUACAUUCAAGAUUGUAGAUAUCUUUUUUGAUAAAACCGAUUUUAUCCAUUCCUCCGGAUUGCACCUCGAAAAUACUUACCUUCUGAUGAAUGGGAAUAUUAACUGAACCCAACUGUUUUGUGAGUACUUUUGUAGAAUCUGAAAUAUGACGGUGUGAUCUCAAUAAAUGCAUUCUUUCUAAGGGUGUCAUCUUAUGAUUGUGUCCCUCUGCAAAAAGAGAAAUGUUAUACUUGUUGCUCCCAUUUGUCUUCACAACCACAAUCUUUGCUUUGCAAUUGCAUCUACUUAUUCCCCGUUGUCUUUUUCUCUCCCGAGUUUCAUCCUUCCUGUAUGCACCUUGUUUGCAACAUACAAAUUCUUUCCUCAAAAUCUCUUUCUUAUUUUUCCCCCAAAAGCUAGAAUGAAGUCGAAUACCAAAGCCAGCCAAGAAUGCAUAUCUAUUAUAGAAAUUGUAAACGAGGUCAAGCGAGUCAAACUUCAUCCCAACUGCUGGUGUUUCCUCAUUUCUUACUUCAGGAAUAUAAACCCUCCCAUUAGCUGUUGCACAUUCAUCACUCUCUGAGCCCCCAGACAUUUUAUCUACGUAUAUUAUUGAUCCACUUCUAUAUUACUGCAUAGCAAUUAUUCAUUCAUUAAUCAGUCAUUACUGCAUCACAACAUAUCAAUGCAUUCCACUUACACAAAACAUUGCCCAAAUUGACACAAAAUACGCAUAGCCUAACUUCCGAUUACACAAAACACAAGCAAAAUUUCAUAAAAGUUACGUCAUCUCUUGUGAAAUAAUCUGGUCAAAAUAACAUUAGAACCAACAUGUUCAACUAAGAACACAAAUGUAAUUCAAACCACCAAUUACAGAACUUCACCCAAUAUCCUCUCCAACUGCUUACUCCUAAUGUCAUUAAGCCUAAGUUUAGGUUCUUUUACCUACAUUUCAUAAUUUUUCACCCCGACCAACAACAAUGAACUAAGUAUAUUGAAUAUUCACAAGGAAAUGACACAUUAUUGAUGCCACAAAUGACGAAUUUCCCACCCUCACAAAAAAUAAACCUAACCCAAUAAAAUCAAUCCAGCAAGUGAACUUACCUCUCAAAAUCAAUCGAGAGCUCUGAAGUCAGUCAGCUUGAAAGAAUGUGGUGGACAUUAGAGAAGACUCUUUGGUAUUUGAGACUCCAUCUCUAUCAAAAUCGAGGAACAACUGCUGCUGCGGCUUCUAGCUACAAAAACAGAUAUGCUACUUUGCUUUCAUCUAGAAUCUUGUCAGCUGAAUGAAAAAGAGAAGGGGUUUUCACUUGAGCCAUAGAAUCAAAACAGGGCAACAGCUAGGUAAGAGCCAUUCUUCGUAAUACCCAGGAUACCAUAGAUCGCAGGCCUCCCAACGAGCUAAUGACAGUGGAGUGACUAUAAGGUUUGGGAGAUUUGGAUCCUUCUAAUUGUGGGUUUGCUUUACAUUCAAAAAGAAAGGAUUGUGUUCUUCAGUUUUUCACAGAGAGGGAAAGAGGGGAACAACUGAAGUUGGGUUUCUAACGGGUUAGAUUUCAACCCGAUUCUACAUGCACCCUCUUUUAAAAACUCACCGUUGGAUGAAAUCCAACGGCUCUUACAUACCCCUCAAAAACACCCCUUAUAACUUCCCACUCACUAUAGAAGCUCCCCCAACUAAAUCCCAAAAGGGAAACAGAUUUGAACAACAUACAAAUUUGAAGGACACACAAAUAUGAAUCUCAGCACCGGUGAGAAAUUAAUUUUAGUUGAGGUUGGUAGGUAGGCAUUGGAAGUUUUUAUUGUUUUUGCUCCAAGUCCCUCCUCCACUCACUAAUACAGAUUACUCGCAAAUGAACUAAAGUCUGCAGGGAUAUAUGGACUCCCCUGUCCAUACGAAUGUUGGAAGAAAUGUGUGUUAAAUUUUAGAGAGACGGGUCUGUGACCCACCACUAGCAACGUUGAUAUUGUCUCCAACUUAACUACAUGUUUAGUAGAUGUGGGGUUUUAUACAAAAAGUAUUGAUGUUAUUGGGAAUGGAACCACUUAUUAUAAGUUAAAAUUUAUUUAGUCAAGUUUCCUAUGUGGGACUUUCUAUUCUUCAACAAGCCCCUUCAUGUGGGACCACCACAUAGUGGGCCACACGUAGAGCCAAGUCCACAUCGGAGUCAAUCAUUCAAGCCCAAUACCUAAACACCACGUAUUGUGUGAGGGGUAGGGGUAAACAUUCAAGCCCAACAUAUGAACACUGUAACAUCCCAACUCCAAAUUUAAUCCCUUAUUUAAAUUAUUUAAGUGAAAUUACAAAUUUACCCUUGGGGUAGGGAUAUUUUGGUCAUUUUCUUACCCGAAAAGAGUUUGGGGCAGUGACUAGUAUUUUUUGGUAGAUCGUACUGAGAUGAGUCUGUAGACAUGUAGUGGGCUCGAUUCGGAGUUGAAACGAAGAAGUUACGAGCAAAACAUCACCAAUGGCAAAACCGUAAAUAUUUCAAAAUGAAUUUUUAAUAAAAAAAACCUGAAAAACCCUCUCUCUCUCUCUCUCUCUCUCUCUCUCUCUCUCUCUCUCCUGCGCACAGCCCCUUUCCCCCCUUCGUUUUUUCUUUCCGUGGCUUCCAAGAGCCACCAUCGCCACCACGAAUCACCACCGGCCAUGAGGCCGGACUCGUUCGAACUGCCGCCGCAUCCUCUUCCUGUUCCGGUCGCUCCCAGUCGCUGCCAUCCGCUGUGCUGGCCGGAAAUCGAAGAAAACCAGCCGAUUUUUGUCAAACUUUCGGCCGCUCGUUCUCCCACUUCCGGCCACCAUUUUGGCCAUCCAGGUAUAGAUUUUGAACCUCUCGAGCUGUUCUUGCUGCCUGUUGUGUUAGAUUUGGGAGAUUUCCGCGUUUUGAAGGUCGAUUAAACGAUGGAAGUUUGGCUGGUUUUUGGCCUCCGAUUCCGGCCACUUUCGGUCACUUUUUGGGGUAGGUCCAAGAACAAAAGUGGUUCCAAAUAGGGUGUUAUACCUAGGGUAGGAGUCUUGAGCCGUGGUUUUGAGAUUUCUCGGUGAUGCGUAAUCGCUUUGGACACCCAUACGCUACCGGCGCGUGUGGUGGCGCGUGGGCACUGUAGAAAUGGGGUAUUGUGUCCCGAUGCGAUCCCCUUGUUGUCACGAGUGUGUAGUGUGCUCGGAUUCCAAUUUGGUUGACAUUCGAACCCCGAACGAAUUUCUCCUAUUGCACGUUAUCCGCGUUUGAUAGGUUUGAACCGUUGGAUAGUCUUGAAUUUAAUAUAUUUAAUCUAAGCAUUUCUAGGAUCGUGUAGGAAUUCACGGAUCAUGAAUCGGAACCCCGGAUGUUCCGAUUUAAUAAUUUAAAGUUUAUGUUUAUAUUAACUGUCAGAUCGUGCAAUCGUGAGCGAUCCGACCUUCCGAUCCGGACCAAACGUGCAGGACGUAUAUCCUAAACCUUGUGGAACCUAUAGGAACUUUCGAAUCAGAAUUUAGAGGUCGUGGGCCUAGUGGCCCCGUUUGACCAAGUGUGGAUAGUUUGACCCUUGGUUGACCUUGAGUCUUCCAAGGUAGUUUUCCUUCCUAGAAGGAUUAUAAUGACCCUAAUGACAGGUCUUGAGCGUUGUUGAGCCAUGUUGACUAGGUUAAGAUUUUUAGAGUGUUUAUUAUUGUCGUAGGAAACUCUUGGACAUUAUUUUAAUAAUUGGAAUUAUAAAAGUGAGUUUUGGGUUCGGCUAUGACUUUAGUGAAUGGACUUUAUUUUUAAAUGAAUAGCAUGGCUUUGUGAUGGAAUUUUUAGGCAUGUGAAUUUAAUGGUUUAUUGAAAUUCAUUUUUAUAAUUAAUAGUUAAUUUAGCAGUUUUGGUAAAGUAUUAGUGAUGUGUGGGGUACUUGGGAUUUUGUUGAGGUUUAUACAAUAUUAGAGAUUAACUUAUAUAUUUAAAUAUAGGUAUGAAUGUAUGAAAAGAGUUUAGAAUGUCAGUUUGAAGUACUAUACGCACUACCCUAGGUACCUCAUCGGAUUUUGAUUACACUAUAAGUACCACCCUGUGAUUGUCAGGUCACCCAUGGCGUAGGAUUUUCCGGCGGAAUGACAGACCCCAUACGUGACGUUGGAAUUUCCGGCGUAUGGGGAGAUGAUAUUAUGAUUGUUAAGUCACACGUGGCAUAGGUUAUCCGGAGUGCUGACAGACCCCAUAUGUGGCGUUGGAAUUUCCGGCAUAUGAGGAGAUUAUGUGAUUGUUAAGUCCCACGUGGCGUAGGUUAUCCGGCGGGAUGAUAGACCCCAUACGUGGGGUUGGAAUUUUCGGUGUAUGGGGAGAUGAUAUAAUGGUUAGGUCACAUGUGGCGUAGGAUUUUCCGGCUUGAUGACAGACCCCAUACGUGGCAUUGGAAUUUCUGGCAUAUGGGAGAUUAUGUGGUUAUUAGAGAGAUGAAUUAAGAUUAUUAUACUGAGUUGGGAACGAAUGAUGUUUGAAAAAGAUUUUGUUUGGGAUUUCUGCAAUUGAUUGCAUGUUGAUGGACUUGGAAAUUUUGUAUGAAAGAACUACGUGUGGCUUGAUCCCUUAGUAAGGGUACAUAUGCAGCUUAGGGUAGUGCCUAGGUGCAGCCGUGUGCUAAACUUUACUCAUGUUGUGUGAUGGAGAUUCGUUCGGACCUUGUUGUUAGUCCUGAAUUUUAGGUGAAAAUGAGAUGCAGUCUUGUUAGGAGGUUUAAAUUUUCUACGUUUAAUAUUUGGGAAUUUAGAUGAUGGAAAUCGCAUUUGGCGUUCAUAAAUGUGUUUGAGUUUAUAUUUGCAUUGUUUAGAGUUAGUUGGUGGUUUCGUUUCGAAUUAUUUGAAGGCCGAAGGCUGAUUAUGUGAUUUAUAUGAAAUUAUCUUGUGCAUACUGCCAGUUGUGAAUAUCAAAUGUGUUUUAUGCACGUUGAAAUUUUUAGGAUUGUUCAACUUACAGGGGAGACUGCCGAAAUUUCGGCAUAAAAUCUCGUGCCCUUAUUCCUUAUUGGGAAAAAUGAUUUAGUUUUAGAAGUGGGUUCGACAUCGGGGUGAUGUCGGGAAUUUUCACAGGAUUCAUCUCGGGUUUCGGGAAAUUCGGGUCGGGUCCUGUCAAACACCACGUAUUAGGUAAGGGUAAAGGCUCAAUUCAGGCCCAGUCAAUCAACCCAUUAUGAUAUCAUGUUAAAUUUCAGAUAGACGGGCCUGUGGCCCACCACUAGUAACAUUGAUAUUGUCCCCAACUUAACUACAUGUUUAGUAGGUGUGGAGUUCUAUACAAAAGAUCUCGAUGUUUUUAGGAGUGAAACCACUUAUUAUAAGUUGUAAUUUAUUUAGUCAAGUUUCCAGUCAACCUGACUUUGAUACCAUGUUAAGAUUUUAAAGGGACGAACUCUUGGCCCACCAUUAGCAAUAUCGACAUUGUCCCCAACUUAACCACCUGUUUAACAAGUGUGGGGUUUUAUCCUAAAGAACUCGAUCUUAUUAAGAGUGGAGCCAUUUAUUAUAUGAAACUUUCUAUUUUGUUAACUCUGUGUAUUCUUCAUCAAUGUGAACACCCCUAAACCAAUCAUACCUGAUACGGAUUGAAACACAAGUUUGUUUUUUGCCUUUGGUAGAUGAGUAGCUAGAAAAGCUCAAUGCACUUGCUCUUCUUCUGCUACAUUUCAAUAUAAGAACAAGGUUUGGAAGCCAGGUCAACUCCUCAUAGUUUCCUUGCCUUUGCUUUGACAUGUCUAUGCACUUCUUGGGGAAGUUUGAAUAAUCAAUUGCAGGCCCCACGACAACUAAGGAACCAACAUUUUGUAGAAGGUUUUGUCUACACCUUUUGACUAUAAGUAAAAUCUUUUGUAUCUGCUCUUAUGUUUCGGUGAAGUUUCUAUGUGUCCUUUGUUGAACGAAAAAAUGAGGUUGUUUCUUACUAGAUUCAAAUACUUAAAAGAAAAAAAGAAAUUAUUGUUUCUUAAUUGAUUUUAUGGUGAACAAUAUCAAACUCUCCUCUUAUACGUCUUCUUCGUUGGACUUGGGGUUGUUUUCCUUAUAUGUCCCUUAUAUAUAUAGGGCCUUUGGUUGAGCCCACAAAUACCUUCAGUUAGUUUUUGGGUUUAGGGGCCUACAGAACCUGCACUAAACAAUAAAAGAAAAUACCUAAUUAGUUUAGUACGAAUUCUAUAAUGAAGGCUUUAUUAGGUAAGAUUUUAUUUCUUAAUCGUUAGAUCAAAUUUGACAGGACCCGUUCCUGAAUUUCUCGGAAAUCAGAGCGAACCCCGUCCUUGUUUCGACAUCACCCCGAUGCAGGGUCCACUUACUAAAAACCGAGACUUUCUACCAAAAUUUUGAUAGAAUCUCCCUUGUAAAUUGAGCAAACCCAACAAAAAUUUCAGCCUGCAACAUACAUAAAAAUAAUCCCAACCAGCAGCAUGCUUACAACAUACAACAAAACGUACUAAAUGGCCUCCGGCCUCACAAGUAAAAUUUAACAUGGGUAAUCUACUGAUGUAAACGAUUCGGCCUUCGAACACUGCUUGCAACCUUCCUGAAGCGACUACUGGCUAAGGGGCGCAAAACAGAAAACAUGUGAGUGGACAAAAACAAGAUUCAAUUAAAACAACAUAGUAACCCCACCGUGUAAAAAUAAUGCUCAAGACAUGUAGGUUUACAAUUCAUAAUUAAAUAUUCAAAAACAAAUUUCAUUUAAAAUUCUUUAAAACCACAAAUCACUCCAUCCAUAAAACCUCAUGCCCACAAUUUUACUGCUCCUACCAACCCACUGUAUAGACUCUAAUUUCUUCACAAUCACAACUAUAUAUAAAUAUAUAAAUUGUAUCAUACAACAUACUCCUCACACUACUUAGGUACAGGGGAAACAAUCCAACCGGAGGAUCGUUUAACUAGCCCGCAGGAUUUUCAGGUGCUAUCCUGAGUCUAGGAAUGAGUGGUCCAACCAGGGGACGAAACUCUAUAGCUCACACACCGGAACAUCCAACGCCACGUGUAGCUCCAAUACUAAGUCCUACAGGCACAGACUGGAUCACCACACACCGGAACAUCCAAUGCCAUAUGUGAUAAUCCCAAGCAAUAUACAGAGUCUUCCCAUACGUCGGAACAUCCAACGCCGCGUAUGGAAAGUGUUCACACGCCGGAACAUCCAACGCCACGUGUGGGAAGCCUAUUAACUGGGGAAAGUACUUACAUAGUGUAAUCAUACAAUUUCUCUCAACAACUCCUCAUACUCAAGUUCUUCCACAAACUCACCUCAACAAUCCCAAGUACCCCACCUAUAGACAAUAUAUAUAUAACUUCCCCAAAAUCUAUACAAAACAUACUCUCGAUAUCCAAAUAUGCCAAACUCACAAUAUAUUGCCAAAGUGCAAUACAAACAUCAAAAUCAACACAUGAAUAUAAUAUAUAUUCAAUAUACCAUUUAAAACAUUAUGCGUAAAUCUUUCAUCAAUAAAACCAUGCGUAUGAUUGAAAACAAAGUCCACUCACAAGUAUUCCUACGCUGCUUGACCACGAGAGAGUCCUGCCUGCUGAGUACGUGCAGUAGGAGCACCUAUUUUGAGAUACAAACCUUUAAUUAAUAUAAAAUUACUUCAAAACGGAAAACACAAAUUAAAUACUUAAAUCCCCAAGUUCCCAGUACAUGUACGUUGAACGAGGUAUCCUAAGGUCUAGUUACAAGUUUGGGAAUCGCUCACGAUUGGACGGUUAUCGCUAACCCACAAAUUUUGAAUUAUUGAAUCGGAACAUUCGGGGCUCCGAUUCACGAUCCGUGAAGUCCUACGUGAUCCUAGGAAUACCUAAAACAACAUAUUUUAAUUGGAAAACGCACAAUAUGCGAAAAUCCGUUCGAUAGUCAAACGAUGUCCGAAUUGAGAUUCGCAAAAUGCUACGCACUCGUGACAACCUGAGGAUCUCAUCAGGACAAAGUGCAACUUCACCACCCUCACCCACGCGCCGGCAGCGCGUGGGUGUGUAGAGUAAAUUCCGGCGAUGGAAAAACUCCACACCUACUUGAGGUCAGGAUCUCAUCACUCAACUACAGGGAGGUUCAAUUAGGACGGCAACUGGCCGGAAUUUCACUUUGAAAUCCAGCCAAAACUUAGGUUUUCUAAUCGGUUCCUAGACAACAAAUCGAUCUAAACCUAUGCAACAGUCAGCUAGACUAAGGAAAAAGAGGAAGAAACCUCACAUUUUUCACUGGAAUCGGAAGGGAGAGGCGACGGGGCGACGUCGGGAAGACUCGGGUUUGAACCAGUCGAUGCCGUUGACGAUUCUCGCAUUUUUCGGGGGGACUUUGGGUGGUUCGGGUUAGUGGCUUCACGACGAGUCGAACGGGACCGGUCUCGGGGGCUGGGGUGGUCGGGUGUGGUGGCGGUGUGGUGGUUUUCGUCUCGGUGAACAGUAACAGGGGAGGGUUUCGCACGCGCAGAGAGGGACUCGGGAGAGAGAGAGAGAGAGAGAGAGAGAGAGAGAGAGAGAGGAGAGAAAAGAAAAAUUAGAUUUUUACUCUCCUCUUUUCAAAAUAUUUACAAGUUUGCCACUAAUGAUGUUUUGAUCGCCAUUUUCUUGUUACAACUCCGAUUCAAGCCUACCGCAUGUCUAGGAAUUCAUCUCAGUACCACCUACCCAAAAUUACCAGUCAUGGUCCCAAACUCUUCCCGUAACAGAAAAUGACUAAAAUACCCCUACCCCAAGGGUAAAUUCAUAAUUUCACUUAAAUAAAUUAAAAAUAGGAAUCAAAUUUGGAGUCGGGGUGUUACAAAAUUGGUUAGUACGAUCCAACGGUUAAUAGAUAAAACUUUACAUAAAAGUCAUAUAUAAGGCCCUCACUAUAGAAUGACUCGUUAGUUUAGUCUCUUGUUACAUAUCAACUGUUAGAGAUAUUUUUUUAAUAAGGAUCUACCAUACCACAUAGUUGGAUAAGACAUUAUACACAACUUUUGUAAGAGCAUCUCCAGCGAGCCAGGCCAGCCCAAGCAGCAAGGGGCCUUAAGCCCGGUAAGCAGCUCCAGCGCUCAAGAUUCAGCCCAGGCAAGGUGUGGAACCCACAAGGAGAUCUGGCCCGUCACCUUGCCUUUGGGUUUCAGUCAGGCUGAUGUCAACGAAAGAAUUUCAAAAAAAUUUUGCCGUUGCAAUGCACGCGCCAACGAUAAAUUUUCUUUGGAUUUCUUGCGUUGAUCCACAGCUACCAAAAACCAACGGCUACAAGCCACGUGGCUUCUCCAAGAGCCUCUGAUCCAAAAAUCUUGUCAAAUCUAACGGCUGUCCAUUUUUUGGCUAAAAAAAUAUCAAAAAAUUAUGGAAACAUUUUCUAUAAAUACCUACAAAUAUUAUUCACUUCCCACACCAAACCUUCAUACAAAUUCAUAUCCUUUCAAUAUUUUUCACUUUCCACACAAGAUUUUCUACUACUAAAUUUCAUUUGUGUAAAAAUACAAGUGGCCUCUUCUAUCAAAGCCGGAGGCGCGUGGACAACCGUGGAAGAUAUUUUGUUGUGUGAGUGUUGGGUCAAAGUUGGUCAUUGCCCGAUCACCGGCAAUGAGAUGAAGUCCUCUCGUAGGAGUUUCUGACAUCGCAGCGAAAGUAAGAUGUGAUAUGAGAAUGUAAGGAAUUUGAUGAGAGGAAUGGGAUUUGAGGAGUUUGAUGUAGGAAUUGAUGUUGAAUUGGAUUUGGGAGGUAUGUAUAUAUGAUUUGAGAGUAUGUGUUUAGGGAUUUUGAUAGGAGGAUUUGAGGAAUUUAGAUUUGAGGGAUUUGGAUUUGGGGAAUUUAAAUAUGAGGAAUUGAUUUAGGGUUUGGGUUUGAAUAUGAGAAAUUUGAUAUGAGAGUUUAGAGACAACUGAUGAUUGAUUGCUCUAAUACCAUGCUAAAAUAUAAAUAUGGUUUGAAUACUUUAGGUUGAGUUUUAUUCUUUUCCAUAAGGAGGUAUAUAUAGCAGUUUACAUGAGUGUUUUACAAGGAAAUAGAUACAGUAAUCAAUUAGGAUAAUAUCUCCUAAUUAUACAAUAAUUUGUCAACUAUAUAGAAUAGGAAAGUAAAUUCCUUAAUUAAUCAAGAAAAUAAAUCUCAUUGAUUAAUUAAGAGACUAACGUCAACAUUUAUAAGCCAUGGAAGAGCAGAAAAAGAGGUACUUAGGAGAUUUUAUACGUCGGACUAAGGUAAGCUUAAAGGACUAUAUCAAAAAAAUAAGGGACCAAGAAGCAAGACUGAGAAGUUGUUAUGCAAACCCAUUAAGUUUAGCAGUGAUGAAUUUGUAAAAAUCAUUCUAGUGGAUGCUGCCUUCACUAUUGAGUUCUUAUUGAGGUUCUAUCUGAAAGGAUGUAGACAUGAAGGAGACCGCUUAUUAAACAAAUCAGCUCCCAUUCUUUAUUCUUGAGGAUCUUUAUCACACAUACAUAAUAACCGACUCUUUUAGGAAUUAUUACAGUACUCAUGAUCAUGAGAGGCUUUCAAUAAUUAAUAUUUCUAAGAAUUUCGUCACAGCUGGAAUAUUGAAUUUGGAGGGGAAGGGAGACAAAUGGAACAGAAUAUCAUCUUCUUCUAGUGUUGGAAAUUUUAUAUUAUUUAAUAAUAUUUAAUUUCUAUUGUGAAUGAAAAAUAAGUUUCUUUAAGAAACGUGUGUCUUAGGCCAGUUUUUCUAACUGGUCGGCUUCCUUAGAUUUGUGCCUAUUGCUUUUCAAAGUAUAAUGAUGCAAUGGUUGUAUCUCGUUCAGGCAAAUGGAAGGUAUAUAGCAAUUUAUAGAACAAUACAGUAAUCCAGAAGAAAUAUUAUGAAAUGAAAAGAAUAAAAAGUAAAAAAAGAGAAGGAAAGGAAUUCCCACCUGCAAUGUAUAUGUAUGAAAGGAAGGACCAAGUUUGUUUUAAAAUGGUAAGAACAAGUUGAUUUAUAAUUGGGUUCAGAUCAACUCAUGGAUUUCUUGCCUUUUCUAUUCUCCUUCCUUGGACAUGAACUGUUUAAUCUUGGCUCUUCCCCAUCAUGUUGGGCCUAUCUUCUUCUUGAGGAUUGUAUAGGCCCAGGAAAUGCUUCAAGAUAGUUUUUGUGUUUUGGGCAUUGGGACCUAACUUCACAAAAAGAAAACAGAUUUGGCCAAAAAACAAAUUUGAAGGACAUUGAAAUUGUACCUGUAGGAUAGGUUAAAACACUGUAAGGGAGGUAAAUAGUACGUUUACAUAGUUUAAGUGUAAUAAAGGAAUAAAAACAUGCCCAGAGGAUUGAUAAGUGAUAUCAAUUCUUGAAUAUAGAGAACGUAAAAUAAAGGAACACGUAUAAAAUUAUUUUAUGUGGUAAAACCCCAUCUCUAGGGAAAAUCCACGGGACUUCUUAGUCCAAAACAAAUCUAUUAUAGAACGAUGAUUACAAGAAGUACUCACACACUUAUCCUAGACACAUUCUAGAUAAUGUUUACUGACCUCUUCGUAACUCAACUUCUGUCACAGGAUGAUCUUUCGACACUUCUUAUGUUGAACGCAAUACUAGUCACGAUUUCUUUCAAGCUCAUUGGAGAAAAACCGCCACAACAGUCUCGGUGCCCUCAAUCUUAUGAGUCACUGAACAUGCAAAUGAAUACAAUAUGAAUGAUAAAAGUGUUUGAUAAAUCACCAAGUUAUGGAACACUUGAUGAUUUAUUUCAAGUAAAAAUUCAGCUUUCCAAAGUUUAUGAAUUGAAAAUAUGAUCGUUAAAGCUCUCUAAACAAAAAAAACGAAGGUCUUAUUUUAUAGACUUUUUCUUUACAAGAAAGAAAACACGUUGAAAACCAAAUCUCCAAUUUCAAGGCUUGACAGAAAAUCACAAAAGUAUCUUUCCUAUUCUAGAGAUUGGUCACAUGAAGUCCAACCAAUAGGAAAUGAGAUAUUUAAGAAAGGAAGAUUUUGAUCAAUAUCAAUAUCAAAUGAAUUCUUAUAUGCCUAGUCAACUAUUAAGGGUAUCUUAACUACUUGAUAUUAUGAUAUGAUUGAAACAUGAUUUCCACGUUAGAAAAUUAAGGGGAUUUUAAAACAUGAAAGUAAUAGGAGAAUCAAAUUGAUUUGGACCAAAAUUGCCUAAAAAGAAAACACUCCUAAAUAAACUUCAAUUCACUUUUAAAAACAGUAAAACUUGAUUGAAUCGUUCUUUAAAACAAUUCCCUAAUAUACAUGCAUGAUAGUGACAUCACUUACCUCUGAAUCAGAUGCCUUUUACGAGUCAAGCCACAAGUUUGUGUUUUGGGGAUUGCUGAGCUGCAUCAAUCCUGCCAAUGUCAAUUCUGCCCCUAGGCUCUCUCAAAGCACGUUUACAAUCUAUGCUAAUAUAUACUAGAGUUUAUGCUAGUAUCUAGAAAAUGCCAACACUAAUUUCGUAACACGUAGAAAUUGUUAGAGAUUGGAAGUUUUUUUCAUUUUUUUCUUCCAGACUCUCCACCACUCACUAAUACAGUUUACUCAUGUGAUGAAUUUACAAAACCUAUUUCUCUACUCUCACAAAGACUAUACUUAGGGGGGGUGUAUUCAAUUAGGAGUCUAGAGCGUUUAAAAAGAUUUUGUUUAAGUGCCAGCUUUCAUAGAACUUGAUGGAACUUUAUAAUUCGUAUAGAACUUGAUAGACUUUCAGAAGACUUCUGUAUAAUUUGUUAAUAAAACUUUCUUAAGCUUUCAUAGAACUUGAUAGGCUUUUAUUCCAGAAUUAUGUAGACAGUAUAUUUCAUUUUAUCCCCAUCCUUGUCAUUUAAAGAAAGAAACUUGAAUGUUUUCAAUCAAAUUUGUUUUUGUUACCAAAGCAAAAACAAAAAGUACUUGUUUGCGAAGGAAGAACAUAUGCACAGUUCAAAAUGAAAAGAAUAAGAAGCAAAGUACCUAUUGGACCAAUGAAUGCUGUGUCAACUAGAGAAGCAAUUGGAUCGGCUGUCAAAGCCAAUGCUACAGGCAAUGCAUCGAUGGUCCAAAUUGCAAUAAAAAAUAUUUUGUAUAAUGGUUCUUGCAGACAAAGACCACAUAAAUUCUGGACUGGUCCAGCUUGAAUAAUAAGGUUAGAUUAGCCGAUGGAUGAGAGUAAAAGCAAAGAAAGUUGAUGAAUUCAUCACCAAUUAUUUAAUAACUGUAACAUCCCACAUUGACCAACGGAGAGGGGGUGAUGUGCCUUAUAUGUACAUGCCCACUUCCAUCUAGCAUGAGUCCUUUUGAGAGCUCACUGGCUUCGGAGUCAUGGGAACUCUGAAGUUAAGCGAGUUGGGGCUAAAGCAAUCCCAGGAUGGGUGACCCACUGGGAAGUUGCUCAUGAGCUUUAGAAACAAAAAUCAUGAGGGCAUAAAGGGAGGCCCAAAUUGGAUAAUAUCGUGCUACGGCGGAGCCGAUCCCAGGAUGUGACAAUAACCAAUAGAGUAUUUAAACAUAAACAACAAUGUUUGAUAAACAAAACAAAUAGUCCAAAUAUUAUCCAAAAAACAAUUCUAAAACCAAUCAUUCCAAACAAACUAGUCAUUCCCAAAAACUCUCAAAAAACCCACUCAUUCCAAAUUAUAGGAUAUCCAAUUUGAGCGCUCCUCAGGAGACAUUUUCAAAAAUGCAUCCUUUUUUGUGUUACUAUGCAACAAAGAGAGCGCUUUAUAAUGAGCACGUUCAUCCAAAUUUGAGGUCUCCUUAAUGGCAUCCCACAUAUAACUCUGCUGCUCUCGCUCUUUUCCCCUUUUUGCCAAUAGGUUAUGGACCUCCCGGAAGUCGGUGACAAUUGAAUCAAUGCUAAGGCUAAUUCUUCCCAUAGCUUGUUGGGUGGUCACAUUUGAGAUGGCAUUCCCUUCCAAAUCUAUUCUAGUUCGUUUCCUCUAGUAACAAGCAUAAAUCCUAGUAACAAGCAUAAACCCUAAUCCCAACCUAUAACCUAAUAACAAGAAAAACACGAUGAAAAAAAAAUCAUGGAAAAAGAAAACCCAACGAGGUAUUGAUCAAAAAAAAAAAUAGGGAGCAUACCUUCACAGAUGGAGGAAGGAAGCUGUUUGUCUUCACAGAGAGAAAAGCUAGGGAAAGAGAAAAACGUCUGAUGAAAUACUUUGGGGGGAGGUUGGAUUUCUUUUGGUCUUUGAUAUUUAUAACUCUCCCCUUAAAACCUACAAAAAUUUAUCACUUAAUGAAAUCCUUCCAAAUAUAUGACCUUUCGAAUACACCUAGAUUUGAUUCAACUUUUUUAUAAUCCUAAUUGAAUACACCCAUAUUUGAGUGGACUUUUUAAAAGUUCAUAUAAGUCCGAAUUGAAUACACCCAGACUUGUAAAACCUCUUUUAAAGUUUGUAUAAAUCCAAAUUGAAUACACCCGGAUUUUUAAAAUAUUUUUUAAACGCUUUAUAAUCCUAAUUGGUACAUCCCCCUUAUUCUCAAAAGACUAUAUCACUUUACCUCUAUCUCUGUGAAAUGUAAAAAGUUGAAACUUUAAUGUCAAACCUCGACAAAAGAUGAACUUCCAUCAGUUGCGUUGAAUUUGGAUUUGUUGAACUAAAGUGGUUUUACUUUCUCUGUCAGUGUUUGAUGACUUAAUUUGGUAUUUACUUCUUUUUUUCCUUGGAAAUGUGUUCCACCAACGUGAGGAAGAAAAAUGUGCACAAAUUAAUAUAUUUAAUAAAAGCCCAAGAUUUCGGAAGCACAUAAUUUCUACAAAAAUCUAGAAAGUGUUCUACUUUACAAACUUCUUAUGUCUAUCAAUUUCUACUAAAAUUAAUUUCUCUGUGGUGCUCAGAUUCAUCAUAUGUGUGUCCUUAAUUUUAUUGGAAAUUAGAAGUUUCCAUAAUUUUUAUUUUUUGGGAAUUUUCUGAACCAAGAAAAAUCAAGUAAAAUUAAUAAAGCUUAAAUUGGAAAGGGAAAAUAUCUAGAGGACGCAUUGUAGGAUUUCUCAUGCCGAUAAUUGUACCCUCUAAAUAUAUAGGGACAUAUUUUUUUUGUUUUCAUGACAUGUGGUCCUAAAAUUAUUGUUCCUAGCGGGCUCUCCACCCCCUCUCAAAUUUACGUGGUCCAUUAUGAUUAACCAUAUAUUUUAUUGACCAUCCAGCUGUGAGGUUUUAUCCCAAAAACCUUAGGUACAUUUCUCAAUUAUGUCUGAUACAUCACAUCAUGCCACAAUUGUAUAUUCACAAUUAUGUCUGAUACAUCACAUCAUGCCACUUGCCUCAAAUGAAUUUAAGUGAGUGUGGCAGUGGGAAGUAAUUACUUCUAGGUGCCCCUCAUCAUUCGUCUAUAAAAUGGUGAAGCCAGUGGCUAUAAGAGCCAGCUCCAACUUUCUUUUAUUCGUCUAUAAAAUGGUGAAGCCAGUUGCCAAGUUAAUUUCAGUCCUAAUGGGGUUUCAUCUCCCACUCAUCUUUGCUAUUCUCAGUGUAAGCUCUGCAAUUUGAUUAACUUUUCCAUUCUCUCUCAUUGUACUCUAUAUAAACGAAAGUUUUGUGUUCCUAUAAUUCUCUUUGAUUUUAUUUAGUACGUACUUAAGUGUCGUCCACUAAUUAAUUACAGUUUGUGAGAUUUGAUUUUAAUUAGAGUUCGAAUUAAUGUUGCAGCUAGCAGUGGUUGCACUGGCAAACCAUGCUGCUCAACCAGCACCUCAACUUUACUGGAACUCCGUCCUGCCAAACACACAAAUGCCAAGAUCUAUCAGUGAACUUCUGCAUCCUGGUUUGUGUUGAGCUCUUUAGAAUCUUAGAUAUCUCUUCUACCUGCCAUUUUACUAAAAUAUGUUCGACCACAUAUUUAUCAGUUAACUACUGUCAUUACAUGAGUGACACUUAUUCACAAAUCGGCUGAUCACUUAUUUUCCAUUUUACAUGAGUGAUAUAUAAUUUGCAGACUCCACAAAUGAAGAAAAUAUCGUGAAUGCUGUUGGGAAUGGAAAGCGCAAACCUGAAAUUUUCCCAUUGAGAAAUAUAAAUUACGUUCAAAGCCAUUAUGGAGUGUUAAAUAGAAAUUACGUUCAAAGCCAUUAUAAAAAACGUCCUCCUCCACCUGAAAAUAUCCCAUUUGCAAAUCGAAAAAAGUACGCACUAGGUUCUCCUCCAUCUGACAAUCAACUACUCCAUUAUAAAGAGUUAGCUAUUUUCUUCUUCGAGAAGGACAUGCGCCCUGGCGCAACAAUGAAGUUCCAAUUCCCUAGAAAUUCAAACACGGCUACUUUCCUGCCACGCGAAAGUGCUCAAUCGAUCCCCUUCUCCUCUAACAAACUACCAGAAAUUUUCAACCAUUUUUCAGUGAAGCCAACAUCUGUGGAAGCCAAAACAAUUAAGCAAACAAUCGAAGAGUGUGAAGCUCCAGGCACUAAGGGAGAGGAAAAAUAUUGCGCCACAUCUUUAGAAUCAAUGGUUGAUUUUAGCACUUCGAAGCUUGGAACAAGAAACGUUGAAGCAGUCUCGACGGAGGUAUUGGAAAAAGGAGCCACCAUGUCCAUGCACAACUAUACAACAAUGCCGGGACUGAAGAAGUUGGCAGGUGACAAAGUCGUUGUGUGUCAUAAGGAGAACUAUCCCUAUGCUGUGUUUUUCUGCCAUGCAAUAAAACAAACAGCAGCUUAUGUUCUCUCCCUGAAAGGCGAUGAUGGGGAGAAGGUUAAAGCAGUAACCAUCUGCCAUCUAGACACAUCAGAAUGGAACCCAGAGCAUUUGUCCUUCCAAAUCCUCAACGUUAAGCCCGGAACCGUUCCCAUCUGCCAUUUCAUUUCCACUGAUGCUAUUGCCUGGGUUCCAAAACACAAAUUUGCAUGAUCAUCACUUAGCACUGUGGUGUAAGAUAUAUGAUGAGAUAAAGUUUUUGGUAUUAGUGGUCGGGUUGCCUGAAAAACACAGAUUACAGAAACUGCUUGAAAUUAACCCGAUCAUGUUUUCUCUUGUAAGACUUCAACUUGUACUCCUAAAGCAAGUUAUAUUUAUGAAGAGAUAUUAAUCUAUAUAUAUUUUAUGUAUAUAUAUAUAUAUAUAUAUAUGCUUUGGCUUUGUGGUUCUACCCAGUGUUUGAGUGUUGAAUUGUUACGUUGGAAUAGGCUGAUAAUGCGUGUAGUUAGAGAAGCCUUCAUUUAUAUCAAAGUCCUCAAACUAUCAAGAACUAAUGUAUCCAGAAACAUAUACCAAGACGCAAAACAACAUAUUUUCCAUGCUCUGUCUGUAACGCCAAAGCAAACUUCCUUUAUCACAUCAUUUAAAGGAUCAAAUUCCAGUACUAAUCUAAUCCAUCAUGUAAAGCAUACAAGUGCCUCCCUAAAUUUGUCCAUUGGAUAUAAAUGUUGAGAAAAUUAGAGUACACAACUCUAAUAUGAUAGUUGUACACAACUCUAAUAUCAUAAAGCAAACAAAAUUUCUAAGUUAGUUUGCUUUAUGAUAGUUGUUUUUUGAAGGGGUCCUUAGAUCCUAUCUCAAAAAGUUUGGCUUUUAUUAGGUUUAACUCUGGUUUUUAUCUCUACCCACUAACUUUUAUCUCUCAUUUUUAUUACCCAUUUUACCCUUUAAAAUAAAUAGGGCAAUAAACUAAAAAUUCUGAUUUAAUGCAUGUUUUACUCAUAAGAGAACUAAAAACUAAAAAUUCUAUACUCUAACACAAAAAAUGAAAACUAAAAACUAAAAUUGAAAUGGUUUCAAGCAAUUGCAUGUCAGGCGCUAUAUAUAAUGUAUUAGCCAUGGUUUGUUUAAUACGCGGUCAUUCGUCAUUUUCCCAUUCAAAAUAUUGAAAUUACGAACUACAUACCAUGAAAGAUAAGAAACUAAAAGCUUCAAGCAAAUAGAAAUGUGCUACAAACAUAGUAAUGAAGAUGUGGAAGCAUUAUCUCAGACGAAUGAUUCUGAAGUGGAAAAAACAAGAACAAAAAAGGAAGUGAGUUAAAUUUGCACCUGCUAUGUUCAAACGACAAAGUUGGUUUCCCUUUGGUCGAUUACAAGAGAAGCUCAAUGCAGCUUACUUGGUUCCUCUGGUAGAUGAAAAUAUAAUUUUUCUCCUAAUAAUAAGGGUAUAGUGCAAUCAAUGAUGGGCUGUAUAGAACAACUUUUUUGUUUUAUGUGUUUAUGUGAGACAUGUUUUGCCAGAUUGAAUUAAUGUCUUCUAGCCAUGUACCUUAUCUUUUUGCCGGGCCAUGAGUUGAAUGUAGAGGCAAAGUAUGGACUUGGGGUCAAGUUUGACUUGUAAAAUAAUUAGGAAUUGAAUGGCUCCUACGUUCAAUUAUUUUAAUUUUUUUUCCCGAGCCAUUCAAUUCCUAAUUAUUUAGAUUUUCGAUUUAGUGAGCAUCCACAAUCAUGCUCUCUAUUUUUAAGUUAAAUUUUAGUUAAAAACAUAUAAAAGUUAUUUAGGAGCUCUCUAUAAAAUUUAAACUUCAAUCGUUUUCUAUAGUUUAGGGAGUCAUAAAUGUCAUAACUCUUUUUUGAUUGGUCCAUCUCUAUUAAAAAAUAAAAUAAAAAAUAGUUAGCAUGAAAUAAAGGUUUGAAAUACUCAUUAAAUAAAGCAGCAUUAAAUUAUAGGGAGCCACUAAGAGUCCUUUCUCUCUCCUCAAGUUUAGGAGCUCCUAGAGGUCUCCCUAUUUUAAGAGGUGGAUAGGGAGUAUGGUUGGAAUUGUAUUUUUACAAUUCCUCCCUAAAAAUUUUCUAUGGAUAGGUGGUUUUAAGGAACCCAUUGUGGAUGCUCUGAUCUCAAAGAAAGAAAACCUCGAGUUUGCAAGCAAGUUUUCUACGUAUGUAUAUAUGAAAAACUGACAUUUAUGAAAAUAAUAAAUCCAUAUUUUUAUGUAAGCCAACUUUCUAAAUCCAUGUACUAUAUUUAUUAGGGAAAUAUUGGAGAAACUGAUUAUUUUGAAAAAUUAAAUGUGAAAAACUGAACAAAAAUUUGACAGGUUACAUAUUUCAACUCAUUCAGCAGCUUAGGUUGUGAAGACCUCAGAAGAGGCUAUGCAAUGAGCCUAGCUAGUGCACUGUUGAUCACUUCAGUGUUUACCGAUCUGUAAUUUUUCCAGAUUGGUUAUAUUUUCCUUUACAUAUUCUUAUAUUUUUCCCAGUUGGGGAGACUUAUAAAUAAACCCAAAAUGGGUACAAUAUCUAUACAGAAGGACAAAAUUAAAGUGUUUGGACAAUAAUCCCCUAUUCAUUUUGGGAUUGCCUAAGGAAUUCUUUUUCUGAUUUUCAAUGAUGCAAAGGACUGUUGUUUGAUGCUUGCCGUAUGGAGCUAAGAAAACUUGCUUUGAUAGUUUUGGACAGAUGCAAGCUACUGUUGUUGGUAGGGGUGGGCACGGUCCGGAUUGGUUCGGUUUUACUCUCAAACCACAGCUGAACCAAUAAGAAAAUAACGGUUCGGUUUGGUUCGGAUUAGCCUAAAAUCAUAAUGGAAACCGAACCAAUCCAAACCACUUGUAAUCGGUUUGGUUCGGAUUGGUUCGGCCGGUUUGUGCCUAACACAAAACCAUGCAUUUUUCAACCUGCUCUUACAUUAUAAUGCUAACAUUUUGCCAUUAUAUCAUUCCAUUCCAUUCCAUCAAAGGCUAAUACAACAUCAUUCCAUUUAUUCAAAGGUUGUCCAAUGUCUAGCAUGCAUCUAAGUUCACAAUUUCCAUCAAAACAAACAUAUACAUAAUUUGCAUUAACCAAGUAGCAUUACAUUUACUCAUUGCAUUCAUCACAAUUCAUAAGAGAUGAGAACGAAUCAAUUUUACUUUAACAUAUUAAACAAAUGCAUUCUUUGUAAUAGUUAAACAUUCUCACAUCAUGAAUAUCGGCAAGCUUAUAAAGCUGCUGCACCAACUUGCUAAUUGAUUCGUCUGUACCAGGAACAACAGUAGUAAUGCGAGAGAACCCCUCAACUUCUGCAUGGCCAACAGCUAAACUCUGGAAACGAGAAACCAGCUCAAUUAUAACAAAUGCCUAAAACUUCUACCUUAACAGAAGACAAAGGAGGAAAUAACAGCAGAAGGAAACCAAAUUUCUCAAUUUAAUAACUGAUAUUUCCAAAGGAUUCUUAAGUCUAAAAUUCGACCAAGACUUGAUUAACUAUUCCAAUGUCUAGCAUGCAUCUAAGUUUAUAACUUUGUUCCUUCUUUAACAAAAAGAACAAGGAGAAAAAGCUAAUAAUAAGGUAUCCUUCUUUAACAGGCAUCAAGCAUAUCACAUAAGCAACAUUUUAUAUACAUUAUUCUAUGAACAAAACUAAAUCAAAGCAAGGUAUGCUACAGUCUUUUUGUACAAUAAAAUAGAUUAACAUAUUUUAUAACCAUAAAAAUGAAAAAUUAGGCCUCAUAGAAAAUACCAUUUUAUUUUUCAACUCUCUAACUUUUUAUAUAACCAGUUAUUGGAGACAAUACAAAAAAUAAAGUAGUAGACAGAACUAGCAUAUUUUACAAACCCAGCUGAUGAUGACGAUCCACCACCAACAAUAUUCCCAUAAUCAAUCCUUGCAUAACCUGAUGGUCGAUGAUGGAACUUGGGUUUUGUAGAGAUGGAUUUCGCUGAGGACAAAUGGGUGGGUUUCGCCGAGUUCGAAUCAUGUUGGCUUGAGUUAGCGUCGAGGGAGAGGGAGAGGGAGAUGUAGCAGAGAGACAAAGAGAGAGGGAGAGGUAGCAGAGAGAGAUGGAGAAAUAAUGAGAGGGAGUUGCGGCUAGGGUUAAGAGACGAAGGAAGGGAGAUAGGAGAGAGGCUCUUCUGAGGGAGAGAGAAUGGUUAGAUAACUUAGAUGUGUCCGUGAGUUGUAGUUUUGGAGUCCAAUCAAGUGUUGCAGGGUACAUGGUACACUCUUAAAUAACCACUCAAACCUUGCCACAUGUAAACUAAAUUAAAUAAAUAAUAAAUUGAUUUAUAAUCGGUCCGGUUCGGUUUAGGACAGUUUUUAAAACUCUCAAACCACAGCUGAACCAAACCAAACCGGUUCGGUUCGAUUUUUCAAAAUGUUGACUUUUUCUUUGGUCAAAACCAAACCAAACCAAUCCAAUAUAAUCGGUUCGGCUGGAUUGACCUGAUCGGCCAGAUUGAUGCCCACCCCUAGUUGUUGGGAUGAUCUUUUCACGUGAAAUGAGGAUGACGAUACUUCUACACUACACAAUCCAACGAAUUCACAUUUCUAUUUCAGAUACAUGUAUAAACAGACAAGGCUUUAAAAUAUGGGAUGCUGCACUGUUGUUGCUGCUGCUGACACUGUUACUGUGUUGCUGCUACUGUUACUGCGCUGCUACUGGAAGAAGGACAAGGACUUCACAUGUUGCUUUCGUCCUUUGUGGAGGAGAGAGACCUAGGACUUGCAUGUCUUAGAUAUUUAAGAUAAGGGGCUUUCGUGCCAUUUUGAAAAUACUUUGGGUGUUUUUGAAAGCUGCUUGUUUCUUUUGGGUUUCUCACUAAAUUUCGCUAUUAGAAGGGAAAAUAAUAAUAAUAAAAAUACAGCUCUUAUUAGCAACAGGGUUACAAAUUCUUCUACAACACACCAACUGUUGUAAAAGUUUGAAGGUGGAGCCCACAGAGGAAGUUUCCUUGCAUCUUCCAGGAACUUUCCCUUCCCUGUAUUUAUCAAUUCAGGAAGUUUCCUUGCAUCUUCCAGGAACUUUCCCUUCCCUGUAUUUAUCAAUUGAGGAAGUUUCCUUGCAUCUUCCAGGAACUUUCCUUCCAUGUAUUUAUCAAUUCAGGAAGUUUCCUUGCAUCUUCCAGGAACCUUCCCUUCCCUGUAUUUUACCAAAACCUUAGCCUAUAAAUAGGCUUGCUCAUUCACUUGUAAUACACACCAAAAUGAAGAGAAGAAUGAGUGAGGAAAGAAAGAAAGGAAGAGAAGGAAGAAAGAGGGUGAGUAAGUAGAGAGAAAAAUAGAGUGGAGAGAAAUUAGUGAGCCACAUAUAUUGUAAACACUAAAGUUGUAGCCCUAUUAUUUUACAUAGUGGAAAAGUUACUACUGCUGCUCUCCGGGGACGUAGGCAUAGCCGAACCUCGUUAAAUACUGUGUCUCAUUUACUUUACGUGCAGCUCAAUAUUCAUACAUAUUCCAGGUUAUUUUUAUAACACGUUAUCAGCACGAGAAGCUCUCAGGUAUAAUUUUUGUGCUGCACUAUUAUCUAUACUACUAACCACUAACAAAAAUGGACCCUUGGUAAUACUAAACAUAUUAUCAGUGGGAGACCGUUACUAAUACUAACUUUUUCUUAUUUUAUUCGGUGGUGGUUUUAACCCCACAUUUAUUUACUGUAUGGUGUAGGUUUAUUACCCAUACAUGCACCUUUACUUUAUCGCAAAUUUAUUUUACCGCAUAUUUAUUUUAUUUACUGUAUGGUGUAGGUUUAUUACCCAUACAACAGUAUUUAUUUAAAAGGGUGGUGCGAGUUUAUCGUCCACGCCUUUGCUUUUAUUUAAAUGUAUGGAGCAGAAUUAGUGCCCAUACAAGCACAAUUUACUUUACCGCACAUUUAAUUUUAUUUAAAGUAUGGUGCGGGAUUAACGUCCAUACAGCAAGCAAUUUAAUUUAUGAAUUUAAUUUACCGCACAUUUACAUUUAUUUAAAAGGGUGGUGCGGGUUUAUCGUCCACGCCUUUACUUUUAUUUAAAUGUAUGGAGCAGAAUUAAUGCCCAUACAAGCACCUUAACUUUAUGAAUUUAAUUUACUGCACAUUUACAUUUAUUUAAAGUGUGGUGCGGGUUUAUCGUCCAUACCAGUAAUUUAUUUAUCAGCAAUUUAUUUUAUGGAUUAAUUGUUUAUUUAUCAGCAAUUUAUUUUAUGGAUUAAUUGUGCUGUAUGAUGAGUUUUUCCAGUAUGCAGAUCAGGACCAGAAGUUCCUUGAUCCUCAUCAUACAAUUACAUCAGGACUUGAAGAUCCUUGAUGAUGAUAUUAAAAUGAGAGCUGGCAGUCUCACCGGUACUGUAUUUGUAAACAUGUGAUUGGACUUAAAGGUCCUUGAUCCCUGACAUGUAAAUAAGGACCUAGAGUUCCUUAAUGAUGUAACAGUACCGUAUUGGUUCAUAGUGCCGUACACAUUGAUGAUAACUGUACUGGCAGAUGAAUAGAUACGUAUUCAUGACUUGAUGAAUAGUACUAUUCACAUGAAUAGUGACGUAUGCAUAAAUAUUAACCAUUUUGGGUAAACCGUCACUAUAUACAAAAGGGAACCUGCAGUUCCUUAAACUCAUGGAUGAGCAAUUAAAUGAGAUGCCAGAAGUUCCUCAAAAUAUGGACAAUUAUGUAAGGGCUUGAAGUCCCGAAAUAUGUACAGAAAAUUGUAAAAAUGUCCAUACCAUGAGAAUAUGUGGCUUUGGCCUGAAGUUCCAAAUUUAACAGUGUUGAGAACCUGAAGUUCCAACAAUUAAAUGGACAACCCUUGAGGUAUUAUUGCAAAUUGUGGUAUGCCACAUAUUUCUUUGGCAUAAGAAGAUGAUGAAUUUAAUAAAGUUCGAUUUUGUUAUAAUCGACACCUCAAGGAAGAAAUAUAUUUUGUGAAUUCCGGUUGUUAAGAAUACACCGCGAAAUGGAUAAUAUUAAUAUAAACCUCAAAUAAUGAAUUGAGACUCCCCACAUAUUUUGUUAUAUCUGGGCCGGAAGCCCAUGGAUCCAAAUAUAUGAGAGAUCCUAAACUUGAAGUUGUGGGUAUAUAGUAGUUAAUGCUCUUCACUACUAUAUUGCGAUAUUAUCAUGGCUUUUACUCAAUUCAUAUUUCAUGUCCAUUUGAAAAGGGCAAAUAAAUUCUGAGUUUGUGCCCAGGCCAUAAGUUCCGGGCUACCAUACGUUGAAAUAUGAAAUUUGGGAGAGUCGAUGUGGUUAUUUGAACCUAUAAGGCACAAGGUUCCAAAUCGUCAUUUUGAAAAGACGUAAAAACCAAAGGUGCAAGUUUAAGAAUGUGCGCAAUUAUUAUUACAGGAACAUACAACAGAUAGAUUUUUUCCACUUGCAAUGAAGGUGCAGGCCCUGUAAAAUCUAUAAAAUUACAUUAUGUUCUGGAAGCCUCUGAAGGAAGAGGACGGCGCCUCUUAAGCUUAGCCAUGAGCUUCUCAUGGUCUCCCAAAAUUCUUUCAUUGGAGACCUGCAGCAUGUCUAGCCUUCUCAGUGUAUCAACAGAGUACGAACUCACCAGUUUCAACAAGGAAUUAUUCUCUCCUUUAAGUUUCUCAACCUCCUGUUGAGACUCAUGAAGCAUUCUUUGGAGAGACGAAUUUUCAGUUGUUAAAUUCUCAACCUCGUUUGCUCUGGCACGCAAACGAUCAGCCAUGUUAGAAACAGAAACAGCACUCUGAAUGCUAAAAGCCAUUGAGUCAUCAAUAGCCUCUUCCUCUGAUCUCCCCGUCAACAACAUUUCAUCCAUUGGAGUAAUGAAAUUCCUAGCUACUAUGACAGCAGUAGCAUCAUUCAUCAUCACAGAAUCAUUAACUGUGAGAUGACGAUUUUUGGAUACAAAGGAUGGACGCCAAACUUGGGCGUCACUGGUAGUUGUGGGAGUAUCAUUUAAAUUGAAAUAAUUUGGGCAGGAAGAAGAGGAAGCCAUUUUUAAGAAGGUUUCGAAGAAAGCCUUAGGAAAACUAAAGUUUCAUAAAAUGAAGGAAGUUAAGUUGAAACGCAAUUGCUCCAAUCAAGUUUUGCAAAGGCAAUAUCUAUAGACGAAAAUAUGGCAAUAUCUUCAGGAUUCCAAUAUCUUCUCGAAUCCCCAUAUUAUCUUUUUCUUUCCCAGAGUCCAAAACUUCACGUGGCCUCUAAUAAUGCCUGUCGGCACUUUCGGCGUUUUUCAAAGUAUUAUUUUCAAAGCCGAUCUUGCUUUACGGAUUUCACGGAACUACUUUUUCAAAAGUAUCCCGAGAAUCUCGCAAUUUUCCUAUGGUUAAUUUGAAAUUCACCGGUUCUACCUAUUUAUUGUAUUUAUGUAUAAAUGUGUUACUAACGAAAUUUUCUUUGCAAAAGACAUCCAGUUUUCUCCAUACCUAGUGAUGCGAUAUCUACUUAUUUUUCUUAUCAGUGAGCACUUAAUAUGCCUGAGAAGCAAGACUAUCUCUGAUCAUACAUUCAGGAAGCAAGACUAUCCCUGAUCAUGUUUCCGCUACAUUAGGGAACUGUGAAGGUGACCUUAUGCUCCAAUCUCCUGAGGUCUUUCUAGACUAGGAGAAAUGAGAGCUUGUUGUUUGCUCCCACCAGCUUCCUUCCUUGAUUGCUUACCUUACCUUGCAAUCAAUAUCACAAUCUUUUUGCAUUUUUUCUCUUUUUAUAACUCUCUGUUCAUAAGAGAUUUUAUUUCUUUAGAAUGAACAUCUGAAGAAUGAAUCCAUGAAGUAAUCCUAACUAUGAGGGUUAUUUGUUUUGACAGAGGCAAAAGAGUUGUGAUUUUUGCUCUUGCAGGAUAUAACUAGAUCAUCAAGCGCUACAUUAUAUUUACUGGGCUGAUAUGAGCUUGAAUGAUACUUGAGAAAAGUUUCUCCCACCUAAGGAUGUAAGCAAUACUUGUGUUAUUUUAUGCUUAUAUACCUAUUUGAUAUUUUAUCUUGAAAGGUAACUAAAUGGGGAGAUAAGUCCGUUCCAAAAGAAUGACUUGUAUGUAUCCAUGAAUUAUUAAUGCAAAUUUUACAGAUUGCAAGUUGGAUACAUUGAUAAUACACUGCACAGAUUAAAGUCCCAUAAGAACAGAAUAUGGGUAUAGCAGUGAUCAAUAUGAUGCACGCCUAUUGCGUAGCAAAUGAUAUGGAUUGAAGUCCCGAAAGGACAAUCCUUUGACAUUUCAAUAUUGAUAUUAUGCACGCCUAAUGCGUAGCAAAUUAUAUGGGUUAAAGUCCCAUAAUAUGGGUUAAAGUCCCAUAAAUUAAUUGACAUGUAUGUAUUAAUCUGUGGCAUGCCUGCAGCAUGACAGAUAUAUGGGUUCUAAAUGUUCCAACUCCCUAAAUGGAGAUUAUCCACGCCCUACUAUAAAAUAACGCUCCAUUGGAGGUUAUAAUCCACAUUCUCACAUAAUAAAAGCCCCCUGCAGUGGCUUGGGUACCCAAAAGCAAAGAAAUGCUUAUAAUUGAUGCAUGCGCAUGCACAUGAGAAUGGUGGGAUCAUGAAUUGAUGAAUGACAAUUUUUGAUCAUGAAUUGAUGAAUGACAAUUUUUGGUUUUAGAGUAGCUACUCAAAUCAUCAAUGGGCUGUGUUGAUUGGAACCACGUUCAAUUAUUAAAUGUCGACAAUAUCAUUGGCCAAAAUGGAACGAGGUAAUUCCAUUAUAAAUGAGAAUGAACGUGAAAGAACAAACCCACAAUACGAACCCCAAAAUUUGUUAAUACUAAAAGUUAUACUUGGGUGUUCGGAAUAAAAGGAAAUAUAUCUACUUUGUAUGACACACUGUUUCUGGCAGAAACAAGGAAUGUUGGGUUUUCUCCAUAUUUACAGAUUCAAUUGUGCCCCCCUUAUUACACAAUUACGGAGACCAACAUAUUAUCUUUAAGGGUUAUUAAUGCACAGAGCAUAUCGCCAGAAGCGAUUUCCUAAAGAUGUAUAAAUAGCUGGGUAAAAGCUAUAUAAUGUGUCAUAAAGUUUAAUCCCUUUUAACCAAAAUCUGUUGAGAGGAUUGAUAUUGCAUAGAGCAAGUCCCUAAAGAACAUGUGCUUGAAGCACAAAAUUUGUACUCAAUAUUAAUAUGCAUAAAUUACCUCAGUGAGUACAUUGAUUAUAAUGUGAUUGCAACACAUUAAAGCUUCUGCAGAAUUCAUGAAAUAUUUGUCUCGAUCGAGCAUUAUGCCAACGAGAUUCUUGCUUAUACUAAGAAAGUAUUAAAGUAUUUUUAUGAGGAUUAUCCGUUGGACACUUUAAUGAUUUUCCGGAAGUAUAUUGGACCGGACAUCAUAUUUUCCAGAUAGGGCUCAACUCCAUCACCAUCAUUUUGGGAUGAUGUGAGGUAUAUUUGAUGCUAUCUAAGCAUAACACCAUAUAGGGGCAUAUUUUUUUAGUGAACUUAUAAAUAGCCCAAGUGUUCUAAGAUAUGCGGACUCAGGAAAUCUCUAUGGUCGCUUACUGGAAAAAGCUAGUCAUGAAGUUUUCAGGGGGAGAUAUUCAUCAGGGAGAGCAUGGUAUUAAUAAAGACCUUCAUACACUAUUGACUCACAGCAGCAGUGUCAACUAUGAUAUUCAGACAGAUGAUCAACAGUAUGGCUUAAAGAUAUUUUGCCAAGCAUCAGGGGGAGCGUGCUGUCAAUACAGACCCUUACCCACUGUACUCUUUUUCCUUCGUCCAGGUUUUUAUCCCACUGGGUUUUUCCUGGCAAGGUUUUAACGAGGCAGUGUCGCACGCGCGUCAAUAUACACAGAAUUUUAUGUUACACGUGAUUAUGUACUCUUUUUCCCUUCGACCAGUUUUUGUCCCACUGGGUUUUUACUGGCAAGGUUUUUAACGAGGCAUAUUCCAUAUCAUUUGUGGUCUCCAAGGGGGAGUGUUGUAAAAGUUUUAAGGUGGAGCCCACAGAGGAAGUUUCCUUGCAUCUUCCAGGAACUUUCCCUUCCCUGUAUUUAUCAAUUGAGGAAGUUUCCUUGCAUCUUCCAGGAACUUUCCUUCCGUGUAUUUAUCAAUUCAGGAAGUUUCCUUGCAUCUUCCAGGAACCUUCCCUUCCCUGUAUUUUACCAAAACCUUAGCCUAUAAAUAGGCUUGCUCAUUCACUUGUAAUACACACCAAAAUGAAGAGAAGAAUGAGUGAGGAAAGAAAGAAAGGAAGAGAAGGAAGAAAGAGGGUGAGUAAGUAGAGAGAAAAAUAGAGUGGAGAGAAAUUUCUCCAAGAGAGAAAAAUUAGUGAGCCACAUAUAUUGUAAACACUAAAGUUGUAGCCCUAUUAUUUUACAUAGUGGAAAAGUUACUACUGCUGCUCUCCGGGGACGUAGGCAUAGCCGAACCUCGUUAAAUACUGUGUCUCAUUUACUUUACGUGCAGCUCAAUAUUCAUACAUAUUCCAGGUUAUUUUUAUAACACCAACAUCAAUCUAGCCCUGAUCCACUCUUUUACAUACUUGAAAACAAAACAAAACACGAAAAACAAAAAACAACAGGGAGAAAAUGGCUCCGGAGAGACUUACUGCUAAUACUUGAUCAAUAACAGAGAUAAUAGAGCACACUGUUUGUAUGGCAGUGAGUAUCAGAAGAAUAAUAGCUGCCCAAGGUGUGUUGAAAUACUUUUGUCUCAAAUUUGCCUUCCAUAUGUUCGUGGUCUUCUCGCAAUACUCGUUUAGUUUGCCAGCAAGAUCACCAAAAUAGUAGUUUCCCUGGUUAAUCAUAAUGGAAACCUUACUGUUGUCACCUAGCGUGUUUACAACAAUUCCAUUGUCAACAAGCAACUCUACAUCCUUUGGGGUGUUUACAAAUUUAUCCAGGAUGAAAACAUAAUCGCUUAAUUAUUUAUUAACGCAAUGGCAUUGUUCAAAGGCAAUGAGAUUUCUAAGUGUAAGCUCUGUGUAAUCAUGUAUUUCAAUUUUUGGAAUUUCCAAGGUGUUUUUCAAGAACUGUAUAUCGAAUAAGUUCUUGCUUGAUUCAACGUUAAACUUAACUCCGGCCUGGUGUAGUUUUGUCAUGCCGGGUGUACUUUGGAGCCCUACAUUUUCUUUUAGGGUUGGAUCUGGCAGAUGUAAAGUUCUAAUAAAAUCAACAAAUUGUACAGGUUUUUUAGGAUCAGGAGGCAUAAAAGACUUACGGAAGGCUGGUGAGUUCUCCAAGUUUUCUAAACGCAGUGCCUGUUGGAAGAACCUGUAAGAGAGUUCAAUUAUUGAAGGCUCCCCAGUCUGGGCACCUGUAAGAUUGUAAAGAUCCUCGAGAAUGAAAAAUGGCAGCUGAUUUUCUAGCAUAAGCAUGUCAGGCAAUAUAUUUUGUAGCACCCAUGGUUUUUUAAAUAUCCAAGCAUUAUCAUCCGGCAAUUUUUCUUCCUGAAAUUUUUCUUCGGAUUUAUUCCUCAACAAUAGCUCAAUGACAAAGGCGGCAUCAACUAGAAUGAUAUUCACAAAAGCGGCAAUGUUAAACUUCUUAGUGUCUUCAUAAUAAUGACGGAGUUCAACUUCUCUCUCCUUUAGGUACCUGAGUUUGUGAUCUUCCAUGGCUUCUAAGUUUUUGCUGCCAUGGUGAAGUGGGCCUAUUGAGACUACUUGUGGUGUGUAGGCCUUUUGUUUUACGUUCCGUAGUCGCUCAGGCACCCUGUAGAUACUGCAGGCAGGGGACAGGGCACGGAAGUUUGUCAACUGAUUUUCCAUGGAAGUUGCUUGGUUUUCUAUGUCAAAAGAAGCUUCAUUGCUGCUUUCUUCCACUUUCUUCCUCCGCAUUAUGUGUUGUUCUGAUUGUAAGUGACGAGGAUGGUGAUGAUUCUAGACACCAUAAUCAACAAAUGUUUCAAUCAUAAUUGACAUUUCAAGAUGCUCCGACAAAAAAUUAGAAAACAUUCAUCACAAAAUGCGAACUCAUACAACAGAUGGGUUGAGAAGAUCCACACAUUGCAAUCAUACAAUCCAAUUGAACAGGGAUUACUCCCUAUUCUCCUCUCUCUCUAAAAAAGAUUUUCAUAUCGAUAACAUCUUAUUGCAAGGGACUUGUACAUCAAGUGGUGAAGAACAGAAAUUCAUAUUCUUUCAAUCAACAAAUUUCGAAGAAGUUUGUUUGUUUUAUUUUUGGGGGAAAAAAAUCUGAGCAUAUAUAGAUGCAUAUUAUACGUAGACCUAAGGUGAAAACAUACCAGAUUUUUACUCCAUUUUUCAUGAGGUUUAAGUUCUUGAUGUAUAUAUUUAUCUCAAGUGUAACAUCCCACAUUGAUCAACGGAGAGGGGGUGAUGUGCCUUAUAUGUACAUGCCAGCCUUCAUCUAGCACGAGGCUUUUUGGGAGCUUAUUGGCUUUGGAGUCAUAGGAACUCUGAAGUUAAGCGAGUUGGAGCUAGAGCAAUCCCAGGAUGGGUGACUCACUGGGAAGUUGCUUGUGAGUUCCCAGAAACAAAACCGUGAGGGCAGAGAGGAGGGCCCAAAGCGACCAAUAUCAUGCUACGGCGGAGCCGAUUCUGGGAUGUGAUAAUUUGGCAUCAGAGCUACUCUGCCGUGUGGUGUGAGUGUGCCGACGAGGACGCCGAACCCUUGAGGGGGGUGGAUUGUAACAUCCCACAUUGACCAACGAAGAAUGGGUGAUGUGCUUUAUAUGUAUAUGCUUGCCUAUAUCUAGCACGAGGCCUUUUGGCAGCUUACUGGCUUCCGAGUCAUAGGAACUCCGAAGUUAAGUGAGUUGGUGCUAGAGCAAUCCUAGAAUGGAUGACCUACUGGGAAGUUGCUCAUGAAUUCCCAGAAAAAAAAAGCUGUGAGGGCAGAUAGGGGGGCCCAAAACGGGCAAUAUCGUGCUACGGCAGAGCCGAUCUUGGGAUGUGACAUCAAGAAUUUAUAUCCUCCCUUUUCAGAUCUCAUGUUCCAGUCAAUACAUAACGAAACAUAAGAAACUAAAGUCUUGUUUAUACCCAUCCUCCCACCCACCCACGGCCAUCCACCCCUACCCCCUAUCUCCAUUAAAUCUACAAGUAGCUCAUCAAUUUCUCCACCAUCCCAAGUUCAAUAUACCACCCAACAACCAUCUUACCCAUCUUCUCAUUGAUCUUCCACCCAACAUCCAACACUAUCUUCAUAAACUCUUUAGCUUAAUCUCUCUGUUGCUUUUGUUUUUUGUUUUUUAGAAAUUAAAUUUUUUAGUUUAUUUUUUUGUUGGUACAAAUUCAAUGAUAAAGAACAUCGAACUCGUCGCAACAUCCUGUUCUAGAUCCAAGCUCUACCACCAUCACAACCCUCUCUUGACCUCCGACCAACCUUAACACCCAACUUCAAAUCUAGGUUGUUUGAAACCCAGCCCCCAACAACCCCCCCAAGUCAUCCCAUUGCAACUGACUUGUAGAUGAAGUAGUAAAGAACAAAAAGUCAUAUUCUUCCAAUCAAAACGUAUCAAGUCAAACAAAAUUUCUAGUUAGUUUGCUUUAUGAUAGUUGUUUUUUGAAGGGGUCCUUAGAUCCAAUCUCAAAAAGUUUGACUUUUAUUAUGUUUAACUCUAGUUUUUUGCAAUUUUUUUUUAUCUCUACCCACUAACUUUUAUCUCUCAUUUUUAUUACCCAUUUUACCCUUUAAAAUAAAUAUAGUAAUAAACUAAAAAUUCUGAUUUAAUGCAUGUUUUGCUCAUAAGAGAACUAAAACCUAAAAAUUCUAUACUCUUACACAAAAAAUAAAAAAUAAAAACUAAAAUUAAAAUGGUUAUCAAACAGACCCUUAUAUUACAAAAAACCUUAACUGACCACCUUAUAUGGCAACUGAUNNNNNNNNNNNNNNNNNNNNNNNNNNNNNNNNNNNNNNNNNNNNNNNNNNNNNNNNNNNNNNNNNNNNNNNNNNNNNNNNNNNNNNNNNNNNNNNNNNNNUAGCAUUCUAAAAAAAGUGGCCUCAUGGCAGCAUUCAUUAAUUGACAUGGCAUGACACAUCAGUUGCCACAUAAGGUGGUCAGUUAAGGUGGUCAAUGUUGUGUGUCCAAAUAGCAUUACUAAAAAAAAAUCAAAUAUUGAACUCAUCAUAAGAGAACACAGAAAAACCUCACUGCUUGCAACUCUUACACCACCACUACACGAACAGAACAACUGCUAAUUAAAAUGAGUCACAUGUCACAUGUCACAUGUGGUACUUAACUCUAAAAACUUAUUUAGAUUAUAUAUCCAUAUUUAUAUAUCCUACUCCUCGAUCAAAACAACCAUGAAACAUAAGUGACUUAAACCUCUAGGCAAAUGGACGGUAUAUAGCAAUUUAUAGAACAAUACAGUAAUCCAGAAGAAAUAUUAUGAAAUAAAAAAAAUAAAAAGUAAAAAAAGAGAAGGAAAGGAAUUCCCACCUGAUAUGUAUAUCUAUGAAAGGAAGGACCAAGUUUGUUUUGCCUUUGGUUAAUGACUAGAAAAGCUCACUUGUAUAUUGCUUUCUCCGGCCGUAGAUGCAAGAGAAAUUUUCUCUUAAUAAUAGCACAAUGAUCGGGUAAUCGUAAGAACAAGUUGAUUUAAAAUUCAGGUCAACUCAUAGAUUUCUUGCCUUUUCUAUUCUCCUUCCUUGGACACGAGCUGUUUAAUCUUGGAAUCUUCCCCCAUCAUGUUGGGCCAGUCUUCUUCUUGAGGAUUGUAUAGGCCCAGGAAAUGCUUGGAGGUAGUUUUUGUGUAUUGGGCCUUGAGACCCAACUUCACAAAAAGAAAACAGAUUUGACCAAAAAAACAAAUUUGAAGGACAUUGAAAUUGUACCUGUAUGAUAGGUUAAAACACUGUAAGGGAGGUAAAUAGUACGUUUACAGAGUUUAAGUGUAAUAAAGGAAUAAAAACAUGCCCAGAGCACUACUACAAUUUUUCCCUGUCCUGGCAACCCUUUGUGAUCGGUAAAAACACCAUUAUUGACGGAACUUCGUCAGUAAUUGCUUCUUGACGACUGCAGCGACGAAAAUGAGUAUAGUCAGUAAAAGUCCCGUCAGUGUUACUAUUACUGACCAACUUUUGCAACUUAUUCGUCAGUAGAGGUGUGUCUCUGACACAAGUCAUGAAGUGACUCUAAAUUAUUACUGACAAAACAAAUAGCCACUAUUAAACAAGCUUUUGUCAGGAUUAUUAUUUUAGGAUGGAGUACUAGUGGCAAAGAUUUGUCAAUAUUGUUUUCAACAAAAAAAAAAAUUCAGUCAAUUUGCUUCUGAGCUGAUGCGCCUUUAGAUAUCCUUUUCUGAAAUGUCUUUUGUUUUCUAAUAUAAUGGAUGUUUUUCUUUAAUAAAAAUUUAAUGGAUUCUGAAAAUGUAAUAACAAUUAUAAAUACUCAUAGAUUGAACCAUUCAACCCCCAUCCUUAUAAAUAUAAACUACCAAUGUCGAUUACAAUAGCCAAAUAUUACAAAGUCUGCCUACAUCAGUAGAGUUCAAAAACUUUAGGUGCCCUUACUAUACAAAAGUAUGCAAUUCCAAAUAUUCAACAAAUACACUACAAAAGCAUGCAUACCCCAAUAGGGUCCAAAAUACAACGUCAGCAACUAUAUAUACCAAAAAUGCAUAACACUAAGUAACUGCAUCUAUUCAAGUCCAUGAGUACCUUGAUCUGAUUCUAAAAAGUCUGUCUCACUUGGGUAUGCAUCCCCCCUCAGCAAUCCAGUUAACCCACCAAUAGGAGUAACUGACCUGGCUUGAUAAGGCAUUUGAUGGAACAUCUGCGGCGAGUAAUAUGACAUAUGGAAUGGGUUUGGCAGCUGCUGGUACAAUGGGUGAUGCGAAGCUGACGAGCACGAUAACAUCUGCCUCAUUUCCUCAAUCUCUUGCUGGUUAUGCUUCAGCAACUCUUGCGUCGCCUUCAAUUCAGAACGCCAAUGAUCCUGGUCAUGUUUGUACCUUUCUUGUAACUCUACAUACUGUGACUCAAGGUGAACAUAGUCGUGCCCUCGCAAUCUCUUGGAUGACCCUGCUUUCGUUUGAAUCCAAGGCACCUGAUGGGGUUUCACCCCAAGUCCUUCACCACGAACACUAUUAUUUGUCUCAGGACCCAUUGCCUCAACAUAAGCCCUUCUUCGUGUCUCUAAAUUAUCAGGACAUUCAUCUUCAACCAAUUCCUUCAACUUUUCCUGCAUUUCAGCCUAACAAAAACAAAAUAUAUAUCCUUCUCCAUCAAAUUGUGGUCAUCAUAGAACUAGCCCAAUAAACUCUACAAUGAUGAAUUGCAUUAUGUAAUAAAAAUUUAGGCCAAUUAGUCUUCUGGACCUCUACUGUUUUGUUUUUCAUAUGCUUAAACAAAUAAAAGAACAUAAAGAAUAGUGAACAAGAAAAAAAAACUACCUCCAAACAACUUUCCAUAUGCUUAAAAAAAAAAAAAAAAAAAAGUCAACCAAAACAAAAUAAGAGAAACAUCCUGGACUAUGGCUAACAAUUCCUCAUGAAAAUGAACUUAUAUAUAAUUAUUCCAAUAUAUAGUCCAUAUGCUUACAUAUUUCUGCUCAGCCACCAAGUUAACCCAUGAUCGAUCUUCGUCACGCCGUGUAUGCUUAUCUUGGAAAAACCAAAUAGGAUCGGGGUCUUCACCAUGUUUCUUAUUCUUAGCAUGCAAUCAAUAAAAUAAAAUAAGAUAAUCAAUUAGCUAACACGACCUCAUAUGCUCAAUAUUUGAAUAUAGUAAAGAGUAAACAUUCAAGUGCAUCAUCAAAACUGACAUAUUGUGCUUUGCUGCGAGCAUAAGACUUUGUUCUAGAUGUGUGAUUCAAUGUUUGUUUACUCCGAUUUUCAACAUUUCUUUUAGCUUGCUCCUUUUAUUAGCAAAAACAAAACAUACUUAAUCAUUGCACAGAUUAUAUAUACUGAGUGUUGUGUAAUAAUACGUACUGCAAUCUCAUCUUUUUCCCAAUGUUCAACCAACACCCUCCAUUGAUCUGGGUCUACACGAGAAUCCCCACAUUGCCACCGUCUUUUACUUCCUGUGAAAGGCUUAUAAUAAGCUUUCUUCAAAUCACUCUUGAAACUUCUCCACAAUUUUUCAAUAUUCUUCAUUGUUACAUCCUUGAAGACAUGAAUCAUAGGUUGUUGUUCAGGACGAAAUUCAAUGGUGCCCUGCAUCCACAAUAAGGUAGUCUUACAUCAAGUUGAAAUAUACCUAUUAAACUCAAUUUCAUGCAAUAAGUAUUCAAUAAUUUUAGGAAAACCAAACCCGUAGAGUGUCCCAGACAUCAAGUUUGCAAGAGUCUGGUACUUUUUCCCAUUUUAAAUACUUGAUCGGAAUUAGAUUGGCAUCCCGCGCCAAAAUACCCAUGUAUCUAGAAAAAUGGGGACUAUUGUCACUAAUAACUCUGCCAAAUGGAGAUAAAUCAACUGACUCUUUUUUGUUAUUUAGAAACCAGUUGCAUUUCCCUUGACCUCGACCUUGCUUCGCCUCCUUGCCUACAUGAAAAGUUAAUUUUAACUGAUCAAUACAACAAGAAAAUAAUAAGAAACUGUAAGGUAAUAAGUUUCUCACACAUUAUUCAAAUGAAAAAUUAGCAUAGCUAUUUGGAGAUGAUGUGAUCGUGAAACAUCCCAUAUUCAAUACAUUUGUAUAUGAUUAAAACAUACCAAUUUAUUAAAAGAAAAAGGAAAAGAAAACCAACAUACCAGUAGCACUUAUAGAACCAUCUCCCUCUAGACUAUCCCUAAAGUCAGCGUUGGGCCCUUCUUGUGAACUAUCUUGAGAACUGCUCAUCUAAAAAAUUUGAUAUGCAUAACAGUGAAGGGGUAACAAAUUAAUCAGACAUCAUUGGUAAAAGAAACUAUUACUUCAACAUUCUAAUACAAAACAAUCUACUAAAGAAAUUCUUGUACAAUAUUCUUAAAAUUACGUAGUCCAUUUAAGCUGACAGCUCAUCAAAAUACAUGAAAAAUUCAAUACUCCAUGUCAUCAUAAAGCUCAUCCUCGUUUUCAGUAGAGAGAUCGUCUGAAGACUGUUCAUCUUCUUCAUCCUCAUUUCCGGGCUCAUGCUCAUCUACCAUCUCAUCCAUAUCAACCCUAAUAUGAAAUUCCUCAUUGUCUAGCAGCUGAUCAUCAAGAUUCGGAAUGGCAUAAUUAUCAGUAGCACUUAAAAGGGUUAUCUAUAGUUGGAGCUAGAUCACUAUCUUCUAGCACAUCAAAAAAAUCUCUUGGUUGAGUUUGGGUUGGCACAUGCCAAUGACUGUCUUCUGGAUCUACAACAUAAAACACUUGUGUAGCUUGAGAAGCCAAUAUGAAAGUGUGUCUUUCGUUUGUCGCAACCGAUUGAAACUAACCAAAGGGAAACCAUACCCAUCAAACCUCAUCCCCCUAUCACUAGCAGUAUCAACCCAAUCACAGUUAAAUAAUGUAAUUUUCCGACCAUUAUCAUUCUGUUCUAUUUGACCCCCGUAAUUAAGUUCAUAAAUCUCUUUAAGAACACCAUAAUAAUCAACAUUGCCAAUUACUGGAUUGCGAUCUCUUGCGCUUGAGUAACUAGAUGUCUCUGCACAUUGAAAUACACCACUAUUCUGAUUCUUCUUUUUAUCGUCUACUGAUUUAAUCCGGAACCUACACCCAUGAAUUAUGUGAUUCUUAUACUUGUUCACAAAUCUACUAGGACCAAUUGAUAGCCAACGCAAGUCCUCAGAUAUUGACAGAUCAUGGGCUGUGUACAAUUUAGUAACCUAUAAUUUAAAACAACAACUAAAGUAAAUAACUUUAAUUAAAAAUAUGGUGCAGCAACAUAAAAUGAAUCAUAUUACAACUAAACAUACUUACAUGAUCCUUGAACCAAGUUGGAAAUAUCUUAUUUCUCAUCCCCUCAAUUUCCUGUAUGGUCUUCCGUCGAUUACUUUGUCUCAAUUCUUGGAAGCAUUUUCUGUUUUACAAUAUAAUAUAAUGACUUGUUAGUUAUUAAUUCAUAAUUGAGGAUUGAAAAAAAAAAAUAUCAACAACUUGCUUGUUUUUAUUCAUAAAUAUCUUACUCUAAAAAAGGGGAAACUUCAUCGCAAUUGAACAAGACCACUCUGCGACAUUGGUCCCAAACAUCUUUGUCAAGAUAUAUUUGUUCAGCUGAACCCUUAGAAUGACAUGAAGAGUCAAAAACUUUUAGCUCCCCAAUGACACCACGACCAAUACCAUCAGCAUUUCGACCCUUUCGAUUCCUUCGAGUCUCAACGUUGCUAAGAUACAUGGUACACAUAGCUAAUCCCUCGUCGACAAGAUAUCCUUGUUCCAUACUUCCUUCAGGAUAACUCUUAUUCUGAACAUAUUUCUUUAAUGUUUGUAGGUAUCUAAAGAUAUGGCAAAAUUGAACAUGUUAAUUUACAAUUAAAAUGGAAAACUAGAAAUAAUAAAUAAGAUUUGAACUAAUUACCUUUCAAUGGGAUACAUCCACCGGUAUGGGGCAGGCCCUGCGAUUGCAGCCUCAUCUGCCAAAUGCAUGAUUAAGUGUACCAUCACAACAAAGAAGGAAGGAGGGAAUAUCUUUUCCAUCUGGCAUAAUGUCACUGCAAUCCGAGGUUUUAAAGCCAUGUAUGACGCUUCAUAUUCCUUCUUACUACAUAACCGUCUAAAAAUUGCACUUAGCUCAAGCAAAACAAUGGUAACAGCUUUUGGUAAUACUCGUCGUAUUGCAAGGGGCAGCAGCUGUUGCAUUAUAAUAUGAUAGUCAUGACUUUUCAAUCCGUGUAUUUUUCUCUCAUUCACAUUAACACAUCUAGACAGAUUUGCAGAAUACCCAUCAGGAACUCUCACAUUUGCCAAGACUUCGCAAAACAUUGUUUUUUCCCUUUUCCUCAUGUCAAAAAGUGCUGGAUCAAAAACUUCCUUACCUUUCCCAUUUAUAUAAGGGUGCUGUUUUCUCCUUAUAUUCAAAAUUUGAAGGUCCUUACGAGCUUUUAUUCCAUCCUUUGUCUUCCCAGGAAUAUUUAACAGUGUACCUAAAAUGUUUUCACAAACAUUCUUUUCAAUAUGCAUUAGAUCAAGGUUAUGCCGUAUCAAAAGAUAUUGCCAAUAUGGUAACUCAAAGAAUAUGCUUUUCUUCUUCCACUGAACUUUGUUACUAUUUAUAUUCGUUGUGGGAUAGGUAUUUGUAUUCCUAAUGGGACAAGAACAUUUUUUGGGUUUUCCUUGCCCAACAAAAACAGCUGACUUCUUUUUGGGUUUUCGAAAUGUGAAUGUCAAACUUGACAAUUUUUCUAAACACUGUGAACCUGUCAAGGGAAUAGGUGGAAGAGCAUGUUCUUCCUUACCGUUAAAGGCUGCUUUAUCUCUUCGAAACCUAUGUUGUAUAGGUAGAAAUCUCCGAUGACCCAUAUAACACAUCUUACUACUAUUUGCCAAAUGCAUUGAGACUGUAUCAUCCAUGCAAUGCGGACACGCUUUCUUCCCCUUCGUGCUCCAUCCUGAAAGAAUUGCAUAUGCGGGAAAGUCAUUAAUCGUCCAUAACAAUGCAGCCUUCAUUGUAAAAGUUUGGUUGGCAAACACAUCAAACGUCUUAAUACCAACCUCCCACAACUCUUUCAACUCAUCGAUUAAAGGCUUCAAAUACACGUCAAUAUUAUUGCCAGGCCCAUCAGGACCAGGAAUUAUUAACGAUAACAAUAAAUUUGGUUGCUUCAUACACAUCCAUGGAGGCAAAUUAUAAACUGACAGUACAACAGGCCAUGUACUAUGGGGUUUGUUCAUAUUUGAAAAGGGAUUAAACCCAUCACUUGCAAGCCCCAAUCGCACGUUGCGUAUCUCCGAAGAAAAUUCAGGGUAUAAGGAAUCUAAAUGCUUCCAUGCACGAGAAUCUGAUGGGUGCCUCAUGAAUCCAUCUUUAGGACAUUCGGUUGCAUGCCAUCUCAUAUCUUCAGCGGUAUGCUUCGACAUAAACAAUCUUUGCAACCUUGGUUUUAAUGGAAAAUACCGAAGAACCUUGGUUGGAACCUUAGCUGAUGUGUUCUUACUCAAAGAACCUCCCACAAUAUUGACUUUGUACCUUGAGGCACCACAAAGUGCACACUCAGUCAAGUCUGAUGUAUCUUUCCAAAACAGCAUACAAUCAUUGGGGCAAACAUCAAUCCUCUUGACUGUAAGUCCCAACUCCCUAAUGAUUUUUUUAGCAUCAUAAUUAUUUUUUGGUAAACAAUUCCCCUCUGGCAACAAUUGUUUAACCAAUUGUAACAGCAUUGUAAAGACAUUAUCGCUUCCCUAAACAUUUAAUCUGGAACAGUCUUACAACAGAAUACAAUUUCUUAUAUUUACACCUAGGGUACAACUCCAUAUCUGCUUCUUCAAGUAACUUAUAAAAUAUUUCAGCCUCAGGUGUUUGGCCAUCAAAGAUAGGUGGCUCUGUCGAAGUCCCAACAGUUUCUCCAAUUAUUGGUUGCACAAAGGCUUCAUUGAGAAAAUCAUGAAUGUCAUCUAUACAAACUUCUUCAUUAUGAACUGAUUCUAUAUCCUCUUGGAAUGGUAAAUUUGUCAUGGGCUCCCCAUGAUGCCUCCAAGGGCCAUUCAUAUAUGUGGGAUCCAUUCCUUUUUCUAUAAGAUGAAGCUGGAUGAUGUUUCUUUCAUAGUGAUAACGGUUACAACAUUUUUUGCAAGGACAUAUGACCCUCUCUCCAAAACCCACUUUGGCAAAGACGUCAUCUAAAAACAUUCUCAUUCCGUCUGCGUAUUCCUUACAAUUUCUCCUUAAAUGUACCCAACUUUUAUCCAUAGUUCACCUAUAUUGAGUGCAAGGCACCAAAUACAAUUAUUCAGCACAGAUCAUCCCUCAUACUUAUUGUCUAUAAAUUCCUAUCAGGUGGGUCAAUUUAUUAUCCAUUAGAUGACCCUCAUGACCAUCUACAUCAAUUCACAAGAAAAACCAAAUUAAAAUAACAAAAACCUGAGUCUAAAGAAUAUAUUAACUAAGAAAUUGCACAUUCAUUCAACUGAAGAAAAGAACUAUAACACCAAACAACUAGACCCACUUAAUAGCUAAAGAAACUCACGUCAUAACAACAAAGUAUACAUAUUAAACAACAUAUCAACUCAUAGAUAAAAGCCCGAUAAUCUCAAUACUAUGAACAAUCUUAUUCAAAAAUAAUAAGAUAACAGCAACAUAAUAGAAAAAAGUAAAGGGAAACACACCUGGAUUCUAAGUUUCCAACAACAAUUCAACACUCCUGCAGUAGAUUAAUACAUACAUACCCACAUAUCAAACUUCACCAACAAAUAAUAAAAAAUUAAAACAAGAGCUUUGAAAAAUCAAAGGAUUCGUGUCACAUCCCGGAAUCGGCUCCGCCGUAGCACGAUAUUGUCCGCUUUGGGCCCCCCUCUCUGCCCGCACGGUUUUGUUUCUAGGAGCUCACGAGCAACUUCCCAGUAGGUCACCCAUCCUGGGAUUGCUCUAGCCCCCAACUCGCUUAACUUCGGAGUUCCUACGACUCCGAAGCCAGUGAGCUCCCAAAAGGCCUCGUGCUAGAUGGAUGCGGGCAUGCACAUAUAAGGCACAUCACCCCCUCUCCGUUGGUUGAUGUGGAAUCUUACAAUCCACCCCCCUUAAGGACCCGACGUCCUCGUCGGCACACUCGCACCACACGGCAGAGUGGCUCUGAUACCAAAUUGUCACAUCCCGGAAUCGGCUCCGCCGUAGCACGAUAUUGUCCGUUUUGGGCCCCCCUCUCUGCCCGCACGGUUUUGUUUCUAGGAGCUCACGAGCAACUUCCCAGUAGGUCACCCAUCCUGGGAUUGCUCUAGCCCCCAACUCGCUUAACUUCGGAGUUCCUACGACUCCGAAGCCAGUGAGCUCACCCCCUCUCCAUUGGUUGAUGUGGGAUCUUACAAUUCGUUUAUAUCUUGGAAUAAAAUCAGUAUUCUAAUUUUUAUAUCUAAUUGGAAGGAUUCAUGGGUCAUUACCUACACUAAAAUACUUGAAAAAAUAAAAUAAACAAACAAAAUAAGAACAAAAAUUUCACCAGAACAGAGGCACAAAAAUCUCACCAAAACAGAGGGCCUCUUUAAUGAAGGACAACCAAGUCAGCCCCAAUUGAAAAGAGCAAAGAACCCCCAGAUUUAAUCUCUCUCUCAAUCUGAAUCAGCAACCCCAAUUGAGAAAAGCAAGGAAAACCCCCCAAAUUUAAUCUCUCUCUCUCAAUCUGAAUUAGCAACCCCAAUUGAGAAGAGCAAGGAAAACCCCCCAAAUUUAAUCUCUAUCUCUCUCAAUCUGAAUGAGCAGACACGAAAAUCACUACCACACAUGACUCCAACUCCAUUAGCUAUGAGGAAGAAUACAAUUCAUUCUUCAAUGAAAAGAAGAGGGAAGAGAUGGCCGGUUUGGAGGAAGUAGAAAAGCUCAAGUAAACAAUUGAAGUUUUUUAUAUAUCAAUAGGAAAAUUUUGAAGUUAAAAAUUAUAUUUAAGAAUAGUAUUGGCAAUCGAACUCGUCAGAAAAAAAGUUGGCUUCCUGGUGUCUGAAAAUUUAGGCGCUUAUGUUUUCACUUCCCGCGUUAAAAGAGACUGGCGCAGUGUCUCGUCAGUAAAGGUAGUAAUGACAAAAGACUUUGUCAGUAUUAUUUACUAGUGAAAAAUCACUUUAUUUUGCUAGUAUUUGGUCUCAGUACUGACUAAGCUGCUCUUUCAUCAGUAUUAGUCCGUCAGUAUAAGCUAAAAUUGUAGUAGUGAGAGGAUUGAUAAGUGAUAUUAAUUCUUGAAUAUACAGAAUGUAAAAUAAAGGAACACGUAAAAAAUUAUUUUAUGUGGUAAAACUCCAUCUCUGGGGAAAAUCCACGGGACUUCUUAGUCCAAAACAAAUCCAUUAUAGAAUGAUGAUUACAAGAAGUACUCACACACUUAUCCUAGACACAUUCUAGAUAAUGUUUACUGACCUCUUCGUAACUCAACUUCUGUCUCGAGAUGAUCUUUCAACACUCCUUAUGUUGAACGCAAUAUUGGUCACGAUUUCUUCAAGCUCGUCAGAGUUCUUCCAACUCUCCUAAUAUUGAAUCCGAUACUAGUCACGAUUGAUUCAAGCUCAUCGUAGAAAAACCGUCACAAUGGUCUUGGUGCCCUCAACCGUAUGAGUCAUUAAACAUGCAAAUGAAUACAUAUAUGAAUGAUAAAAGUGUUUGAUAAAUCACUGAGUUAUGGAACACUUGAUGAUUUAUCUCAAAUAAAAACUCAGCUUUAAUGCUUUCUAAACAAAGAAGACGAAGGUCUUACUUUAUAGACUUUUUCUUUACAAGAAAGAAAAUAAGUUGGAAACCAAAUCUCCAAUUUCCAAGGCAAAAUCACAAAAGUAUCUUUCCUAUUCUAGAGAUUGGUCACAUGUAGUCCAACCAAUAGGAAAUGAGAUAUUUAAGAAAGGAAGAUUUUGAUCAAUAUCAAUAUCAAAUGAAUUCUUAUACGCCUAGUCAACUAUUAAGGGUAUCUUGACUCCUUGAUAUUUUGAUAUGAUUGAAACAUGAUUUCCAAGUUAGAAAAUUAAGGGGUUGUUAAAACAUGAAAGUAAUAGGAGAAACAAAUUUAUUUGAACCAAAAUUGCCCAAAAAGAAAACACUCCUAAAUAAACUUCAAUUCACUUUAGUAAAACAUGAUUGAAUCGUUCGUUAAAACAAUUCCCUAAUAUACAUGCAUGAUAAUGACAUCACUUACCCCUGAAUCAAAUUUGUUAAUGUAUGCAUUUUGAGUUUUUUUUUCUUUUGGCUUCCCUUGACAAUUUUGUAAUAGGAAAAUCAUUGUAGUUUCUCAAGCUCUAAGUUUAGAUUAAGAAUUACUUCUCUAGGUGUUCUUAUCUGCCUACAUUCUGAUGGAAAACAAUGCGUUUGACAAAGGUAAAUUCUGCAUUACACUACAUUGCAUUCACUAAAUUUCUUAAGAUUAUGACUAGUCAUCUUUCUUUCGUAUGACUAGUCAUCUUGCAUUCGUAUGACUAGUCAUCUUUCCUUCGUAUGACUAGUCAUCCUUUGUUUCAAUUAGGAUUUCCAGCUCACUGUUUCCAGCUGGGGCUUAAGCAUUUUUUUGUCCUUUUCUACGAAUUUCUCAGCUUCCAUGUGUCUAUUCUGACCUAGGAAUUUUUGGUAAAAGCCAUAGAAUUCCUCAUUUGGCAGCCGUCACUUUUGGGGACAAGUUGUGGAAAGUUUCAUAGCAAACUUUCGCUUCUUCUUCCUCAAGAGUAACCUUCAUAUUUUUCAUCUUUGAGUUCUCUAAAUUGUUUCUUUUUGAAAACUGCAUUUGAAAUAUGAAAACUUCAUCUUGCUAGAUCAAACACUCUAUCAUAUACAUCUAGGUCAGAUUCAAGAUUGAUUUCUUCAAGAGUAUGGUUUCUUGAAGAAAUUGGUCAUUUUCUCCAUGAAUCCAAAUUUCAUUUCUGUCUGAGUUAGAGCUUGCAAGCUGGUGCCAUGGGAUGAAUGAGCUGAAGAAGGAGCUGCCAUUGCCAUGAAGAACUGAGCUUCAAGCUUUGCUAAGUUGGAGAAGAAGAUUGCACAAAGGAGAUAUAGCAUCUUCCUAAAUAGACCUAGGAAUUUCUUGAGCUUGCUAGUGUUCUUUGUAAGAAUCUUUUUGCUUAGUGGAUUGCCUGGUCGGUUGAUGACCCCCAGUUUUUCCCAAUGGUGGGUUUCUGGGUGAACAAUAUCUGGUUUCCAUCUCUGUAGAUUUUUUGGGUUUGUGUUCUUGAUAGUUGACUAGUCAUCUGAAUUUGUGUGGUUGACUAGUCAUCUUUUUCUGCUGUUUGGUGUUUUCUUGAUUAUGUUGUCUUCACACACUUUUACCAUAGUUGUUGCUAGCACAAGGGAUGCCUAGAUUGAUGGGUCCUUCUGAGUGCCUAGGUUGUCACUAGUAAUUCUCUAGGCCUGCAGGUACAUCUUGGUAUGCUUUGUGUAUGUUAUUGUUUGGUUUAAUUCAUAUCUAACAGUUGACUAGUCAUAAGAGUAUUUGGUCAAGGUCUAGAGUGUGUGAAGUUUGUUGCGUUCUUGAUUGAAUAUCUUUUAAAUUUACCCUUCGUCACCUAAUUACCAAUUUGCAGACUCCACAAAUGAAGAAAAGAGCACAAAUAUCGUGAAUGCUAUUGGGAAUGGAAAGGGCAAACCUGUUCAAAAAGGGUAUGGAGGGGGCGUUAGACUUUACGUUCAAAAAGGGUAUGGAAAACGUCCUCCUCCAUCUGACAGUCAACUACUCCAUUAUAAAGACAUAGCUAUUUUCUUCUUCGAGAAAGACAUGCGCCCUGGCUCAACAAUGAAGUUCCAAUUCCCUAGAAAUUCAAACACGGCUACUUUCCUGCCACGCGAAAGUGCUCAAUCGAUCCCCUUCUCCUUUAACAAACUACCAGAAAUUUUCAACCAUUUUUCAGUGAAGCCAACAUCUGUGGAAGCCAAAACAAUUAAGCAAACAAUCGAAGAGUGUGAAGCUCCAGGCAUUAAGGGAGAUGAAAAAUAUUGCGCCACAUCUUUAGAAUCAAUGGUUGAUUUUAGCACUUCGAAGCUUGGAACAAGAAACGUUGAAGCAGUCUCGACGGAGGUAUUGGAAAAAGGAGCCACCAUGUCCAUGCACAACUAUACAACAAUGCCGGGACUGAAGAAGUUGGCAGGUGACAAAGUCGUUGUGUGUCAUAAGGAGAACUAUCCCUAUGCUAUGCUAUGUUUUUCUGCCAUGCAAUAAAACAAACAGCAGCUUAUGUUCUCUCCCUGAAAGCCGAUGAUGGGGAGAAGGUUAAAGCUGUAACCAUCUGCCAUCUAGACACAUCAGAAUGGAACCCAGAGCAUUUGUCCUUCCAAAUCCUCAACGUUAAGCCCGGAACCGUUCCUAUCUGCCAUUUCAUUUCCACUGAUGCUAUUGCCUGGGUUCCAAAACACAAAUCUGCAUGAUCAUCACUUAGCACUGUACGUAUAAUAAGCUUGGUUGGGUUGCACCCCUGUAUAAUUAUCUCCCUACUUAUUUCUGCCUCUUCAUCAUGUGGUGUAAGAUAUAUGAUGAAAUGAAGUUUUUGGGAUUAGUGGUCGGGUUGCCUGAAAAACACAGAUUAUAGAAACUGCUUGAAAUUAACCCGAUCAUGUUUUCUCUUGUAACGAUAUAGACUUCAACUUGUACUCAUAAUAAAGCAUGCUAUAUUUAUGAAGAGAUAUUAAUCUAUAUAUGCUUUGGCUUUGUGGUUUUACCCAGUGUUUGAAUGUUGAAUUGUUACGUUGGAAUAGGCUGCUAAUGCAUGUAGUUAGAGAAGCCUUCAUUUAUAUCAAAGUCCUCAAACUAUCAAGAACUAAUGUAUCCAGAAACACAUACCAAGACGCAAAACAACAUAUUUUCCAUGCUGUCUGUAACACCAAAGCAAACUUCCUUUAUCACAUCAUUUAAAGGAUCAAAUUCCAGUACUAAUCUAAUCCAUUAUGUAAAGCAUCAGGGACAGACUCAAGAUUUCAAAAUGGAGUGGGCUAGAUUUUAGGUCCGGCUAAACUUUAUAGGGAGACUUAUGAAAUUAAUCAUAAUAUUAUAUAAAUUUAAUUUAAAAACAUAUCAUUUUUAUUUUAUUUAUUUAAAGAGUCCAAUUUUACACCAACAAUGUCAUCAACAAUUGAUUAUAUAUGCUUAAAAUUAACAUUAGUUGACAACUCACAACUCAUAUUGCAACUUAUUUAGUAUAUGUGUUUUAUACUAACAAUAACAAAAGAAAAACACUUGACUGGGCUAUAGCCCAGUUUGUACACAUUGCAGGCCCGUCCUUAUAAAGCAUACAAGUGCCUCCCUAAAUUUGUCCGUUGGAUAUAUAUAUGUCACUUUUUAUUUUUUGAUAGAGAUAUAAAUGUUGAGAAAAUUAGAGUACACAACUCUAAUAUCAUAAAGCAAACAAAAUUUCUAAGUUAGUUUGCUUUAUGAUAGUUGUUUUUUGAAGGGGUCCUUAGAUCUAAUCUCAAAAAGUUUGGCUUUUAUUAGGUUUAACUCUGGUUUUUGCAAUUCUUUAUCUCGUAGUGGCAAUGUUCAAAUGCGAUGAGAUUUCUAAUUAAUACCUCUGUAUGAUCGCUUAUUUUCAAUCUUGGAAUUUCAAGAGUCCGGUCAGCAAAUCUAAUAAGGUAUUCGUUGAUCCCUCAUUCAACUUGAUCCCUGCCCUGUGUAGCUCUGUGAUGCUGGGUGUGUUUAUAGUUAUGAGUUUCCUGUCAUCAAUUUUUAGGGCUAUUCGUUAUAUGAGUCCCUGAACUUAGACUCGAUUUGCAUUUUAGUCCCUCAAUUUCCAAAAUCGUUUCAGUGGUCCUUCAACUUCAGUUUCGUUAGGACAAAUGGUCCUGCCAUCAAACGAUUAUAAAGUGGAAAAAACAAGAACAAAAAGGGAAGUGAGUUAAAUUUGCACCUACUAUGUUCAAACGACAAAGUUGGUUUCCCUUUGGUUGAUUACAAGAGAAGUGAAAGGACCCGCCCGAAUUUUCUCAAAAUCCGAGACAAACCCUUUGGAAUUCCUGACAUCACCCUGAUGCCAGGCCCACUUACUAAAAACCGAGACCUCCUGCCGAAAUUUCGGCAGAGUCUCCCCUAUAAAUUGGACGUUUCCCAAAAUUUAUACCUGCAUAAAAACGCAUUUAAUAUUCCCAACUGGCAGCAUGCACAAUAUAAUUUCAUGCAAUUCACACAAAUGGCCUUCGGCCUUUCAAUAAUUCAUAUCCAACUACCAAACCAUUCAAAUACCAAAUAUGACUAACAUUUAGUCUGCGGCUGCACCUAAUAACCCUAGGCUGCCUACGUACCCUCCUUGAGGGAUCAAGCCACACGUAGUUCUUCCCUAAAACCCAAUUCCACACUUGGGCGAUACCUUAUUUCAUUUCUCUGGAUUUCAUAUAAUCUCCCCAUACGCCGGUACAACCAACGCCACGUAUGGGGCCUGUCAACACGCCGGAUAACCUACGCCACGUGCGACCAUGCCAUACUAUCAUAAUAUCUCCCCAUACGCCGGUACAACCAACGCCACGUAUGGGGCUUGUCCCAACGCCGGAUAACCUACGCCACGCGGGACCUCAAUAUUCAUAUCACAAAUCUCCCCAUACACCGGUACAACCAACGCCACGUAUGGGGUCUGUCGACACGCCGGAUAACCUACGCCACGUGCGACCUCACACAAUAUCACAAUAUCUCCCCAUACGCCGUACAACCAACGCCACGUAUGGGGUUUGUCUCAACGCCGGAUAACUACGCCACGUGAGACCUGAAACAUCAUAUUACAAAUCUCCCCAUACGCCGGUACCACCAACGCCACGUAUGGGGCCUGUCCCAACGCCGGAUAACCUACGCCACGUGGGACCUAACUUUCACUUGGUGGUGCUUGUAGUGAAUCCAAAAUCCGGGGAGGUAUCUAAAGUAGUGCGUUUAGCACUCCAAACUGACACUCUAGACUCUGUUGUACCCUUGUACAACCAUAUAUAAUUAUAGUUAUAUAAAUUAAUUCUAAUAUUGUGUAACCCUCCACAAUAGUCUAGCUCCCGAUAAUCCCCCCCUUAGAAAGGUGAGAUUACUCCGGGAGACUCACGGUCAACCAAGGGUCAAACUACUCUAACCCUGGUCAACCGGACCUGCAGAACCCACUACCUCCAAUUUCCGAUCCGAAAGUCUCUAUGGGUUCUACCAGGUAUAGGACACUUGUCCUGCAAGUUUGGUUCAAAUCGGACGGUCGGAUUUCUCACGAUCGCACGAUCUGACGGUUAAUAUAAGAUAUAAAAUUAAAAUUAUUAUUCGGAACAUCCGGGGUUCCGAUUCAUGAUCCGUAAAUUCCUACACGAUCCUAGAAAUACCUAGAUUAACAUAUAUUAAAUUUGGGACCAUCCAACGGUCCCAACCUAUCGAACUCGGAUAACGCACACUAUGCGAUUAUCCGUUCGAUAGUCAAACGACGUCCGAAUUGAGAUCCGCGAAAUCCUACGCACUCGUGACAACCUAAGGAUCUCAUCGGAACACAUCGCUACAUUUUCUACAGUGCCCACGCACCGGCAGUGCGUGGGUGCCCAAAGCGAUAACGCUUCGCCGGAAAAUCUCAAAACCACGGCUCCAAACUCCUACCCUAGGUAUAACACCCUAUUUGGAGCCACUUUUGUUUUGGACCUACCCCAAAAAGUGGCCGGAAAUGGCCAAUCACGGCGGCCGAAGUUUCGGCCGAUUUUCAAUUCGAAAAUUGAGUUGCCUACGCUAAGAAUCGAUCUAAUCCUACCCAACCAUCAGCUAGAGCAGCUCGAGAGGUUCAAAAUCCAUACCUGGGUCGACGGAUUUGGUGGCCGGAGGAGGAGGAUCGACGGCGUUGAAGUUCCGGCGACAUCUGGGCGAAAAUCGCCAUUUUCCGGCGGCUGGAGCGGCGGCCGAUGGCGGGGAUGGGCUGGGUCGUGACGCCGAGGUCGAGCCGGUUCUUUUGACACCGGCCCCGUCCGCAGCCGCGGCCGGUGGCCGGAGUUACGAAGAGAGAGAGAGGAGAGAGAGAGAGGAGAGGCCGACGGGAGAGAGAGAGAGAGGAGUCUCGCAGGAGAGAGAGAGAGAGAGAGAGAGAGAGAGAGAGAGAGAGAGAGAGAGAGAGAGAGAGAGAGAGAGAGAGAGAAACCAGAUUUUAUAAAAAAAAUCCCAUUUCGAAAUAUUUACGAUUAUGCCACUGGACUUCUUUUGACCAUAUCUCUCUCGUUACAACUCCGAUUCGAGCCCACUACGUGUCUGUGAACUCGUCUCAGUACGACCUAUCCAAAAAUAUAAGUCACGGUCCCAAACUCUCUCCGGUUAAAAAUAUGACUAAAAUACCCUCAAAGCAGCUUACUUGGUUCCUCUAGUAGAUGGAAAUAUAAUUUUUCUAGCUAAAUUUCUCAAAUGGUCCUCAAACUUGUACGCGAUUUACAUUUUGGUCCAUCAAUUAAAUUAUUAGUCCAAAUGGUACAUAAACUCUAUUUUAAUCGCCCAUUUGAUCGAACCGUCUAAUUUUCUGUUAGAUUUAACCAAAUUUUAGGGUAAAUAUGACUUUUCAUAAUUAACAAAUAAAAUAGGAUUAAAAUAAUUAAAUACAAAAUUAGAAAAAAAAAAUGAAGAAAAGGAGGAAGAACAGAAGAGGAAGAAACCCAGAAGAAGAGGAAGCGGACAAGGUUAUUGCAAUGGCUUUCUUAAGUAAAAUUGGGAAUAUACUCAGAUGGACUGCAAAGAAGCAUAUCUGAUCUGAAUUAUCUCCUUUCAAACUAUCUAUCCAUCAAGCAGUAAGAUGCAUGUCAAACAUGGUGAGUUCAAAACUCUUAUUGGAGGUAUUUCGUACCAAACAGAUGAGCAGAGUCUGAAGGAAGCUUUUGCAAAAUAUGGUGAAGUUAUUAAUGCAAGAAUCAUCAGUGACCGUGAAACUGGUAGAUCUAGAGGAUUUGGGUUCAUCACUAGCGAGGAGGCAUCCAGUGCAAUCCAGGCCUUGGAUGGGCAUGAACUUCAUGGCCGUCGAGUAAGGGUGAAUUAUGCUACUGAUAGACCUCGCCCUAACUUCGGUGAUGGAGGUGGUUUUGAAACUGCUAGCACUGGAGGUGGUUUUGGCAAUAACAUCAAUUUGGGUGUUGCUGUUGCUGUUGGUGGUGCUCAUAACUUUGUUGGCGGUGCUGACAACAGCUUUGGCAGUGGUGGAGCUCAAUUGGGAGAGAACAAAGGUGGUUUCAGCUUGCAUGAUCCCUUGAAAGGAAAUGAUAAGGAUGAUGAUGAUGAUGCCGGCAACUUUCUCAAGAGGGCUUGAUAAUAUUUAGAUAAGAGGAGCGAUUUAGUUUGCUUCUAUGCAGAGCUACUAGUAGAUUGUCUUUUUGUUACAGCUGCAUGUCCCCCCUCCCCGUCUUUCUAAACUAUUAAUUUCAUUUGGCGGAAUUUUCUGUGAAUUUCAUGCACCUUUUAGUGUGCUUUGUCAACUAAGGACCUGGAUUGUGGGAAAAAAAGAAGCAAAAAAAGAAGAAACCAGGAAGAAGAAGAAGAAACCCAGAAGCAAAAGAAGAAGAAACCCAGAAGAAGAAGAGAGAGAGAGUUGGUGGAUGCAAUGACCAAGUUGCCCUCAUAUUUAACGGAAAUAUUGAUAGAAUGUAACGGUAGGAUCAAUGAAGCGAAUAAUAUAGAGUUGAUGUACCAUUUGGACUAAUAAUUUAAUUGAGGAACCAAAAUGUAAAUCGAGUAUAAGUUUGAGGACCAUUUGAGUAAUUUACCCUAAUUUUUCUCCUAAUAAUAAGGGUUUAGUGCAAUCAAUGAUGGGCUGUAUAGAACAACUUUUUUGUUUUAUAUGUUUAUGUGAGACAAGUUUUGCCAGAUUGAAUUAAUGUCUUCUAGCUAUGUACCUUAUCUUUUUGCCGGGCCAUGAGUUGAAUGUAGAGGCAGAGCAUGGACUUGGGGUCAAGUUUGACUUGUAAAAAAUUAGGAAUUGAAUGGCUAAUACGUUCAAUUAUUUAUUUAUUUAUUUAUUUUUGUCCGAGCCAUUCAAUUCCUAAUUAUUUAGAUUUUCAAUCCAGUGAGCAUCCACAAUCAUGCUCUCUAUUUUUAAGUUAAAUUUUAGCUAAAAACAUAUAAAAGUUAUUUUAGGAGCUCUCUAUAAAAUUUAAACUUCAAUCGUUUUCUCUAGUUUAGGGAGUCAUAAAUGCCAUAACUCUUUUUUGAUUGGUCUAUCUCUAUUAAAAAAUAAAAUAAAAAAUAAUUAGCAUUAAAUAAAGAUUUGAAAUACUCAUUAAAUAAAGCAACAUUAAAUUAUAGGGAGCCACUAGGAGUCCUUUCUCUCUCCUCAAGUUUAGGAGCUCCUAGAGGUCUCCCUAUUUUAAGAGGUGGAUAGGGAGUAUGGUUGGAAUUGUAUUUUUACAAUUCCUCCCUAAAAUUUGUCUAAGGAGGUGGUUUAGGGAACCCAUUGUGGAUGCUCUCAUCUCAAAGAAAGAAAACCUCAAGUUUGCAAGCAAGUUUUCUACGUAUGUAUAUAUGAAAAAAUGAUAUGAAAAUAAUAAAUCCAUAUUUUUAUGUAAGCCAACUUUCUAAAUCCAUGUACUAUAUUUAUUAGGGAAAUAUUGGAGAAACUGAUUAUUUUGAAAAAUUAAAUGUGAAAAACUGAACAAAAAUUUGACAGGUUACAUAUUUCAACUCAUUCAGCAGCUUAGGUUGUGAAGACCUAAGCAACAAAUCUGCUACUGGGGUGUUGGGGUUUUCUACGUCAUGUGGAGCUUCAUUGCUGCAUCCUUCCACUUCCAUUAUGUGUUGUUCUGAUUCUAAGUGAUGAGGGUAUUAUUGGCACCAUAAUAAACAAAUCAUUUCAAGAUGGUUCCUUCAAAAAUUUAGAAAACAUGCAUCACGAAAUUUUUUAGAAAACAUGCAUCAUGAAAAAAUUACGUGAACAAUAUACUUACACCAUGGGAUCACUCCCACAUAUUGUAACACCCCGACUCCAAAUUAAAUGAUUAUUUUAAUCGAUUUUUAUAAAAUUACGAAUUUACCCUUGGGAUAGGGGUAACUUGGUCACUUUCUUCUUCGGAAGGAUUUUUGGACCAUGAGUGGUAUUUCUGGGUAGUUGGUACCGAGACGAAUUCGUAGACAUGCGGUAGGCUUGAAUCGGGGUUGUAACGAAAAAGUUACGGGCAAAAUAGUGUCAGUGGCAAACUUGUAAAUAUUUCGAAAAGGGUUAGGGUAAAAAUCAGAUUUUUCCAGUUUUACCUCACUUUCUCUCUCUUCCUCCCGAUUCUCUCUCUCUCUCCCGCGUCUCUCUUCCUUCUCCGAUCUGCAGAUCGCAGAGCCGCCGCCACAGGCCACGGCUAGCCCCGAGACCGGACCCAAAACGAUCGGCCAAACCUCGCCGACGUCCCCCGACCCAUCUCCAGCCGCCAGCCGCCGCCUCGUCGCCGGAAACCACGGAUUUCAGGCCGAUUCUUGUCUGAGCUUCCAGUCGAUCGUUCUCUCUCCUCCGAGCACUAUUUCAGACGGGUGAGGUAUGGUUUCUCAUCCAAUUUUUGAGUUCUAGCUGAUGAUGGUAUAGGUUUUCAUUGAUUUUGAGUCUAGAAAACCGAUUAGGAAUCUAGGUUUUGGGCCGAAUUUCAAAAUGAAAUUCUGGCCAGUUGCCGGCCGAAUUGGAGCUUCUCGUAGUUGAAUGAAGUGAUCCUGACCUCGAGUAGAAGCUAGAGUAGGAAGGGUGAGCUCGGGUGUGGAGUUUUUCCGUCACCGGAAUUACUCUGCACACCCACGCGCUGCCGGCGCGUGUGGCGGUGCGUGGGCGAGUCUGGUGAGGAUGUAAAUUGACCCGAUGAGAUCCUUAGGUUGUCACGAGCGCAUAGGAAUUCGCGGAUCUCGAUUCGGAUGUCGUUUGGCUAUUGAAACGGAUUUUCGCAUAUUGUGCGUUAUCCGGGUUCGAUAGGUUCCGACCGUUAGAUCUUUCCCAAAUUAAAAUAUGUUGUUCUAGGUAUUCCUAGGACCGUAUGGGACUUCACGAAUUCUGAAUCGGAGCCCCGGAUGUUCCGAUUCAAAAAUGCAAAGUUUGCGGGUUAGCGAUAACCGUAAAAUCGUGAACGCUUCCUAAACCUGUAAUCGGACCUUAGGGUACCAUCUUCGACGUGCACGUAUGGGAAUUUGGGGAGUUAAGCAUUUAAUUUGUAAUUUCCGCUUAGACGUGGUUUUUAUAUUAAUUAACGGUUCGUAUUUCGAAAUAGGUAUUUCGACUGCACGCACGCAGCAAGCAGGACCUUCACGUGGUCAGGCAGCGAGGGAAUACUUGUGAGUGGACUUUGUUUUAAUCAUAUGCCUGGUUUUAAUUAAUGAAAGAUUUUGCAUAAUGUUUUAAUGGCUUCUGGAUUUUAUGUAUUAUAUGCAUGAAUUAAUUUCAAUGGGUGUAUAGCAAUUGGCAAUAUAUUAUGAGUUUGGCCUUUUGGGUUUUGAGAGUGUAUUUCAUGUAUAGAUUGGGGAAGUAUAUUUUGAUAUAUAUAUAUUCUUUUAGAGGAGAUAUUUGGGUUGUUGGAGAGUGAUAUGGAAGAAUGUGAUUAGAGAGGAGUUGUGGGAUUACACUACGUAAGUACCUUCCCCGGUUACUAGUCUCACUCGCGGCGUUGGAUGUUCCGGCGGGUGAGACACUUUCCGUAUGCGGCGCUGGAUGUUCCGGCGUACGGAAAGACUGUGUAUAGAGUUUAGGGUCAUCACCAUGGCGUUGGAUGUUCCGGUGUGUGAUGAUCCAGUCUGCGCGCGUAGGACAUAGUUUGAGAGCUACACAUGGCGUUGGAUGUUCCGGUGUGGGAGCUUUGGAGUUUCGUCCCCCGGUUGGACCGCUCAUCCCUAAACGCAGGAUAGCACCUGGAAAUCCUGCGGACUAGUCAAACGAUCCCCCAGUUGGAUUGUUUUCCCCGGUACCUAAGUGGUGUGAUGAGUAUAUCAUAUAGCUAUUUAUAGUUAUUUAUAUAUAUAUAUUUAUGUGUAUAUUUAUUGAAUAUGUAUAGUUGAGUGUGAAAGGAAUUGGAGUUUGUUUAAUAGUUGAUAGGAGUGGUGAGUUUGAGAGAAUGGGGUUCUUUUUGAAAGAGAUAACUGAUGUUUUUAGAUGAGUUUUACUGAAGCAUAUUUUGAGUAAUUUCUUAUUGAAUUGUGAACCUGCAUGACUUGAGCAUUAUUUUACAUGGUGGGGUUACUAUGUUGUUUUUAACUGCAAACCUGGUUUUUGUCCACUCACAUGUUUUCUGUUUUGCGCCCCCCCAGCCAGUAGUUGCUCUUGGAAGUGCAAGUGGUGUACGAAGCGGAAUCGGUGCAUCUUUCUAAUUAGGAAUUGUGUAAAUUCUUCUACUCAACUGUUCUUGUAAUCUAAAUUCAGUAGAUGCUCUGUAUUUGCCAUGGUAGAUUUUACUUGUGAGGCCGGAGGCCACUCUAGUAUGACUUAUGUAUGUAUGAAAGCAUGCUGCUGGUUGGGAUUAGUAUUACUGUGUGUGCAGGUUGAAUAAAUUUUGUUGGGUUUGUUUAAAUUGCAGGGGAGACUCUGCCAAAAUUUUGGUAGAAAGUCUCGAUUAUUUAGUAGUGGGCCCGGCAUCAGGAUGAUGUCGGGAUCAAGACGGGGUCCGCCUCGGUCAACGGGAAAUUCCGGGGCGGGUCUUGUCACAUAUUUGAACACAUAACACGUGUUCAAGGUUAUAUAUUUCAUUACCUUCACAAUAGGUACCAAACCGUACCAUGGGAACAUUCAUAUACGCACAACAUACUUAUAACAUACUUACACUCGUGUAUAUUUGAACACAAGAAGACGUGUGCACCACCGUGCACGGUUCACAUGAAGUAAGAAGAUGAAGAGGAAAUAAAGAAGAAUACAAAAGAAAAUGGAGAUGAGAAGAAAAAAAAAACACGAAUAAUGAAAAAUGAGUUGACAAUUAUAUAUGGUUGACAUUAGAUGUAAUAUUAUAUGUAAUAACUAAUGAUCUAAAAUAAACAUUUAAUCUAUUCACUCGUUUCGUGUUUACUCCUGUGAUGGAAGGGCAAAGUUCCCCAUUGCCUUGAAAACCAUUGACUGGUCAACAAGACAACUUUCUUUGGUGUGCGAGCGUGCCACUACUAGCAAUAAAAAACAUAGCAGACUUCUUUGAAAUAUAUAACUUGCGUCCUAAGUUACUAAUUUCUAAACAAGCGAUCGUGAAUUUGGGUGAGGAAUAUCUCCCAAGUAAGUUCUUUUCUUGCCUCAGACUGGUGAGGACUUCACAAUUUAUCUUAGUACAAGAUUGGUAGUUUUGGCCAGAAUAAAUGAUAAUAAAGUGGACUUUUUUAGGCAGAACUGCCUUUUACAAAACUAGAAAGGAAAAGAUCAACUCUAGAAAGACAAAAAAAUGGCUGAAAUUCCAUUUCUGCCUGGAUAGAAGCUUCUGAUCCGGGCUGGACUGGGUAUGUUUGUUCUGGACUGAAUUGUCAACAACUUCAACUACUAAGCUUCAGCUGUAAAUCGAUACCAAAGUUUGAGUUUGGCAGAGUUUUAAUAUAUUUCAAGCCCUGGAAGGCUUUUCGAACGGGCAGAACUGCAACUUCUUUGGUCUGAACGGGGCAGAAGUGGCUGGACUUAAGGAUUACUAAGCCGGAACUGCACUAUGGUACCUGUUCUGCUUGAUCCGGGCUCUCUAUAAAUUUGUUGAGGUUUCCAUAUUUGUGAAAACUCAAACUCGGCUUGUCUUGGCUUUUGCUGAACCAAAUUUGUAACGCGAGAAGUCUCGUUUUGAAUGACUUAUUUAUCUGAGUAUGAACUUGGAAGUUCGAUCUAUAGCUGGCUUCUUUUGUGGCUCGAAUGAGUUUUUGGUUGCUCUAGUUUGUUUUGAAGGUUCUCAAUGAUCAAGUGAUCAUUUUGAGUUUUUGCCUUUGGUUGAUUUUUGAUUGUUUGAUUGAUUGUUGAAAAAUGAGUGUGUUUUGCUCUGUUCACCCUCUCCUAUAUUUAUAAGAAAUGCUUUGGAGUAGGGUUUCUAAUUUUUUAGAAAUCGGCGGCAGAUUUUCUCAAAAGAUCUUUCAUUUUUUAAAAUGUAAAGAAAUAGGGGUUUUAUCAAUUCUGGUAGAUAAGCUCUCAAUGGUCAGUUUCUUUAAGUCAAUCACUUCUCUGUUUUUUGAAAGAAAACUUAAUCCCUCUUUAAUUCCAACUGCCCCUUGUGAGAGCUCAAACUGUGAUGGUUAGUUUGAUUUUCCAGUUUAAACAACUUCCUGUUUCAUGCUUUAUCUUUUUUUAGAAAACACAGUCUGCGUAUCCUGAAAGAUGGUGCCUUCUUUGGAGUAUAAACAAUAUCUCUGAAUAUAUAAAAGGGUUUUGAUCUUCUGGUGGCAGAGAUUUCAGAGACAUCCCUUCUUUUCGCCUGCCUCUGUCAACUCUUUAUUAACCUAGUUGAAAUUGUUGACUUUCCUAAAUCAGAGAAAAAGAUUCACUUUGGUAUGUUUCCUUUUGGGCUCCUUCUUCUCUUUUAAUAUGCCCAAACCCUUUUGUUUUUCCUGGAGCCAUGAGCUGAUUGCUCUUUUUUUCUUUUUUCGAGGCCCAAGUUUAUUUGCAGAGUCCAGACUGCUUGGGCCCUGUGGUUUGUCUUUGUUGUUUUUGGGCUGGGUGUGUCAAAUUAGGCCCAAACAAAGUCAAACAAUAAUUAAAAGAUUUGACAAUAUAAAAAUAUAUUGAGAACAAAAAAAGGCAAAAACUUUUGAAAAAUGGAAACAAUAAAUAUGAAUUGAGUCAUCAACUCACCAAGGUAAGUUUGCUGAUGUGUAAAAAUAGUCAAUGGACUACAUCGAAAAAUAAUUGGCUUACAUCAAAAAUUAAAAUCACGUGGUUUAUUCUUAAGAAACCUUAAUAUUUUUGGGUUCAUAUAUUUUUUGUAUUUUAAAAAAAAAGAAAAAAAAAAUCUGACCAUGUAUGUAUGAUGAUGAUAUGCAUGUUAUUUUUAGACCUAAGGUAAAACAAACAAACUUUUUACUCCAUUUUUCGUGAGGUUUAUCAAAAGAAUUAAACUGUUAUAUCCUCCAUUUUAGAUUUCAUGCUUCCAUUUAAAGAAAAGAAUAUCAACAACAAAAAAAGAAUAAAGUUACAACAUUGAUCAAUUCAAAUGUCCAACUAUCGGAUCAUGAGCCUCUGCACUUAGAGACUACGCAUUUACCCGUAUUUCGUUAAAUUUAGACCAUUAUAAUAAUCUAACCCCUUAGAAUGGGACACAUCAUCAAGUUUUUUUUCCUUUCACUAAACAGAAGAGUUAAGUUUUAUUUGUGGGUAACUAAACUCUUGUUUAGAGCAUGUUUUUUAUUUAUUUUUCUUUGUUCUGUGUAAAUUAUAAUAGGUUAGAUUAUUAUUUGUGGGUGACUAAAAUCUUGUUUAACAAUAAUAGUUAACGUUUGUUUAGAGAAGAAAAAAAAUUUGAUGAUGUGUCAUGUUCUAAAGGGUUAGAUUAUUAUAAUGGCCUAGAUUUAGCGAACUGUAGAUAAACGCGCAGUGUCUUAAUGCAGAGGCUCGAGAUCCCCAACUAUCAUUGAAACAUAAGAAACUAAAAUCUUCAAGAAAAUGCUAUCAAUUGAAAAAACAAUAAUUAAAAAACAAAAAAAGGAAGGGAAUUCGCAGCUGCUAUGCAAAAAAGAGCAAGUCGGUUCAAUGAUUUUUUCUUCUUCUUCUUUUUGUUAUGGAAAUGAAAAGCUAAAUGAUGGGCUAUAUAUGGGAAGAAGCUCAAUGAUUGAAUUAAUAUCUUCUAUCUACAUUCUACCCUCUUCCUCGCUACAUACACAAAUGGUGCACGUACAUGGACAUGGGUUGACAUGAAUAAGAACAGCGACGCGUACUUGUUUUUAUUUUUGGUUCUUUAGAUCCAGUUGCACGUACCAAAGAAAGAAAACCACAGGUAUGCAAUGCAAGCUCUUUUCCCAUGUUUUCCUCUGUUUUCUCCUAUUUUUCUCUCUUUUUUAAAAAAAAAAAAAAAGAUAUACGGAAGUGAUUAAAAUACUCCUCUAACUAAGCUUGUUUUGCGUUCGGUGGCCGACUGUAAAAGCUCUGCUCAAACCUAACGUACUAGGUAUUUAUUUUAUUGCUCUGUUCAGACCUAGUGAUUAAAAUGCACUUGCGAUUUUGUGUUUCAAUUCCCUCUCCCCUAAUAUUGCUUGUAUAAAAAUAAAAACUUUUAAAAAGACAUUAAUAUUGUAUUCUAUAUUCUAUAAAGUGUUGGACAUGUUUUAUAUUGUUGACAACCCCCUAAUAUUUUGGUGGUGCCCAGUUAUAUUCAAUUCGUAUGUAUUUAAUUUGCCACUUACAUUCUUGCCUUAAUACAUUUAGGCUUAUUUUUAUACAAAUUUCUCUAACAUAACUUUUGCACAUUCUUUUAGUCUCUAAUAUAUAUAUAUAUAUAUAUAUACAGAGAGCUUCCAUUGAGGGAUCCCUCAAAUAAACUUAUUUGAGGGACACUCCUUGUAGGCCCCACUCCGAAUUGUAUUUCACUAAUACAAACCGUCUAUUUUGUAGAUACUCAUUCAAAGAUCAUCUCUACAAAAAAUCACUUGAAUCCGAUAUCAUUUGACCACUCAAUUAAGUUAUUGAAAUUUUAGCAUUUUCUUGAAGCACCGUGUUCAUUGAUUUUGUAAGACACAAUUGGAUGUCGAAACGGUUUCCGAUUUGUCUAAUUUUUUGUAAGGAUGAUCUAUGAAUGAAAACCUAAAAAAUAGGUAGUUUGGAUCAUUGAGAAAAAAAUUGUAUGGUACCUUAAAGGGCGUCCCUCAAAUAAAAUUAUUUGAGGGAUCCCUCAAUAGAAGGGGACUGUAUAUAUAUAUAUAUAUAUAUUUUCUAAUAAAUAAUCUUACCCAUUUGAGUUAUCAGCUAUUUUCUUUUAGCCCGGAAAAUCGACAUUUUGACAGAGAGUUGAAAAGAACUCCCCAAUUUUAAUGUCAGCCACUUGAAAAAAAAAACAUAAAUUUAAUGACAACAAUUACAUUUAGCAAUGCAACCUAAAAACUCAACCUUUGCGCCCCUUUCACAACGUAGAUAGCAGAGUAAGGAUAUUCGGAUAAGAACCAAGACAUAAGCCAGAGAAACUACGAUAGCCAACCAGGGCCUUCAUUUCUUACCAUCUGAACAAUGCCACCAUUUUGUUUGGUAAGUAUUUAAUAACAUUUCUUGCUCUUCAUAAAGUAAUAUUAAAACGAAAUUUGCCUAAAUUUUUCUUACCAACAAUGCAUACGAAAAAAAAAAAGGAAGAUUCACUAUUAUACUCAAUAUAGGAGCCCAAAUUAUUUAUAAUUAAAAAAAAAACCUUACAUGAAAUGGACUUUAGAAACACACUCAAAACCUAUUUACAACAAAACAAAGACUUUUAACUUCUUUUAAAUUACAAAACUAUCAUUGAUUUCUUAAACAAACCCAACCCCAAUACCUCAUAAAAAAACCCAAAAUACUUGAUAAAGCAUCAAAGUAAUUUAAUAAUCAAAAUUAAAUUCAAUAGGACCAGCAGUUAUUUUUUGGGUUUUUUUUGUUUGUUUAUAGAAAUUAAAUGGUGUAGGAUCUAUCUAUAUUAUUAGUGCUAAGAAUGGAUAUGUGACUAAAUAAUUCCAAAAAAAAAUUAUAAUAAAUCUACAAUUUUUCUUUUUAUAAAAAAAUUCUACAAAAAUUUAUUAGAUUAAUAGGCACUACUAGAAAAUCUCCAUAUAAGCCACUAAUACACCCAUGACAGUUGUCCAAGCGUAGUGUUGUCAUUCAAUAUUCCCCACAGCAACCAGCAUCCAAUAAAGGGUUGCCUCUCUGUAUGUAGCUAUUUGAGAAUAUAAAAGAAAUAUUUUUUAUUCAACAUGGACGCAGAAACUGUUGCUAAACUGCAAACUUCUUAAAAUAUUUAUCUAACUUUCUAGAUCCAUGUACUGAGAUUUAUUAGGGAAAUAUUGUAGAAACUGAUUAUUUUGAAAUAUUAAAUGUGAAAAACUGAACAAAAAUUUGAUGGGUUACAUAUUUCAACUCAUUUCAGCAGCUUAGAUUUUGAAGACCUCAGAAGAGGCUAUGCAAUGAGCCUAGCUAGUGCACUGUUGAUCACUUCAGUGUUUACCGAUCUGUAAUUUUUCCAGAUUGGUUAUAUUUUCCUUUACAUAUUCUUAUAUUUUCCCAGUUGGGGAGACUUAUAAAUAAGGGAAAUAGCCCUAAAUGCCACCAAUUUUAUAAUUUUUUGUCAAAAUACCACCCCUCCCCAAAAUUUUUAAAACUACCACCUAUAAAUACAUCUUUAUUGUAAAUUAAUUGCACCCAUAUCACUUUUUCAGAAAUUGGGUUCUCCCUCAACUCUCUUGGCUCUGUCUCUCUCUUUAGCCUAGCUCUCUCUCUCUCUCCGACAUAGUCAUCUUCCUCCCUCAGCCAUCCAAGCUUAACUCCACAGUUCACAUCCACGAGGUACUGUUCACGUUCCUUUUCUUAGAAAUUUGGGGUUUUUGUGAAUUUGGUUUAUGAUGUAUGGAUUUGUAUGAAAUUGGUUUAGGGGUUUCUUCCAAAUUGGUUUGGUAAGAAGGUGAUGUUGUUGUUGCUGUCACUGACAGACUAUUUUUCCUGGGUUGUGGUUGGUGGGUGUUACUGCGAAUGCUUACAAGGUUGCUGAUUCUCCUUCUAAGGUCUCUCUUUCUCUCUAUUUCUACAAAUUCUAAGGUUUUUUUUUUUUUUUGGGUUACUUUUUUUUUUUUUUUUAUUUCUUUUGCUAAUUGUAAUUGGGCCUUUGUUGCAGAGGUGGAUUUGUUUUGUGCCCAAAAGAUUGUGACUUUGUUGAAAGUUCGUAAAUAGAAAAGGCAGCUGCCCCCUGCGGCUUGGAACGCUCAAUUCGGAGGUAUUAUGCCUUGAAUUUUUACAAAAGAAGAAUUGAAACUACCUUAUAGAAGGCAAAACAAAAAUAUAUAAGAGGAAAAAAGGAGAAAAUUUAUCUAAUUUCCCUUUUUUUAGUUGUAUUUUUNNNNNNNNNNNNNNNNNNNNNNNNNNNNNNNNNNNNNNNNNNNNNNNNNNNNNNNNNNNNNNNNNNNNNNNNNNNNNNNNNNNNNNNNNNNNNNNNNNNNNNNNNNNNNNNNNNNNNNNNNNNNNNNNNNNNNNNNNNNNNNNNNNNNNNNNNNNNNNNNNNNNNNNNNNNNNNNNNNNNNNNNNNNNNNNNNNNNNNNNNNNNNNNNNNNNNNNNNNNNNNNNNNNNNNNNNNNNNNNNNNNNNNNNNNNNNNNNNNNNNNNNNNNNNNNNNNNNNNNNNNGGGGGAAGGGACACCCUAUUUCGUUACAGGGUUUAUUGACUGCAUUCUUCCUUGUUCUAGAAGACCUCCUCAGUUCCAUUGAGCCGACAAACCUUAUGAAGUUGAAUGUGAAGUGUUACCUUGCAUCUACAUGUUUCAUCUUUUAACUUUAUUUUCAUGUUUCACACUGAUGCUUGUAGUUAUUUCUAGUUUUGCAUACAGAUUAGCAAAUAGGUUAUGCAUUUACUGUUUAGUCAUCUAAUGAUUUGAUAUCUAAUAUUUAGGCAUAUGGGAAUUUAUAGAUGUACCGAUUAUGCAUACAUAUAGGUUUUGUGCUUGUAUUAGGAAGUUAGAUUCUUGUGGUUCCUCUUCAAUGGCAUGAAUUUAAAUUGUUGUGCUUCAUGAUUAGGGUCUGAAGAACAACCAUGUAGUAAGAAAGUUGGAGAAACGUCAACAGAUUUGCACCCUUGACCAACAUAUUGAAGAGUAAUUUGGUGGUGGUCGUCUAUUGGCUUGUAUCUCAUCACGACCUAGAUAGUGGCUGUGCUGAUGGGUAUGUGACUUUAUUUGCCUAUGUCUGUUUCUAGUCAGCCGAUAUGUCAUUGGCAUAUUAGUGUAGUUACCAUAUUGCAAGGGCUGAAAUCUGGAUGAUAACAGCUUCUUUUUAUUGUUGUUUUAAAGUGAAGUAUGUAUGGAUCUUAUGAAAUUUUUACAGAAAUAUAUUGGAGGGCAAAUAAUUUUAUUUUAGUUUUUUUAUUCCCAAAUGAUACCCAAAACAUGUAAGCUUCACACUAUGUUAAUUUCUGCAGGAUGGGAAAACAUUGGACAAUGAGUUGGAGGUUGUUAAGGGAAUGAAGCUAGACAUGGGCUACAUAUCCCCUUAUUUCAUCACCAACCAGAACAAUUAGAAAUGUGUAAGUUUUGGUUUGAUUCAGGGAUGACUAUGUCUUGAAACUGUUAGAGGGCUGCUUGUUAAAGUUAGUAGCACCUCAAGUCCCUUUUUUAUUGAUGCUGAUUAUCUUCAAACUUGUGUAUGUGCUGAUAGGAAUUGGAAAAUCCUCUAAUCAUAAUCCAUGAGAAGAAAAUCUCAAGUAUUAAUGCUGUGGUUAAAGUAUUGGAGUUGGUCUUGCAGGUUAUCAUUUCUCUGGUUAGGUUCACUAGUUUCUUCUUUUUUAUCAUGAAUUGGUUGACAAACUUUUGCUCUUUUUCAAAAGCAAAGGUCUUUGCAUUUUGUUAUAUCUUUCAGAACCAAAGUUAUAAAAGAAAAUGGUUUUCCUCUUUGUUAAUUGAGAAUCAUCUGCAGUUAUGAUUUCAGAUCUAUAGAUAACUUGUUGUUGCUGAUAUUGCUACACGGGAGGAGAAUAGAACAGCUUGAAAAAUGUGCAAGAAGAGAGAGCUAACUCAUACACCGAAGAACAAAUUGGUGAAGUUAAGAUCAAAUUAGUAGAAUUUGUGAGCUCUCCAUUAUUUAUAAUUAUAGGUAGGAAGUAUGUAUGUAAUAGAGUAAAGAUUGGUUGACUAUGUAAUAACAAUUGAAUUUUCAAGUUUUAUGAAAGAAAUAAUUUUUGAGCAUAUAUAUUUGUUAAUAAAGCAUUAUAAUUGGUUUUCUAGUUAAAAUCGUUGUAUAGAAUCGUAGGAAACAAAAACCUAAAUAUAACAGCUUGGGAACUUAUUAGACGACAGAUUUAAAGAUAAUAAAAUGUAGUCUGAAUUGUUAGGGUUCGGUGGCGAUUUAUUUUGCAUGUCUAAAUUGUAGUCUGUAAUAUAUGUGUGUGUAUUGUAUGUAGAUUGACUUAAUAUUGCUAUCCUAUUGCAUGCGUAUUGUACUAAUAUUGCCUUUGUAUUGCAUACAUAUUGUAUGCAUAUUGCCACCCUAUUGCAUGUAUAUUGUGAUGUUAUUGCUGUUGUAUUGCCGUUAUAUUGCCCUAAUAUUGCCUCUCUAGUGUAUGUAUAUUGGCCUAAUAUUGCCAUUAUAUUGUAUGUAUAUUGACUAUGACUCAUCAAUGGGUUUACGGUUUAGGCCCUACUUCAUUCAAAAAGAAGACGACGACGAGAAAGAAACAAUGUGCCUUUCAAAAACAAGCAGUCAGGUGCAUUAUAAUUGCACCGUAAGACAUUGUAAGAAAUUAUUUUAAAAGAUAAUAACAACUAAAAAAUAAUUUACCAAAAAAGGAAGGUAUGAAUAAAUAUGCAAAUGCUUCGUCAUGGGUUGAAGAAAAGGAUGAUUACAUUUGGUGGUUUGAUUAUGUUUGGUGAUAUGAUAUGUUGUUCGUCUGAAUCUUCAUAUAUGUAAUUGUUAUGUUAAUACUUGACACAAAUUCAUCUCGUAAUCAUCCAAUUAUUAAAGCUAAGUAAAUGAAAUGAAACAAAAGAAGAAGCCCAAAAUAAACAGAAACAGCAAUUUCUAGCACCCAUUUAUCGCUUCUGUAUUACCACUGUAUCACCAACGUAUCACCAGCUUAGCGUUGAUGACCAUUAGUUCAAACAUUAUGUGAUCUAAUAGGGAUAACUAAUUUUUGGAACAACUAAUGAAUCUUCAAAAAGAUAAAGAACAACUAGUAAACUAAUGUAUGCAGUUUAACUUUGCACGGGUCAUAGUGCUCAACAUGAUAUUUGGCAACCAUCUCUACACUUGGUGUAUAUUGCAGGCUUCUAUGCAUUCCAAACCUUCAUUCUUCUGUGAUAAAACUGUUAAAUUACCAAGAUUUCUAACACAUGGAAGUAAACAAACGAAUCUGCACAUUUAUUUGUACAUACACACUGCGUAUUGCACAUCUGCGCAUCUAUUAAUCACCACACCAAUGUUUCAAAGAUUGAUUCAGAGGGCAAAAUGAUUGAUUACAUAUUUCAAAUUAGUCAUCUGCUCAUAAGAACUUGGCCCUAAAACUGUACUAAUGGUAAAUAUACUGACAUAAUAGCUAUUAAUGAAAAAUUCUAAACAAACGAGGGACUUAUUUUUCUAAUAUUGUAGUGGAAGCAUGUUAAGUGAUUUUCCACAUUUGUUCAUGGGGGUAAAGUAUAUCUUACCCCUUUCUAAACAUUAUGAGGUUUCAAAUUUCAAUAACAACAGAAUGCUAAGCAGAAAAGUAGAAUUGCUACAUAAAUUACUUAGAAGGAACAAAGUCAAAACUAAUUUGACAAAUCUUAAGAAAGCUGUAUGCUUCACUAAGUCAACUAACAGAUUCCCAGUGCAGGAAAUGAAAUAUACCUAUAUCACAUAAAUUGCAAAGAAAACCACAGAGACUAAAUGUUAACAAUGGAUACAAAAAUGAGUAGAAUUCAGUGGAAACGAACACAUCGUUUCAAACAAGUAAAUUGUUAUAUGUCCAUAAAGAGCAACUAUGUUUAUAUAUGGAGGUGUACGAAAUAGUUCAACUUCAAAAUGGAAACAGUUUAUGUGCCAUGUAAGGCAAUGAACAUAUAACAAGGUGAGUCUUCAACAAAUUAAAAGUAGACAAUUAUUUUCAAACAAUCUGACAGCUGCCCGAGAAAACUGAGGGAGUUAAGGCAUGAGAUGCAAACAUGAUAAACACUGUUAAGCACUCGGACGAACCCAUGCUAUAAUACAAGCCAACAGACAAUCACCACCACCAAAUUGCUCUUCAAUAUGUUGGUCAAUGGUGCAAAUCUGUUGAUGCUUCUCCAACUUUCUUACUACAUGGUUGUUCUUCAGACCCUAAUCAUGAAGCACAACAAUUUAAAUUCAUGCCAUUGAAGAGGAACCACAAGAAUCUAACUUCCUAAUACAAGCGCAAAACCUAUAUGUAUGCAUAAUCGGUACAUCUAUAAAUUCCCACAUGCCUAAAUAUUAGAUAUCAAAUCAUUAGAUGACUAAACAGUAAAUGCAUAACCUAUUUGCUAAUCUGUAUGCAAAACUAGAAAUAACUACAAGCAUCAGUGUGAAACAUGAAAAUAAAGUUAAAAGAUGAAACAUGUAGAUGCAAGGUAACACUUCACAUUCAACUUCAUAAGGUUUGUCGGCUCAAUGGAAUUGAGGAGGUCUUCCAGAACAAGGAAGAAUGCAGUCAAUAAACCCUGUAACGAAAUAGGGUGUUCNNNNNNNNNNNNNNNNNNNNNNNNNNNNNNNNNNNNNNNNNNNNNNNNNNNNNNNNNNNNNNNNNNNNNNNNNNNNNNNNNNNNNNNNNNNNNNNNNNNNGAUAUGAAGAAACAAAAUGAAUCUCCCACAAGCCUAACAGGCUAAUACCAUUAACAAGGUCUGAAAUUGACUCUAUAUCAUGUACAUAUAUAUAUAUAUAAACUCCAUCUUUACAUAUUGGAACUACAUCAAUGUAAACCAACUAGAUCGACCCUGCAUCCUGAACACCACCCCCCCUCCCAAAAAAAAGACCGAGAAAAAAAAAAUACAACUAAAAAAAGGGAAAUUAGAUAAAUUUUCUCCUUUUUUCCUCUUAUAUAUUUUUGUUUUGCCUUCUAUAGGGUAGUUCCAAUUCUUCUUUUGUAAAAAUUCAAGGCAUAAUACCUCCGAAUUGAGCGUUCCAAGCCGCAGGGGGCAGCUGCCUUUUCCAUUUACGAACUUUCAACAAAGUCACAAUCUUUUGGGCACAAAACAAAUCCACCUCUGCAACAAAGGCCCAAUUACAAUUAGCAAAAGAAAUCAAAAAAAAGUAACCCAAAAAAAAAAAAAAAAAACCUUAGAAUUUGAAGAAAUAGAGAGAAAGAGAGACCUUAGAAGGAGAAUCAGCAACCUUGUAAGCAUUCGCAGUAACACCCACCAACCACAACCCAGGAAAAAUAGUCUGUCAGCGACAGCAAAAACAACAUCACCUUCCUAUCAAACCAAUUUGGAAGAAACCCCUAAACCAAUUUCAUACAAAUCCAUACACCAUAAACCAAAUUCACAAAAACCCCAAAUUUCUAAGAAAAGGAACGUGAACAGUACCUCGUGGAUGUGAACUGUGGAGUUAAGCUUGGAUGGCUGAGGGAGGAAGAUGACUAUGUCGGAGAGAGAGAGAGAGAGCUAGGCUAAAGAGAGAGACAGAGCCAAGAGAGUUGAGGGAGAACCCAAUUUCUGAAAAAGUGAUAUGGGUGCAAUUAAUUUACAAUAAAGAUGUAUUUAUAGGUGGUAGUUUUAAAAUUUUUGGGGAAGGGUGGUAUUUUGACAAAAAAUUAUAAAAUUGGUGGCUUUUAGGGCUAUUUCCCUAUAAAUAAACCCAAAAUGGGUACAGUAUCUAUACAGAAGGACAAAAUUAAAGUGUUUGGACAAUAAUGCCCCUAUUCAUUUUGGGAUUGCCUAAGGAAUCCUUUUCCUGAUUUUCAAUGAUGCCAAAGGACUGUUGUUUGAUGCUUGCCGUAUGGAGCUAAGAAAACUUGCUUUGUGUUAUAAAAAUAACCUGGAAUAUGUACGAAUAUUGAGCUGCACGAAAAGUAGAUGAAACACAGCAUUUAACGAGGUUCGGCUAUGCCUACGUCCUCGGAGAGCAACAGCAGUAACUUUUUCACUAUAUGAAAUAAUAGGGCUACAACUUUAGAGUUUACAAUAUGUGAGGCUCACUGAAUUUUCUCUCUCUUUCUUCUUCUCUCUUUUCUUUCUUCUUUUUCUCUUCUCCCCUUUCUUUCUUUUCUCCGUUGGUCACACUCCCCUUUACAAUUGGUAUGCCUAUUUAUAGGCUAAUGUUUAGGCAAAAUACAGGGAAGGGAAGGUUCCUGGAAGAUGCAAGGAAACUUCCUGAAUUGAUAAUGUCACACCCCGGACCGACUCCGCCGUAGCACGAUAUUGUCCGCUUUGGGCCCUCCUCUCACUGCCCGCACGGUUUUGUUUCUGGGAGCUCACGAAGCAACUUCCCAGGGUGGUCACCCAUCCUGGGAUUGCUCCAGCCUCCCACUCGCUUAACUUCGGAGUUCUUACAACUCCGAAGCCAAUGAGCUCCCAAAAGGCCUCGUGCUAGAUGGAUGCGGGUGUGCCAUAUAAGGCACAUCACCCCCCUCUCCGUUGGUUUGAUGUGGGAUCUUACAAUCCACCCCCCUUAAGGGUCCGACGUCCUCGUCGGCACACUCGCACCACACGGCAGAGUGGCUCUGAUACCAAAUUGUCACACCCCGGACCGACUCCGCCGUAGCACGAUAUUGUCCGCUUUGGGCCCUCCUCUCACUGCCCGCACGGUUUUGUUUCUGGGAGCUCACGAAGCAACUUCCCAGGGUGGUCACCCAUCCUGGGAUUGCUCCAGCCUCCCACUCGCUUAACUUCGGAGUUCUUACAACUCCGAAGCCAGUGAGCUCCCAAAAGGCCUCGUGCUAGAUGGAUGCGGGUGUGCCAUAUAAGGCACAUCACCCCCCUCUCCGUUGGUUUGAUGUGGGAUCUUACAGAUAAAUACAGGGAAGGAAAGUUCCUGGAAGAUGCAAGGAAACUUCCUGAAUUGAUAAAUACAGGGAAGGGAAAGUUCCUGGAAGAUGCAAGGAAACUUCCUCUGUGGGCUCCACCUUCAAACUUUUACAACACUCCCCCUUGGAGACCACAAAUGAUAUGAAAUAUGCCUCGUUAAAAACCUUGCCAGUAAAAACCCAGUGGGACAAAAACUGGUCGAAGGGAAAAAGAGUACAUAAUCACGUGUAACAUAAAAUUCUGUGUAUAUUGACGCGCGUGCGACACUGCCUCGUUAAAACCUUGCCAGGAAAAAUCUAGUGGGAUAAAAACCUGGACGAAGGAAAAAGAGUACAGUGUGUAAGGGUCUGUAUUGACAGCACGCUCCUCCUGAUGCUUGGCAAAAUAUCUUUAAGCCAUACUGUUGAUCAUCUGUCUGAAUAUCAUAGUUGACACUGCUGCUGUGAGUCAAUAGUGUAUGAAGGUCUUUAUUAAUACCAUGCUCCCCCUGAUGAAUAUCUCCCCCUGAAAACUUCAUGACUAGCUUUUUCCAGUAAGCGACCAUAGAGAUUUCCUGAGUCCGCAUAUCUUAGAACACUUGGGCUAUUUAUAAGUUCACUAAAAAAAUAUGCCCGUAUAUGGUGUUAUGCUUAGAUAGCAUCAAAUAUACCUCACAUCAUCCCAAAAUGAUGGUGAUGGAGUUGAGCCCUAUCUGGAAAAUAUGAUGUCCGGUCCAAUAUACUUCCGGAAAAUCAUUAAAGUGUCCAACGGAUAAUCCUCAUAAAAAUACUUUAAUACUUUCUUAGUAUAAGCAAGAAUCUCGUUGGCAUAAUGCUCGAUCGAGACAAAUAUUUCAUGAAUUCUGCAGAAACUUUAAUGUGUUGCAAUCACAUUAUAAUCAAUGUACUCACUGAGGUAAUUUAUGCAUAUUAAUAUUGAGUACAAAUUUUGUGCUUCAAGCACAUGUCCUUUAAGGACUUGCUUUAUGCAAUAUCAAUCCUCUCAACGGAUUUUGUCUAAAAGGGAUUAAGCUUUAUGACACAUUAUAUAGCUUUUACCCAGCUAUUUAUACAUCUUUAGGAAAUCGCUUCUGGCGAUAUGCUCCGUGCAUUCAAUAACCCUUAAAGAUAAUAUGUUGGUCUCCGUAAUUGUGUAAUAAGGGGGGGCACAAUUGAAUCUGUAAAUAUGGAGAAAACCCAACAUUCCUUGUUUCUGCCAGAAACAGUGUGUCAUACAAAGUAGGUAUAUUCCCUUUUAUUCCGAACACCCAAGUAUAACUUUCAGUAUUAACAAAUUUUGGGGUUCGUAUUGUGGGUUUGUUCUUUCACGUUCAUUCUCAUUUAUAAUGGAAUUACCUCGUUCCAUUUUGGCCAGUGAUAUUGUCGACAUUUAAUAAUUGAACGUGGUUCCAAUCAACACAGCCCAUUGAUGAUUUGAGUAGCUACUCCAAAACCAAAAAUUGUCAUUCAUCAAUUCAUGAUCCCACCAUUCUCAUGUGCAUGCACAUGCAUCAAUUAUAAGCAUUUCUUUGCUUUUUGGUACCCAAGCCACUUCAGGGGGCUUUUAUUAUGUGAGAAUGUGGAUUAUAACCUCCAUCGGAGCGUUAUUUAGUAGUAGGGCGUGGAUAAUCUCCAUUUAGAGAGUUGGAACAUUGAGAACCCAUAUAUCUGUCAUGCUGCAGGCAUGCCACAGAUUAAUACAUACAUGUCAAUUAAUUUCUGGGACUUUAACCCAUAUUAUGGGACUUUAACCCAUAUAAUUUGCUACGCAUUAGGCGUGCAUAAUAUCAAUAUUGACAUGUCAAAGGAUUGUCCUUUCGGGACUUCAAUUCAUAUCAUUUGCUACGCAACAGGCGUGCACCCAUAUUGAUCACUGCUAUACCCAUAUUCUGUUCUUAUGGGACUUUAAUCUGUGCAGUGUAUUAUCAAUGUAUCCAUCUUACAAUCUGUAAAAUUUGCAUUAAUAAUUCAUGGAUACAUACAAGCCAUUCUUUUGGAACAGACUUAUCUCCCAAUUUGGUUACCUUUCAAGAUAAAAUAUCAAAUAGGUAUAUAAGCAUAAAAUAACACAAGUAUUGCUUACAUCCUUAGGUGGGAGAAACUUUUCUCAAGUAUCAUUCAAGCUCAUAUCAGCCCAGUAAAUAUAAUGUAGCGCUUGAUGAUCUAGUUAUAUCCUGCAAGAGCAAAAAUCACAACUCUUUUGCCUCUGUCAAAACAAAUAACCCUCAUAGUUAGGAUUACUUCAUGGAUUCAUUCUUCAUAUGUUCAUUCUAAAGAAAUAAAAUCUCUUAUGAACAGAGAGUUAUAAAAAGAGAAAAAAUGCAAAAAUAAUGUGAUAUUGAUUGCAAGAGAAGGUAAGCAAUCAGGGAAGGAAGCUGGUGGGAGCAGACAAUAAGCUCUCAUAUCUCCUAGUCUAGAAGGACUCCCGGAGAUUAGACCAUAAGAUCGCCUUCACAGUUUCCUGAUGUAGUGGAAACGUGAUCAGGGAUAGUCUUGCUUCCUGAAUGGAUGAUCAGAGAUAGUCUUGCUUCUCAGGCAUAUUGAGUGCUCACUGAUAAGAAAAAUAAGUAGAUAUCUCAUCACUAAGUAUGGAGUAAACUGGAUGUCUUCUGCAAAGGAAAAUUUCGUUUAGUAACACAUUUAUACACAAAUACAAUGAAUAGGUAGAACCGGUAAAUUUCAAAUUAACCAUAGGAAAAUUGCGAGAUUCUCGGGAUACUUUUGAAAAAGUAGCUCCGUGAAAUCCGUAAAGCAAGAUCGGCUUUGAAAAUAAUACUUUGAAAAACGCCGAAAGUGCCGACAUGCAUUAUUAGAGGCCACGUGAAGUUUUGGACUCUGGGAAAGAAAAAGAUAAUAUGGGGAUUCGAGAAGACAUUGGGGUCCUGAAAAGUUGCCACAUUUUCGUCUAUAGAUAUUGCCUUUGCAAACUGCGUUUCAACUCAACUUCCUUCAUUUUCCGAACCUUUAGUUUUUCUAAGACUUUCUUCGAAACCUUCUUAAAAAAAUGGCUUCCUCUUCUUCCUGCCCAAAUUAUUUCAAUUUAAAUGAUGCUCCCACAACAACCAGUGACGCCCAAGUUUGGCGUCCAUCCUUUGUAUCCAAAAAUCGUCAUCUCACAGUUAAUGAUUCUGUGAUGAUGAAUGAUGCUACUGCUGUCAUAGUAGCUAGGAAUUUCAUUACUCCAAUGGAUGAAAUGUUGUUGACAGGGAGAUCAGAGGAAGAGGCUAUUGAUGAAUCAAUGGCUUUUAGCAUUCAGAGUGCUGUUUCUGUUUCUAACAUGGCUGAUCGUUUGCGUGCCAGAGCAAACGAAGUUGAGAAUUUAACAACUGAAAAUUCGUCUCUCCAAAGAAUGCUUCAUGAGUCUCAACAGGAGGUUGAGAAACUUAAAGGAGAGAAUAAUGCCUUGUUGAAACUGGUGAGUUCGUACUCUGUUGAUACAUUGAGAAGGCUAGACAUGCUGCAGGUCUCGAAUGAAAGAAUUUUGGGAGACUAUGAGAAGCUCAUGGCUAAGCUUAAGAGGCGCCGUCAUCUUCCUUCAGAGGCUUCCAGGACAUAAUGUAAUUUUUAUAGAUUUUACAGGGCCUGCACCUUCAUUGCAGGAAAAAAUCUAUCUGUUGUAUGCCCCUUUUCUGUUAUAAUAAUUGCGCAUAUUCUUAAACUUGCACCUGUGGUUUUUACGUCUUUUCAAAAUGACGAUUUGGAACCUUGUGCCUUAUAGGUUCAAAUAACCACAUUGUCUCUCCCAAAUUUCAUAUUUUAUCGCAUGGUAGCCCGGAACUUUUGGCCUGGGCACAAACUCAGAAUUUAUUUGCCCUUUUCAAAUGGACAUGAAAUAUGAAUUGAGUAAAAGCCAUGAUAAUAUCGCAAUAUAGUAGUGAAGAGCAUUAACUACUAUAUACCCACAACUUCAAGUUCAGGAUCUCUCAUAUAUUUGGAUCCAUGGGCUUCCGGCCCAAAUAUAACAAAAUAUGUGGGGAGCCUCAAUUCAUUAUUUGAGGUUUAUAUUAAUAUUAUGCAUUUCGCGGUGUAUUCUUAACAACCGGAAUUCACAAAAUAUAUUUCUUCCUUGAGGUGUCGAUUAUAACAAAAUCGAACUUUAUUAAAUUCAUCAUCUUCUUAUGCCAAAGAAAUAUGUGGCAUACCACAAUUUGCAAUAAUACCUCAAGGGUUGUCCAUUUAAUUGUUGGAACUUCAGGUUCUCAACACUGUUAAAUUUGGAACUUCAGGCCAAAGCCACAUAUUCUCAUGGUAUGGACAUUUUUACAAUUUUCUGUACAUAUUUCGGGACUUCAAGCCCUUACAUAACUGUCCAUAUUUUGAGGAACUUCUGGCAUCUCAUUUAAUUGCUCAUCCAUGAGUUUAAGGAACUGCAGGUUCCCUUUUGUAUAUAGUGACGGUUUACCCAAAAUGGUUAAUAUUUAUGCAUACAUCACUAUUCAUGUGAAUAGUACUAUUCAUCAAGUCAUGAAUACGUAUCUAUUCAUCUGCCAGUACAGUUAUCAUCAAUGUGUACGGCACUAUGAACCAAUACGGUACUGUUACAUCAUUAAGGAACUCUAGGUCCUUAUUUACAUGUCAGGGAUUAAGAACCUUUAAGUCCAAUCACAUGUUUACAAAUACAGUACCGGUGAGACUGCCAGCUCUCAUUUUAAUAUCAUCAUCAAGGAUCUUCAAGUCCUGAUGUAAUUGUAUGAUGAGGAUCAAGGAACUUCUGGUCCUGAUCUGCAUACUGGAAAAACUAAUCAUACAGCACAAUUAAUCCAUAAAAUAAAUUGCUGAUAAAUAAAUUACUGGUAUGGACGAUAAACCCGCACCACACUUUAAAUAAAUGUAAAUGUGCGGUAAAUUAAAUUCAUAAAGUUAAGGUGCUUGUAUGGGCAUUAAUUCUGCUCCAUACAUUUAAAUAAAAGUAAAGGCGUGGACGAUAAACCCGCACCACCCUUUUAAAUAAAUGUAAAUGUGCGGUAAAUUAAAUUCAUAAAUUAAAUUGCUUGCUGUAUGGACGUUAAUCCCGCACCAUACUUUAAAUAAAAUUAAAUGUGCGGUAAAGUAAAUUGUGCUUGUAUGAGCACUAAUUCUGCUCCAUACAUUUAAAUAAAAGCAAUGGCGUGGACGAUAAACCCGCACCACCCUUUUAAAUAAAUACUGUUGUAUGGGUAAUAAACCUACACCAUACAGUAAAUAAAAUAAAUAUGCGGUAAAAUAAAUUUGCGAUAAAGUAAAGGUGCAUGUAUGGGUAAUAAACCUACACCAUACAGUAAAUAAAUGUGGGGUUAAAACCACCACCGAAUAAAAUAAGAAAAAGUUAGUAUUAGUAACGGUCUCCUACUGAUAAUAUGUUUAGUAUUACCAAGGGUCCAUUUUUGUUAGUGGUUAGUAGUAUAGAUAAUAGUGCAGCAUAAAAAUUAUACCUGAGAGCUUCUCGUGCUGAUAACGUGUUAUAAAAAUAACCUGGAAUAUGUACGAAUAUUGAGCUGCACGAAAAGUAGAUGAGACACAACAUUUAACGAGGUUCGGCUAUGCCUACGUCCUCGGAGAGCAACAGCAGUAACUUUUUCACUAUAUGAAAUAAUAGGGCUACAACUUUAGAGUUUACAAUAUGUGAGGCUCACUGAAUUUUCUCUCUCUUUCUUCUUCUCUCUUUUCUUUCUUCUUUUUCUCUUCUUUUCUUUCUUCUUUUCUCUUCUUCUUCUCUCUUCUUUUUCUCUUCUCCCCUUUCUUUCUUUUCUCCGUUGGUCACACUCCCCUUUACAAUUGGUAUGCCUAUUUAUAGGCUAAUGUUUAGGCAAAAUACAGGGAAGGGAAGGUUCCUGGAAGAUGCAAGGAAACUUCCUGAAUUGAUAAAUACAGGGAAGGGAAAGUUCCUGGAAGAUGCAAUGAAACUUCCUCUGUGGGCUCCACCUUCAAACUUUUACAACACUUUGAUAGUUUUGGACAGAUGCAAGCUACUGUUGUUGGGAUGAUCUUUUCACGUGAAAUGAGGAUGACGAUACUUCUACACUACACAAUCCAACGAAUUCACAUUUCUAUUUCAGAUACAUGUAUAAACAGACAAGGCUUUAAAAUAUGGGAUGCUGCACUGUUGUUGCUGCUGCUGACACUGUUACUGUGUUGCUGCUACUGUUACUGCACUGCUGCUUGAAGAAGGACAAGGACUUCACUUGUUGCUUUCGUCCUUUGUGGAGGAGAGAGACCUAGGACUUGCAUGUCUUAGAUAUUUAAGACAAGGGGCUUUCGUGCCAUUUUGAAAAUACUUUGGGUGUUUUUGAAAGCUGCUUGUUUCUUUUGAGUUUCUCACUAAAUUUCGCUUUAGAAGGGAAAAUAAUAAUAAUAUUAAUAGUACAGCACUUAUUAGCAACAGAGUUACAAACUUCUUCUACAACACACACCAACAUGAAUCUAGCCCUGAUCCACUCUUUACAUACUUGAAAACAAAACAAAACACGAAAAACAAAAAACAAGAUAGGGAGAAAAUGGCUACGGAGAGACUUACUGCUAAUAGUUGAUCAAUAACAGAGAUAAUAGCGCACACUAUUUGUAUGACAGUGAGUAUCAGAAGAAUAAUAGCUGCAAAGAGAGAAAUAGCUGCCCAAGGUGUGUUGAAAUACUUUUGUCUCAAAUUUGCCUUCCAUAUGUUCGUGGUCUUCUCUCAGUAACUCGUUUAGUUUGCCAGCAAGAUCACCAAAAUAGUAGUUUCCGUGGUUCAGAGCAACUUUACUGCAAAGCUUGUUAAUCAUAAUGGAAACCUUAUUGUUGUCACCUUGCAUGUUUACAACAAUUCUAUUCUCAACAAGCAACUCUACAUCCUUUGGAGUGUUUACAAAUUUAUCCAGGAUGAAAACAUAAUAGCUUAUGUAUUUAUCCACGCAAUGGCAUUGUUCAAAGGCAAUGAGAUUUCUAAGUGUAAGCUCUGUGUAAUUAUGUAUUUCAAUUUUUGGAAUUUCCAAGGUGUUUUUCUUGAACUGUAUAUCGAAUAAGUUCUUGCUUGAUCCGGCCUGGUGUAGUUUUGUCAUGCUGGGUGUCCUUUGGAGCCCUACAUUUUCUUUUAGGGUCGGAUCUGGCAGAUGUAAAGUUCUAAUAAAAUCAACAAAAUGUAAAGGUUUUUUAGGAUCAGGAGGCAUAAAAGACUUACGGAAGGCUGGUGAGUUCUCCAAGUUUUCUAAACGCAGUGCCUGUUGGAAGAACCUGUAAGAGAGUUCAAUUAUUGAAGGCUCCCCAGUCUGAGCACCUGUGAGAUUGUAAAGAUCCUCGAGAAUGAAAAAUGGCAGCUGAUUUCCAAGCAUAAGCAUGUCAGGCAAUAUAUUUUGUAGCACCCAUGGUUUUUUAAAUAUCCAAGCAUUAUCAUCCUGCAAUUUUUCUUCCUGAAAUUUUUCUUCGGAUUUAUUCCUCAACAAUAGCUCAAUGACAAAGGCGGCAUCAACUCGAAUGAUAUUCACAAAAGCAGCAAUGUUAAACUUCUUAGUGUCUUCAUAAUAAUGACGGAGUUCAACUUCUCUCUCCUUUAUUUUCUCGAAAUAAUCCUUCAAUUUUACAUUAGUCCAAUCAAGAAAACACUUUAGGUACCUGAGUUUGUGAUCUUCCAUGGCUUCUAGGUUUUUGCUGCCAUGGUGAAGUGGGCCUAUUGAGACUACUUGUGGUGUGUAGGCCUUUUGUUUUACGUUCCGUAGUCGCUCAGGCACCCUUUAGAUACAACAGGCAGGGGACAGGGCACGCAAGUUUGUCAACUGAUUUUCCAUGGAAGUUGCUUGGUUUUCUAUGUCAAAAGAAGCUUCAUUGCUGCUUUCUUCCACUUUCUUCCUCCUCAUUAUGUGUUGUUCUGAUUGUAAGUGACGAGGAUGGUGAUGAUUCUAGACAACAUAAUCAACAAAUGUUUCAAUCAUAAUUGACAUUUCAAGAUGCUCCGACAAAGAAUUAGAAAACAUUCAUCACAAAAUGCGAACUCAUACAAUAGAUGGGUUGAUGAUAUAACCAUUAUUUCGUACAUUUUUAUUAUCUUUCUCUUAGAUUCUUGCUAUGGUUCUUGAGUGAGUUUAGUCCAUUUUUACUUAGUUUUGUGUUUUACUAGGUUUGAAGAGUAAAGAUGGAAAAGCAAGCAAAAGGUGCAAUUUUGGUAUUGAAAUAUAAUGUGAAAUCCUAGGAGCAGAAUGUGUUGUGCGGAUCGGACAACUUUACAGAACAUACUGUACUUCCUCAGAGCGAACCAGAUGUUGAACCUUAUAUCAUUGGAAAGAUACGGAUGUUCGCCUUCUGUAGAAUUUCGCGGUUCAUGAUUCGGACGUGUGUGGAGAGAGUUGUGGCCAUUUUAGUACGGACAGUUCGGGCAGAAUGUGUUCUGCGGGUUUUGCAAAAUAAUCCAUUUGAAGUCCAAUCCUUGGAGUUUAAUUUGUGUCAAUUACAUUUGGGAAGUGUCUACAAGGAUGUGGAGUUAUUUUCUGAAGUCUGACCCUUUAUUUAGUAGGAUUAUGGAUGCCAACUCAUCAAAGACAAUGAAGCCAAACUAGGAAAACAUAGUUACCAAGUCAAAAGAGGAUUUGUUCCUUAUUUAAAGAAGACCAGAAAAUAGGGUUCUCUCAUGCUGGAAUUUGAAGGAGAGUUAAAGAGCCGCUGCCAUCGUCAAGUUCUCAAGCAUCGUCAUAAUCCAUAAGUUCUAUUUUAUGUUUUCUAGUUUUUCAAUUAUGUUUUCUUUGAACAUGAGUAACUAAAUCAUUCUCUAGGGCAAGGAUGACGCCCGAGCAUGGAUAGUUAUGAUUUUUAAUGCUAUUUAAUGAAUUCCAAGUUUCUUUUAGAUGAAUGUUUAAUCACUAUUUUAAUUGUUGCUAUUUGUUUAAGUUCUUUGAUUGAUCACCUUAUGACAUGACCCGCCCCGAAUUUUUCGAAACACGAGACGAAUCUUGUGGAAUUCCCGACCACACCCCAAUGCCGGGCCCACUUACUAAAGACCGGGACUUUCUGCCGAAAUUUCGGCAGAGUCUCUCCUGUAAAUUGAACAUUUCCCACAAUUUCAACCUGCAUAAAACACAUUUUAUAUUACCCAACUGGCAGCAUGCACAAUGUAAUAACAUGCAAUUCACAUAAACGGCCUUUCGACCUUCCGAUAAUCCACAACAAACCACCAAGCACGCUAUCAAAUCAAUUCAUACCUUAAACAAGGCAAACAAUAAAUUCAAUCACACUUAAGAAUGUCAAAGCAAUCCACUACAUUUAAUUUUUCUCAACACCCAACAUACGAGGUUUUAACAUCCUAACACAAUCACAUCUAUGUCUGCGGUUGCACCUAAUAACCUUAGGCUGCCUAUGUACCCUCACUGAGAGAUCAAGCCACACGUAGUUCUUCCUACUAAAUUCCGAUUUCCAAACACAUACAAUACCUUUAAUCAUCUCUAUGAUAAUCACAUACUCUCCCCACACGCCGGAAAUUCCAACGCCACGUAUGGGGUCUGUCAUCACGCCGAAAAAUCCUACGCCUCGUGUGACCUAACCAUCAUAUCAUCUCCCCAUACGCCGAAAAUUAUAACGCCACGUACGGGGUCUGUCAUCCUGCCGGAAAAUCCUACGCCAUGGGUGACCUGACAAUCACAUAAUCUCCCCAUAUGCCAGAAAUUCCAACGCCACGUAUGGAGUCUGUCUCAACGCCGGAAAAUCCUACGCCACGCGAGACCUAACAAUCACAUAAUCUCCCCAUAUGCCAGAAAUUCCAACGCCACAUAUGGGGUCUGUCAGCACGCCGGAUAACCUACACCACGUAGGACCUAACAAUCAUAGCAUUUCCCCGUAUGCCAGAAAUUCCAACGCCACGUAUGGGGUUUGUCCUCAUGCCGGAUAACUUACGCCACGUGGGACCUAACAAUCACAUAAUCUUCCCAUAUGCCGGAAAUUCAACACCUCAUAUGGGGUCUGUCAGCACGCUGGAUAACCUACGCCACGUGUGACCUAACAAUCAUAGCAUAUCUCCAUACGCUGGAAAUUUCAACGCCACGUAUGGGGUCUGUCAUCAUGUUGGAUAACCUACGCCACGUAGGACCUAACAAUCACAAGGUGGUACUUAGGGUAGUGCGUAUAGCACUGACAGAAAAUCACAAAAGUAUCUUUCCUAUUCUAGAGAUUGGUCACAUGUAGUCCAACCAAUAGGAAAUGAGAUAUUUAAGAAAUGAAGAGUUUGAUCAAUAUCAAUAUCAAAUGAAUUCUUAUACGCCUAGUCAACUAUUAAGCGUAUCUUGACUUCUUGAUAUUGUGAUAUGAUUGAAACAUGAUUUCCAUGUUAGAAAAUUAAAGGGAUGUUAAAACAUGAAAGUAAUAGGAGAAUCAAAUUGAUUUGGGCCAAAAUUGCCUAAAAAGAAAACACUUCUAAAUACACUCAAUUCACUUUUAAAAACAGUAAAACAUGAUUGAAUCGUUCUUUAAAACAAUUCCCUAAUAUACAUGCAUGAUAAUGACAUCACUUACCUCUGAACCAAAUGCCUUUCACGGGUCAAGCCACAAGUCUGUGUUUUGGGGAUUGCUAAGCUGCAUCAAUCCUGCCAAUGUCAGUUCUGCCCCUAUGCUCUCUCAAAGCAUGUUUACAACCUAUGCUAACAUAUACUAGAGUUUAUGCUAGUAUCGAGAAAAUGCAAACACUAAUUUUGUAACACGUAGAAUUGUUAGAGAUUGGAAGUUUUUAUCAUUUUUUUCUUCCAGUCUCUCCACCACUCACUAAUACAGAUUACUCAUGUGAUAAAUUUACAAAACCUAUUUCUCUACUCUCACAAAGACUAUACUUCUUCUCAAAAGACUAUAUCACUUUACCUCUAUCUCUGUGAAAUGUAAAAAGUUGAAACUUUAAUGUCAAACCUCGACAAAAGAUGAAUUUCCAUCAGUUACGUUGAAUUUGGAUUUGUUGAACUUAAGCGAUUUUACUUUCUCUGUUAGUAUUUGAUGACUUAAUUUGGUAUUUACUUCUUCUUCUUUUUUUCCUUGGAAAUGUGUUCCACCAACGUGAGGAAGAAAAAUAUGCACAAAAUAAUAUAUUUAAUAGAAGCCCAAGAUUUCGGAAGCACAUAAUUUUUUCAAAAAUCUACAAAGUGUUCUACUUUACAAACUUCUUAUGUCUACCAAUUUCUACUAAAAUUAAUUUCUUUGCGGUGCUCAGAUUCAUCAUGUGUGUGUCCUCAAUUUUAGUGGAAAUUGGAAGUUUCCAUCAUUUUUGUUUUCUGGGAAUUUUCUGAACCAAGGAAAAUCAAGCAAAAUUAAUAAAGCAUAAAAUGAAAAGGGAAAAUAUCUAGAGGAUGCAUUGUAGGAUUGCUCAUGCCAAUAAUUGUACCCUCUAAAUAUAUUGGGACAUAUUUUUUUUUGUUUUCAUGACAUAUGGUCCUAAAAUUAUUGUUCCUAGCGGGCUCUCCACCCCUCUCAAUUGAAAACCUAUUGUGUAAAUCUUCAAUCCUGAACGAUGAACGAUGCACCUAAAACACAUGUUGCAAUACACAUCCACCCAUUCUCAGGCCAAUUAUUGUUCCUAGCGGGCUCUCCACCCCCUCUCAAAUUUAAGUGGUCCAUUAUGAUUAAUCAUGUAUUUUAUGGACCAUCCAGCUGUGAGGUUUUAUCUCAAAAACCUUCGGUACCUUUCUCCCACAUGCCACAAUGGUAUAUUCACAAUUACGUCUGAUACCUCACAUCAUGCCACUUGCCUCAAUUGAAUUUAAGUGGGUGGAGUGUUACUUCUGGGUACCCCUCAUCAUUCGUCUAUAAAAUGGUGAAGCCAGUUGCUACUGUUACCAUAAGAGCCAGCUCCGACUUUCUUUAAUUUCUUGUUUCGUAUCCACUAGCUACAUCUGUUGCCAAGUUAAUUUCAGUCCUAAUGGGGUUUCAUCUCCCACUCAUCUUUGCUAUUCUCAGUGUAAGCUCUGCAAUUUGAUUAAGAUUUCCAUUCUCUCUCAUUGUACUCUAUAUAAACGAAAGUUUUGUGUUCCUACAAUUCUCUCCGAUUUUAUUUAGUAUGUACUUAAGUGUCGUACGUCCACUAAUUAAUUACACUUUGUGAGAUUUGAUUUUAAUUAGAGUUCGAAUUAAUGUUGCAGCUAGCAGCAGUGGGAAACCAUGCUGCUCAACCAGCACCUCAACUUUACUGGAACUCCGUCCUGCCAAACACACAGAUGCCAAGAUCUAUCAGUGUACUUCUGCAUCCUGGUUUGUGUUGAGCACUUUAGAAUCUUAGAUAUCUUUUCUACCUGCCAUUUUACUAAAAUUUGUUCGACCACAUAUUUAUCAGUUAACUACUGUCAUUACAAAUCGGCUGAUCACUUAUUUUGCAUUAUGACGUUGAUAUAUAAUUUGCAGACUCCACAAAUGAAGAAAAGAGCACAUAUAUGAAUGCUGUUGGGAAUGGAAAGGGCAAACCUGAAAUUUUCCCAUUGGGCAUUAGACGUUACGUUCAAAAACGGUAUGGAGGGGGCAUUAGACGUUACAAUCAAGAACGGUAUGGAAAAGGUCCUCCUCCAUCUGACAAUCAACUACUCCAUUAUAAAGACUUGGCUAUUUUCUUCUUCGAGAAGGACAUGCGCCCUGGCGCAACAAUGAAGUUCCAAUUCCCUAGAAAUUCAAACACGGCUACUUUCCUGCCACGCGAAAGUGCUCAAUCGAUCCCCUUCUCCUCUAACAAACUAUCAGAAAUUUUCAACCAUUUUUCAGUGAAGCCAACAUCUGUGGAAGCCAAAACAAUUAAGCAAACAAUCCAAGAGUGUGAAGCUCCAGGCCUUAAGGGAGAGGAAAAAUAUUGCGCCACAUCUUUAGAAUCAAUGGUUGAUUUUAGCACUUCGAAGCUUGGAACAAGAAACGUUGAAGCAAUCUCGACGGAGGUAUUGGAAAGAGGAGCCACCAUGUCCAUGCACAACUAUACAACAAUGCCGGGACUGAAGAAGUUGGCAGGUGACAAAGUCGUUGUGUGUCAUAAGGAGAACUAUCCCUAUGCUGUGUUUUUCUGCCAUGCAAUAAAACAAACAGCAGCAUAUGUUCUCUCCCUGAAAGGCGAUGAUGGGGAGAAGGUUAAAGCAGUAACCAUCUGCCAUCUAGACACAUCAGAAUGGAACCCAGAGCAUUUGUCCUUCCAAAUCCUCAACGUUAAGCCCGGAACAAUUCCCAUCUGCCAUUUCAUUUCCACUGAUGGUAUUGUCUGGGUUCCAAAACACAAAUCUGCAUGAUCAUCACUUAGCACUGUACGUAUAAUAAGCUUGGUUGGGUUGCACCCUAGGCCUGUAUAAUUAACUCCCUACUUAUUUCUGCCUCUUUAGCACUGUACAUAUAUAGACUUCAACUUGUACUCGUAUAGCAUGCUGGAAAAAAAAAGGACCAAUAGGGAGAAAAUGGUGAACUAAGGAGAGACUAAUACUUCUGGUUCUUAGAAGGCAUAACAGAAAUAAUAGAGCACACUGCUUGAAUGCAAGUCAAUAUUGUUAGAAAAUUAGGAGAUUUACUUCCUAAUAUAUUAUGAUUCUAUUUAUUUCCUUUUGUAUUGAUAUUAUGUAAUUAGGACUUUAUCUUAGUUUCCUAGUAUAACCCUACUAGGGUUUGUACUCUUGUAUUAUAAAUACCUCCUUUUGGAGAAUGAAGUAUAAUCUGAAAAUAUUCUAUCCACUUUGUUUGACAUGGUAUCAGAGCAAACUUUUCUAGUGACCUGUGUGUUGUGCCAACCCGUAUUCUAGCCCCAUAUUUUUUCUCUACCUAUGCCGUGUGUGCCCCCCCUCUGGGUUUGUGGGUUGUGUUGUCGUGUUGGUGUCAUUCCUAUCUUCGUGCAUCUGCCGUAUUUGAGCCUUUGCUGUGUUCCGCUGUGUACUCUGUUGUGUUCAUACCUCUAUUGUGUUCGUGCCUGUCUUCGUGCAUCUGCUGUAUUUGUGUCUCUAUUGUGUUCCAUUGUACAAUCUGCCGUGAUCUGUUGAAUUUAUGAUGUAAUCAUAGGUGAUAACUCAUUUGUUGGUGUUGUUGUUGCUGUUUCUGGAAAUUUAUGUGAUUCAGACUCUAUUCCAUUUACUGGCUACAAUACUUAGAUAAUUGAUACUGGUACUUAUGAUCAUAUUGACAGGACUCGCCCCGAAUUUCCUGAAACCCGAGACGAAUUCUGUGGAAAUUCCUGACAUCACCCCGAUGUCGGGCCCACUUCUAAAACUAUAUCCUUUUUCCCCAAAAGGAAUAAAGGCAUAAGACUUUCUACCGAAAUUUCGGUAGAGUCUCCUAUGUAAAUUGAACAUUGCCCAAAAUUUUAACCUGCAUAAAACACAUUUUAUAUUACCCAACUGGCAGCAUGCAUAAAGUAAUAACAUGCAAUUCACAUAAACGGCCUUCGGCCUUCCGAUAAUUGGCAACAAACCACCAAGUACGCUAUCAAAUCAAUUUAUACCUUAAACAAGGCAAACAAUAAAUUCAAUCACACUUAAGAAUGUCAAAGCAAUCCACUACAUUUAAUUUUCUCAACAGCCAACAUACGAGGUUUUAACCUCCUAACACAAACACACUUCGUUCUCACUCAAAUAGCAGGACCAACUUCAAGGUCCGCAUCAUACUCAAUAAUACACAAGUAAAGUUUAAACCGCGGCUGCACCUAGGCACUACCCUAGGCUGCCUACGUACCCUUAUUGAGGGAUCAAGCCACACGUAGUUCUUCCUACUAAAUCCUGAUUUCCAAACACAUACAAUAAUACCUUUAUUCAUCUCUCUGUUAAUCACAUAAUCUUCCCAUACGCCGGAAAUUCCAACUCUACGUAUGGGGUCUGUCAUCACGCCGGAAAAUCCUACGCCACGUGUGACCUAACCAUCAUAUCAUCUCCCUAUACGUCAGAAAUUCCAACACCACGUAUGAGGUCUGUCAUCCAGUCGGAAAAUCCUACGCCACGGGUGACUUGACAAUCACAUAAUCUCUCCAUACACCAGAAAUUCCAACGCCACAUAUAGGGUCUGUCUCAAUGUCGGAAAAUCCUAUGCCACGCGAGACCUAACAAUCACAUAAUCUCCCCAUACGCUGGAAAUUCCAACGCCACGAAUGGAGUCUGUCUCAACGCUGGAAAAUCCUAUGCCACUCGAGACCUAACAAUCACAUAAUCUCCCCAUAUGCCGGAAAUUCCAACGCUACAUAUGGGGUCUGUCAGCAUGCCGGAUAACCUACGCCACGUGUGACUUAACAAUGAUAACAUCUCCCCAUACGCCGGAAAUUCCAACGCCACGUAUGAGGUCUGUCCUCACGCCGGAUAACCUACACCAUAUGGAACCUAACAAUCAUAGGGUGGUACUUAGGGUAGUGCGUAUAGCACUUCAAACCGACAUUCAAAACUCUAUUUAUACCUUUAUAAAUUUAUAUAAAAAUAUAUAUAUUAAGUUCUAAAGUUGUAUAAGCCUCAACCACAAUCUAGCAUCCGAUAAUCCCCCCCAAUUUAAAACAAUAAAUUAAUAUCAUAAACCCACAUAAUCAACAUAACUUAACAACGCUCAAGACCUGUCACUAGUGUCAUUGUAAUCCUCCUAGGAAGGUAAAACUACUUCGGAAGAGUCACGGUCAACUAAGGGUCAAACUACCCAAACUUGGUCAAAUGGGCCCACGGGCCCCACGACCUUCAAAUUCCGAUUCCAACCUACCGAAAUUUCUUAUGGGUUCUACAAGGUUUAGGACACUCGUCUUGCAAGUUUGGUCCAGAUCAGACGGUCGGAUCGCUCACGAUCGCACGAUCGGACGGUUACUAUAAACCUAGCCCUAGGGUUGGUAUUUUCGGAGUAUCCAGGACUCCGUUUUACGAUCCGUCGAAUCCUAUACGAUCUUGAGGAUGUCCAAACUAACAUAUAAUAAAUCUAUGACUAUCCAACGGCUCAAACCUAUUGAACCCAGAUAACGCACAAUAUGCGAAAUCUGUUCAAUAGUCAAACGACGUCCGAAUUGAGAUCCGCGAAAACCUACGCACUCGUGACAACUUGAGGACCUCAUUAGGACAAACUGUAGCUUCACCACCUUUGUCCACGCGCCUGCAGCGCAUGGGUGUGUAGAGUAAAUUCCGAUGAUGGAAAAACUCUACACCACCGCUCACCCUUCCUAUCCUAAAUACUACUCGAGGCAAGGAUCACUUCAUUCAACUACGGGGAGGUCCCAUUUGGACGGCAACUGGCCCAAAUUUCACUUUGAAAUCCGGCCAAAACCUAGGUUUUCAAAUCGGUUUUCUAGACAUCAAAUCGAUCCAAUCCUAUCCCAUAGACAGCUAGAGCUCAGAAAAUAGAUGACAAACCAUACCUCACCCGACGGAAUUGGUGGCUGGAGGAGAAAGAUUGAGCGAUGAGAAGUUCUGUCAAAACCGACUCGUUUUCGACUGAUUCCAGCGAGCACAGUUGACGAUGAUGGCUAAGACUAGUCGGGAAAAGACAAGGGAGAGGUGGUGAUUCGAACGGGACCGGUCUCGAGGCCAGUCGUUGACUGUGGAGGCUGCAAUAGCCUUGAAGGGUGGCGGCUGUAAAAACGAAGGGGAGGGGGGCUGUUCACGAUGGAGGAGAGAGAGAGAUAGAUAGAUAGAUAGAGAAAAAUCUGAAUUUUAUAAAAAUUCCAUUUUGAAAUAAUUACGAUUGUGCCACUGAGUUUCUUUUGACCGUAACUUCCUCGUUACAACUCCAAAUCAAGCCCACUAUGUAUCUAUGAACUCAUCUCGUCGAGCUCUACGCAACGGUAGAGCUGAAAUUCUCAAAUUUCUUCCUGAUCAAAAAGUCAACUUUAAACCCAAUAAAAUAUUCUAUGGGUAUAAUGGUCUUUUAUCUACAUAAAUUAAUAAUUUCCAAUUUAUUUAGGACCGGGUCGUUACACAUAUGACUUAUGAUGCUAUAUUUUUUUAUGAGUUGUCUAGUAAUACUCGUGACCCAUACAUAACUAGUGCUAAUGGCUUGCCCUAUCCAAUUACUGGCGAGGGCAUAAUCUCUCACUCCUACUCUGUCCUUGUCUCGUGUGUUACUCGUUCCCAAUAUCCAUUGUAACUUGUUGUUUGUUGGCCGAUUACUUGAUACACUUAAUGCUUAUGCUACUUUCUAUCCUACACAUUGCUCUUUUCAGGAUCUCAAGACUUGCGAGACGAUUGGGCAUAGUAAACGGAUAGGGGGCUUAUAUUAUUUGACAUUGUCUUCUGCACCAAUUCGUGGUUGUGUCAUUCAUACUGUUCAAAGUUGUAGUGUCAAGGACAAAUAACAAAUUUGGUUAUGGCAUCGUCGCUUGGGACACUCGUCGUUCGGCUAUCUUAAGCGUCUGUUUCCAUCUUUAUUCCGCUCUUGUGACGAGUCCAGUUUUAAGUGUGAGACAUGUAUUUUGGCCAAGAGUCAUCGCACUGUGUUUCUUUUAAGUGACAGUAAAGCUGCAAAACCUUUUGAUUUAGUAUAUUCGGAUGUAUAGGGACCUGCUCGUGUGACUUCUAAUGGUUUCUAUUGGUCUAUUACUUUUAUUGAUGACUGCACUCUCCCCAUAGUCCGGAAUUACCAACGCCACGUAUGGAGCCUGUACGCACGCCGAAAAAUCCUACGCCACGUGGGACCUCAUCAUCAUAUCACAUAGUCUCCCCAUACGCCGGAACUACUAAAGCCACGUAUGGGAUUCGUCUCAACGCCGGAAAAUCCUACGCCACGUGAGACCUUACAAUCACAGGAUGGUACUUACACAAUGUAAUCAAACCAUCUUUAUCUCUUUAAUAUAUAUAUAUAUAUUCCCAAUUUCCCCAAGUUUAAAACAAUAAACUAGUUCCUUAAACCCACUAAUUAACAUAACUCAACUAAUGAUCAAGACCUAUUGAAAGGACUCGCCCCGAAUUUUCUCAAAACCUGAGACGAACCCUUUGGAAGUCCUGACAUCACCUCGAUGCCAGGCCCACUUACUAAAAACCGAGACUUCCUGCCGAAAUUUCGGCAGAGUCUCCCCUAUAAUUUGGACAUUUUCCAAAAUUUAUACCUGCAUGAAAAUGCAUUUAAUAUUCCCAAUUGGCAGCAUGCACAAUAUAAUUUCAUGCAAUUCACAUAAAUGGCCUUCGGCUUUCCAAUAAUUCUUAACCAGUUACCAAACAAUUCAAAUACCAAUUAUGACUAACAUUUAGUCUACGGCUGCGCCUAAUAACCUUAGGCUGCCUACGUACCCUCCUUGAGGGAUCAAGCCACACGUAGUUCUUCCAUAAAACUCAAUUCCACACAUAGGUGAUACCUUAUUUCAUCUCUCUGUAUUUCACAUAAUCUCCCCAUACGCCGGUACAACCAACGCCACGUAUAGGGCCUGUCAACACGCCGGAUAACCUACGCCACGUGCGACCAUGCCAUACUAUCAUCAUAUCUCCCCAUACGCCGGUACAACCAAUACCACGUAUGGGGUCUGUCUCAACGCCGGAUAACCUACGCCACGCGAGACCUGCACAUCAUAUCACAUAACUCCCCAUACGCCGGUACAACCAACGCCACGUAUGGGGCCUGUCCCAACGCCGGAUAACCUACGCCACGCGGGACCUCAACAUCAUAUCACAAAUCUCCCUAUACGCCGGUACAACCAACGCCACGUAUGGGGUCUGUCGACACGCCGGAUAACCUACGCCACGUGCGACCUCAACACAAUAUCACAAUAGCUCCCCAUACGCCGGUACAACCAACGCCACGUAUGGGGCCUGUCUCAACGCCGGAUAACCUACGCCACGUGAGACCUAACUUUCACUUGGUGGUGCUUGUAGUGAAUCCAACAUCCAGGGAGGUACCUAAAGUAGUGCGUAUAGCACUCCAAACUGACAUUCUAGACUCUGUUGUACCCAUGUACAACCAUAUAUAAUUAUAGUUAUAUAAAUUAAUUCUAAUAUUGUGUAACCUUCCACAUUCAUCUAGCACCCGAUAAUCCCCCUUAGAAAGGUGAGAUUACUCCGGGAGACUCACGGUCAACCAAGGGUCAAACUACUCUAACUCUGGUCAACCGGACCUGCAGAACCCACGACCCCCAAUUUCCGAUCCGAAAGUCUCUAUGGGUUCUACCAGGUAUAGGACACUUGUCCUGCAAGUUUGGUUCAGAUCGGACGGUCGAAUUUCUCACGAUCGCACGAUCUGACAAUUAAUAUAAAAUAUAAACUUUAAAAUUAUUAAUCGAAACAUCCGGGGCUCCGAUUCACGAUCCGUGAAUUCCUACACGAUCCUAGAAUUACCUAGAUUAACAUAUAUUAAAUUUGGGACCAUCCGACGGUCCCAACCUGUCGAACCCGGAUAACGUACAAUAUACGAUCGUCCGUUCGAUAGUCAAACGACGUCCGAAUUGAGAUCCGCGAAAUCCUAUGCACUCGUGACAACCUAAGGAUCUCAUCGGAAUACAGUGCUACUUUUUCUACAGUGCCCAAAGCGAUAACGCUUCGCCGGAAAAUCUCAACAUCACGGCUCCAAAAUUCCUACUCUAGGUAUAACACCCUAUUUGGAGCCACUUUUGUUCUUGGACCUACCCCAAAAAGUGGCCGAAAAUGGCCGAUCACGGCAGCCGAAGUUUCGGCCGAUUUUCAAUUCGAAAAUCGAGUUGUCUACGCUAAGAAUCGAUCUAAUCCUACCCAACCAUCAGCUAGAGUAGCUCGAGAGGUUCAAAAUCCAUACCUGGGUCGACGGAAUUGGUGGCCGGAGGAGGGAGAUCGGCGGCUUUGAAGUUUGGACGACGUCGGCCGCUUCAUCUCCAGAUUCCGGCGAAUCCGCGGCGGCUGGCGGCGGGAGGUGGCUGGGGUAGGAAGAGGACGACGGCCCGGUCAUUUUGGUACCGGUCCCGUCGUCAUUGGUGGCCGGAGGAGAGCACGGCCGGCCAAAACGUGGCCGGCGGUCGUCGCGCGCGAGAGAGGAGAGAGAGAGAUCGCGCGGAGGAGAGAGAGAGAGAGAGAGAGAGAGAGAGAGAGAAAACCAGAUUUUUAUAAAAAAAAGUCCCAUUUUGAAAUAUUUACGAUGUGCCACUGGGCUUCUUUUGACCAUAUCUCUCUCGUUACAACUCCGAUUCAAGCCCACUACGUGUCUAUGAACUCGUCUCAGUACGACCUAUCCAAAAAUACAAGUCACGGUCCCAAACUCUCUCCGGUUAAAAAUAUGACUAAAAUACCCUUAAAUAAUGAAAUAAUUAAAUAAGGGUUAAAUUUGGGGUCGGGGUGUUACAUCUAUCACCAGGAUCAUUAUAAUCCUCCGAGGGAGGUGAAACUACCUCGGAAGACUCACGGUCAACCAAGGGUCAAACUACCCAAAUUUAGUCAAACGGGCCCACGAGACCCGCGACCUCCCGAUCUGAAAGUUCCUAUGUGUUCUACAAGGUUUAGGACACUCGUCAUGCAAGUUUGGUCCAGAUCGGACGAUCAGAUAGCUCACGAUCGGACGGUUAUUAUAAACAUAAACUUUAAGUUAUUAAAUCGGAACAUCCGGGGCAAAGAUUCACGAUCCGUGAAUUCCUACACGAUCCUAGAAUUGCCUAGAUUAACAUAUAUUAAUUUUAAGACUAUCCAACGGUCUGAACAUGUCAAACCCGGAUAACGCCUAAUAUGCGAUAUGCGAUAUCCGAUCGAUGAUCAAACAAUAAUCAAAUUCAAAUUCGAGCAUACCGUCACGCUCGAGACGACGAGAGGGUUAUUUUAGAACUCUAAGACAAGCCACCACAUGGCCCACGCGCUGACAGCGCGUGGUUGUCUAGAGAAAUUUCCAGCGGCGGGAAAAACUCCAAACCGCCAGCCAAGACUCCCAGGUUAGGUAAAUCACAUGUAGUGGAACAACUUUUGUUCUUGGACCUACCCCAAAAAGUCGACGGAAGUGGCCGUCGGAGGCCGAAACUGGCCUAAACUUCUAUCGCUUAAUUGACAACCAAAAUGCAGCAAUUGAUCCUAAAUAACCCAACCAGCAGCUAGAUCAGAUUGAGGGGAUGGAAAAGCAUACCUAGAUCGCAUGAUUUGGUUACCGAAAACGUCCGAACGAGCUUCCGAAAAAUCCGCAAAAAACCUUUCGGAUUUCUGCAAUUUCCGGCCAGCACCAGCAGUUCCAGCAGCUGAGGUUGGUCGGAAAAGGAAGAGGAGGUGGCAGCGGUUUGAACAGGUCCGGCCUCGUUGCCGGUGGUGAUCCGUGGUGGCAACUGUGGCUCUUGGAAGCCACGGCUGUGCAGAAAAAUGAAGGGGGAGGGGGCUGCGCGCGUGGGGAGAGAGAGAAAGUGAGAGAGAAUCAGAUUUAUCAAACCUUUUUUUGCCAAAAGUACGAGUAUGCCACUAAGGGUAAUUUGAUCGUAUCUUCUUCGUUACAACUCCGAUUCGAGCCCAUUACGUGUCUACGAACUCAUCUCGCUGUGCUUUACACAACGGUACGGUUGAAAUUCCCAAAUUCCUUCCCAGUCAAAAAGUCAACUUUAAACCUAAUAAAAUAUUCUAUGGGCAAAAUGGUAUUUUCUCUGAAUAAAUUAGUGUUUACUAAUUUAUUUAGGACCGGGUCGUUACAAUACCCAAAAAUUUCCUGUGUCAGAAUCAACACAUGGCAGCAGAGAAAGAAAGGGGAAUAGGACAAAAUAGUUGGUUAUCCAGCUGGAAAUCCUACAGAGCAAGGAUGACUAGUUAUACGAGAAACAGAUGACUAGUCAUCAUUUUAUGAAAUCAAUUUAAUGCAAUGUGAUGGAAUGCACAAUUUACCUUUGUCAAUUUGCUUGAACCUCUAUACGAUAGUUGUUAGUUAAGAACACCUAGAGAAACUAUUCUUAAUCUAAACUUGAGCUUGAUAAAAAUAAUAAAAAUCUUAUUACAAGAUUAUCAAGGAAAGUGUUGUGUCUACCCAAGUGCAAGUAGUCACACGUAGUAAUAAUCUUGGAAGUCCAAGUAUCGUAUCCUCAAGGAGCAGGUAGGCAAAUAUCUGCACACAAAGAAAUAAUUAAACAUACCACAAUAAAAGUGACAAGCAAAAUGGAAAAGUUAUUUAUUUGAUUGUUGUGAAAAUUGAAUUUAAAAAUGAAAUAUCAAUAAUGGAAAUGCUAAGGCAUCAAGGUUCAAUUCUUUAAACAAAAUAUGUUUCAUGCUCUUUACUCCAGAUUAUAACUCGAUUAAAAUCAUCAUCGAGAAACUUUAACCGGAAGAUAAAGAAAUUAAAACCAAUUUAAUUUUUCAAUGUAAUCUUUUAUUAAUGAUUGUUCAGAAAAUGGAAUUGCUUAAUAUCUACUCUUUUAAUUUAAAAGCAUGCCAAGUCAGUUCUUAACAAUGAGAAAAAUAAAAUUGAACUCAUGAAAAGGUAAUAGCACUUAACAUCAAUCAAAAUAAAAGGAUAUGAAAAUAUUGAACAACCAAAAAUAAAAGAAUUUAGCAAUUCAUACCGUAUAUUGGAUUAAAGAACAAUUCACAAACUUACUUAAAGAACAUUCCCUUUAGCCUUAGCUAGAGUUCUAGCAACUCAAUUACAAAGGAAAACAUAAACUAAAUGGAUAAAGAAAUCAGUCAUAGUGGUGCCCUUGCCAAAGAAGUUGAUGGGUAAUUUAUAGUGAAUGAGGUGAGUGGGAAGUUAAUACAUGGGUAAUGAAGGGUUUAAGUAAGGGAUUAAUUGGAUUAAACAUUGGUUGAUGGUGGAGAGUUAGUGGAAAAGAAAUAACGGUGAGGUAAAUAGGCGUUAAAUGGCUAUGAAUGACAUGAAAUAGGCUCUUUAGCUUCAACGGUUGUGUCUUCUCUUCUCCCUCUUUACUUCUCUUUAUAAUCACAAUAAUCCAACAAUCAAUUCUUCAAUAAAAUCCGCCAGCAAUUCUCUUCACACCUAGCUUGAACUUGGACAAAUGUAUGUCUUCAUCUUUUGGCUUUCUAACUUCCUACCGAAGAUAAAUUCACCUAAUAAGUUCACCAAAUUAAUAUAGAAAAUUCAUAAAUCCAGUUGAUGAGAAUAAAAUGUAACAAUAAGUGAAAUUAUAUUUAUUAAGUCAAAAUUAUAUCAUAAAGUCUCCAAAAUAAUAUUAAAAAUAUAUAAUUUAAGACUCUCAUCACAAAGCCAAAAGAAAAACUCAAAAUGCAUACAUUAACAGUUUUGCCAUAUUGAAUUAAUGUCUUCUAGCUAUGUACCUUAUCUUUUUGCCGGGCCAUGAGUUGAAUGUAGAGGCAGAGCAUGGACUUGGGUCAAGUUUGACUUGUAAAAUAAUUAGGAAUUGAAUGGCUCCUACGUUCAAUUAUUUUAUUAUUAUUAUUAUUUUUUGUCCGAGCCAUUCAAUUCCUAAUUAUUUAGAUUUUUGAUCUAGUUAGCAUCCACAAUCAUGCUCUCUAUUUUUUUUUUUUGGUCAUAAAUGCCAUAACUCUUUUUUUAUUGGUCCAUCUCUAUUAAAAAAUAAAAUAAAAAAUAGUUAGCAUUAAAUAAAGGUUUGAAAUUCUCAUUAAAUAAAGCAGCAUUAAAUUAUAGGGAGCAACUAGGAGUCAUUUCUCUCUCCUCAAGUUUAGGAGCUCCUACAGGUCUCCCUAUUUUAGGAGGUAGAUAGGGAGCAUUGUUGGAGUUGUAUUUUUACAAUUUCUCCCUAAAAUUUGUCUAAGGAUGUGGUUUAGGGAGCCCAUUGUGGAUGCUCUCAUCUCAAGGAAAGAAAACCCCAAGUUUGCAAGUAAUUUUUCUACGUAUGUAUAUAUGAAAAACUGACAUUUAUGAAAAUAAUAAACCCAUAUUUUUAUGUAAGCCAACUUUCUAAAUUCAUGUACUGAUAUUUAUUAGGGAAAUAUUGGAGAAACUGAUUAUUUUGAAAAAUUAAAUGUGAAAAACUGAACAAAAUUUUGACGGGUUACAUAUGUCAACUCAUUCAGCAGCUUAGGUUGUGAAGACCUAAGCAACAACCCUAGUGCACUGUCGAUCACUUCAGUGUCUACCGAUUUUCCUUUCCAUAUUGUUAGAUUAUUCCCUGCUGUAACACUUGCAUUUAGAAAAUAAUAGUACAGCUCUUAUUAGCAACAGUUUUACACACUUGCAUGAAUCUCACUAUGUUAAAGCAAUCACAUAGCACACCUUUAUUGAAAACAAAGCUAGCCCUGAUCCACUCCUUUACAUACUUAAAAACAAAACAAAACGAAAAAAAGAUAGGGAGAAAAUGGCUACGGACUUACUGCCGACAAAAAGAGAUAAUAGCGAACACUGUUUGUAUGACAGUGAGUAUGAGAAGAGUAACCGCUGCAAAGAGAGAAAAAGCUGCCCAGGCCCAGGGUGAGUUGAAAUACUUUUGGCUCAAAUAUGCCAACCAUCUGUUCCUGCACUUCUUGCAGUACUUGUUUAGAUUGUCAGCAAGACCACCAAAAUAGAAAUUUUGCUGGUCCGGAGCAACCCCCUUGCAAAGUUGGUUAAUCAUAGUAGAAACCUUAUUGUUGUCACCUAGUGUGUUUACAACAAUUUCACUCUCAACAAGUAAAUCUACAUCCCUUUUGGUUUUUACAAAUUUAUCCAGGAGGAAAACAUAAUCGCUUAAGUAAUUGUCUGUGCAAUGGCAUUGUUCAAAGGCAAUGAGAUUUCUGAGUAUAAGCUCUGUGUCAUCACGUAUUUCUAGUUUUGGAAUUUUCAGAGUUCCAUUAUGGAACUGUAUCGCGAAUAAGUCGUUGCUUGACUCCAGACGACUUGAUUCCGGACGAAACUUAACUCUGGCCUGGUGUAGUUUUGUCACGCUGGGUAUACAUGGGAGUUCUCCAGCUUCUGAGGUACCGGUAUCCAAAUAUUGCACAUGUAAAGUUCUAAUAAAAUCAACAAAAUGUAAAGGUGGUUCAGUCCCCUCCACUUCGUCUUCCGACCUCUGUAAACCCACUACCUUUUUGAAGAAAUGGUAAGAGAGCUUAAUCAUUGAAGGCCUCUCAGUCUCAGAAUUCUUAACUCUGACUUUGCUUGCAUCGAAAAGAUCCUCAAGAAUGAAAAAUGGCAGCUAAUUUUCGGGCAAAAGCAUGUCGGGCACUAUAUUUGUUAACAUUUAUGGUUUUUUAAAUAUCCAGUCAUUAUAUCGUCUCGCAAUUCUUGGAAAUGGUACCUCAACAAUAGCUCAAUGACAAAGGCAGCAUCAACUAGAAUGAUACUUACAAACUUGUCGCUACUCUUGAAGUGCUGAGCGUUUCCAUAACGACCACGGAGUUCAUCUUCUUGGGCCUUUAUUUUCUCUGCAUAAUCCUUCAAGCUAACCUUAUUAUUCCGAUGAAGAAAAUUUUGUAGGUACCUCGGUUUGUACUCUUCCAUGGCUUCUAAUUCUUUGUUGUCAUGGUGAAUUGGGCCUAUUGAGACUACUUCCGGGGUGUAAGCGUUAUUUCUGCCCCGUAGUCACGAAGGAACCCUGUAGAUACAGCACUCAUCAGAGGGCCUAUUGAGACAAACUAUCCAACCGCCGCUUCAAAUCUGCUACUGGGGUUUUGUGGUUUUCUACGCCAUGUGGAGCUCCAUUGCUGCAUCCUUCCACUUCUAUUAUGUGUUGUUCUGAUUGUAAGUGAUGAGGGUUAUUGGCACCAGGGGCGGAUCUAGCCCUUUUUUGGCUAGGCAGCCACCCAGUCGAGAAUUUUCAUAAAAACAAAAUAGGUACGUAUUGUUGUAAAUGUAUGAGUUGGUGGAUGACCACCAUACCUCUUAGCAUUCACCUUUUCUAAUUCUAUGUAACUAUACACUAAAUGCCAUAGUUAUGGACUUGUAACUUAUGAGUUGUUAAUGUUUUCUUACGUGUAAGCCUAUAAAUAAGAGGGCUAUCUUGGCAUAUGUGUUCGUCACUAACUAUAUAAUUUAAGUUGUUUUCAGUGACUAAUUUAAAUAAUUGUCAGAAAAUUUGGUCAUUAAAAAUUAAAAAAUAAGGGUCAAUUAUUUUAGUGACCAUGAAGUAUUAUUAGUCAUUAAAUUCAUUGUAUUUGUGACCAUUAUUUAUGUGGAAUUGGUCACUACUGACCUUUUUUCUUGUAGUGUACAUUCUUGCCUUAAUACAGUUAGGCUUAUUUUUAUACUAAUUUCUCUAACAUAACUUUUGCACAUUCUUUUUAUAUUAUAAUAAAUAAUCUUACCCAGUUGAGUUAUAAACCAUUUUCUUUUAGCACGGAAAAUCGACAUUUUGACAGAGAGUUGAAAAGCACUCCCCAAUUUUAAUGUCAACCACUUGGAAAAAAAAAACAUAAAUUUAAUGACAACAAUUACAUUUAGCAAUGCAACCUAAAAACUCAACCUUUGCGCUCCUUUCACCACGCAGAUAGCAGGGUGAGGAUAUUCGAAUAAGAACGAAGACAGAAGCUAAAGGAAUUGCGAUAGCUAACCAUAGUCUGCAUUUCUUACCAUCUGAACAAUGCCACCAUUUUGUUUGGUAAGUAUUUAAUAACAUUUCUUGCUCUACAUAAAGUAAUAUUAAAGCGAAAUUUCCCUAAAUUUUUCUUACCAACAAUCCAUACCCAAGAAAAGGGGAGAUUCACUAUUAUACUCAAUAUAGGAGCCCAACUUAUUUAUAAUAAUUAUAAAAAAAAACCCUCUAUGAAAUGGACUUUAGAAACACACCUAAAACCUAUUUACAACAAAACAAAAAGACUUUUAACUUUUUUUAAAUUACAAAACUGUCAUUGAUUUCUUAAACAAACCCAACCCCAAAACCUCAUAAAAAAGCCCAAAUACUCAAUAAAGCAGCAAAGUAAUUUAAUAAUAAAAAUUAAAUUCAAUAGAGUCAGCUGUUAUUUUUUGGGUUAUUUUUUAUUUGUUUAUAGAAAUUAAAGAGUGCUGCUAAAAGAACCCUAACAUUAACUAAAUACACCAAAUGAUCUAAGUACACCCUAAUAUUUUAAUUAAAAUACAAAAUUAACUAAGUACACCUUAUUUAACUACCAAAAUUACCCGUGUUACACCCUAAUACACUCUAUCACUGUUCACCCGUUUAGUUUUUGCUCCUGUGAUGGAAGGGUAAAGUUCCCCACUGCCUUGGAAACCAUUGACUGGUCAACAAGUCAGCUUUCUUUGCUAUGUGAGCGUGCCACUGUUAGCAAUGAAAAUCCUAACAGACUUCUUAAAAUGGAUACUUGCGCCCAAGUUACUGAUUUCUAAACAGUGAUUGUGAUUUGGGUGAGGAAUAUCUCCAAGUAAGUUCUUUUCCUGCAUCAGGCUGGUGAAGACUUUAUAAUUUUCACAGUAUAAAUUGGUAGUUCUUGCCAGAAUAGAUGAUAUAAAGUGGACGGUUUUUAGGCAGAACUGCGUUUUACAAAAUUAAGAAGGAAAAAUCAACUCUAAAAAGACAAAAAGAUGGCUGGAAUCCCACUUCUGCCUGGGUAGAAACUUCAGAUCCGGGCUGGACCGAAUACAUUCAUGAUGGACUGAGCUGUUAACAACUUCAAUUGCUUAGCUUUAGCUGUAAAUCGAUACCAAAGUUCAAUUUUGGCAGAGCUUUAAUCUACUUCAAGCCUUGGAAGGCUUUUGAGCGGGCAGAACUGCCGUCUCUUCUGGCUAAAAGAGGCAGAAAUGGCUGAAUUUGAGGUUUACUGAGCUGGAACUGCACUGUUGUACCUGUUCUGCUUGGUCAGGGCUUUCCAUAAAUUUGUUGAGGUUUUCAUAUUUGUGAAAAACUCAAACUCUGCUUGUUUUGGCUUUUGCUGAACCAAAUUUGUAACGAGAGAAGUCUUGUUUUGAAUGACUUUUCUCUAAGUUUGAGCUUUUGAAAUUCUAGGAGAGAGAGAGAGAGAGAGCUUUUGAUUGCUCCAGUUUGUUUGAAGGUUCUCAAUGAUCAAGUGAUCAUUUUGAGUUUUUGCCUUUAGCUUAUUUUUGGUUGUUUGUUUGAUUAUCCUUUGCUCUAUUCACCUUCUCCUAUAUUUAUAAGAAAUGCUUUGAAGUAGGGUUUCUUUCUUUUAAUAAUGGGCGGCCAAAAUUCUCAAAAGGUCUUUCAUUUUUUUAAAUACGAAGAAAAAGGGGUUUUCUCAAUUUUGGCAAAUAAGUUCUCAACAGUCAAUUCCAUUGAAAGAGAACCUGACUUUUCUUUAAUUCCCAACUGCCCUUGUGAGAGCUCAAUCGUGAUGGUCAGUUUGCUUCUCCAUUUUGAACAACUUCCUGUUUCCUGUUUAUCUUUUUAGAAAAUACAAUCUGGGUAUCCCUUGAAAGAUGGUGCCUUUUUUGGAGUAGAAACAAUGUCUCUAAAUAUAAAAGGGUUUUUUUUUUAUCUUUUGGUGGCAAAGAUUUCAAAGACGUCCCUUCUUUUCGCCUGCCUCUGUCAACUUUUUAUCAACCCAGUUGAAAUUGUUGACUUUCCUAAAUCAAAAAAAGAGAUUCACGUGGGUCUGUUCCUUUUGGCUCCUUCCUCUCUUUUAAUCAUGCCUAACCUCUUUUGAUUUUACUGGAGCCAUGGGCUGAUUGCUUCUCUUUUCGAGGCCCAAGUUUAUUUGCAGAGCCCAAACUGCUUGGGCCCUGUGGUUUUGUCUUUGUUGUUUUUGGGCUUUUUAGGCUGGACGUGCCAAAAUUAGGCCCAAACAAUGUCCCCUAAGUUUGAAUCGUUUCUAGAACGGUUCGAGAUUUAAUGAUUUUGGCCAUUAAUUCGUGCGCGCCAACUUCUUUCGUUUAAUGCACGUCUGCCUACCACGAGCUAGACUUCAUGGGAAACUGUUUUGUUACUAGCUAGUUACUUAGCUAGUUAUUAUCAUAUGGCGUCUCGUCUUCCUCUUCCCACGAUUUCAAGCCCCUUUUUUAAGAAAUUCGAAACUCCAACUUCUGUUUAUUUCAAAAACUAGCUUCUUUUUAGACCUCGACAAUUCUUAGUUUUCCCCAGAAUUCUCACUUUUUCUUCGACCAGACUCUGCCUUUCUUAUCAUUUCCUUUCCUAGUUCAACACUUCUGAUCAUGUCUUCUCCCAAGACUCGUGCUCAAGGUUGGUCCUCCUCAGUUCCUCCUAAUUACAUCACUGGGACUGGGAUUGACAAUCACGCGAUAGAGGUUAGAAGCAAACUGAUAGGACCCGCCCCGAAUUUUCCAAAACCCAAGGCGAAUCCUGUGAAAUUUCCGACAUCACCCCGAUGCCGGGCCCACUUACUAAACACCGAGACUUUCUGCCGAAAUUUCGGCAGAGUCUCCCCUAUAAAUUGGACAUUUCCCAAAAUUUCAACCUGCAUAAAAACACAUUUAAUAUUCCCAACGGGCAGCAUGCACAAAAUAAUUUCAUCCAAUUCACAUAACGGCCUUCGGCCUUUCAAUAAUUUUCAACAAACUACCAAGCACACUAACAAAUCAAUUCAUGCCUCAAACAAGGCAACCAAUAAAUUCAAAUAUGCAUUAUGACUACCAAAUUUCGACAUGCAUCAUUUUGCUUUUCCAAUCUCAAUAGAUGAGGUUUUAACCUCCUAACACAAUCACAUCUAUGUUCGCGGCUGCACCUAAUAACCUUAGGCUGCCUACGUACCCUCACUGAGGGAUCAAGACACACGUAGUUCUUCCUUAAACCCAAUUCCACACAUAGGCAAUACCUUUAUUCAUUUCUCUGUAUUUCACAUAAUCUCCUCAUACGCCUGUACUACCAACGCCACGUAUGGGGUCUGUCAACACACUGGGUAACCUACGCCACGUGCGACCUCACCAUAUUAUCACAUAAUCUCCCCAUACGCCUGUACUACCAACGCCACGUAUGGGGCCUAUCGACACGUUGGAUAACCUAUGCCACGUGCGACCUCAACAUAAUAUCACAUAAUCUCCCCAUACGUCAAUACAACCAACGCCACGUAUGGGGUCUGUCUCAACGCCGGAUAACCUACGCCACGCGAGACCUGAACAUCAUAUCACAAUAGCUUGCCAUACGCUGGUACAACCAACGCCACAUAUGGGAUCUGUCGACACGCCGGAUAACCUACCCCACGUACGACCUCAAUAUAAUAUCACAUAAUCUCCCCAUACGCCGGUACAACCAACGCCACGUAUGGGGUCUGUGUUAAAGCCGGAUAACCUACGCCACGCGAGACCUGAACAUCAUAUCACAAUAUCUCUCCAUACUCCAGUACAACCAACGCCACGUAUGGGGUAUGUGGACACGCCGGAUAACCUACGCCACGUGCGACCUCGAUAUAUUGUCAGGUAAUCUCCCCAUAUGCCGGUACUAUCAAUGCCACGUAUGGGACCUGUCCGCAAGCCGGAUAACCUACGCCACGUGGGACCUAACUUUCACAGGGUGGUACUUGUAGUGUAACCAAAAUCCGGAAAGGUGCCUAGGGUAGUGCGUAUAGCACUUCAAACUGACAUUCUAGACUCUUUAUACCUUUACAAACAUAUAUAAACAUAUAUAAUUUAAUUCUAAUUGUGUAAACCUCAACAAUAGUCUAGCACCCAAUAAUCCCCCUAGGAAGGUGAGACUACUCCGAAAGACUCACGGUCGACCAAGGGUCAAACUACCCUAACAUUGGUCAAACAGGCCCACGGGGCCCACGACCUCCAAAUUCUGAUCCGAAAGUUCCUAUGAGUUCUCCGAGUUAUAGGACACUCGUCCUGCAAGUUUAGUCCAGAUCGGACGAUCAGAUCGCUCACGAUCGCACGAUCUGACGGUUAAUAUAAAACAUAAACUUUAAAUUAAUAAAUCAAAACAUCCGGCACUCCGAUUCACGAUCCGUGAAUUCCUACACGAUCCUAGAAAUACCUAGAUUAACAUAUAUUAAAUUCAAGACCAUCCAACGGUCCCAACCUAUCGAACCCAGAUAACGCGCAAUAGGCGGUAUCCGUUCGAUAUUUCCCUUUAAUAAUUUAAAUAAGGGAUUUAAUUUGGAGUCGGGGUGUUACAAUCUACCCUCCUUAUAAAAAUUUCAUCCUCGAAAUUUCAUACCUGCUAGAAGAGGAAUCUGCCAGAACUGACUUUAGGAAGAAGUUCCUGAGUGUCACUCUGCCAAGAGAUCUGCCCCACGGAGGUGGGAAGCCUCCAAACUAUCAUUUGGGAGCAGAAGUCUAUCAUCGCAACUUCUGUGCAAGGCAACUUGGCUGCCCCAGCUUAUUCCACUAAAAUCAUACAGAAGCUGCAAUCGGGCCACUUCCUUGAGAGAUGCGGAUGAUCUGGAAGUGCACAAAGAUGCUAGAUGUGCAGUAAACAAGAUAAAUAACAGCGCAGAUGCCCUCUAUCCAGCCUGGGAACUGAACUCCUGCAGUUCUGCCGAUUUUGACGCUUGGUGGAAAUCCAGGUUUCAUGGUCUGCCAGCCUCCAUUGCUGCACUCAAGGUGAUUUUUGAGGGCUGGGACUCCUGGACUGUCUACGCGGAGGUGGAUGCCAAGAACUUCAUGGUGCAGACCAUCAAAGACAUUAAUGCCCAGGGUAUAGAAGGUAACUUUCAAUUCUGUCUGUCUUGCCUAUUCUGUCUCUUAGUGAUGAUGCCUAACAGUUUUGUUCUGUAUAUAUCAGACCCUUAUUUGACAGAAAACAUAGGUGGACAGUCUGUCCAAGCUGGAGAUGUGAUUGGUAAGUUUUUCACUAUUCUGUUCCUUUCAUUAUUUUCUUGCUUGAUUGACUUCUGACUUUGUCUAUUUCUUGUGUAGUCAUUGCUGUCAUUGCUGCUGGGACUUGGAGCUUCCCUCUGGAGAUGAAGAGGAUCUAGCUGCUGAGGCUAUUCCUUUUGGCAGAACAUCCAGCUGCUGAGGCCAUUCUUUCUAGCAGAAGGAAGAGAAAGGAAAUUUCUUCUGCCCAGCACAGUGCUGCUCAGCCUGCGACUUCAGGUAAGUUCUGACAGUUUGAGCUUUUCGUAAUUCUAUUUUGUCCUAUUCUGCCUUAUGUUCUAAUGGUUUAUUGUCUGCUUAUUGUAGCUGAAAGUUCCUCUCCUCCUCCUACUAAGUCAAAAAGACUUAAAAAGAGGACUGUGGUGGAAUAUAUGGCCAUGGAGGAGUCUGCAGCAGUUCCCACCAACACUUCUGGGACGGAUGAAGAGCUGAGAGAGGCCUUCAAGACAGUGGAAUAGGAGAAAGAGCUAGAAGAAACAGAAGAAGAACCUCAAGAAAAGGCAAAAGAAAUGGAAGAAAAUGUGAGUAUUGUUUUCUGGCUAUGUCAGCUUUUCUUUUGUUUCUUCAUUUCCUCUGUUCUGACUUCUGUCUAUGUAUAGAAGGAAAUCCCCGCUGAAGUGAUUGCAUAGAGCAUUGCUUUGGCGCAGAGGCAGCAGGAGAAUCAAAGGGCAGAGCUGACCAGCUCGGAGUUGGCCCUUUUUGAAGACGCAGAGGCAGAACACUCAACUGUUGUUCCAGCAGCUGAGGAGCAGGUGGAGCAGUCUGCAUCAGAGCCUGUGGAGCGAGCAGAACUACCUGUUGCAGUCCCAGCACCUGGAGUGGAAGUGGCUGCUGUUGUUCCCGAAGUUGUGGUAAUUUUUAUUCUACUUCUGUCCACCUGUUUCCUGCAAUUCUGUUCUGUCUGUGCUUCCUUAUCUAUUAGUCUUUUCAGGUAGAAGUGCCUAGGCCUGCUGGGGUUUUGGCAGUGGUGACCAGCCCCUUGAAGCCUCUCAUCGUUGCUGUAAGUGUUAAUGCAUUCCUGGGCUUUUUCUUUUCUGUCUCUGCCUAGUUCCUACUCUUGUUCUUUUCUGCAUAUGCCUAUCCAUUCCCUUCCAAGUUCAUCUGCCACAGCUUCCUAUGCUGAUUCGGAGCUGGCAGAAUUUGAGGCUCUGGAUCUGAACGCCCAGCUAGACAAGCUGAACCCUAAACCCUUGAGAAACUCAGCUCCACUCCUUGCAAGGCAAAGUCCAAGGCAGUGGAGGAGGCUAUGGAGAGACUGAAGAUCUGGCAAUCAACUGAUCUGGAGCUGGAUAAGGACAGGGAAGCUGUUGACCAAUUGAUGAAGGAUCUGGACCUUCUGCACAGACAGAACAUGGCCCCCAAACCCAUACUUGAGAUGAGCCUUGGCUUGGGAAGAGAUGUGCUCAACCUCCACGACCGUUACGAGGAUCUCAAGCCCACCUUCAAGACCUCUGAGUUCUGCAAAGCCACCCAUAAAGCCAACUUGGCUGACUAUGCAAAGCAGAAGGCAGAACUGGACCAGAUGGUUGCAGGAUACAAGGAAGCCAAAGCCACUAUAGACAAGUUGGAGAAGCAGAUUGAAGAGCUUCAAAAACAAUUGGCAGAGUGCAGAGAGGUGCAGAGCAGGCUCGGGGCUAGACUGAGCUCUAAGACCAAGGCCACCUUCCUUGUGUAGAAUAUGGUUUCAGCUUCUAGGCCAGCUUUGGAAAUUGCAGAGGCUUCAAUCCACCAGGGGUGCUACUUCAGAAGGAACUCUCCAUUAAAAAGGCCAACUUGCAAGAAACCCUUAGGAAAUUAGGGUUUUAGAUUCUAGUUUUUUUUUAAAGAAAUGUAAUAAAUAAUUUAGCCAUAAAAAGUGGCUAUAUUUAAAUAAAAGUUCAUUUAUUUUUGUGGGAAUUCCAAAUUCUUUCGACAAAAAGAAAAGAGAGAAAAAGUAAUUUAAAGCAUACUUAACAAAUUACAACGAAAAUGAAAGUGAUCAGAAAUUCAAACAACAGUUUUAUCUUGCUGUCUCUCUAUUCCGGGAUCUGUCUGUACCGCCUGUGAAUCCCACAUAGUUGGAUAGAACUUUUUUAACCAUUUGUCAUUAAUUGGUGCAGUAUGGACAUCUCCAUCUCGAUCAUGUAAUCUGUAUGCCCCCAUUCCAAGGAUCUGAUUAAUUAUGAAAGGACCUUCCCAUGUAGGUGACCAUUUUCCAUAACCAUCUAUAUGCGUUCCAAGGGGCAGAACUGCUUUCUAGACUAUUUCCCCCUCUUCAAAACUCUUGUUCUUGACUCUUUUGUUGUAAGCCCUUGAUACAGCUUCCUUUCCUGCUAAGAGUUUGUUGAGGGUAUCGAUCCUGCUUGUAUCCAAUCCUUCCAGUUCUAGCAUCAUAGCUUGAGAGUAGUCUUCUCCAACCAAACUGUGUUGAUGAGCAAUUCUGAGGGAUUGGACUGCUAUCUCCAUAGGCAGAAUUGCAUCGUGGCCAUAGGUGGUCAUGCCAGUUGCUUCUCUUCUUGAAGUUCUAUAUGCCCACAGAGUUUCUGACAACUUCUCAUGCUACUAUUUUGGAUUUUUCUCAAGCAUUUUUCUGAUAAUGUUGAUGAUCACCUUGUUACUUGAUUCUGCCUGCCCAUUAGCUUGGGCAUAAUAAGGGGUGGAUUGAAGCAGUUUGAAUUUAAAUGCUCCUGCCAUUUCCAACAUUUCUCCAGAUAUGAAAGAAGAUCCCCUAUCAGUUGUGAUUGAUUCUGGAAUGCCAAACCUUUGUAUAAUCUGCUCUUCUAUGAAAGUGAUGAUUUCUUGAGAUGCUGUGGACUUAACAGGCUUGGCUUCCACCCAUUUGGUAAAAUAAUCUGUAGCUACAAUAAUAAAACAGUGUUGUUUGCUACUGGCUGGAUAAAUCUUACCAAUGAGAUCCAUUGCCCAUCCUCUGAAAGGCCAUAGUUUUACUACUAGAUUCAUGGGAACUGAAAGAGCCUGCUGGAUUAGCCGAGCCAUUUCCUUUUAUGCUACCGAUUUCUUUUAUGCUACUGAGCCGGGCAAAACCAAUAAAAUAAAGAAAGGCAACGAAUUUAUUAACCGAGUAUAAAGGAGAGAGAGGGAUUCGAACCCUCGAUAGUUCUUUGUUUCGAACUAUACCGGUUUUCAAGACCGGAGCUAUCAACAACUCGGCCAUCUCUCCGAAAUAAAAUUUAUAUUUUAUUCCACCUAAUAGAACAUGGACAUAUGAGUUGAUACGAUUACUAUCUAUAGAAAGAUAUCAGGUGUGAGUCUAUAGGUCUAUCUAUCUGUAUAUAUAUAUAUAAUAUAGAUGCAUGAUCCAGCAAGCAUGCCCCUGAAGUUGACUUACGCUCAAAUGUAGAAGAAUCAGCCAUGGCAAAUAGGUAGCUGAAUUGCAGCGGAAUAGAUGAGCAACGGUGUCACUCCCCCUCAUAUCCAACGAUGUAUAAGAGUCGAGAUUUGGAGAAAGCAAUACCGAAAAAUAAAGUUGCAGAACUCAAAUAAAGUUGCAUCUAUCUCCCCAUCAAAUCCGACACUGGUAAAGGGUCGAGAUUUGAAAGAGGAGAAAUUGAAAUAAUAGUAAAGAGACUCAAACAUGCAGUCUCAUGGCAGAAACAAAUGCAAGAGGGGAAGAUGGUAGCAUACGGUUGUCCCAUGAAGAAAAAACUUUAGAAAAGGAGAAUAGUAAGGGAGGAAACCCAGCAAAUCAUGAACAGAGACAAAGACAAAGAUAAGGUACUCAAACUGAGAAGCGGAAAGGCAACUCAAGAGAGCAACCGAAGAAGACAGAGGCCCGCAGAACAGUCAAAGGAAAGGCUCGGCGAGUGGUGACGAUGCUCGCGGAGGAAAGCAACGGCUCGGUGAGCAGUGACGAGGCUCACGGAGUAAAGAGACUUGUUAUGAAGUUUCAAAGAUAGAGAAGCUGAGACAUCAAGAAAGACCAUCUGGCAUACAAAGAUGAAAAAUAAAAUUUUUGGAACAGUAGCAAAGAAGCAUGUGAAGGCUAGGUGCGGUGAAAACACAUAUGAAAGGAUGAACAAAAGAAGAUGACUAUACAAGAUGAAGACCCAUGAUGGGUUAGAAAUGAGGAGUGCCAACGACUCUCAAUUUGGCAGAGGCUAUCACAGGUUAGGAACCUGGCUCUGAUACCAUGUCAAACAAAGUAGGGUAAAUAUUCAGUUAUGCUCAGAUAUGCUCAUAUUAUUAUUCUUCUCCAAUAUGGAGAUAUUUAUACAAGUACAAAGAUGUGUUAACCCUAAAUAAAAUAGAAAAUAUAUCUAAAUUACAAUUGGAAGUAAAUCUCUAUUACAAUAUGAGUAAAUAAUAAUUGAUAAGUAACCAAAAUUCUAAUGAAAUAAGGAACUAAAAUCCUAAGUAAGUAAGGACUCGCCAACGAAUAAUAGUACAACUCUUAUUAGCAACAGGUUACAAACUUCUUCUACAACACACCAACAUGAAUCUAGCCCUGAUCAAUUCUUUUACAUACUUGAAAACAAAACAAAACACGAAAAACAAAAAACAAGAAACAAGAUAGGGAGAAAAUGGCUACGGAGAGACUUACCGCUAAUACUUGAUCAAUAACAGAGAUAAUAGAGCACACUGUUUGUAUGACAAUGAGUAUCAGAAGAAUAAUAGCUGCAAAGAGAGAAAUAGCUGCCCAAGGUGUGUUGAAAUACUUUUGUCUCAAAUUUGCCUUCCGUCUGUUCGUGGUCUUCUUGCAGUACUCGUUUAGUUUGCCAGCAAGAUCACCAAAAUAGUAGUUUCCGUGGUUCGGAGCAACUUUACUGCAAAGCUUGUUAAUCAUAAUGGAAACCUUAUUGUUGUCACCUAGCGUGUUUACAACAAUUCCAUUGUCAACAAGCAACUCUACAUCCUUUGGGGUGUUUACAAAUUUAUCCAGGAUGAAAACAUAAUCGCUUAUGUAUUUAUCCACGCAAUUGCCUUGUUCAAAGGCAAUGAGAUUUCUAUGUGUAAGCUGUGUAAUCAUGUAUUUCAAUUUUUGGAAUUUCCAAGGUGUUUUUCUUGAACUGUAUAUCGAAUAAGUUCUUGCUUGAUCCCACGUUAAACUUAACUCCGGCCUGGUGUAGUUUUGUCAUGCUGGGUGUACUUUGGAGCCCUCCAUUUUUUUUUCUUUUGGCAGAUGUAAAGUUCUAAUAAAAUCAACAAAAUGUAAAGGUUUUUUAGGAUCAGGAGGCAUAAAAGACUUACGGAAGGCUGGUGAGUUCUCCAAGUUUUCUAAACGCAGUGCCUGUUGGAAGAACUUGUAAGAGAGUUCAAUUAUUGAAGGCUCCCCAGUCUGAGCACCUGUGAGAUUGUAAAGAUCCUUGAGAAUGAAAAAUGGCAGCUGAUUUACGAGCAUAAGCAUGUCAGGCAAUAUAUUUUGUAGCACCCAUGGUUUUUUAAAUAUCCAAGCAUUAUCAUCCUGCAAUUUUUCUUCCUGAAAUUUUUCUUCGGAUUUAUUCCUCAACAAUAGCUCAAUGACAAAGGCGGCAUCAACUAGACUGAUAUUCACAAAAGCAGCAAUGUUAAACUUCUUAGGGCUAGUUUGGCGUUGCUGUGUUUUAAAAAAAAAUAUGCUUCUGCUGUGCUGUGAAAAUAAUCAGCUGUGAAAAAAAGCUACUAAGCGUUUGGUAAACUGUUUUUGAAAAACUGUUGUGAGUAGUCAAAGUGUUUGGUAAAUUUUUAUCAGAAGUGUUUUUAGUGUGUAUAAUGACCAAAAAGGACAUGAUGAUGAAAUUGUUUGUUAUUUUCUUCAUUCUUUUUCUACUUUUUUUUUUAAAAAAAAAACCCAAUUUCACUACAUAAAUUUUUAUUCUUUUUUAAUUCACACCUUUUUAUCAAAAAAUUUAAUCUACAAUUAACAUACAUAUUUUACCAUAAAUUAUAAAUUACUAUUAUAACAAAAGUAAUUCUAAAUAUUGUUAUAUUAAUAUGGGCUUCGGACAUGACAAAAAUACAAAAAUUGUUCAAUUUUAAAAUGCCCCAAUAGAUCACUACAAUAUAAAAGAAGCUAAUUAGAUGCAUUCAUUAAACUUGUAGCGAUGCUAUUUCUUAAUGCAUUCAUUAGCUUCUUUUUUUGGUUUCCAAUGGUUCUCUAACAAUUUUAACUAAAAAAACAACCAUAAUGCUUUGUGAACAAUAAAUUCAAGUCCAAAUCUACUAAUGCCCACACCAUACAUAUAUACAUAAUUGUUUCUUUCAUAAAACUUGAAGAUUCAAUAGUAAUUACACAGUUUACCAAUCUUGAUUCCAACUAUAUCCAUAAAAUUAAACUAUAAUUAGAAACAGAGGAGCUACAUGUGAUUACUUAUAAAUGUUGCCCACUCUCAUCAUCAUCUUCUUCCUCCUCUGUACUUUGCCUUUCACAAAUGGACAAGACCAGAUGGUAACGUACACGACAUGGUCCACAUAUAGAUAAAUUUUGGGUUCACUGGAGAACAUAAAAGAGUUUUUACACGAAUACAAAGUUAGUUAAGUAGUGAAUAAGGUAAAACUAUUCUGUACAAUUCUAGCUGAUGCAGUCCAAAAAGAAUAUAUGUCUAAUAACUUAAAUAACAAUAAAGAGAAACAAAAACCUCAUGAAAAAUGCUAGAGUAAAAGUUACAUAACUGAAUCGAUGGACAGAGAACUCCACAGGCAGAGAAACAGCAACAAAAAUUGUCAAAACAGUAGCAAGACCAUGUUGGAGUCAAGGCCAAAGAUCAUAUUUCCUGUGUAUCUUCUUCCAUUCUGAAUUAUUCUCGUAUUCAAAUACUGUAACUCUAUUUCAAGUGCACCCCAAAAUACUUAUCUAAGGCCAGUACAUAGGACUUCAUAAAGGGUGCCAUAAAAAAUAUUGCCCCUUAAUUGAUAAACAGAACCAAGAUCCCAAUGGCACACCAAAACUAUACCAACCACACCUACAUAAUAUGGACAGAAAAUCCUGUUGUUCUGACCUCUAACCACACCAAUGACAUUCAUUAGGAAAAUACAAAAGAUGGGUACCCUGCAUUUCUAACAUUUAAGAUAAAAUUCACUGCCAGCUAAUCACAAAUUUGAAAAGAUGGCAAGAAAAUUGGCUAUGCUUUAACAAAAACCAGAGCAGUCCUUGCAUAGACCUGACUUUUUGCUCCAAGCUUUAGCAGAUCACUUACUGGUAGAGAGCAGAGAACAUGUAUGUGAAUAUCUGAAGUUGGAAGGGUAAGCCAUCACAAACACCAAGAGAUCUGAUUCUCAUCUCUUGUUACAACAACAAAUCACAAACACCAAUACAUCUGAUUCAGAAUCUCAUAAACAAUGGAGGAACAAACACAUAUUCACACACAUAUAAAUCCCUAAACCGAAAAAAAAAAAAAAAAAAAAAAAAAAAAAAAAAAAAAAAAACAUGAAAGUAAUAGGAGAAUCAAAUUGAUUUGGGCCAAAAUUGCCUAAAAAGAAAACACUCCUAAAUAAACUUCAAUUCACUUUUAAAAACAGUAAAACGUGAUUGAAUCGUUCUUUAAAACAAUUCCCUAAUAUACAUGCAUGAUAAUGACAUCAUUUACCCCUAAAUCAAAUGCCUUUCACUGGUUAAGCCACAAGUCUGUGUUUUGGGGAUUGCUGAGCUGCAUCAAUCCUGCCAAUGUCAAUUCUGCCCCUAGGCUCUCUCAAAGUGCAUUUACAACCUAUGCUAACAUAUACUAGAGUUUGUGCUAGUAUCUAGAAAAUGCCAACACUAAUUUCGUAACACGUAGAAAUUGUUACAUAUUGGAAGUUUUUAUCAUUUUUUCUUCCAGUCUCUCCACCACUCACUAAUACAGAUUACUCAUGUGAUGAGUUUACAAAACCUAUUUCUCUACUCCCACAAAGACCAUACUUUUUCUCAAAAGACUAUAUCACUUUAUCUCUAUCUUUGUGAAAUGUAAAAAGUUGAAACUUUAAUGUCAAAUCUCGACAAAAGAUGAACUUCCAUCAAUUACAUUGAAUUUGAAUUUGUUGAACUUAAGUGGUUUUACUUUCUCUGUCAGCGUUUGAUGACUUGAUUUGUUAUUUACUUCUUCUUUUUUCCUUGGAAAUGUGUUCCAUCAACGUGAGGAAGAAAAAUAUGCACAAAUUAAUAUAUUUAAUAGAAGCACAAAUUAAUAUUUACAAAAAUAUGCACAAAUCAAGUAAAAUUAAUAAAGCAUAAAUUGGAAAGGGAAAAUAUGUAGAGGAUGCAUUGUAGGAUUGCUCAUGCCAAUAAUUGUACCCUCUAAAUAUAUAGGGACAUAAUUUUUUUUGUUUUCAUGACAUGUGGUCCUCAAAUUAUUGUUCUUAGCGGACUCUCCACCCCUCUCGAUUGAAAGCCUAUUGUGUAAAUCUUCAAUCCUGAAUGAUCCACCUAAAACUCAUGUUGCAAUACACAUCCACCCAUUCUCAGGCCAAUUAUUACUCCUAGUGGGCUCUCCACCCCCUCUCAAAUUUAAGUGGUCCAUUAUUAUUAACCAUAUAUUUUAUGGACCAGCUAGCUGUGAGGUUUUAUCUCAAAAACCUUUCUCUCACAUGCCACAAUUUAUGUCUGAUACAUCACAUCAUGCCAGUUGUCUCAAAUGAAUUUAAGUGAGUGAGGCAGUGUUACUUCUGGGUACCCCUCAUCGUUCGUGUAUAAAAUGGUGAAGCCAGUUGCUACUGUUACCAUAAGAGCCAGCUCCGACUUUCAAAAUAAAAAUUCCAACAAUGAUCUUAGUGCCUUCAAACGCAUGAGUUACUGAACAUGCAAAUAAAUACACUAUGAAUAAUAAAAGUGUUUGAUAAAUCACCAAAUUAUGGAACACUUGAUGAUUUAUCUCAAAUAAAAAUUCCAAGGCUUAUUUUAUAGAAUUUUUCUUUAUUACAAGAAAGAAAACAUGUUGAAAACCAAAUCUCCAAUUUCCAAGGCUUGACAGAAAAUCAAAAAAAUAUCUUUCCUAUUCUAGAGAUUGGUCACAUGUAGUUCAGAAAAUCAAAAAAAUAUCUUUCCUAUUCUAGAGAUUGGUCACAUGUAGUUCAACCAAUAGGAAAUGAGAUAUUUAAGAAAGCAAGAUUUUGAUCAAUAUCAAUAUCAAAUGAAUUCUUAUACGCCUAGUCAACUAUUAAGGGUAUCUUGACUCUUUGAUAUUGUGAUAUGAUUGAAACAUGAUUUCCAUGUUAGAAAAUUAAGGGGAUGUUAAAACAUGAAAGUAAUAGGAGAAUCAAAUUGAUUUGGACUAAAAUUGCCUAAAAAGAAAACACUCCUAAAUAAACUUCAAUUCACUUUUAAAAAUCGUAAAACAUGAUUGAAUCGUUUUUUUAAAACAAUUCCCUAAUAUACAUGCAUGAUAAUGACAUCACUUACCCCUAAAUCAAAUUGUCACGCCCCGGACCUGGGGGUCAGUGGAAAUCCCGCGCCCGGUGCGUGAGAAAAUAAAAAGUAAAAUAAAAUAAAAAGAAAGCCGAAACAAGGGUUUAAAAUAAACUUCUCUUAUAAAAAUAACUCUAAAAUCUUAUAACUUUACAAGAAAUAAAUAAAGCUCUAUCAUUCUUAUCUAAUUCAGACUCAACUGGUUUAGUCCUUGUCUUGCCCACUAAUUCAUCUGAAAAAUUAAGAGUGUUGCUAAACGAACCCUAAAAUUAAUUGAGUACACCAUACUACCAAACAAUUUAUUGAAUUUGUCAAGGUUUUGUUUCUGGGAACUCACGAGCAACUUUCCAGUGGGUUACCCAUCCUAGGAUUGCUCUAGCCCACAACUCGCUUAACUUCGGAGUUCCUACGACUCCGAAGCCAGUGAGCUCCCAAAAGGCCUCGUGCUAGAUGGAUGCGGGUGUGCACAUAUAAGGCACAUCACCACCUCUCCGUUGAUUGAUGUGGGAUCUUACAAAAUUACUAAUUUAUUCUAAUAUAAAAUGAUCAAAAAAGAUAAAAUAAUAUUGGUAUCUAUUGCUUUGAAUCCAUGCCUUCAAACAAAUUGACUUAAUUUUUAACAAACAACACGGAGUCCAGGAGAAGUGUAUUGAUCCAAGUUGAUUUUUGUAUGCAUAAAACUUAAACAAUCAAUAACACAAAGCAGUUCAUGCUGAAAUAUUGGAAACCCACACCCAAAGAGUUCUCCGCUGCGAGGUUGAAGGCAGGAGAGAUGGGUGACAGAUUUUACUUCCACUGCGAAGUUGGAGGCUAGGAGAGUCUGUGACUGCCAUGGUUGAGGGAGAAGAUGCGUUCAAAAUGCCUAUUGAUAUUUUACAUUAUUUUCUAUACAAGUUAACAGUGUUUGUGUAUUGUUAAAGGUGGAGAGACGUGUCAAAAUUUUAGACAAAGGACAGGAGGAGAUAGGGAAUUUGGGGACAGCAGAUCUCAACUCCCUUGAGACCCUAUUCUCUACGCCACCCCUCCCCCUCAACAACCCUAGUCACCAUUUCUCCUUCAACUCCAACGGCAACUCAUUAAAACCCAAUUCUCAAAUGCAACAAUCUAAUCCCAAUCCCAAUUCAGAUGUUUCUAAAAAACCAAUGGUUGUCGUGGUGGAGAACUGCAAUUCCAGGUGGUGGUGGUACCACAUGGGAGAGAGAAAAAAGAAGAAGAAGAAGCAGCAGAGAGAGAGUUUUUUAUUAUAUUAUUAUUUUACUGUAAUUUUUUAAUUUAAAAAAUUAAAAAAAUUAAAAAUUAAAGAGGAUGUACCAUGGGUAUUUUUGGUAGUUAAAUAGGGUGUACUUAGUUAAUUUUCAAUUUAAUUUAAACAUUAGAGUGUACUCAGUUAAUUUUAGGGUUCAUUUAGCAGCACUCAAAAUUAAACAAGGUAAGGGAUGAGCAAGUAGGGACAUGAGACCUUGCCACAGUAGAUUGAUAUAACUAAAUAUUAUCAUAAACAUCGAAAUAUAUAAAUAUUAUUAUGAUAGGAUUCAUAAUAAUUAAUAUAAAAGUAUAACAACAAGAUUUACAUUUAUGUACCAAGAUAAUUACACAUAUAAAUAUAACCAAUAUAUAUUUUUAUAUAUUUUAAAAUACAAGUCUUUACGUAAAUGCCCUUCACGGGUCAAGCCACAAGUCUGUGUUUUGGGGAUUGCUUAGCUGCAUCAAUCCUGCCAAUGUCAAUUUUGCCCCUGGGCUCUCUCAAAGUACGUUUAAAACCUAUGCUAACAUAUACUAGAGUUUAUGCUGUAUCUAGAAAAUGCCAACACUAAUUUCGUAACACGUAGAAAUUGUUAGAGAUUGGAAGUUUUUAUCAUUUUUUCUUCCAGUCUCUCCACCACUUAUUAAUACAGAUUACUCAUGUGAUGAGUUUACAAAACCUAUUUCUCUACUCUAGCAAAGACUAUACUUCUUCUCAAAAGACUAGAUCACUUUACCUCUAUCUCUGUGAAAUGUAAAAAGUUGAAACUUUAAUGUCAAACCUCGACAAAGUGUUCUACUUUACAAACUUCUUGUGUCUACCAAUUUCUACUAAAAUUAAUUUCUCUACGGUGCUCAGAUUCAUCAUAUGUGUGUCCUUAAUUUUAGUGGAAAUUGGAAGUUUCCAUAAUUUUUGCUUUAAGUCACUCUUCUGAAGGAAGUUGAGGUUCCACUCCAUAAUCCAAAAUGUCAGGUUGACUUAUGGCAAACAAUGUAAAUAUGUAGGAGUACUAUGACCUUUUAUAGCAUUUUUAGUUUGAAUUUGGGUUUUAUACAUAGAUUUCGAAAUUAAUAGGUUGAUGCCUAGGAAAUAGAAAUUGUAAGGGCCUAUAUUAGACUAGCCCUCUUAAAAAAUAUAUUAAUUAAUGAAUAUUUGUUCUUCUUGUUGUUUUGAAGUAGUGGUGGGAGGCAUACCAACAAAAAAAAAAAUAUAGUGAAGGCUUAUAAGAGCAUUUACAAUCAUGCUCCCUAUUUUUUAGUUAAAAUUUAGCUAAAAAUAGAAAAAAGUUAUUAUAGGAGCUCUUUAUAAAAUUUGAACUCCAAUCAUACUCCCUAGUUUAGGGAGUCAAAAAUACUAUAGUUAUUUUUUAAUUCAAUUUGAUUUUGGUUAAUCUCUAUAAAUAAAUAAAAAUAUGAAAAAAUAGUUAACAUUAAUUAAAAGUUUAAACUAUGCAUAAAACAAAGAAACAUUAAAUUAUAGGGAGCCACUAUGAGUCGUUACUCUCUCCUCAGAUUUAGGAGCUCCUAGAGGUCUCCCUAUUUUAUGAGGUGGAUAAGGAGCAUGGUUGGAGUUGUAUUUCUUCAAUUUCCUCCCUAAAAUUUGUCUAAGGAUGUGGUUUAGGGAACCCAUUGUGAAUGCUCUAACUCUGGUAAAACACGAGUGACAUGGACAACAUAUGUUACGUCGUACAGAAGAUUUUUGGGUUUCUUUAAUUGGUUAAGUAGCAUCCACAAUGAGCUUCCUAAAUCAUCUCCUUAGACAAAUUUUAGGGAGGAAUUGGAAAAGUACAAUUCCAACUAUGCUCCCUAUCCACCAACUAAAAUAGGGAGACCUCUAAGAGCUCCUAAAUCUGAUGAGAGGGAAAGGACUCUUAAUGACUCCUUAUAAUUUAAUGUUGCUUUACUUUAUGCAUAUUUUGAACUUUUAAUUAAAUCAAAUUAUUAUUUUUAUAUUAUUUUGUAUACAGACGGGUUAAUUAUAUUAAAUUAAAAAAUAAUUAAAAUAUUAAUGACUCUCUAAACUAGGAAGCAUAAUUGUAGAUCAUCUUAUAUACCUUAAUUUGAAGAUUCUUUAUUUGGGUUUCUUUCAAGACUUAUCACCUUAGCCACACCACCUACACGUCUGCAAGCUUCCGUAAUCUAACAAGGAAGGGGAGGCUGCGCAAUACUUAUCACCUUAGCCACACCACCUACACCACAAGACCAAUAUGUGUAGUCCAGCAGGCUUUCCAAUUUUAAUAUAUAUUAUAAAAUAAAAUAAAAAUCAAUCUAUUAUCAUAUAUAUUAUAAAAUAAAGAUUAUUGCUCCAUCCUCCAUGCACUUGCAUGCCCUCUUACAAAGUGUGAAGUAGAUUUUGUGUGCUCCAAGUCAUUGACGAGAGCUGUAACAUGGUUAGCUGGAUUUAUAAGAUCUUUUCUUUUCUGGGAAUUUUCUGAAUUAAGAAAAAUCAAGUAAAAUUAAUAAAGCAUAAAUUAGAAAGGGAAAAUAUCUAGAGGAUGCAUUGUAGGAUUGCACAUGCCAAUAAUUGUAUCCUCUAAAUAUAUAGCGACACAUUUUUUUUGUUUUCAUGACUUGUGGUCCUAAAAUUAUUGUUCCUAGCGGGCUUUUCACCCUCUCUCGAUUGAAAAUCAAUUGUGUAAAUCUUCAAUCUUGAAUGAUGCACCUAAAACUCAAGUGUCCCAGGCCAAUUAUUGCUCUCAUACCACUUGUUGUAAUAAACAUUCACCCAUUCUAAAGGAAAGAUAACCAUCGAUAUUAUCUGAAAUUUAACCACUUAAGUUCAUUAUGAUUAACUAUGUAUCUUAUGGACCAAUCCAAUCGUAAGGUUUUAUACUCAAUUAGAUCGACCAAUACAAAGUUCACACUGGAUUAAAAAGGGCUAUCGGUAGGGGAGUGUUCGGCACCCUUUACUGUGGAGCGCAACACAAGACCCCUUGCAUGCCCUCACUAAGUUGAGCCCAACUAUUUUUGAGCAUUAACAAUAUAUAUAGAUUGAAAAAAUAAAAUAAAAAUCAAUCUAUUAUCAUAUAUAUUAUAAAAUACAUAUUAUUGCUCCAUCCUCCAUACACUUGCAUGCCCUCUUACAAAGUGUGAAGUAGAUUUUUUGUGCUCCAACUCAUUGACUAGGGCUGAAACAUGGUUAGUUGGAUUUAUAAGAUCUUUUGUUUUUUGGGAAUUUUCUGAAGCACGGAAAAUCAAAUAAAAUUAAUAAAGCAGAAACUGUACCCUUUAAUUAUAUAUGGACAUAUGUUUUUUUGUUUUCAAGUCUUAGAUGACAUGGGGACCCCUCUCAAAUUUAAGUGGUCCAUUAUUGUUAACCACAUAUUUUAUGGACCAUCCAGCUUCGGUACAUUUCUCCCACAUGCCACAAUUGUAUAUUCACAAUUACGUCUGAUACAUCACAUCAUGCCACUUGCCUCACAUGCCACAAUUGUAUAUUCACAAUUACUUCUGGGUACCCCUCAUCAGUCGUCUAUAAAAUGGUGAAGCCAGUUGCUACUGUUACCAUAAGAGCCAGCUCCGACUUUCUUUAAUUUCUUGCUACAUCUGUUGCUAAGUUAAUUUCAGUCCUAAUGGGGUUUCAUCUCCCACUCAUCUUUGCUAUUCUCAGUGUAAGCUCUGCAAUUUGAUUAACUUUUCCAUUCUCUCUCAUUGUACUCUAUAUAUAUAAAUGAAAGUUUUGUGUUCCUAUAAUUCUCUCCGAUUUUAUUUAGUACGUACUUAAGUGUCGUCCACUAAUUAAUUACACUUUGUGAGAUUUGAUUUUAAUUAGAGUUCGAAUUAAUGUUGCAGCUAGCAGCGGUUGCACUGGCAAACAAUGCUGCUCAACCAGCACCUCAACUUUACUGGAACUCCGUCCUGCCAAACACACAGAUGCCAAGAUCUAUCAGUGAACUUCUGCAUCCUGGUUUGUGUUCAGCUCUUUAUAAUCUUAGAUAUCUCUUCUACCUGCCAUUUUACUAAACUAUGUUCGACCACAUAUUUAUCAGUUAACUACUGUCAUUACAAGAAUGACACUUAUUUUCCAAUAUAAUUUGCAGACUCCACAAAUGAAGAAAAGAGCAAACCUGAAAUUUUCCCAUUGCAGGGCAAUAGAGUUUACACUCAAAGCCAUUAUAAAAAACGUCCUCCUCCUCCAUCUGACGAGGGCAAACCUGAAAAUUUCCCAUUGCAGGGCAAUAGAGUUUACACUCAAAGCCAUUAUAAAAAACGUCCUCCUCCUCCAUCUGACGAGGGCAAACCUGAAAAUUUCCCAUUGGCCAAUAGCUUUUACACUCAAACCCAUUAUAAAAAACGUCCUCCUCCUCCAUCUGACGAGGGCAAACCUGAAAAUUUCCCAUUGGCCAAUAGCUUUUACACUCAAAGCCAUUAUAAAAAACGUCCUCCUCCUCCAUCUGACGAGGGCAAACCUGAAAAUUUCCCAUUGGGCAAUAGCCAUUACACUCAAAGCCAUUAUAAAAAACGUCCUCCUCCUCCAUCUGACGAGGGCAAACCUGAAAAUAUCCCAUUGGCACGUUCAGGUUACCAACGAAAAAAUUAUGGAGCAAGUCCUCCUCCAUCUGACAGUCAACUAAAGCAUUAUAAAGACUUAGCUAUUUUCUUCUUCGAGAAGGACAUGCGCCCGGGCACAACUAUGAAGUUCCAAUUCCCUAGAAAUUCAAACACGGCUACUUUCCUGCCACGCGAAAGUGCUCAAUCGAUCCCCUUCUCCUCUAAGAAACUACCAGAAAUUUUCAACCAUUUUUCAGUGAAGCCAACAUCUGAGGAAGCCAAAACAAUUAAGCAAACAAUCGAAGAGUGUGAAGCUCCAGGCCUUAAGGGAGAGGAAAAAUAUUGCGCCACAUCUUUAGAAUCAAUGGUUGAUUUUAGCACUUCGAAGCUUGGAACAAGAAACGUUGAAGCAAUCUCAACGCAGGUAUUGGAAGAAGGAGCCACCAAGUACAUGCACAACUAUACAACAAUCCCGGGACUGAAGAAGUUGGUAGGUGACAAAGUCGUUGUGUGUCAUAAGGAGAACUAUCCCUAUGCUGUGUUUCUCUGCCAUGCAAUAAAACAAACAGAAGCUUAUGUUCUCUCCCUGAAAGCCGAUGAUGGGAUGAAGGUGAAAGCAGUAACCAUCUGCCAUCUAGACACAUCAGAAUGGGACCCAGAGCAUUUGUCCUUCCAAAUCCUCAACGUUAAGCCCGGAACCACUCCCAUCUGCCAUUUCCUUUCCACUGAUGCUAUUGCCUGGGUUCCAAAACACAAAUCUGCAUGAUCAUCACUUAGCACUGUACGUAUAAUAAGCUUGGUCGGGUUGCACCCUAGGCCUGCAUAAUUAUCUCCCUACUUAUUUCUGCCUCUUCAUCAUGCGGUGUAAGAUAUAUGAUGAGAUGAAGUUUUCUCUUGUAACUAUGUAGACUACUUCAACUUGUACUCAUAAUAAAGCACGCUGUUGGGGGGUUCUACUUAAUUUCGUUCUCUCCAAUGUUUGAGUGUUGAAUUGUUACGUUGGAAUAGGCUGCUAAUGCAUGUAGUUAGAGAAGCCUUCAUUUAUAUCAAAGUCCUCAAACUAUCAAGAAUUAAUGUAUCCAGAAACAUAUACCAAGACGCAAAACAACAUAUUUUCCAUUCUCUGUCUGUAACACCAAGGCAAACUUCCUUUAUCACAUCAUUUAAAGGAUCAAAUUCCAGUACUAAUCUAAUCCAUCAUGUAAAGCAUACAAGUGCCUACCUAAAUUUGUCCAUUGGAUAUAUAUGUCACUUUUUAUUUUUUGAUAGAGAUAUAAAUGUUGAGAAAAUUAGAGUACACAACUCCAAUAUAGACUUGUUGGAGACAAAACAAGUAAACAAAUUACUUGUAUUAGACUCACAAAAUAUUACAACAAGACAACUCUCAAAGAAAAGACAAACUCUCACACUUCUCACAAGGACUACUUAACUUUAUAGCUUAUUGCAUAUAGCAUAUGCAAACACAAUUAGAACAUACCUACGUACACUAUGGGAACACUCGUGUAUAUUUGAACACAAGAAAACAUGUGCGCACCGUGCACGGUUCACAUGAAGUAAGAAAUGAAGAGGAAAUAAAGAAGAAGAAUACAAAAGAAAAUGGAGAUGAGAAAAAAAAAACACGAAUAAUGAAAAAUGAAUUGACAAUUAUAUAUGGUUGACAUUAGAUCUAAUAUUAUAUGUAAUAACUAAUGAUCUAAAAUAAACAUUAAAUCAAACAAUAAUUAAAAGAUUUGACAAUAUAAAAAUUUACACGUCAGCAAACUCACCAUGGUAAGUUUGCUGACGUGUAAAAAUUGUGAAUGGACUACAUCGAAAAAUAAUUGGCUUACAUCAAAAAUUAAAAUCACGUGGGUUAUUCCUAAGAAACCUUAAUAUUUUUAGGUUUAUAUAUUUUUUGUAUUUAAAAAAAAAAAAAAAAAGAGAAAUCUGACCAUGUAUGUAUGAUGAUGAUAUGCAUGUUAUUUUUAGACCUAAGGUAAAACAGACAAACUUUUUACUCCAUUUUUCAUGAGGUUUAUCACAAUAAUUAAACUGUUAUAUCCUCCAUUUUAGAUCUCAUGCUUCCAUUUAAAGAAAAGAAUAUCAACAACAAAAAAAGAAUAAAGUUACAACAUUGAUCAAUUCAAAUGUCCAACUACCGGAUCAUGAGCCCUUGCACUUAGCGAUAUGCAGAUAAAUGCGUAGUGUCUUAAUGCAGAAGCUCGGGAUCCCCAAUUACCAUUGAAACAUAAGAAACUAAAAUCUGCAAGAAAAUGCUAUCAAUUGAAAAAACAAUAAUUAAAAAACAAAAAAAGGAAGGGAAUUCGCACCCGCUAUGCAAAAAAGAGCAAGUCGGUUCAAUGAUUUUUUUCUUCUUCUUUUUGUUAUGGAAAUGAAAAGCUCAAUGAUGGGCUAUAUAUAGGAAGAAGCUCAAUGAUUGAAUUAUUAUCUUCUAUCUACAUUCUACCCUCUUCCUCGCUACAUACACAAAUGGUGCACACCAGUAACUAAGCUUGUUUUGGGUUUGGUGGCCCACUGUAAAAGCUCAAUGGAGAUGGUUUGAGGUAGAAUUUUCUCCUAUUUCAAUAGGACAAUGAUGAGAUCUAUGUAACAACAAAUUUCUUUAAUAAUGAUAACUAAAAAAAGUGUGAUUCAUUGAAUAUUUGCGGGGUUUUGUUCUAAGUCAACACCUCAAAUUCCUUUUACACCAUCAAAUUCAAAAAGUUUUAUUCAACCAUCUCGACCUUAUGCUAAAAAUUUAUUUUGUUCAUACUUAACGUACUAGGUAUUUAUUUUAUACCAACGAGUACGAUGGUCCAUAUAAGUAUUCUAAUCAUUCACUCCAGUUGCAGGCCCCAAUAAUUUAGAAGGGCCGAAGGUCUUUCUUUUUUUCUUUUUUCUUUUUUGAGAAAUUCUAUGAUUGCAUUCAUAAUUCAGGCAAAAAAGUCACUAGCCACAAAAGGGCCAGUACAACAACGGAGCGGUCUAAUAUCAAAAUUAAGACAAUCUAGUGUGUCUCCACUAACGAUCAGGCGAGCCGAUGGUCUUUCAUUGGAUGAAAGCUUCUAUCUACCGACCCCACUAUAUGAACUAUGCAAUGGUGAUGAUGUUACAUUGCAAAAAAUAAAAAGUCAAGGUUUCUUAUUAAUGUUAAUGAAGGCAUAGCAAAAAAUUUAUAGCUCCAAUGGUUCAAAGCAGUUACCCAUGCACUUGAGAUUCUGUGUUUGAAUGCCCUCUCCCCUAAUAUUGCUUGUAUAAAAAUAAAAACUUCUAAAAAGACAUUAAUAUUGUAUUCUAUAUUCUAUAAAGUGUUGGACAUGUCUUAUAUUGUUGACAACCCCCUAACACUUUGGUGGUGCCUAGUUAUAUUCAAUUCGUAUGUAUUUAAUUUGCCACUUACAUUCUUUCCUUAAUACAUUUAGGCUUAUUUUUAUACUAAUUUCUCUAACAUAACUUUUGCACAUUCUUUUAGUCUCUAAUAUAUAUAUUUUCUAAUAAAUAAUCAAGAUCUAAUAAAUAAUCUUACUCACUUGAGUUAUAAACUAUUUUCUUUUAGCACAGAAAAUCGACAUUUUGACAGAGAGUUGAAAACGACUCCCCAAUUUUAAUGUCAACCACUUGAAAAAAAAAACAUAAAUUUAAUGAAAACAAUUACAUUUAGCAAUGCAACCUAAAAACUCAACCUUUGCGCCCCUUUCACAACGUAGAUAGCAAGGUGAGGAUAUUCGGAUAAGAACCAAGACAGAAGCCAAAGGAACUGCGAUAGCCAACCAGAGUCUCCAUUUCUUACCAUUUGAACAACGCCACCAUUUUGUUUGGUAAGUAUUUAAUAACAUUUCUUGCUCUACAUAAAGUAAUAUUAAAACGGAAUUUGCCUAAAUUUUUCUUACCAGCAAUCCAUAUGGACAAAAAUAAAAUAAAAUAAAUAAAUUUACAAUUAUACUCAAUAUAGGAGCCCAAAUUAUUUAUAAUUAAAAAAACUUAUAUGAAAUGGACUUUAGAAACACACUUAAAACCUAUUUACAACAAAACAAAAAAACGUUUAACUUCUUUUAAAUUACAAAACUAUCAUUGAUUUCUUAAACAAACCCAACCCAAAAACUUCAUUAAAAAAAAAAAGCUCAAAAUAUUAGACUCACAAAAUAUUACAACAAGACAACUCUCAAAAAAAAGACAAACUCUCACACUUCUCACAAGGACUACUUAACUUUAUAGCUUAUUGCAUAUAGCAUAUGCAAACACAAUUAGAACAUACCUACGUACACUAUGGGAACACUCGUGUAUAUUUGAACACAAGAAAACAUGUGCACCGUGCACGGUUCACAUGAAGUAAGAAAUGAAGAGGAAAUAAAGAAGAAGAAUACAAAAGAAAAUGGAGAUGAGGAAAAAAAAAACACGAAUAAAUGAAAAAUGAAUUGACAAUUAUAUGUGGUUGACAUUAGAUCUAAUAUUAUAUGUAACAACUAUUGAUCUAAAAUAAACAUUAAAUCAAACAAUAAUUAAAAGAUUUGACAAUAUAAAAAUUUAUUGAGGACAAAAAAAGGCAAAAACUUAUGAAAAAUGGAAACAAUAAAUAUGAACUGAGUCAUCAACUCACCAUGGUAAGUUUGCUGACGUAUAAAAAUAGUCAAUGGACUACAUCGAAAAGUAAUUGGCUUACAUCAAAAAUUAAAAUCACGUGGUCUACCUACUAUAUAGGAUGAAAAAAUUAGGUGAACAAUAUACUUACACCAUGGGAACACUCCUAUAUAUUUGAACACAUGAACACGUGUUCAAGGUUAUAUAUUUCAUUACCUUCACAAUAGGUACCAAACCGUACCAUGCGAACAUUCAUAUACGCACAACAUACUUAUAACAUACCUACACUAUGGGAACACUCGUGUAUAUUUGAAAACAAGAAGACCUGUGCACCACCGUGCACGGUUCACAUGAAGUAAGAAGAUGAAGAGGAAAUAAAGAAGAAGAAUACAAAAGAAAAUGGAGAUGAGAAGAAGAAAAAAAAACACGAAUAAUGAAAAAUGAAUUGACAAUUAUAUAUGGUUGACAUUAGAUCUAAUAUUAUAUGUAACAACUAAUGAUCUAAAAUAAACAUUAAAUUAAACAAUAAUUAAAAGAUUUGACAAUAUAAAAAUUUACACGUCAGCAAACCCACCAUGGUAAGUUUGCUGACGUGUAAAAAUAGUCAAUGGACUAUAUCGAAAAAUAAUUGGCUUACAUCAAAAAUUAAAAUCACGUGGGUUAUUCCUAAGAAACCUUAAUAUUUUUGGGUUUAUAUAUUUUUUGUAUUUUUUUUUUAAAAAAAGAAAAGAAAUCUGACCAUGUAUGUAUGAUGAUUGUUGGUAAAUUUUAACAACAAUAUUAAAACCUUGCAAGUGCACAAAUCAAAUGAUAGUAUAGUAAGCAAGCAAGGGUCGAUCCCACAGAGAUUGUGAUCUAAAGAGAUGUUUAUCAAUGUCACGCAAUGAAAAUCAAAACAAAGGACUUCCAAACACAAGCCAACACCAAGGGGGGUUUUGAUUUGUUUUUGUGAAUCAAACAAAAUAAGGAAAAGGAAACAAAAGAGAAUUUAAAUUAGAGUUUAAGAGAAAUUGGUUUAAAAACAAUCAAGAACAAUAGCUAGGACUUACUAUCCACCUCCAAACAAUCAAUCAAUCCAUAAACAACAAUAGAUAAUCAAUUUCUAGCAAGCAUAUGAUGACGACACUCACAACAAGAUCAUGGCAUUUGACUCGAGUUGUAUGAUUCUCUCUUAAGUGUAUGUAAAGUGUAUGGCAUUUACAUCAAUACGUGUAUUCUUAAUUAAAAUCUAGUAUGACAUUUACUCAAAUUAACAAUCAAGAAUCCAUUAAGAUCAAAGAGAAUAUGAGUGUCACAAAAACCCUAAAACAUGACAUUUGUUAUUAGGAAUUCAAGAAUCGAUUUCUCAUAACUAGUUCUUAACCCAAUUAUUCGUUGCAAACAAGAACACAUUCAAUAUGGCAAUUGACCUAUGUUCUACAACAAUUUAAUUCCAAUACAUGCUUCUAAGUUAGCUACUCAAAGAAACAAAAUACCAGAAUUCACAUAACAUAGAGAAACCGAAAUCAUCACGCUUGUAGAAACUAAAAAUCCAUUAAACUUGUUUAUAAAAUUGAAAUCAUGUCUAGGGCUUCAAGAUUAAGCCCUAACUAACAAGAAAUUAGUUACUCAUGGUCUUGGAUGAACUCAAAAAUAAAUACAUAAGAACUGAAAAUUAAAAGAAGGAAGGAAAAGAAAGAACUCGUUCGCAGCUUUCUCCUCUUGCGCAGUUGACCUCUUUAGGACGUGAAUCCUUUUUAUCAGGCCUUGGCUCGUCUUUUAUAUCACUUAUAUCAGAGUUCUAAACCCUAAAAUUGACUGAAAAGUCGUCCAAGAAGUCUUGAUAAACAAGGAAUCCAAAUAGGAAAGUAAAAAUCACAAUUCCUAACUCCACUGGGAUAUACAGCUCAGCCCAAUGUUCACACGAUUUGGGGAUCUUCGACCUUGUAGAAAAAUUAUUAAAAAUAUAUUUUAGAAAGAUAAAUGUCUUAUCUUUCCAACAUAUAUAGCACGUAACUUGAAAAAUUUGGAAAGGCUUCCGUUUCUUCACAUUCACGUAACAUGUACGAAACUGUCCUGUCUGCACGUGGGCUAACUUUACUUGUAAUACUGUACCAAUUGGCUCGGUAGAAAAUUCUAGAAAAAUAAUAGAUUGAACUUCAAGAUGUUAGCUUUCAUCUCCAAUUGGUCUUGUGCUAAAAUUCCUCCGAAAAGUUGAUUUUCCCUUAAAAACCUUCUAAGAGCGCAGAAAAGCUGAAAAUCAGAAGAAUAAAGUAAUAAGCCCUUUUUAAAUCUAAUUCUCUUACAAAACCAAAGUAAAAAGAGUACAUAAAUGAGUAUAUUUAUGGACUUAUCAAUGAUGAUAUGCAUGUUAUUUUUAGACCUAAGGUAAAACAGACAAACUUUUUACUCCAUUUUUCAUGAGGUUUAUCACAAUAAUUAAACUGUUAUGUCCUCCAUUUUAGAUCUCAUGCUUCCAUUUAAAGAAAAGAAUAUCAACAACAAAAAAAAUAAUAAAGUUACAACAUUGAUCAAUUCAAAUGUCCAACUACCAGAUCAUGAGGCCCUACACUUAUAGACUACGCAUUUUCUCGUAUUUUGCAAAAUUUAGACCAUUAUAAUAAUCUAACCCCUUCAAAUGUGAAACAUCAUCAAGUUUUUUUUCCUUCACUAAACAGAAGAGUUAAGUUUUAUUUGUGGGUAACUAAACUCUUGUUUAGAGCAUGUUUUUUAUUAUUUUUUUCUUUCUUCUGUGUAAAGUAUAAUGGGUUAGAUUAUUAAUUGUGGGUGACUAAAAUCUUGUUUAACAACAAUAGUUAACGUUUGUUUAGAGAAGAAAAAAAACUUGAUGAUGUGCCAUGUUCUAAAGGAUUAGAUUAUUAUAAUGGCCUAGAUUUAGCGAUAUGCAAAUAAAUGCGUAGUGUCUUAAUGCAGAGGCUCGGGAUCCCCUACUACCAUUGAAACAUAAGAAACUCAAAUCUUCACGAAAAUGCUAUCAAUUGAAAAAACAAUAAUUAAAAAACAAAAAAAGGAAGGGAAUUUGCACCUGCUAUGCAAAAAAGAGCAAGUCGGUUCAAUGAUUUUUUUUCUUCUUCUUUUUGUUAUGGAAAUGAAAAGCUCAAUGAUAGGCUAUAUAUAGGAAGAAAAAAAUGGUGCACACCAGUAACUAAGCUUGUUUUGCGUUUGGUGGCCCACUGUAAAAGCUCAAUGGAUGUAACACCCCGACUCCAAAUUAAAUUCCCUAUCUAAAUUAUUUAAUUUAAUUAAAUAUGGAAUUUCCAAUUUACCCUUGGGGUAGGGGUAUUUUGGUAAUUCUCUUAUCCAGAGAGAUUUUGGAGCAACAAGUGGUAUUUUUAGGUAGAUCAUACUUAGACGAGUCCGUAGAUACGUAGUGGGCUCGAUUCGGAGUUGUAAUGAAGAAGUUACGAUCAAAACAAGUUUUUUUUUUUUUUUUUGGAGAAAUUCUAUAUGAUUGCAUUCAUAAUUCAGCCAAAAAAGCCACUAGCCACAAAUGGUCAAUACAAACUAGCAACAAAAGGGCCAUUACAAUAACGGAGCGGUCUAAUAUCAAAAUUAAGAAAAUCAGGUAUGUCUCCACUAACGAUCAGGCAAGAUCGAAGAAACUCUGGCAUAGGCAUCCCAACUAAGAUUGCAAACUUAGAAUAAUAAAAAAGAGAUAAAGCUUGAAAAAACCAAGCCAUAACAAUACAAAUAAAACUCUCACCAAGGAUAGAUGAAAAGCUGUCACAAAGGAGAAAUGAAAAACUCUCACAAAAGGAGAGGUGAAAACUACACAGACAACCCAAAGAGUCUCUGCAACUUAUUCCAAACAUAAAGAAAAUGCAAAAAAGAUGGUGGUGGAGAUCCGACGCCGAAAUGCAGGUGAAGAUCCAACGUUGAGCCGCAGCCGCCUAUAAUGGUUGGAUGAAAAUCCUAACAAAACUAAGAAAAUAGGGACAACCAUUUAUCUUUGAAAAUGGGGGAAGAGGUGAAAGGAGGAAGAAAGGAAGAGAAGAGGGGAGAGGAGGGAAGAACAAUGGCUUUCUCCCCCUUCAAAGUGGAAAAGGCUCUAAGAGUGUUUUUUGGGAGAAAGGGGGCACGAUCAAAACAAGUUUAAUAGCACAAUCAUAAUUAUUUCGAAGUUGGUUUUUAAUAAAUCAGAAAACACACACACACACACACACACACACACACACACUCUCUCUCUCUCUCUCUCUCUCUCUCUCUCUCUCUCUCUCUCUCUCUCCCGUGCGAUUCUUCCUCCCUCGUCAAACAGCAGCGGUGGUUUUUUCCACCGCCACUGCCACACGCCACCAUACGAGGUGGCACCGGUCCCAAAAGGACACCCAGCUCAUCCUCUUCCAACCCCAGCCAAGCCACGCCGCCAGCAGCAACGAGAUUUGCUGGAAACCGCAGAAAAUCCUGCCGGUUUUUCCUAAACUUCAAACCUCUCGUUCUCUCUCAUUUCUCCACCGAUUUGGAUGUAUAGGGUAUGGAUUUCCACCUAUUUUUCAUGAUCUAGCUGAUGGUAAGGUAGGAUUUCAUUAAUUUUGAGCUUAGGUUAGUUGAUUCUCUAUUUGAAAUUCUGCCGGUUUUGGGAUCGCGUUUUCGGCCAUUUCCGGUCACUUUUUGGGGUAGGCCCAAGAACAAAAGUAACUCCAAAUGGGGUUUUACACCUAGGGUAGGAGUCUGGGCCUGAUAUUUUGAGGUUUUUUCGGCAAGUGUUAUCGCUUUAGACACCCACGCACUGCCCGUGCGUGGGCACUGUAGCAAAGGUGCAUUUUUACCCCAAUGUGUUCCCCUACUUGUCACGAGUUCGUGGGUGUGCUCGGAUUCCAAUUCGUAUAUCGUUUGACUAUCGAACAGAUUUACGCCUAUUGUGUGUCAUCCGGGUUCAAUUUGUUCGGACCGUUGGAUCGAGUUCAAAUUAAUAUAUGUUGAUCUAGGCACUCCUAGGAUCGUGUAGGAAUUCACGGAUCGUGAAUCGAAGCCCCGGAUGUUCCUAUUCAAUAACUUAAAAUUUGUGUUAAACGAUAACCGUCCGAUCGUGCAAUCGCGAGCGAUCCGACUGCUCGAUCGAGACCAAACUCUUGGGAUGUGUUUAGGAAACUCUGUUGGACCUUUAGGAACUUUUGGAUUGUAAUUGGGAGGUUGUGGGCCCCGUGGGCCAGGUUGAUUAUCGGUUGACUAAUUUGACUAGUGGGACCGGAUAGUUGACCACGAGUCUUUGGAGAACAUUUUGUCUCUUGUUAAGUACUAAGAUGGCCUUAGGGUUUUACAAGGACGUGCACCCCCUGUGAGUCCUGAGAGUUAGGAUUUUGAAUUAAAGUUCAGUGUUGGAUUUGAGUAUUCAGUUAAUCUUGGUAUUCUCUCAAAUAGGUUCUUUGGCGCUAGGAAUCGUUCUUGACAAAACCGCGGAGGGUUGAAUGCGCUUUGGACCGUGUGUGAGUAGACAUUUAUUUUCUAAAUGGUUUUAUGAAACUCUUGGAUUGUGAUUAUAAUUUGUGUUGUUUUAUGGAUUUGAUGAUUUAUGGUUAUUAGUUUUCUAAUAGAAUAUUAUGCAUAUUCGAAUUUAGUUUGAAAACUAUUUUGAAAGAAUUAUAAAUGGUUUGAAUCAAAUAAUGAAAUUGGGGUUUUAUCUCGGUUUUAAAGAGAAUUUUGAUUAAUUAAUUAAUUAUAAUGCAUACUUGGAACUUUAUUUGGUUUUGAAAGAUUUGUGUUUUAUUUGAGAUAACUAAGAAGGGAUUUGAGAAACAGUGUGGUAAAUAGGGAUUUGUGGAAAAAAGAAAAGAAAAAAAAAAGGGCUUUUAUGAUUAAGUGUUGGAAUUGGAUUUCAAACCCACCCUAGAAACCUAUCCCUGGUUGCCUACAAAAUGUAUGAGAUGCCUUGGGAAUAAAUGAGUUGCCUCGGAAAAGAUAAAAAUGGUUGCCUUUGGAAAAAGUGUAAUAAGUUUCCUUCGGAAAUUAUGGUUGCCUUCGGUUAAGUCUGUGCACAUAACUAAGAUUGUCUAUACCUACAUAGAGACUACUCUGUAGGUAUCCGGCCAGAGUAUAUUGUCUGUACCUGUGUUGACUAUGCAGGUGUCCGGCCAGUGAUUUGCCUGUACCUACAUAGAGAUUACUUUGUAGGUGUCCGGCCAGUAUUUUGCCUGUACCUGCUUAUGUGGUUGUUCGGCCAGGAUUUUCCCACUACACCUAUCUGAUUGUCUAUAUAGGUGGUUGAUGUAACACCCAGACUCCAAAUUUAACUCUUAUUUAAAUUAUUUAAUUAUUUAAGGGGAAUUACAAAUUUACCCUUGAGAUAAGGGCAUUUUGGUUAUAUUCUUAACCGGAGAGAGUUUGGGGUAGGUCCAAGAACAAAAGUGGCUCCAAAUAGGGUGUUAUACCUAGGGUAGGAGUUUGGAGCCGUGGUUUUGAGAUUUUCCGGCGAAGCUUUAUCGCUUUGGGCACCCACGCGCUGCCGGUGAGUGCGGCGGCGCAUGGGCACUGUAGAAAAAGUGGCAUUGUGUCUCGAUGAGAUCCUUAGGUUGUCACGAGUGCGUAGGAUUUCGCGGAUCUCAAUUUGGACGUCGUUUGACUAUCGAACGAAUAUCGCCUAUUGUGCGUUAUCCGGGUUCGAUAGGUUGGGACCGUUGGAUGGUCCCAAAUUUAAUACAUGUUAAUCUAGGUAUUUCUAGGAUCGUGUAGGAAUUCACGGAUUGUGAAUCGGAGCCCUGGAUGUUCCAAAUAAGAAUUUUAAGUUUAUAUUUUAUAUUAACCGUCAGAUCGUGCGAUCGUGAGCGAUCCGACCGUCAGAUCGUGCGAUCGUGAGUGAUCCGACCGUCCGAUAUGAACCAAACUUGCAGGACGAGUGUCCUAUACCUUGUAAAACCCAUAGGGACUUUCGGAUCGGAAAUUGGAGGUCGUGGGCUCCGCAGGUCCGUUUGACCAGGGUUAAGGUAGUUUGACCCUUGGUUGACUGUGAGUCUCCCGGAGUAAAUCUCACCUACUUUUCAUGCUCUAGCUGCCUGUUGGGUAAGAUUGGAUCGAUUCUUAGCGUAGCCAAUUCGAUUUUCGAAUUGAAAUUCGGCCGAUUUUGGGAUCGCGAUUCCGGCCACUUCCGGUCAGUUUUUGGGAAAUGUCCAAUUUAUAGAGGAGACUCUGCCAAAAUUUCGGCAGGAAGUCUCGGUCUUUAGUAAGUGGGCCUGGCAUCGGGAUGAUGUCGGGAAUUCCAAAGGGUUUGCCUCGGGUUCUGAAAAAUUCGGGGCGGGUCCUUUCAGUUGAUCAGUUUUCCCCUAUUCUCGGUUACCUCAGUAUAUUGUCUGUACUUGUAUCACAAAUGCGAGUGUCCGGCCAGUGAUUUUUUCCCAGGAUGUUCCCCUGCCACCCUGCCGAUUUAUUACACAGGGUAGGCCAGUUAUUUUCCCCAUAGGUGUACUUGCAUGGAGAGAUUUCGUAUAACUUGGUUUGAGAUUGGAUUUUUGGAUGAUUUGUGUUUGAGCUUGCUUGAUUUAUUGGAUUCAAAUGAUGUUUUGAAACUGGAUUUUUAUGAAAUUAUAUUUUGAGUUGUAUUGGAUUUAAAUGUUAUUUGAAGUACAAAUUUGGGUCAAUGAUAUUUUAUUUACUAGAGUUUAUUUUACUUGCACAUGUAUUGAUUAUAUUUUGUUCCUGUAUAUAUACUUAUGUGUAUUAAUGAGUUUUCCAAAGGUUUGCAAAAACAGAGGGGUUAGUAUGUUCUGUAUAAUUACUUUCAAGAAAAACUUUCUUUUUGUCUACUCAUGCUUUUACUGUUUUGUGCCCCCAUGAAGUAGAUAGCUCAGCGUUCGGACAUCUACAUAAGCUACUCCGACGUCGGUGAAGUCCUUAUAAUUCUAAGUAUGAGACUUCAUCUUUCGUUCUCAUGGUUCAUUUGGAAAAUAAUUUUGUAAAUUCAACUUCUGUAGUUGCUCUGAUAUUUCCCACUUAGGAUUGAAAUUGAGGCCGGAGGCCAUGUGAAUUUUAUGUGUGCCUUAACUUGUGUGUGCUGCCUGUUGAGAUUAUUAGAUUGUCGGUAAUUGCAGGUGUUAAUUUGGAGAAAGUCCAUUUUAGAGAGGAGACUUUACCGAAAAUUUCGGUAGAAGUCUCGACCCUUUUAUCUUAAAAGUUUGGGUGAAAGGUGUAAAUUUAGUAGUGGGUCCGGCAUCUCUUAGGUGUCGGUCAGAUAGCAGGAUUCGACACGAGUUCCAAUGGGAAAUUCGGGUCGGGUCCUGUUAAUGGAGAUGGUUUGAGGUAGAAUUUUCUCCUAUUUCAAUUGGACAAUGAUGAGCUCUAUGUAACAACAAAUUUCUUUAAUAAUGAUAACUAAAAAAAGUGUGAUUCAUUGAAUAUUUGAGGGGUUUUGUUCUAAGUUAACACAUCAAAUUCCUUUUACACCAUCAAAUUCAAAAAAUUUAUUCAACCAUCUCGACCUUAUGCUAAAAAUUUAUUUUGUUCAAACGUAACGUACUAGGUAUUUAUUUUAUAUCAACGAGUACGAUGGUCCAUAUAAGUAUUCUAAUCAUUCACUCCAGUUGCAGGCCCUAAUAAUUUAGAAGGGCUGAUGGUCUUUUUUUUUUUUUUUUUUUUUGGUUGAGAAAUUCUAUGAUUGCAUUCAUAAUUCAGCCAAAAAAGUCACUAGCCAAAAAAGGUUGUUACAAUAACAGAGCGGUCUAAUAUCAAAAUUAAGACAAUCUGGUAUGCCUCCACUAACAAUCAAGCGGGCCAAUGAUCUUUCAUUUGAUGAAAGCUUCUAUCUACCGACCCCGCUAUAUGAACUAUGCAAUGGUGAUGGUGUUACAUUGCUAAAAACAAAAAGUCAAGGUUUCUUAUUAAUGUUAAUGAAGGCAUAGCAAAAAAUUUGUAGCUCCAAUAGUUCAGAGCAGUUACCCAUGCACUUGAAAUUCUGUGUUUGAAUGCCCUCUCCCCUAAUAUUGCUUGUAUAAAAAUAAAAACUUCUAAAAAGACAUUAAUAUUGUAUUCUAUAUUCUAUAAAGUGUUGGACAUGUUUUACAUUGUUGACAACCCCUUAACAUUUUGGUGGUGCCUAGUUAUAUUCAAUUCGUAUGUAUUUAAUUUGCCACUUACAUUCUUUCCUUAAUACAUUUAGGCUUAUUUUUAUACUAAUUUCUCUAACAUAACUUUUGCACAUUCUUUUAGUCUCUAAUAUAUAUAUUUUUUAAUAAAUAAUCUUACCCACUUGAGUUAUAAACUAUUUUCUUUUAGCACAGAAAAUUGACAUUUUGACAAAGAGUUGAAAACCACUCCCCAAUUUUAAUGUCAACCACUUGAAAAAAAAAACAUAAAUUUAAUGAAAACAAUUACAUUUAGCAAUGCAACCUAAAAACUCAACCUUUGCCCCCCUUUCGCAACCCAGAUAGCAGGGUGAGGAUAUUCGGAUAAGAACCAAGACAGAAGCCAAAGGAACUGCGAUAGCCAACCAGAGGCUCCAUUUCUUACCAUCUGAACAACGCCACCAUUUUGUUUGGUAAGUAUUUAAUAACAUUUCUUGCUCUACAUAAAGUAAUAUUAAAACGAAAUUUGCCUAAAUUUUUCUUACCAGCAAUCCAUAUGGAAAAAGAAAAAAAGAAAAAAGAAAAAUACAAUUAUACUCAAUAUAGGAGCCCAAAUUAUUUAUAGUUAAAAAAUCCCUAUAUGAAAUGAACUUUAGAAACACACUCAAAACCUAUUUACAACAAAACAAAAAGACUUUUAACUUCUUUUAAAUUACAAAACUAUCAUUGAUUUCUUAAACAAACCCAACCCCAAAACCUCAUAAAUAAAAAAAGCUCAAAAUACUCAAUAAAACAUCAAAGUAAUUUAAUAAUUAAAAUUAAAUUCAAUAGGGACAUCUGUUAUUUUUUGGGUUUUUUUGUUUGUUUAUAGAAAUUAAAUGAUGUAGAAUCUAUCUAUAUUAUUAGUGCUAAGAAUGGAUAUGUGACUAUAUAACUCAAAAAAAAUUUAUAGUAAAUCUACAAUUUUUUUUUAAACAAAAAUCUAUAGAAUCUUUUAUUAGAUCAAUAAUCAAUAGUCACUACUAGAAAAUCUUCAUAUAAGCCACUAAUACACCCGUAACUUAUACAAAUGUGAGCUACUGACAAACCUGUAGCCAAAGAGUAUUGGCCACCUACCACACGACAGUGGUCCAAGCAUAAUGUUGUCAUUCAUUAUUCCCCACAGCAACCAGCAUCCAAUAAAGGGCUGGGCCCCACCCAUAUUCCACCUCUCUUUGUGAAUAUAAAAGAAAUAUUUUUUAUUCAACAUGGACGCAGAAACUGUUGCUAAACUGCAAACUUCUUAAAAUAUUUGUCUCACUUUCUAGAUCCAUGUACUGAGAUUUAUUAGGGAAAUAUUGUAGAAACUGAUUAUUUUGAAAUAUUAAAUGUGAAAAACUGAACAAAAAUUUGAUGGAUUACAUAUUUCAACUCAUUUCAGCAGCUUAGAUUUUGAAGACCUCUGAAGAGGCUAUGCAAUGAGCCUGGCUAUAGUACACUGUUGAUCACUUCAGUGUCUACCGAUCUGUAAUUUUUCCAGAUUGGUUAUAUUUUCCUUUACAUAUGUAUGCUUAUAUUAUUCCCAGCUGUAAGUGUUUUAGCAACAGGGUUACAAACUUCUUCUACAACACACCAACAUGAAUCUAGCCCUGAUCCACUCUUCACAUACUUGAAAACAAAACAAAACACGAAAAACAAAAAACAAGAUAGGGAGAAAAUGGCCUUGAUCAAUAACAGAGAUAAUAGAGUACACUGUUUAGGGUGAGUAUCAGAAGAAUAAUAGCCGCAAAGAGAGAAAUAGCUGCCCAAGGUGUGUUGAAAUACUUUUGUCUCAAAUUUGCCUUCCAUCUGUUCGUGGUCUUCUUGCAGUACUCGUUUAGUUUGCCAGCAAGAUCACCAAAAUAGUAGUUUUCGGAGCAACUUUACUGCAAAGCUUGUUAAUCAUAAUGGAAACCUGAUUGUUGUCACCUAGCGUGUUUACAACAAUUCCAUUGUCAACAAGCAACUCUACAUCCUUUGGGGUGUUUACAAAUUUAUCCAGGAUGAAAACAUAAUCGCUUAUGUAUUUAUCCACGCAAUGGCAUUGUUCAAAGGCAAUGAGAUUUCUAUGUGUAAGCUCUGUGUAAUCAUGUAUUUCAAUUUUUGGAAUUUCCAAGGUGUUUUUCUUGAACUGUAUAUCGAAUAAGUUCUUGCUUGAUCCCACGUUAAACUUAACUCCGGCCUGGUGUAGUUUUGUCAUGCUGGGUGUACUUUGGAGCCCUACAUUUUCUUUUAGGGUCGGAUCUGGCAGAUGUAAAGGUUUUUUAGGAUCAGGUGGCAUAAAAGACUUACGGAAGGCUGGUGAGUUCUCCAAGUUUUUUCUAAACGGAAGAACCUGUAAGAGAGUUCAAUUAUUGAAGGCUCCCCAGUCUGAGCAGCUGUGAGAUUGUAAAGAUCCUCGAGAAUGAAAAAUGGCAGCUGAUUUUCGAGCAUAAGCAUGUCAGGCAAUAUAUUUUGUGGCACCCAUGGUUUUUUAAAUAUCCAAGCAUUAUCAUCCUGCAAUUUUUCUUCCUGAAAUUUUUCUUCGGAUUUAUUCCUCAACAAUAGCUCAAUGACAAAGGCGGCGUCAACUAGAAUGAUAUUCACAAAAGCAGCAAUGUUAAAACUUCUUAGUGUCUUCAUAACAAUGACGGAGAUCACCUUCUCUCUCCUUUAUUUUCUCUAAAUAAUCCUUCAAUCCUACUACUUUAGUCCGAUUAAGAAAGCAUUUUAGGUACCUGAGUUUGUGAUCUUCCAUGGCUUCUAAGUUUUUGCUGGCAUGGUGAAGUGGGUCUAUUGAGACUACUUGUGGUGUGUAGGCCUUUUGUUUUACGUUCCGUAGUCGCUCAGGCACCCUGUAGAUCCAGCAGGCAGGGGACAGGGCACGCAAGUUUGUCAACCGAUUUUCCAUGGAAGUUGCUUGGUUUUCUAUGUCAAAAGAAGCUUCAUUGCUGCUUUCUUCCACUUUCUUCAUCCCCGUAUGUGUUGUUCUGAUUGUAAGUGACGAGGAUGGUGAUGAUUCUAGACACCAUAAUCAACAAAUGUUUCAAUCAUAAUUGACAUUUCAAGAUGCUCCGACAAAAAAUUAGAAAACAUUCAUCACACAAUGCGAACUCAUACAAUAGAUGGGUUGAGAAGAUCCACACAUUGCAAUCAUACAAUCCAAUUGCACAGGGAUUAGUCCCUAUUCUCCUCUCUCUCUCUCUCUCUCUCUCUCUCUCUCUCUCUCUCUCUCUCUCUCAAAAAGAUUUUCAUAUCGAUAACAUCUUAUUGCAAGGGACUGGUACAUCAAGUAGUGAAGAACAGAAAUUCAUAUUCUUUCAAUCAAAAUGUAUAAAUUUUGAAAAAGUUUGUUUUAUUUUUGGGGGAAAAAAAUCUGAACAUAUAUGUAUGUGCAUAUUAUACGUAGAUCUAAGGUGAAAACAGACCAGAUUUUUACUCCAUUUUUCAUGAGGUUUAAGUUCAUGAUGUAUAUAUUUAUCUCAAGUGUAACAUCUCACAUCGAUCAACGGAGAUGAGGUGAUGUGUCUUAUAUGUACAUGCUCGCCUCCAUCUAGCACAAGGCCUUUUGGGAGAUCACUGGCUUCGGAGUCAUAGGAACUCCGAAGUUAAGCGAGUUGGGGUUAGAGCAAUCCCAUAAUGGGUGACUCACUGGGAAGUUGCUCUUGAGUUCCCAAAAACAAAACUGUGAGGACAGAGAGGGGGGCCCAAAGCGGCCAAUAUUAUUCUACGGCAGAGCCGAUCCUGGGAUGUGACAAUUUGGUAUUAGAGCCACACUGCCGUGUGGUGCGAGUGUGCCGAAGAGGACGUUGGGCCCUUGAGGGGGGUGGAUUGUAACAUCUCACAUCGACCAACAGCGAGGGAGUGAUGUGCCUUAUAUGUACAUGCCCGCCUUCAUCUAGCACGAGGCCUUUUAGGAGCUCACUCACUUCGGAGCCAUAGGACCACCAUCCCAAGUUCAAUAUACAACCCAACAACCAUCUUAGCCAUCUUCUCAUUGAUCUUCCACCCAGCAUCCAACACUAUCUUCAUAAACUCUUUAGCUUAAUAUCUCUGUUGCUUUUGUUUUUUGUUUUUUUUAAUUUAAAUUUUUUAGUUUUUUUUUUUGGUUGGUGCAGAUUCAAUGAUAAAGAACAUCGAACUCGUCGCAACAUCCUGCCCUAGAUCCGAACUCUACCACCAUCACAACCCUCCCUCUCUCGAUCUCCAACCAACCUUAACACCCAACUUCAAAUCUUGGUUGUUUGAAACUCAGCCCCCUUCUCAAACCCCACCCUCUCUCUCUCUCUCUCUCUCUCUCUCUCUCAAAAUCAACAAGAUUUUCAUGUCAAUAAGAUAAGAUCUCAUUGCAAGUGACUUGUAGAUGAAGUGGGAAAGAACAAAAAGUCAUAUUCUUCCAAUCAAAACGUAUCAAGUCUAACAAAAUUUCUAGUUAGUUUGCUUUAUGAUAGUUGUUUUUUGAAGGGGUCCUUAGAUCCAAUCUCAAAAAGUUUGACUUUUAUUAUGUUUAACUCUGGUUUUUGCAAAUUUUUUUUUUUAUCUCUACCCACUAACUUUUAUCUCUCAUUUUUAUUACCCAUUUUACCCUUUAAAAUAAAUAUGGUAAUAAACUAAAAAUUCUGAUUCAAUGCAUGUUCAUAAGAGAAUUAAGGCCCCGUUUGGGAUUGCUUUUUUUCGUCAAAAACUUGUUUCACUUUAAAGUUAAGCAGUUUAAGGUGUUUGGUAAAAAUAAAAUAUCCUGAUUAUUUUAAAAGCAGUGGCCUUUUGACAGCUGCUUUUAAAAGCAGGUUCUGGGUUGCUUUUCAAAGCUGCUUUCAAAAGAAGCAAAGAUGAACUUUUAAUGAAUGUUUUUUAAUUCCCAAAAUACAAUCAUUCAUUUUAAAAAAUGACACCACCUCCACUUCCACAUCCAACUCCACCACUUGCACCACCACAUUCACUACCUCCACAACCACCGCCAUUACCACCACCACCACAUCCUUCUCCUCCUCAUCCUCCGCCACCACCACCAGAAGCAGAUCCAGAAAUUUUUCAGGAGAGGGGCAAUAAUGAUUUUGAUACUGCCCAAUUAAAAACAUAUUAUGAAAACCAGACCCUUAGUUAAUUUAAAGAUUAAUUAGCACGAUAAAAUAAAUACAUAAUUAAUAAUAAAAAUAUAUUAUCACAGUGAAAGAUUAGAUCAACAAACAAGUAGUAUCAAUCAAAUCCUAAUUAAACAAAAACUCUAAUAUCAAAGUGUGAUUUGAGAUCAUUGUGCAAGGACUCUUCUUCGUUGUUGUUUUUUAUUAUUUAAUUUUUUUGACAGAUGGGCUUCUUCAAAUUGGGAGCAUUGAGGUAAGCCUUUUGGUAUUACAUUAUUAUUAUUAUUAUAAUGAAAUAUUUAUUAUAACAACCAAGUAAUUGAAGCCAAACAAUGAAUCUUGAAACGGUUUGCACAAAAAACGAAGAGUUUGAAUUUUUGAAAAACACUUCAUUUAAACCAUUAAACAUAGAUCAAGGACGACGCCGUUUGUGACAAAUAAAAAUAGGGUUGUCUUCUUCAUUCGUGAACCAGAGCCUCCAUCAGGACACACCUCUACAACUCCUCCUCUACAACACAGUGUGUGCCUCAAUCGUGUAACUUGCCAUUUGCGAUUCAGGAGGCCUUAGAUCGUCGCACUCACGAGAUGCGCCUUGAUACACUUUUAAACGCUAGANNNNNNNNNNNNNNNNNNNNNNNNNNNNNNNNNNNNNNNNNNNNNNNNNNNNNNNNNNNNNNNNNNNNNNNNNNNNNNNNNNNNNNNNNNNNNNNNNNNNNNNNNNNNNNNNNNNNNNNNNNNNNNNNNNNNNNNNNNNNNNNNNNNNNNNNNNNNNNNNNNNNNNNNNNNNNNNNNNNNNNNNNNNNNNNNNNNNNNNNNNNNNNNNNNNNNNNNNNNNNNNNNNNNNNNNNNNNNNNNNNNNNNNNNNNNNNNNNNNNNNNNNNNNNNNNNNNNNNNNNNNNNNNNNNNNNNNNNNNNNNNNNNNNNNNNNNNNNNNNNNNNNNNNNNNNNNNNNNNNNNNNNNNNNNNNNNNNNNNNNNNNNNNNNNNNNNNNNNNNNNNNNNNNNNNNNNNNNNNNNNNNNNNNNNNNNNNNNNNNNNNNNNNNNNNNNNNNNNNNNNNNNNNNNNNNNNNNNNNNNNNNNNNNNNNNNNNNNNNNNNNNNNNNNNNNNNNNNNNNNNNNNNNNNNNNNNNNNNNNNNNNNNNNNNNNNNNNNNNNNNNNNNNNNNNNNNNNNNNNNNNNNNNNNNNNNNNNNNNNNNNNNNNNNNNNNNNNNNNNNNNNNNNNNNNNNNNNNNNNNNNNNNNNNNNNNNNNNNNNNNNNNNNNNNNNNNNNNNNNNNNNNNNNNNNNNNNNNNNNNNNNNNNNNNNNNNNNNNNNNNNNNNNNNNNNNNNNNNNNNNNNNNNNNNNNNNNNNNNNNNNNNNNNNNNNNNNNNNNNNNNNNNNNNNNNNNNNNNNNNNNNNNNNNNNNNNNNNNNNNNNNNNNNNNNNNNNNNNNNNNNNNNNNNNNNNNNNNNNNNNNNNNNNNNNNNNNNNNNNNNNNNNNNNNNNNNNNNNNNNNNNNNNNNNNNNNNNNNNNNNNNNNNNNNNNNNNNNNNNNNNNNNNNNNNNNNNNNNNNNNNNNNNNNNNNNNNNNNNNNNNNNNNNNNNNNNNNNNNNNNNNNNNNNNNNNNNNNNNNNNNNNNNNNNNNNNNNNNNNNNNNNNNNNNNNNNNNNNNNNNNNNNNNNNNNNNNNNNNNNNNNNNNNNNNNNNNNNNNNNNNNNNNNNNNNNNNNNNNNNNNNNNNNNNNNNNNNNNNNNNNNNNNNNNNNNNNNNNNNNNNNNNNNNNNNNNNNNNNNNNNNNNNNNNNNNNNNNNNNNNNNNNNNNNNNNNNNNNNNNNNNNNNNNNNNNNNNNNNNNNNNNNNNNNNNNNNNNNNNNNNNNNNNNNNNNNNNNNNNNNNNNNNNNNNNNNNNNNNNNNNNNNNNNNNNNNNNNNNNNNNNNNNNNNNNNNNNNNNNNNNNNNNNNNNNNNNNNNNNNNNNNNNNNNNNNNNNNNNNNNNNNNNNNNNNNNNNNNNNNNNNNNNNNNNNNNNNNNNNNNNNNNNNNNNNNNNNNNNNNNNNNNNNNNNNNNNNNNNNNNNNNNNNNNNNNNNNNNNNNNNNNNNNNNNNNNNNNNNNNNNNNNNNNNNNNNNNNNNNNNNNNNNNNNNNNNNNNNNNNNNNNNNNNNNNNNNNNNNNNNNNNNNNNNNNNNNNNNNNNNNNNNNNNNNNNNNNNNNNNNNNNNNNNNNNNNNNNNNNNNNNNNNNNNNNNNNNNNNNNNNNNNNNNNNNNNNNNNNNNNNNNNNNNNNNNNNNNNNNNNNNNNNNNNNNNNNNNNNNNNNNNNNNNNNNNNNNNNNNNNNNNNNNNNNNNNNNNNNNNNNNNNNNNNNNNNNNNNNNNNNNNNNNNNNNNNNNNNNNNNNNNNNNNNNNNNNNNNNNNNNNNNNNNNNNNNNNNNNNNNNNNNNNNNNNNNNNNNNNNNNNNNNNNNNNNNNNNNNNNNNNNNNNNNNNNNNNNNNNNNNNNNNNNNNUACAAACCACAACCACCAACUCCACGUUCAUCACCACCACUACCUCCACUCCACCACUACCAUUACUACUACCACAACAUGAUUAGUACAUAACACUUUUAACAUCAUGUCUAUUUUAGUCAUUAUUCACAUUUACAACAAUUUUAUAUUAAAAUUUACCAAACGGUUUUGACACUGCUUUUUGUACUAACAGCACUUUAAAAAUAUUGUUUAUCAAACAUGGAGUGCUUUACUUUACAGCUAAUUAUUUUCAAAGCACAGCAAAAGCAAAUUUUUUUAAAAGUGACAGCAAUCCUAAAAAUUCUAUACUCUAACACAAAAAAUAAAAACUAAAAACAAAAAUUAAAAUGGUUAUCAAACAUACACUUAUAUUACAAAGAAAAUAUCAAAUAUUGAACUCAUCAUAAGAGAACACAGAAAAACCUCACCGCUUGCAACUCGUACACCACCACUACACGAACAACUGCUAAUUAAAAUGAGUCACAUGUGGUACUUAACUCUAAAAACUUAUUCAGAUUAUAUAUCGUACUCCUCGAUCAAAACAACCAUGAAACAUAAGUGAUUUAAACCUCUAGGCAAAUGGAAGGUAUAUAACAAUUUAUAGAACAAUACAGUAAUCCAGAAGAAAUAUUAUGAAAUAAAAAGAAUAAAAAGUAAAAAAAGAGAAGGAAAGGAAUUCCCACCUGAUAUGUAUAAGUAUGAAAGGAAGGACCAAGUUUGUUUUGCCUUUGGUUAAUGACUAGAAAAGCUCACUUGCAUAUUGCUUUCUCCGGCCGUAGAUGCAAGAGAAAUUUUCUCUUAAUAAUAGCACAAUGAUCGGGUAAUUGUAAGAACAAGUUGAUUUUAAAUUCAGGUCAAGUCGUAGAUUUCUUGCCUUUUCUAUUCUCCUUCCUUGGACAUGAGCUGUUUAAUCUUGGACUCUUCCCCCAUCAUGUUGGGCCUGUCUUCUUCUUGAGGAUUGUAUAGGCCCAGGAAAUGCUUCAAGGUAGUUUUUGUGUUUUGGGCCUUGAGACCCAACUUCACAAAAAGAAAAUAGAUUUGACCAAAAAACAAAUUUGAAGGAUAUUGAAAUUGUACCUGUAGGAUAGGUUAAAACACCAUAAGGGAGGUAAAUAGUACGUUUACAGAAUUUAAGUGUAAUAAUUGAAUAAAAACAUGCCCAGAGGAUUGAUAAGUGAUAUCAAUUCUUGAAUAUACAGAACGUAAAAUAAAGGAACACGUAGAAAAUUAUUUUAUGUGGUAAAACUCUAUCUCUGGGGAACAUCCACGGGGCUUUUUAGUCCAAAAUAAUCCAUUAUAGAACGAUGAUUACAAGAAGUAUUCACACACUUAUCCUAGACACAUUCUAGAUUAUGUUUACUGACCUCUUCUCAACUUCUGUCUCGAGAUGAUCUUUCGACACUCCUUAUGUUGAACGCAAUACUGGUCACGAUUUCUUCAAGCUCCCUAGAGUUCUUCCAACUCUCCUUGUAUUGAAUCCGACACUAGUCACGAUCGAUUCAAGCUCAUUGGAGAAAAACUGCCACAACGGUCUUAGUGCCCUCAAUCGUAUGAGUCACUGAACAUGCAAAUGAAUACAAUAUAAAUGAUAAAAGUGUUUGAUAAAUCACCAAGUUAUAGAACACUUGAUGAUUUAUCUCAAAUAAAAAUUCAGCUUUACAAAGUUUAUGAUGAAUUGAAAAUAUGAUCGUUAAAGCUAUCUAAACAAAGAAGACGAAGGUCUUAUUUUAUAGAAUUUUUCUUUACAAGAAAGAAAACACGUUGAAAACCAAAUCUCCAAUUUUCAAGGCUUGACAGAAAAUCACAAAAGUAUCUUUCCUAUUCUAGAGAUUGGUCACAUGUAGUUCAACCAAUAGGAAAUGAGAUAUUCAAGAAAGCAAGAUUUUGAUCAAUAUCAAUAUCAGAUCAAUUCUUAUACGCCUAGUCAACUAUUAAGGGUAUCUUGACUCCUUGAUGUUGUGAUAUGAUUGAAACAUGAUUUCCAUGUUAGAAAAUUAAAGGGAUGUUAAAACAUGAAAGUAAUAGAGAAUCAAAUUGAUGUGGACCAAAAUUGCCUAAAAAGAAAACACUCCUAAAUAAACUUCAAUUCACUUUUAAAAAACAGUAAAACAUGAUUGAUCGUUCUUUAAAACAAUUCCCUAAAUAUACAUGCAUGAUAAUGAUAUCACUUACCCUUAAAUCAAAUUGUCACGCCCCGGACCCGAGGGUCGGGUGGAAACCUCACCGCCCAGUGCGUGAGAAAAUAAAAAGAAAAUAAAAUAAAAAGAAGCCGAACAGGGUUUAAAAUAAACUUCUCUUAUAAAAAUAACUCCAAUCUACAACUUUACAAGAAAUAACUAANNNNNNNNNNNNNNNNNNNNNNNNNNNNNNNNNNNNNNNNNNNNNNNNNNNNNNNNNNNNNNNNNNNNNNNNNNNNNNNNNNNNNNNNNNNNNNNNNNNNNNNNNNNNNNNNNNNNNNNNNNNNNNNNNNNNNNNNNNNNNNNNNNNNNNNNNNNNNNNNNNNNNNNNNNNNNNNNNNNNNNNNNNNNNNNNNNNNNNNNNNNNNNNNNNNNNNNNNNNNNNNNNNNNNNNNNNNNNNNNNNNNNNNNNNNNNNNNNNNNNNNNNNNNNNNNNNNNNNNNNNNNNNNNNNNNNNNNNNNNNNNNNNNNNNNNNNNNNNNNNNNNNNNNNNNNNNNNNNNNNNNNNNNNNNNNNNNNNNNNNNNNNNNNNNNNNNNNNNNNNNNNNNNNNNNNNNNNNNNNNNNNNNGAUUUCAAUUGGUAUUCAGAGCGUCAGCUCUUAAUACAAAUAGAGAGAUCCUAGGAUUUGUUUUGGUGUUUAGGUGUGCUCACUGUGGAACGGGAUCGAGUUGCUGGAUCUUGCAACUCCCCUCCUUAUUUUGAUGGAAACAACUACGCUGCUUGGAGAGAAAAAUUUGAGAUAUUCCUUGAUGCUCUUGAUGAGUACGCAAGUGAGUAUCUCACAAAAGAGUGGGUUGCUCCUGUCAAGACUGUUGAGAGUAAUGUUGUGCCCAAGCCUAGGUCGGAAUGGACUGAAGCUGAGGUGUUUGCUGCAUAUUCAAACAAGAAGGCCAGAAAUGCCUUAGUUACAGCCUUGUCUAGCACACAAUUUUCACAUAUACAACACAUCCUAAAUGCGAAACAGGCUUGGGAUAAACUAAGGGUGGUUCAUGAAGGGGAUGACCAAGUUAGAUCCCUAAAACUUCAGAUGAUGCCUGCACAAUUUGAAGAACUUAGGAUGUCUGAAACUGAGUCUAUUUCUGAGUUCUAUGGGAGAGUUGAGAUGAUCACUAAUGAAGCCAUGAGUCUCGGUCAACCUAUUGAUGAGCUUCUUGUUGUUCAGAAAAUCCUUCGUGUUCUACCAUCUAGGUUUAGAGCAAAGAAAACCGCAAUCAUGGAGGUCCAAAACUUAAAUGAAAUUAAGCUUGGCAAGCUCGUAGGAAAAUUGAAAACCUAUGAGAUGGAGUUGAAUAUGGAAAAGAAUGACACUAAAAAAUCAAAAAAUGUUGCACUUCAAGGAGUGAAUGAUUCCUCUCUGAAAGGUGGUGAAAAAUCCUCAGGUUUUGAGGAUGAGAUGGCUUUGUUUGUCAAAAAAUUUAGGAGAAUUCUUAGGGAUAAAGGAAAGUUUGCUAGAAAGGGCAGCUCUGGUAGUGAGAGACAAGUUAGACCAUCAACUGAUCAGUCUAAUGAGAGGAACAAGGAUGUCAAACCUUUCACUAAAGAUUUUAGAAAAUCUGUCAAGUGCUUCACAUGUGGAGGCAUUGGGCACUAUGCUGCCCAUUGUGCAAACAAUCAGAAAAAAUACUCCAAAGGAAAGGACAAGGCCAUAAAAGUUAGCUGGAGUGAGAGUGAAAGUGAAGUGUCUCAAGGGGAUUCAUUUUUCUCUGAUAAUGAUGACCAACAUGUUGCUUUUGUUGCCUCUGUGCAGUCAGUGUCUGAUAAAUCUGAUUCUGAGUCAGAUGACCUGUCAUACGAGUGAUUAGGAAGAAAAUAUGAUUGUUUGUUCAAAGAGACAUUGUCUUUGAAAGAAGAGAGCCUCAAACUUGAGGCCAACAACCAUGAACUUCAACAUGAAAUCCUCAUCUUAAAAGAAACCAAAAAGGAGUUGAGUGACAAAUUUGUGUCUCUAGAAAAAGAAUUUGUUGCACUUGUGUCAAUUAGGAGUAAUCUUGAAAAUCAAGUUAAUGUGCUCAAGGAAAGUAACAUUGGUUUCCAGAACUCAAACAAAUUGCUCCUAGGUAAAUUGAAUGAAGCAAAAAAGUAAGGUUAUAUCUAUGACCAUUGGUGCCUCAAAAAUUGACAAAAUGUUGACUAUGGGAAAACCUCAUGGGGACAAAGGUGGUCUUGGAUUUAAUCAUUUUGAUUCUAGUUCGUCUAGCUCUACCACUAGGUUUGUCAAUUCAAAAACUCCAACCAUGGCUUCUCUUGAUGCUCAGCCGGUAGUCAAGAAACCUAAGUUUGUUCCAACUUGUCACUGGUGUGGGUUGACUGGUCAUAUUCGAUCAAUCUGUCUUAUGUACAAAAAGGAUAAGACUAGAAAAUUGUCUUCAAAAUCUAAAAAUCCAAGAUCUUUGCAAGAUCAGGUUGAUCAUUUGCUAAAAGAAGUAACUAAGAUUGCAAAACUUGUCUCCCUUAAAAUGUGUUCACCUAUUGUGCCUAAGUCUACUUGGGUUGAAAAAGGUCAUACCAAAUGUCUUGUUGUGCUAAAUGCUUUUGCUGCAUCAAACACCAACUCUUGGUACUUUGAUAGUGGCUGUUCCAAACAUAUGUUUGGUGAUAAGAGUGUCUUCUCAUCUCUCAGUCCUUUUGAUGGAGGCACUGUGACUUUUGGUGGAGGUCACAAGUCUCAAGUUUUUGGAAAAGGUACUGUUUGUAUCCCUGGUUUACCCGAGCUUAAGAAUGUUAGAUGUGUUAAGGGUCUUACAUCCAAUCUCAUUAGUGUGAGUCAGCUGUGUGAUGAUGGAGUAAUAGAAGUUAGAUUCUCCAAGCAUGGGUGCAAAAUCGUUGGAAAAUGUGGCAAUGAGAUUGUGAGCGUGACUAGGUCUAGGGACAAUUGCUAUUGUAUUGAUGGUGUCAAUGAUGAAAAAGAAGUAGUUUGCAAUAAGGUUGUGAAUGAAACAAGUGUCUUGUGGCAUCAAAGGCUUGGACAUGUGAACUUUAGAGACUUGCAUAAAUUGUCCAAGAAAGAGUUAGUGAGUGGAUUACCAAAGCUUGACAAAUCUGAUCAACAUGUUUGUGAAGGAUGUCAAUUGGGGAAGCAAGUUAGAGUGUCUCAUAAGAAGGUCAAACACAUUCAAACACAAGUAAGCCUUGAACUUGUUCACAUGGACAUUGUUGGUCCUAUCCAAACCUUGUCCCUUGGUGGAAAGAAAUAUAUUCUUGUCAUGGUUAAUGAUUUCUCUAGGUUCACUUAAGUCUCAUUCUUACGUGAGAAAUCUGAAACUUUUCUAAGGUUUAAGUCUGUUUGUCAUCUUUUGCAAAAAGAAAAGAUGACUAGUCAUCUGCCUCUUGUUAGAAUUAGAACAGAUCAUGGUUCUGAGUUUGAGAAUUCUCAGUUUCUGAAAUUUUGUGAAGAAAUGGGAAUUAAGCAUGAGUUCUCUGCACCUAUUACACCUCAACAAAAUGGUGUUGUGGAGAGAAAGAAUAGAGUUCUUGUUGAGAUGGCUCGGGUGAUGCUCAAUAGCAACAAUCUUGCUAAACAUUUUUGGGCUGAAGCUGUAAGUACAGCUUGUUAUAUCUCAAACAGGGUAUUUUUGAGGUCUGGUACCAAACAAACUCCCUAUGAGAUUUGAAAAGGAAAGAAGCCUAAUGUGUCAUAUUUUAGAGUCUUUGGUAGCACAUGCUAUAUUUUGAAAGAUAGGGAGCAUCUUCCUAAGUUUGAUUCUAAGUGUGAUAAGGGAAUAUUUCUAGGGUGUUCCACUUUAAGCCGAGCUUAUAGAGUGUACAACUGUAGGACCAGAACCAUCAUUGAGUCCAUAAAUGUCAAAAUUGAUGAUUUUGCUGCCUCUACUGAGAUGGCAUUAGAUGAGAAUGGUCUUUUUUCUCCUCAUCUCGUGCAAGAAUCUCUAGGUCUGGAUCUUGUAGUUGACCUGUCAACUUUCGGAAAUUUUGUCCCAGUUGACCUGUCAACUCCUUCAACCUCUAGUUCCAUCUCAUCUAUCCAAGUUGUCAGCUCCCAUGCUGAUCAUAGCCCUCUCACUCAAACUGAGAGUGUCAUUAUUGGUCCUCUUAAUCAGGGAGUGAGAACUAGGAAAUAAUUAGCUCAAGAAAUUAGUCAUGUGUGUUAUGUCUCAAAAGAAGAACCUAAGAAUGUGAAAGAGGCGUUGAACCAUGGUGAAUGGUUUCUUGCAAUGCAAGAAGAGCUGAAUCAGUUUGUUAGAAAUGAUGUUUGGUACCUUGUUCCCAGACCUACCAAUACAAAUGUUGUAGGUACUAAGUGGAUUUUCAAGAACAAAACUGAUGAGCAAGGUAAUGUUGUUAGAAACAAAGCUAGAUUAGUUGCUCAAGGUUACACUCAAAUGGAAGACAUUGACUUUGAUGAAACUUUUGCCCCUGUUGCAAGACUAGAAUCAGUUAGAUUACUUCUUGCUAUUGUUUGUCACUUAAAAUUCAAACUUUAUCAAAUGGAUGUCAAAACUGCUUUUUUGAAUGGUAUUUUAAAUGAAGAGGUCUAUGUUGAACAACCAAAGGGUUUUGAAGAUCCACAUCAUCCAAAUGAUGUGUUUCAGUUAAAAAAGGCACUCUAUGGUUUGAAACAAGCUCCUAGAGCAUGGUAUGAGAGGUUAUCUUCUCAUCUUCUAAGAAAUGACUAUGUUAGAGGGUCAAUUGACAAAACUUUGUUUGUCAAAAGGUUCAAAAAUGAUGUCUUGAUUGCUCAAGUGUAUGUUGAUGAUAUUAUGGUUGGUUCUACCUCUGACUUGCAUGUUCAAGAGUUUAUUCAUGUCAUGACUAGUGAAUUUGAGAUGAGUCUUGUAGGUGAGCUUAACUAUUUCUUAGGUCUUCAAAUCAAACAAAGCCAUGAUGGGAUCUUUGUAUCUCAAUCGAAAUAUGCAAAAAAUCUUGUGGAAAAGUUUGGUUUUGAGGAUGCAAAAUCUGCAAGAACUCCAAUGAGCACUAGUGCUAAAAUUCAUAGAGACUUGCAUGGCAAAAGUGUGGAUCAAACUCUCUAUAGAAGUAUGAUAGGAAGUCUUCUCUACUUGACUGCUAGUAGACCAGAUAUUUCUUAUAGUGUUGGAGUGUGUGCUCGGUUUCAAAGUGACCCAAAAGAGUCUCACUUGUUUGCUGUUAAGAGAAUCAUAAAAUAUGUGAGUGGGACUGUUGAGUUUGGGUUGUGGUAUACCUAUGACACUUGUGUCAGUCUGGUUGGUUAUAGUGAUGCCGAUUGGGCAGGUUGUAGAAACCCCUCCCGGGGGGGGGGGGGGGGGGGUCUUUUAUGUAGGCAACAACCUUGUUGCUUGGCAUAGCAAAAAACAAAAUUCUGUCUCCUUAUCCACUACUGAAGCAGAGGAUGUUGCAGCUGGGAGUUGCUGCACUCAACUCCUUUGGAUGAGACAAAUGUUGGAAGCUAUGGUCUUGCUCAAUCAUGCUUUCUCAUCUAUUGUGACAACAUGAGUGCCAUAGACAUUUCUAAAAAUCCUGUUCAACACUCUAGGACUAAGCAUAUAGACAUUAGGCAUCAUUUUAUUAGAGAUCUUGUGGAAGAUAAAAUUCUAUCUUUGGAAUUUGUUCCCUUUGAGAAACAGCUAGCAGAUAUACUCACCAAGGCCUUGGACUUUCAGAAACAUGUCACACUUAGGCAGUCCAUUGGCCUUUGCUCAAUUGAUUGAUUAGCUUGUCUGUUCCUUAUCUUCAGCACAUUGCAGAAUUGUUGACUAGUCAUCUUCGUUUUAGUUGACUAGUCAAAUAUUUUUUUGGUGUGUAAAUGUCUAAAACAUAUGCUUCUUCUGAUCUCUGGUGGUAUGAAGUUUGAAUCAUUUUAUGCUUUGCCUGAUUUGUGGAUAAUUCCCCCCUUCUUGUUUGGAGCCAUUAGAUGAAAUCUUUUGGUGUUCUUUCGUCCUCUUGUUGAGACAAGUGUUGUGAUCCAUUAUGGACAAUCAUUGUUAUAAUCUCCUAUCUUUUCUCACUCUCUUAGGCAAUUUGUUUAGCAUUAAACAAAAAAUAAAAAAUAAACAAAAAAUAAAAAAAAUAAAAAAAAGUGUGACCAAUGUAGUCACGACUCUAGGAAGGUAUAAGGUGUUAUGAUUGAAGAAUCUAGAGCAAGAGCCGCAAAAUUGGGCCACUCAAGCACUUAAGUCUAGGAUGUGCAAAUAACAAGGAUAAUAAAUGGCCAGAUUGAGUGAUGAAAAUCAAAUAGGUUGGGUUUAUGCCUUGAGUUUGUCUUGAAGGUUUAUUAUAUACUUGUCUCUCCAAGAGGGGUAUUUCUUCUUCUCUUGUGUUCUUCUUUUGGCUCUGAACCUCCUCUGUCCAUUUUGCCUUAUCUCUGAGCAUGAAAUCUAAUUCAUAUUCUAUCUAUCAGAGUUAGUUGCACUUGUUUUUGUUUGCACAUGUGGUUAUCUUCUCUCUCUCUUCCUUCCUGUGCUUGAAGAUUUGGACUAGGCUAUAGUAGCUAAUAGAUCGUUGAUCACUUGAUAUAUUUGCUAGUUCAUGUUUGUGUUUUUUUUUUAAAAACCCACAAUCUUGUCUUCCACAGGGUCGAUACUAACUUUGAUGCGUGUCAUGAUAUUGCCUUAGUUGACUAGUCAUCUAUGCUUAUGGUUGACUAGUCAUCCGGUUGUGUUAUAUUUGAUGCCCGUCAUGUUAUUGCCUUAGUUGACUAGUCAUCAUUUUUGUGGUUGACUAGUCAUCUAGUUCUGCCUGUUUUUGUUAUUGCCUUGGUUGACUAGUCAUCAUGCUCAUUGUGGUUGACUAGUCAUCAGGUUUUUCUCCUGAACAAUACGUCCUUUUCUUUAGCGGUUAUUCUUAUUAUUUUAUUUUUUUUUCAUUUUUUUUUCUUCUCUUUUUUGUGUUUUGAGCGGUUCUUUUUCAUUGGGGUCAGUUUUCGCAUUUUUUCCUUUUUAGGUCUGUUUCCCUCUUCUUCGUUAGAGUCUACUUUCACUCCCGUUCUCUCUCUGUUCUCUUCAGACACAAACCCAGGCCCCCGCUUCCCUUUCUCCCUCUGUGUUAGUCUCUUCGCCCCUUCUUCCCUCUGUUUUUCUCUUCCAAUUUCUUCCCGCUGACCACCAUGUCGUCCUCCGCGCCCUUCCUCACUUACCAGCGCCGCUCCAAAUCCAAAUCCAAUGACAGAGUGGAUUUUAUACCCUCCAUUCCUAGGGCUCCUAGGACUCGCUCUUCUCACUCUGUUCCCGCUGGAGACUCCUCCCCGUUUGUGUCUCCUGAGGCAGCCUCGUUCUUCGAUGGUGUUGUCUCUAAAAGGAAGUUUGUGCCUGAGAGAGCUUACCAAAUUGAUGCUCCCCCCUUAGCGGCCCAGGGUUCUGCAACUCAGAUUUUUGAGCACUGCCAUCUCCAUUCUCUCAACACUCUGUCUGGUAAGUUCAAUGCUUCUGUCGUUAAAGAGUUUUACUCGAAUUUUCCUGCUGAUCCUAAGGGGUCUAAUUAUCAGUGUGUUGUUCGUUAUGUGCCCAUUACUCUGAGACCCUCUGUCAUUAAUAGGGUUUUAGGUUUUCGGUCUUGCCCUGGUUUUGAUUCUGAUCAGUUUGCUCUUGCCUCUUCUCAAUACACUAUUGAUCUAUUUAAAACCAUGGCCUAUACUGAUCAAACAAUGCCCCUGACUUCUAAAGGUGUUCCUAUGAAGUCUUAUCUGUCACCAUUCUACAAAUUUCUAUGGGAUUUUAUCUGUCACAAUGUUCUCCCAACUAGAAAUAAUUCAAACCCCACUUUGGCUGGCUGUCAACUCAUGAUUUCAAUGGUGAAUCAUGAUAAAAUUCCCUUUGGGGAUAUUCUUUAUCAUGCAAUUCUUGGCAAAACCAUAGGUCAUGGUACAAAACACAAAGGGACUCUUGUCUUCCCAUGUCUUAUCCAGCGUCUCUGUGAGAGAAACCAGGUGGUUUUUCUUGACUCUGAUCAGUGCACUCCUCCUAUUGCUCCAUUUGGCAAGGCUUUUGUUGCCCUUAGCCAAAAAGUUUCAAAAACUUUUCUCACCUCUGUGUCAUCUACUUAUGAAAAUGACUAUCUUAGAUCUCAGCUUGCUACCAAGGAGAAACAUAUUCAACAUCUGUUAAGCCUCAUUCCAUCCUCUUUGGUUCCUGCUGCUGCUGCUGCUGAAGUACAUCCUCAGCCGACUCCUGCCACGGAGGUCUCAGAUGAUUCUGUAGAUUCUGAUGAGUCUGCUGAUUCUCUUGUUUUUUAGCUACAGUGAUCUUGUAGGCAAUGUCCUAGAUAGGGGGAGUAUUUUUGGACAAGUAUAUGUUUGUAAUUCCCUUGUGGAAAUUUGUUUUUGCUUGGGUAGUCUGUGCAUCUUGAUAGGGGGAGUUGUGUUGUAUUAUUUUGAACAAGUGAUUUUUGCUUUGUAAUCAACCUAUGCUAUGUGUUUUUCACUUUGUUCAAAUCUGAUUAUCUGCCUUGUGUUUCAUCCCCUUGUAUGCUGACUCUCUCUCCUUGCACUUUCCUUAUCAACAAGGAGGAGAACACUCUCAACCCCCAUAUUGCAUAUUGUUUCAAAAUUCUGUGAUAUAAUAUGCCUGUUUUUGUGCCUGGAAGAUUGGUUGUUCUUGCAGGUAUCCUCACUUCAUCAUCUCCUUAGGCUUGGUUUUGGGUUGAGUGUUGUUAGAGAGUGUGUUGUCAAGGAAAGCCAAAAAGGGAGAGAUUGUUAAUGUAUGCAUUUUGGGUUUUUCUUUUGGCUUCCCUUGACAACUUUGUAAUAGGAUCUCUAUUGUUAUUUAUCAAGCUCAAGUUUAGAUUGAGAAUAGCUUCUCUAGGUGUUCUUAACUAACAACUAUCAUAUGGAGGUUCAUGCAAAUUGGCAAAGGUAAAUUGUGCAUUGCAUAACAUUGCAUUAUACUGUUUUCAUAAAAUGAUGACUAGUCAUAUGUUUCUUGGAUGACUCGUCAUCCUUGCUCUCCAGCUUGAUAACCAACUUUUUUGUCCUAUUCCUUUUUCUCUCUCUGCUGCCACAUGGGAUUCUGACCUAAGGGUAUUUUUUGGUCUGUAUAGGCCUUGCGAUUCCUCUUUUGGCAAGCCGUCUCUUUUGUGUAGAAUUGGAGGAAAGAUUGGUUUUCUAUAUUUCCGUUCUUCUUCCACAAGAAAGAACAAUAUUUCAUCUAUGAGUUUUUCCAAAUUGAUUUCUUUAUGAAAAAACUGCAUUUGAAAUAUGAAUUUGCAUCUAGCUUCAUAAAAACAUUCUCUCAUUUAUAUCUAGGUCAGAUUCACUACUGAUUUCUUCAAGAGUAUGGUUUCUUGAAGAAAUUGGUUAUUCUCCCUUGAAUCCAAAUUUUGGUUUCUGUUUGAGUUGAGCUUGCAAGCUGGUGCCAUGGGAUGAAUGACUGAAGAAGGAGCUGCCAUUGCCAUGAAGAACUGGGCUUCAAGCUUUGCUAAGUUAGAGAAGAAGAUUGCACAAAGGAGGUAUUGCUCAUCUUCCUAAAUAGAUCUAGGUUUUGCUUGAGCUUGCUUGUGUUCCUUUGUAAGAAUCUUUUUCUACUUAGUUGAUUGCCUGGUCGGUUGAUGACCCCCAGUUUUUUCCCAAUGGUGGGUUUCUGGGUGAACAAUUUCUGAUUGCAUUCUUGUAAUUUUUCUGGGUUUGUGUUCUUGGUGGUCGACUAGUCAUCGUAUGAAUUAUGGUUGACUAGUCAUCAUUAUCUGCUGUUUGGUGUUUGCUUGAUUAUGCUGUCUUCACACGUUUUCACCAUAGUUGUUGCUAGCACAGGGGAUGCCUAGAUUGAUGGGUCUUUCUGAGUGCCUAGGUUGUCACUAGUAAUUCUCUAGGCCUGCAGGUACAUCAUGGUAUGUUCUAUGUAUGUUGUUGUUUGGUAUAAUUCAUAUCUGACAGUUGACUAGUCAUAAGAGUGUGUGAAGUUUGUUGCAUUUUUGGCUGAAUAUCUUUUAAGUUUACCCAUCGUCACCUAAGUACCGAUUUCAACAUGAGACCUUGCCACAGUAGAUUGAUAUAACUAAAUAUUAUCAUAAACAUAGAAAUAUAUAAGUAUUAUUAUAAUAGGAUUCAUAAUAAUUAAUAUAAAAGUAUAACAACAACAUUUACAAUUAUGUACCAAGAUAAUUACACAUAAAAAUAUAACCAAUAUAUAUUUAUAUAUAUUUUUUAAAAUACGGAUCUUUACGUAAAUGCCUUUCACGGGUCAAGCCACAAGUCUGUGUUUUGGGGAUUGCAGAGCUGCAUCAAUCUUGCCAAUGUCAAUUCUGACCCUGGGCUCUCUCAAAGCACGUUUAAAACCUAUGCUAACAUAUACUAGAGUUUAUGCUGUAUCUAGAAAAUGCCAACACUAAUUUCGUAACACAUAGAAUUGUUAGAGAUUAGAAGUUUUUAUCAUUUUUUCUUCCAGUCUCUCCACCACUCACUAAUACAGAUUACUCAUGUGAUGAGUUUACAAAACCUAUUUCUCUACUCUCGCAAAGACUAUACUUCUUCUCAAAAGACUAGAUCACUUUACCUCUAUCUCUGUGAAAUGUAAAAAGUUGAAACUUUAAUGUCAAACCUCGACAAAGUGUUCUACUUACAAACUUCUUGUGUCUACCAAUUUCUACAAAAAUUAAUUUCUCUACGGUGCUCAGAUUCAUCAUAUGUGUGUCCUUAAUUUUAGUGGAAAUUGGAAGUUUCCAUAAUUUUUGCUUUAAGUCACUCUUUUGAAGGAAGUUGAGAUUCCACUCCAUAAUCCAAAAUGUCAGGUUGACUUAUGGCAAACAAUGUAAAUAUGUAGGAGUACUAUGACCUUUUAUAGCAUUUUAAGUUUGAAUUUGGGUUUUAUACAUAGAUUUCGAAAUUAAUAGGUUGAUGCCUAGGAAAUAGAAAUUGUAAGGGCCUAUAUUAGACUAGCCCUCUUAAAAAAUAUAUUAAUUAAUGAAUAUUUGUUCUUCUUCUUGUUUUGAAGUAGUGGUGGGAGGCAGACCAACAACAAAAAUAUAGUGAAGGCUUAUAAGAGCAUUUACAAUUAUGCUCCCUAUUUUUUAGUUAAUAUUUAGGUAAAAAUAGAAAAAAGUUAUUAUAUGAGCUCUUUAUAAAAUUUGAACUCCAAUCAUACUCCCUAGUUUAGGGAGUCAAAAAUACUAUAGUUAUUUUUUAAUUCAAAUUGAUUUUGGUUAAUCUCUAUAAAUAAAUAAAAAUAUAAAAAAUAGUUAGCAUUAAUUAAAAGUUUAAACUAUGCAUAAAACAAAGAAACAUUAAAUUAUAGGGAGCCACUAUGAGUCAUUACUCUCUCUUCAGAUUUAGGAGCUCCUAGAGGUCUCCCUAUUUUAUGAGGUGGAUAAAGAGCAUGGUUGGAGUUGUAUUUCUUCAAUUUCCUCUCUAAAAUUUGUCUAAGGAUGUGGUUUAGGGAGCCCAUUGUGAAUGCUCUAACUCUGGUAAAACACGAGUGACAUGGACAACAUAUGUUACAUCGUACUGAAGAUUUUUGGGUUUCUUUAAUUGGUUAAGUAGCAUCCACAAUGAGCUUUCUAAAUCAUCUCCUUAGACAAAUUUUAGGGAGGAAUUGGAAAAGUACAACUCCAACUAUGCUCCCUAUCCACCAACUAAAAUAGAGAGACCUUUAGGAGCUCAUAAAUCUGAUGAGAGAGAAAGAACUCUUAAUGACCCCCUAUAAUUUAAUGUUGCUUUAUUUUAUGCAUAUUUUGAACUUUUAAUUAAAUCAAAUUAUUAUUUUUAUAUUAUUUUGAAUACAGCCGGAUCAAUUAUAUUAAAUUAAAAAAUAAUUAAAAUAUUUAUAACUCUCUAAACUAGAAAGCAUGAUUGUAGAUCAUCUUAUAUACCUUAAUUUGAAGAUUCUUUAUUUGGGUUUCUUUCAAGACUUAUCACCUUAGCCACACCACCUACACGUCUGCAAGCUUCCGUAAUCUAACAAGGAAGGGGAGGCUGCGCAAUACUUAUCACCUUAGCCACACCACCUACACCACAAGACCAAUAUGUGUAGUCCAGCAGGCUUUCCAAUUUUAAUAUAUAUUAUAAAAUAAAAUAAAAAUCAAUCUAUUAUCAUAUAUAUUAUAAAAUAAAGAUUAUUGCUCCAUCCUCCAUGCACUUGCAUGCCCUCUUACAAAGUGUGAAGUAGAUUUUGUGUGCUCCAAGUCAUUGACGAGAGCUGUAACAUGGUUAGCUGGAUUUAUAAGAUCUUUUCUUUUCUGGGAAUUUUCUGAAUUAAGAAAAAUCAAGUAAAAUUAAUAAAGCAUAAAUUAGAAAGGGAAAAUAUCUAGAGGAUGCAUUGUAGGAUUGCACAUGCCAAUAAUUGUAUCCUCUAAAUAUAUAGCGACACAUUUUUUUUGUUUUCAUGACUUGUGGUCCUAAAAUUAUUGUUCCUAGCGGGCUUUUCACCCUCUCUCGAUUGAAAAUCAAUUGUGUAAAUCUUCAAUCUUGAAUGAUGCACCUAAAACUCAAGUGUCCCAGGCCAAUUAUUGCUCUCAUACCACUUGUUGUAAUAAACAUUCACCCAUUCUAAAGGAAAGAUAACCAUCGAUAUUAUCUGAAAUUUAACCACUUAAGUUCAUUAUGAUUAACUAUGUAUCUUAUGGACCAAUCCAAUCGUAAGGUUUUAUACUCAAUUAGAUCGACCAAUACAAAGUUCACACUGGAUUAAAAAGGGCUAUCGGUAGGGGAGUGUUCGGCACCCUUUACUGUGGAGCGCAACACAAGACCCCUUGCAUGCCCUCACUAAGUUGAGCCCAACUAUUUUUGAGCAUUAACAAUAUAUAUAGAUUGAAAAAAUAAAAUAAAAAUCAAUCUAUUAUCAUAUAUAUUAUAAAAUACAUAUUAUUGCUCCAUCCUCCAUACACUUGCAUGCCCUCUUACAAAGUGUGAAGUAGAUUUUUUGUGCUCCAACUCAUUGACUAGGGCUGAAACAUGGUUAGUUGGAUUUAUAAGAUCUUUUGUUUUUUGGGAAUUUUCUGAAGCACGGAAAAUCAAAUAAAAUUAAUAAAGCAGAAACUGUACCCUUUAAUUAUAUAUGGACAUAUGUUUUUUUGUUUUCAAGUCUUAGAUGACAUGGGGACCCCUCUCAAAUUUAAGUGGUCCAUUAUUGUUAACCACAUAUUUUAUGGACCAUCCAGCUUCGGUACAUUUCUCCCACAUGCCACAAUUGUAUAUUCACAAUUACGUCUGAUACAUCACAUCAUGCCACUUGCCUCACAUGCCACAAUUGUAUAUUCACAAUUACUUCUGGGUACCCCUCAUCAGUCGUCUAUAAAAUGGUGAAGCCAGUUGCUACUGUUACCAUAAGAGCCAGCUCCGACUUUCUUUAAUUUCUUGCUACAUCUGUUGCUAAGUUAAUUUCAGUCCUAAUGGGGUUUCAUCUCCCACUCAUCUUUGCUAUUCUCAGUGUAAGCUCUGCAAUUUGAUUAACUUUUCCAUUCUCUCUCAUUGUACUCUAUAUAUAUAAAUGAAAGUUUUGUGUUCCUAUAAUUCUCUCCGAUUUUAUUUAGUACGUACUUAAGUGUCGUCCACUAAUUAAUUACACUUUGUGAGAUUUGAUUUUAAUUAGAGUUCGAAUUAAUGUUGCAGCUAGCAGCGGUUGCACUGGCAAACAAUGCUGCUCAACCAGCACCUCAACUUUACUGGAACUCCGUCCUGCCAAACACACAGAUGCCAAGAUCUAUCAGUGAACUUCUGCAUCCUGGUUUGUGUUCAGCUCUUUAUAAUCUUAGAUAUCUCUUCUACCUGCCAUUUUACUAAACUAUGUUCGACCACAUAUUUAUCAGUUAACUACUGUCAUUACAAGAAUGACACUUAUUUUCCAAUAUAAUUUGCAGACUCCACAAAUGAAGAAAAGAGCAAACCUGAAAUUUUCCCAUUGCAGGGCAAUAGAGUUUACACUCAAAGCCAUUAUAAAAAACGUCCUCCUCCUCCAUCUGACGAGGGCAAACCUGAAAAUUUCCCAUUGGCCAAUAGCUUUUACACUCAAACCCAUUAUAAAAAACGUCCUCCUCCUCCAUCUGACGAGGGCAAACCUGAAAAUUUCCCAUUGGGCAAUAGCCAUUAUUCUCAAACAGGGUAUGCAAAAGGUCCUCCUCCUCCUCCUAAAAUUUUCCCAUUUUCAGGUUACAGUCGAAAAAGGUAUGGAGGAAGUCCUCCUCCUCCUUCUCCAUUCGUUCAAAAAGACUAUGGACAGAACGAUAAACAUUACGUUCAAAAAAACUAUGGAAAAGUUCCUCCUCCACCUGACAAUCAACUACUCCAUUAUAAAGACUUGGCUAUUUUCUUCUUCGAGAAGGACAUGCGCCCUGGCGCAACAAUGAAGUUCCAAUUCCCUAGAAAUUCAAACACGGCUACUUUCCUGCCACGCGAAAGUGCUCAAUCGAUCCCCUUCUCCUCUAAGAAACUACCAGAAAUUUUCAACCAUUUUUCAGUGAAGCCAACAUCUGAGGAAGCCAAAACAAUUAAGCAAACAAUCGAAGAGUGUGAAGCUCCAGGCCUUAAGGGAGAGGAAAAAUAUUGCGCCACAUCUUUAGAAUCAAUGGUUGAUUUUAGCACUUCGAAGCUUGGAACAAGAAACGUUGAAGCAAUCUCAACGGAGGUAUUGGAAGAAGGAGCCACCAAGUACAUGCACAACUAUACAACAAUGCCGGGACUGAAGAAGUUGGAAGGUGACAAAGUCGUUGUGUGUCAUAAGGAGAACUAUCCCUAUGCUGUGUUUUUCUGCCAUGCAAUAAAACAAACAGCAGCUUAUGUUCUCUCCCUGAAAGCCGAUGAUGGGAUGAAGGUGAAAGCAGUAACCAUCUGCCAUCUAGACACAUCAGAAUGGGACCCAGAGCAUUUGUCCUUCCAAAUCCUCAACGUUAAGCCCGGAACCACUCCCAUCUGCCAUUUCCUUUCCACUGAUGCUAUUGCCUGGGUUCCAAAACACAAGUCUGCAUGAUCAUCACUUAGCACUGUACGUAUAAUAAGCUUGGUCGGGUUGCACCCUAGGCCUGCAUAAUUAUCUCCCUACUUAUUUCUGCCUCUUUAUCAUGCGGUGUAAGAUAUAUGAUGAGAUGAAGUUUUCUCUUGUAACUAUGUAGACUACUUCAACUUGUACUCAUAAUAAAGCACGCUGUUGGGGGGUUCUACUUAAUUUCGUUCUCUCCAAUGUUUGAGUGUUGAAUUGUUACGUUGGAAUAGGCUGCUAAUGCAUGUAGUUAGAGAAGCCUUCAUUUAUAUCAAAGUCCUCAAACUAUCAAGAAUUAAUGUAUCCAGAAACAUAUACCAAGACGCAAAAUGUCACAUCCCGGAAUCAGCUACUUCCCAGUGGGUCACCCAUCCUGGGAUUGCUCUAGCCCCCAACUCGCUUAACUUCGGAGUUCCUACGAUUCCGAAGCCAGUGAGCUCCCAAAAGGCCUCGUGCUAGAUGGAUGCGGGUGUGCACAUAUAAGGCACAAUACCCCCUCUCCGUUGGUUUGAUGUGGGAUCUUACAAUCCACCCCCCUUAAGGGUCCGACGUCCCCGUCGAUACACUCGCACCACACGGCAGAGUGGCUCUGAUACCAAAUUGUCACAUCCCGGGAUCAGCUCCGCCGUAGCACGAUAUUGUCCGCUUUGGGCCCCCCUCUCUGCCCUCACGGUUUUGUUUCUGGGAGCUCACGAGCAACUUCCCAGUGGGUCACCCAUCCUGGGAUUGCUCUAGCCCCCAACUCGCUUAACUUCGUAGUUCCUACGAUUCCGAAGCCAGUGAGCUCCCAAAAGGCCUCGUGCUAGAUGGAUACGGGUGUGCACAUAUAAGGCACAAUACCCCCUCUCCGUUGGUUUGAUGUGGGAUCUUACACAAAACAACAUAUUUUCCAUUCUCUGUCUGUAACACCAAGGCAAACUUCCUUUAUCACAUCAUUUAAAGGAUCAAAUUCCAGUACUAAUCUAAUCCAUCAUGUAAAGCAUACAAGUGCCUACCUAAAUUUGUCCAUUGGAUAUAUAUGUCACUUCUUAUUUUUUGAUAGAGAUAUAAAUGUUGAGAAAAUUAGAGUACACAACUCCAAUAUAGACUUGUUAGAGACAAAACAAGUAAACAAAUUCCUUGUAUUAGACUCACAAAAUAUUAAAACAAGACAACUCUCAAAGAAAAGACAAACUCUCACACUUCUCACAAGGACUACUUAACUUUAUAGCUUAUUGCAUAUAGCAUAUGCAAACACAAUUACAACAUACCUACGUACACUAUGGAAACACUCGUGUAUAUUUGAACACAAGAAAACAUGUGCACCGUGCACGGUUCACAUGAAGUAAGAAAUGAAGAGGAAAUAAAGGAGAAGAAUACAAAAGAAAAUGGAGAUGAGAAAAAAAAAACACGAAUAAUGAAAAAUGAAUUGACAAUUAUAUGUGGUUGACAUUAGAUCUAAUAUUAUAUGUAACAACUAUUGAUCUAAAAUAAACAUUAAAUCAAACAAUAAUUAAAAGAUUUGACAAUAUAAAAAUUUAUUGAGGACAAAAAAAGGCAAAAACUUAUGAAAAAUGGAAACAAUAAAUAUGAACUGAGUCAUCAACUCAUCAUGGUAAGUUUGCUGACGUAUAAAAAUAGUCAAUGAACUACAUCGAAAAGUAAUUGGCUUACAUCAAAAAUUAAAAUCACGUGGUCUACCUACUAUAUAGGAUGAAAAAAUUACGUGAACAAUAUACUUACACCAUGGGAACACUCCUAUAUAUUUGAACACAUGAACACGUGUUCAAGGUUAUAUAUUUCAUUACCUUCACAAUAGGUACCAAACCGUACCAUGCGAACAUUCAUAUACGCACAACAUACUUAUAACAUACCUACACUAUGGGAACACUCGUGUAUAUUUGAACACAAGAAGACCUGUGCACCACCGUGCACGGUUCACAUGAAGUAAGAAGAUGAAGAGGAAAUAAAGAAGAAGAAUACAAAAGAAAAUGGAGAUGAGAAGAAGAAAAAAAAAACACGAAUAAUGAAAAAUGAAUUGACAAUUAUAUAUGGUUGACAUUAGAUCUAAUAUUAUAUGUAAUAACUAAUGACCUAAAAUAAACAUUAAAUCAAACAAUAAUUAAAAGAUUUGACAAUAUAAAAAUUUACACGUAAGCAAACUCACCAUGGUAAGUUUGCUGACGUGUAAAAAUAGUCAAUGGACUACAUCGAAAAAUAAUUGGCUUACAUCAAAAAUUAAAAUCACGUGGGUUAUUCCUAAGAAACCUUAAUAUUUUUGGGUUUAUAUAUUUUUUGUAUUUUUUUAAAAUAAAAAAAAGAAAAGAAAUCUGACCAUGUAUGUAUGAUGAUGAUAUGCAUGUUAUUUUUAGACCUAAGGUAAAACAGACAAACUUUUUACUCCAUUUUUCAUGAGGUUUAUCACAAUAAUUAAACUGUUAUAUCCUCCAUUUUAGAUCUCAUGCUUCCAUUUAAAGAAAAGAAUAUCAACAACAAAAAAAAGAAUAAAGUUACAACAUUGAUCAAUUCAAAUGUCCAACUACCGGAUCAUGAGCUCCUGCACUUAGCGAUAUGCAGAUAAAUGCGUAGUGUCUUAAUGCAGAGGCUCGGGAUCCCCAACUACCAUUGAAACAUAAGAAACUAAAAUCUGCAAGAAAAUGCUAUCAAUUGAAAAAACAAUAAUUAAAAAACAAAAAAAGGAAGGGAAUUCGCACCGCUAUGCAAAAAAGAGCAAGUCGGUUCAAUGAUUUUUUUUCUUCUUCUUUUUGUUAUGGAAAUGAAAAGCUCAAUGAUGGGCUAUAUAUAGGAAGAAGCUCAAUGAUUGAAUUAUUAUCUUCUAUCUACAUUCUACCCUCUUCCUCGCUACAUACACAAAUGGUGCACACCAGUAACUAAGCUUGUUUUGGGUUCGGUGGCUCACUGUAAAAGCUCAAUGGAGAUGGUUUGAGGUAGAAUUUUCUCCUAUUUCAAUAGGACAAUGAUGAGCUCUAUGGAUUUUUUUUGUUUGUUUAUAGAAAUUAAAUGGUAUAGGGUCUAUCUAUAUUAUUAAUGCUAAGAAUGAGAAUAUGACUAAAUAACUCAAAAAAAAUUUAUAAUAAAUCAACAAUUUUUUUUUUUUAAAAAAAAAUCUAUAGAAUCUUUUAUUAGAUCAAUAGGCACCACUAGAAAAUCUCCAUAUAAGCCACUACUAAUACACCCGUGACUACUGACAAACCCGUAGCCAAAGAGUAUUGGCCACCUGCCACACGACAGUGGUCCAAGCAUAAUGUUGUCAUUCAUUAUUCCCCACAGCAACCAGCAUCCAAUAAAGGGUUGGGGCCCACCCAUAUUCCACCUCUCUUUAUGAAUAUAAAAGAAAUAUUUUUUAUUCAACAUGGACGCAGAAACUGUUGCUAAACUGCAAACUUCUUAAAAUAUUUAUCUAACUUUCUAGAUCCAUGUACUGAGAUUUAUUAGGGAAAUAUUGUAGAAACUGAUUAUUUUGAAAUAUUAAAUGUGAAAAACUGAACAAAAAUUUGAUGGGUUACAUAUUUCAACUCAUUUCAGCAGCUUAGAUUUUGAAGACCUCGGAAGAGGCUAUGCAAUGAGCCUAGCUAGUGCACUGUUGAUCACUUCAGUGUCUACCGAUCUGUAAUUUUUCCAGAUUGGUUAUAUUUUCCUUUACAUAUUCUUAUAUUACCGAUCACUUCAGUGUCUACCGAUCUCAUAUUUCUGGCAGAACAAUAAAUCUUUCAACAUUAAAAGUUUAAAACUCCAAGAUGCUAAAUUUAACGUUAAAAUAAAUAAUUAAAAGGGCUAAUGAAACCUAUAUGCCCAGGUGAGGAGCAUGCCACAAACUUAUUUCAACCCCAAAACUUCAUUAAAAAGCCCAAAACACUCAAUGAGGCAUCUAAGUAAUUUAAUAAUUAAAAUUAAAUUCAAUAUGACCAGCUAUCAUUUUUUGGGUUUUUUUUUGUUUGUUUCUAGAAAUUAAAUAGUAUAGGAUUUAUUUAUAGUUUUAGUGCUAAAAAUGGGUAUAUGACUAAAUAUCUCUAUAAAAAAAAUACCUAUAUGUUUGAGAAACAAAAUAAUAAAACUACAACAUAGGUUAAAAACAUUCUAAUAAACUCAAUACAUAUGGUCUACGUACUAUACAGGAUGAAAAAAUUACAUGAACAAUAUACCUACACCAUGGGAACACUCCUGUAUAUUUGAACACAUAAACACGUGUUCAAGGUUAUAUAUUUCAUUACCUUCACAGUAUUCAUCAAAACCCACCAUGGGAACAUUCAUAUACACACAACAUAACAUACCUACACUGUAGGAACACUCGUGUAUAUUUGAACACAAGAAGACAUGUGCACGGUUGAUGUGAAGUAAGAAGAUGAAGAGGAAAUAAAGAAGAAUAAUACAACAGAAAAUGGAGAUGAGAAAAAAAACACGAAUAAUAAAAAAUGAAUUGACAAUUAUAGAUAGUAGACAUUAGAUCUAAUAUUAAAUGUAAUAACUUUUGAUCUAAAAUAAACAUUAAAUCAAACAAUAAUUAAAAGUUUUGACAAUGUAAAAAGUUAUUGAGGACUAAAAAAGGCAAAAACAUUUGAAAAAUGGAAACAAUAAAUAUGAGCUGAGUCAUCAGCUCACUAUGGUAAGUUUGCUGACGUGUAAAAAUAGUCAAUGGGUUAGAUUAUUAUUUGUGGGUAACUAAAAUCUCGUUUAACAACAAUAGUUAACGUUUGUUUAGAGAAGGAAAAAAACUUGAUGAUGUGUCAUGUUCUAAAGGGUUAGAUUAUUGUAAUGGCUUAGAUUUAAUGAAAUACAGGUAAAUGCGUAAUGUCCAAAUGUAGAGGCUCGGAAUCCUCAUCUACCAUUGAAACAUAAGAAACUAAAAUUUUCAAGAAAAUGCUAUCAACUGAAAAAACAAAAAACAAAAAACAAAAAGGGAAGGGAAUUUGCACCUGCUAUGAUGGGUUGAAUGAUUUUUUCUUCUUCUUCUUCUUUUUCUUUUUCUUUUUGGUUCUUUAGAUCUAGUUGCACAUUCCAAAGAAAUAAAACCUCAGGCAUGCAUGCAAUGCAAGCUCUUUUCCCAUGUUUUCCUCUGUUUUCCUCCUAUUUUCCCAUGCAAACUCUUUUCUUAUAUGGAAGUGAUUAAAGUGUGAUUCAUUGAAUAUUUGCGGGGUUUUGUUCAGACCUAACAAAGUUCUAAGUGAGCACAUCAAAUUUCUUUUACCCAAUCAAAUUCAACUAGGUUUAUUCUACGACCUUAUGCUCGAUCAUUUUCCACAAGCAACCGUCCACGUACCAAGUAUUUAUUUUAUAUCAACGAGUACGAUGGUCCAUGUAAGUAUUCUAAUAAUUCACUCCAGUUGCAGGCCCCAAUAAUAUAGAAGGGCCAAUGGUCUUUCAUUUGAUGAAAGCUGCUAUCUACUGAUAACAAAGUUCAAUGAAGACGUAGGAAGAAACUUUGAGAAGAAGCUUGCAAUUUCUUUUAUUGAUUUUCUCUCUUUUUCGAUCUACUUCACAAUGAACAGUAUCUAAUAUUUAUAUGACAGAAGCACUUAGCUUCUCAGCUACGACUUAACAAACACGUGAACCCACGUGAACUUCUAACUAACUAAACGCAUUAUAUACAUGUCUUUUGCCAAUCAUCCCCCCUCAAUCGCAGUGGUGGCUGGACCAACACUAAGAUUGUGACAGUGUUUCAAAAACAAUGGACUAUGCAGGCCCUUUGUGAAAAUGUCGGCAACUUGUUCUUCAGUAUUGACAUAUCGAACCACCAAAUCAUGACGCUGAACCCGUUCUCUGAUAAAGUGAAAAUCAAGUUCUAAAUGCUUUAUGCGAGAGUUUAAAACUGGAUUACUACUUAAGGCCAAUGCUGAUAAAUUGUCACUAUGUAAGACUGGAGCUUCAGGAACAAUAAUAUGUAAGUCUUGAAGAACAUAUCUGAUCCAAGAGAUAUCAGCAGCACAGUUGGCAAGAGCUCGAUACUCUGCCUCUGUAGAACUACGAGAGACAGAAGAUUGCUUACGAGAGGACCAAGAGAUAGGAUUCUGUCCAAGAAAUACAACGUACCCUGUAGUAGAGCGACGAGUAUUGGGAUCCCCAGCCCAAUCUGCGUCACUAUAGCCAACCAAAACAGAAGAACCAGAUGUAAAUGUCAAACCAUAAGAUAAAGUGCAUUGCACAUAUCUCAGUAUACGCUUAACUAAAGUCAUAUGAAUAUCAGUAGGAGCAGUCAUAAACUGGCAUACGGUGUUCACAGCAUAUGCCAGAUCUGGGCGUGUGAAUGUGAGGUAUUGAAGAGCUCCAACCAAGCUGCGAAACAUUGUAGGAUCAGGAAGUAAUGUACCAUCAGUUGUCAGAACAUGACAAUGAGGUUUACAAGGUGUAAUUGAUGGUUUACAAGUUUCCAUGCCAGCUCUCCUAAGUAAAUCACGAGCAUAUUUAGCUUGGUUGACAAACAAAUCACCAUUGGACUGAUAAGAAACCUCCAAGCCCAAGAAAUAAGUAAGCUGGCCAAUAUCUUUCAUAUCAAACACUUGUCCCAAAUCAUCAAUCACAGAUUGCGCUAGGGUAGAACUUGACCCCGUGAUGAUAAUGUCAUCCACAUACAGCAAAAGAAUAACCACAUUAAGACCAUCAUGCUUCACAAAGAGACUAGGAUCGGAGUGUGAAGAAACAAAGCCCAAAGCUGGAAGAUAUCCAGUGAACUUGGCAUUCCAAGCACGUGGUGCCUGUUUAAGACCGUAAAGAGACUUUCGUAGCCGACAUACAUAAUCUGGAUAAUGAUCAUCAAUGAAUCCCAAAGGCUGUUUCAUGUACACUUCCUCCUGUAGGUCACCAUGAAGAAAGGCGUUUUUAACGUCCAAUUGGCGCAAACACCAUCUAUGAGAUGCAACCAAACUUAAAAUCAAUCGAACUGUGGUAUGACGAACUACAAGACUAAAGGUUUCGUCAAAAUCUAUACCUUGUUCUUGACUAAAACCUUGUGCAACUAAACGAGCUUUAUAUCGAGCAAUACGUCCAUCAGCAUGUCUUUUAAUUUUGUAAAUCCAACGACAACCAACAAUAUUCUUAUCAGAGGGUGAAGGAACUAAAUUCCAUGUACCUUGAGUUUGUAAUGCUUUAAUUUCCUCUGUCAUAGCCUGCUGCCACUCAGACUUUGUACUAGCUUCUCGAAAAGUAUGAGGCUUAUCAAGAGCAGUAAUUGUAGAUAAACAAGUGGAAAAACAUUGAAAAUCACCAAAAUCUUUCUUCUUGCUAAUACCACUUUUAAGACGAGUUUGCAUAGAAUGACCAUGCUGUGGAAUGGAAAUAUGAGAAGAAGAACUAGAGGCAUCUGUGACAGAGAGAGGAAGCAAAACCUGUAAUUGAGCAGGAUCCAAAAUAGGUUGCAUAGUCUGAGCAGAACCUAAGACCUCUUGAGCCUCAUAUGUAGAUACUGAAGAAGAUGAAUUCUCAUUUGAACAUGGGAGAGGAGAGUGAUCAGACUCUGUGGUAGUAACAUAUCUAUAAGGCAAUGAAACUGCUAUAGCUGAGGGAGACAAUUGUGUCAUGACAGAAGAAGAUUAGGUUGAGGAUACUGAAUAAUUCUUCAUUGGAAACUGAGUUUCAUCAUAAAUCACAUGUCUUGAAAUAACCACUUUAUGAGUGUCAGGAUGAAAACAAAUAACACCCUUAUAACCAAGAGAAUAUCCAAGGAACACAUGCUCUGCUGAUCGUGGCUCUAACUUGUGAGAAUUAUAGGGUCGAAGAAGUGGAUAUACUGCAGAUCCAAAAACCUUUAAUGAUUGAAGCUCAGGAUUAUGACCAAACAAUUUGAAGUAUGGAGAUGUCAUUUGAAGAAGCUGACAAGGCAUACGAUUUAUGAGAAAGGUAGCAUGAGCUGCAGCAUAGUACCAAAACUUGUCAUUCAAGGCAGCAGUAGCAAGUAAUGUAAUUGUGGUUUCAAUAAUUUGCCUAUUCUUCCUCUCAGCAACCCCAUUUUGCUGAGGGGUAUAAGGACAUGAAAUCUGAUAGAAGCCAAGAAAUCUUUAAAUGCUUUACUAUUAUACUCCCCACCACCAUCAGAUUGAAAAUAUUGCACAGAAGCUUGAAAGUUCUUAGUAAUAUACGCAUGAAAUUUCACAAGUGUGGGAAAAACCUCAGAUUUAUUGAUUAAUGGAAAAAUCCAGAGAAAUCGAGUACAGUCAUCGAUGAUUGACACAUAAUGUCUUUUCCCAUGUUUUCCUCUGUUUUCCUCCUAUUUUCCCAUGCAAACUCUUUUCUUAUAUGGAAGUGAUUAAAGUGUGAUUCAUUGAAUAUUUGCGGGGUUUUGUUCAGACCUAACAAAGUUCUAAGUGAGCACAUCAAAUUUCUUUUACACCAUCAAAUUCAACUAGGUUUAUUCUACAACCUUAUGCUCGAUCAUUUUCCACAAGCAACCGUCCACGUACCAAGUAUUUAUUUUAUAUCAACGAGUACGAUGGUCCAUUCUAAUAAUUCACUCCAGUUGCAGGCCCCAAUAAUUUAGAAGGGCCGAUGGUCUUUCAUUUGAUGAAAGCUGCUAUCUACCAACCCUGCAAUAUGAGCUAUGCAAUGGUGAUGGUGUUACAUGACGUCAGAAUGUCGUAGGGAAAAUAAAAAAUAAAAAGUCAAGGUUUCUUAUUAAUGUUAAUAAAGGCAUAGCAAAAAAUUUGUAGCUCCAAUUGUUCAAAGCAAUUACCCAUGCACUUGAGAUUCUGUGUUUGAAUCUCCAAUUUUCUCUAAUAUUGUUUGUAUAAAAAUAAAAACUUUUGAAAAGACAUUAAUAUUGUAUUCUAUAUUCUAUAAAGUGUUGGACAUGUUUUAUAUUGUUGACAACCCCCUAAUACUUUGGUGGUGCCUAGUUAUAUUCAAUUCGUAUUUAUUUAAUUUGCCACUUACAUUCUUGCCUUAAUACAUCUAGGCUUAUUUUUAUACUAAUUUCUCUAACAUAACUUUUGCACAUUCUUUUAGUCUCUAAUAUAUAUAUUCUAAUAAAUGAUCUUACCCACUUGAGUUAUAAAUCUUUUUUUUUUAAUCAUGAAAAAUCGACAUUUUGACAGUGAGUUGAAAAGCACUCCCCAAUUUUAAUGUCAACCACUUGAAAAAAAAAACAUAAAUUUAAUGACAACAAUUACAUUUAGCAAUGCAACCUAAAUACUCAAAACCUUUGCGCCCCUUUUGCAACGCAUAUAGCAGGGUGAGGAUAUUGCCAAAGGAACUGCGAUAGCCAAUUAAAAAAAAAAGUAAUGAAGGCUUAUAACUCUGGGUUAAGAGAUUGGUCGUGGAGAAUUUACAUAAUUGGAGAAUGUACCAUCCCACAUCGACCAACGGAGAGAUGGUGAUGUGCCUCAUAUGUACAUGCCCACCUCCAUCUAGCACGAGGCCUUUUAGGAGCUCACUGCAUUCAGAGUCAUUGGAACUCCGAAGUUAAGCAAGUUUAAACUAGAGCAAUCCCAGGAGUGGUAAUCCACUGGGAAGUUACUCGUGAGUUCCUAGAAACAAAACCGUGAGGGCAAGGGGCCGAAAGCAGACAAUAUCGUGCUAUGCCCACCUCUAUCUAGCACGAGGCCUUUUGGAAGCUCACUGGCUUCGGAGUCAUGGGAACUCUGAAGUUAAGCGAGUUUGGGCUAGACCAAUCCCAGGAUUGGUGACCCAUUGGGAAGUUGCUCGUGAGUUCCCAGAAACAAAAUCGUGAGUGCAGGGAGCCCAAAGCCUACAAUAACGUGCUAUGGCGAAGCCGAUUCGGGGUAUGACAGAGAAUAUUCAAAUAUUCAAAAUAUUUAUUUCUUUGGAGUGGAGAUUUCAGCUUGAAGACCAACAAUCAAUGAUCAUGAUUUUAAUCCAAGAAGGCAUAAAUUCAACGACAAAUUUUUGUCAACCCGGGGAGAAUGAUGCAGAUAAAAAGCCAUUAAAGUUUAUGGGGCAUUUGAAUCAAAAGCAUUAAUAAGUUCAAUGCAUGAACGUUUUGUUUUGGCUUCUAAUAAAUUCUAUGUAUUUGGAAUGGAAUAGCUAGAGUCGUAAUUAUUUGGAUGGGGCUUAAUGUAUUUGGAUUAAUAGGUUAAUUAAUUUAGGUGCUAGUUCAAUGUGUGCGGUGAGAGAUUAAGUCUUUAAAUACUUGUAUGCUCAUAUUUCUCAAAGGAGUGGUUGUUGAUAAUUGAAAUUGAAAACAAAGAGAAUGUUCUCUCAUCUUUGCUCAUAAUCUGGAUAUUCUUAGAAUUAACGGGUUUGAGUAUUUUAUUCUAUCUUUUAUGCCAAGUUUCGGGUAUUCUUAGACUAAACGGGGCUUGGUGGUUCGUGGUUCGUGUUUUCCAAUAUCCUUGCUCUUUCCAACAUCCUUGCUCGAGUGCCGCUGCACUAGUUGGUAUCAGAGCGGGAUUCAAUUGCAAAACUGAAAUCCUGUGGAGGAACUGCACCCUAGUUGUGUAGUUAGUCAAAUCUACAUCAGCUGUUAUUAGAAAUGGUUAGUGGUGAUCAUACAUUUGAUCAUUUAUUAGAUUUGGAUCUCCCUCCAGUAUUUGAUCAAUGUUCAGAUGGUUCUUGCGAGAUUUGUUGUGAUUAACAUUUUAUAGUGGAAUGCAUUGAAGAAGUCGUGGAAAAUUAUGUCAACCUUCAUAUUGCAAAUGUCGAUGAUUCCAUCGCUUUAUUCAACUCUCAUGAUACUUUCGAAGUUGUUGAAUAUAUUGAUUUCACGGGGGUUGAAAAUUUCAGUCAUCGUAGUGCAACCACUUUGGUUGAUACCAUAAUUCAUAAUAUCUGGGUUAAGAGAUUGGCAGUGGAGAAUUUACACAAAUGGAGAAUAUUCAAAUAUUCAAAAUAUUUAUUUCUUUGGAGUGGGAGAUUUCAGUUUGAAGACCAACAAUCAAUGAUCAUGAUUUUAAUACAAGAAGGCAUAAAUUCAAGGACAAAUUUUUGUCAACAUGGGGAGAAUGAUGCAAAUAAAGAGCCAUUAAAGUUUAUAGGGCAUCUGAAUCAAAAGCAUUAAUAAGUUCAAUGCAUGACCGUUUUGUUUUGGCUUCUAAUAAAUUCCAUGCAUUUGGAAUGGAAUAGCUAGAGUCAUAAUUUUUUGAAUGGGCUUAAUGUAUAUGGAUUAAUGGGUUAAUUAAUUUAGGUGUGUUUAUAUCGGAAAUAAACGGCCUAUGAUCACCGAACACGUGGACAGGAUUGAUAUUGAUCACAGAACCCCUUCGGCAUGCUUCCUACCGAAGCCAUCUAUCUUGGCCCUUUUUACCAUCGGACACGUGUCAUGCUCACAAUCCAUGUCCACAGUCCCACAUCGGAAAUAUGAGCACAGUGCACACCUCCCAAGGCCUAUUUAAGAAGACCCCUAUCCUCAAAAGGAGGAGAUCAGAACGAACGGUACGCUACCGAUUGAUCUAUCAGUUAACAUUACUAAAACUGUACUUACUAAAGCAUCGGAGAGCCUUCGGCCGGUACCACACCGGUACCCCAAGGAAUUACCGAACGUGUCCUUUUGCAGGUACUUACCCUUCUGAAGUAGAACAUCUUCCGAAGACAGUCACCUGCCGAAGGCAUAAUAUCACUAAGUUGGCGAAAUACGUGCCGAACCACUUUUUCGCAUCAACAGUUUGGCGCCGUCUGUGGGAAUCCAGAAAAAUCAUCAACCCACUAUCUCCAAAACACAUGGGGACCACUUCAGUACCCACGUUCUUAUCGGAAGAAGGGGUACCGUUCGGAAGGUAGACCGGAGCUAGCCCAGCGCUACCCCCAUCCACUCCCUUCGGAAACGCCCCCGCAACCCAAACAACCGCCGAAGCCGAGCUGUUAGUCCAAAUCGCGUCCCUACGGAAGGACAUAGCGAGACUUCAGGAACACAACAACCUUCUUUCGUCCAAAGUGGACGAAACCCAGCAGCUGCUCCACCAGCAGCACACGCAGAACAUCCAAGCAACUCACUCUUCCCAGAGCUUGCAGACCCCCCAUAGGAAGAAGAAACACGAGAAGGUAGCGAGGGCAACGCCCGCACCUUCCAAACAGUUGGUAGUUCCGGCACCCAGGGAUCAGCCGCACAUCCCCAAGAAAGUCUACUCCGAUUGCCGACAUCGGAUUAACGAUCGGGAGGCAGAGAGACAGAGGUCUCCGAUCAGGAUUAGCGCUCGACUAAGGGACUCACGGAUGAAAAUCCUAGGAAGCAAGUCGCCUAUUCGGAAGGUCAGAGGGCUGGACUCCGCAGAGGAGUCAGAAUCCGAAUAUAUCCCUUCCAGGACGCAAGCUUCCACCUACCGUUCGACAACGCCUUCACGGUACUCGGGGGUUAAUUCAUUAAGUCUAGAAAGACGAUCGGAAGAUUAUGGUUCCAAGGAAAUCUCUAGUCGAGACCCUGUUGUCCGACUCCUUUUUCAGAAAGUCCAAAAAAUGGAAAACGACAAAGCUCGCUCCCAAGAACCGGAAUGAGGAAGCUUCGGCCCGGACCAUUCACCAGGCGCAUCCGAGACUCUCGGUAGGAUAAGAAAGUGCAGCAACUGCGUAUACCGUUCUAUAUGGGAACGGAGGACCCCUUAACACACCUCCACUCAUUUCAGUCCGCCAUUGGAUGCAAGGGCCUGAGCGAUGAAAGGCAGUGCCUGCUAUUCCCGUCUUCCCUUACCGAAGCAGCCCUGAACUGGUUCUACCGGUUGGAGCCGGAAACGGUAAAUUCCUUCGACGAGCUGAAACAAAUUUUCCUCAAUCACUUCAUGAUCCAAACGGAUCGUCUUUACUCUGCCGAUGAUCUGUACACGAUUCGGCAAAGAGAGGAUGAACCGUUGAGAGAAUACGCGGUGCGCUUCAGUCACGAAUACUCAAGGUGUCCGAAAACAGACGAUAGGGCAACCUACGGCGCCUUCAAGAGUGGCCUUCGGUCCUCGCAUUUCCGAUACCUAGUACACAGCAGCAACUGGCGCACGUACGAUGAACUGAUGCAGGCAGCAAUCCAUGCCAAAGCCGAAUACUUCAACUCGAAACCCGCGGUUUCGGCACGGCGAGGAGAUGCCGAACCAAGUGCUUAUCCGGUAAAGGCGCCACCCUACGAGAGAGUCGACCCAUAUUUGGCAGGUCAUAAGAGGAAAGACGACCGUGCCGAUCGAAGAGAACACCCGAAGAAGGGAAAAGGGAGGUAUGGUCGCAACGACCACCGAGCGCCCCUGCCGAAUCGUGACCACGGCAAUGAAGUCUUCACCCUAUUGAACACUACCUACGAGGCCGUCCUAAUGAACGAACAAGAAAUAAUACCAAAGCCGAACCUGCGAAGAUCCAAUCGGCAAGACAACCGGGAUACCGGUAAAUUCUGCCGAUACCAUCAGCAUAACAGCCAUAAUACGGAAGACUGUAUAAGCCUAAGAAAAAUUGUCGAACGGUUGAUCAGAGAGGGGAAGCUAGAUCAGUAUAUCGCCCGGCAGCCACCGGCGCCGGUACCGAAUCCAAUUCGGCAGAUAAACAUGAUAAGCACUAUCAGCGGUGGCCCCACCAUCGCAGGAAUGAGCAACCGUUCAAUGAAGCAAUACGUGCGCGCCGCACAAUUUCCGCAGGUAUUCGGCAUAGAGGUGAAUCGGUAUCAUGAAAUACCGAAAGUUCAUUGGGAACCAAUCACAUUUUGCGAAGAGGAGGAAGAGGGCAUCCUCUAUCCCCACGACGACCCAAUGAUCAUUCGAGCAGAAAUUACCGACUACGAUGUAGGACGGGUACUGAUCGAUACCGGGAGCUCGGUGAACAUGAUUUUUGCCGAAGCUUUCCGAGAGAUGGGAAUAAAGGACAGCCAGGUCAACCGGCAGUUGACACCUUUGUUAAGUUUCUCUGGGGACCUGGUCCAACCGGUCGGUAGUGUAAAACUGCCAAUUACCUUCGGCACCGCGCCAAGGAAAACGACGGUAUACAAUCAGUUCCUCAUCAUUGACUGCCCGACAGCGUACAACGUCAUAGUUGGAUGAACGGCACUCACCAGGGUCAAGGCACAUCUUUUCCCCCACAUGCUAUUGAUGAAGUUCCCGACCCCCAACGGCAUAGGAGCUGUCAAGGGAAAUCAGCUAAGCGCGCGGACUUGCUACGCCACGGCCCUCAAGUCAACCUCUUUCAAAAUCCCCAACGAGACCAUGUCUGUACAGGGGAUACCGAACGGUACGGGACCCGUUGACGACCCAAGAGAUGAGCCCCCGACUCCUCACACACAACCCGCCGAGGAACUGGAGACGAUAACCCUGAGCGAAGAGCAGCCCGAUCGUUGGGUUAGAAUCAGCACCAGACUCACCCCUGCCCUCCGAACGCAGUUCAUAGACUUCUUGCGGCGCCAUUCGGAAGUAUUCGCAUGGUCCUACGAAGAAAUGCCCGGCAUCGCCCCAGGGGUCAUCAGCCAUAAACUCAGCAUCUCUCCCGCUUAUAAGCCUGUAAGACAGAAGCGCCGUUCGUACGAUACCGAGCGAUACGAAGCCAUGCGUAAGGAGGUUGACAAACUUCAAACCAUCGGCUUCAUCAGGGAGGCUACGUAUCCGGUAUGGCUGGCAAAUUCGGUGAUGGUCCGGAAGGCUACAUGCGGGUGGUGAAUGUGCCAAGACUAUACCGAUAUGAACAAGGCCUGCCCAAAGGACAGCUUUCUGUUGCCACGGAUAGACCAGCUCGUGGACGCCACCGCCGGCCACGAGCUGCUCAGUUUCAUGGACGCCUAUUCCGGAUACAACCAAAUUUUCGUGCACCCUUCCGACAGCGAACACACCGCCUUCAUAACGGACAGAGGGUUGUACUGUUACAAUGUCAUGCCGUUCGGCCUGAAGAACGCGGGGGCAACAUAUCAAAGGCUCGUCAACAGAAUUUUCGCCAAAUACAUCGGCAGCAUCAUGGAGGUUUACGUUGACGACAUGUUAGUAAAAAGUAGAACUGCCGAAGAACACCUGCACAAUUUUUCAAUCAUGUUCGACACACUGAAAGACUACCGGAUGAGGCUGAACCCGAUGAAAUGCGCCUUCGGUGUAUCUUCCGGGAAAUUCCUCGGAUUCAUGAUUAGUCACAAGGGUAUCGAAGCGAAUCCCGAAAAAAUAAAGGCAAUCAUCGAUAUGAAAGGUCGAAGACGACGAAGGACAUUCAAAGCCUUACCGGACGCGUGGCGGCCUUAACUCGCUUCAUAUCCAAGGCUACCGACAAAUGUGUACCGUUCUUUAAAGCCUUGAAAGGGGAUAAACAGAAUAUCAUAUGGACUGCCGAGUGUGAUAAAGCGUUUCAAGACUUAAAGGACUACAUGGGCAAAGCACCCCUUUUAUCAAAACCACUACCUGGGGAGAUUCUCUCCCUAUACCUUUCGGUAUCUAGCACUGCCGUCAGUUCGGUAUUGAUUCGAAAACCAGAGAAAGCAGAGUUACCGAUUUUCUAUGUCAGUAAGGCACUCCAGAGUGCUGAACUUCGGUAUCCCCCAUUAGAGCAGCUUACACUAGCCCUUGUGGUCUCGGCACGAAGACUUCGGCCAUACUUUCAAGCACACAGAAUCAAAGUUCUGACUAACCAACCGCUCCAGCAAGUGCUCCAAAAACCAGAGACUUCUAGCCGAUUGAUCAAGUGGGCGAUCGAACUCGGAGAGUUCGAUAUACAAUUCAUGCCAAGGCCCGCCGAAAAGGGUCAAGCCAUUGCCGAUUUCAUCUCCGAGCUCACCCCAUCAACAGCACAGGAGAUACCCGAGACCGGGUUGCUAGAGGAACUUGACACCGAGCGCUUUGGUGCCUCAACUCCCGUAUGGAGUCUGCACGUUGAUGGUUCGGCAAACCAACAAGGAUGCGGAGCGGGCUUGGUACUGACAACACCGGACGGACUCAAGAUCGAGUACGCCCUCCGAUUCGACUUCCGAACCUCCAACAAUGAAGCGGAAUAUGAAGCUCUCCUGGCCGGCCUUCGGCUAGCCAAUAGCAUGAAUGCAAAACAAAUCAGAAUUCAUAGCGACCCCCAGCUCAUUGUGAACCAGGUAACGGCGGACUUCGCUGCCAAAGACGCCUCCAUGUAUGCCUACCUUUCGACUACCCAUCAACUGCUCUGAAGCUUUCGAGCCUACGAGAUCAAGCAGAUCCCCAUAAGCGAAAACAGCCAUGCCGAUGCAUUGGCACAUCUGGCUUCGGCAAUUAACGACAAAAUCGGAAGAAAUGUGCCAGUAGAGAUUCUUGCCCAACCGAGCACGGUAGCCUCCGAAACAUGUACCGUACGGUACGAAGAUACAUGGAUGUCUCCUAUCUACUCGUACCUGACCAACGGCACCCUUCCAGAAGACAAGGCCCAGGCCCGAAAGCUUAGGCACCGAUCAGCAAAGUACACCGUCAUCAACGAUGUCCUUUACAAACGUGGCUACACAACUCCAUAUCUCAAAUGCCUUACGGCAGAACAGGGGGACUACGUCCUUCGGGAGAUCCAUAAUGGUGUGUGCGGCGACCAUUCUGGGUCCCGGUCACUCGCCCACAAAGCCUUUCGGCAAGGAUACUUUUGGCCGACCAUGCACCAGGACGCUAAUUCGCUAGUGAAAAAGUGUGAUAAAUGCCAGCGCUUCGGUAACAUACAGCAUAUCCCUGCCGAACCCCUGACACCGAUCGUGAGUCCUUGGCCUUUCGCACAAUGGGGACUAGACCUGAUCGGUCCGAUGCCACAAGGUAAAGGCCAGGUAAAAUAUGCAGUGGUUGCCGUCGACUACUUCACCAAAUGGGUAGAAGCCAAACCUUUAGCAACCAUAACGGCAGCAAAGAUGGAGGAUUUUGUCUGGACUCACAUUUCGUCUGGAUUUCGGUAUCCCAUAUGCUAUCAUUAUCGAUAACGACAGGCAGUUCGAUUCGGAACUCUUCAGGCAAUUCUGCACCGGCCUGAAAAUCAACUUGUUUUUCGCAUCACCAGCUCAUCCCCAAUCGAACGGUCGGGUCGAAGCAAUAAACAAAAUCAUCAUGAAACUACUGAAACGGCAGCUGGACAAAGCCAAAGGAGCUUGGUUGGAGAAGCUUCCUGAAGCACUAUGGGCCAUUCGGACAUCUUACCGAACGUCCACUGGAGAAAUCCCUUUUUCCCUGACUUUCGGUUCGGAGGCUGUGGUGCCUGUGGAAAUUGGCGAACCUUCCUACCGAACGAAAACCUUCGCACCAAAGCCGAAUGAAGAAGCACUUUCUCUAAGCCUUGAUCUUCUUAAAGAGCACCGGGCACAUGCCAACCUUCGGAAUGAAGCCUACAAGCAACGUGUCUCUCGGUACUACGACUCUAGUGUCAGGCACCGCUCCUUCCGAAUCGGAGACUGGGUCAUGCGCAAGGUAUCCCUAGCAACCAAGGAUGCCACGGAAGGAACCCUCGGACCUUAAUGGGAAGGACCCUAUGAGAUCAUCGGGAACCUACCGACUGAGAGACUCCAACGGCAAGACCCUCGGUCAUCCUUGGAACGUGGAACAUCUCAAAUACUACUACAAGUGACCUAGCCUACGGCAGGCCCGAACUGUAACCGCUCAGAAUGUAUUUGUCCUUCAACUGAAAAUAAUAAAAGUCUUCAGCACUAUUACUUCAGAACCUCUUUUUAAUUAGUCUACUAGCCCACGACUGCCAAUAAUGUCGAGUUAACGUUCUACGGCAUCUUUAUUAGCCUACGGCAAUAAAUGACUUUCGGCGACAAUACGUUCGACAAUUUAAACACAUGUUCAGAUUGUUCAAACAACAGUAGAUAAAAACAUGCAUUUGAAUUAGAGAUGCCCUCGGCAUCAAUGUGUUCGGUACACAAAAUAAAAAUAGAAAAAAACUAAUUCUACUAUUAUAAAUAAACGGCAAGGAGCCUCAAGUUUCAUCGGCGGCGACAGCCUCGGCAGAUCCGGAGCCCUCGGCGGCAUCUUCCCCUCGUAUUCUUCAAUCAUGUCCUCCGUCAGCCCUUCCGGUAGAGGAGUAGGAUCAGCGAUGAAGUUCAGAUUCAGCUUCUUCCCGAGGUUGUACCGUUUGAACCGGUACAACAGGUCCGCCAUCUCCGAGCCCACUUCCUUAUCCAGGAGAACAGUGAACUCUUCAGACGAGCGGUACCCCCGGAUAGUUGACCGAAUGGCAGCCUCAAUCUCCGCAGCCUUGGCCCGCUCCGACUCCUCCAAGGCCACCUGCACCGCCUCUUUGGCAGCCUCGGCAUCCCUCGCUGUCGCCAGCGCUGCCUCCAGGAGACCCUUCAUCUCCUCCACCUUCGCCUCCGAAGCGAGACCCUUUUCAGCAGAUGGGCGUGGUCCUGGAGCGCUUUGCCAGCCUCGGCAACCUUGGCCCUGCCGUCCUCGUACGCCUUCUUGGCACGCUCGGCAGCAGCAAUGGCCCGCUUGACGCAGAGCCACAUGUCCAUGGACGCCUACACAAAACAAACAAAGUUAGAAGCAUGCCCCACUUACCAAAAAAAAAAGGACGAAGGAAGAAAGAAAAUCUUAUCGAGGCUUGAAGCCGGAAGGCGCGUCCGGCCUCCUCCCGAAGAAGCUUCUUCGGUAGUUCGUCGAUCUCCAGCAGCUCCAUCUGAGAACCGAGGAUCAUAUGGUUGACGAACUGGACCGUCUUCGCGGGGCAGGCGAUGGUGACGGCUUCGGAAGGACCGUCCACGUCCUCCACCGCAAGGAAAGCCCUUGGGACCUCCGAUUGGCGAGGGCGUUUGGGGACUGGCUCGGCUUCCAGAUCGACUGUCUCCGGCCGCUUGCCGGCAGCCUUGGAAGCUGCGGCCUCGGUAUCCCGAUGCCUCGGUGCAGAGACCUCACCGGCAGUGCGCCCCAGAACAGGCUCGGUGCCCAGCUGUCGCAGGCGCUCCGCGAGGGUCUGAUCCUCCGGAUCCACCACCGCCUGCCGGACGGAAGCUGCCUCGGGCUGCUUUUUCUUUUUCUUGCCCUCCAGGCCCAUCAUUAGGCGCCUCCUGGAGGACUCGUUCAUCUUCUUCGCCUCGGCAGCCUUCUUGCGUCCGUCACUGGUCAAAAGUGUUUGGUCAGUUGGCAAACAAAAGCAACACACAAAAACAAAAAAAAAAAACAAAAAGAGAGAAGGAAAGAUAUACUUACUCUCGGCAGGGUGGACGAGGCCGGCUCUGACAAGGUUGUCGGUGGAGAAGAAGCGUGGGUAAACUCGCUCGGCAGCAGGUACUCUCAGCCUCACUCUGUCGAGCUGCCGGAUCUCACUCUGCUUGGGGCUCGGCUGUUUGAGUUUACCUGUCGGAAGAAGGAAAAUUAGUAAAAUAAAGCAAGAAAAAAGAAGAGAGAAGAGAAGCCAGCCUAUCAAUCGGUAUUUCGGAAACCUACCGGCAAUCUGAAAUGUCGUGGGGACCGGGAAGCGAGGAGGUGUUCCCGAUGGCGAUUCCCAAUCGCCGGAGAGUAGCACCCGCCGAUUCCUCCACGACUUUUGAGAAGUCGGCACCGAGCUGAUGAAGUGCCCCUGCUCGGAAGUCUUCAGGCAGUUCGCCUGAACCCAGCCGCCGUGAUCGGCGCUCUUGGACUUAGUAAUGCUGUAUAAGUACAAGAACUGCUCGUAGGAAGGCUCCCCCUCCUCGGCAAUCCCGAACGCAGCAAUUACCCCGAUCAAGGCCACCCAGAAGUUGGGGUUGUACUGGCCGGGAGCGUACCCGAUCUGGGCAAGGAACUUCUGCACGGCAGGUUUCAACGGCAACCGAACCCCUUGUAGAAGAACGUCGGUGAAGAAGGUCACUUCACCGUUCACUGGGUCGCUGAGGGACUCGACAGGGCUCGGUAUCCUCAUCUUCACCGAGUCCGGAAUGAGGUACUCGGCCCUAAUCCUCUCCAGCUCUCGUUCGGUGAUCUUGUUGGGCUCCAAUUAGUCGACCCCGAACAGAGUCUUCCUAGGCACACCCACCGGUAUCCUAGGCUGCUCUCGAUGGACGAUCGUCACCCUCGGCCGGGAGGGACCGGCAAUGCCCUCACCACGACCGGAGGUGGAGGCCUCAGGCUGAUGCUUAAACGGGCCGACGCGGGUACCGUCCUUGUACACCACGGUCAAGGGUAGCGGUUGCCCCGUCAUAAGCCCCUUGCCGAUGCCAUGGGUGGGAAUGGAGUUCACCUCCUCACCGAAUAACUCAACAUCGGUGUCUUCUCCACCCUCAGCGUCGAGGCUCACAGCCCCGCUGGACGUAUCCCAGCCCGAUGACAACUCCCCAUCGAACGCGUUGGGCUCACUUCCGAACGGCGACUCGCUAUCAGACAUCUACAAAACAAAGAAAGGGAAGCUAAGGCCCGUGCCACAAACUACUCUACCGAUGCCUACAUCGCUACCUAUGGCCACUAGACUACCGAAGAAAAAUUCUAUUUUACGUUCGGCUAGCCUACGCCAUGAAAAGACGUACAAUUAAAUAAAUUGAGAGUAUUUUGAGGGGUACCGAACGGUAUCUUACCUUGAGUAGUGUGGGAUGAGUUGAUCACCGAUCAGAGACUUCGAAAAUUGCCCUGUAUGCCGAGAACCGCUGUAAAAAUCGCCUUGAUUGCCGUUCACUCUCUUCGGAAAUCGCCCGCACAGAGCUCUCGCGUCAACUCACAAUUGCAAAGUGAGCCUUACAUCCGGAGCAACCUCUAUUUAUAGGGAGAAAGCUGUAACGGUACACCUCGGAAGACUAAACGGCUCUUUAAUGCGUCGUCAGACGUGCUGUUGCUGGCCACGUGUCACCCGACGAAUGGCGCCGCUGACUGCACGCCAGGCACGGAAGACGAAGCGUCUCUCUGCCCUUUUGCUCUCAGCAUCGACGACCCCUCAAGUCCCAGGUCAAUCUCCCCCGAACGAUCCUACCGAACGGCAGGUCAACCUCCGAACCGCUAUAGAGAACUAAAUUCCCUUCCGAAGGACCUUCGGAAGAGAACUUGGGGGACUACUGUUUAUACCGGAAAUAAACGGCCUAUGACCACCGAACAAGUGGACAGGAUCGAUAUUGAUCACAGAACCCCUUCGGCAUGCUUCCUACCGAAGCCAUCUAUCUUGGCCCUUUUUACCAUCGGACACGUGUCAUGCUCACAAUCCAUGUCCACAGUCCCACAUCGGAAAUAUGAGCACAGUGCACACCUCCCAAGGCCUAUUUAAGAAGAUCCCUAUCCCCAAAAGGAGGAGAUCAGAACGAACGGUACGCUACCGAUUGAUCUGUCAGUUAACAUUACUAAAACCGUACUUACUAAAACAUCGGAGAGCCUUCGGCCGGUACCACACCGGUACCCCAAGGAAUUACCGAACGUGUCCUUUUGCAGGUACUUACCCUUCCGAAGUAGAACAUCUUCCGAAGACAGUCACUUGCCGAAGGCAUAAUAUCACUAAGUUGGCGAAAUACGUGCCGAACCACUUUUUCGCAUCAACAAGGUGCUAGUUCAAUGUAUGCAAUGAGAGAUUAAGUCUUUAAAUACUUGUAUGCUCAUAAUUCUCAAAGGAGUGGUUGUUGAUAAUUGAAAUUGAAAACAAAGAGAGUGUUCUCUCAUCUUUGCUCAUAAUCUGGGUAUUCUUAUAAUUAACGGGUUUGAAUUUUUCAUUCUAUCUUUUAUGCCAAGUUUCGGGUAAUCUUAGACUAAACGGGGCUUGGUGGGUCGUGGUUCGUGGUUCGUGUUUUCCAACAUCCUUGCUCGAAUGUUGCUGCAUCAAAGGCAGACCAAUAAAAAAAAGAGUAGCAAAGGCUUAUAACUCUCGUAAAACAAGAGUGACGUGGACAUAAUAUGUUACGUCGUACUGAAGAUUUUUGGGUUUCUUUAAUUGGUUAAGUUUAUAUACAUUCAUUUGAAGAUUCUUUAUUUGGGUUUCUUUCAAGAUGAAAACCAUAUCCACAACCAUAACCACAACUUGCCAGGGGCGGAUCCACAGAGGAGCAAGGGUGGUCAAUUGACCCCUACAACCUCUGAAAUCUGCCAUUAGAGGAGCAAAAAUUGACCCUCGCAAGAUGUUCGAUGAAAUGCCCCAAAGGGGCAACUUGUCUGUCCAUGCGCUCCAGCGCUGCUUGCGCGCAGCGCGCGAGCCUUUUUUUUUUUUUUUUUUUGUUUCUCUCGACUUCAAAGGUCGGGUGAGGUUGUUGAGUUCCAACUCGUCUCCCAUCUUGAUUGGAAGUGUAGCUUGCUUACUUUUAUCUUGACGGAGAUAACGAAGUGUGUUCUCUAGUUUAGGGUCAUAUGGUAUAAGCUCGUGACUCUGCGAACGACGACCCAGCAUAUACCUGAAAUUGAAAACAAAACUCAAUUAGAUUGACAAUCCCCGGCAACGGCGCCAAAAACUUGUUGGUAAUUUUUAACAACAAUAUUAAAACCUUGAAGUGCACAAAUCAAAUGAUAGUAUAGUAACCAAGCAAGGGUCGAUCCCACAGAGAUUGUGAUCUAAAGAGAUGUUUAUCAAUGUCACACAAUGAGAACUAAAACACAAUUAAACACGAAAACAAAAUAAAGAUUGAAACCACAAGGACUUCCACACACACGCCAACACCAAGGGGGGUUUUGAUUUGAUUUUGUGAAUAAAACAAAACAAGGAAAAGAAAAGAAAACAGAAUUUAAAUUAGAGUUUAAGAGAAAUUGGUUUAAAAUCAAUCAAGAACAAUAGCUAGGACUUACUAUCCACCUCCAAACAAUCAAUCAAUCAAUCAAUCCAUAAACAACAAUAGAUAAUCAAUUUCUAGCAAGCACAUGAUGAUGACACUCACAACAAGAUCAUGGCAUUUGACUCGAGUUGUGUGAUUCCCUCUGAAGUGUAUGGCAUUUACAUCAAUACGUGUAUUCUUAAUUAAAAUCUAGUAUGAUAUUUACUCAAAUUAACAAUCAAGAAUCCAUUAAGAUCAAAGAGAAUAUGUGUGUCACAAAAACCCUAAAACAUGGCAUUUGUUAUUAGGAAUUCAAGAAUCAAUUUCUCAUAACUAGUUCUGAACUCAAUUAUUCGUUGCAAACAAGAACACAUUCAAUAUGGCAAUUGACCUAUGUUCUACAACAAUUUAAUUCCAAACAUGCUUCCAAGUUAGCUACUCAAAGAAACAAAAUAUCAGAAUUCACAUAACAUAGAGAAACCAAAAUCAUCACGCUUGUAGAAACUGAAAAUCCAUUCAAACUUGUUUAUAAAAUUGAAAUUAUGUUUAGGGCUUCAAGAUUAAGCCCUAACUAACAAGAAAUUAGUUACUCAUAUUCUUGGAUGAACUCAAAAAUAAAUACAUAAGAACUGAAAAUUAAAAGAAGGAAGGAAAAGAAAGAACUCGUUGGCAGCUUUCUCCUUUUGCGCUGUUGAUCUCUUUAGGACGUGAAUUCCCUGUAUGAGGGCCUUGGCUGGCUUUUAUAUCACUUAUAUCAGAGUUCUAAACCCUAAUAUUGACUGAAAAAGUCAUCCAAGAAGUCUUGGUAAAUAAGGAAUCCAAAUAGGGAAGUAAAGAUCACAAUUCCUAACUCUAUAGGGAAAUACAGCUCAGCCCAAUUGUUACACGAUUUGGGGAUCUUCGGCCUUGUAGAAAAAUCAUUAAAAAUAUAUUUUAGAAAGAUAAAUGUCUUAUCUUUCCAACCAUAUAUAGCACGUAACUUGAACAAUUCGGGAAGGCUUCCGUUUCUUCGUAUUCACGUAAUAUGUACGAAACUGUCCUGUCUGCACGUGGGCUAACUUUACUUGUAAUACUCUACCAAUUGGCUUGGUAUAAAAUUCUACAAAAUCACAGAUUGAACUUCAAGAUGUUAGCUUUCAUCUCCAAUUGGCCUUGCACUAAAAUUCCUCUGAAAAGUUAAUUUUCCCUUAAAAACCUUCUAAGAGCGCAGAAAAGCUGAAAAUCAGAAAAGUAAAGUCAUAAGCCCUUUUUAAAUCCAAUUAUCCUACAAAACCUAAGUAAAAAGAGUACAUAAAUGAGUAUAUUUAUGGACUUAUCAAAUUUCUGGCGUGUAAGGCACUUCCCAUACAUGGCGUUGGAAUUUCCGGCUUAUGGGAAGAUUAUGUGAUUAUUAGGUCUCACACGUGGCGUUAGAAUUUCCGGUGUGUGAGACACUUCCUAUAGGUGGCGUUGGAAUUUUCGGCAUAUGGGAAGAUUAUGUGAUUAUUAUGUCUCACACGUGGAGUUGGAAUUUUCGGCGUGUGAGACACUUCCCAUACGUGGUGUUGGAAUUUCCGGCGUAUGGGAAGAGAAUAAGGAGAGGAAAAAAUAAUUAUUUUACUAUAUCGGGGAAAGAUUGAUGCUUAAAAGAAUAAUGUCUUGUGUGUUGUGAUUUAAGGAAAAGGAAUAAUUCUAUAAUUUACUAUUUUAUUUUGCUGUAAUGGAUUGUAUGUUAUUGGAAUCGAGAUUCUUGUAGAAAGAACUACAUGUGGCUUGAUCCCUCAGUAAGGAUACGUAGGUAGCUUAGGGUCUCACCCAGGUGCAGCCGCGAAAUAACUAUAUAUAUAAAAGGUUUAACCGGUUUUGAAUGUGUGAAUGAAUUUUGAGGUGGUUGCGGGAUUUGAAUCCUAAUUAUUACUACUACUAGGUUCAGUUUUGAUUAUGAUGGAACGCCUGAAGCUCGACUCAAACUUGAGCGAGAUUAAAUGCUUGUUUAUUUCUCGAUUAACUUGAUUGGACUUUAUUAAAUAGAAUAUGUGGUUCUGAUAUGUCUGAGAUCCAUUUCGAAAUAAAUGACUGAUAUUAGGUUGAUUAUAUUGAGUAAUGGGCUUGAGGCCCCUAGAACCGAAAAUCGCGUGCCCUUAUUCCUUUUUGGGAAAGGAGGCUAUAGUUUUAGUGACUGGGCCCGACAUCGUGGUGAUGUCAAAUUUUCCACAGGAUAUGUUCUGGGUUCCGAGGAAUUCGAGGCAGGUCUUGUCAACUAAUCAAUCGUCACAUCCCAGGAUCGGCUCCGCUGUAGCACGAUAUUGUCUGUCCGCUUUGGGCCUCUCUCUCUACCUUCACAAUUUUAUUUCUGGGAACUCACAAGCAACUUUCUAGUAGGUCAUCAAUCUUGGAAUUACUCUAGCCCCAACUCACUUAAUUUCGGAGUUCCCAUGACUCCAAAACUAGUCAGUUCCCAAAAGGCCUCGUGUUAGAUAGAGGCGGGCAUGUACAUAUAAGACACAGCACCCCCUCUUCGUUAAUCAAUGUGGGAUGUUACACCUCCCUUCUAAUCUUGUACUAAAAAAAAACUUACACUGAGAAGAGCAAAGAUGAGUGGUAGAUGGAAACCCAUUAAGAUUGAAAUACUUAUGCAACAGGAAGGUGAUGAAUAUGAAGGAAAAAUAAAACUUAAUAUAUAUAAGAUCAAGUGAAAAACAAAAUUAAGUCAUCAAACACUGACAGAGAAAGUAAAACCACUUUAGUUGAUCAAAUCCAAAUUUUAUAUAAUCUGUAUUAAUGAGUGGAGGAGAGACUUGAAGAAAAAAAUGAUAAAAACUUUCAAUCUCUAACAAUUUCUACGUUUGUCCUUCAAAUUUGCUUUUUGGCAACUCUUUUUUCUUUUUGUGAAGUUGGGUCUCAACUUCCAAGGCCCAAAAUGCAAAAACUACCUCAAACUCAAAGCAUUCCCUGGGCCUAUACAAUCCUCAAGAAGAAGACAAGCCCAAUGUGAGGAAGAAGAAAAGAAAAAGGCAAGGAAUCUAUGAGUUGACCUGAUCAUUAUGCAAUUAUUCAGAGAGAAUUUAUGUCACAUCUACAGCCGGAGAAAGCAAUCUGCAACUGCAAGUGAGCUUUUCUAGUCAUUAGCCAAAGGCAAAACAAACUUGGUCCUUGCAUACAUAGCUUAGCAGGUGCGAAUUCCUUCACUUCUCUCUUUCUACUUUUUUUUCUUUUCAUUUUCAUAAUAUUUCUUCUAGAUUAAUGUAUUGUUCUAUAAAUUGAUAUAUAUGUUUCCACAUGUCCAUUUGCCUGAAGGUUUAAGUCGCUUGUGUUUCAUGGUAUGUUUUGAUCGAGGAGUAGGUUGACACACUGGUCAAAGUUGAGGGGGUUCUUUGUAUCUUAUACCCUAUCGAUUUUCUUAGGGGUGUCCUUUCGUGCCGUCACUAUGGUUUUGCUCAGCAUAGCACAUCAACAGGAAAAUGGAAGAAUGCAAUCAUGCUGGUCCAAAUGACACAAUUAACAUGCCAUACGUUCCAUUAGAAACUUCAUUGAGGGAGGAGUUAGAUAGCUUGCCUGCCUUGUCCUCUUCGUGUUGUAUCUACAGAGUUCCCAAUGACAUACGACGUCUGGAGGAAAAGGACUACACACCUCAAGUCAUCUCCAUAGGUCCACCUCAUCAUGGCAAGGAAGGUUUAGAAGCCAUGGAAGAGCUGAAAAGAGGUACCUACGAGAUUUUAUGUGUCGGACUAAGAUAAGCUUGAAAGACUAUAUCAAGAAAAUAAGGGACCAAGAAGCAAGACUGAGAAGUUGUUAUGCAGAACCCAUCAAAUUUAGCAUUGAUGAAUUUGUAAAAAUCAUUCUAGUGGAUGCUGCCUUCACUACUGAGUUCUUAUUGAGGUUCUAUCUGAAAGAAUCUGGACAUGAAGGAGACCGUUUGUUAAACAAUCCGUGGAUGUUCAGGUAUGUACAGCCUGACAUGUGGUUGCUUGAAAAUCAGCUCCCAUUCUUUGUUCUUGAGGAUCUUUAUCACACAUACAUAAUAACCGACUCUUUUAGGAAUUAUUACAGUACUCAUGAUCAUGAGAGGCUUUCAAUAAUUAAUAUUUCAAAGAAUUUCUUCACAGCUGGAAUAUUGAAUUUGGAGGGUAAAGGAGACAAAUGGAACAGAAUAUCAUCUUCUUCUAGUUCUAUUAAUGUGCAACACUUUGUUGAUCUUAUAAGAAUUUUCUAUCUACCAUUGGAAUCAGAAUUAAGAGAUGCAGGGGAGCUCAAAACCUUGAACAUACCUAGCAUCAAAGAGAUGCACCAGGCUGGAGUCAAAAUUAAGGUAGGAUCAAGCAAAAACUUAGUCGACAUACAAUUUGCAAGUGGAACUCUCAUAAUUCCUAAAAUAAUGAUAACUGGUGACAAACUGCGGACCCUGGGAAAUGUCCUUGCCUUUGAACAAAGCCAUUGCAUGGAAGACAACUACUUAAACGAUUAUGUUAGCAUCAUGGGUCGUUUUGCGAACACUCCAAAGGGUGUGGAGUUGCUUGUUGAGUUUGGAAUUUUUCAAACUGCGGGUACCACCAGCGUGGUGUCAUCUAUGAUUACCAAACUUGCCUCUGAGGCUCUUUUCUUUGUCGAUAGAUUCUGUUACGCGACUCUUUGUGAAGAGCGGAACAACUUCUGCAGAUCGUCCUGGAACAAAUGGAAGGCAAAUUUGAGACAAAAUUAUUUCAACACACCUUGGGCAUCUAUUUCUGUCAUUGCCGCUGUUGUUCUCCUCACACACACUCUCAGACAAACGGUGUGCUCUGUUAUCUCUGCUACUUAACCAUUAAAGGGUAAGUCCCUGCUUUGCCGCUUUCUCUUCUGACAAUAAUAUGUAGACUCAUCUCUGUUUUUAUUAUUUAUUUAUUCACUCACAUGGUUCUAGCAGGAACACUUUCGGGAAACUAGUAGUAUUUCAGGUCCUCAUCAAGUAAAGGGAUCCGAGGAAAGCCUGUGAACUCAAGUCCAGAUGAUGAAUGUAAUAUUUCUAUUGUUUGUCCAAAUUUUCACAGUGAAUGAAUUCAAACUGCAGGUUCUUCCUAUCCAGAUUGUUUCUGAUGAAAUAUUAUUUAUUUCUGUGCUAUAAAUUUUUUAGUAAUGAAAAAAGAGAGAAAAAAAAACUUCCAAUGUCCACCAAUCUCUGUAAAAAUUAAUUUGUUUUAUGAUUAAUUUCUCCAUGGUGGUGAUCAAAUCUUUAUUCUUUUUGUGGUUAAGUUGGAUCCCAAGGCCCAUAAACACAAAAACUAACUCAAAGCAUUCCUGGGCCUAGAAACCGCUUGGCAUCCUCAAGAAGAAGACAAGCCCAACAUGAUGUGGGAAGAGUCCAAGACUAAACGGCUCAAGUCGAAGGAAAAAGCAUAUAAAGAGAGUUUGAUAUUUUUCAUCAUCAAAUCCGUUAAGAAUUUUAUGUAUUUAUUAUUAGUAAAUUUAGGUUUUACCCAUAAAAAAAUUUUCAUUUUUGGAAAAAGCCAAAGCUUUUUGAAAAAAGACAGAAUAACCUCUUAACUUUCAAACCAAAGACAUGCAAAUGUAAAGGAUUUCUUAGGAAAUCAAAAAAUAAAUAAGGGCAAUUUUGUCCAUUUUUGCUUGUUUUAAAAAUUUUCUCUCUCCUUUGGGCUUUUCCAAAGUCUCCCUUUAUUAUUUUAUAUUUUUUUAGUACAAGCGAUAGGGAGGGGUUUCUCACACACACAACUAAUGUCAUGGGGGUUUGAACCUGAUACCUCUCUGGUCUACAAAUCAAAACCCUUUUUCACUCCACUAGACCCUGUUGGCUUUUUUUUUUCUUCUUAAGAGCAUUUUAAAUCUAGUAAGAAACAACCUAAUUUUUUCCGGAACAUUUUCAUGGAAUAAGCAUUGCACACUCCGCACAAAGGACACAGAAACUUCACCGAAACACAAAAGCAGAUUUUACUUAUAGUCGACAAACCCUUGUACAAAAUGUUGAUUUUUAGUUGUCGUGGGACCUGCAAUGGAUUAUUCAAACUUCCCCAGGACGCGCAUAGACAUGUCAAAGCAAAGGCAAGGAAGCUACAUGAGGAGUUGACCUGACUUCCAAACCAGAUUCACUAGUUCUUAUACUGAAAUCUAGCAGAAGAGCAAGCUAUCUGCAUUGAGCUUUUCUAGCUACUCAUCUACCAACUGCCAAAAAAAAAAAAAAAAACUUGGGUUUCAAUCCAUAGCAGGUAUGUUUUCAAUGCCCAAACUCCUUUCUCUGUCUUUCUUUAUUUUUCUAUGUUUGCUUGCACAUCCAAUUUCUUGAAGCUUUUUAAGUGUCUUGUGUUUCAUUUUAGUUGGAAAUUGGAAUUGAGCAAAAGGUUAUGUAAAUGUCGUAUAUAAUUUUCUUCUCUUGUAAUGGGAUUUUGGUUUGUCUAUGUUUUGACUGGAAGCAUAAUCUACUAUCUGAUAUCAUUACACAAAGAAUUUGUUUUAUUAGAAUCUCCAAUAAUGCAGAACACGAAAAAGAUUUUUUUUUUAUUUUUUAUUUUUUAUUUUUAUAAAUGUAAUAAUUCAUUCAAGACUUUCAAUUCUUUUCCUUUCGAACAAAUAAAAAAAAUGGUGUCUCUAUGUUAAUGUGAAUUAAACUUUCGUACUGAUUCACAUGAUUAGUAGGAAUUUUUCAAUCAAAACUGCAUUAGAAUCUUCCAAGAAUAAUUACAAGAAACAGAGUUGACCAGAAGAGUUUUGAAUGAAUUUGGUGCAUUCAAAUCAAAUUCUUAAGGCACUAGUGUGGUAUGUAAGAGUUACAAGGAUCAAAAGUCUUUGUGUGUUUGGUCUUAUAGUUGCAAUGUUUGUAUUAAUUUUCUCAACCAUCUUGAAAAUUUGUUUAUUGUUGUGUCAGUGACUAUCAUUUCAUUAUCAUCCAUUACGAUUGACAACAACAAACACAUCAGCGGAAAAUGGAAGGAAGCGAUCAAGCUCCACAUGAUAUUGAAAACCCCUGCAUUCCAUUAGUAACUUCAAUGGGCGAGGAAUUGGAUGGCUUGUCUCCCCUCUCCUCUCUGUGUUGCAUUUAUAGAGUUCCUGAACGACUACGGCGUGUGAGUGAAAAGGCCUACACACCUCAGGUAGUCUCUAUAGGCCCACUUCAUCAUGGCAAGGAAGGCCUAAAAGCCAUGGAAGAUCACAAAAAGAGGUACUUACAAGAUUAUAUACGUCGGACCAGGGUAAGCCUAGCGGAUUAUGUACAGAAAGUAAAAGACCAAGAAGCAAAACUGCGCAGUUGUUAUGCAGAAACCAUUCAGGUUAGCAGUGAUGAAUUUGUGAGAAUCAUUCUGGUGGAUGCCGCCUUCAUCAUUGAGGUCUUGUUGAGGUAUCGUUUCGAUGAAUUGCAGGAUGAAAAUGACUGCAUAUUUAACAAACCAUAUAUGUUGCAGGAUGUAUGGCCUGACAUGCGGUUGCUUGAAAAUCAGCUGCCCUUCUUCAUUCUUGAGGAACUUUUUGACCCCGACAAAAUCGAAGUCUCUUCUAACAAUAACAAUAUUGAAAGGCUUUCGAUACUCAACCUUUGCCACAAUUUCUUCAAAAAUCUAAUGCAUAUAGAGGGAACAGAUGGCAAUAUGGAGAAAUUAUGUGCUUCUAAAGUUGAACACUUUGUAGAUUUUUGUAGAAAUUUGCAUCUACCUCUACCAUUGAAACCACAUGCUAAAGGGCGACUUGAAACUCUAAACACACCCAGCAUCACAGAGUUACACAGAGCAGGAGUCAAGUUUAGGGUGGGAUCACCCAAAAACUUAUUCAACAUAAAAUUCGCUAAUGGGAUUCUAAAAAUUCCAAAAUUAGCAAUAAGUGAUGAGACAGAGCUUACAAUCAGAAACCUCCUCGCUUUUGAACAAUGCCAUUGCAUGGAGAAUUACAUAAACGAUUAUGUUGUCAUCAUGGAUCGCUUUGUGAACACCGCAAAGGAUGUGGAGUUGCUUGUUAAGCAUGGAAUCGUCGAAAAUAGUCUCGGUGACAGUAGUGAAGGGUCUACUCUGAUUAACAACCUUGCGGAUGGGGUCAUAGUGGACCCUAAUGACUUCUAUUUUGCUAUUCUUUGUGCAGACCUCAACAAGUACUGCAGAACGUCUUGGCACAAAUGGCAGGCGAACUUGAGACAAAACUAUUGCAACACACCUUGGGCAACUAUUUCAAUUGCUGCGGCUAUUUUUCUCCUCAUACUCACUUUUAUACAAACAGUGUGCUCUGUUAUCUCUGCUCUGCCUUCUAAGCGUUGAGAGUAAGUCUCCUCUUAGCCGUUUUCCCCUUGUCAUUUCCUUUUGGUCCUCCGCAUGACACGAGCUGGGUUUGUCACCAGCCUAGAGGUGCAAGAGAGCUGGAGAAAGAAAAAGUUAGUGUAUAUGUAGAAAAUAUAGCCUCUGUUAGUGAAAGUGAGCUGUGCAUGUAGAGUGAUGGAAGCAAUGUGGUUGUUUUAUUUGUUUCUCCAUGCUUGUUCGGUAUGAAACUGUUCAAAUUUUAUAACUUUAUUGUUAAUCCGAGAGCUGUUAUGUUGGGUACUCCAAUGUAACAAAUCAUUGAAAAUCUCAUGUCGGUAGAUACUAGUCUUUAAUCUAAGACAUCCUUUGUCAAUGGAGGUUUUGUGCAAAAACUAUUUUAUACACAUAUUUUAUACCCUAAGUGAAGCCCCUAUUUUAUACCCUAAGUGAAGCCCCUAUUUUAUACACAUGAAAAACAAUUUUUGAUCUUCAAAAAAAGCAAUGCAUAUUCGAAAUAUAACUGAAAAAAAGUGUAUUGUCUAUGAUUUUAUUUUUGUAUUUUAGGUGCAUACAAUUGGAUCUAAAAUUGCCACAUAACUAUCAUAAACUUAGAAGCCAUAUAAUUACGCUUACGAAAUAUGCUAGCGUGCGUCGCAUGUGGGCAUGUGUCACCCUAUUACCAUACUGUAUGUCCUGGACGGUAGAUGACUGGACCUUUGCCUCCGACCAAAAUAUACAUAUAUUUUCCUCCUUUUCUUGAGCUUUAUAAGCGUCCAACUCCAUUCAUAGUUGAUUUCGAACCAAAACAAAGAAUUCAUAAUUGAUUUAUUAUUUUUCCAACUAUAUGCACAAGGACCUAUAGCCUUUUCGAGUGUAUAAUUAAUUAGCAUGAAGAAAAGGAUAGAAUUCUUUUCUUGCAGACCCAUACAUAAAUGUAGAUUCGAUACAUUUACGCAGUCCACCCGCACCAAAAGAUUGCAAAAAGUUCACAAUAUUUUUAAAUGUAGAUUCGAUACUUUAAUUGAUUGCUAUGAAAACCUUCUCUGGUGAGGCAUUAGUGGUCUUCAGCUCUUCACCUUGGCAUUGGUGGGUGAAGUCACACCACAUCCCCUACCCUCGGGUUUAGUAGAGUCUCCCGACCACAAAGGUUGGGCAGCGCAAGCAAACCAGAAAAAUUAUAGUUUUGGGAGCUUCUAAUUUAUUUUAUUUUUUUACACUAAACAAACACAGUUGAUUUAAGUAGAAAUCAAUUUAGUCCUUUAGCCAAGCUUGAUGGUAAAGUGGGGCCAAUCACACAGUCCAUAUCCACCCCUUGGAAUCUCCAUAACCCCCAAAAAAGUUUCAAAAAAAAAUUUUUACAAAUAAUUUGAAAUGUUUGAUAAUGAAUGUACACAAAUUAUAGCUCUGGGAGCUUCUAAUUUUUACACUCUAUAGCAACCAAAAAAAAAAAAACCCAGUUAAUUUAAGUAGAACUCAAUGAAGUGCUUUAUUUCACUAAGCCAAGCUUGACGGUGAAGAACUGAUCAACUAACAUUUCUUUUGCAGGUUCUGAAAGAAAAAGUAGAGAGGAAAAAGAAAACGUUGCUUUUCUGCUUUUAUUAUUAUUUGAACCAAUUAAACCGGGGUUGCAUAAGCGCUUCUAUUAUAAAAAUGUUGAAAUCUUCAUAAGAAAUCCAAGUGCCUCCUGGUAAAACAAUUGGGAGUGCUAGCUUAUUUAGAAAGCGCUUCUAAAGGUUUAAGCCAAAUACUGUCAUAAGCGCUUUUGGUUGUUAAAAAAGCACUUUGAGCUAUUCUAGAAGCAUUCACAAACAUGCCCUGGCUAUCUAUGGACUUCUCCUUUUUAUACCCUUGGGAGAGCUACGAACCCACUAAUUUAUAAUAAGUAAAUUUAGGUUUUACCCAUAAAAAAACUUUCACUUUUGGAAAAAGCCAAAGCUUUUUCAAAAAAGACAGAAAAACCUCUCAACUUUCAAACCAAAGACAUGCAAAUGUAAAGGAUUCCUUAGGAAAUCAAAAAAAAAAAUAAGGGCAAUUUUGUCUAUUUUGGCUUCUUUUAAAAAUUUUCUCUCUCCUUUGGGCUUUUCCAAAGUCUCCCCUAAUUAAUACAACAUGCCAAGCCUUAGAAAGGUAAAGCCAGGUUAAGCAUAACAUGAACAGUGAAAACCAGGUUUCACUACAUAUGGAUGUCAUUGCAGCUGUUGUUCUUCUCAUACUCACUAUCAUGCUGUCUGCCUGCUCUGUUGUCUCUGUUACUUAACUUAAUGUUAAAGUAUUUUAGAGAUCGAUUCAACCAAUGUUGUGCCUAUUGUUUUCUUAUAGUUCGUUUGUGUGAGUGGUGGUGGUAUUCAAAUUAUUUGUUUGAUGUAAGACUAAAUAUAUAAUUUUUAACAAAUGUAUCAGGGGUAAUUCCCUUCGCACUGAGAGUUUGAAUAGCUUAUUUAUAUACAAACAGAAGAACCUCCACUUCCCUAGUUUAUUUCUUUUGACUCUGUGGACCAUUCCUCGAAAGAUGAUUCUCGAUCCUGUUCGUAAAAAAAUUUCUAUUUUUAGUUUAAAUUUUUUUUAUAGGUUUACCAUAAUCUUUUUUAAAUUUAUUACUUAAAUAGUGGUAGUGGACAUUGAACAACCGGGAGCAAUUUACUUAUGAUACUUAGUUGACAUUCAUAAAAAGUAUCUAAUGAAUUAUGAGUUCAAUACAUCUAAAUUUUAAAUCAGUAAAAUAUUUAAAUAUUCACUAAAGAAAUAAUAAUUAAAACAUAAUUACUAAUUAAAGUAAUUAAAAACGGCUAAGGUAUUACUUAUUAAAUUAAAGAAGUUGGCCAAAAAACAAAAGUAAAGGAACAUAUUUUAUAUUUUUAAAAUUUAAAGAUAAAAAUAAAAUAAAAUAAACCAAAACAACCUCUCUCGACAAAAUUUCGUCGGCACAAGUUUAUACCGGCAAUAUUUGCCGAAUUAGACCUCUCUCGACGAAACUCACCUCUGCUGACGAAAUUGCGUUGGGAGAAAUCUAAUUAGGUAAAAAGUUGCAUGCAUAUACCCGUGCCAACUAAGUGUAACAUCCCACAUCGACCAACGGAAAGGGGGUGAUGUGCCUUAUAUGUACAUGCCCGUCUCUAUCUAGCACGAGGCCUUUUGGGAGCUCACUGGGUUCGAAGUCAUGGGAACUCCGAAGUUAAGCGAGUUGGGGCUAGAGCAAUCCCAAGAUGGGUGACCCACUUGGAAGUUGCUCGUGAGUUCCCAGAAACAAAACCGUGAGGGCGGAGGCCUAAAGCUGACAAUAUCGUGCUACGGCGGAGCCGAUCCCAGAAUGUGACAAUAUCGUGCUUAUCACUGGUGGAAGACAGUCCGCAGACGGUAUGCUAACCCUGUUCCCUUACUUGGGAAGAGUUUCAGAGGGUAUUCUUCGAUCAGUUCUACCCGCAUUCUUACAAGAAUGUGAAGAAGUCUGAGUUCUUGCAUUUGAAACAGGGACAGAUGUUAGCACUGGAAUAUAAGCAUAAAUUAGGAUUUCUCUAGCCCAAACUCGCUUAACUUUAGAGUUUCCAUGACUCUGAAGCUAGUGAGCUUCCAAAAGGUCUCAUGCUAGAUGGAGGCGGCAUGUACGUAUAAAGCAUAUCACUCUAUCUCCGUUGGUUGAUGUGGGAUGUUACACUUCACCCCCGUUAGUGGCUCGACGUCCUCUUCAGCACACUCGCACCACACAGCAGAGCAGCUCUAAUACCAAAUUGUCACAUCCCGGGAUCGGCUAUGCCGUAGCACGAUAUUAUCCGUUUUGGGCCCCUCCUCUCUGCCCUCACGGCUUUAUUUCUGGGAACUCACGAGCAACUUCCUAGUGGGUCACCCAUCCUAGGAUUGCUCUAGCCCCAACUCGCUUAACUUCGGAGUUCCCAUGACUCCGAAUCCAGUGAGCUCUCAAAAGGCCUUGUGCAAGAUGGGGCCGGGCAUAUACAUAUAAAGCACAUCACCCCCUCUCUAUUGAUCGAUGUGGGAUGUUACAAUAUGUCACAAUUAUAAAUAGGAACCCAAGAAGAACAUAUAUCAUAUAAACUAUUCAACCAGUCAUCAUUAGCCAAUUCACAUUCUUUCAUCAAUUCCUUCCACUUUUCUUCAAAUUCCUCUAUCUUGUAUGUUGACAGAAUACAUUUCUUCAUCUGAAUUUUGAAUUUGGACUUCGUGAAGUACACAUGUGACAAUUUUUCUACAAACUUCUUCUUAAUAUGCCAGAGGCAUAACCGAUGGCGAGUGUUAGGAAAAAUCUUGACAAUUGCUCCUUUCGUUGCCAAGUCUUGGUCAGUAAUAAUGGAAACUAGAUGACGUCCUCCCAUUGCUUCAAGCCAUGUCUCAAACAACCACAAAAUGUCACUUCUGUCUCAUCUUGUAAAAGUGCACAUCCAAAUUGUAUUGAUUGCAAAUGGUGGUUUACUCCUGUGAAUGGUGCAAAUGGCAUAUCAUACUUGUUUGUCCUAUAGGUUGUGUCAAAUGUGACUACAUCUCCAAAAAGUGGUACGCCAUGCAUGAUCAAGCAUCCACCCAAAAGAAAUUAGCUGCCCUUCCGUUUUCAUCACAUUGAAUGGCAUAAAAAAAAAAUUGAGGAUUCUUAGCUUGCUUCUUCCUAAAGUAAGUAAGGACUGGUUGUGCAUCACCUCCAUCCAGUUGUCUAUGCCGGACAUUUCUCAAGUGGUUAUAACAAUCUCUAUUGUUAAAACCAAUAUGCAAUUGGCAAAUUUUCUUCAUGAAAUGUUUCAGUCAGAAUUUUAGCUGUUUUCGGCAUAACCCUAUUUGACUUCAUUUUUAUUCUUCUUUCCGGUGUAACUAGCUUGUGAUUGUGAGAGUCUUGGAAACUUGAAACUUUCCAUUUGUUUGACCAUCUAUCAAGCUUAAUUCUCAUACUUGCUUUGCAUCCACAUUUCACCGUAUAACAAUUUUUACCCGUUCUCUUCAUAUUCUCAAUCUCACUUAUGUCUCUCUCAUCAUUCUCUUCUGAAGCCUUCUGUGAUGUAUUUUUGGGCACAUAUUUUCCUUCAUGUGCACAAACAAAUUAUCUACUCGUUACCUCAUCUAAACGCCUUCUUGUCUUGGAGGAAGAUCAAGUUCUAAUCCAGAAUCCCUCUUGCCGGCCAUACUCUUCAUAAUAGUUUCUUGCUUCUUCCAUUCUGUCAAAUACCAUCCCUGUAUAUGGUGCUUUUAAUUGUGUCACUUUCUUUUUUGGAGUACUUGUUUCACCAUUCUCCACUUGAAUUAUCUCCUCUACCUAUUGAACAUAUUUAUCAUUCUUAACGAUGCAACUUAGAAAAAUAUUGUACAUAUGUUAAUAAGAUAUAUAUGAAAAUGAAGAAUAUGAUUAUCUCUGCAUCAAAAUAUUAAUGCAAGAUGAAAUAUAAUUGAAUAAACUUUCAUAUUGAUUUUAAAAUUUAAUUCUUAUGUUAAAAGACAAUCAUUAAUGGCACUACGAAUUAUUUUUUAACAUAAGAAUUCUUAAUGGCCCAAUAAUUCAGCAAUCCUAACAUCGUAUAAACUUUCAUAUAACAUCGUAUUUAUAAAUAUAUAAAAAAAAUUGCAAUCCUAAUUGUCUACAGGAAGAGCUACAACAAAGAUAAAAAAAUCUCAGAUGAAAGUAACAUACCAAAGAUAUGCACUAAGAGUUGGAGGAAAUAUCUUGUGUGCGCUCCAACAUUUUGAUGAGGCAAUAUUGUAUUCAGAUAUGAGAAAUUGCUUUGACAUAAAAGAACUAUACUGAAGAUGAAUUCAUGGUUGCGUAUAUGCUGUGCAUGAAGAAGAAUAAACUGAAAAGAGUCCUUAUUAGACCUUAAUAAAUAUUUGAGAUUAAAGAGGAGAGAGAGAGAGAGAGAGAGGCGUGCGAAUGUGAUUGUGGUUUGGGUAUUUAGUUUUUGGUGAAAUUUUUUAUUUAUUAGAUCCUAAUAAAUAUUUGAGAUUAAAGAAGCAGGAGAGAUCCUAAUAAAUAUAUUUGUUUGAUGUAAGACCAAAUAUAUAAUUUUUAACAAAUGUAUCAGGGGUAACUCCCUUCGCACUGAGAGUUUGAAUCGCUCAUUUAUAUACAAACAAAAGAACCUCCACUUCCCUAGUUUAUUUAUUUUGGCUCUGUGGAGCGUACUUCUAAGUAAUUUUCAUAGGCACAAGCCAUCACUCUUUUUUUUUUUUUUUUUUUAAAUCAGUAAAAUAUUUAAAUAUUCACUAAAGAAAUAAGGACAAGGACACUGUUACUGUGCUGCUGUUACUGUUACUGUGCUGCUGCUGGAAAAAGGACAAGGACUUCACAUGUUGCUUUCGUCUUUUGCGGAGGAGAGAGACCUAGGACUUGCAUGUCUUAGAUAUUUAAGAUAAGGGGCUUUUGUGCCAUUUUGAAAUUACUUUGGGUGUUUUUGAAAGCGGCUUGUUUCUUUUGGGUUUCUCACUAAAUUUCACUUUAGAGGGAAUAAGGGAAAUAAUAAUAAUAAUAGUACAGACCUUAUUAGCAACAGGGUUACAAACUUCUUCUACAACACACACCAACAUGAAUCUAGCCCAGAUCCACUCUUUUACAUACUUGAAAACAAAACAAAAAACAAGAUAGGGAGAAAAUGGCUACAGAGAGACUUACUGCUAAUACUUGAUCAAUAACAGAGAUAAUAGAGCACACUGUUUGUAUGACAGUGAGUAUCAGAAGAAUAACAGCUGCAAAGAGAGAAAUAGCUGCCCAAGGUGUGUUGAAAUACUUUUGUCUCAAAUUUGCCUUCCAUCUGUUCGUGGUCUUCUUGCAGUACUCGUUUAGUUUGCCAGCAAGAUCACCAAAAUAGUAGUUUUCGUGGUUCGGAGCAACUUUACUGCAAAGCUUGUUAAUCAUAAUGGAAACCUUAUUGUUGUCACCUAGCGUGUUUACAACAAUUCUAUUCUCAACAAGCAACUCUACAUCCUUUGGAGUGUUUACAAAUUUAUCCAGGAUGAAAACAUAAUCGCUUAUGUAUUUAUCCACGCAAUGGCAUUGUUCAAAGGCAAUGAGAUUUCUAUGUGUAAGCUCUGUGUAAUCAUGUAUUUCAAUUUUUUGGAAUUUCCAAGGUGUUUUUCUUGAACUGUAUAUCGAAUAAGUUCUUGCUUGAUCCCACGUUAAACUUAACUCCGGCCUGGUGUAGUUUUGUCAUGCUGGGUGUACCUUGGAGCCCUCCAUUUUUCUUUUCUUUUGGCAGAUGUAAAGUUCUAAUAAAAUCAACAAAAUGUAAAGGUUUUUUAGGAUCAGGAGGCAUAAAAGACUUACGGAAGGCUGGUGAGUUCUCCAAGUUUUCUAAACGCAGUGCCUGUUGGAAGAACCUGUAAGAGAGUUCAAUUAUUGAAGGCUCCCCAGUCUGAGCACCUGUGAGAUUGUAAAGAUCCUCGAGAAUGAAAAAUGGCAGCUGAUUUUCGAGCAUAAGCAUGUCAGGCAAUAUAUUUUGUAGCACCAUGGUUUUUUAAAUAUCCAAGCAUUAUCAUCCUGCAAUUUUUCUUCCUGAAAUUUUUCUUCGGAUUUAUUCCUCAACAAUAGCUCAAUGACAAAGGCGGCAUCAACUAGAAUGAUAUUCACAAAAGCAGCAAUGUUAAACUUCUUAGUGUCUUCAUAAUAAUGACGGAGAUCACCUUCUCUCUCCUUUAUUUUCUCUAAAUAAUCCUUCAAUCCUACUACUUUAGUCCGAUCAAGAAAACAUUUUAGGUACCUGAGUUUGUGAUCUUCCAUGGCUUCUAAGUUUUUGCUGCCAUGGUGAAGUGGGCCUAUUUAACUACUUGUGGUGUGUAGGCCUUUAGUUUUACGUUCUGUAGUCGCUCAGGCACCCUGUAGAUACAGCAGGCAGGGGACAGGGCACGCAAGUUUGUCAACUGAUUUUCCAUGGAAGUUGCUUGGUUUUCUAUGUCAAAAGAAGCUUCAUUGCUGCUUUCUUCCACUUUCUUCCUCCCCAUUAUGUGUUGUUCUGAUUGUAAGCGACGAGGAUGGUGAUGAUUCUAGACACCAUAAUCAACAAAUGUUUCAAUCAUAAUUGACAUUUCAAGAUGCUCCGACAAAAAAUUAGAAAACAUUCAUCACAAAAUGCGAACUCAUACAAUAGAUGGGAUGAGAAGAUCCACACAUUGCAAUCAUACAAUCCAAUUGCACAGGGAUUAGUCCCUAUUCUCCUCUCUCUCUCUCUCUCUCUCUCUCUCUCUCUCUCUCUCUCUCUCUCUCUCUCUCUCUCUCUCUCUCAAAAAGAUUUUCAUAUCGAUAACAUCUUAUUGCAAGGGAAUUGUACACCAAGUAGUGAAGAACAGAAAUUCAUAUUCUUUCAAUCAAAAUGUACAAAUUUCGAAAAUGUUUGUUUGUUUUAUUUUUUGGGGAAAAAAAUCUGUGCAUGUUAUAUGUAGACCUAAGGUGAAAACAGACCAGAUUUUUACGCCAUUUUUCAUGAGGUUUAAGUUUGUGAUGUAUAUAUUUAUCUCAAGUGUAACAUCUCACAUCGAUCAAUGGAGAGGAGGUGAUGUGUCUUAUAUGUAUAUGCUCGCCUCCAUCUAGUACUGGGCUUUUGGGAGCUCACUAGCUUCGGAGUCAUGGGAACUCCGAAGUUAAGCGAGUUGGCGCUAAAGCAAUCCUAGGAUAGGUGACUCAUUAGGAAGUUGCUCGUGAGUUCUCAAAAACAAAACUGUGAGGGCAGAGAAGGGGGCUCAAAGCAGCCAAUAUUGUGCUACGGCGGAGCCGAUCCUGGGAUGUGACAAUUUGGUAUCAGAGCCACACUGCCAUGUGGUGCCAGUAUGCCGACAAAGACGUCGGGCCCUUGAGAGGGGUGGAUUGUAACAUCUCACAUCGACCAACAAAGAGGGGGUGAUGUGCCUUAUAUUUAUAUGCCCGCCUCCAUCUAGCACGAGGCCUUUUAGGAGCUCACUGGCUUCAGAGUCAUAGGACCACCAUCCCAAGUUCAAUAUACAACCCAACAACCAUCUUAGCCAUCUUCUCAUUGAUCUUCCACCCAGCAUAUAACACUAUUGUUGGAGCAUGAAAUUUCAGAUCCUCCAACAAGUAAUUUUUUAUUUCCAUGUUGAGAAGCCGAACACCAUCUUCGAUUAUCACCAUUGAGUGAGGAGGGGGGUACCUGCAAGAAAACACUCCGACCCUCAAGUCAGUGUUCGUUCAUGAAUACCGCAAUAGAAUCAAUCGUAACUCCCUCCCCCUAUGCUGGGGGAUUAGUUAGCCUUUUGUAGCCAUUGAACCCUUGGACUCUAAGUCCCAUAUCCUUAUUUAUCUCCAUGCUCAAUGGUAGUGGAUAUCAUGUUAUUUGAUUCACUCCACUCCAUAAAUUUAGGGUUCAUGGGAAGUGGCUUGUUAUGUGGGCCUUAAUUUUUGCUCCCAUGUCUGCCCCCUUUUCUCUCGCUGGACACGUGUCUCGGGUGUAUAGAGAGAAAAUAUUCUUUGUGGGAAUUCAUUAUGUGUAGAAUUUUAUGUGGAGACUUGACUUAUAUUAUCUUUGAUCACGAAUUCGGCCUUUAGCCAUGAGUAUGGUCUUCGACCAUGAAUAUGAGCUUCGAUCACGAGUUCGAGUUUGGGCUUCGGCCGUAUAGUCUUCAACUAUGUAUUUAACUUUCAGUCACGACUAUGGCUUUCAGCCACAUGAGCUUGAAUUUCUUUCACAAUCGUGGUCUUCAACCACUUGAAUUUGACUUUCAGUCACAAGCAUGAGUUGAGUAUUGGCAUGCCCCCCAUUGGUUUAGAAUGCAUGUGUUUACUAACUAGACAUUGUGGCUCUUGUUUAUCCUCUGUUUAUGUUGAUUUUGUCGUUAGUUGGGCUUCAUAAAUUGCCACCAUAUAGAAAUAGGCUUAUGGCUUAUCUUGAGUGGUGCAGUAGCUGCCUCCACCACGCAAAUGUAGUCAAGAGGUUAACAAGCUGCCAAAUUCUAACCACAAGAUAAUAAUGUUAAUUUCGUCAACAAAAAUCAGAAUACGCAGGCUUAGUAGUAUCUAGAUAUUGAGCAGCAUAUGACUACAUUCAAAUUCAGGCAUUUUAGAGAGCCAUACAUGCAACUGUUCUCAUCUCCCAAAUGCAAGAGAAAUAAGUAAAAUACCUUGGCAUGUGUCAGAUGUAUAUAUAAUCAAUUUAAAAGCUUCUGAUCAUACAUCCUUGAGGCAUGAAUAUAUGCAUUGAUAAAAGAUGUAAGGAUGUUCCAUGCUAUAAUUCGUGGAUCCUGAAAGUGACAAUAGAAAACUUAUCUGUUUGCAGUUCGGCUCGUGCCCCCAUAGAAAUUGGUUUUUUGCCCAAUUCCAAAUUCAUAAUUCAGUGUUAUGACUUCUUCAACUACAUAACAUGACUGCGUACUUGAUGCUGCUAGGUCACGAAACUACCAAAAGCAUGGGGUAGAAAUUCUUCUCUAUUUGGGGCAAAAAUUCAUGCCCCCAUUCGUGCCCCUAAUUCAACCGUUUUGUCACAAACGGUUGCAUACAUCCCAAUAAAAAUUGGAUACUAACCUCUGAAAAUUGAAGGCUCUUUUCACGAAAAUUCUUUUGUGAGAUUUUGGAGCCAUGCGUGAUUGGUAUAGUCCAAUUCAUAUUGUUUUUAUGGCAAGAAGAUGCACUGUGAUAAAAAUUUAUAGUCGUGAAAUGAUAAAAGAGAGUAUAGAAUUCUUCUCUGUUGGGGGAUUUAAUUCAUGCCCCCAUUGUAGCUCCUAAGGCAAGAGUGUAUCCAUGGCUUCUAAUUAUGACUUUUUGUACGGUUUCCACAGACGGCGCCAACUGUUGGAGCAUGAAAUUUCAGAUCCUCCAACAAGUAAUUUUUUAUUUCCAUGUUGAGAAGCCGAACACCAUCUUCAAUUAUCACCAUUGAGUGAGGAGGGGGGUACCUGCAAGAAAACACUCUGAUGCUCAAGUCAGUGUUCGUUCAUGAAUACCGCAAUAGAAUCAAUUGUAACUCCCUCCCCCUAUGCUGGGGGAUUAGUUAGCCUUUUAUAGCCGUUGAACCCUUGGACUCCAAGUCCCAUAUCCUUAUUUAUCUCCAUGCUCAAUGGUAGUGGAUAUCAUGUUAUUUGAUUCACUCCACUCCAUAAAUUUAGGGUUCAAGGGAAGUGGCUUGUUAUGUGGGCCUUAAUUUUUGCUCCCACAACUAUCUUCAUAUACUCUUUAGCUUAAUCUCUCUGUUGCUUUUGUCUUUUAUUUUUUUCAAAUUAAAUUUUUUAGUUUAUAUUUUUUUUUAUUGGUGUAGAUUCAAUGACAAAGAACAUCGAACUCGUCGCAACAUCUUGCCCUAGAUCCGAACUCUACCACCAUCACAACCCUCCCUCUCUUGAUCUCCGACCAACCUUAACACCCAACUUCAAAUCUAUGUUGUUUGAAACUCAGCCCCCUUCCCCAACCCCCCCCCCCCCCNNNNNNNNNNNNNNNNNNNNNNNNNNNNNNNNNNNNNNNNNNNNNNNNNNNNNNNNNNNNNNNNNNNNNNNNNNNNNNNNNNNNNNNNNNNNNNNNNNNNUGUCAAUAAGAUAAGAUCUCAUUGCAAGUGACUUGUAGAUGAAGUGGUAAAGAACAAAAAGUCAUAUUCUUCCAAUCAAAAGGUAUCAAGUCAAACAAAAUUUCUAGUUAGUUUGCUUUAUGAUAGUUGUUUUUUGAAGGGGUCCUUAGAUCCAAUCUCAAAAAGUUUGACUUUUAUUAUGUUUAACUCUGGUUUUUGCAAUUUUUUUUUAUCUCUACCCACUAACUUUUAUCUCUCAUUUUUAUUACCCAUUUUACCCUUUAAAAUAAAUAUGGCAAUAAACUAAAAAUUCUGAUUUAAUGCAUGUUUUACUCAUAAGAGAACUAAAACCUAAAAAUUAUGUACUCUAACACAAAAAAUAAAAACUAAAAAUAAAAAUUGAAGUGGUUAUCAAACAGAUCCUUAUAUUACAAAGAAAAUAUCAAAGAUUGAACUCGUCAUAAGAGAACACAGAAAAACCUCACUGCUUGCAACACCACCACUACACGAACAACUGCUAAUUUGACAGGACCCGCCCCAAAUUUUCUGAAAUUCGAGACGAAUCCUGUGGAAUUCCCGACAUAAUCCUGAUGUCGGGCCCACUUCUAAAACUAUAUCCUUUUUCCCAAAAAAGAAUAAGGGCGCGAGACUUUCUACCGAAAUUUCGGCAGAGUCUCUCCUACAAAUUGGACAUUUCCCAAAAUUUUAACCUGCAUAAAACACAAUUUAUAUUUCCAAUUGGCAACAUGCACAAGAUAAUUUCAUGCAAUUCACAUAAACGGCAUUCGGCCGUCCAAUAAUUAUCAACAAACUACCAAGCACGCUAUCAACUCUAUUCAUACCUUAAACAAGGCAAACAAUAAAUUCAAUUAUGAAUACUAAAUACAACAUGCAUCAUCUAACUUUUCCAAUCCCAAUAUACGAGGUUUUAACCUCCUAACACAAUCACAUCUAUGUCCGCGGCUGCACCUAAUAACCUUAGGCUGCCUACGUACCCUCACUGAGGGAUCAAGCCACGCGUAGUUCUUCCUACUAAAACCCGAUUUCAAACACAUACAAUACCUUUAUUCAUCUCUCUGUUAUUCACAUAAUCUCCUCAUACGCCGGUACUACCAACGCCACGUAUGGAGUCUGUCAACACGCCAGAUAACCUACGCCACGUGCGACCUCAACAUACUAUCACAAUAUCUCCACAUACGUCGGUACAACCAACUCCACGUAUGGGGUAUGUCAACACUCCGGAUAACCUACGCCACGUGCGACCUCACUAUAUUAUCACAUAAUCUCCCAUACGCCGGUACAACCAACCCCACGUAUGGGGUCUGUCAAGACGCCGGAUAACCUACUCCACAUGCGACCUCAACAUAUUGUCACAUCAUCUCCCCAUACGCCGGUACUACCAACGCCACGUAUGGGGUGUGUCCGCACGCCGGAUAACCUACGCCACGUGGGACCUAACAAAUACAUGGUGGUACUUAUAAUGUAACCAAAAUUCGGGGAGGUACCUAGGGUAGUGUGUAUAGCACCUCAAACUGACAUUCUAGACUCUUUUUCAUACAUUUAUACCUAUAUUUAAAUAUAUAAGUUACUCUAACAUUGUAUAAACCUCAACAUCAUCCCAAGUACUCCACACAUCACCAAUACUUUACCAAAAAUGCUAACUUAACUAUUAAUUAUUUAUAAAAAAAAAAAGGUUUUCAAAAAAUCAUUAAAUUCAUAUGCCUAACAAUACCAUCACAAAGCCAUGCUAUUCAUUUAAAAAUAAGGACCAAGAGUUUCCUACGAUAAUAAUAAACACUCUAAAAUCUCAGCCCAGUCAACAUGGCUCAACAACGCUCAAGACCUGUCAUUAGGGUCAUUUUAAUCCUUCUAGGAAGGUAAAACUACCUCGGAAGACUCAAGGUCAACCAAGGGUCAAACUACCCACACUUGGUCAAACGGGCCCACGGGGCCCACGACCUCCAAAUUCUGAUCCGAAGGUUCCUAUGGGUUCUACAAGGUAUAGGACACUCGUCCUGCAAGUUUAGUCCAGAUCGGACGGUCAGAUCGCUCACGAUCGCACGAUCUGACGGUUAAUAUAAACAUAAACUUUAAAUUAUUAAAUCGGACAUCCGGGGCUCCAAUUUACGAUCCUUGAAUUCCUACACAAUUCUAGAAAUACCUAGAUUAACAUAUAUUAAAUUCAAGACCAUCCAACGGUCCCAACCUAUCAUACCCAGAUAACGCGCAAUAAGCGAUAUCCGUUCGAGCCUCAAACGGCAUCCAAAUUGACAUAUGAGCACACCUACGCACUCGUGAGAACCAGGAGUGCCCUUUUUCUACAGUGCCCACGUGCCUCCGCACGUGCCGGCAGCGCGUGGGUGCCCAAAGCGAUUACGCAUCGUCGGAAAAUCUCAAAAUCACGGCUCCAAACUCCUACCCUAGGUAUAACACCAUAUUUGGAGCCACUUUUGUUCUUGGACCUACCCCAAAAACUGACCGGAGGUGGCAUGAAUCGCAAUCCUAAAAUCGGCCGAAUUUAAAUUCGUAAAUCAAAUUUCCUACGCUAGGAAUCGAUCGAAUCCUACCCAACAGGCAGCUAGAGCACAUUAAAAAGAUGAGAAAGCAUACCAAGAUCGAGGAAAAUGGUGGCCGGAGGCAUUCUAACGAGCUCCUUGAAUUUUGGGUUAAAACUGGUCGGAUUUUUACAUUUUUCGGCGAUCACAGGUGGUUCCAGCAGCUGAGAUUGGUCAGGAUGGGAAGAGGGAGAUGGCCCAGUUCUUUUGGGACUGAUGCCACCCCACGCAGUGGCCGGAUGCGACAGUGGUGGCCCAAAAACCACCGCGGUGAACAGUAACAAGAGGGGCUGUUUCUGCGCGCAGGGAGAUGAGGAAGAAGAAGAAAAAUAAAAAGAAAAAGGAAAUUUAAAACUGCCCGGUUACUAUAGCACGGCACUGUUUGCUACAGUACAAAAUUUUAAAAUUUCCUCCUUCGUUACAACUCGGAAUUGGGCGUGCCACAUGUCUACAAACUCAUAUCGACGAGCUCUAAUGGUGCUACUUAAUUCUCCAAAAUCUUUCCGAAUCAAAAAAUGACCAAAAUACCCUUACCCAAAGGGUAUAUUCCUAAAUUCAUAUUUAAAUUAAUUUAAUAAUUUAAUUGAGUAAACAAAUUAGGAUCGGGGUGUUACAUAAUUAAAAUGAGUCACAUGUGGUACUUAACUCUAAAAACUUAUUUAGAUUAUAUAUCCAUACUUAUUUAAAUGAGGUAAAUAGUACGUUUACAGAGUUUAAGUGUAAUAAAUGAAUAAAAACAUGCCCAGAGGAUUGAUAAGUGAUAUCAAUUCUUGAAUAUACAGAACGUAAAAUAAAAGAACACGUAGAAAAUUAUUUUAUGUGGUAAAACCCCAUCUCUAGGGAACAUCCACGGGGCUUUUUAGUCCAAAACAAAUCCAUUAUAGAACGAGGAUUAUAAGAAGUACUCACACACUUAUCCUAGACACAUUCUAGAUAAUGUUUAUUGACUUCUUCGUAACUCAACUUCUGUCACGAGAUGAUCUUUCGACACUCCUUAUGUUGAACGCAAUACUGGUCACGAUUUCUUCAAGCUCCUAAUAGAGUUCUUCCAACUCUCCUUGUAUUGAAUCUGACACUAGUCACGAUCGAUUCAAGCUCAUCGUAAAAAAACCGCCACAACGGUCUUGGUGCCCCCAACCGUACGAGUCACUGAACAUGUAAAUGAAUACAAUAUGAAUGAUAAAAGUGUUUGAUAAAUCACCAAGUUAUGGAACACUUGAUGAUUUAUCUUAAAUAAAAACUCAGCUUUCCAAAGUUUAUGAAUUGAAAAUAUGAUCGUUAAAGCUCUCUAAACAAAGAAGAUGAAGGUCUUAUUCUAUAGAAUUUUUCUUUACAAGAAAGAAAACACGUUGAAAACCAAAUCUUCAAUUUCCAAGGCUUGACAGAAAAUCACAAAAGUAUCUUUCCUAUUCUAGAGAUUGGUCACAUGUAGUCCAACCAAUAGGAAAUGAGAUAUUUAAGAAAGCAAGAUUUUGAUCAAUAUCAAUAUCAAAUGAAUUCUUAUACGCCUAGUCAACUAUUAAGGGUAUCUUGACUCCUUGAUAUUGUGAUAUGAUUGAAACAUGAUUUCCAUGUUAGAAAAUUAAGGGGAUGUUAAAACAUGAAAGUAUUAGGAGAAUCAAAUUGAUUUGGACCAAAAUUGCCUAAAAAGAAAACACUCCUAAAUAAACUUCAAUUCACUUUUAAAAACAGUAAAACGUGAUUAAAUCGUUGUUUAAAACAAUUCCCUAAUAGACAUGCAUGAUAAUGACAUCACUUACUCCUAAAUCAAAUUGUCACGUCCUGGACUCGGGGGUUGGUGGAAACCCCGCGCCCGGUGCGUGAGAAAAUAAAAAGUAAAAUAAAAUAAAAAGAAAGCCGAAAUAAGGGUUUAAAAUAAACUUCUCUUAUAAAAAUAACUCCAAAAUCUUACAACUUUACAAGAAAUAAAUAAAGCUCUAUCAUUCUUAUCUAAUUCAGCCUCAACUGGUUUAGUCCUUGUCUUGCCCACUAAUUCAUCUGAAAAAUUAAACAGGGUGAGGGAUGAGCAAGUAAGGACAUGAGACCUUGCCACAGUAGAUUGAUAUAACUAAAUAUUAUCAUAAACAUAUAAAUAUAUAAGUAUUAUUAUAAUAGGAUUCAUAAUAAUUAAUAUAAAAGUAUAACAACAAUAUUGACAUAUACGUACCAAGAUAAUUACAUAUAUAAAUAUAACCAAUAUAUAUUUAUAUAUAUUUUAAAAUACGGGUCUUUACGCAAAUGCCUUUCGCGGGUCAAGCCACAAGUCUAUGUUUUGGAGAUUGCUGAGCUGCAUCAAUCCUGCCAAUGUCAAUUCUGCCCCUAGGCUCUCUCAAAGCAAGUUUAAAACCUAUGCUAACAUAUACUAGAGUUUAUGCUGUAUCUAGAAAAUGCCAACACUAAUUUCGUAACACGUAGAAAUUGUUAGAGAUGGAAGUUUUUAUCAUUUUUUCUUCCAGUCUCUCCACCACUCACUAAUACAGAUUACUCAUGUGAUGAGUUUACAAACCUAUUUCUCUACUCUCGCAAAGACUAUACUUCUUCUCAAAAGACUAGAUCACUUUACCUAUAUCUCUGUGAAAUGUAAAAAGUUGAAACUUUAAUGUCAAACCUCGACAAAGUGUUCUACUUUACAAACUUCUUGUAUCUACCAAUUUCUACUAAAAUUAAUUUCUCUACGGUGCUCAGAUUCAUCAUAUGUGUGUCCUUAAUUUUAGUUGAAAUUGGAAGUUUCCAUCAUUUUUGCUUUAAGUCACUCUUCUGAAGGAAGUUUAGGUUCCACCCCAUAAUUCAAAAUGUCAGGUUGACUUAAACAAUGUAAUUAUGUAGGAGUACUAUGACCUUUUAUAGCAUUUUUAGUUUGAAUUUGGGUUUUAUACAUAGAUUUCGAAAUUAAUAGGUUGAUGUCUAGGAAAUAGAAAUUGUAAGGGCCUAUAUUAGACUAGCCCUCUUAAAAAAAAUAUUGAUUAAUGAAUAUUUGUUCUUCUUAUUGUUUUGAAGUAGUGGUGGGAGGCAGACCAACAAAAAAAAUAUAGUGAAGGCUUAUAAGAGCAUUUACAAUCAUGCUCCCUAUUUUUCAGUUAAAAUUUAGCUGAAAAUAGAAAAAAGUUAUUAUAGGAGCUCUUUAUAAAAUUUGAACUCCAAUCAUACUCCCUAGUUUAGGGAGUCAUAAAUACUAUAGUUAUUUUUUAAUUCAAUUUGAUUUUGGUUAAUCUCUAUAAAUAAAUGAAAAUAUGAUAAAAUAGUUAGCAUUAAUUAAAAGUUUAAACUAUGCAUAAAACAAAGAAACAUUAAAUUAUAGAGAGCCACUAUAAGUCAUUUCUCUCUCCUCAGAUUUAUGAGCUCCUAGAGGUCUCCUUAUUUUAGGAGGUGGAUAAGGAGUGUGAUUGGAGUUGUAUUUCUUCAAUUUCCUCCCUAAAAUUUGUCUAAGGAUGUGGUUUAUGGAGCCCAUUGUGAAUGCUCUAACUCUGGUAAAACAUGAGUGACAUGAACAACAUAUGUUACGUCGUAGUGAAGAUUUUUGGGUUUCUAUAAUUGGUUAAGUAGCAUCCACAAUGAGUUUCCUAAAUCAUCUCCUUAGACCAAUUUUUAGGGGAGGGAAUUGGGAAAAAGUACAACUCCCACCCAUGCUCCCUAUCCACCAACUAAAAUAGGGAGACCUCUAGGAGCUCCUAAAUCUGAUGAGAGAGAAAAGACUCUUAGUGACUCUCUAUAAUUUAAAAUUACUUUAUUUUAUGCAUAUUUUGAACUUUUAAUUAAAUCAAAUUAUUAUUUUUAUAUUAUUUUGUAUACAAAUAGACUAAUUAUAUUAAAUUAAAAAAUAAUUAAAGUAUUUAUGACUCUUUAAAUUAGAGAGCAUAAUUGUAGAUCAUCUUAUAUACCUUAAUUUGAAGAUUCUUUAUUUGGGUUUCUUUCAACACUUAUCACCUUAGCCACACCACCUACACCAAAUUGACGUCUGCAAGCUUUCGUAAUCUAACAAGGAAGGGGAGGCUGCGCAAUACUUAUCACCUUAGCCACACCAACACCACAAGACCAAUAUGUGUAGUCCAGGAGGCUUUCCCAUUUUAAUAUAUAUUAUCAAAUAAAAUAAAAAUCAAUCUAUUAUCAUAUAUAUUAUAAAAUAAAGAUUAUUGCUCCAUCCUCCAUGCACUUGCAUGCCCUCUUACAAAGUGUGAAGUAGAUUUUGUGUGCUCCAAGUCAUUGACUAGAGCUAUAACAUGGUUAGCUGGAUUUAUAAGAUCUUUUUUUUUUUGGGAAUUUUCUGAACCAAGGAAAAUCAAGUAAAAUUAAUAAAGCAUAAAUUAGAAAGGGAAAGUAUCUAGAGGAUGCAUUGUAGGAUUGCACAUGCCAAUAAUUGUACCCUCUAAAUAUAUAGGGAAAUAUUUUUUUUGUUUUCAUGACAUGUGGUCCUAAAAUUAUUGUUCCUAGCGGGCUCUCCAUCCCCUCUCAAUUGAAAACCAAUGGUGUAAAUCUUCAAUCCUGAAUAAUGCACCUAAAACUCAAGUGUCCCAGGCCAAUUAUUGCUCUCAUACUACUUGUUGUAAUAAACAUCCACCCAUUCUCAAGGAAAGAUAACUAUCGAUAUUAUCUCAAAUUUAACCACUUAACUUUAUUAUGAUUAACUAUGUAUCUUAUGGACCAAUCCAGCUGUGAGGUUUUAUACCCAAUUAGAUCGACCAAUACAGAGGUCACACGUGGAUUGAAAAGCGUCAUCGGUAGGGGAGUGUUCGACACCUUUUACUGCCGAGCGCAACACAAGACCCCUUACCAGGAACUUACCUGCUAAGACACGUGGAGACCCCACAUGUAAUAUCAACAGUCCCACAUCGAAAUUUAACACAACAUGCACACACCUCAAGACUUAUAAAAGUGGGCACAAGUCCCAAAAAUAGGGGAACUUGGUCUUUUGGCAAUUCAGCCAUUACUUUAUCCAUAUUAUUAUACACUCCGUACUUAUUCUAAUUUCAGCAUUGGAGAGCCCUCAGCCCAAGGAAUUACCAAGCAUUCUCCAUCUUGCAAAUUAAUUGCUCUACCGAAGCCCAGAAGGAGCCAAAGGCCAAGAUAGCACUAAGUUGAACCCAAAAAUGUUAAACUAUUUUUUAGCAUUAACAAUAUAUAUAGAUUUUUAAAAAAAAAAAAUCAAUCUAUUAUCAUAUAUAUUAUAAAAUAAAUAUUAUUGCUCCAUCCUCCAUACACUUGCAUGCCCUCUUACAAAGUGUGAAGUAGAUUUUGUGUGCUCCAAGUCAUUGACUAGAGCUAUAACAUGGUUAGCUGGAUUUAUAAGAUCUUUUUUUUUUUGGGAAUUUUCUGAACCAAGGAAAAUCAAGUAAAAUUAAUAAAGCAUAAAUUAGAAAGGGAAAGUAUCUAGAGGAUGCAUUGUAGGAUUGCACAUGCCAAUAAUUGUACCCUCUAAAUAUAUAGGGAAAUAUUUUUUUUGUUUUCAUGACAUGUGGUCCUAAAAUUAUUGUUCCUAGCGGGCUCUCCAUCCCCUCUCAAUUGAAAACCAAUGGUGUAAAUCUUCAAUCCUGAAUAAUGCACCUAAAACUCAAGUGUCCCAGGCCAAUUAUUGCUCUCAUACUACUUGUUGUAAUAAACAUCCACCCAUUCUCAAGGAAAGAUAACUAUCGAUAUUAUCUCAAAUUUAACCACUUAACUUUAUUAUGAUUAACUAUGUAUCUUAUGGACCAAUCCAGCUGUGAGGUUUUAUACCCAAUUAGAUCGACCAAUACAGAGGUCACACGUGGAUUGAAAAGCGUCAUCGGUAGGGGAGUGUUCGACACCUUUUACUGCCGAGCGCAACACAAGACCCCUUACCAGGAACUUACCUGCUAAGACACGUGGAGACCCCACAUGUAAUAUCAACAGUCCCACAUCGAAAUUUAACACAACAUGCACACACCUCAAGACUUAUAAAAGUGGGCACAAGUCCCAAAAAUAGGGGAACUUGGUCUUUUGGCAAUUCAGCCAUUACUUUAUCCAUAUUAUUAUACACUCCGUACUUAUUCUAAUUUCAGCAUUGGAGAGCCCUCAGCCCAAGGAAUUACCAAGCAUUCUCCAUCUUGCAAAUUAAUUGCUCUACCGAAGCCCAGAAGGAGCCAAAGGCCAAGAUAGCACUAAGUUGAACCCAAAAAUGUUAAACUAUUUUUUAGCAUUAACAAUAUAUAUAGAUUUUUAAAAAAAAAAAAUCAAUCUAUUAUCAUAUAUAUUAUAAAAUAAAUAUUAUUGCUCCAUCCUCCAUACACUUGCAUGCCCUCUUACAAAGUGUGAAGUAGAUUUUUUGUGCUCCAAGUCAUUGACUAUGGUUGAAACAUGGUUAGUUGGAUUUAUAAGAUCUUUUGUUUUCUGGGAAUCUUCUGAACCGCGGAAAAUCAAGUCAAAUUAAUAAAGCAGAAACUGUACCCUUUAAUUAUAUAUGGACAUAUGUUUUUUUGUUUUCAAGUCUUAGAUGACAUGGGGACCUAAAAUUAUUGCUCCCAGUGGGCUCUCGACCCCUUUCAAAUUUAAGUGGUCCAUUAUUAUUAACCACAUAUUUUAUGGACCAUCCAGCUGUGGGGUUUUAUCUCAAAAACCUUCGGUACAUUUCUCCCACAUGCCACAAUUGUAUAUUCACAAUUACUUCUGGGUACCCCUCAUCAUUCGUCUAUAAAAUGGUGAAGCCAGUUGCUCUGUUACCAUAAGAGCCAGCUCCGACGUUCUUUAAUUUCUUGCUACUUCUGUUGCCAAGUUAAUUUCAGUCCUAAUGGGGUUUCAUCUCCCACUCAUCGUUGCUAUUCUCAGUGUAAGCUCUGCAAUUUGAUUAACUUUUCCAUUCUCUCUCAUUGUACUCUAUAUAAACGAAAGUUUUGUGUUCUUAUAAUUCUCUCCGAUUUAUUUAGUACGUACUUAAGUGUCGUCCACUAAUUAAUUACACUUUGUGAGAUUUGAUUUUAAUUAGAGUUGGAAUUAAUGUUGCAGCUAGCAGCGGUUGCACUGGCAAACAAUGCUGCUCAACCAGCACCUCAACUUUACUGGAACUCCGUCCUGCCAAACACACAGAUGCCAAGAUCUAUCAGUGAACUUCUGCAUCCUGGUUUGUAUUUGAGCACUUUAGAAUCUUAGAUAUCUCUUCUACCUGCCAUUUUACUAAAAUAUGUUCGACCACAUAUUUAUCAGUUAAAUACUGUCAUUACAAGAAUGACACUUAUUUUCCAAUAUAAUUUGCAGACUCCACAAAUGAAGAAAAGAGCAAACCUGAAAAUAUCCCAUUGGCACGUUCAGGUUACAGUCGAAAAAGGUAUGGAGGAGGUCCUCCUCCAUCUGACGAGGGCAAACCUGAAAGUAUCCCAUUGAGAAAUUCAGGUUACCAACGAAAAAAUUAUGGAGGACGUCCUCCUCCAUCUGACGAGGGCAAACCUGAAAGUAUCCCAUUGAGAAAUUCAGGUUACCAACGAAAAAAUUAUGGAGGACGUCCUCCUCCAUCUGACGAGGGCAAACCUGAAAGUAUCCCAUUGAGAAAUUCAGGUUACCAACGAAAAAAUUAUGGAGGACGUCCUCCUCCAUCUGACGAGGGCAAACCUGAAAGUAUCCCAUUGAGAAAUUCAGGUUACCAACGAAAAAAUUAUGGAGGACGUCCUCCUCCAUCUGACGAGGGCAAACCUGAAAGUAUCCCAUUGAGAAAUUCAGGUUACCAACGAAAAAAUUAUGGAGGACGUCCUCCUCCAUCUGACGAGGAAAAACCUGAAAGUAUCCCAUUGAGAAAUUCAGGUUACCAACGAAAAAAUUAUGGAGGACGUCCUCCUCCAUCUGACGAGGGCAAACCUGAAAGUAUCCCAUUGAGAAAUUCAGGUUACCAACGAAAAAAUUAUGGAGGACGUCCUCCUCCAUCUGACGAGGGCAAACCUGAAAGUGUCCCAUUGAGAAAUUCAGGUUACCAACGAAAAAAUUAUGGAGGACGUCCUCCUCCAUCUGACAGUCAACUACUCCAUUAUAGAGACUUAGCUAUUUUCUUCUUCGAGAAGGACAUGCGCCCUGGCUCAACAAUGCAGUUCCAAUUCCCUAGAAAUUCAAACACGGCUACUUUCCUGCCACGCGAAAGUGCUCAAUCAAUCCCCUUCUCCUCUAACAAACUAUCAGAAAUUUUCAACCAUUUUUCAGUGAAGCCGACAUCUGUGGAAGCCAAAACAAUUAAGCAAACAAUCGAAGAGUGUGAAGCUCCAGGCCUUAAGGGAGAGGAAAAAUAUUGCGCCACAUCUUUAGAAUCAAUGGUUGAUUUUAGCACUUCGAAGCUUGGAACAAGAAACGUUGAAGCAAUCUCGACGGAGGUAUUGGAAGAAGGAGCCACCAAGUACAUGCACAACUAUACAACAAUGCCGGGACUGAAGAAGUUGGCAGGUGACAAAGUCGUUGUGUGUCAUAAGGAGAACUAUCCCUAUGCUGUGUUUUUCUGCCAUGCAAUAAAACAAACAGAAGCUUAUGUUCUCACCCUGAAAGCCGAUGAUGGGAUGAAGGUUAAAGCAGUAACCAUCUGCCAUCUAGACACAUCAGAAUGGGAUCCAGAGCAUUUGUCCUUCCAAAUCCUCAACGUUAAGCCCGGAACCACUCCCAUCUGCCAUUUCAUUUCCACUGAUGCUAUUGCCUGGGUUCCGAACCACAAAUCUGCAUGAUCAUCACUUAGCACUGUACGUAUAAUAAGCUUGGUCGGGUUGCACCCUAGGCCUGCAUAAUUAUCUCCCUACUUAUUUCUGCCUCUUCAUCAUGUGGUGUAAGAUAUAUGGUGAGAUGAAGUAACUAUGUAGACUUCAACUUGUACUCAUAAUAAAGCAUGCUGUUGGGGGGUU
rnacentral:lncRNA from 1 species